rnacentral:lncRNA from 1 species
AAUGUUUUUUGGGAAUUUUCCUUGCAAACCACAACCAGCAAGACUGAGAGACCUUAGAGAAGAGGAUAGAUUCAUGAAGACAUGAGCAUUAACAGAAGACAUGUCCAUUCCAUCCAAAAACAGAUGUCUGACCUCGGUUAGGUUGUGAACAAGUCCCUCCAGAGCAUGUUUGUCCAUUCUAUAUUGCAUAGAGAAAGCAGGCCAAGAGGAGAGAUCGAGUAAAACCAAUUUUGACAGGUGGGAGACUUGGGAUGGGACUUCUCCUACAAACCCUGUAUAAGAAAGGUUGAGGUAGAAUAGGCUUGUAAACUGACCGAAAUCGGAUGGAAUUUUGGAAAGAUUAAAAUCAUUGCCGGCAAGGUUGAGUUUUUGAAGGUGAGGAAGAAGGAAGAGAGUGGUAUUGGAAGGGAAGGUGCCAUAUAGGCAACUGCAGCUCAAGUCAAGGGCAAUAACAUGAGCAUUUAGGUGGUCACAAGUGACCCCAUCCCAUGAGCAGCAAUCUGUACCCUCCUUCCAUGAAUUUGUCUUGGGAUAAGAUUUAGGGCCGCAAGACGAAUAAGCAGCCUCUGUUAUGGAAAAAGAGUUCUUGAACUGGAUUAGUAAAGAGCAGGAGUGAGAUCCUGAAGAAGAAAAAGAAGCAUAAAGAUGGGGAAAGAAGAGGAAUAGGCAGAGAAAGAGACAGGGGGCCAUGUUAUGUUGGUAGAGGAAGAUGAAGGAUAGGAAUGGUAUUUAUAGGCAACAAAUAAUACCACAACAUUGGUGUUAGUCUUUUUUUUCUUUAACAUUGAAAAGUUAUGGAUGCUUUUACCAUAUAUUUUUCAUUCUCAAAAUUGGAUGCUUUUUCUUUUAUUUCAUAAAAACGUGUAUACUUUUAUAUGCUUUUUGUUUUAGCAAAAUUUUGUAUUUCAUAAAAAUGUGUAUACUUAUAUAUAUAUAUAUAGCCUCAUAAUUCAAAUCUAAAAUCUCAUUUGUUAUAAAUUUUGAUAAAUCAAAGGGUGAUAAAUUAGGCCCGUUUAAAAUAUGAGCUGGGUUUAGGCUUGAACAUUCAAAGCUCGAGCCCAGCCCGGCCCAUUUUUAAGUGUAUAAUACUUUAUAUUUUAUAAUUUAGAACAGAUUAAAAAAAUAAACUUAUAUUAAAUAUAUAAUAAUACUAUAAUGUAAACAUUAAAAUAAUGUUAAGAUGACUAUAUAAAAAUUUUCAAUAAAUAAAAAAUAUUUAAAUUAUUAAAUAUUAAAAUAAUAUAAUAUAAAUAUUUAAAAAAAAACUAAAAAUUAUAUGGGCAUGCCUAAAAUGAGCUUGGGUUAGUCUUUUGCAAAUAUGGAUGAGUUUAGGCAAAAUUUUAAGCUCAUAUUUUGGGCCGAGCCGAGCUUGAGCAAGCAUAAAGUACGUUAAUAUCAUGCUUAGGCCUGACCUGGCCAGGCUCAUGAGCACCUCUAUAGUUGAGUGACUAGAAUAGAACUAAAGGAAUAGUUUAGUGAUUAUUUUUGUAAUUGACCCAUAUGAAAUUUAGGUUAAUUUCUGCUAUUAGUCCUUAUACUUUGCAAAAGUUGUGGACUUAAUCUUUAUACUUUAAUUUGGUCAUUUUUAGUUCAUCUACUUUUCAAAUUUUAAAAUUUUAGUCAUCACCAAACAAUAACCGUUAAAUUUAUUAAGUUUUGUUAUUUUCAAAAAAUGAUGCGACAAAUAUAUUAGGCUUAACUCAUAAAUCGGUAUCUAAAUUAUACUCAUUUUCCCAUGUUGGUACCUAAACUUAUUUUUGGUCACAAGUGGUACAUAAACUACUUUUUUUCCCAAGUUACUACUGCCAUUAGUCAAAAGUCUAUUUUAGAAAUAGGCUUAACCCAUAAAUUGGUACCUAGACUAAAAUUUGGUACCUCCGUCAUUAGUCAAACCGUUCAGUUUAUAUGAAAAAAAAAUUAACCAAUUAAAAAUUGACAUGUAGUAAAAAAAACUAUUAUUAUUUAUAUAAAUAUAAAUGGAGAGAACUAGUUCAACCGAUUUGUUUUUGUUCGCAAGUCAAUCGAUUCAAACCCUAUUUCCGGACCGAUUUCCUAUCCAACUAGUUGAAUCAAUCUGUUUUUGAAAACACUAGUUUCCCUCAGGUCAGAGAAGUAGGUGGUGAAAUUCAAAACCAAAAUUAAUCACCAACGUUUCGACCUCAAGUGGGCCAAUUUCAAACAUUAUCGGCAUUGUCAAACAUUAUAAAGGAAUAAGAAAGAAAAAUAUAAAAAAUUAAUUAAUUAAUAAUUAUUUUUAAAAGUUUAUAUGACAUACAAUCUAUUAUUUGUUGAAAUCUUUUUAGCCGAUAUAACAUUUUGGUGUAAAAUGAGUAAUGGAAGAAUAGUUUUAGUAAUACUUAUGGCCAAAAUAAAAAUUAGGUACCUUGGGAAAAGGAGCAUUGUUUAGGUAUUAAUUAUUAUUAAUAUUAUUUGAAUCAAGACUAAAAUUUCAAAUUUCAAAAAGUAAAUGGUUUAAAAUUGACCAAUUCAAAAAAUACAAUGACUAAAAUUGAUCAAAUUAAGGUAUAAGGACUAAAUCCAUCAUUUUCGUAAAGUACAGAGACUAAUAGCAGAAUUUAACCUAAAUUUUAAUAUAAAUAAAAUCCAAAGUAGAAUAUAUUUUUUGAUAACUACAAUACAUUUAUGAGCAAGGAAAAAAGGAAGACUUACAAAGAUAAACACAGUAAGAAUGAAAAGAAUAUGGGGAUAAUUUACACAAAUUCCUUCAAAAACCAUAGCUUUUGGAGGUGAAAUUUAAUCAAAGGAAGAAUGAAAGCUCAGGUUUGGGAGUAAAUGAUAACAUACUUUCACCAAAAAGUUCAAAUAAUGAUGCUAACAAGUUCCCCGGGUCUGUGUCUUCCUUCCAAGCCUGAGCUAGAACGGUUGAUGUCUUUGAAACUCGACCCCCAACCUCCCUUCCUAGCAUGUUUUCGUUUGAUAACGGCCGUGACAUUGAUGAUACACCGAUAUUGGAACCUCCUACGGUGGUAGAAAAGCCGCUAACUGCCCCUUGUAAAUCAGUUUGAAUGGAAUUUAUUGGCAUCAUACCUAUUGCACUCUCAGUUGCUAUUUUCUUCGCAGGUGGUUGCUGCUGCAUCAAGGUGUCCGUGCUUGCUUUUCGUUUAUCUUGAUUGAUCAGAAAAAGGAAUAUCGUAAAGGGGGAGAAGAGACUUGUGGAUUAAGUGUAAAUAUGAUGGUUCGAAGAAAUCAUACUUGUCGCAACUUUGUUGUUGCUUUUCCAGAUGGGACGAGUUGGGGGUGCUAGAAAACUGGGGAACAUUUUAAGCCGAUCAUACAUGCACAGUCCAGCUGCACGCUGUUAGUGGAAAUUUUAUGCAGUGUUGUUAGUUCUACAGCAAAUAAAUGAAACGAUGCUCAUAAACUGGUACCAAAUUUGAUGUUAAACUUACCAGCAGGGCCCCAUAAACACACCAGGCCUCGUGUCUUUUUAUUUCAGGUUCAAGAAGCUGCAAAUACGCUUCAAAGCAAACAUGAGAGGGAAAUUAUUCAAAUUCCGUGCAACCUGAGAUAAAUGUGGCAAAAAUGUAAGCUUGAGAUAACCAACCAAAAGUUCUUUGCAACACACAUAUAUAAUGAGGUAUCAAAGAUCUUUAAGACAACCUCAUCCGCAAUGAAAUAUGUAAAAUAAGGAACUAAAGGAUGUAAUCCCGAGUCUGUUGCCAAACUCAGUAAUGCUUGUUUAAAGAGAACUGAGACUGAUUUAUUCAUGGUAAUGUCCACGAUCUUGUCAAAGUAAAGCUGCAUGACAACCAAAUUAGUCUUUUAAUAACAUUCUGUGCAAAAUGUAUUUUAACAUAAAAAUGUUGCUGAAGAUGUACAACAUACUUGAAGCUCUCUAGAUAAUACAUGCUUAACAGGUAAUUUGACAUCAACGGAAAGCCCAUCUUCUUUGUAUUCAGCCUUUUUACCAUCAGAAGGUGCUGCAUGGAAAGCAAACUACCAAUUCCAUGUAGAAAUGAAGAUAAGUCGUAUUAGAUUAAAGUGAUAAAACCAGAAAAGAACAUGAACCAUGAGAGUAUUCAACACAAAUAGCUUCGAGAAAAUAUUUAGGUUAGCUAAGACGGUACCUUCAAUUGAAGCAUUUUCGGGAAUUGCUGGUUGAAUGCCUUCAAUCGCAAGCCAGUGGGAUGUAACAGAUGUAUCAAGUGGUGCUUUUGGUAAAGGUGACUCAAGAACCUACAUACAUAAGGCAACAUAGGAAUUUAAGUGAAGACUUAUUUAAUAAGGCAACAUACAACAGAACCUCGAAUAUUGUUGAUCAGUUCUUACUUCUUUAAACUCCACAUCUUUGUCAUCAAUGUAGAACAAAUCAUUAUGCUUCUUGAAUCGUAGUGCAUCACGAGAGGCAAAUCCACAUAUCGGCUGAUGCCAGAGAAACACAUAACACAAGCCAAUUAACCAAAAUGCAAAAUCUAAAGCAGCAGGUUAAACUUACUACGAUUGGAUUGCAUCAUUUUAACCAGCGUUUUUGGAUUGCAUCAUUUCGAGUUUUGUCGUUCGGGUUUGACAAUUAAUUCAAAUCAUUUUAAGAUCAUGUCAUUUUGGAUUCAAAUUAUCACUUCUUUAUAAUCAAAUCGAGUUGCGUUAAGUUUAAAUUCAAAUUAAUUCAGUUUUACUACUUACUAAAACUUAUGUUUCUCAAAAUAAUUUUUUCAAAUUAAAAUUUAUUAAUUAUUUAAAUUAAGAUGUUAUUUUUUUAUUCUUUAUAUAUGUUUUACAAUUCGUGUUCAAGAUCGGUGGAUACCGCACACAACAUUAUUAUCUCCAACGUCUGAAUACGCAUUAUCUCCUUGAGAAUGUAAUAUGAUUUGCCACUACGCCAAACACUUGUUGGUAUCUAAAAUGGAUAAAAACACAUUUCUCGUCCCUCUCAAUUUCUAUAUUGAACAAAUUGAUUCCUCUCAGAAAAUUAGAGCAAUUUAAUCAUUAUCAAUUUUGAAUGGGAGCAACUAAGAACAAUUAAUCAUUGUGUUAAUACUUUCUGUAAAUUGUAUAUAUUUUUUAUUGAUAUAAUAACAAAAUAAGCUCUCGAUGUUUAUAUAUUAUAUGUAAAUGUUAAUAGAAUAUGUAAUUGUUGCGGGAUAAAUUUGUUAAAUCAAGAUCAAAUUAACAGAAUAUGUAAACAAGUUUAUAAACUUGUUAUUAUACCAAUAAAAAUAUGUACAAUUGAUGGAAAAUAUUGACAUUGUGAUUAAUUGUUCUUAGUUGCUCACUUUCGAAAUUAACAAAGAUUAAAUUGCUUUAAUUUUUUUUAAAAUGGACCAAUUUACUUAAUAUCAAAAUUGAGAGGGACUAAAGAGGGUUUUUACCAUCUAAAAUGUUAUCUAAUACAAGAAAAACUUAACAACUAUUUUUUAAUUAUGAAAAGGUAAACUACAUAAUUAGCCACUGAACUAUGGGUAAAUCUUCGUUUUGGUCACUUAACGAAAAAAGUUACAAUUUGGUCACCCUAUUGUUAAAUGACACUUUGUAGUUGCUAUAAUAACAAUUCUAGUAUUUUGUUUUUAUAAUUUUUUUUGCCAAUUUAAAAAAUAUAAACUUCUGUAUAAAAAUUAUAAAAAAAACUCAAAAUUAUUUUUAAAAAAUAUAAACUUCUAUAUAAAAAUUCUAGAAAAAUAAAAUCUCGAAUAUGUUGUUGUUGAAGAACUAAUAUGUAUGGGAAAUAAAAAAAAUUAUCAUUCAAUAGAAUCCCAUAACAAAUUAAAAACAGAACAAAACAAAAAAAAGGUUAGAUCAUUAUACGCUUCCUCAAUGUUUUUUGCAACCAAAUUAGUAAAAUUUUCAAGUUGAGUUUCAUGCCCUUGAAGAACAUCCGUAACUAUAUUACAAAAGCUUACAAAAUCAACUUUGAUGCCAUUUUUCUAGCAAAAAUAUAAAAUAUACCACAAAAUUUUCUUUUUCAAACUCAAUUCGAAUUUUCAAUUCAUUUAAAUUUAUUUUUAAAAACCCAAAUUAUAAAAGCAGAUUAUAUACAGAUAAUUUUACUUAAUCUUUUUUUUUUUUACUUUUUUCUAUGUUUUCUAAAAGAAUGGAUAUUAGAUAUUUCUUUACAAAUAAUACAAAGAAAAUUUGGAGGGUUUAAAAAUAAUAUUUCCCUCAUUUUCUCUCACUUUAUUUAUAUUUGAAAUUUUUAUCUACUUUCAUUUAAUUUUUAAUUUUUAGAAUUUUGUAAAAUUUAAAAAGAAUUUCACUUUUGUAAUCAUUUUAUAUAAUUAGAGUUAAAUUGACAGAAAGUAUAAAAAUUGAGGAUAAAAAUUAUUAUUAUACCAACUAAAAAGUGUCACUUAAUAGUCAGGUGACCAAAAAAGUUGUAAACUAUAAAAAUAGUCACCCAACUAUUAAAAUUUCCAAUUUAGUUGCUAAACUUUUUGAAAUUAAAUAUUUUAAUCACUUUCCCUUUAGUUGUCGUUAGAUGAGUGACGGAAAGCUGAUGUGGGUUUUUUUUAAUUGAUUUAAUAACAAAUUUAACCUCUAAUAUUUACCAAUGCAACUUUUCACCAUAGGAAAAACUUUCUAACAGACUACUAAACAAGAAAUUAUGAAGACACAGCAGAAAUGCUUUAACUUCAUUUGAACCAACUAGAUCCUUCUUCAUCCAUUGAUGCGAUUGCUAUAUUUCGGCUUUCUUCUUCGCCUCUUCUCAUGUUGGUCUUCAGCCAAAUUCACGAACCUUUUCGCCUUACCGGUUUGGAAAACAACACAUCCCAUGGCCAUUCCACAUGUUGGAAAAGGAUUACCCCUACCGUUAUAUUUUGUCUUCUCUCAUCAAUGAUAUUGCGAUACCCAAAGUUUGGUAUCGCGAUAUCUACAACAGUCUUGGGGAUCCUUGGGAGUUUUGGGUAUCGCGAUAUCUUAUGACCGGUAUCACGACAACACUGUUGAUGGCUCAAUCUUCCUUGUUUUUAACAUUGUUAUGGGUAUUACGACUUUCAUGCUUUGAUCUGCGAUACCCUCUUUCUAGGUAACAUUUUCGCUCCUUCCAGGCCACCAUGGGCUCUCUGCAUCACUCAUCAACCUCAUUAGAUUCCCGGAGUGCCAUUUGGCCAUCUUAGGUCUUAAAAUAGCAUCAAAAUGCACACUAAUCAUUUAUUAAUAUAAAGAACUAAAACAAAAUAAAAACGCAACAAAGAUAUCUAAAUUGCUCGAAAAUAAACUUUUAAGUGUGAUGGAGAGCCUAAUUUGACAUAUCAAUUUAUAGCAAAUCAUAAACAUUAUUUGCGGAACUUGUUAAAAUUUCAGAUUUCUUUAUUAGUUUUCUUUCAAUAUUUUGUACGGUUCAUUUGUAGUAAUAUAUUGUGCAGAUCAUAGGCUAAAUUGCUUUAUUAGUUUUCUAUUGUUGAUCUUUAUUAUUAUUAUUAUUAUUAUUAACACUACUUCCUUUUUACCAUAUAAUUUUUAUUCAUAAAAAUGAAGAGUUGAUUUACCCAAAAUUUGUAUUUCAUUUGAACUCCCUAAAGAAUGAAGAACUGAAAUAAUUAGAAAUUAUUUUGACUUGCUCUUGCUUCCUUUCUAUGUAUGAAUGUGGAAAUUGGCAUAAUGCCAACUUAUUUUCCACGCAGAAGAAGAAAAUGGUGCUCUAUUCACUCCCUUUAACUCAGCAACUUUGUAAUCAUUCUAUAUAAUCAGAGUCAAAUUGACAAAAAUUAGUAUAAAAAUUGAGGAAUCAAAUUAUUAUUAUGCCAACUAAAAAGUGUCACUUAAUAGUCAGGUCACCAAAAAUGUUGUAAACUAUAAAAAUAGUCACCCAACUAUUAAAUUUUCCAAUUUAGUUGCUAAACUUUUUGAAAUUAAAUAUUUUAAUCACUCUCCCUUUAGUUGUCGUUAGAUGAGUGACGGAAAGCUGAUGUGGGUUUUUUUAUUGAUCUAAUAACAAAUUUAACCUCUAAUAUUUACACAUAGGAAAAAAAUUGAAAGACUUCAAAACAAGAAAUUAUGAAGAUACAACAUCAGCACUUGAACAUCAUUUCCACUAACUAGAUCCUUCUUCGUCCAUUGCUGCGACUGCCAUCCUUUGACUUUCUUCUUCGCUUCUUCUCAUGUUGGAUUUCAACCAAAUUCACCAACCAUUUCGGCUUACCAGUUUGGAAAACAACAUAUCCCACGGACAUUCCCAACACCACUCCGCAUCCAUAACCUAUCAACACCACUUUCCAACCAAAAGUAAUGUUUGAUUUUGAGCCAUCUUUUUCAAGCACAUUUGGAGGUGCUGGCUCAAUGAUGUUGCAACCUUUCGAGACCGGAAAUCCACAUAAUCCCCUGUUCCCUUCAUAUGAAUCAUUUCCAAAUGUGUUGAACUGUUUGCCUUGAGGAAUCUGACCAUGGAGUUGAUUUUCAGAAACAUUGAAGGACGAAAGAAAUGGCAGAUCUGCCAAUCUAAUUGGAAUCGUCCCAGACAACCUGUUUGAAGAUAGGUCCAACCAUUCAAGAUUUGUCAAAUUCCCUAUUGAGGUGGGGAUACCACCAUUAAGGUUAUUAUGAGAAAGGUUGAGCCCUUUCAGUAAGUUAAGCUUCCCAAUAACCUUUGGAAUACCCCCUUCAAACUGAUUGUUUGAUAGAUCAAUGAUCAUCCACAUGGUGAAAAUUUUCACCAAUUCCAUAUCUUGUCCUUUCAUAACAAUUCCAAUGGAAUAGGUAUAGAAGCCACUACCUCGAGGAUCAUUCACCCCCAUGUACGACACUGUACUACCAAUCUUCUCUAGAUUUAUGAUAGCCUUGAAGCUGUUGAUGUAUCUCACAGGUAGGGGUCCAGAAAAAUAAUUACUCGAGAGAUCAAAAAUUUGGAUUUUAGAGAAAAAAAGGCUAGACUUGGAGCUAUUGACACAUAAGGAACCAUGCAUAUGAUUUGACUUCAAUACAAGAACUUGCAAAAAUGGAAGACUUCCCAACCAAUGAGGAAAUGUAUCAUUGAUCUUGUUGUUACCAAGAUCUAGCACUUCCAGACCAAUACAAUUAAGGAUGGAUGGUGUCAAAGGCCCUUCUAACAGAUUUCCGUUUAAGUUGAAAUUAGUCAACUGGCAUCCCUCUGCAAAUGUUGGAGGAAUCGUCCCAUAAAACUUGUUCUUCUUCAGAUUCAAGAUUUCAAGGCUGUUGCUCAAAUUUCCAAAACAUUGCGGAAUUGUUCCACUCAAGUUAUUGUGGGACAAAUCAAGAAUUCCAAGACAUUGCGGAAUUGUUCCACUCAAGUUAUUGUGGGACAAAUCAAGAAUUCCAAGAGAAGUGACAUUGCAGAUUAAAGAAGAGACCUCUCCAUUGAAACUAUUAUUUGAGAUUAGAAAGACAUUGAUGGUCGAAGCUGGAAUCGGAAGAUUUCCACGGAUCAAAUUGGAGCUUAAGUCAAGAAAUUCAAUAUUCUUCCAUUGAAAGUGCUCAACUUCUGUCAAAGAGUUGUGGGAUACAUUUAAGUAAGUCAAAGAGCCAUUUCCCACCUCUUGCAUCCACUGUGGAAUCUUGCCUUCAAUUUUGUUGCAAGAGAGGUCUAACCAUUUCAAACUUUUAAGCCCCUUUAAAAAUUGGGGGAAUUCACUAAGAUUGCAAGAUGACAAAAAUAAGCUUGUAAGAUUAACAGUAGAAGUAGUAUUAGAUGUUAAGGAUAGGCUGUUAUAUGAAAGGUCAAGAUCUUCGAGAUUUGGAAGGUUUGAGAACAUGCGAAACUCUAUGACACCACUAAGAUUAUUUGAGGAUAAGCUGAGAAGGGUAAGAUUGAGAAGUUGGAAUAUUGAAGAUGGAAGAGGACCUUGGAGUUUAUUAUUGUCUAGAUAUAAAUAUUCUAGUGAUUUGGAUUGGAAUUCUUUGAUAAGCCCACUGAAUUGAUUUUGAGAGAGAUAUAUUCUCUUUAAGGAGGGAGCAGUAUGGAACCAUGACGGAGGUGUUCCAUUGAGUAAAUUGUUAGUUAAGUCUAAAUAUAUUAGAUUAGGAAAAGCGGUUACCUCAUCUGGAAUGGAACCGUUUAAUGAAUUUUCAGAUAUUCUCAAGCUUUCCAACUGCGUUAGGUUUAGAAUUGACGAUGGAAUUUGUCCACUCAAUUGGUUCUGCGACAAGUCUAAAAGAGUGAGUUGCAAGUGGUUCCCCAAUGAUCUUGGAAUUUGUCCACUCAAUUGGUUCCCCGACAAGUCUAAAUGAGUGAGUUGCAAGAGGUUCCCCAGUGAUCUUGGAACCGUUCCUGAUAAGUUGGAAUUGGAGAGAUCUAAAAACUUCAAUGACACAAGAUUCCCCAUCGAGUCAGGCAAUCCUCCAAAAAAAUUUGCGCCUCCAGUAAACAAGUACCCCGAUUUUCUGAUUGAGACAGAAGAAAAAAAACUUCCUGAUAGAUCUAAGUACUUUAAGGCCUGUAGAUUAUCAACUGAAUCAAUGAAUUCUGUAGAGAAGGGCAUGAACGACAGAUCCAAAUGUUCAAGAUUGCUGCUCCGAUUCAACUUCAAAGGAUCAAGACUGAGGAUUGGGUUGCUUCCCAAGUUGAGGAGAUUGAGGUUUGGCAAUGUUUUUUGGGAAUUUUCCUUGCAAAUCACAAUUAGCAAGACUUAGAGACCUUAGAGAAGAGGAUAGAUUCCUGAAGACAUGAGCAUUAACAGAAGACAUGUCCAUUCCAUCCAAAAACAGAUGUCUGACCUCGGUUAGGUUGUGAACAAGUCCUCUCAGAGCAUGUUUCUCAAUUGUAAAUUGCUCAUGGCCAUUAAUCAAAGAGAGAUCAAGUGAAACCAAUUUUGACAGGUGGGAGACUUGGGAUGGGAGUUCUCCUGCAAACCCUGUACGAGAAAGGUUGAGGUAGAAUAGGCUUGUAAACCGACCGAACUCGGAUGGAAAUUUGGAAAGAUUAAAAUCAUUGUAGGCAAGGUUGAGUUUUUGAAGGUGAGGAAGAAGGAAGAGAGUGGUAUUGGAAGGGAAGUUGCCAUAUAGGCAACUGCAGCUCAAGUCAAGGGCAAUAACAUGAGCAUUUAGGUGGUCACAAGUGACCCCAUCCCAUGAGCAGCAAUCUGUACCCUCCUUCCAUGAAUUGGUCUUGGGAUAAGAUUUAGGGCCAUCAAAACUACCGCAAUCAAAAAAAGUAGCCUCUGUUAUGGAAAAAGAGUCCUUAAACUGGAUUAGUGAAGAGCAGGAGUGAGAUCCUGAAGAAGAAAAAGAAGCAUAAAGAUGGGGAAAGAAGAGGAAGAGGCAGAGAAAGAGAUAGGGGGCCAUGUUAUGUUGGUAGAGGAAGAUGAAGGAUAGGAAUGGUAUAUAUAGGCAACAAAUAAUACCACAACAUUGGUGUUACAGUCUUUUUCUCUUUUACAUUGAAAAGUUACGGAUAUUAGAUUUUCAAAAUUUUUGUAUUUAUCAACAACCACUUAGUCUUCCUUUUACCAUUUAUUUUUCAUUCUUAAAAUUGGAUGCUUUUUCUUUUAGCAAAAUCUUGUAUUUCAUUAAAAUGUGUAUACUCAUAAUUAAAAUCUAAAAUCUCAUUUGUUAUAAAUUCUGAUAAAUUUAUUUGGGAAUAAUUAUUUUUCUUUCGUUAAUUAUUUCUCUUUUAAUCAAGUAAAAAUUAAAAAUUAAAAAGACAUAAUGAUUUAUUUAGCAUUUUUUAACUUUACAAACGAAAAGUCAUUUUAACUUCUCAUUUUUUUUUAUCUCUUUUAGCUUUAAAACAAAAAGACAUAAUGAUAUAUUUUGAUUUUUGCUCAUCUAAAAAAUCAAAGGGUGAGAGAGGGGAUUAAAAAUAUUUUUUAAAUAUAUAUUAAAAUUUUUAGAAUUAGAACUAAAUUGCUAAUUUUUGAAAAUAUUAAGGGUUAAAUUUAUUAAUUUUUUUAGAAUUUGAACUAAAAUGACAGGUUUUGUUAACAUUUAGGGCUAAAUUUGUUGAUUUUUUUUAUAUCUAGGAUCAAAUUGAUAGAAUAUGUAAACAUUGGAGGGCUAAAUUUGUUAUUAGACUAAUAAAAAAAGCCCACAUCAGCUUUCCGUCACUCAUUUAACAACCUAAUAGGAGAGUGACUAAAAUAUUUACUUUCGAAAAGGUUAACAACUAAAUCGAAAAAAUUAAUAGUUGAGUAAACUUGUUCAUGAGUUGGGCUACUUGCCAAGGCCCAAGUGCCGUCCGAAAUUUGGGAGGGUCUGGAUAAAAAUAUUAGGCCCGAAAAUUGAGUUUGGGUAAAACAUUAGGCCCGUUUAAAAUAUGGGCUAAGUUCAGGCUUGAACAUUCAAAGCCUGAGCCCAGCCCGGCCCGUUUUUAAGUGUAUAAUACUUUAUAUUAUAUAAUUUAGAACAGAUUAAAAAAAUAAACUUAUACUAAAUAGAUAAUAAUACUAUAAUGUAAACAUUAAAAUAAUGUUAAAAUGACUAUAUAAAAAUUUUUAAUAAAUAAAAAAUGUUUAAAUUAUUAAAUAUUAAAAUAACAUAAUAUAAAUAUUUUAAAAAAAACUAAAAAUUAUAUGGGCAUGCCUAAAAUGAGCUUGGGUUAGUCUUUUGCAAAUAUGGAUGAGUUUAGGUGAAAUUUUAAGCUCAUAUUUCGGGCCGAGCUAAGCUUGAGCAAGCAUAAAGUACGUUAAUAUCAUGCUUAGGCCUGACCUGGUCCAGCUCAUGAGCAUCUCUAUAGUUGAGUGACUAGAAUAGAACCAAAGGAAUAGUUUAGUGAUUAUUUUUGUAAUUGACCCAUAUGAAAUUUAGGUUAAUUUCUGCUAUUAGUCCUCGCACUUUGCAAAAGUUGUGGACUUAAUCUUCAUACUUUAAUUUGGUCAUUUUUAGUGGAGAUCAAAAUGGUAUAAUACCGACAGUGGGAACCUUACAACAUUUGAAAAAGUUAUGCCUAAUUGUGUAGUAAACAACACUUUAAAAAUGUAGUCCCUAUAUUCAAACUUAUGCCGUAAAAGUUGAAUAAUAGUAUCUAAGAAACAAAUUUUCCACCAGACUGGAAAUUUUGUAUUGCUUGGAAUUAAUUGACUCUCAUCUUCUGUUACUAGCUUCAAAAAUAUUGUAUUGCUUUAAAUUCAAACAAGAAAUAGGGGAAAUUUUUACAUGGAAACAAAUUUUGCUAUUUAAAUUUCCCAAUUCUUUACUCAAAGUUGGUUCUAAAUUAAAUUUAGAAAAAGAAAAGAGGUUUAAGGGUGCAAAAAGCCCUCAAACUUUUUCAAAACUAGCAACUAAACCCCUGCUCUUAUAUAAAAAUUGUAAAAAAAAUUGUAAAAUUAUUUAAAAAUUAAUAAAAAAUUAAAAAAAUUAAAAAUUAUUAAAAAUAUAUAAAAAUUGUAAAAUUUUAUAAAAAAUUGUAAAAUUUUAUAAAAAAGUUUAAAAAAUUUUAAAAUAUAUAGAAAUAUAAAAUUUUAUAAAAUCAUAAGAAAAUUAUACAAAAUGUAAAAAAAUAAAUUUGUAAAAAAAUUAUAAAAAUUAUUGUACCAAAAGAAAUAUUUUAUAAUUUUUCCAUAACUUUUAUUGAUUUUUACUUUUUAUCUGUUUUCACUACAUGUCACGAUGAGUUGCGACACAUAAUGACUUUAAUUGAAAAAACUAGAGGUCGUUAACUUUAACGAUCAAUAGUUAAAGUUAAUCGUUAAAAGGACUUUUUGAUGGAUUUUAUAUAUUUUUAUGAUUUUUAUAAAAUUUUAUAAUUUUUUUUAUUUUUUGACGAUUUUUCUAAAAAAAUUUCUAAUUUUAAUAAGUUUUUAAAUUUGUAUUAAAAUUUAAUAAUUUUUCUAAAAUUUUUUAUUUUUAUGAUUUUUUUUCUAAUUUUUAAUAAGAGCAGGGGCUUAAUUGCUUUUUUGAAAAAAAUUUAAGGCCUUUUUGAUGCAUUAUGAAAGUUCAAGUACCCAAUUGAGUGGGAAAAAACUAAAGGCUUAAUUGUUUCUUUGAAAAAAAAAAUUAAGGUCUUUUUGAUGCAUUAUGAAAGUUCAAGUACCCAAUUGAGCAGAAAAAGUUAGGGAUUUAAUUGCUUUUCCGCUGGAAAUUAAGUUCUAAUCUUUUCCGCAUUCAACCUAAAAGCAAAGCAUAUCGAAAAUUGGAUCAUGUAAAAAAAAAAAGUAGCCACACACAUUGGUCAAACAUAGGCAUGCUUAAUGAUCCACACGUAAUUAAUCUAUGUAUUCUGCAUAUAACAUGCAUGCUCGCACCAUUUGUUUUGCAUGUGUGAAAUAGCAUGAAAAUGAUAUACACUUGAUUUGAAGAAUAGAUCCAAGUUUAUAACUAAAAAAUCAGACAUCUGAAAUUCAUAAAAACGAAUAUGCAUGUAUAAGUCCAAAAGAAAAGAAAUCUUCACCUUUUGCAUAUUGAUGCCACUAGCUUUGCUGCGAAGUUUCUAAGUUCCCAAUGAUUGUCGGUGAAUUUAUUUCCUAACCUUUUUGCAACGAGGCAGGUAAUAAUAGAAGGCAUCAACUGGUGUAACUGAAGAACAUUUUAAAAAAUCAGAUAGGUGGAAAAUAAACCACUAGCAUAUUUGCGUUAGUUCGUGUACUUCUAAAUCAUUGAAAUAAUAAACUCACAUAAGGUUCUAUGAGUAAGUGUUCAUUCUGGAGAAGACUCCGGGCAACACGCAUCAAAGCAAACAUGUGGCAAAAAUGUAAGCUUGAGAUAACCAACCAAAAGUUCUUUGCAACAGACAUAUAUAAUGAGGUAUGAAAGAUCUUUAAGACAACCUCAUCCGCAAUGAAAUAUGUAAAAUAAGGAACUAAAGGAUGUGAUCCUUUUUUAUGCAUUAUGAAAGUUCAAGUACCCAAUUGAGCAGAAAAAAAUAGGGAUUUAAUUGCUUUUUUUAAGAAGUGUAAAGAUAUUUUUGAUACAUUUUAAAAGUUUAAAUGCUCAAUUAAGUGUAAAAAAAAAAAGAGGGACUUAAAUUUUUAUUUUUAUUUUUGAAAAUUUUGAAGGGUUUUUAUGCCCUUAAGCUAAUAAAAAGAACAUGUAUUAAUUUUGAUUAUAAUUUCAAUAAUGAUUUCAAUAUAUCGUUAAUUUUAAAAAAAAGGAAAUGCAACUUAGUUUUUUUAAAAAAAAUUAAAGAACAUGGACAACUUGAUGAUUAAAUAAAAAAAAUGUAAAGCCAAAAAUCUAGAUUAGAAUUGUAUUCAAAAUAAUAAAUAGAAUGCAUGUGUGCAAAAAGAACUCCAUUAGUAAUGUCGAAUUUCAAAGACAAAGGAGGAUGCUGUUUUUGUCGUGACAUAACAUAAAUAGUUGACUACGUGGGUGGCCACAUACAAUGCUUCAAAGGUUAAGAUAUAAUGGAAAACAAACUUUUCUUGUCGUCAAUGGUCAAUGUUAUGACCGAACAAAGUUUGGUCAAUUUCAAAGGUUAUAUUUGUCGUUUGGUAGACGAGGUGGGCGUUGCCACUGUGAAUAAUAAUAAUAAUAUCCAUACACUACAAUCCCCACCUUUGGGCCAAAAUAAUAAAACCCAAUUAAUAUGAAAGGGAGAGUUCAUACCCACUAAAAGAACACACUCCCUAUAAACCACCUCUAAUCCUGCUAAUAGUACAAUUUAACUGCACCUCCUUGGUAGUAAAAAAGUACGAAGCACAGAAUGAAAGCCCUAUGUUUCCACAUAAGUUCACACGACACGACAAUAACGAGUAGUGGAUAGUUAAUAUAAAUAAGCAGGAGGCCCCAGUUCUCAAUUGCAGACUGCAAUGCAGUGCAAUAGUUGUCACAUCUCAAACCCCUUCUUCCUCUUCUUCUUCUUCUGACACAUCACUCUCCACCAAUCCCAGAUGAUUUGGCUUUUGCCUUGUCUGAUUUGGAACCCAGUUCUCAAUUGGGUUUUUUUGGCUGCUAAGGGAAGUUGCCAUAUAGCCAACUGCAGCUCAAGUCAAGAGCAAUAACAUGAGCAUUUAGGUGGUCACAAGUGACCCCAUCCCAUGAGCAGCAAUCUGUACCCUCCUUCCAUGAAUUUGUCUUGGGAUAAGAUUUAAGGCCAGCAAAAUCAUUGCAAUAAGAAGAAGCAUCCUCUAUUAUGGAAAAAGAGUUCUUGAACUGGAUUAAUGAAGAGCAGGAGUGAGAUCCUGAAGAAGAAAAAGAAGCAUAAAUUUUAAAAAUUUUAAAAAUAAAACAUAUAUUAAAAUUUUCUAAGCAUUGCAGAAGAUUGUCCAAUAAACAAAUUAACGCAACAUUUUAGUUAUUGUCUACUGUCCAAUAAUGCCAUGUGUAUUAGUACAAACAUCCCCAUUUCACUUUUUUUUCAGUUUCCCAAAAACUCAUUUCACUCUAAGCUUUAUAAAAAAAAAAUUAUUUUAGUCCUUAAUUUAAUGCUGUUUUGCCUAGAAAUUGUUUUGCAAAUUUAUUUUGUUUUAUUUAUUUCUAAACCCAUAUUUCUUUUCUACAACCCCAAUUAUUAGAUUGUUUAGGGUUUUGACUAACUUUCGAUUUUGGAAUUUUAGAUUUUUUAAAUUUAAAUAUGAAGUGCUCUUCUUCUUCUCCAAACCCACAAUUUUUUUUGCCAAAUUUCAACUCAAUGUUUUACUUUCAGCUAUAAAUAAAAAAAUAUAUUAUAUUUAUAAUGAUCCAAGAAUAGUAGAGUCGACGCAGAUCUACAUGAAAAAGGAGGAAAAAAAAAGGCAAAGAAAGAUAAUAUGAAGAGAGCAUACAUCAAUAAAGCAAAUGAAAAACGAGCAGAAUUAAAGUAAAUGGGUAUUUAAUAUUUUUUUGUGAAAGUUCAAAGACUGAUUAUUUAUGAGAUUGGAUGUGGAAAAAGUAGUUGGAAAUUUUUUUUUUUCUUGCACCAAUUGAUUUUUUAUAUAAAUUUUUUAUUUAUUUUCAGAUUUUUAAAUUUUGUUACAAUUAUUUUUAUGAAAAUUUAAAAAUAUAAAAAAUACUUUUUGAACUAUAAUUUAAGGAUCAAGUUAGCUAUUAAUCAUUUGAAUAAAUAAAACAUACACAUGGAUUAAUGAAUUAAUCCACAAGCAAUGUUGGACAUUUUCAUAAUGCCAAAUUUCACUUCAGAUUUAGUUACCCAUAAUCAUAUUUAAACAAACAAAAAUACAACAAUCAUACAAAAUAGGCAUAACUAGAAAACAUGAGAAAAAUGAGAAAAGCUUGAAAACAAUUACAAUGGUAGCAAAGGAAAUGUAAAAAAAAACCCUAAAAAUAGAUUUUUAAUGAUGAAGGGAAUUUAUUUAUAUUAAAACCAAGGAUUAAGCUGAAAAUACAAAGAGUUAAAGGUACUAAACGAGCCAAUAAAUCCUAGCUACAGUGAUAAUUAACUUAACUAACUACUAUUAUUGGAACCAAGAAAAACUCAAAGAAAACAUGAAUUAAACCCUAGAGUUAUGGAGAAGAAAACUAAAACUCUAAAAAUAAAGAGAAAAAUUGAAAAACAUGAAAUGUUAAGUGUUGCCUUUUGUUCAGCCAAUUUUUUGCCCUUUCUAGCAAAUUACAGAUCCAAAAAUAGUGACCAAAUUGUCCAUGAUCAUCUAAUUUUGGUUAGGGGACAUGUUGGAAAAGGAUUACCCUACUGUUAUAUUUUGUCUCCUCUCAUCAAUGAUAUUGCGAUACCAAGUUUGGUAUCGCGAAAUUCACAACAGUCGUGGGGAUCCUUGGGAGUUUUGGGCAUUGCGAUACCUUAUGAUCGGUUUCACAAUAACACUGUUGAUGGCUCAAUCUUCCUUGUUUUUAAAAUUUUUAUGACGACUUUCGUGCUUUGAUAUGUGAUACCCUCUUUCUAGGUGACAUUUUCACUCCUUCCGGGCCACCAUUUGAACUCCCUAAAGAAAGAAGUGAAAUAAUUAGAGUUGAUGAUAUUGACUUGGUCUUGCUUCCUUUAUAUGUAUGAAUGUGGAAAUUGGCAUAAUGCCAAAACAGCCUUCAGUUCAUCUACAUUCCGCGUCAAAUCUACAAGCAUGAAUAUUAACCUUUGAACUCCAUAAUAACAACACCAAUUUCUGCAUUGUUCCAUUUUACAGUCUUUCCAUUUUAGCAAUUAAAGCAACCUAUAUGUACCCUUUUACAGUCUGCAUUGUUCCAUGUUUCAAUUCAUUAUAUCAUUCCUUCAACUCUGCUAUAUAUUAUUACUUUCUCCAUAUAACCAAACCUUUUACUGCUAACUUGUAAAAAAAUUAUGAAAAUACAACAGAGAUCAUUGCGCCAUUUUGUUCUCCUUUCUCCUUUACUGAGCAGUAGCAAAGAUUAUCGAGACUAAAUUGAAAGUCAUGAAAGAAGACAUAAACAACACCACCAUACAAAAUGUUACACUCAAACAAACCAUUACUGAAAGUACGAAAUGCAAUGAAAGACAGAGGAAUUGGUACAAUAAUAAAGACAGACACAUACCAAUGCAACCCUUCACCAUAGGCAAAACGGUCUACAGACUAAGAAAUUAUGAAAAUACAACACUAAUUCUUCACCAUCAUUUGCAGUAAUUAGAUCCUUCUUCGUCUACUGCUGCAAUUGCCUUUCUUUGACUUUCUUCUUCGCCUAUUCUCAUGUUGGUCUUCAACCAAAUUCACCAACCAUUUCGGCUUUCCAGUUUGGAAAACAACAUAUCCCACGAACAUUCCGAACACUACUCCGCAUCCAUAACCUAUCAACACCACUUUCCAACCAAAAGCAAUGUUUGAUUUUGAGCCAUCUUUUCCAAGCACAUUUGGAGGUGCUGGCUCAAUGAUGUUGCAACCUUUUGAGACCGGAAAUCCACAUAGUCCCUUAUUUCCUUUGAAUUGUUUGCCUUGAGGAAUCUGACCAUGGAGUUGAUUUUCAGAAAAUUUACGGACGAAAGAAAUGGCAGAUCUACCAAUCUAUUUGGAAUCGUCCCAGACAAACUGCUUGAAGAUAGGUCCAACCAUUCAAGACUUGUCAAAUUCCCUAUUGAGGUGGGGAUAUCACCAUUAGGGUUAUUAUGAGAAAGGUUGAGCCCUUUCAGUAAGUUAAGCUUCCCAAUAACCUUUGGAAUACCCCCUUCAAACUGAUUGUUUGAUAGAUCAAUGAUCAUCCACAUGGUGAAAAUUUUCACCAAUUCCCUAUCUUGUCCUUUCAUAACUAUUCCAAUGGAAUAGGUAUAGAAGCCAGGACCCCAAGGAUAAUUCAACCCCAUGUACGACACUGUACUCCCAAUCUUCUCUAGAUUUAUGAUAGCCUUGAAGCUGUUGAUGUAUCUCACUGGUAGGGGUCCAGAAAAAUAAUUACUUGAGAGGUCAAAAAUUUGGAUUUUAGAGAAAAAAGGGCUAGACUUGGAGCUAUUGACACAUAAGGAACCAUGCAUAUGAUUUGACUUCAAUACAAGAACUUGUAGUGUGGAAGACUUCCCAACCAAUGAGGAAAUGUAUCAUUGAUCUUGUUGUUACCAAGAUCUAGCACUUUCAGCUCAUAACAAUUAACGAUGGAUGGUGUCAAAGGCCCUUCUAACAGAUUUCCAUUUAAGUUGAAAUUACUCAAUUGGAAAAACUCUGCAAAUGUUGGAGGAAUCGUCCCAUAGAACUUGUUCUUCUUCAGAUUCAAGAAUUGAAGCUGGUAGCUGAAAUUUCCAAAACAUUGAGGAAUUGUUCCACUCAAGUUAUUGUGGGACAAAUCAAGAAUUUGAAGAGAACUGGCAUUGCAUAUUAAAGAAGAGACCUCUCCAUUGAAACUAUUAUUUGAGAUCAGAAAGACAUUGAUUGUCGAAGCUGGAAUCGGAAGAUUUCCACGGAUCAAAUUGGAGCUUAAGUCAAGAACUGCAAUAUUAUUCCAUGGAAAGUGCUCAACUUCUGUCAAUGAGUUGUGAGAUACAUUUAAGUAAGUCAAAGAGCCAUUCCCCACCUCUUGCAUCCACUGUGGAAUCUUGCCUUCAAUUUUGUUGCAAGAGAGGUCUAACCUUUCCAAACUUUUAAGCCCUUUCAAAAAUUGGGGGAAUUCACUAAAAUUUAAGGGUUUAAUAAGAUUUUUUAAAAAAAUUGGGGGUCUAAUAAAAAAAUUUAAAAUUUUUUGUGAGAUUAAUGAGAAUUUUCAAAAUUUUAAGAGCACUUAAUUAAAAUUUUCAAAAAAAAUUAAAAGGUAUAAUGAAAAAUUUAAAAAAUUUUUGGGGCUUAAUUGAAAUUUUCUAAAAAUUUCAAAGGAAAAAACAAAAUUCUCCGAUUUUUUUUUUUUUUUGCAUGGGUGGCGGGACAAAGAGCCCCCUAAGCCACCAUAAUAGUCCGUCUUUACCAAGGAUCAUAAUAAACCAUAUAUAAAUAGUUUAGGUACCACAUUAAACAUUUUCAAAGUACAUGUACCAUAAUAAUAACACAUACUGAUAGUACCACAUUAUAUAUUUUCAAAGUACUUGUACCACUAGACAUUUUAUGAAAGUACAGAUAUCAAAGGUGACAUUAUCCCUACUUAUAAUAAUAAUAUCAAAGUUAAAAGAUGCUUUUAGUCCCUAUAUUUAAAAGGUUAGAAAUUAAGUCUUCCGACUUUUUUAUUUAAAAAUCUCGGUACAAUCAUUAAACUCGUAAGUAUUUUCUGUCAAAAUUUAGUAAUUUAACAUGUUGAUUAAGCUAACGGAAACUACAACCAACAUAAAUAAUUAAACUAAUAUUUUUAAAUUAAGAAAAAUUAACUUUUAAAGUACAGGACUAAAACUCAAAUUCUAUAAACCAUUGUUGUUUUAUGCAUGUCGUGAAUGUACGGAAUUUGCUUUCAAUUCUGAAAAAAGCUUGUUACUUUCUAUUUGGUUUUCUCUGAUUUUCUCUUUACAUCAUUUCAUUUCAUGCUUUUUAAUUAGGAGGUUACGAUUGAUUUUAGGUGGUGUGAAUUUGGGUCGGGUCAAUUUUAAUUUAAAAAUUUUCGGGUUAUUUCGAGUUUAUAUUACAUAAAAUUUAGGUUAUUUUAGGAUUAAAUUAUUUUGGAUUUGAGUCGGUGUAAGGUUUUUUUUUUUUCAUAGUUUAGUUCAUUUGCUUUGUGUUUUUGGAUUGCAUCAUUUCGAGUUUUGCCAUUCGGGUUUGAUCACUAAAUCAAAUCAUUUCAAGAUCAUGUCAUUUUGGAUUCAAAUUAUCAAUUUUUUAUAAUCAAAUUGAGUUGAGUUAAGUUUAAAUUCAAAUUAAUUAAGUUGUAUUUUUAUGAUUCUGAUAUAAUGGACAUGUUUUAUCGAUUCAAUUUUACUAUUUAUAAAACCUAUGUUUCUCAAAAUACUUUUUUUCAAAUUAAAAUUUAUUAAUUAUUUAAAUUAAGAUGUUAUUCUUUUUAUUCUUUAUAUAUGUUUUACAGUCUGUGUUCGAGAUCCGUGAAUACCCCACACAACAUUGUUAUCUCCAACGAAUACGCAUUCUCUCCUUCAGAAUGUAAUAUGCCUUGCCACUACGCCAAACACUUGUUGGUAUCUAAAAUGGAUAAAAAAAACACAUUUCUCGUCCCUCUCAAUUUCUAUAUUGAACAAAUUGGUUCCUCUCAGAAAAUUAGAGCAAUUUAAUCAUUAUCAAUUUUGAAAGGGAGCAACUAAGGACAAUUAAUCAUUGUGUUAAUGCUUUCUAUAAAUUGUACAUAAUUUUUAUUGAUAUAAUAACAAAUUAAGCUCUCGAUGUUUAUAUAUUAUGUGUAAAUGUUAAUAGAAUAUGUAAUUGUUGCGGGCUAAAUUUGUUAAAUCAAGACCAAAUUGGCAGAAUGUGUAAACUUUGAGAGCUAAAUUUGUUAUUAUACCAAUAAAAAUAUGUACAAUUGAUGGAAAAUAUUGACAUUGUGAUUAAUUGUCCUUAGCUACUCACUUUCGAAAUUAACAAAGAUUAAAUUGCUUUGAUUUUUUUUAAAUGGACCAAUUUACUUAAUAUCAAAAUUGAGAGCGACUAACGAGGGUUUUUACCAUCUAAAAUCUUAUCUAAUACAAGAAAAACUUAACAACUAUUUUUUUAAUCAUGAAAGGGUAAACUACAUAAUUAGCCACUGAACUAUGGGUAAAUCUUCGUUUUGGUCACUUAACUAAAAAAGUUACAAUUUGGUCACCCUAUUGUUAAAUGACACUUUGUAGUUGCUAUAAUAACAAUUUUACUAUUUUGUUAUAUAAUUUUUUUUGCCAAUCUACCUCGAUUCUAUAUAAAAAUUAUAAAAAGAAACUCAAAAUUAUUUUAAAAAAUAUAAACUUCUAUAUAAAAAUUCUAGAAAAAUAAAAUCUCGAAUAUGUUGUUGUUGAAGAACUAAAAUGUAUGGGAAAUAAAAAAAAAUUAUCAUUCAAUAGAAUCCCAUAACAAAUUAAAAACAGAACAAAACAAAAAAAAAAGGGUUAGAUCAUUAUAUGCUUCCUCAAUGUUUUUUGCAACCAAAUUAGUAAAAUUUUCAAGUUGAGUUCCAUGCCCUUGAAGAACAUCUGUAACUGAUAUUACAAAAGCUUACGAAAUCGACUUUGAUGCCAUUUUUCUAGCAAAAAUAUAAAAUAUACCUCAAAAUUUUCUUUUUCAAACUCAAUUUGAAUUUUCAAUUCAUUUAAAUUUAUUUUUAAAAACCCAAAUUAUAAAAGCAGAUUAUAUACAGAUAAUUUUACUUAAUCUUUUUUUUACUUUUUUCUAUGUUUUCUAAAAGAAUGGAUAUUAGAUAUUUCUUUACAGAUAAUACAAAGAAAAUUUGUAGGGUUUAAAAAUGAUAUUUCCCUCAUUUUCUCUCACUUUAUUUAUAUUUGAAAUUCUUAUCUACUUUCAUUUAAUUUUUAAUUUUUAUAAUUUUGUAAAAUUUAAAAAGAAUUUCAUUUUUGUAAUCAUUUUAUAUAAUCAGAGUUAAAUUGACAAAAAGUAUAAAAAUUGAGGACUAAAAUUAUUAUUAUUCCAACAAAAAAGUGUCACUUAAUAGUCAGGUGACCAAAAAAGUUGUAAACUAUAAAAAUAGUCACCCAACUAUUAAAUUUUCCAAUUAGUUGCUAAACUUUUUGAAAUUAAAUAUUUUAAUCACUCUCCCUUUAGUUGUCGUUAGAUGAGUGACGGAAAGCUGAUGUGGGUUUUUUUUUAUCUAAUAACGAAUUUAACCUCUAAUAUUUACACAUUCUAUCAAUUUGAUCUUAAAUAUAAAAAAUUCAACAAAUUUAGCGCUUUUUACAAAAUUUGUCAUUUUAGUUCGAAUUCUGAAAAAAAAAAUUCAAUAAAGUUAGCCCUUAACAUUUACAAAAUUUGUCUAAUUCUAAUUCUAAAUUUUUAAUAAAAAUAAAAAUAUUUUAAAAAAAAUUAUUUUUAACCCUUUUUACUCACCCUUUGAUUGUGGCACCCACAUAGAAUCUUCGAAGCUAAUAAGCAUAAACCUAAAUUGAAGUUAAAAAGUAAACUAAAAUUGGUGAAAUCACCUUAACUCAAAGAAGAAAAUAAUCGCUGACAUGGUAGCGCCAUGCCAUCGCCCAUUGAUGACAUAUUAACCUUUGAGUUAAACUCAAAUUACUCUUUCUUUUAUUAUAAAUUAAGAGUAUAACUAAUUUUGAUAAGAAUGAUUACUUUUCAUUAACUCAGUUUAAAGGACUAUAACACGUAAAAUUUGGUCUAUUGCAGAAUUCACAUGCAAUGCGGGACAUUUACAUUAUGCAGAAUUCAACACAUAUAUGGGAAUUUUUGUAUUUCCACAAUCAUCAUGUUGUUAGUGAUCAACAACUAUUUCCUUUUUACCAUAUGUUUUUCAUUCAUAAAAUUAAUUCCUUUUUUUUUACCAAAGAAGUAAAAUAAUUAACAUUUCAUGAGAUUACAAAGUCUUCUUCCUUAUAACACGUUAAGUUUGGUCCCAAAUAAUUUUCCACACAAAAGAAUAAAGACUAUCAAUUGUCUAUUGACUUCACACUUGCUGUUGCUUCCUCCUAAAAUUAUCUCAUCGUCAAUGAAGCUACGUGCCUAAAAGCCAUGUAGGAUACCAAUUCCUGUAAUUGUAUUAAUCUCAUCGUUGCUGCAAUCUUUUGACUGUGUAAUCCAAUCUUAAAUAUGUUACUCUGCAAUGCUAUUGUAAAUAUUACUCUUAAAUUAAUAUUUGAACAUCUGCAACAUAAAUGCAUAUGGCAAAAGGGCUCAAACCAUACCUUACGUUCAUAAAUUCUCAUCGCCACGUGUUUAUAAAUGCAACUCAAACUUGAAUAAUUGAAUCUUUUGUAAUUCUACAUGUAUCCUUUUUUAUGGUGAGCAGUACAAUGUUUACUAAAAAUUGAAAUUCAAGAAAGAAGACACACAUAGUUGCACCAUACAAGAUGUUACACUCGAACUAAACCCUUACAAAUAGUACGAAAUGCAAUGAAAUACAGAGGAAUUGGUACAAUCAUAAAAACAGACACAUACCAAUGCAACUUUUCACCAUAGGAAAAACUUUCUGACAGACUACUAAACAAGAAAUUAUGAAGACACAGCACAAAUGCUUUAACUUCAUUUGCACCAACCAGAUCCUUCUUCAUCCACUGAUGCUUUAACUUACUCUGAGUAUUGAUACCCGGGCCGAAGUAUCCAUACCAAAUCCUUUUUACCAUAUAUUUUUCAUUCACAAAAUUGGAUACAUUUUUUUUCCAAAAUUUUGUAUUUCAUUUGAACUCCCUAAACAACUGAGAAAAUUAAGAUUGAUGAGAUUACAAAGUAGAUUGACUUAAUCUUCUUCCUCAUAAUACGUAAACAAUGUGGGUGUCUAUUUACUUAGUAUGUAUGGCUGUCAAGCAAUGUAGANNNNNNNNNNNNNNNNNNNNNNNNNNNNNNNNNNNNNNNNNNNNNNNNNNNNNNNNNNNNNNNNNNNNNNNNNNNNNNNNNNNNNNNNNNNNNNNNNNNNNNNNNNNNNNNNNNNNNNNNNNNNNNNNNNNNNNNNNNNNNNNNNNNNNNNNNNNNNNNNNNNNNNNNNNNNNNNNNNNNNNNNNNNNNNNNNNNNNNNNNNNNNNNNNNNNNNNNNNNNNNNNNNNNNNNNNNNNNNNNNNNNNNNNNNNNNNNNNNNNNNNNNNNNNNNNNNNNNNNNNNNNNNNNNNNNNNNNNNNNNNNNNNNNNNNNNNNNNNNNNNNNNNNNNNNNNNNNNNNNNNNNNNNNNNNNNNNNNNNNNNNNNNNNNNNNNNNNNNNNNNNNNNNNNNNNNNNNNNNNNNNNNNNNNNNNNNNNNNNNNNNNNNNNNNNNNNNNNNNNNNNNNNNNNNNNNNNNNNNNNNNNNNNNNNNNNNNNNNNNNNNNNNNNNNNNNNNNNNNNACUAGAUCUUUCCACUAACUAACCUUAAUGGUAGUAUCCCAUAUCAGUUAUUUGGUGCUUUUGAAAGACUGAUUUAUCUUAAUUUGUCUCACAACUCUUUCACUGGUUCCCUUCCUUCAGAUAUGAGAAAUAUGAAGAAUCUUGUCGAGUUUUACGUUCAUAAUAACAAUUUCCAUGGUGAAAUUCCCAUGACACUUGGGGAGAGUUUAGAACUUACAACUCUCUUCAUGCAAAAAAACUCAUUCCAUGGUACCAUCCCUCAAUCUUUUGCCUCCUUGAGAUCUCUUGAGAACUUAGAUCUUUCAAAUAACAAUUUGUCUGGCACCAUACCACCUGAACUUCAAAAACUUCCUUUUCUAGUGAGAUUAAACCUUUCUUUUAAUCAACUAGAGGGUGAAGUGACAAAAAAGGAGUUUUCAAAAAUGCCACUGGAUUUUCUUUCUUCGGAAAUAAAAACCUUUGUGGGGGAAUUCCAAAAAUACAGCUUCCCAAGUGCUUCAGUGAGAAACCAAAGGAAAAGGGAAAGGUUUUAUCAACCAAAACCGUUAUUGCUAUUAUCACCAGCAUUCUUCUUGGCUCUAUUUUGGUUGUUCUUCUUGUUUAUCAUUCCUUGAGACACAAGGCAAGAAGGGGAACAUUUAUGCCAUCAUCUUUGUUCGACAAUGGCUACUUGCGUUUAUCCUACAAAGAGCUUCUUGAAUGCACCCAUGGUUUUGCUUCCUCUAACUUGAUUGGAACUGGAAGUUUUGGCUCUGUAUAUAAAGGAGUUCUUUAUCAACAUGAAAAGCCUCUUGCUGUCAAGGUACUUAACCUUCGAAACCAUGGGGCUGCAAUAAGUUUCAUUGCAGAAUGCAAGGCUUUAAGGAAAAUUCGACAUUGGAAUCUUCUCAAAAUUAUAACUUCUUGCUCAAGCAUUGAUUAUCAAGGCAAUGAAUUCAAGGCUUUAGUUUUUGAAUUCAUGCCUAAUGGGAGUUUAGAAAGCUGGUUACAUGAGCAACAUGAUCAGUCAAGGUAUUUGAACUUUGCUCAAAGAUUAGACAUUGCUAUUGACAUGGCCAAUGCUAUAGAUUAUCUUCAUCAUGAUUGCGAGACGAUGGUUGUUCAUUGCGAUCUGAAGCCUUCCAAUGUCCUUCUUGACGAUGACAUGGUUGCACACGUCGCCGAUUUUGGAUUGGCAAAGCUCUUGUCUACCGUCACAAGCAAUAUUAGAAGCGAUCAAACAAGUUCCUCAGUGAUCAAGGGAACAAUUGGCUACGUUGCCCCGGGUAAAGUCUCUAACAUCGAAUCAAGGGAGAAACCAAAUGAUUUCUAUUAAAGAUUUUUAAAUUUUUUACGCAAUAUUAUUGCAGAAUAUGGCAUGGGUGGAUCAGUCUCUCCAGAAGGUGAUAUCUAUAGCUACGGCAUUAUGCUUUUAGAAAUGAUAACCGGAAGGAGACCGACAUGUGAUUUGUUUCAUGAUGGCUUAAGCCUUCAUAAUUUCUGCAAAAUGGCACUACAAGAAGGCUUGAAGGAGAUUUUUGAUGUUCGUUUAGUUGAAGAAAUUGGUGUAAACAAGAAGAGAAUAAGAAAUAAGCCAAACAUGGAAUCUGAGAUAUGGGAAUGCUUUGUUUCUUUCACUAAAAUUGGAGUUUCAUGCUCCACUGAAGUGGCUACUGAUAGAUUGAGAAUUAGAGAUGCCAUCAUUGAACUUCAUGCAACCAAAGCAAGGUUGCUUCGAACCGGGUUUUAUAGAAGGGACAAUAAAUAGGUUGCAAAAGCUGGUGAAAUGAAAUAGAGUAGAGUUUUGAAUUUUGCUGGGUGAAUUUGAUUUUGGGUACAACCAAUCCGAAAUGGUCAGUUCAGGUUUUGGAAUUUGUGGGUCAUAGUGAGUUAAUUUUAAAUUUCCAAUGGUUUUCGAUUUGAGUUAGUUUCGUGUUAGUGUGGUUUUUACUUUAAGUUUAAAAUUUUUAAAAAAAUGUUAUUGUUGCGCGGAAGCGUGUAAAAGAGUAAAGUUAUUGUACUAAAAAAUCACACUAAGUUCAAUUCCCAGGAAAGAGAGGUGGAUCACGAGGAUCGCUUAAGUACCAAAUCUUUCCUAGCCAGAAUAUCCCUCUAUAGUAAUUUAAUAGCACAAUAAAUCACUACAAUCACACUCGUAAAGUAUGCAAAAUAAACAAUAAAGAACACAAGAAUUUUAACGAGGUUCAGCAAAUUUUGCCUACGUCCUCAGGCACUACCAAAUAUAUUUCACUCUAAAAUACAAGUGAAAAUUUACAAAUAAGGAGAGAGAAGAAUGCCUUAAGUAGAGAAUGGCAUUUUUGUGGGAUGUAGAAAAUGAGAAAUAGCAAGGCCUAUUUAUAGUUGAAACUCAAGAAUCAACUUGCAAAGUCCCUAUUCAAUUAAGGACCAAAAUUGCAAUUAUCCCAAGCUAAAUUUCAACCCAAAAAUCUAUGCCUUAAAUGCUUAGAUUUUCGGUGCCAAAUUUCUGACACCAUUCAUCUUUGAAAAGUCAAAGAUUGCAUGCUUGCCAAUAAUCUCCACCUUGAAGAUUUGAUUAGGAUAAUCUUAUCUUCACACAAUUCUUUCUGCCUUCGACAACAAUACUUGAUAGUGCCUUCUUCAAUUGUUAAACUUGCAGAAUAUUGAUCAAGUUCGAACAAUGUUCGAACUUGAUUGUUGUUACCACCUUGGUCAUCAUAUCUGCGGGAUUAUCUGCAGUCUUGAUAUUCUGAAGAUGAAUUUUCCCCUCGUCAAUAAUUUCCCGCACAAAAUGGAAACGUACGUCGAUAUGCUUUGUACGUGCAUGAUAGACUUGAUUGUUUGCUAAAUGAAUAGCACUUUGACUAUCACAAUACACGUUAAUAUGCUCCUGAACCAAUCCCAAGGUUUUAACCAUACCUUGUAACCAAAUAGCUUCCUUUACAGCCUCUGUUACAGCCAUGUAUUCGGCUUCUGUGGUUGACAACACAACUGUAGACUGUAGUGUAGACUUCCAACUUAUUAGUCCUCCAGCAAGUGUAAACACAUAACCAGUGGUUGAUCUUCGUUUGUCCAAAUCACCGGCAUAGUCAGAAUCAACGUACCCAAUAACACCUUUACCAAGUGCAGUAUCCUGCUUGAACAAUAAUCCAACAUCCACAGUCUUCAGAAUAUACCAUAGAAUCCAUUUCACAGCUUGCCAAUGUCCUUUCCCAGGAUUAUGCAUAUACCUGCUCACUAUACUAACUGCCUGUGAAAUGUCGAGUCUUGUACACACCAUUGCAUACAUCAAGCUACCCACUGCAUUAGAAUAUAGAACUUGUAACAUGUAUUCUUGUUUCGUAUUCGUCGAAGGAGAUAGUUGUGCAGAAAGCUUAAAAUGAGAAGCCAACGGAGUACUUACAGGUUUUGUCUGCUCGUUCAUGCCAAACUGCUGUAGUACUUUCUUCAAAUACUGCUUCUGAGACAAACUGCUUCUGAGACAAACUAACUCUGCCUUGAGCUCUAUCUCUACAUAUUUCCAUGCCAAGAAUCUUCUUAGCUUCACCAAGAUCUUUCAUCUCAAACUCAAGAUUGAGUUGAGUUUUCAAUCUCUCAAUCUCAACUUUGCUCUUAGAUGCUAUCAGCAUAUCAUCAACAUAUAAGAGCAAGUAUAUGAAAGUUCCUACUUGUAGCUUCUGAAAAUACACGCAAUGAUCAAAUUUACUUCUUGUGUACCUUUGCCCUUUCAUGAACUGAUCAAAUCGCUUGUACCACUGCCUCAGAGAUUGUUUCAAUCCAUAAAGCGACUUUGUCAGUUUGCAAACCCAAUUUUCUUUAUCAGCAACCUUGAAUCCAUCAGGCUGAGUCAUAUAGAUUUCCUCUUCCAAAUCACCGUGUAAAAAAACCGUCUUCACAUCAAGCUGAACUAGUUCAAGGUCAUAUUGCGCAACCAAGGCUAGCAAAAUCCGAAUAGACGAAUGCUUCACAACUGGAGAAAACACUUCAUUGUAGUCUAUUCCUUCUUUCUGAGCGUAACCCUUUGCUACCAAUCUAGCCUUGUAUCGAAUUUCAUUUUUACCAGGAAAUCAUUCCUUCUUUGCAUAUACCCAUUUGCAUCCAAUUGCCUUCUUUCCCUUGGGUAGUGUCACCAACUCUUAAGUCCUAUUUUUAUGAAGAGACUGCAUUUCUUCAUUCAUAGCUUGCUUCCACUUUACACCAUCAGGGUUACUUAUUGCUUCUGUGUAAGUAGAAGGAACAUCAUCAUCUGCAAUUGGAAGUGCAUAGGCCACUAUUUCAUCAAAGCGAGCAGGCUUACGAAUCUCUCUUCUUGGCCUCCUAUAUGCAAUUGAAUCUUGUUGCUGUUGAAGUUCUUGGGUCAAAACUUCUUCAUCAUUUGUUUCUUCAAUAUUAGAUGAAUCAUCAUUAACCUUUUCAAGCUCCACCUGCUGCAAAGUGCCACUGGUUUUGUCAUCCUUUUGUGAAUCCUUGUUCUUCAUCAAAAGUCACAUCUCUACUGAAAAUAAUCUUCCUUGUAUCAGGACACCAGAGACGGUAUCCUUUUACUCCACCAGUUAUACCCAUGAAUAAAGCCUUCUUUGCUCUUGGGUCUAACUUAGAUUCUUUUACAUGAUAAUAUGCAGUGGAACCAAAAACAUGUAAAGAAUCAUAAUCAGUAGCAGGUUUACCAGUCCACAUCUCCGUAGGAGUUUUUCCAUUUAUUGUAGCUGAUGGCAACCGGUUAAUCAGAUGGCACGCAUAUGUAACUGCCUCAGCCCAAAAUUCCUUGCCCAAUCCAGCAUUGGACAACAUACAUCAAACUUUCUCCAGUAUAGUCCGAUUCAUACGUUCUGCCACCCCAUUCUGCUGUGGCGUAUCCCAGACAGUGAAGUGUCACACAAUGCCCUCAUCUCGACAUACUUGAAGAAAUGGGUCAUUUUUGUACUCAGUACCAUUAUCUGAUCGAAGUCGUUUGACCUUUCGACCAGUCUGAAUCUCCACCAUCUUCUUCCACUUCAGAAAUGUAUCCAAAACUUCACUUUUUAUUUUCAUUAGAUACACCCAUACUUUUCUUGAAUAAUCAUCAACAAAAGUAACCAAAUAGUGCAUACCUCCCAAAGAAGCCACUUUGGUAGGUCCCCACACGUCACUGUGAACGUAGUCCAGAAUUCCUUUCGUACUGUGAAUUGCUGAACCAAAUUUUACCCUCGUCUGCUUGCCCAGAACACAAUGCUCACAGAAUUCCAAUUUGCAAGAAUUUACACCUUUCAAUGAGCCUUGCUUCGCCAAAGUCUGCAAAGCUUUUUCACCAGCAUGUCCCAAUCGCCUAUGCCAUAACCUGGUAGCCUCUGAAUAUGCAUCUUUCACAGAAGCUGUUGAUGUUGAUCCAAUAACUAUACUUCCAUUUAAAUAGUACAAGUUAUUUCUUCUAGUGCCUUUUAUCACCGUCAAUACCCCAGCUACAACCUUUAGUAAUCCAUCUCUCAAAGUGAUUGUGAGCCCUUUAAAUUCUAGGGCCCCUAAUGAGAUGAGAUUUUUCUUCAAGCUAGGUACAUAGUGAAAAUCUGUCAAGACUUGGAUUGAGCCAUCGUGAUUCUUCAAUUUGAUUGUACCUACUCCCAUUGUCUUACAAGCACUGUCAUUGCCCAUGAAAACAACUCCACAUUCUAGUUCUUCAAGACUAGAAAACCAGUCCUUAUUAGGACACAUAUGGUAAGUACAUCCCGAAUCCAAAAUCCACUCAUCCGUAUGACAUGUAAUUGCCAUGCCAACCAAGCUAAAGUCUGACUCCUCAUCAUGCUCCGCUACACAUGCAUCAGAAAUAGCCUUGCCCUUUUGUAACUUAGGACAAUUCUUUUUCCAAUACCCUUUCUCACGACAAAAAGCACAUUCAUCUUUGGCGGGUCUCCCUUUGGACUUGCCCCUUCUACCAGGUUUGUUGCUCUGUGAACGACCUCUUACUGUUAAGACUUCUGCAGUUGUAUCUCUGUGAUCUCUUUUAUCUUUCUUUCGAGUCUCAGAUCUGUACAACGCACUGCAGACUGCAUCAAAUGUGAUCGUAUCCUUCCCAUGAAGCAAUGUGGUGGUAAGAUGAUCAUAUUCAUCGGGAAGAGAAUUCAACAACAAUAAUGCCUUGUCUUCAUCUUCAAACUUCUCAUCCAAAUUUAGCAAGUCUGCUAAAAUUUUAUUGAAUGAGUUCACAUAGUCAUUCAUCGACAUACCGGGUGCAUACGUGAACCGAAAAAGUUUCUUUUUCAUAUAAAGCCUAUUUUCAAGACUUUUCAUUAGAAACUUUUCUUCCAACGUAUCCCACAACUUCUUCGCUGAUGUCUCCCUCAUGACAGAGUACUUCUGCUCUUUGGCCAAACAUAGGCGGAUUGUACCACACGUCUGUCUAUUGAUCUUGGCCCACUCCUUGUCAUCCAUCUUGUCAGGUUUUUCUUCAAGAGCUAUAUCCAACUCUUGCUGACAUAAGACAUCCAGGAUCUCACAUUGCCACAUACCAAAAUUAUUGGUACCAUCAAAUUUCUCUACUUCAAAUUUUGCAUUGGUCACGGUAGUCUUUGUUGAUGACGACGCCUCUGCCAUUCUUCUCCUCGAUCCCAACUACUGUAUACGUGAACAGUACCGUCGAUGUGAAUAGUACUGUGGAUGAACAAUACCGUAUACGUAAAUAGUAUCGUAAACAGUCGUAUUCCCCAAGUACGAAUCUAGCUCGGAUACCAAUUGUUGCGCGGAAGCGUGUAAAAGAGUAAAAUUAUUGUACUAAAAAAUAACACUAAGUUCAAUUCCCAGGAAAGAGAGGUGGAUCACGAGGAUCGCUUAAGUACCAAAUCUUUCCUAGCCAGAAUAUCCCUCUAUAGUAAUUUAAUAGCACAAUAAAUCACUACAAUCACACUCGCAAAAUACGCAAAAUAAACAAUAAAGAACACAAGAAUUUUAACGAGGUUCAGCAAAUUUUGCCUACGUCCUCGGGCACUACCAAAUAUAUUUCACUCCAAAAUACAAGUGAAAAUUUACAAAAAAGGAGAGAGAAGAAUGCCUUAAGUAGAGAAUGGCAUUUUUGUGGGAUGUAGAAAAUGAGAAAUAGCAAGGCCUAUUUAUAGUUGAAGCUCAAGGAUCAACUUGCAAAGUCCCUAUUCAAUUAAGGACCAAAAUUGCAAUUAUCCCAAGCUAAAUUUCAACCCAAAAAUCUAUGCCUUAAAUGCUUAGAUUUUCGAUGCCAAAUUUCUGACACCAUUCAUCUUUGAAAAGUCAAAGAUUGCAUGCUUGCCAAUAGUUAUUCAAUGCUUUGCCUUCACUAUGUAUUAAUAAUUGAGAUAUUUCAACUUUACCCUGCAUUUUCUCAAACCAUUCAACUACUAUUCUAAUCUUCAAAAACAAAAGCAUUGCAACUCCUCCAUAAAAACUAGCAAACAAUAGGAAACAAGGAGCACCAAUUGGUUCCCUCAAUUAUGAAAUCUCCACUGUUGUUUAAGUUCCACGUUAGCCAUUCCUUUAAUUGUAUUGUGAAGAACGUGGAACUCUCCACAUUUUGAACAAUUGUCUUCCAUAUGUUUUGAACAAUUGUCUUCCAUAUUCUAACUUUUUCUUGUUUUGGCUUCUCAUUUUUAUUUGUUGUCUAUUUUUACUUCUUUUGAAUCAAUUAUUUUUUGUUUAAAUUGAUUCUUCUCUAUUUUGAACCGAUUGUUUUUUUAUUUGAAUUGAUUCAUCUUGGUUUAAAUCGAUUCUUUGUGGAUUAACUCAAUUCAAAUCUCAACUAAUGGUAUCGAAAGCCUGUCAUAUUUGAGGGCCUUUGUUCUUUGUUGUUUGUAAAGAAAGAAGGAAAGAAAGAGAAGUUGUUUUGUUGUUGUAAAACAUGAGUUUUUCACCACCACUUGUAUUUGGUGGUGAAAACUAUCAUAUAUGAGUAGUGAAAAUGAAGAUAUAUCUGCAAACUCAUGAUUUGUGGGAUGUGACUGAGACAGAUAGAGAGUCACCUCUAUUGAGAGCUAAUUGCUCAAAUUAGACAAUAUAGUAAUGAUUGGCGUAAUAUUUCAAAAUAGUCACCAUCGUUAAAAUUCUUGUACGAAAUUCACUGAUAUGAAAUUUUGAAAUAAAAAGAAAUUACACUUGGUAGUCAUGUAAUAAUAAAAAUAAUGUUGAAUCAAAUUAUGAAAGUAGAUGAAUCAAAUUAAAUAACAAAACUAAAGUAUAUAGAUUAAAUCUUAAGUUUUAACAUAGUAGAAGGUCAAAAUUGAAAUUUGAACAUUAAAAAAAAAAAGGCAACUCCUACCCUCAAAAAAUAUGUCACGUUGGGUAGUUAAUAACAUUAAAAAUUAGAGGGGCUAAAUUAUAUUAAAAAUUAAAAUAUAUAGAUUAAAUUUUAAAUUUAAACGUAUCAAAAGGACCUAAAUUAAAACUUAACCUUUUUUAUGAAUUGCAAAAACAAAAAAGCGGGUGGGGGAGAAAGGGAACAUGCGGGUGGGUUGUUAGAACAAUUGUUUAGUAACAAGGAAAGCACUUAGUGUGUGUUUGAUGAGGUGGAAAAUAAAACAAAUUUUCAGGAUGUUUGGUUGAGAAAAAAAAAAGAGAAUUAAUUAUUUUUUAUUUUAAUGCAUAAAAAUUAAUUCUUUAAAAUUGAAAUGAUGAAUAGAGAGAAAAUGAGAGCAAUGAUGGAUCAUGGUAUCGAGUUUGGAGGAUAGUACAUUUAAAAAAAAGGAAUUUAAUGAGAAUAAAAAAAAUUGGGUGACUAAUUAAAAUUUUAAAAUUUUUUGUGAGAUUAAUGAAAAUUUUCAAAAAAAAAAUUAAGAGAGUUUAAUUAAAAUUUUUAAAAAUAUAUAAUUAAAAGGUAUAAUGUGAAUUUUAAAAAUUUGAGGGGUUUAAUUAAAAUUUUUAAAAAAUUUUGAUGAGUGCUUAAUUUCUCUAAUAUUUCUCCUAUUGAAUUAUGCUAUUUAUGUUCUUAAAUCUUAUUUAUACUUAAACUUUAUUUAUUAUGUAUUUAGGGAAUAAUCGGAGAAAAGUGAUGUUAAAGUUUAUUUUUAAAAAGUUUUCUGCGAUUUAGAUUUUUAAUAGAAUGUAGCUUGAGUAUUUUUGACAUAACUUGAGCUGUAGACUUCUAUUUUGGACCCAUAAUAUGCUGAUUCGAAGGAAAUUGAAAGAUCUAGGUAAAGUUCUUUAUGGAAGAAGCCGAAAAACAUCAAGAAGGAACCUAAAAAUGGCCUGAAAGUUUGACAUGAAAAUUACCAAACAAUCUAGAAGAAUUCUGUUUUAUUUAAUAAGGGCAUUUUUGUAUUUUCUCCAUUAUAUUAUUUUUUUUCCCUAUAACUAUACAAUCUUAAGUUAAGAUUUGGGGGACUUAGACUUAGUCAUUCUUAAUUUUUUUUUAUUUUAUUUUAUGAGUUUCUAAACCCACUUUUCUAGUCAAAGGUUAUAUCAAAGUUUGGAGAUAUAAGUUCAAACCUUGGAGACAACAUUAUUGGGAGGGGCAACCAUGAACCCCAAAUAUGGACCAUAAAAUGGACAUGAAGAAUAACAAAAAAAAAAGGUUUGACUUAAUAAAUUCGUGAGACUUAUUUGUGUUUUAAUUCUUCUUUGUUCUUUAGUAUUCAUGCAUCUUUAGUUUUAAUUUCAAUUGCUCAAGUUUAUUGAAUGUCCAACCAGUAUUUGAUAGCUUACAAUGAUUGUCGAGUCAAUUUGGAUAAUUAAAUUCUAAUUUUAUCUAAUACCAGUGACAAAUUGUAUAACUCGUUUAUAUCAUAGUUUACGUUUAUGUAGUGUGGAUGUGUGAUAUAGCUUAAAUAAACUCUAUUGAGGUGAGUUUGUUGGUUAGAAUUAUGUCUCUCUCAUUCUUAAUGCUAUCGGUAGGUUAAGCUUUAGGCGUUGAGUUACAAGAUUAUUUAUUAGUUAGAGAAGUAAUUUCAAAUGAGCUGCCUCUUAGAUAUCGAAUAGGGUAAGGAGAAAUUAGUUGUUCGACACUGAGUCAACAUCUGACACUUAGUUAACCUUUGACUAGACCUUUUUCCCAUUGGUUUUUCUAAAACUUUUAAUUAAUUGUUACUUUCAAUUGAAGCCUUAAAUUUAAAUUUAGUUUUUGAUUUAAUAAAAUCCCCUUCCAUUUUACUUUUAUUGUUUUGUUUGAAGAAAUAAAUUUAUUAUCAACCUCUAUGGAUGUUGCUUUCUACUAAUCUCAUACUUUUAGGUAGGUUUUUAUUUUUGUAGGUCUUGACAGCCUAACAAAUUUUAAGGGAGAAAUUAAAAUUUCCCAAAUUUAUUUUGGCUAUCACAACGGUCUGCCUCAGAACAAAUGAAAGAUUUAUAUGUUAGUUCAAAAUUAUAUAUUUUUCAAAUAUUUUAUUUUCUUUACUUUCAAUUUUUUACUUUACCAACCACACCUAUAAAAAAAAAUUAUGUUAUCCUUUUAAAUUUUUACUCCAAAUUUUCAAUUUUCUUUCCACUCUACCAAACAAAAUCUUAAAGCUACCCUAGGUUCUGCACAAUAUGGAGGAUGGAAAAGAAUGACAUAAUUUGCGAUUGUUCAAAUACAUGAGCAACGUAUAACUAAGAGAAAUAGAAGCUUAAUUUAGUAAAAGCAGAACCAAACAUAAGAUCACACACAAAUAUGCUUUGUUAAUUAAAAUCAGAAGCAGCACAAGAAUCAUGGCGUGCGGUCAUUCUAUGCAUUCUCGCUUGAACUGUAGAAGGGAUAUUAUGUUUUUACGUUAAACCAAGCAUUAAACAAUAAUAUGAAUAAAGUCUAUACCAUCCAGCAGCAGUUUGCAACACAGUCCAUCAGUCAUAGAACAAGCACUUCAGAGCAAGGCUCAAAAACCUCUCAUUGAUUAGAAACAACAAUAGUUAAAUCACAGUUAACAUUUAAGUAUGGCUAAGAAAUCAAGAACAGAGCCAUGUUAUUUGCUUGAUUUACAUAGCCCACUUAUUCAUUACCUGUCAGCAAGCACAUAACCUUGCAAAUAAUCAAUAAAGAAUAAUAUUUUCUCAAGUUUCAUUAACUUGCUUUAGUUUUUUCAGACCUUCAACAUUUCCAACAAAAGUUCAGACAACUGCCUGAGAACAAUCCCAAUUCCAUAGCCAUUAAUCCUAACUCUUGUAAGAUCGCAGAAGUUUUAAUCUAAGCAAAACAAGAAAUUCCAGCUCACAAAAAAAUUGUACAAUAUCCUUUGCCCUGUGUGUGGAAACUGCUUACUUCAAAGCAUCAACAAUUAAUACAUAACCUUGGCCUUCUAACCCAGGUUUUCUACUCUUGAAUCUGCCAAGCCAACAAAUAAAAAAAUAAAAAAACAAGUUAAAAGAUAUCCUCACAAGUCAUAACCUGUCUACAAAACAAAGUCACAAUAAGCCUAUCAUAUUGUCCACUGUGCAAAGCUAACAACUAUUCUAUUAUAAGGAUUUGAUGAAUUACUAAAAAAAAUAAAAUAAAGUCAAAUUAGAAUAAAAUUAACAUUUAUUAUUUCAAUUUAAAAAAAAUCAUUUAUUAUUUCAAAAAUAAAUCAAUUUAAUUUUUGUAUUAUUAAAAAGAAUAGAACAAAGUCAAAUUAGAAUAAAAUUAACAUUUAUUAUUUCAAUAUAAAAAAAACAUUUGUUGAAUAGGUAAUUUUGGACGCAUACUAUAUACAUUCCAUUCUCAUCAUGGGGAAAUAAUUUUGGAAGUUUUUCCAAUGUUAGGGUUGUCGAUAAACAUUUAUCAGUAAUAUGAUUCCACAACACUUAGUCAUAGUUUCCAAGGUCCGAAUUAAUGAGUUAAAAGCAUCUUGGAGGCUCCUAUACUAAGAGUUAGACUGCAUUUUGCCUCCUUUAAUCAAAAAAUGAGCAAACUAGUCCUUGAACAUUAUAUUAAAGAGAAAAUUGGUCCUUUUUGUUAAAAAAUUCAUCCAUUUGUACUGUUAAAAACUAGUGUGAUUGAAGAAAUAACUAGACAAUAACAUGUGACGUGCUAUGUGUACCUCAUGUUAACAUUCAGGGACCAAUUUUUAAUGGUAGAAAUGGAAGAAAUUUUUAAUAGAAUCGACAACCAUGUUUUUACCUGCAUUUAGUUGAUAUAUUGAAAAUCUUCAUUUUCCAUUUUGCAUUCAUGUCCCGUUUGGGUAUGGAUAUAAAAAUAUGGUACUCCAAAUAUAUGAAAAAACCUUUAAAAAAUUAAAUAAACUCGUGUUAGACACAAAUUAUAUCAGACAUUUGAUCAAAAAAAUCUUAGCAACAUAGGCCUCCACCUAUUGAUUUAUGUAACAUGGCUUUGAAAGAUGCCCUAAAAUCAUCCGUUCUUUCAUGUAACGUGUGGCAGUUGACUCCCAACCCACCUCCAGUUCCAAUUUAUUUUCUUGCUGAAAAUUGGAUUUCGGAUCGCAUCUUGCUCAACCGAUUGGGGUGUCUUUAAAAAACAAUUGAAGAAAAAUUAAAACUGAAAUUUUAAUCUCAUGUCAUCAAGGAAAAAUAAGAAACACAUAUAUUCUUUAUAAAAUUUUUGCAUGUUAUGCCUUUUUGUUGUAAUUGUUGUAACUACUUAGAAUAAAGUAGGAUUAAAGGGUUGUAGGAUCGAUACCUUUGUUUUGCAAUGCACAAAUUCCUGUGAAUCAAUGAAGAAACCAGUUGUCAACUUAGGGCAAUCUCUUUCUGUCAAAACUCUCAAUGCUGACAAUACAGAAUGAUAUCUUUUGGGAUAGAAGUGAAUGAGGCCUGGUAGUUCUUCAAGUGAUAACCAUUCUAAUUUAUCAAAAUUCAUCUCCUUUUCAGCUGUCACUUCCACUUCAUCUUCUAAUUCGAAUACUUCUUCCAAUUUAGAGUUCAUUUUCAAUUUCAAACAUUCAAGUUUUGGAAGAACAUGAACAUAUCCAAAAGGAAAGGCUUUUCAAAUUUCUACAAUUUCUAACUGUGAUAUUAGUCAAAUUUGGAAAGCUUAUAGGUUGGAGGCCAGUAUCACCAUUUGAUGAUGAUGAUGAAGAAACUUGGUCCUUGGCUAAAAUGAGUCGUUCUAUUUCCUCACACCCCUCGAUGAAAAGAUUCACCAAAUGCGAUAAACUGUGAGCCGUUGUAGGUGAAAAUAUAUAUCCUAACUUCUUGCAAUCCCUCAACUUUAGAGUUGUAAGGUUCUCAAGGGUUACAACUUGAGCAAAAUCAUUCCAUAUAAUCUGCACUUCAAAUAAAUUAUUCAAGUCCAAUUCUUUUAUCCUUGAGAACGAGUACCCACCUUGAACUUGAAAUACUUCUUCAUGAUUCCCAACUACUAUACAAUCUUCAUUCAAUACAUACAGAAAUCCCAACAAAUGUCUUAAAAACACACUAGAGUAAAUGUUACCCAUAAGUGUUCAUAUUUUACAUGUUCCAAGUAAUAAUGUAUACUACUUCUCCAAUUUCAUUACCACAUGUAUCUUUUGUUUUUUUUAAAGGAUAUAUUUUAAAAUUUAAACCCCUAAAAUUUCAACCAAAUUAUUUACACAUGAGAGGCAAAUGCUUGAUUUUACAUUUUUAUUUAAAGAGUGAACAAUGGGACUCGCGUGCAAAUUAAGUAUAAAAGGGGAAUGAAUUAUCGCAUGAAUUAAGCAAAGCAAUAUAUUGAUUUACUAGUUUGCUACAGUAUCAAAAUCCAUAUAUAAAAUGCAAACAAUCUAAAUAAUACCUCCAGGAGCCGAGCUUGUACAAUGAAGCAUGAGAAUAUUGGGCAAUCCAUUAUUUGAAGAGUUUUCAAUUUUGCCCAGUAAUAAUUCUGCAUGAAUGAACCACACAUUUAGAUAUUAUACAAAAUAUAUUUAUCAUUUAUAUAACAAUUAAUACAGAAGUACCUGUGAUCUAAAUUCCGGAAGCACAAUAUCUUGCCCAUUCUCAUUUUGCUCCAUGUUGAAUAUUUGCAUAAAUUGAGGACAAUGACUUAUGUGAAGAAAUUCCAAGGAUUGAAGCCCUUGAGUCGAAGUGCUUACACAAACAUAUUUCAAACUUUUGCAGGACUGUAUGUGAAGAAUUCUCAAUUUCGGCCAGUAACAAAGACCACAAUCAUUUUGCGUAUUUCAAACACACAUAUUAGGAAGUUAUUUAUUUUUAAUAAUUUUUUAAUAUUAUAAAAAAAUUGAGCAUAUCAAUAUAAAAAUUUUAAAUAUAUUGAUCAUUAUAUUGUAUUUUCAAGGUAUUUUCACUAAUGUAAAAUAUUUGUUAUUAUAUUAUAAAAAAAUGCUAUAAAAAAGCAAAAAAUAGUUAAGUAGAUUAACAAAAUGACUUCUAUAGGUAGUUUCACAAACCUUCUCAAAAUCACUUUGGCUCGAUAAUUUCUCUCCAACAGCAACAGGAGUUUUAGUUGCCUUAUUGUUUUGCAUGGAGAACUUGGUCAGAAUCUUUGUGGCAAAGCUUUUCUGACUUAGGAAUAUCCCAUUCUGUGUUUGUGAUACCUCCAUUCCAAGAAAAUAGGACAUCUCACCUAGAUCAGACAUUUCAAACACUUCCUGCAUGUUGGUCUUGAAAUUGACCAGCACUGUUCGAUCUCCUCCUGUUACCAGCAGGUCAUCAACAUACAGGGACACAAUGAGCUGUGUUUGUGCCCCUUCCUUCUUAACAUACAGUGUUGGCUCACUCUUGCUUCGAUCAAAUCCCAAACUAAUCAAAUAGCCAUCGAUUCUGCUAUACCAGAACCUUGGGGCCUGUUUCAAGCCAUAUAGGGCCUUCUUCAGUUUAUAGACCAUGUGCUCUCUGCCAGCUAUCUCAAACCCUUGUGGUUGUUCAACAUAGAUGUCUUCAUCUAAGAAGCCAUUCAGAAAAGCUGACUUCACAUCGAGUUGAUGGAUCUUCCAUUCGAGCUGUGCUACUAAGGCAAUCAACAGUCUGAUGGUGUCGAGCCUGGCCACUGGUGCAAAGGUCUCCAAGAAGUCCAGGCCAUAUUUCUGACUGAACCCCUUGACAACUAACCUUGCUUUCAGUUUGUUCAAGGUUCCAUCAGCAUUCUGCUUGGCUUUGUACACCCAUUUCACUCCAAUAACCUUCCUUUUGACUGGCUUUUCAACUAACUCCCAAGUCUGGUUCUUCUCAAUCAUGCUGAUCUCCUCAGCCAUUGCCUACUUCCACCCUUGCUGAGCUUUAGUCUCUUCAAAGUUGCAUGGUUCAACUAUGGUUACAUGAGCCCUUUCAUAAAUCUCAGUCAAUGGUCUUGUUCCCCUGACUGGUUCAUCAUCAAUGUCCAUUUAAGGAACAUUUUGGUCUGGCUCAGCUUGAUCUGCUGCAAGUUCUUUUGAAACUUCCCCAGGUUCAUGUCUUUCCUAGUUCCAACAUGACCUUUCAUCGAAUACCAUAUCCCUGCUGACUGACACUUUAUUUGUUAAAGGAUCCAAGAUCCUAUAGCCCUUCUUGACAGUGCUGUAGCCCACCAGAACACUAGGUCGAGCCCUUUCAGACAACUUUUCCAUUUUAACAGCAGUUACAUGUACAUAACAGAUACAUCCAAAGACCUUCAGAUGAGCCAGUGAUGGCUUGAAUCCAAACCAAGCCUCAAAUGGAGUCUUCUGAUCCAAAGCCUUGGUUGGGAGUCUGUUUUGAAUGUAGGUUGCAGUGUUAACUGCUUCUGCCCAUAGAGCUUUAGGCAGAUUCUUCUGAAUCAUCAAGCACUUGGCCAUAUCCAUCAGGCUCCUAUUCUUUCUUUCACUUACACCAUUUUGCUGAGGUGUAUAAGUGUUGGUAAGCUGAUUUUUGAUGCCUGCCUUAUCAUAGAAGGCUUAGAACUGAGCUGAGGCGUACUCAGUCCCAUUAUCAGACCUUAUGGUCUUCAGCUUGCAGCCUGUUUCAGUCUCAGCAGCAGUUUUGAACUUCCAAAAACAUAGAGGCCACCUAUGAUUUCUGUUUCAAGAAGUAAAGCCAACAAUAUCUCAAGAAAUCAUCAAUAAACAGUAUGAAAUACCUGUUUCCACUUAAUGACUCAGUCUUCAUGGGGCCACACACAUCAGUGUGCACCAGUUGAAGUUUUUCAGAGGCUCUCCAAGCUUGAUUCGAGGGAAAUGGGAGUCUGGCCUGCUUUCCUAGCUGACAUACUUCACAUACAUCAUCAUGCUCCACUGAGUUGAUAGAGUUCUCAGCCAAGACCUCUCUGACCAUUCGAGCCAUCGAUCUGAAGUUGGCAUGUCCAAGCCUUUGAUGCCAAAGCUAAGAUUCAUUUGAUGUGGAUGUGUAGGCAAUGUCUGACUCCUUUGUUCAGUCAACUACAAAGCUCUUAUCAGCCAUAGGGACUGACAUUAGCUUGGAUCCACUUGGAUCACUGAUUUGGCACUGGUUGUCUUUGAACACAACAGAAUAACCUUUCUCCAGCAAUUGAGCUAUGCUGAGCAGGUUUCUGUCAAUUUCAGGCACCAAGAGCACAUUUGAAAUCACUUUGGCACCUGUGAGAGUGCAUAUCAGCACAUCACCCUUGCCUUCAGCUUUUAUAAAGUGGCCAUUGCCUAUUUUAACUUUGGUUCUGCAGCUUCUGUCUAAGAACUUGAAGAUAGCAGCAUCAGGUGUCAUAUGGUUGUAACAUCCACUGUCUAGAAGCCAACCAGAUGGAAUUCUUUGUUGAGCACCUGAGCAUGACACAACAAAGACUUGCUCCUCUUGAUCACUGUCUUCUUUGGCCACUCGAGCUUCUGCCUUCACUUGUUGGGAAUGAUUCUGCCUUGGUUUACCCAUGCUUUUGCAGACUCUUUCAACAUGACCAUUUCUUUUGCAAUGCUGGCAUACAACAUCUGGAUUGAACCACCAUUUUUCUUCUGGAUGACCAACCCUUUUACAGUGCUUACAAGUCUAACCCUCUUUUCUUGCAGCAUCAUACCUUGUCUUGUCUCUCCAGGCCUUCUUGGCUUUGUAGGCAGUUUUUGUCCUUGCCUGAAAGGCACCUUCUUUGUGCUUCUCCAGUCUGCUUGCUCUUCUCUGCUCUUGAGCAUAUAGAGCAUUGAUGAACUCUGUCAGGGAGGUGCUGGACAAGUCCCUUGAGUCUCCGAGAGAUGAGAUUUUUGCCUCAUACCUUUCAGGCAAAUUUGCAAUAACCUUCUCCACUAUCCUAGCUUCAUUGAACUGCUCUCCAAGGAGCCUAAUGCUGUUAACCACAGCCAUAAUCCUGUCAAAGUAUUGCUUGAUAGUUUCUUCUUCCUCCAUAUUCAAAUUCUCGAAUUCUCUCCUCAGGUUCAACAACUGUUGCUGCCUUGUCCUCUCUGUCCCAUGAAACUCCUCUUGCAACUUGUCCCAGGCCUGCUUUGGUGAUUCACAUGCCAUAAUCCUUGUGAAAAUCACAUCUGACACUGAGUUCUGGAUGCAAGACAUAGCCUUGUGCCUCUUGGUCCUCUCAUCAGCAUGCUACCUGAUCUGAGCCACUGUUGGAUUGGCUCUAAGUGGUUCUGGUUCAACAUCAGAGUUGACCACCUCCCACUGAUCGAAAGCCUGCAGGUAGGUCUUCAUUUUGACCACCCAUAUGUGAUAGCCUUCUCCAUUGAAGACUUGAGGUGCAGCUGGGGAAAAGUUUGAUGAAGCCAUCCUUAAACAGUAGGUCCCUUAAGAAACAGGCUCUAGAUACCAAUUGUUGGUGGAAUAACAGAAAUUAACAUACUCAGCUAGUGUCUUGUGCAACAAGCCUCGAUGCUUGCUGAGCAAACAAACAAAUUUGAGCCAAAGAAAGAAGAAAAGCUAAGGAAAAAUGGAGAGUAUUUGAUGAACAAAAUCUGAUUCAUUCAUUGAAUAAACAAUGGCAUGAUGCCAAUACAUAAAUCAAGCACUAAGCUUGUAAAAAAUAGCAAGUAAUCACCUAAACAUUACCUACCUCCACUAAUUACAUAGAAAAUUGAAAUUUUAGCUUGUAAACCUAUACAAAGCUGUGUUUACAGCUCAUAUACAAGCUAAUUACAUCAAUCAAAUACUUAACUUAGUUAGACUAAGACUCAUUUCAUGAACUAAAGUUUACAAAAUGAACAAAAUAAGCUUGCAUCAGCACCUCCUGCAUGGCUUGGUCUUCAUGCUGUCGAGUGUUGGCUGCAUGCUGACCAACUUCAUCAUUGUGAAAUUUGAUUAGUAGAAAGUAUCACUGAUAAUGCAGUUAAACGAGACAAUGAAUUCAACUCCAAUAAACUGAUAUUGCUUUUGCUUAUGACAUGUAACUCUUGCAGUGAAGUCAACCUAUUAUUUUCAUAAAAAAAUAGCAUUAAUUAAGACACAAUACACAUGAGAUGAAUAUGAAAUAUUAAAGAUGAAACUGGCCAAAAUUGUGAAAAAAAUUCAAACAUUCAUAAAAGUUUAUAAAUCAUUAAUGAUUUUUAGUUUUAUAAUAUUUUAAAUAUUUAUUUAUUUUAUUAAAUGAUAAAAGUGACGCAUUAUAGUUAGUUGGUGGUGUAUGAAAUUCAUACAUUGAUGAUGUAUCAAAUAUUAUCUCAUAUAUAUGUAUUAACUCUAAAUUUACAAAAAGCUCUUAAAAAAUCUAAAACUACAAAUAGUACCCUAUUUUUGAAAAAAUAUUUAUCCAAUUAUUUAUUUUUAAUUUAAAUAAAUUAUUAAUAAAAUAUUAUACCAUUAAAAUUAGAGGACUUAUUAAAUUAAAAUUUCUUAAUUGAUUUCUUCUUCAACUCCAACACUAGAAAGACGUAAAUAUUUCAGUGUAGACAAUUUCACUAAUUCUUCACUUAUCUCAUCAAUUUUAGUGCCAAUCAAUGCAAGAAUCUCAAGGCUUCUCAUAUUUUUCAGUGAUGAUGAGAAGUUUUCCAGCUCGCAAUCCACACAACACAAAGUUUUAAGAUUUGGUAAGGAAUGGAAUCCUAUGGGUGAGAAACUGACACUUUCUAGAUAUAGAACUUGGAGGACUUUCAUUUCUUCAAAAAAUAUACUGGAAACCACUAGUAAAUCACCUCGCUUCCGCUUCCGCUUCUGCCUCAAGUCCCAUCUCCAAUCGCAAUCCCAAUCCCCCUCUAAAAUCAAAGUCAUGAGCUUUGAAAAUUCCACUUUAUCAGGAAAUUUUUUUAUGUUACUACUACAAUUCCAUAAAGCGAUUGCACCAUAACAUCCAUCCAUAUCGGGCCAUUCUUUCAGCUCAUCUUUUACCAUGAACCUUUUUUCUCCGGUUGAUGUUAGCCAAUGAGCAAAAUCUCGAAUCACAUCAUGCAUUCUUAUCCUUUCUGCAUCAUCAGUUCCCAAUAUCAAGCCUGAUUUUUGGAGUUUUUUAAGUGCCAUAACAAUUUCAUUCCUUUUAUCUUCAAUCGAGAAAGCAUUAGGGAACAAUCCUACUCCAAUUCCACACAUAAUCAAUAUCUUAAGAGAGAUUUCAUAAUCUUCAGGAAAAAGGGAACACAGUAAGAAACACAUUUGGAUGUCAUUUCCCGUCAUUUGGCUAUUGCCUUCCUUCAAAUAAUCGUAGGUAAGCUUAAGAGGCUUGGGGACACCUCCGAGAACUUUUUCAUUAUCCAAAUGUCUUGAUUCCUUGAAUCUCUGAUUUACGGUUGUCCACCCAUUUAAACUCUCACCUUUCAAAGCUUUGGCCACGAAAACAAUUGCAAGAGGCAAUCCCUUACAUUGAGCAGCAACCUCUUUGGCUACAUCAUUCAAGGUGGAACUGUCAUCAUCUAAACCAGUUUUACCUCGAAAUAAAACCCAUGCUUCGUCUUCGGAUAAGAUGCCAAGUUGAAUUUCCUUCUUACAGUUCAUUUUAGUGCAGAAUUGUUGAUCACGUGUAGUCAGAAGAAUUUUACAACCCUUGUGUUCAUCACCGAAUGGAAUUCUGAUACUCUCCAAUUUCAAUUCUUCCCAGAGGUCGUCGACAAUUACGAGGAUUUUGUUCACGCCUUGCAUACUUCUGAAUGGCACUUCUACUUUUCCUUCUCGGCUACUUGUUUCAAAAUUUAAACAAAAAAAUCUGCAACUUUAUCUUGGAUUUUGUUGAUGUUUGGAUUUUGGGACAUAGUAAACAUCACAAAUUUAUCAAAGAGCUUUUGUUCUCGAGCAUGCUUCCCAACUUCUUGGGCUAAAGUUGUUUUACCAACUUCUGGCAUUCCGUGCAGUCCGAUCAUGUUGACACCCUUAGCGUUUAUAGCCUCCAUCAUCUGGUUCAAAGCUGAUUUUGAAGAUUCAGAGUCCAUGAAAUCCGUGGAUGUGAUGAACUCUAUUCCUUGAAGAGAAUCACAAUAGCCCACCUGUGGGAAGUUAGAAGCCUCUAAAAGUUUAGAGAUAAUAGGAUUCUUCUCUGCAAGUUUCUUACUUAAGCAGUAUCGCCAGCCCCAUUUAGGACACCAUUUGAAACACUUGACGCUAUCUAUUUCAUCUUCCAAGUUCUGGGUUUCUUCCAGUUCUUUCUCAGCACUUCUAAGCCAGUCCUCAACGUCCUCAUAAAUGACCUCAAUUUUCCUUUUAGCCUCAUCGACACGAGUUUUCACCAUCUGUUUCCUCAAUUUAAGUGCCUUCCGUUGAUUCGUGAAAUCUUCAAUGAUCUCUCCAUAACCGAAAAAGUAACGGAGAUAAGGUAAUGUGCAUUUCUUUGCCUUGUUUGUCACAUUUUCGACAGUAGUAGAGGCAACAUAUUCGGCCAUUUUUGUUGAUUGUCUGAUGAGGAUGAACAAAAAACUCUGGUUAUUAGUUAGAAGAUCAACAUAAAGACAAAUAAAAGUAAUUAUGACAAAUAAAAUCAGUAUUUGUAGUGGAUUCCGAGUAGUAAAAAAUCGAAUGGAAGCUACCAAUUAAGAAGCUAUAAUUAUUCUUCUAAACCAAAGAUAUUAUUAUUGAAGAAGCUAGACAUUACUCUUGAACUUACCUCUAUUUCUCUCUGUGAAUACCAGGAAGUAAAUAGAGCUUGAGAGAAAUAAAUAACUGUAAAAGAUCAAAAGUGUUGAUUUAGUGCAGGUAAUAGAAAAUUGAGAAGGCCAAUAAAUAAAAUGGAGAUCCACUCAAAUGCAAACUAAAUGGCAUUCAAAAAAUGAUGAAAAUAUAUAGCAAGGAAGAUGAGGAGCAAUUCCUCAAAACUUACCUUCACUGAACUAUCCUCUGCGCUGUUUCUUUUUCCAAGUGGAAAUCAAGGUAAGAAGAAAGUUUGCUUUUCCAGAAAUAAAAGAAAGUUUGCAGGUUUUUUUUUUACCUUAAUUGACCCAAUACAAGAAAAUUUUGAAAAUUGAAAAACAAAGAGUGGAAAUGAUCACAAACAGAGAUUUGGGAAUUUGGAUGAAGAAACAACAAUGGCGAGUAGUUGGUUUAACUUUAAUGUUUUGUCCAUCCUUAGUUAUUUAGCGGAUGGCAAAUAAAAGACACUACUUUUAAUCCACCUCUCCGCCUAUGCCCUUCAAAAUUUUUAAUUUUAGUUACUCAAUUCUACUUUCGCAUUAAUCGUGGAUAACUUCCGUUUUUUCUUUCCCUCUAAGGUUCCAGGUCGAUGUUAGUUGAAAAUGGUAGUUGAAUGUCCAAAGUAGGUUAAAUGCUUUCUUCUUUUUUCUUUUCGGACGGCAUAAAAGGUUGAAGAUGAUGAUGUUUAUAUCUUUCUCCACUAACAUUUCACUUCUUUACUUACAUUAAUUUAUAAUUAAACCUAAUUAAUUUACUUAUUAGUUCAGCAUUAAUAUUUAAUUAGCUUAAUAUAAUGACGUUUCCCACUACCCUCAAUUUAUGAUUGAUUUAUUUGUCAUUUUAGUCUUUUGAAUAAUUAUCAUUUAAGUAGCUAAGUUAAGCUUUUUUUUUAAAUUAAAAAUCUACUAUCUCUAAACUUAAUUAAUUACAUUUUUCGCUAAAUUCCUUAAUUGAAUUUCAAUAUCCAAAUACAUGAAAUAAAUGAGAUAAAGGUGUAUAAUAUUCUCAUUUGCCAAGUUUCAAAAUUAUACUUGGUUGAUCUGUCUCUCCUUUUCCAAGAGUGCUUCGCCGAGAGUCCUAGUGGAGGCAGUCACUUCUGCAACUUGGGAUGGGGGAAAACGGUGGAGAUGAUAGAGAGCAGAGGGACGAGAUCUCACUCUUAACUGAAGAGCUUAUUCAAUUAUCUGUCAAACGUUCGAACCAACCCUGAUUUGCACAAUAUGGACAGAGAAGUUCUAUAAUCCGGAAAGUUUCAAGGCACAGAUGAAGAGUUUGUGGAAAACAAAAAAUAAGUUCGAGAUUCAAUCAGCAGGACAAAACCUAUUUUGAUAGCGUUUGAGGCGGAAGAGGAUUUAGAAUUGAUUAUGGAAGGUAGGCCAUGGUUAUUUCGGAAGAGUCUAAUCCUUUUCGACAGGAUUACUCAAUCGGUGGAAAGAUCUCAGAUUCGGCUCAACUCCUCACCGGUCUGGCUGAACGUAGGACCAUGCCUACCUGAAUUUGAUAAAAAAGACUUGCUGCAUGCCAUAGGUGUCACUUUUAGUGGGAUAAUCAGAUCUGAAAUCAAUGGAGAAUGGUGUCGUCUAAAAAUAAAUCUCGAUGUGCAGAAACCCCUUCGAAGGGGUAUUUUUGUCUCAGUGAAUAAUAAGAAUAAAUGGUGGAUUUCAUUUAAAUAUGAUAAACUGCCAACUUUUUGCUUCAGAUGUGGAAAGCUGUGGCACGGACUCCCAGGUUGUAACUCACUGAAUCCUGCAGAAAAAACAAAAAUUAAAGAAAAUCCCCCAUACACAAUGGCACUAAGAGCAGAAUCAAACUUACUUGGAAAGGAGUGUAUUCAAUUAAAUAACUCUUUAAACCAGAAUAGGGUGCAAUGUUUUUAUACAGGUGGCUCUGACCUAGAUUUGAUUGAAUAUGGAAAAGCUGAAGAAACAAAUAAUUGGUUGGGGAUGACGCAUGGAGAACUACUAGUGAAUGAAAACAAGGAGGAGAUGAAGAAGCAAGAAAAAGAAGAUUACGUUAUGAGCAAUGAGCGGGUGGUUGAUAAGAGGAGAAGUCAAGACAGUAAUCCAAAUUCAGUAAAGAAUUCAACCUGGAGAAGAGUCAAUCCAGCCCCAACAGUGGCAAAGCAGAAGGAUUGAAAACGGUAACAAGAAGAGGAAAGCUACUGAAGAAAUAGUAGACUUAUUAUAUAGAAGCUGAAUAUGGAGUUGCGACAAAAAGGCUAAAAAAAGAUAGUGAACAGGAACAAGGAGAAACGCUACUAGAAACGGUGGGAAACGAUAUGCAACAGAGUGAUACUAAUUUACUCAGGAUCGGUGGCUGCCAAGAGGCAAGCCGACCGAACGCAAUGAAAAUCAUUACUUGGGAUGUUCGUGGAUUGGGGAGUCCACGAACAGUUAGAAGGCUGCGAUAUUUUCUAAAGCAGCAAAACCCCCAAAUGGUCUUCUUAAUGGAGACAAAAUUAAGCAUGCAAUGUAUGGAGAAAGUUAGAAGAAGAUGUGGUUUUCAGAAUGGAAUCGAUGUUGAUGCAGAAGGUUCCCGAGGUGGUUUAUGCUUAGCAUGGAAAGAAGAAAUUACGGUUACAUUAAGAAGUUUUUCUAAGUCAUAUUGAUGCAAUGGUUAUGGAAGAAACUGACAAUGCAGAAUGGAGAUUCACAGGUUUCUAUGGCUCCCCUUAUGCCAAUCUGAAGAAUGAUUCGUGGAAUUUGCUACGUAAAUUGGGACAAGACCAGACACAUCCAUGGGUAGUGAGUGGGGACUUUAAUGAAAUCAUGUAUUCUUUAGAGAAAAAAGGAGGCUUACUAAGAGAUGAAAAGCGGAUGGAGGCAUUUAGAGAAACUCUUGAAGAAUGCAAAUUGGAAGAUCUAGGGUACAUAGGGCCUUGGUUCACAUGGGAAAUGGGAAAUAUGCCAAAAACAAAUGUUAAAGAGAGACUUGAUAGAGGAGUAGCCAAUGAUAAGUGGAGGAACCUAUCUCCAAUGGGUAACAUUCAUCACUUGUCCCAUUCAAUAUCUGAUCAUUGUCCUCUGCUGCUUAUUACAAAAUCAGAAAACGUUAAUUUUGGAAAGCCAAGUUUUAAGUUUGAGGCAAGAUGGACCAUGGAAGAGUCUCUCGAAGGAGAAAUUAAAGCAUCUUGGGAUUCAACUACAAAUACCGUACCGGAGAAACUGGUAAAACUACAGUCAGACUUAAAAAAAUGGGCAGGGGAAAUUAAAAAAGGACGAGAAGGACUGAAGAAAAGGCUUACAAAGAAACUGGAAAUGCUGAUGGAAAAGGAAAGUACCGAUGACAUAAUGGCAGAGAUCAUUGAUACAAAGAUGCACCUAAACCUCGAAAUUGAUAAAGACGAAAGAUAUUGGGAACAACGAGCAAGGGUAAAUUGGAUAAAAGCAGGGGACAAAAAUACAGCUUUCUUUCACAGGCACGCCACAUCUCGACGGAAGAAAAACACGAUAUCAAGGCUGGAACUUGUCGGAGGAGGAGAAGCGACGGAAGAAUGCAAGAUCAGUGAAGAAGCUACUCUUUUCUUCCAGAAGUUAUUUACAUCAAAAGGAACAGGUGAGCUAUCCUACCUCCUAACAGGCAUUGAAGGAAAAAUGACACCAGAAAUAAAUGCAGACUUAAUGGGGAAAUUUACGGAGGAGGAAGUGCAUCUUUCCUUGAAAGGAAUGGGGCCAACUAAAGCACCAGGACCUGACGGAUUCCCAGCACUUUUCUUUCAACAAUAUUGGCAUAUUGUAGGUAAAGAAGUCACCACCUUUUGUUUGGAAAUUUUAAACAGUGACAAAAUUUUAGGCCAUUCAAAUUUUACUAGUAUUGUUUUGAUCCCAAAAGCGCAGAAUCCCAAAAACAUAACAAGUUUCAGGCCUAUCAGUCCAUGUACUGUUAUUUACAAAAUUGUGGCAAAAGCAAUAGCCUAUAGACUUCAAGGGGUUAUUGGGCAGUGUAUUGAUCUGUCGCAGAGUGCUUUCAUCCCAGGAAGGUUAAUUUCUGAUAACAUGUUGCUUGCCUAUGAGAUCUUACACACUCUUAGACGAAAACGAACAGGCAAGAAAGGCUUUAUGGCAGUUAAACUUGAUAUGAGCAAAGCCUUUGAUAGGGUUGGGUGGAGUUUUUUUAAGGAAGUCAUGUUGAGAAUGGGUUUUACAAAAGAAUGGGUUGGUUUAAUUAUGAAAUGCAUUACUACAGCUUCUUUCGCAAUCAAUAUUAAUGGAAAAGAGGGAAGUCUUUCAAUCUUCUAGAGGACUACGACAAGGUGACCCACUUAGUCCUUUCCUUUUUCUACUAUGCAAUGAGGGGCUUUCGGCACUAAUGAGAUUAGCAUUGUAAGGACGGAUAAGAGGAGUCAAGGCAAGCAGGACAGGACCAGCGAUUUCACAUCUACUUUUGCUGAUGAUUGCAUUCUGUUCGGAGAAGCAACUAACAAGGGUGUAAGGGCGCUAAAAGAAAUCCUUAAGGAAUAUGAAGAAUGUUCGGGCCAAUGUGUCAAUUUUGAAAAAUGUUCAAUUUAUUUUAGCUCAAACACGUCAGCCAGAGAUAGAGAGGAAGUUUCAGUAAGCCUAGGUAUAAGAGGGUCAACAGAUAUGGAGAAGUAUUUGGGCCUUCCUAAUGUAGUUGGAAGGCGGAAAAAGGAGGCUUUCCAAUAUCUCAAAGAUAAAGUUAAUGCUAGAAUUAAAGGGUGGAGUACCAGACUAUUAUCACAAGGUGGCAAGGAAGUUUUCAUCAAAUCCAUCCUUCAGGCAAUUCCGACUUAUGCCAUGUCAUGCUUUCUUCUCCCUAAUUCUAUGUGACAAAUUGGAAAAGUUAUUCGGUACCUUUUGGUGGCAAAAGAAGCAAGGAAAAAGAGGAAUCCACUAGUGUAAAUGGCAAAAUAUGUGCAGAGCAAAAGAACAAGGGUGGAAUCCACUAGUGUAAAUGGCAAAAUGGCAAAAUAUCUCCUUAUUAGCUAAACAAGGCUGGCGAAUCCUAAAUAAUCCAAACUCGUUAGUUGCAAGGGUGCUAAAGACUAAAUAUUUUCCAGAUACGGAUUUCCUUAAUUCGCGUCUUGGGAAUAAUAGUUCUUUUACGUGGAAAAGCAUAUGGGCAACGAGAGGUGUUCUACUCGAUGGAAGCUGUUGGAAAGUAGGGAGGGGUACCGCAAUUUCGGUCAUUAAUGAUAGUUGGUUACCGGAUUAUCCAAAAUUAUCAUCUUAUUUUACCAAUUAUACCAGGUUAUCGCAUUUGCAGGAAUAUAAAGUUGCAGAUCUAAUUGAAGACAGAAACAAAGAAUGGAAAAAAGAACUAAUCGAAGCUACCUUUCCUGCGGAGAUAUCUGAGAAAAUCUUCUGUAUCCCACUUGCAAAAGAGCUUCAUGAUGAUUUCCUGGUCUGGCGGGGAGAGUCUUCAGGAGAAUUCACAGUAAGAAGUGCCUAUAAACUAUUACAGAGCUUCGAAAAUGACCCUAGUGCUUACGCUUUACAAAAUAAUUCUAGAAAUUUCUACAGAAACCUAUGGCUCCUUAAUCUACCUCUUAAGGUAAAAAUUUUAGUCUGGAAAAUAACUUGGAAUUAUAUCCCGACUCGAGUCAACUUGAACUGCAGAAGGCUAUUAAACAAUGUGACAUGCGUUGGGUGUGGUAAUGCAGCAGAGUCUGCAAAUCAUAUAUUCCGAGAAUGUCCUGUGACAAGAACAGUUUGGGAAGAAUUAUUAUUCCCAGAAUUAUUACAAGUUCAUCAUAUGGAUUUCGUACAAUGGCUUACCUGGGUUUUUGAACAGAAUUCCACCAAUCGGCGACGGAUCUUUUGUUGUGCUCUUUGGGCAAUAUGGGGAGAAAGGAAUAGGAGAGUGCAUGAAAAGACUAAUAGAUUUGGGAAGGAGACAGCAUAUUUUGUUAAGAGAUAUAUUAGUGAACUGAAUGAGAUUGGAGCAAAAACACCUCAGGUUAGACUAAGAGGCAGGAAAUGGAAGUACCCACCUGUCCAGUUUGUGAAGGUUAACUUCGAUGCAGCAUUUGAUGUAAACUCACAACAAUCAGCAGCGGGUAUAGUGGCCAGGGAUAGCGACGGAAACACACUCUUAUCAUGUACUGAGAUUCAUCAUCAUGUGGCAUCAGCCUUUGCCGCGGAAGCAAUAGCGUGUCGAACAGCAACUCAAAUAGGCAGGGACAUGCAAUGGUCAAACAUUAUUAUUGAAGGGGAUGCAUUAUCUAUUAUAAAGAAGUGCAAACUGAAAAGCCAUGAUAAAUCCAGAAUCGGAGCAUACAUCCAAGAUAUUCAUCAGCUAUUAAAAAAUUUUGGAAACUACUAUUUUGAGUAUAUUCCCAGAGAAGCUAACAACCUGGCACACAAACUAGCGACGGUGGCAUUAAAGGAAAAAAAAGAGCUUUACCUUCUUGGAAGAGUCCCGGACUACGCUGCGAAUCUGGAAGAAGCCGAAAGAAAGACAGGGGAAAUGUGUUGAGAAGAAAUGAACGGUUACAAGGAAAAAGAAGCUGUAUUGCAAAAUUCAAAGGAGUGGCAGACAAGGCUUCAUUGGAAAUCCGAAAACGUCUCUCUGAAGUAAUGAAUAGAAGAUUUUGAAAAGACGGAAAUGGAUUUUUUCUGAUUGGGCAAGAUAUGUUAGCAUUUAUUAGGUUCUGGAAGUUUUACAGACUGUUUUUUAUUCUUUUUCUUUAAUUUCCUUUUAAGAGUUGGCCCACAGUUUUGACUUGUCUUCGGGCCAGAACUUGCUUUAGUUUACCCUGGACUUUUUAUAUUUUUUCUUCAUUUUAAGUUAUAAAGCCCAAUCUGAAUUUGUUUCAAAAAAAAAUUAUACUUGGUCAAAAUUUGUGUCAAAAUUUAAAUGUAAACUUGAUCUAUCAAUAUUUCACAGCAUGUCUCGAGUAAUGGGUGUAACAUGCCGCCCGGUGAAAUCUUAGUAUCUGAAUAUUGUUUGAAUAAAUAAGAUAGGUAAUACGAUCUAGAAGGGUAUAGUGAUUAAAGCUAGAUUAUGAAUAAGAACUAUUUGAGUGCGCCUAUGGCACCUUGAGAUUGGCGAGCACUAGGUUAGCCCAUAACGAGUAAGAAAUAUAUCUGACAGAAACGAUUCACCCAAAAGCCUUUGAUUGGCGUAAAAAAGACGGGUGGAAUAUGUUAUAAGUAACGAGAAAAUAAACCGUGUGUCGAGAAGUCUAUGUCAACAAUAAGUGCACUUAGUAACGAUGGCCUUGAGCCAGUUAAGUUAUAAAGAAACAAUGGUUAAGUUUAACUGAAUAUGAGCUAAAAUAGUUAAGAACUAAAGGAAAGCAGUUGAUUAAUAUUCCUGGAACUGGUAAGAUUUGGAUAAAACCACCAAUUGAUUUAUGUGACGUGUGCCUAGUUCCAAUAUAGACUUGGGGUUAAGUUAAGGGCAUGAGAUAGGUUAAGAAGAGAUAUCUUCUCUCUCAUUGGUGGAGUAAGGCUAAGAGAAGAUGUAUGAACUCUGAAAAAGAUCUAAAGUCGACAAUUAGGCAAGUGAGAGGCAAGGUAAUGACGGGUGUAUGGGCAAGCCUUCGUAGAUGUAUGUUUGAUGAGCUUUCAAGUGAUGCUCGAAUGAUGAUAUGCUUGAAUGAGAAAGCAAUUUAUGCACCUGUGUAUUGAAUACCGUUAGUUGAACAAGGUCAUGACCUAAUAAUAAAUAUCAUUUACUAAGGAUUGAGGGCUUAUUUGAUCAGUUAAGUGGGAUUUUCCAAAAUUGAUGUAAGGUUAGGUUAUUAUCAGAAAAGGAUUAAAGGUGAUAGACAGCUUUUCAGUCAAGAUAUAGUCACUAUGAGUUUUUGGUGAUGUCAUUUGGGUUGACAAAUACACCAAUAAUAUUCAUGGACUUAAUUAAAUUCCAACCUUACUUGGAUCAAUUUGUUGUAGUCUCUAUUGAUGAUAUAUUGAUAUAUUCUAAGAGUAAGAGUGAUAAUGAAGAGCAUUUGAGAAUUGUGUUGAGAACCUUGCAUAACAGUUAGUUGUAUAUUAAGUUCAACAAAUGUGAGUUUUGGCUAGAAAAAGUGCAUUUGUUAAAUUUUAAAAAAUAAAAAUUCUAAAGAAUAUAUAAAACAUUUUAAAAAUUCUAAAAUAAUAAUUCUGGGGACAUAAAUAGGUAAAUUAAUGGUUCAUGUUUAUCAUACUAAAGUAUUUUAUUUUUUCAAUUAUUUUGAUUUGAAAGAGUUUCAAAUAUAUAUGCUCUAAAAUAGAAUUAGUUGUAUGAUUACAAGAUUUGAAUUUGAUAUGUUUAAUUUUUUAAUAUAACUCAAAUAAUUUUACUCGAUACGACUCAAAUUUCAUUUUACUUGAUUCGAUUUAAAAAAAUUCAAAUUAAGUUAAAAUAAUAAAAUAAGACUUAUCAACUUGAACUUUUUCCAUUCGAUUCUACUCUAUUCGAUCCAAGACUAAGAAAUCAAAAUUUUUGUUCUCGAAAAACCAGUAAUGGUGAUUAGAGCAGAACAAAUAUUUCCAUAUUUAAAGAACACCAUUAAUUUGAGUUUACUUUUCUUUGCGCUCCUCAAGUAAUUAAUUACGAAGAGUCUUCACCACUUUUGCUAGUUGGAUGGGUAUUGUUAAUGAAUUAUUUUUUAUUAUUUUUAUGAUGAAUAAUUAAUUAUCAAGUUUGCUCACCACUUUCGCUAGUGGGACUGGCAUUGUUGAUGAAUUACUUUUUACUAUUUUAACUUACCUGCUUCUUUUGACGAAUUACUAUUUUUAAAUUAAACAAAAUUAAGAGACAUGACAUACUAAGAGCACGCUACAUCAAUUUUUUUAACGCUGUUAACAGUUGGGACAAAGUGAUACAUAGUUAGAAACUUUAGGUGUCAAAUUAAUGCAAAAAAAAUUUUAAAUACUAAAGUGAUAAUUGAGUGAAACUUUAGGGGGCAAAUAAUUCGUUAACCCUUUUACAAAUAGGAUAAGUUGACCUAAAAAAUUUAACAAAAUUGAAAUUUAAAAAUUUUAAAAAUGAAGGGCAAAAUUUAAUUAAAUUAAAGUAUAAAAAUUAAAUAUACAAGUUGCACAUAAUACAAAAAUGGAUAAUAAAAUUUAAUUGCUUAAAUUAUAGAUAGAAUUUCAUCAAGUCUUAAGUUUUAAAUCUUGUGAGAGUUAUUUUAUUCAAUAAUAUCAUUAAUUAGUGGAAGACGAAGACAUUUUAUUUGGAGUUAUUGGUUUCACUUUUUUAUGUUUAUUUAUUUUAUUUUUAUUUUUAGAAUAAAACAAUUGUCGAAAGAAAAAUGGGUUUUGGUUAGAUUAUUUUAUUUAAUAAGAAAUUAUGGUAUUUAUUUAUAGUGCUAAACAUAAUUUAUCCCUUCAAAUCUUCAAUAGCUUUGCUAUCUAAAAUACUAUUAUGUUGAAUAGGCUUAACUCAUCCUUUGAUAUUUAAGUAUCACAAAUGAUAUAUAGAUUACUUUUUUUAUCUAAGUCUAUUCAAAAGAUGUCAUCAGGAAUGAAAUUUCAAAUGUCUUUGACAUCAACUAAAUAGUCAACAUUACUAUAAUAACUAGAGUUUACACUCUAAUCAUGAAUGUUUUUAUCCGUAUCAUUUUCAAUCGGGUCUUUUCUUACACUAGUAUUUUCAACCUUUGUUAGUCAAACAGUCAAUCAAACCGUUAAUCUAUUUAAAAAAAGACUUAACCCAUAAACUGGUACCUAGACUCUAUCAUUUUUUCCAUUUUGGUACCUAAACAAUUUGUAACAUCUCAAACCUGACCUAGACAUUAAGAUUGAAUUUGGAAGAUUACAUCGGCCACCGAAAUGACCUAGUACGAUUGGAGUUUAUAAAACGGUUGUUUAUUAUUGAGGAAAACUUAGCAUGUUAUCUUUGUUUUACUGAAAGUUAUAAUUUUCCCAAAAGGAUGGAAUUUAAAGUUUACUUAGUAAAAGUCGAUUCUCGAUUUUUAUAUGUUUUUCAAAUCUCAUUUACAUAAUAAUGUAGCGAAAAAAGUGAUUUCAACUUGAGUUUAAUGAAAACUAGAUUUGUAUGCAUGAUUAAUUAAUAAACCAUAUUUUAAUAACCUAAAUCAAAAUAAAAUAUCAUCCAUGCUGAGCAAUCCCAAAGCCUAAGUCCCAUGCCACAGUUUAAAUAAAAUAUUACAAUCUUUGUAUAGAAAAAAUUGCGAAAAUGAUCUAAAAUAAUAAAAUAAUAAAAUAUGAAAUAAACAAUCUGUGGCAAUAAUCCUAGUGGCAUUCAUACCUAAUCUAAAUGAAUUUCAAGAAUGAUCAUACAAUAGCCCUAGUGGCACUCAUACCUAAUCUAAAUGACAUGCUUCCAAUAUAUGCAUGGGAUGCUAUGACAAUUUUAUAAUAUUCACAUUCUUUCACAAGAAUCAAUCAAUCAUAAAAAAAAUUUUUGAUUCUCUAGAGUUUUUCUUUUAAGGGAAAAACUGAAGAAGUGAAUGUGAACCGUGCACUAGAAACAGUCCUAGGAAAGGGAGGUGAGUCAAAUUUGACCACUUAAAAACAAGCCUUUCCUAGCCAAAGCCAGUCCUAAACAUGCACAUUCUCAUUACCAUACUUCUCACAGUAAUCAAAUAACCUAAAGAAGUUAAUAGAAUAAUACAACACAUGUAUUUUCUCAUUACCACACUUCUUAUUUUUUAAUCGAUCAAUUGUGGAUCAUCUCAUAUAUAUAUCACAAUUAUAACAUUAAAUAGAUAUAUAAGAUGAUAGGUAAUUAAAAUAAAAUUGCCAACCAAGGUUUCCAUGGUUCUAUUUAUAGAAAAUAAACGAAAAAAAUAAAAUUACACAGUUUUUAGUUUUUCGCCACAAGGUAUUCCUCGGGUCUUCAACUGCCAUCAGUCCAUAUUCUCCUCGUCAUGGACACCUUUUUGGAAAAAAAUACAUUUAAGUCUUAUGUCCGUUUUCGGAUCACAAGAAUUCUAUGAAUUUUAAAAAAUAACCCUACACGGAAAUGAUAGUCCACGGUCUAUUUUCUAAGAACCACAACCUCGAUAAAAAAAUUUAUAACAAAUAUAUAAUAUCGCAUUCAUUCUCAUAUAUAACUCAAUAUAUGCAUAAGAUCUAAAGAAUGCUACUCUCUAUGUAAUCAAGUCAUUUAAGAAGAAGUGAAAUUUAUUUUGAUUAUCUGUUUAUACUUAUAGAUAGAGUACAACCUGGCUCUGUUUAUAUAAUAGACAUAUAUAUCAUUCACAAUCUAGGCAAUUAUAUAUAACAUUAAUUCAGCCAAUCAUGUCAUGGAUUCUAGCAUUUUCAAUAUUAUUAGGGACUUAAUUGUAUAAAAAUAAAACACUAAAAAGUAGUUUGAAAACUAUUCAGUGACAAACCUGAACAAAUCAAAAAAUUCUAGGUAAACUUGUAAAAUAGGGGCUCAAGGCCGUGUGCAAUGCCUUAAGCCAUGCGAAGGGUUUACACGACCGUGUGACAGACUAUGAAAAUGUGGAUCAUGCAAAAUCAAGGUACAAGGGAGACACAGCUGUGUGGNNNNNNNNNNNNNNNNNNNNNNNNNNNNNNNNNNNNNNNNNNNNNNNNNNNNNNNNNNNNNNNNNNNNNNNNNNNNNNNNNNNNNNNNNNNNNNNNNNNNNNNNNNNNNNNNNNNNNNNNNNNNNNNNNNNNNNNNNNNNNNNNNNNNNNNNNNNNNNNNNNNNNNNNNNNNNNNNNNNNNNNNNNNNNNNNNNNNNNNNNNNNNNNNNNNNNNNNNNNNNNNNNNNNNNNNNNNNNNNNNNNNNNNNNNNNNNNNNNNNNNNNNNNNNNNNNNNNNNNNNNNNNNNNNNNNNNNNNNNNNNNNNNNNNNNNNNNNNNNNNNNNNNNNNNNNNNNNNNNNNNNNNNNNNNNNNNNNNNNNNNNNNNNNNNNNNNNNNNNNNNNNNNNNNNNNNNNNNNNNNNNNNNNNNNNNNNNNNNNNNNNNNNNNNNNNNNNNNNNNNNNNNNNNNNNNNNNNNNNNNNNNNNNNNNNNNNNNNNNNNNNNNNNNNNNNNNNNNNNNUAUUGAUGUUGGUACUGCUUGGUAUCCAUUUAAUAUUAUGCAUAUAAUGAUGGAAAACAUAAUAAACAUACCCACUUACCCCUUCAAAAUGAAGUACUGAUUCCAAGAAUUUGAGUGUGAAAAAAAAAGCAAAUCCAAACAGUCUAUUUUGCUCUGAUUUAGUUCAAGAAAAACAUAAAAAUAUAAUAUUAGAUGAAGAAAUAUAUAACAAAUUUAUAUAUAAAAAAAUAAAAAAUAAAGAAAUUAAGCAUACAUAAAUACAUUUACCUCACUUGGGAACUUCAAAAUCAAACUAGACUAGGUGCUGAGAAGAUCCUUGCUACUUCAAGACGAUCAAAUGGGAUUUGAAGGGAUAUUUUCUUGGUUUUUGGGAGCAAAAGAAAGUAAGCAAAACUGAAGAAGAAAAAAGAAAAAAACUUGAAGGUCUUUUCUUCUUUUUAAGGGAAAGGAAAUAAAUAAAAAUAAAAAUCAAGGUUGCACUAAAAUGUUAAGAAAAGUUUUAAGACAACUGGGUUCAAAGGAUUUGUGUUAUGAGAUUACCUCGAUAUGGGGAGCUAAAUUAUUGAUGUUGGCACUGAUUGGUUUGGUAAUGGCCCCAUCCAUUUAUUUUGCAAUUAUGAUAGGAGACGACUUAGAAAAAGAUGAGUCUUUGGGUCCUAUUUUCACACUUGAUAAUUAGCACAUCAACCACCCCUAAAUUAUGACCAUUAUUUUAAAUCUAUUUUCAAACUUCAAAUUCAUCUACUAAACAAUUGAUGUUAUAUUAAUCAAAUUAUUUUGUUGUUAAAAUCAAUAAAUGAUACGUUAAAUUUUAUAUAGCUAAUUUUAAAAUAAAAAUUUAAAGAAACUAAAAUUAAAUAAAACUGAAUUUUUUAAAAAAUGAACAAUAAAAAUUUUGUAAAAACUUCAAAACCAAGUUUUUUAAAAUUAACUAUUUUUACAAUUUUUUUUAAAUUUUCAUACUUCUGUAUCUGAUUGUUUUUUUACAAUAUGGUAUGUUUUAAAGUUUUGAUUAGAAUGGCAUGUACUUAGGAAAAAUAUUAGGUAUGUUCCAAGUAUUAGUUUUUUAUGUUCAAUUAUAUUAGUAAUUAGCCAAGUAUUAAUUUGGCACCAAAUGUAAUAUUCUUAUAUCAGGUUCCUUAAGUCGAACAUGGUAUAGGGGUGUUACAUUUAGAAUUUUCUGCCAUUUUUGAUUCUCCAUUGAUGUCCAUUUCUCCUUCUCCUGUUGUCGCACAUUGAAGUUUUUGUUGCCCUCAUAAUUUCUGCAUUGCUGCCCCAUCUAAGUCUCAUCUUGUCAUCAUUAUAUCUCACCCCUUGACUGAACCCUCUUAGCUUGGUUAGUGAGCAUUCAUUAUUGUUAAUCGACUAUUAACGCAGAUCUUCAAACCGGUGUAGCGUUAAGAAGGAAUCGAGACGAAUCCGAGUUGUAGUGGUGCUCCGGUCAAUUGUUAAUAUUCUAUGGAUUGUAAUUGAGGUGUGAGAUUCAAAUCAAUUGUGAGUGGUGUAUGCAUGUGUACUAUUUUGCAUGUUGGCCGAAUAACGUUGUUUUACCAAAUACUUAUCGAUCAACUUCCAAUUAGCUGCUACUGGUUCCUUUUGUUACUGACUUGCUAUUUAAUUUGCUUCAAUUUUGUUGCUUAACCUCGUACGAUCAAAUGGGAUUUGAAGGGAUAUUUUCUUGGUUUUUGGGAGCAAAAGAAAGUAAGCAAAACUGAAGAAGAAAAAAGAAAAAAACUUGAAGGUCUUUUCUUCUUUUUAAGGGAAAGGAAAUAAAUAAAAAUAAAAAUCAAGGUUGCACUAAAAUGUUAAGAAAAGUUUUAAGACAACUGGGUUCAAAGGAUUUGUGUUAUGAGAUUACCUCGAUAUGGGGAGCUAAAUUAUUGAUGUUGGCACUGAUUGGUUUGGUAAUGGCCCCAUCCAUUUAUUUUGCAAUUAUGAUAGGAGACGACUUAGAAAAAGAUGAGUCUUUGGGUCCUAUUUUCACACUUGAUAAUUAGCACAUCAACCACCCCUAAAUUAUGACCAUUAUUUUAAAUCUAUUUUCAAACUUCAAAUUCAUCUACUAAACAAUUGAUGUUAUAUUAAUCAAAUUAUUUUGUUGUUAAAAUCAAUAAAUGAUACGUUAAAUUUUAUAUAGCUAAUUUUAAAAUAAAAAUUUAAAGAAACUAAAAUUAAAUAAAACUGAAUUUUUUAAAAAAUGAACAAUAAAAAUUUUGUAAAAACUUCAAAACCAAGUUUUUUAAAAUUAACUAUUUUUACAAUUUUUUUUAAAUUUUCAUACUUCUGUAUCUGAUUGUUUUUUUACAAUAUGGUAUGUUUUAAAGUUUUGAUUAGAAUGGCAUGUACUUAGGAAAAAUAUUAGGUAUGUUCCAAGUAUUAGUUUUUUAUGUUCAAUUAUAUUAGUAAUUAGCCAAGUAUUAAUUUGGCACCAAAUGUAAUAUUCUUAUAUCAGGUUCCUUAAGUCGAACAUGGUAUAGGGGUGUUACAUUUAGAAUUUUCUGCCAUUUUUGAUUCUCCAUUGAUGUCCAUUUCUCCUUCUCCUGUUGUCGCACAUUGAAGUUUUUGUUGCCCUCAUAAUUUCUGCAUUGCUGCCCCAUCUAAGUCUCAUCUUGUCAUCAUUAUAUCUCACCCCUUGACUGAACCCUCUUAGCUUGGUUAGUGAGCAUUCAUUAUUGUUAAUCGACUAUUAACGCAGAUCUUCAAACCGGUGUAGCGUUAAGAAGGAAUCGAGACGAAUCCGAGUUGUAGUGGUGCUCCGGUCAAUUGUUAAUAUUCUAUGGAUUGUAAUUGAGGUGUGAGAUUCAAAUCAAUUGUGAGUGGUGUAUGCAUGUGUACUAUUUUGCAUGUUGGCCGAAUAACGUUGUUUUACCAAAUACUUAUCGAUCAACUUCCAAUUAGCUGCUACUGGUUCCUUUUGUUACUGACUUGCUAUUUAAUUUGCUUCAAUUUUGUUGCUUAACCUCGUACUGUUUGCCAUCUAAAUGUGCUGCCUGCUAUUUGGGUGCUGAUUAGCUUCAAUUUCUUGUUGUUUUAGCCUGCUGUGCAUUUGUCAAUCAGCCCUUUAUUAUAGCCGUCAAUUACCUUGUGGCCAUUGUGCUAAUCUUAAAAAUUUGCAACACCGAUUCUUUCAUUUUUUUUUUCAAUUGUUGUUUGCUUCAGCCAUUGCCUUUAAGUGCUAUCAACAUUGGCUUAGUUGUUGCACUUGUUUAAUAUUAUUGUGACUCGGCAAACGUGAGCUUGAGGAUAAUAGAAAAGACUACUCAAUGAAGCAUUCAUCAUAAACGAAUCGAAAAGGUACAAUUUUUAUUAAGUGUUUAUUACUUUAGAUAUCACAAUUAAAUUCUUAUUUUAGAAUUUUUUUAAACUUAGGCUUUUCCCUAUAUUGAUUUUUGCUGCAUUUUCAAAAACCCCUAUAUUAGGGGUUGACUUCCAUCAAUAAUAGAUCAGUUUCAGAAAAUACAACAAUAAUCCCAGAUUUCUCCAAAACCAAACAAAAUUGCAGACACUUUAACACAAAAAAACACGAAUCAAAGAAGGAAAAUUAGAAGAUCAAAGAUGAAACUAACCCGACUUUAAUAGCAAGAGCGAGCGAAGCUCUUUUUCUGAAACCCGUACUGUGGAUAGAGAAGGAACGGAAAGACAAAAAAAACCACAAGCUUUUACCUCGAUUUUUCUUCUUAAUCAUAGGUUAGAUUCUAUGAUAAAAUUUUCCUUGAGUUUCAUUCUAAUUGCAGAUUUUGAUCUUAUAACAUACCAGAUUAGACUACCACAAAUUCUAUCAUCCAAUUCUUCUAUGCUACAUAAGAAGUCUCAGAUAUUGAAUUUGUUAAGGUUCAGUGAUCAAAGCCACUGAAUAUAUACUCAACAGUACACAUUUAAGCAUUUCCAGAAUGUACGCUCUAUUAUGAUACCAUGGGUUCAUGAAAAUUUAAAGUAACUGGUGCUUAUUAGUCCCACUGAACUUAUCACUCGAUAAAAACAAGUCAUGUAGCUUUGCAUAUAUAAAUACAAAUCACAUGGUUACUAAAUGAGCAAUUAUUAGAUUGAAGGGUACAAGCUUCUUUGGCAGAGAAAGCUGGUUAUACUCUCAAUUGCUGCUUUACAGCCACGAGCACGAAAGUGAUUGGAUUUCUUCUUUGAAUGGCCAACAAGUUUGGGGUUAACCAGUUGAUUUUGCAAUUCACAAAUGACUCUUUUCUUCCUUGUCAGAUGCUUCACAGACAUCUCUUCUUCUACAUCAUUUUUAACUUCUGGCUUCCUAGAAUUUACUGCAACAUUCCUGUUAUCAACUGCGUCCUGAAAAUGUUCAAAACAGAUGUGAAGCAUCAAACAAAGAAGAAAAGAGCUACCAUGAAAUGCAAAAAAUCGAAAUCCAUGAUAAGCUUAACAAAAAUUGUAGCUCAGAAUUGUUGCAAAAUUUUUACCAAAGAAAGAACAAAUGGUACUCAGAAAAUGCAUUGAAUUUUAUCAUAAAAGCAGCUUAAUAAACUCACAGCUUAAUAAACAUACUUCCGAACAUCAUCCUCCUUAGACAAGUUGAACAACUUCCUGAUUUUUGAUGCUCUCUUCGGACCACUCAUUCUUGGUUUCUAAGUGUCAGUCAGUCCAGGAAGAUCAUUUUCACCCUUUUUCACAAUAACCAAGUUCAAAACUGAAAGAUCCUGACUAACAAUGCAUCCACGAACUGACUUCCUCCUACGCUCUCCAUUUCUCCUACCAUAUCCAUGGAAGCAGGGAGUAUCUAUUCAAAGAAUUAGAAAAGAAGACAUUUAAUUAACCGAAAAAACAUUUCUACACAAAUAAGAACAAGGAAAAAUAUUUCAGAAUCCACAGACCUCUGUGAAGCAAAAGACGAACACAUCCAGGAGUGAGAACUCCUUGCUUCAUUGGAAAACCUUGUUUAUCACAGCCUCCCAUGAUCUUGAAUACAUAGCCCUUAAACUCCUGUUGAAGGAUAAUUAAGGGGUGAGCAAAUUGCAGUUAUGAAGUCCAGAUGCACCAGCAGAAACUUGAGGCAGUGAACGAAAAGCUAAAGGUAACUUGGAAACAUACCUCAUCGAAGGCAUCACCAUUGACUUCCUGUGAGAUCCUCUUGUCAAAAAAGGCUCGACUGCAUUUUCAAAUGUCAAUGUGAGAAUACUUUCUUCUUAAUACAAAGUAACAACUACCAACUAGCAUUGACGCAAGAGAGUAAAUGGAUGCUCACAAAUACAAUCAAGCCAAGCUGCUUAAAAGAAACUAUUAUUUUAACAUAAUAAUCAGCUACAAAUUUAAUAGAUGAGCUAUUAUCUUAUAAGGUAUAUUUGACGCACCGAUUAGAUACAAGUGAACUAUAUCCAGAAGGCUAAUCCACCGUAAUAUUAAAAGUUCCACUUCAUAUCUAAAUGAAAAAAGGAAAGACCUACAAAUCAAAUCCAUUUGUUGAUUUUGUGUUGCAAGACCAUCAGAAUUUUUUUAAUUUCUUUCUCACAGUUGCAUAAAAUCAUGCCUCAAAUAGAAGAUAUCCAAACUUCGUUAGCAAAUAAUAUACAUUUUAUUUUGCUUCAACAUAAUUGACUUUUCACAUUCUAUAAAUACUCAGAAAAGUUGAAUCCCACCCAAACAAAAUAUAACUGAAACCUGAAUAUAUAUAUAGACAACAUGACCAAAAAGAAGACAUAUCCUUCAUAUGGGUCUUUUCAUGGUUAAGACAAGCAGCAUUAAAUUUAACACUAAAUACUGAAAUUAAAUCAACGAAUUCAACUUAAACCCAACUAUUUCAUGAGUUAGAGAGAGAAGAAAAUCACAGUUUCUGGUCAUCAUCAAUUUCCAGCUUUUUUUGGUAACCAAUAGUCGUAUUUGCAAUGUUGAACUGAGAAAAAAAAAAGAAAAAAAUCAGCAAAAUGAAAAGAAUAAACAAACCCCCAAAAAGGAUUGAAAUCUAUUUAUAUUUAGUUCAAAAAAGAAAAAAGAAAAAACCUUUAUUUCUGUUUGAUGGGUCUUCUGAGGAAGAGGUGAUCAUAAAUGGGAUGGGCCGGGUUUGGGUCGGGCCGGGUCAAAAAAAAUUUUAGCUUGCUUUUUAGGCCUUGGCCUAGCUCAAAAUAUGGGCCUAAAAUUUUGUCUAGGCCCGGCUCGAGGAAAAAAUACUAAGCCCGAGUCCGGUUCGGCCCGGCCCGUUUUUUAAAAGAUUAAAUUAAUUUUUUAUCAUUUGAGGGCCAAAGUAUAAUUUUACCAUUACUAUUUUAAAAUUUUAUAAAUUAUAAAGAGUUAAAAAAAGAAUUUUUAUUUUAAUUUUAGAAUAGAACCCUUGCCCAUGAAAUAUCAUAUCAACAAAUUUGACAAUACUAAUAAUUAAAAUUAAAUUUUAAAUUUUGAAAUAUAAAAAUUAAAAAUUUUAAAAUAAAAAUAAAAAAAUAAAUUUCAAAAUAUACGAGCUUAGGGAAAUGGGAAAUGGGGAGGAGAAAUGAGAAUUUUUUUAAAAAUAUAUAUUUAUUAUAUUAGGGUCGAGCUGGACCUGGGCCAAAAAAUUUUUGCCCGAGGCCCGGCUCGUUUUCUAAACAGGCCUCGUUUUUUACCCAAACCCAUAUUUCGAGUUUAUAUUUUUACCCAAACCCUCCCAUAUUUCAAGCCCAGCCCAGUCCAUCAUCACCUCUAGUUUCGCUUCUAUUAAAGGGUUUUUAUUUGUGGAUAUUUAUAUAAAUAAAAGGGGAAUAACUAGGUGCUGCUAGUGAACACGAUAACUUUUAUCUGAAUCAACAUGUGGACAUUUGAUGGGUCUUGAAUUCUAAUUUAGGCUUUGGGUUAAUUGGUUAAAUGGGCUUACUUGGACCCACUAUAAUCGCUUUACUCUAAGUGAAAAAAACAAAAUUAAAAAAAAAAGAUUUGAAAAUACUUAAAUCAAUAAUUAAAAGUAAAAAAUUGGUAAAAAUCAUAAGCACAAAUUUAAAAAAAGUAAAAGCAACCAUUAACAAUUUAGAGAAAAAAAUACUAGUAAAAAGUCAAAAUUUAAAUUGGUGUAGAUGAUGCAAACCGAUAAGGUCAUACAACAACAAUUUAAAUAACAGCAAUAUCCCUGGAGGAAUAAGAAUGAAAAUUAACCUUGUACUUAUUAAAAUGUUGUGAAACUAUUUAAUGUCAAAUUCUUUGAAAAUGUUUAAAAACUCAGUAUUACUGUUUUCUUAUUCCCUCAACAAAUAUAAUGCAGCUUUAACAGUUUUAAAUACACCGAAACGAUUUUGAAGAACCAAAUCUUCACACGAUUUUGAAGAACCAAAUUAAUAUUGUCUAUUUUACAAUUAUAUAAUAAAUUAAUUAAUAUAUAAAUUAGAAAACACUAGUUAAUCUAAACCCUAAACACAUAACAUCUAAACCUUAAACCCCAGCCUUUAAACCAUAUACCAUAAACCAUAACCCUUAAACCCAUAAUCCAUAAACCUUAAAAUAAUAACUCAUAAGCCUUAAACUCUAAACCAUGUACCCUAAAUCAAAAACCCUAAACUAUAGUGAUAAUUAAUUCAAUAUUUUAAAAUUAAUAUUGUAAUACCCAAUUUUAAGUUCGGGCCCAACACCAAAUUAAAAUAAAUUAAAACUAUAAGUGUCCAGCCCUAAUUACAAAUCCAAAUAGCCCAAAUUACAAAAAACCCUAGCCCAAUAGGCCCACAACAUGUUUUCAGCAACAAAGGAGGCAGAAGCCCUAGGGUGCGCCGCACGUCAGCAAGGCUCCCUCGCACGCCUUCGCUCACGUCGCAGUACGUCACCUUCGCACUACGCAUGUUCUCCCUGCAACAAACGAUAAACCAAAGCAGCAAAAAGAAUAAACGGACUUACAACAAAGAAAAUAAUAAAUUUACAGCGAAAAAUUGUAAGGGGAGAUAAAAACAUAAAAAAAAGCAAAAAAUAGAAAACGAGGGAUUUUGAUUUUUCUUUUUGGCUAUAUAAAAGCCAAACACGGAUUUGUAAAGGGGGAAUACGAAAAUCGAUUAAAAAAUCAAUAAAAAAAUUAUAGCAGUGAGUUUUUAAGGUGAUUUCCUUUUCUUUUUCGAUUUCUCUGUUUCUUUUUAUUAUUAUUGUUUAUUCAUUGUGUGUAAAAAAAAUCAAUUAGAAAACAGAAAUUACCUGAAGUGUUGAAUCUGCUUGCUCCGUCGCGAUCGGAGCCCUUGCAAGGUUCGGGAAGCCUCAAAACAGCCUGAAUUUCCAAAGCGGCGGAGAGAAAAAAAACCCAAGGUUUUAUUUUUUUGGUUUUAUUUUCUGUAAAAGUGGCGAAAAUUCUGAUUAGGGUUUAAUUUGGGGGAUUUUAUAAGGUAAUAAAAAUGACAUCGUUUAGGUCCUGCUUUAGUGGCCCCAAAACGACGUCGUAUAAUGCCACACCAAUUAGUGACCCGCGCGAUCCGACCCGAGGGGAGGAUCUGCGCGUUUUGUCCCAGGGGUAAAUUUGCGCAGUGGUCCUCUCUCUUUAGUGGCGUGUUCAAAUAAAUUCUUUUCUUUUUUUAAAUUUCGCCCUUUAAUUCAUUUUUCGCUUUAUUUUAGUCCAUGUUGCAACACAGUGUUUUGGAGGGUUGGGAAUAUUUCCAAAUUAACCUUUCAUGUCAUUCGCGCAUUGCACAUUAGCCCUUAUUUUGUUUUAUUUACAUUAUUCCCCGAUUAAUUUCAUUUUAGUUGCAAUCUAAUAUAUUUUUUUUAAAAUUAGUUUAAUAUUUUCAUUAAUAUUAGGAUCAUUGUUGUUGUUAUUAUAAUUAUUGUUAUUACUACUUUCAUUAUUAUUAAUAUUAUUACUAUUAUUGCUAUUAUUGAUAAUAUUAUUUGCUUAUAUAUUUUCCUAUUACAUAUACAUUACUUUAUUUUAUAUGUAUUAUUGUUUUAAGUUACUUUUAAAAUCUUAUAUGUAUUUACCUUUUUAUAAUAUACUAUUAUUAAUAUUAUUUGAAUUUAUUUUAUUCUACAAUAUAUUUUCUCUAAAUUCACUCAUUACAUAUUUUUAGGUUUGUAUAAAUAUAAAUUUUUUUACGUAAUACUAUUUAUGUAUACAUAUUUCAUAUUAAAUUAUUUUCAUUAUACAUACAUAAUCUAUUGUUAAUUUCGUAUUAUUAUAUAGAUAUUUUAUUUCUUUCAAAUAUUUUAACAUCUUUAAUUCAUUUCAACUUAUUUCAAUAUUGUUAAUUUAUUUUAAUAUUUUAAUAUAUAUAUUAUAUUUAUUUCUUAAAUUAUGCUUAAAUUUGUAUAUUUCGUUAGUGUUUAUGUAAAAUUGCUUGAUUUUAAUUAGUUUCCACUUAUUAGCCAAUGUGGGUAUUUACAUGAGAUUAUUGUUGCUAUGUGUAUUACUUGCUUGUAUUUAUCUACCAUUCAUUUGAUUAAUGUAUAAUUUAUUUACAAAUUAUCCUUUCGCGUUGCAUAUUGUCAUUUAAUCACCUUACAUUUUUCAUUCAAGGAUUUAUAAAAUAAGACUCGGUAUCCAAGGUUCUCGAGAAGAUUGUGCCCUAACUUACUGGGCCUCAAUCUUCCUCGUUGAAUUUAAGUAACCGAGUAUUCCUUUUUCAAUUAAAGCAAAGAUUCCAAAUUAAAGCUUAUCUCGAAGAUUCAAAAUGUUGUGUCCUAACUUAUUGGAUACAACAUCCUGUUAUCUCGAGACCAGGUUUUUAAAUAAAGGCAAACUCAUGUGUCGUCUUUGAAACUUCAAGGAGUUGUGCCCCAACUUACGGGGUUUCGAUUUCUUCAUUGAAGCAAGAAGACUGAUUUUUUUAGUUUUCAAAAUAAUAAAUUUCAAUAAAGAUUUUUUAAAGGGGAAUCGCUUUUCAAUCUUUUCGAAUUUUCAACAUUCGAAUUUAAGACAUUAAAUAAUCAAUUCGGUACCAAUUUUGGGCGUUACGAGGGUGCUAAUCCUUCAUCUUACGUAAUUGUCUCCUGAACUCAUUUUUUCUGAAACUUGUAGACCAAAAUCAUUUUUAAGGUGAUCCGAUUACACCUCAAUAAAAGAUCGGUGGUGACUCCCAUGUUCGUAUUCAUUUUUAAAAUCCAAGUCGAUCCCAUUUUCACAAAAAAAAGGUUUUGACAAAUACUAUCUCUUUUACGAUUAUAUAAGAAAUUAUUUAAUAUAUAAAUUAAAAAAAUUAGUAAUGUACCCAAAAAACUUUAAAAUUAUUUUAAAUAAUAGUAUUUUAAUUUUUCCAUUUUUAACAAAUAUUUUUCUAUGUUUUUUAUUUUAAAUUAUUUCUACAUGUCAUUAUUUUUUCUGAAGAUUUUAACUAUUCAAUUAAAAAUAAUUUUAAUUUUAAUUAAUAUAAAUAAACCAAUUAAAUAAUAAAUAGACAGAUAAAAUGUUUAUUGCGACGCUUUUUUAAAAACGCCGCUAAAAAUAGAGCAUUCACAGCGCUUCUUCAAAAACGCCGCUAAAAAUAGAGAAUUAGCGGCGCUUUUUCAAAAAUGUUGCUAAAGCCCCAAGAAUUCGCGGCGCUUUUUCAAAAAUAUUGAAUAUUGUAAAAUUGUCAUAAUCUAAGAAUGUCACUAGGACUAUUGUAUGAUCAUUCUUUAAAUAUGAGAUAAAAAACCUUUCAUAUUAUUUUAAAAUAUUGAGUGGGAGAUGGUCAUUUAACAAGACCUACGACCUCCAUUGAUGGCCCUUAAAUGGUAACAUGAUAAUUGAAAGAAAAAAAAAUUGUCCCAAGAUAAACUUUAUCAUUUGGGUUCCCUAGAUGAGAUUUACUUUUCAGGAUAAGUAGUUGUGCAUGAAUCUUAGUGAAAUUGUCCCAAGAUGACUCACAAAUGAAAGCAUGUUCAUGAUGGGUGUUGAGUCAAUAGUUACAUACUUAAGAACUUCUUAUGAAAUAGUUUCCCAAAAAACGAUAUUUAAGCUAGAGGCAAUGGCUAAACGUUAAACGAUCGUUGGUUCCUGUGGAGUCUUGAGAAUUAAGAUUCAUGAACUGAUUCCAUGUUCUUACUAGUUAAUCAUGAGACCCCAAAGCGACAUGAUUGAUGGGUGUGAGAAUGAUCGUAGCAAUAAAAAAAAAUAUUAUCAAGAUUUUAAUACAAGACGCAUGCAUCAUACUGCAUUCUUGAUAUGUUGCUGAAAUGAAAAUAUUUACUUAAUACAAAGAUAGUAAUUAAUGAAUCUUUAUUUUUUUCAGUUCAAAUAUGUCUUAUAAUCCUCUUAUUAACAUUUUUACUAAGAAAAAUUUAAAUGGGGAUCAUUUUUGUGAAUGGCAAGGGUUCUCAAGGAAAAAUAUUUUUUGCGUGAUGAUUUCCUACUGUCGACAUUAGGGAGCAAACCUUCUUUUAUUAGGAGGAGCAUCUGGGCGACGAAAGGCCUACUUGUCAAAGGUUGUAGUUGGUUGAUGGGGAACAAGAAUGAGAUUUUAGUUUGUGACAAGUCAUGGCGCUCUAGUGAUCGACCAUUUCUGGUGGAGUCACAACGAGUCAACGGUAUUAAUUAGGUUGUUGAUUUGAUUGACACAAAUAUGAAUAUGUGGAAUGAGGAUCUUGUUCUAUCAAUGUUUGAUGCCUUAGAGGCUCGUACGAUCCUCUUCAUUCCUUUGCCGCAGUAGGGGGCCUUGACAGUUGAAUUGGUGCUUAGAAGGUUCUCGAGAGUACACGGUUCGGAGUGGCUAUUGACUCAUUUUGCAUGGUUUUCCUUGUUCGAUGAAGGACAAGUACAUUAAUGUGGGUCAAGACAUCAAGGACAUUUAUAGAAUUCUUUGGCAGAUUCCUGCGUAGGAAAAUAUCAAAAUUAUAGUGUCAAAAUUCGUAAACAACUAUGUGUCUACCAAUGCUUAUCUUUUCAUGCGACAACCUUCGAGGUGACUGAUGUGCCCUCGAUGUGGUGUGGGUGGUGAAACAUCUCUUCAUGCUUGUCAUGAUUGUCCAUUUCUGUUCUGGGUUUGGUUGAGCCUUGGUUUCACUUGGCAUGUGGAUGAGGUUAACGACUCUUUGUUUUGUUGGGUGUGGGAUUUGCUUUGUGGUAGUUCUCCUGCACAACGUCUAACAAUAAUUGUCACCAUUUAGGCAAUUUGGUAUUUGAGAAAUCUUUUGGUGCAUGAGGGCAAACGACAAUAAAAUUCAGAGCUUCUUACCUUUAUUUUGGGUCAUGUCCGAAGGCUGGGAUGCUUACUCGAUGUGCAUGGUCGCGGAAGGACUCAACCUUCUGAACAUGGUGAUUGUCGGUCGAGCCUUGUAUGCGACCUAAUUUUGAUAUGGGGUUUCAUAGGGACUUGGGGGUUGCACGUGCAGGGGUCAUGACCUUGAAUCAUUUGGGCCUUCUAAUGUGGGCAGCCUACUUCUGGACGGAGUAUGUUUCAACCCCUUUGGCAACGGAGGCAUGGCUGAGUGUGGAAGAGAUUUGGUUCACAAGGGAGAUGGGGUUUGGUUCGAUAUGGGGAGCUAAAUUAUUGAUGUUGGCACUGAUUGGUUUGGUAAUGGCCCCAUCCAUUUAUUUUGCAAUUAUGAUAGGAGACGACUUAGAAAAAGAUGAGUCUUUGGGUCCUAUUUUCACACUUGAUAAUUAGCACAUCAACCACCCCUAAAUUAUGACCAUUAUUUUAAAUCUAUUUUCAAACUUCAAAUUCAUCUACUAAACAAUUGAUGUUAUAUUAAUCAAAUUAUUUUGUUGUUAAAAUCAAUAAAUGAUACGUUAAAUUUUAUAUAGCUAAUUUUAAAAUAAAAAUUUAAAGAAACUAAAAUUAAAUAAAACUGAAUUUUUUAAAAAAUGAACAAUAAAAAUUUUGUAAAAACUUCAAAACCAAGUUUUUUAAAAUUAACUAUUUUUACAAUUUUUUUUAAAUUUUCAUACUUCUGUAUCUGAUUGUUUUUUUACAAUAUGGUAUGUUUUAAAGUUUUGAUUAGAAUGGCAUGUACUUAGGAAAAAUAUUAGGUAUGUUCCAAGUAUUAGUUUUUUAUGUUCAAUUAUAUUAGUAAUUAGCCAAGUAUUAAUUUGGCACCAAAUGUAAUAUUCUUAUAUCAGGUUCCUUAAGUCGAACAUGGUAUAGGGGUGUUACAUUUAGAAUUUUCUGCCAUUUUUGAUUCUCCAUUGAUGUCCAUUUCUCCUUCUCCUGUUGUCGCACAUUGAAGUUUUUGUUGCCCUCAUAAUUUCUGCAUUGCUGCCCCAUCUAAGUCUCAUCUUGUCAUCAUUAUAUCUCACCCCUUGACUGAACCCUCUUAGCUUGGUUAGUGAGCAUUCAUUAUUGUUAAUCGACUAUUAACGCAGAUCUUCAAACCGGUGUAGCGUUAAGAAGGAAUCGAGACGAAUCCGAGUUGUAGUGGUGCUCCGGUCAAUUGUUAAUAUUCUAUGGAUUGUAAUUGAGGUGUGAGAUUCAAAUCAAUUGUGAGUGGUGUAUGCAUGUGUACUAUUUUGCAUGUUGGCCGAAUAACGUUGUUUUACCAAAUACUUAUCGAUCAACUUCCAAUUAGCUGCUACUGGUUCCUUUUGUUACUGACUUGCUAUUUAAUUUGCUUCAAUUUUGUUGCUUAACCUCGUACGAUCAAAUGGGAUUUGAAGGGAUAUUUUCUUGGUUUUUGGGAGCAAAAGAAAGUAAGCAAAACUGAAGAAGAAAAAAGAAAAAAACUUGAAGGUCUUUUCUUCUUUUUAAGGGAAAGGAAAUAAAUAAAAAUAAAAAUCAAGGUUGCACUAAAAUGUUAAGAAAAGUUUUAAGACAACUGGGUUCAAAGGAUUUGUGUUAUGAGAUUACCUCGAUAUGGGGAGCUAAAUUAUUGAUGUUGGCACUGAUUGGUUUGGUAAUGGCCCCAUCCAUUUAUUUUGCAAUUAUGAUAGGAGACGACUUAGAAAAAGAUGAGUCUUUGGGUCCUAUUUUCACACUUGAUAAUUAGCACAUCAACCACCCCUAAAUUAUGACCAUUAUUUUAAAUCUAUUUUCAAACUUCAAAUUCAUCUACUAAACAAUUGAUGUUAUAUUAAUCAAAUUAUUUUGUUGUUAAAAUCAAUAAAUGAUACGUUAAAUUUUAUAUAGCUAAUUUUAAAAUAAAAAUUUAAAGAAACUAAAAUUAAAUAAAACUGAAUUUUUUAAAAAAUGAACAAUAAAAAUUUUGUAAAAACUUCAAAACCAAGUUUUUUAAAAUUAACUAUUUUUACAAUUUUUUUUAAAUUUUCAUACUUCUGUAUCUGAUUGUUUUUUUACAAUAUGGUAUGUUUUAAAGUUUUGAUUAGAAUGGCAUGUACUUAGGAAAAAUAUUAGGUAUGUUCCAAGUAUUAGUUUUUUAUGUUCAAUUAUAUUAGUAAUUAGCCAAGUAUUAAUUUGGCACCAAAUGUAAUAUUCUUAUAUCAGGUUCCUUAAGUCGAACAUGGUAUAGGGGUGUUACAUUUAGAAUUUUCUGCCAUUUUUGAUUCUCCAUUGAUGUCCAUUUCUCCUUCUCCUGUUGUCGCACAUUGAAGUUUUUGUUGCCCUCAUAAUUUCUGCAUUGCUGCCCCAUCUAAGUCUCAUCUUGUCAUCAUUAUAUCUCACCCCUUGACUGAACCCUCUUAGCUUGGUUAGUGAGCAUUCAUUAUUGUUAAUCGACUAUUAACGCAGAUCUUCAAACCGGUGUAGCGUUAAGAAGGAAUCGAGACGAAUCCGAGUUGUAGUGGUGCUCCGGUCAAUUGUUAAUAUUCUAUGGAUUGUAAUUGAGGUGUGAGAUUCAAAUCAAUUGUGAGUGGUGUAUGCAUGUGUACUAUUUUGCAUGUUGGCCGAAUAACGUUGUUUUACCAAAUACUUAUCGAUCAACUUCCAAUUAGCUGCUACUGGUUCCUUUUGUUACUGACUUGCUAUUUAAUUUGCUUCAAUUUUGUUGCUUAACCUCGUACUGUUUGCCAUCUAAAUGUGCUGCCUGCUAUUUGGGUGCUGAUUAGCUUCAAUUUCUUGUUGUUUUAGCCUGCUGUGCAUUUGUCAAUCAGCCCUUUAUUAUAGCCGUCAAUUACCUUGUGGCCAUUGUGCUAAUCUUAAAAAUUUGCAACACCGAUUCUUUCAUUUUUUUUUUCAAUUGUUGUUUGCUUCAGCCAUUGCCUUUAAGUGCUAUCAACAUUGGCUUAGUUGUUGCACUUGUUUAAUAUUAUUGUGACUCGGCAAACGUGAGCUUGAGGAUAAUAGAAAAGACUACUCAAUGAAGCAUUCAUCAUAAACGAAUCGAAAAGGUACAAUUUUUAUUAAGUGUUUAUUACUUUAGAUAUCACAAUUAAAUUCUUAUUUUAGAAUUUUUUUAAACUUAGGCUUUUCCCUAUAUUGAUUUUUGCUGCAUUUUCAAAAACCCCUAUAUUAGGGGUUGACUUCCAUCAAUAAUAGAUCAGUUUCAGAAAAUACAACAAUAAUCCCAGAUUUCUCCAAAACCAAACAAAAUUGCAGACACUUUAACACAAAAAAACACGAAUCAAAGAAGGAAAAUUAGAAGAUCAAAGAUGAAACUAACCCGACUUUAAUAGCAAGAGCGAGCGAAGCUCUUUUUCUGAAACCCGUACUGUGGAUAGAGAAGGAACGGAAAGACAAAAAAAACCACAAGCUUUUACCUCGAUUUUUCUUCUUAAUCAUAGGUUAGAUUCUAUGAUAAAAUUUUCCUUGAGUUUCAUUCUAAUUGCAGAUUUUGAUCUUAUAACAUACCAGAUUAGACUACCACAAAUUCUAUCAUCCAAUUCUUCUAUGCUACAUAAGAAGUCUCAGAUAUUGAAUUUGUUAAGGUUCAGUGAUCAAAGCCACUGAAUAUAUACUCAACAGUACACAUUUAAGCAUUUCCAGAAUGUACGCUCUAUUAUGAUACCAUGGGUUCAUGAAAAUUUAAAGUAACUGGUGCUUAUUAGUCCCACUGAACUUAUCACUCGAUAAAAACAAGUCAUGUAGCUUUGCAUAUAUAAAUACAAAUCACAUGGUUACUAAAUGAGCAAUUAUUAGAUUGAAGGGUACAAGCUUCUUUGGCAGAGAAAGCUGGUUAUACUCUCAAUUGCUGCUUUACAGCCACGAGCACGAAAGUGAUUGGAUUUCUUCUUUGAAUGGCCAACAAGUUUGGGGUUAACCAGUUGAUUUUGCAAUUCACAAAUGACUCUUUUCUUCCUUGUCAGAUGCUUCACAGACAUCUCUUCUUCUACAUCAUUUUUAACUUCUGGCUUCCUAGAAUUUACUGCAACAUUCCUGUUAUCAACUGCGUCCUGAAAAUGUUCAAAACAGAUGUGAAGCAUCAAACAAAGAAGAAAAGAGCUACCAUGAAAUGCAAAAAAUCGAAAUCCAUGAUAAGCUUAACAAAAAUUGUAGCUCAGAAUUGUUGCAAAAUUUUUACCAAAGAAAGAACAAAUGGUACUCAGAAAAUGCAUUGAAUUUUAUCAUAAAAGCAGCUUAAUAAACUCACAGCUUAAUAAACAUACUUCCGAACAUCAUCCUCCUUAGACAAGUUGAACAACUUCCUGAUUUUUGAUGCUCUCUUCGGACCACUCAUUCUUGGUUUCUAAGUGUCAGUCAGUCCAGGAAGAUCAUUUUCACCCUUUUUCACAAUAACCAAGUUCAAAACUGAAAGAUCCUGACUAACAAUGCAUCCACGAACUGACUUCCUCCUACGCUCUCCAUUUCUCCUACCAUAUCCAUGGAAGCAGGGAGUAUCUAUUCAAAGAAUUAGAAAAGAAGACAUUUAAUUAACCGAAAAAACAUUUCUACACAAAUAAGAACAAGGAAAAAUAUUUCAGAAUCCACAGACCUCUGUGAAGCAAAAGACGAACACAUCCAGGAGUGAGAACUCCUUGCUUCAUUGGAAAACCUUGUUUAUCACAGCCUCCCAUGAUCUUGAAUACAUAGCCCUUAAACUCCUGUUGAAGGAUAAUUAAGGGGUGAGCAAAUUGCAGUUAUGAAGUCCAGAUGCACCAGCAGAAACUUGAGGCAGUGAACGAAAAGCUAAAGGUAACUUGGAAACAUACCUCAUCGAAGGCAUCACCAUUGACUUCCUGUGAGAUCCUCUUGUCAAAAAAGGCUCGACUGCAUUUUCAAAUGUCAAUGUGAGAAUACUUUCUUCUUAAUACAAAGUAACAACUACCAACUAGCAUUGACGCAAGAGAGUAAAUGGAUGCUCACAAAUACAAUCAAGCCAAGCUGCUUAAAAGAAACUAUUAUUUUAACAUAAUAAUCAGCUACAAAUUUAAUAGAUGAGCUAUUAUCUUAUAAGGUAUAUUUGACGCACCGAUUAGAUACAAGUGAACUAUAUCCAGAAGGCUAAUCCACCGUAAUAUUAAAAGUUCCACUUCAUAUCUAAAUGAAAAAAGGAAAGACCUACAAAUCAAAUCCAUUUGUUGAUUUUGUGUUGCAAGACCAUCAGAAUUUUUUUAAUUUCUUUCUCACAGUUGCAUAAAAUCAUGCCUCAAAUAGAAGAUAUCCAAACUUCGUUAGCAAAUAAUAUACAUUUUAUUUUGCUUCAACAUAAUUGACUUUUCACAUUCUAUAAAUACUCAGAAAAGUUGAAUCCCACCCAAACAAAAUAUAACUGAAACCUGAAUAUAUAUAUAGACAACAUGACCAAAAAGAAGACAUAUCCUUCAUAUGGGUCUUUUCAUGGUUAAGACAAGCAGCAUUAAAUUUAACACUAAAUACUGAAAUUAAAUCAACGAAUUCAACUUAAACCCAACUAUUUCAUGAGUUAGAGAGAGAAGAAAAUCACAGUUUCUGGUCAUCAUCAAUUUCCAGCUUUUUUUGGUAACCAAUAGUCGUAUUUGCAAUGUUGAACUGAGAAAAAAAAAAAGAAAAAAAUCAGCAAAAUGAAAAGAAUAAACAAACCCCCAAAAAGGAUUGAAAUCUAUUUAUAUUUAGUUCAAAAAAGAAAAAAGAAAAAAGAAAAAACCUUUAUUUCUGUUUGAUGGGUCUUCUGAGGAAGAGGUGAUCAUAAAUGGGAUGGGCCGGGUUUGGGUCGGGCCGGGUCAAAAAAAAUUUUAGCUUGCUUUUUAGGCCUUGGCCUAGCUCAAAAUAUGGGCCUAAAAUUUUGUCUAGGCCCGGCUCGAGGAAAAAAUACUAAGCCCGAGUCUGGUUCGGCCCGGCCCGUUUUUUAAAAGAUUAAAUUAAUUUUUUAUCAUUUGAGGGCCAAAGUAUAAUUUUACCAUUACUAUUUUAAAAUUUUAUAAAUUAUAAAGAGUUAAAAAAAGAAUUUUUAUUUUAAUUUUAGAAUAGAACCCUUGCCCAUGAAAUAUCAUAUCAACAAAUUUGACAAUACUAAUAAUUAAAAUUAAAUUUUAAAUUUUGAAAUAUAAAAAUUAAAAAUUUUAAAAUAAAAAUAAAAAAAUAAAUUUCAAAAUAUACGAGCUUAGGGAAAUGGGAAAUGGGGAGGAGAAAUGAGAAUUUUUUUAAAAAUAUAUAUUUAUUAUAUUAGGGUCGAGCUGGACCUGGGCCAAAAAAUUUUUGCCCGAGGCCCGGCUCGUUUUCUAAACAGGCCUCGUUUUUUACCCAAACCCAUAUUUCGAGUUUAUAUUUUUACCCAAACCCUCCCAUAUUUCAAGCCCAGCCCAGUCCAUCAUCACCUCUAGUUUCGCUUCUAUUAAAGGGUUUUUAUUUGUGGAUAUUUAUAUAAAUAAAAGGGGAAUAACUAGGUGCUGCUAGUGAACACCAUAACUUUUAUCUGAAUCAACAUGUGGACAUUUGAUGGGUCUUGAAUUCUAAUUUAGGCUUUGGGUUAAUUGGUUAAAUGGGCUUACUUGGACCCACUAUAAUCGCUUUACUCUAAGUGAAAAAAACAAAAUUAAAAAAAAAAGAUUUGAAAAUACUUAAAUCAAUAAUUAAAAGUAAAAAAUUGGUAAAAAUCAUAAGCACAAAUUUAAAAAAAGUAAAAGCAACCAUUAACAAUUUAGAGAAAAAAAUACUAGUAAAAAGUCAAAAUUUAAAUUGGUGUAGAUGAUGCAAACCGAUAAGGUCAUACAACAACAAUUUAAAUAACAGCAAUAUCCCUGGAGGAAUAAGAAUGAAAAUUAACCUUGUACUUAUUAAAAUGUUGUGAAACUAUUUAAUGUCAAAUUCUUUGAAAAUGUUUAAAAACUCAGUAUUACUGUUUUCUUAUUCCCUCAACAAAUAUAAUGCAGCUUUAACAGUUUUAAAUACACCGAAACGAUUUUGAAGAACCAAAUCUUCACACGAUUUUGAAGAACCAAAUUAAUAUUGUCUAUUUUACAAUUAUAUAAUAAAUUAAUUAAUAUAUAAAUUAGAAAACACUAGUUAAUCUAAACCCUAAACACAUAACAUCUAAACCUUAAACCCCAGCCUUUAAACCAUAUACCAUAAACCAUAACCCUUAAACCCAUAAUCCAUAAACCUUAAAAUAAUAACUCAUAAGCCUUAAACUCUAAACCAUGUACCCUAAAUCAAAAACCCUAAACUAUAGUGAUAAUUAAUUCAAUAUUUUAAAAUUAAUAUUGUAAUACCCAAUUUUAAGUUCGGGCCCAACACCAAAUUAAAAUAAAUUAAAACUAUAAGUGUCCAGCCCUAAUUACAAAUCCAAAUAGCCCAAAUUACAAAAAACCCUAGCCCAAUAGGCCCACAACAUGUUUUCAGCAACAAAGGAGGCAGAAGCCCUAGGGUGCGCCGCACGUCAGCAAGGCUCCCUCGCACGCCUUCGCUCACGUCGCAGUACGUCACCUUCGCACUACGCAUGUUCUCCCUGCAACAAACGAUAAACCAAAGCAGCAAAAAGAAUAAACGGACUUACAACAAAGAAAAUAAUAAAUUUACAGCGAAAAAUUGUAAGGGGAGAUAAAAACAUAAAAAAAAGCAAAAAAUAGAAAAAGAGGGAUUUUGAUUUUUCUUUUUGGCUAUAUAAAAGCCAAACACGGAUUUGUAAAGGGGGAAUACGAAAAUCGAUUAAAAAAUCAAUAAAAAAAUUAUAGCAGUGAGUUUUUAAGGUGAUUUCCUUUUCUUUUUCGAUUUCUCUGUUUCUUUUUAUUAUUAUUGUUUAUUCAUUGUGUGUAAAAAAAAUCAAUUAGAAAACAGAAAUUACCUGAAGUGUUGAAUCUGCUUGCUCCGUCGCGAUCGGAGCCCUUGCAAGGUUCGGGAAGCCUCAAAACAGCCUGAAUUUCCAAAGCGGCGGAGAGAAAAAAAACCCAAGGUUUUAUUUUUUAUUUUUUUGGUUUUAUUUUCUGUAAAAGUGGCGAAAAUUCUGAUUAGGGUUUAAUUUGGGGGAUUUUAUAAGGUAAUAAAAAUGACAUCGUUUAGGUCCUGCUUUAGUGGCCCCAAAACGACGUCGUAUAAUGCCACACCAAUUAGUGACCCGCGCGAUCCGACCCGAGGGGAGGAUCUGCGCGUUUUGUCCCAGGGGUAAAUUUGCGCAGUGGUCCUCUCUCUUUAGUGGCGUGUUCAAAUAAAUUCUUUUCUUUUUUUAAAUUUCGCCCUUUAAUUCAUUUUUCGCUUUAUUUUAGUCCAUGUUGCAACACAGUGUUUUGGAGGGUUGGGAAUAUUUCCAAAUUAACCUUUCAUGUCAUUCGCGCAUUGCACAUUAGCCCUUAUUUUGUUUUAUUUACAUUAUUCCCCGAUUAAUUUCAUUUUAGUUGCAAUCUAAUAUAUUUUUUUUAAAAUUAGUUUAAUAUUUUCAUUAAUAUUAGGAUCAUUGUUGUUGUUAUUAUAAUUAUUGUUAUUACUACUUUCAUUAUUAUUAAUAUUAUUACUAUUAUUGCUAUUAUUGAUAAUAUUAUUUGCUUAUAUAUUUUCCUAUUACAUAUACAUUACUUUAUUUUAUAUGUAUUAUUGUUUUAAGUUACUUUUAAAAUCUUAUAUGUAUUUACCUUUUUAUAAUAUACUAUUAUUAAUAUUAUUUGAAUUUAUUUUAUUCUACAAUAUAUUUUCUCUAAAUUCACUCAUUACAUAUUUUUAGGUUUGUAUAAAUAUAAAUUUUUUUACGUAAUACUAUUUAUGUAUACAUAUUUCAUAUUAAAUUAUUUUCAUUAUACAUACAUAAUCUAUUGUUAAUUUCGUAUUAUUAUAUAGAUAUUUUAUUUCUUUCAAAUAUUUUAACAUCUUUAAUUCAUUUCAACUUAUUUCAAUAUUGUUAAUUUAUUUUAAUAUUUUAAUAUAUAUAUUAUAUUUAUUUCUUAAAUUAUGCUUAAAUUUGUAUAUUUCGUUAGUGUUUAUGUAAAAUUGCUUGAUUUUAAUUAGUUUCCACUUAUUAGCCAAUGUGGGUAUUUACAUGAGAUUAUUGUUGCUAUGUGUAUUACUUGCUUGUAUUUAUCUACCAUUCAUUUGAUUAAUGUAUAAUUUAUUUACAAAUUAUCCUUUCGCGUUGCAUAUUGUCAUUUAAUCACCUUACAUUUUUCAUUCAAGGAUUUAUAAAAUAAGACUCGGUAUCCAAGGUUCUCGAGAAGAUUGUGCCCUAACUUACUGGGCCUCAAUCUUCCUCGUUGAAUUUAAGUAACCGAGUAUUCCUUUUUCAAUUAAAGCAAAGAUUCCAAAUUAAAGCUUAUCUCGAAGAUUCAAAAUGUUGUGUCCUAACUUAUUGGAUACAACAUCCUGUUAUCUCGAGACCAGGUUUUUAAAUAAAGGCAAACUCAUGUGUCGUCUUUGAAACUUCAAGGAGUUGUGCCCCAACUUACGGGGUUUCGAUUUCUUCAUUGAAGCAAGAAGACUGAUUUUUUUAGUUUUCAAAAUAAUAAAUUUCAAUAAAGAUUUUUUAAAGGGGAAUCGCUUUUCAAUCUUUUCGAAUUUUCAACAUUCGAAUUUAAGACAUUAAAUAAUCAAUUCGGUACCAAUUUUGGGCGUUACGAGGGUGCUAAUCCUUCAUCUUACGUAAUUGUCUCCUGAACUCAUUUUUUCUGAAACUUGUAGACCAAAAUCAUUUUUAAGGUGAUCCGAUUACACCUCAAUAAAAGAUCGGUGGUGACUCCCAUGUUCGUAUUCAUUUUUAAAAUCCAAGUCGAUCCCAUUUUCACAAAAAAAAGGUUUUGACAAAUACUAUCUCUUUUACGAUUAUAUAAGAAAUUAUUUAAUAUAUAAAUUAAAAAAAUUAGUAAUGUACCCAAAAAACUUUAAAAUUAUUUUAAAUAAUAGUAUUUUAAUUUUUCCAUUUUUAACAAAUAUUUUUCUAUGUUUUUUAUUUUAAAUUAUUUCUACAUGUCAUUAUUUUUUCUGAAGAUUUUAACUAUUCAAUUAAAAAUAAUUUUAAUUUUAAUUAAUAUAAAUAAACCAAUUAAAUAAUAAAUAGACAGAUAAAAUGUUUAUUGCGACGCUUUUUUAAAAACGCCGCUAAAAAUAGAGCAUUCACAGCGCUUCUUCAAAAACGCCGCUAAAAAUAGAGAAUUAGCGGCGCUUUUUCAAAAAUGUUGCUAAAGCCCCAAGAAUUCGCGGCGCUUUUUCAAAAAUAUUGAAUAUUGUAAAAUUGUCAUAAUCUAAGAAUGUCACUAGGACUAUUGUAUGAUCAUUCUUUAAAUAUGAGAUAAAAAACCUUUCAUAUUAUUUUAAAAUAUUGAGUGGGAGAUGGUCAUUUAACAAGACCUACGACCUCCAUUGAUGGCCCUUAAAUGGUAACAUGAUAAUUGAAAGAAAAAAAAAUUGUCCCAAGAUAAACUUUAUCAUUUGGGUUCCCUAGAUGAGAUUUACUUUUCAGGAUAAGUAGUUGUGCAUGAAUCUUAGUGAAAUUGUCCCAAGAUGACUCACAAAUGAAAGCAUGUUCAUGAUGGGUGUUGAGUCAAUAGUUACAUACUUAAGAACUUCUUAUGAAAUAGUUUCCCAAAAAACGAUAUUUAAGCUAGAGGCAAUGGCUAAACGUUAAACGAUCGUUGGUUCCUGUGGAGUCUUGAGAAUUAAGAUUCAUGAACUGAUUCCAUGUUCUUACUAGUUAAUCAUGAGACCCCAAAGCGACAUGAUUGAUGGGUGUGAGAAUGAUCGUAGCAAUAAAAAAAAAUAUUAUCAAGAUUUUAAUACAAGACGCAUGCAUCAUACUGCAUUCUUGAUAUGUUGCUGAAAUGAAAAUAUUUACUUAAUACAAAGAUAGUAAUUAAUGAAUCUUUAUUUUUUUCAGUUCAAAUAUGUCUUAUAAUCCUCUUAUUAACAUUUUUACUAAGAAAAAUUUAAAUGGGGAUCAUUUUUGUGAAUGGCAAGGGUUCUCAAGGAAAAAUAUUUUUUGCGUGAUGAUUUCCUACUGUCGACAUUAGGGAGCAAACCUUCUUUUAUUAGGAGGAGCAUCUGGGCGACGAAAGGCCUACUUGUCAAAGGUUGUAGUUGGUUGAUGGGGAACAAGAAUGAGAUUUUAGUUUGUGACAAGUCAUGGCGCUCUAGUGAUCGACCAUUUCUGGUGGAGUCACAACGAGUCAACGGUAUUAAUUAGGUUGUUGAUUUGAUUGACACAAAUAUGAAUAUGUGGAAUGAGGAUCUUGUUCUAUCAAUGUUUGAUGCCUUAGAGGCUCGUACGAUCCUCUUCAUUCCUUUGCCGCAGUAGGGGGCCUUGACAGUUGAAUUGGUGCUUAGAAGGUUCUCGAGAGUACACGGUUCGGAGUGGCUAUUGACUCAUUUUGCAUGGUUUUCCUUGUUCGAUGAAGGACAAGUACAUUAAUGUGGGUCAAGACAUCAAGGACAUUUAUAGAAUUCUUUGGCAGAUUCCUGCGUAGGAAAAUAUCAAAAUUAUAGUGUCAAAAUUCGUAAACAACUAUGUGUCUACCAAUGCUUAUCUUUUCAUGCGACAACCUUCGAGGUGACUGAUGUGCCCUCGAUGUGGUGUGGGUGGUGAAACAUCUCUUCAUGCUUGUCAUGAUUGUCCAUUUCUGUUCUGGGUUUGGUUGAGCCUUGGUUUCACUUGGCAUGUGGAUGAGGUUAACGACUCUUUGUUUUGUUGGGUGUGGGAUUUGCUUUGUGGUAGUUCUCCUGCACAACGUCUAACAAUAAUUGUCACCAUUUAGGCAAUUUGGUAUUUGAGAAAUCUUUUGGUGCAUGAGGGCAAACGACAAUAAAAUUCAGAGCUUCUUACCUUUAUUUUGGGUCAUGUCCGAAGGCUGGGAUGCUUACUCGAUGUGCAUGGUCGCGGAAGGACUCAACCUUCUGAACAUGGUGAUUGUCGGUCGAGCCUUGUAUGCGACCUAAUUUUGAUAUGGGGUUUCAUAGGGACUUGGGGGUUGCACGUGCAGGGGUCAUGACCUUGAAUCAUUUGGGCCUUCUAAUGUGGGCAGCCUACUUCUGGACGGAGUAUGUUUCAACCCCUUUGGCAACGGAGGCAUGGCUGAGUGUGGAAGAGAUUUGGUUCACAAGGGAGAUGGGGUUUGGUUCGGUGGAGAUUGAAGGGGACUCUCUGGUGGUUAUUAUGAAACUUCGCUCUCCUCUCCUUGAUCCCUCAGAUAUAGUUCAUAUGUUCUAGAGGCUCAACAACUUGUAAAGACAUUCACUACUUGAAGAUACCAACAUAUUCACAGAGAAGGAAACAAUGUUGCUCAUCUCAUGGCUCAAGAGGGGUUUCUGUUGUUGAACUGCUUGUUGGUUGUUGGAGGAUGGCCCUGAUGUUGUUCAUGAUCGGGUGGCUGCGAAGAUGGCAGGUGAUCAGACAUCUAUCCAACCACAAUAACAUCUAGGAGUCAGGGGUCAUGGCGACAAGUCUCUGUUGGUUCAAUUGGGUGGCCGGGAUGUUGGAUGGACAAUUCUUUUGGAGAGCUUCAUUCAUCACUAUAUUGUUACUCUGUUGGGAGAGGGCAGCUCAUAUGCUGGCUGGAUUUAAGUGUUUUUUUUUCGGUUGUUUUCUUCUUUUCAUUUUCUGGUGUUUAGGGACUUUUUCGUUUGUACGAUGGCUUUUUAAUUUUAAUAAGGUUCCAACCUUUUACUUCAAAAAAAAAAUAUUAUUUGAAAAAAAAAUAUAAUACGAAGAGUGAAAAUACAAAAAAAAAGUGAAGAGAAAUCUAAAAAAUUAGUAAAAGAGAGUUAAUAUAUUUCUAUAAAACAAUGAAACCUUCUGUAUUUAUCUCCAAAUAAAUUUUUUUAUAUUUCAUGUAUUUUAAAAAAUGAAAAGUAAAUUUGAUUUUUAAUUGUUUUAAGCUUUUUCUGAAAUUUUUGAAAUUCUUAUGUUUUUUUCUUUUUCUUUUGUAUUUUUAUCUAUUUUUAAAAAAUAGAAAUAUGUUUUUUUUUAUUUUGAAAAUUUUNNNNNNNNNNNNNNNNNNNNNNNNNNNNNNNNNNNNNNNNNNNNNNNNNNNNNNNNNNNNNNNNNNNNNNNNNNNNNNNNNNNNNNNNNNNNNNNNNNNNNNNNNNNNNNNNNNNNNNNNNNNNNNNNNNNNNNNNNNNNNNNNNNNNNNNNNNNNNNNNNNNNNNNNNNNNNNNNNNNNNNNNNNNNNNNNNNNNNNNNNNNNNNNNNNNNNNNNNNNNNNNNNNNNNNNNNNNNNNNNNNNNNNNNNNNNNNNNNNNNNNNNNNNNNNNNNNNNNNNNNNNNNNNNNNNNNNNNNNNNNNNNNNNNNNNNNNNNNNNNNNNNNNNNNNNNNNNNNNNNNNNNNNNNNNNNNNNNNNNNNNNNNNNNNNNNNNNNNNNNNNNNNNNNNNNNNNNNNNNNNNNNNNNNNNNNNNNNNNNNNNNNNNNNNNNNNNNNNNNNNNNNNNNNNNNNNNNNNNNNNNNNNNNNNNNNNNNNNNNNNNNNNNNNNNNNNNNNNNNNUUCAUUUAGAAUCUGGAUUUUUCUAUUUCAUUUUUAUUUACUUAUUUAUUAGAGGUGAUCAUGGGCCUGGCUGGUUGGUCUGGCCCAGCGGUCCGCCUGAAAUAUUAGAGAGUUUAGGUAAAAAUAUAGGCCCAAAAUAUGAGUUUGGGAAAAAAAUGAGGCCCGUUUAGAAAAUCGGCCGGGCCUCGGGCAAAAUUUUUUUGGCCCGGGCCCGAAUAUAAUAAAUAUUUAUUUUUUUUUAAAAAAAAAUUUCUCAUUUCCCCUCCCCAUUUCCCAUUUCCCAUUUCCCAUUUCCCUAAGCCCGUAUAUUUUGAAAUUUAUUUUUUUAUUUUAAAAUUUAGAAAUACUCUAAAAUAAAAAUAAAAAUUCUUUUUUUAACUCUUUAUAAUUUAUAAAAUUUUAAAAUAGUAAUGGUAAAAUUACAUUUUGCCCCUCAAAUGAUAAAAAAAUUAAUUUAAUCUUUUAAAAACGGGCCAGGCCAAGCCGGACUCGGGCUUAAUAUUUUUCCCCGGGUCGGGCCUGGAUAAAAUUGUAUGCCCAUUUUUUGGGCCGGGCCAGGCCGGGGCAUAGGAAGCGGGCUGAAAUUUUUUCUAGGCCCGGCCCAUGAUCACCUCUAUUUUUAUCUUUCUUUUUUUGACAAAAAGACUUGAUUUUUCCAAUCCAAUUAAUAUAAUAAUAACACUAUCUUCUUAUCCUGGAGUCUAAAAUCAUCUCAUACUCCUACCACUGUAUCUUGUUUUUACUCUGAUGGUUCCCUCCAGCCGUAGCCUGUGCCACCUUAUUGGCCAACUUCUCUUGCAAUACCUUUGCAUCUCUGCUCAUAAGACAUAAUUUAUAAAACCACAAGUAGAAAGCGAAGGCGCAAAAUUCACACAAUAAAAAAAAUUAUAAAAAGGAAUUUAAAGAAAGAAAGAAAGAAAGAGGGGACCUUUCAUGGUGCUGCUAAGGGGCUAACGCCUAUUUUUUUAUAAUUUUUUGAGUAUUUUAUAUAUAUAUUUUAAAUUUUUAUGUAUUAUAAGAUUUUUAAAUUUAAUUAUAUUUUUUAAUUUUUAGAAUCAUGACCAAAUUGGUAUAAUGUGUAAAUACUAAGGGUUAAAUUUGUUGUAUUUUUUUAAUUAGGAGUAAAUUAAUUAAAAUGGGUAAACAUUGAGGGCUAAUUUUGUUAUUAUAACAGGCAACGUCAGCAUUCCAUCUAGUGAUAAAACUCAUUUUAAUGGUAGAGUGACUAAAAUUGACAACUUAUCAAACAUGAAUAACAAAUAAUAAAAUUUUAAAAUAAGUGACCAAGAUAAAAAUACAAAUAAACUCAGAGGACUAAAUAGGUAGUUUGCCUUUUAUAUAAUCUCAUUAAUUUUCUUUUCUAACUAUUUUAAAAUGCAUGAUGGGUUCACCUUUGUCUUUCUUGGGGUGGAUUGUUAUUGGAUUUCUGAAGCUUGUUUUUUCAUGGUAAUGUAUAUUAUUUAAGUGUGUGAUUGAGUUAGUGUCACGAGUUAACUUGACAUCAAUUCAAUUAAGAAAAUUAUUAAAAUAGUCUUACAUAUUUUAAAUAAGUUAUAUCGUUACAAGGAUAUUUUUGUCUUUUUUUUAUUUAAAGAAAAAUUCCUAAAAUGUUAAUAAAUAUUGAGUUUGAACUGUAUACUACUAACAUUUAUAUUAUCUCAUUUAACUAUUUUAACCAAAGUUUUAUUUUUAUAUUUUUAUAUAUUUCGAUGUAAUUGCACAAAUUUUUUCAUUCACAUUAUUUGUAUAUAUUAUUAAUAUUAUUGAUUGAGUUAGUGUCACAAAUUUACUCGAUAUCAACUCAAAAAAAAUCAUUUUACUCACACUUUAAACUAAUUUUUUUAAUUUUAAUUUCGAUCAUAUUACAUAUAUGUUGUUGUUGUUGUUAUUAUUAGUUUCAAACUUUACAUUUGAUUGAAUGUUAAAACGCAUGAUGACAAAUUUAGUCUUUAACAAUUACACAUUUAUCAAUUCGACCCUUACUUUUUCUUUAACUAAAUUUGACCUUCUAAAAUUUAACCAUCAAACCUUUCAACUCCUUAAAAAUACUGAUUAAAACAUUAAAUUUUUAAGUAGGAAAGCUUGCAUAACAAUCGAUGAUGUAUACUUCAUGUUUUUUUGUUUUUCCCGAUACCUUAACCAAUUUCCAGUCCCCAAUUAAAACCCCCUUUUUUUUCUUUUUUUUAAUUUAAAAAUCCCACUCCAUGUGUACCAUCAGUGAAGUCAAUAAAACUUGCCUAACAGUACAAAAUUUGAUAACUGGUCUCUUUUACACCAGGAAUUGAACAUGAUAAAAGUGGUAAGAAGAAAAAGGGAGCAAAUGUAUAAAAUUUAACUCUGUUUAUGAAACAUUGUUGAAUGUAUAUCCAGUUCGACAUUUAACAGUUAGUAGGGAAUGUUGAAAAAGCAAACAAUUUCUUUAGCAACAGGGAUGGAUAAAAGAAAUGGGCCAACCAGCCCUUUGAUUAGAUUAGAUCGACAUAUAACAUGAAUUUUUCCCUCUAAACCCGACAAAAAAAACAUAUGGAAAAAUGGAUCAUCAUUUCAACAAAGAGGGGAGUUUUGGUUGUUCCUUUCUCCCCCCCUUUUUUUUUCCUGGGGACUGGUAGGUCGGAGUAAGAAUUUAAUGGCGCCAACCUGGUUCUCGUUACGGAUUAUUAGAAUCUGAAAUCCGGAUCCACAUCCAUUGCCCAAGCAAACUUUGCCAGAAGUGACUUGUUGAAUAUCUGUGAAACAACAUCAUACAAUCAAGAAAUUGAAUAAUGUGUGUCAUUCUGAUAAUUAUAACAAACAUGGUUUUACCUUCUCGAUGGGAACUUCAUGCCGCUUGCACCAUGCAACCGUGAUUCGAGGGUCAAGGUAAUUGAUUUUGGAUGUGCCCAGUGCUACAGUUUUUAGAUCCUCUUUAGUCUGCAUGUCCCGUUCCAUCUUCUCAAUCUUUACAUUUGUUUGAGCUAUCUUUUUCUCUAUCCUGCAUCGAAAAUGAAUCCAUAAAAAGAAGUUCGAUUGUAAAAUUUGCAUGGAAGCCUUUAAGAAAAAGAAAAGGGAACAAGCUAUAUUACGCUUCAGGGGUCAAGUUCCUCUUCUGCUUCCCAUCAGCAUCCUUCAAUGGCGGCUUCCCUUUCUUAGCCCUGUCCAAAUCAGUUUUUAGCUCUUUUAGAACACCCUACAAGCAACAAAAAAAGGUCAGUCUGAUAGAUAUGGAAUGGAAAAGCACCAAAUUGUAAGGAAAAGCCAAAGUGACUAUGUUGCUUCGACUCUACAUUUUCUUCAAGUACCCAUGUUUGAACCCAACAUAUAUUCAUAAAAGGGUGCAGGGAUAUGAUCCUCCGAAUACAUGUAAAAGCUUAGAAAAUUCAACAUACUUGUGCCGGACACAUCUAUUGUUUUCCAAGAAAAUUUCUAGCGAGAGUUAUUACCUUGAGUUCUGUUAUUUUCUCGGUCAGCCUUGACAUUUGCGCACUAUGAGAUUUUGAGAUACUGCGCUGAUGAUUACAAAUGAUUGCAACCUGCAGGAAAAACAAUCAAACUUCUAGAUACAAGAAAGUUAAGCAGAAAAUAGAUAACUUCUUCAGCUCAGCAUCUAGCCAGAAACAGUCCUUACCUCCUUGUUUGCACGCUGAUAAAUUACUACUUUUUCUGCUACAUCACCAUCUUCGGUUUCUUGAUUUAACUGCAUUGAAGAAAAGAAAAUCUAAAUAAGCAUGAAGCUAAAACUUUCUUUUAAAAAAUUAAUCCAACCAUAUCACACAAGUACAGACACUGCAAAAAGCAAAUUUCCAUGCACAGUAUUGACACUCCUAAUCUUGUUACUCACUACAUUGAAAGUUCUCCUAAAUAUAUUUUAUAUAUAAUUGUAAUCGUUACAGUCCAAUAUAUUUGUCUCAUACACUUAUUGAUGACUUGCAACUAGGGUAUGCACACAAACAAUAUUAGAGUAAAAUGCAUGCAGGUCAUGCAUAGGUUGACAUACCAUAUCGUCCAAUGUAAUGGAAGCAUUAUAGGUACGGAAGACUUUCGCUGUAAGACCAGGCAUGAGUUCCUUCAAAUGAGCAUUUAGUUUACUCGUAUCAAGCUCAUCAAAAAGAUCAUCACUUUUGCUUUUCCCUGCAUAAAAGAGAGAUCACACCCUUUGGCUUAAGUCAUAUCAUAUAUGUCUCAAUUCUAGUCACAGGUAGUCAACAACUUACUAGUUUGAAACUGUCCAAUUGCCUUGUAUACAGGAAGCUCAACCUCUACCGUGUUCACGUAUUGGAUCGAAUCUUUACCGAGGAAGUCAAACUGAAUGAAUAAAACAAGGACAAAAAUGUUAACAACAGUCUCAGCUAGCAGAUAAAUGACUUGGCUUCCACAGAAUUCAACAAAACUAACGAGUUUUAACAGGCAAAUUCCCAGAAAAAAUAGGCCCAUUCUAACAGUUACCAAAGAAAUACUAUCUUUUCUCGGAGCAUAUUCCAACCUUACCUUCAAUUUAUUUGGAGGAAUACAUUCCACAUUUCCUACUUUAAGCGUGCAACAACCAACGGUAUCAGCUUCAUCAUCAUCCUGCAAAUGGCCAACCAUAACAUAAGGAAUACCCCAAAAAAAAGAGGGUUGUCUGAAAGUUUUCUUCGUAACUAAAAGUUAAUAGGACCCAGCAACUUUCAAGACAAACAUAGAUUAUAUAUUGGUUAUCAAUAUCUUUCAACCUAAAAGAUAAAACAAGACCUAAGUAAAGACUACUACAUGAAGUUGAAAGAGUUAAAAGGUCAAGAGAGAAGGAGACCAAAAAGAACUAAAAAAAAAUAGAAAAGCAAUAGUUCAAAAUGAUUCAAUGGAAGAUGCAAUCAACUUUAACCCUUUACCCUUUAGCCUUUCUGCCCUUCUGCUAUUACUAGGAGCAGCCACUAACAUUUUCCAUAAACAUCAAUAGAAUGCACAUAGGACCACCAAAUAUAAUACCUGACUAACACAAAAAGCCUAAUAAACUACAUCAGCUCGGACAUUUUAUUUCCUCCAUUGAAUUCAAUCCUACCCACACAAUUAAUGUACAAAGAGAUGUUAAUGCACUAGCACAAGUAAAAAGAAACACAAAUUAGAUUAUCCAUGGUAAACAUGAUAUACCUUCUCAUUACCCGCCCUAAGAGCUAAUUUGUCAAUUAGAUAGGUAGCAACUGCUAUUUGCCUCUUUGUAACAUCUUUCGCUGUAAAAUCCUUCGUAUAUGCUGCUCUGAUGUUCUUGAUAUAGUCCUGCAUUUAAAGUGCAAACAUCCAUUUAUUUAUAUAGGGUUAACUAAAUAAAAACUAAAAGCACCAUCCUAUUGCUUAUUACCUUCAGCAGCCUUGCUUUCUCAUAUUUCUCCUUGUCACUUUGCCCUUUCAAAGAACUGCUAGCAGCCAAAAAUACAUAUUUGAAUUCUUUUGGAUUAAUGGGAUCAUUCCAGAAAGCUAACCAUGUAACAGUAUUGUCAUGUUUUAUAUCUUUCCAUCUGCCAGUCAGACAAAAAAAGAAAUCUCAAAGUUAAGAUCAUUAGAUUGAAAAUAACCUUCAAUCUUUACGUAUAUUAUAGAAAAUAAAUGCUCUUCUUGUCUCUUAAGUCUUAACCUUUCACCAGGGAUUGGACAUUCUGGAAUUGGGGCAUCCUUUCCGAUAUUAAUGGUAAUGUCACAUGGACGAAUACGUCUUUUCAACUUUCCCAUCUGAAAGCAACAAUAAAUAGAAAGAGCGUCAUAUAAGAAUCCUAUAAAUGGAACUAUGCGACUAAAGCAUAGAGUUUUUUGCGACAUUAAAGUUGUCACACAUGUCAUCAAUACCUUGGGAUGCUCUCCUCGACCUCGGAAAAGUCCAGGUGGUUCAACUCUGAAAUUUCCUACCUGCAGUUAAAAACAAUCAUCUGAAUUAAAUCCAGAAGAAAAGAAAGUAGUUUUAAAUGGGAUAAAUCAAAUUCUACAUUGAAGCUAAAUCUUCACCUUCUCUUUGACACCAUCUACAAUAGCCCACAUAUACUUUUCCUCCUGCUUCAACUUUUCUUCUUUCAAAGCCUUCUUCUCCUACAAACAGUAACCAUCCUUAAUGAUUGUAAAACCUUAAGAUAGAAUUCACUUUGAAGGAAUAAUACGAGAACAGAUAUCUAGGUUCUAAGAUAGAUGUCAUAGAAAAAGCUAUAGUAUAUUGAAGCCAAAAAUUAUUUACAACCAACUUACUUCAGAACUCAUUUGUUUCUUCUUCUCUUUCUCCUGCAAAUGCCACUCAUAGAUUGGAGUGAAAUCACAUUUGUCCAAGCUCUUAAUGACAUGGUUUCUACCCAGUAAUUUACUCCAAUCCUCCCAGAAAUUCUUCUUGAACUGUGGUUUACUCAUGUAAUCGGUCUCUUGCAUUACCGCAAACAUUGUUGCCACCUGCAGAAUGGAAAGAUCACAUUAAAAUAUCCACUAAAAAUCUUGCAGACAUUGGUCCUCACGAAAACACACGAAAACAGAAUUGACAUAUAAACAUCAAAUAUAUUUAGAGAGUGAAAAAGAGACCUCCUCUUGUUCAGGAGUUAGAUCCACUGGUUGCCCAUCAUAUAGCAUCUUAACCCCAUGAGGCUUGUAUGGAGGAGGGAAUAUGACACCAUUGUGAACCAAGGUACUCCAUUUUUUCUGUCCAUCACCAGAACUAGGCGACAGCUUUGUUGACUUGCUAUAUUUAGAUUUUUUCAUAUCUUUCUUCGACUUAUUUAUCUUUUUAAAUGAUGAAGAUACAACCUUGGUUGCCUUUUGCUUCACGGAUGAUGUUUUACUGACUGAUGAAACCGACUUUUUUAUCCGUUGGGAAAUUGGAAUAUGAUCAUCUUCAUCAUCUUUUUCUGCUUUCACAGUAACUUGCUUGGUUUUCAUCGUUGUAGGAGUAUCUGAAAUCUUUGGCUUCUUAGCAUAAGACUGAUCUGAUGAAUUGCCUUUAUCAAGAGGUCUCUUAUCUGAUAACACGGAAAACUUUUGCUGCUUGUCCUUCAUGAUAGAACCAUUCUGCUGAAUUUUAGAAGGCAGAGGUUUCUUCUCAUGAGAUCCAUACGACUUACUGCUCGAUGUCCCAGUAUUGGACUUCAUGCUGAACCUCGCAGACAAAGGAGCAUCAUCAUCUGGAUCUUCAGCAGAUCCUUUUACCUCAAUUUUUGGUACCAAUCGCUGUGACUGGGCAGGAGUUGAAGUGCUCACCCCUUUAUUGCCCUGGCUUGAGAUCCCCUUAAGCCUUGCACUCAAAGGUUUUGAGUCAUCGUCGUCGUCAUCGCUGUUUGUUUCAUCAGUACAUUUAAUCAGGCUUUUCUCUUCCUUGACAGCAGUAAACUUAUUCUGCUUCAAUGCUUGUUUUGACUGAUCACUUAAUGAAGUCGAUGCCUUAGAACGAACCACUGGUGACCUCACUGGUGAUGCCUUGGCGGAUGAAUUAGAUGAUUUCGGGCUCAAAAUAGGUGAUCUGGUGGGAGGUGACUUAGACGGCAGGAUUGACUUGUUGGUCCAGGCAACGGAAUUUUGACCAUUAGGAGCUUGUACACUGGAGGCCUGUCUCCCAGACUGUCCAUCAGACCUUUGAGAUGAUGCCUUCUUUACUUCUGAGUUUAACUGAUUUUGCUUAGAGGACGAGGUAUUACUCCUCUUGAAAACUACGGGCCCAUCGUCAUCCUCAUCAUCAUAGUCAUAAACAUGUUUGGAAGGAGCCUCAACAGCCAUUAUCCAACCACAAACUGUGUUGGCAUGUAUAUCAAAUCAAAUAUCUGAUUAAAACAGAAUUCCAAUUACUUUGGCAAUAAAACAUACUUUACAUCUAAAACCCUUAUAAAUUGACAAUAAAUUAAUUAAACAGAUUAUAAUUACUGUACAAGCUUAAUUGCUAAACCAAUUAUGCAACAUACCUAAAAUGCCAACCCAAUAACUCGAAGAACCGUCAGAAUCCCCACAAAUGAACAAAGCCUACCAUGCAUAUCCACAUACAAAAAACCAUCCCCCCGGCGUUAAAUCAUCCUAGCAAUGAAAUUAAAUGGCUAACAAUAAUGGCGUAAGCUCGAGGAAUGACCAGCAAAACAAACAAGAAUUCCAAACAAAUUCCAUUAGAUACAGAACACCCAUUACUCCAAACACCCCAAAUUCAAAAGGCAACCUAAUAAUAAGACCAAUAAUAAAAGAAUCCACAAAUGAAAAAGGCGUUUUCCUCCAAACCCAUAUGCAUACACAUGCAAAUAGUCACCAAUAAGAGCAAACUAAUAACCUUCUAAGUUCAACCUAACUUACAAUGCCAAAAAAUUAGGCAAAAAGCUUCAAGCAAUGAUAAACCUAAGCAAUAACAAUGGACCGAUUGAAGCUUAUAAUCUUUGCUCCUUUCCCCCUAAAUAAAACAGAGGUUUUUGCUUAAAAAACUUAACCCAAAAAAAAUUCCAAAACAGUGAGCUAAUAACCUAACCCAAGAGAAAAUUAUCGAAUUUAAAACAUUGAAGCAAUAAGAAAAAAAGAAGAUUAACAAAACAAAAAAAAAGUUCCCAAUUUUGAGUGGAAGAAAACCCUAAACAUGAAAAUUUUAUGGGAGGCCAAAACAAAAAGAAGGGUGCUGAAAUUAAUGGGGGAAAAAGGGUUACCUUUAAAACAAAAAGAUCAAAGCUUUGAUAAGAGAGUGUAGAUCGAUUCAACCCUUGCUUUAUUUCUUUUGAUUUCUUAGUUCUUCUAUUUAUCAGCGGUUUUUUAAAUAAAAAAAAUGGAAAAUUUUUCUUUGUAUUUUUUUCUUUUUCUUUUUUCUCAGAUUCUGAGCUGUGUGUUAAACUUCAACCGAUAAAGUUUAACAUAUAGACAAAGUUGUGCAGUUUUGGUAGGAGAACAAAAGGUAGCUCAAUGGGCCUUGGGCCUUGGGCCUCUUUGGGGAUAUUAUGGGCCUUGUGCCCAUAUGAUUUUAAAUUUUUAUUUUUACUUUUUUAUUUGAUGUAUUUUUAUGUAUGUAAUUAAUAUAAAUACGGUAAACUACACUGAUAAUCACCAAACCACUAGUAAUUUUUCCAGCCACUCAAUUAUUAGGAAAUUUCUUUUUUGAUUACCGAAUUACGAAAGUUACAAUAUAGUCACUCAGCUUUUCAAUUUUAUCUUUUGUCCCUAUCAAUGAGCUAACGGUGGUAGGUUUGAAAAUUAGCAUAAUAGCAACUUAACCUUUAACAUUUAUAAAUUAUGUCAAUUUAGUCUUGAUUCUAAAAAAUUUAACCCUCAACAUAUACACAUUGUGCAAUUAAGUUGUGUUUUUUUUUGCGGUUUUAUUUUUCUUUGUGACGUCAAGGGUUGAUUUUAAAAUAAUGAGAAAAUAUCAAAAUUACUAUCUUGGGAUUUUUGGGUUUUUCAUUUUUUUUUUGUAUAGUUUCAAUCAAAUUUAGUUGAUAAUUUUUUUAGCUUUUUAGGUGAAAAAAAAAGAAUAAAAAAGAAUAAGAAGAUUAAAUUACACAAUGUGUAAAUGUUGAGGGUUAUAUUUUUUGGAAUUGAAACAAUGCAUAAAUGUUGAGGGUUGAAGUUACUAUUAUGCCAAUUUUAACUAUUCUAUCCAUUUUGGGGUGAUUUGGUAAAAACUACAAUUUUAAGAACUAAAAGAGAAAAGAAAUUAAAUGAAGGGUUAAACUGUGAUUCCAUGUCAUCCAUAUCCCUUUCUAAUAGGAAAAUGAGAAAUGUCAUGUUUUUCCUCGUGAUUUGUAUUAGCAAUUUUUAGUUGAAUUUGAAUAUUUUUCAAGAGGAAAAAGCUGAAAUUUAGGAGAAAAAAAAUUUGAUUUGUCAUUCUCCUAAUGAAAAGUAAUAGAGAUUAUGUGAAAUCACAGUUUCAUACCAUAUUUCUCCCAUGCGUAAAUAGUUUUCUAGAUUUAUAUAUUUUAUAUAAAAAGAUAAAAAUACACUCAUAAUAAGAUUUUAGUCAUUUCUCAACUAAAUUAAUAUUCGAUAAAUAAAUAAUAGUAUUGUUUUUAUUAAAAAAUAAAAAUAUUUUAAAAAUUUUCAAAUUAAAUUAAUAUCCUUCUGCCAAGAAGUUUCCAUGGUUGAUUACCAAAAGAAAGCUUCGUGUUCAACUAUUGGAUUUGUGUAUAUAAAGUCAAAAUUGAAACAAUGAUGGAUGAAAAAUUCAGGUGGGUUGACAGGAUUCUCGAUUUUUCUAAAAUAAAAUUUUUUUAUUUAAAUCUAUUUAUAAUUUAUAAAAUUUUAAUAAUAAAACUACACGUUGACCCUCAAAAUUAAUAAAAAAUUGAUUUAAUUCUUUAAAAAUUAUAAAAAUAUAAACUAUUAAAAUAAUAAACUUUAAUUUUUAUUAUCAUAAAAAUAUAUAAUUUAAUUUCAACUCAAAAAAAUUUUCUGACUUCACCAAUGUUGAAGUUUAGGCUCACAAAGAGUUGUCUAAAUACAAGAUGGAGUUUUCUUUUCCUUAUAUCCUAGACCACCGAAAGGAUCUAACCGCUUGACCAAUCUUAUAUCAUUCUUUCCCCUAGUCUUAUUGAAAGGCUUAUGGAAACUAUCGACUUUUUUGAAAUAAUCAUUUGUCUAAAAAAAUUUCUUAAUUUGAAGUAAAAUUCAAAUAAAAAUAAUUAAUCAUGUCCGUCUUUGGAUAUAGAAGGGAAAAAGAGCUCAGAGAUUGAGUUCAAAUAUGAUAUAAAUUGUGUUAUACAUCAGUAAUUACCGACUCGAGCCCUACUAGGAAUCUGAGUCUUUGACCCGUGACCUGGAUAGGUCCCACCAGAAGAUUGAGUGUGAAACAAGCCACGAAGAGGACAACAAGGCGAGUUUACGGAGUUAGCUCGCAAGGCAAAGCCAAGAACCUAGCUCGUAAAACAAGGCCACAGAUCCAGCUUGCAGGCCCAAGGAAGGUCACUGUCUCAGUUCUCAUACACCCAUGGAGCUCGUAAAAAGGGUCGCGUGCUCCACAGGCCACCUAGACACGUGUCCACCAAGUAUGAAGCCAGCCCAGAAUGUUAGUCCUGGGAACAUAAAAGACCGCGUGCUUCGUAAACACGUGCUUAGGAAACCUAGAGUUCUAAGAGAAUGUUAGUACUAGGGACAGAGAGUGCAAUUGCCAGUACCAGAGGCAGUGGAGUCAAGGCAAAAUAGUGGGGCCCUAUCAUGAGCUAUAAUAACAUCUAUAACUAUAACACCCCCUACCUGUAUUGGGCCCUACCGGAGUUUACUGAACGUUUUCAAUAAUUCUGAGUUAUUUAUUAUUCAUAUUCUGAAAAUAAUCAUAACGUCCCUUUAUUGGGCCUCGAAGCCCAAAACAUUCAUUAGGAACCUACUGGGAUUAAAUCAGAAUCAUAGGGAAUUUUUGCAGAAUCCUAAAUAUAUAUAUAGAUUUUAGAAUUUUUUAUUUUCGAAUUAGGUGCAGGAUUCAUAUGGGCGUAUCACAUAACAAAUCUUUUCAUAAGAAAUUGCAUAGCUGAAACCUGUUCACUCUUUUAUAAGCUCAAUUAUAUUUUUAUCUAAGCACUUACCAUUCCAAUGCACCUUAUAAUUAAACAUAUUACCAUUCAAUAGUAAUUUGGCACUUGCCUAAACCUCAAGCAACAACAUUGGUUAGCGUACUUUAAUAUUGACAAACUUAUUUUCUCGCCAUGUCUCACUUAAAUUUAUUACUCGUCUUAAUACACAUAAUUUUCCUUGUAUCAACGUAUCAAAGAGAGUCUCACAUUUACAUGUCAUGAUACAUAUCAUUUUCUUGUUAUUUCUUCUUAAAUAUAAAUCAUUCAAUUCAUUAUGACAAUAUUUCAUGUACCAUAAUUUUUUUUAUAAGUUCAAUGUCUAUUUAUUCCAGAAGCAGUUCAUAAUCUUGAAUAUGCAUAAUUAUCAGGCAAGUUUCACAUACAUGUAUUUUCCAUAUCAUAUUUUUGUAUAUCAAAUAAUUAUCAUUUCUAUGUAUUUCAAGUUUAAUUUCAUGAUUUUAAGUACUUAUCAUUUCCUAUUUUUAUCCCGUUAAAUUUCUCAAAAUUUUGAUAGAUUUUCAGGGGUAUACUUUAGUGUACAAAUUCGGGUCCGUCAAUUCAUAUUCAUGUGCACACAUUUUCCAAUUCAGAGAGCACACUCCCGCGAACCUCAUUUCUUACAGCGGGAUUACCAGUCCAAGCUAAAUCCCCUGCAAGAUAGCACACUCCUGCGAACCUCAUUUCUUACAGCGGGAUUACCAGUCCAGGCUAAAUCCCUUGCAACGACAAUUACUCUAAUGAGCUUGAAUCUGAAUUACCAGUCCAGGCUAAAUUCAGACCCUAAUUCGGAUUACUCGUCCGGGCUAAAUCCAUUUUCCACAUAUUCUUCGGGAGGCCUAUAUCAAGAUCACCUGUCCGGGCUAGAUCCUUUUUACCGUCAAUUCCUUUUCAAAGAUCCAUCGAAUUUUCCUUCCAUUCAACCUGGAUUUCUUCCCCUUUUUAUCAAAUUUAUCAAGGUUUCAUCAAUUUUCAUACAAUAAACAUUCAAAUCAUAUUCACAUCAAUAACAUACAUUUCAAGCAUUUAAGAAUAUAAUUCAAGUUACAUGAACUUACCUCGUUACUUGUUAGUGUUUACAAUUUCACUAAUCCGAUGUCUUUUUUUUUCCACGUUCAAGUCUCGUAUUUGAGUCAUUCGGAUCUUUAUAAAUAAAUAAAUAAACAAUCCAUUUCAUGCAAUUUGAUCAUUUUUGAUAUUUUUACAAAAUUACCCUUACAGUUUUACUUUUAUUCAAUUUAGUCUCUUAGCCUAAAACGUGCAAAUUAUCCAUGCUACAUGAAUAUUCAUAUAUAUAUAUAUUUUUCUUUCUCCUCCUCUCCAUUCCACAUCCUUAAUUUAUAUAACAUGCUUAUAAGUAACAUUAUCUAUGACUUCACUAUUUACUUGUAAAUUUAUUCUAAGCUGUCCAUUUGAGUCAUAUUCACUAAAUUAUUUUUAUCUUGAGCUACAGAACUCCAAAUUAAGAUCCUCUAUUUUUUCCUGAAACUAGACUCACAUAUAUUCUUACCAUAAAAUUUUCAGAAUUUUUGGUUCAGCCAAUAAGUACAGUUUAUUCUUUAAAGUCACCUCCUUCUGCUUCUGACAGUUCCGACUCUUCUUCACUAAAACUUAAUUAUCUCCUCGUACGAGAUUCGAAUGAUGUUACCGUUUGUUUCUAUUUAAAAUAGACUCAUUAAAGAUUUUAAACAUAUAAGUUUAAGCCCCUAUAUAUUUUUUUUCAAUUUUUUAUGAUUUUCCGAAGUCAGAACAGGGGAACCCGAAAUCAUUCUGACAUUGUCUCACAAAAUUUAUUAUAUCUCAUAAUUUACAAUUCCAUUACUUACACCGUUUCUUCUAUGAGAAACUAGACUCAAUAAGCUUUAAUUACAUAUUCUUUUCAUCCUCUAUUUAAAUUUCUACUAUUUUUAGUAAAUUUUCAAAUUUAGACUAUUGUUGUUGUCUCAAAACUGUUUUAAUGUAAAAUGUUGAUAACUAAAUUUAUAAUACCCUCCUUUCCUUUCUCUUCAAUAUUUUCCAUCACUUUCUCUUAUUUCCCUUUACUAACAUAACAAGAAUAUAGAACCUUAUAUAAGGAAACUCUACAUUAACAUUAAUUUCCUACUUUUUCAAUAAUAUCAAACUCAAAAAUAUAUUAAAAUCUUAAUGUUCUUACCUUGUGGUAUUGAUUUCAAUCUUUAACUUGAUUUUCUCUCUCCUCCAGCUUCUAUUUCUUGAAUCUAACUUGAUAUUCUAGCUCCCUAUUGUCUCCUUAUUAUUUUUCUCUCUUGGAAGCUAUGGAAAUUCUUUUGAUUUCUAAGUGAAAAUGGUGGAUUUUUGGUAAAAAUGACCAAAUUGUAAAGAAAAGAAAAUUUUCUUUCUUUCUUCUUCUUCUCACGUUGAUGCAUGGGAAAGAUGAUGAAUUCUCUUCAUCUUUCCUCCCUUUUAUAUUAAUCAUUUAAUAAUAAAAUAAUACUAAAAAUCUUAAUAAAAUAUUAAUUAAAUAACAUUUAUCUAAUUAAUUAAUUAAAAAUAUCACCAACAUCAUCAUUACCUUCUAGAAUUCUCUCUCUAAUUUUUGCCCUUCAUUAUCUUUUGAAAUUCCAUCCUCGUGUCAUCACUUAAUUUGGUAAAAUUGUAAUUUAGUCCCUCAAAAUUCUUCACAAUUUCAAUUUGGUCCUAAUUCAUUCAUUUUCCUUAGUUUCUAGAUUAUUCCACCCUUAAAAUAUUUACACUACUUGUCCUUCAACUUUUUCAUAUUUACACUUUAACCCCUCAAAUUUUGAUUAUUUACUCUUGGGUAACAAAACUUUUCCCACUUUUGCAAUUUAAUCCUUUCUUGAAUUAAUAUGUCAUAAUAUACUUCCCAAUGUUGUCAUAACUCAAAAUUCUCCUUUUUGUCACUUUAUUUCCUUACUAUAUCAAAGAUAAUAUCUUACUGUCAAAAUUUUUUGGGGUAUUAUAGUAACAACAUGUAUAAAUACUCGAACACUCCUAUUAAUAACACACGAGAAAAUAUUACUCAACAAAUCAAAAUUUUAUUUCAAUUGAAAAUAUUUUAUUAUUACUGUAAUAGCCCAAAUUUGCCUGGGCCCAAACAAAAAAAAACCAAACAGAAAUAAAUGAUAAUUGUCCAGUCCAAAUUACAACCCAAAUUACAAACCCGUUACCCAAGGCCCGAUAAGCCCAAAACCUUAACUAGUUUCAGUAAAAAACUGAAACCCUAACCCUAAUGCGCCGCACCCCCUGCUACUCCCAUGUCCGCCGUUCCUCCUCGAGUGCACCGCCCGCGCCUCGUCCCGAGACCUACCCCUUAAUUUGCUCAGCCUUACACCAAAACAGUAAACUUCACCUCUGCUGACCACCUGCAAGAAAAGAGAAAGAAACAGGACUACCGAAUAGAGGCCAAACAAUGCUAAACAGUGCAAAACAGUAUAAGAAUAAUAAAAAAACACAAUAUUGUAAUUGGCUAUAAAAGCCUAAGAAUGGAUUAAUGUAAGGAGUUUUUUCUUUGAAUAUAAACGAAACAGAGAAAAAGAAAUAAACAAAAAUUAAAAAAAGGUGAUUACCUUGAUUUUGAUUUAGGGUUCUUCUUUUUUUUUUUAACUUUAUUUUUAUUUUAUUUUAAGCAUGAAGAUACAAAAAGGAAAGGGAAAAAGAACUCACCGAAGUCAUUCUGUGUUCUCGUCGGAGGCUCCUUCUCCGGUGACAAAAUCGGUUGUAGGAGAAGGUUGAUGGUCCGUUUCCUUGGUUUUUUCGGGUGUUUUGAGGCCGGAUUUGAGCUCAGGGGGUCAAGAUCUUAAAAAAAAACUUUUUUUAUCUUGCCGGCCACCGUGCGCGACGGCGCUGACGCCGGCGAUCGGCGGCCAGCAUGGUGGCCAUCGAUUGGAGCUUUGAGAGGAUGAGAGUGGUUGAGAGAGUUUGGCGAAUUUUUUUUUAAAAUAGGGCUGAAAUUAAUUUUUUGGGGUUAAAAAAAUUCUAUUUAUAGUAUAGCCCAUACACGUUGUUUUGGGCCCAAGCUUCAGGUGCCAAAACGACGUCGUUUUAAUGUUGCCUGAUUACUCGACUCGCUCCAUGGCUAGGAUCUGCGAUUUUUUUUAAGCGGAAUGGCUAAUUGCGUUUUCAGCCCUUCCGCUUUCGUGAUGCACUUCAAUUUAGUCCUUUGUCGCCUUUUGGUUGUUUUUUUAAAUUUGGCCAUUGAUUUUUUUCGUGUUUCAAUUGGGUCUCCAGUCUGUUGAUCUGCAGAGGAAAGGACACGUGUCUUGGGAUGGGGCUAAUUACUUAUUUAGUCCCCGCUUGUUUUUGCGCAUUUAAUUUUAGUAUUUUACUUUAUUUGAUUACUUAAUCUAUUUAUUUUAUUUUAAUUAUUUACUUUAAAUUUUACUUAGAUUCUGAUUUAGUCCCUUCUUUCAAUCUUUUAUUUUUUUCUUUGUAUUUAUUUAUUCAUUUAUAUUUACACUUUUUUUUUCUUUCUUUCCAUAUUUUUUGUUUUUUUUUCAUUUACUGUUUGUUUCUUUUACUAUAUUUAUUAUUAUAUCUAUUAUUACUAUCUAUUUAUGCAUUUUAUUACAAAUCACACCUACGAUUUCAUUUACAUUUUAAUUAAGCCCGUCAUUUUCAAUAUUAUAUAUAAUAUUUUUCUCUUUAUUUAUUUACAUAUUUAUUUAUUUAUUUAUUUGUCUUCAUUAUAUUUAAAAAAUUGGUAUUGUCAUUUCAUAUGCAUAUUUUGUCAUUAGAACUAUCAUUUAUUUUAUUAUUGAUUAUUUAUUUAAUUAAUUAUUAUUUUUGAAUGUUAAUAUUGGUAUUAAAGUGAUAUGUAUUAUGAAUUGCUUAUUAGAGCAUCUAUGUUAUUGCCGUUCAUUAGCGUAACAUUUUAUUCAUAUAUCAAUUUUAAUAUUACAUUAAUUUUUACCCAAAUUCGUAAAAAAGAAAAUUUCAAAAAAUAAAGGUAAUAUUUCAUAUUUAGAAAUUCGAAAAGUUGUGCCCUAACUUACUGGUUUUCGAUUUUUCUCACGUUAAACCUAAUAACCGAAUAUCCUUUUAAAACUAAAAUAACUGUGUUUUAAAUAAAAAUAAAGGCAAUAUUCCGUAUUUAAAAAUUCGAGAAGUUGUGCCUUAACUUACUGGGUUUUGAUUUUUCUCGCGUUGAACCUAAAUAACUGAAUAUCCUUUUAAAACUAAAAUAAAUGUGUUUUAAAUAAAAACAAAUGCGAGUUUAUUCUCGAAAAUACGAGGUGUUGUGUCUUAACUUACGAGAUGUAACAUUUAGUUUCUUCGAGAUAAGGAGACAUUUUACAUAUUACAAUUUAUCCUAGUAAUUUUUAAUUAACAUUAAUAAAAAAAGAUCGUAUUUUAAGUUCUUUUCGAGUUUUUAAUUUUUGAUAUUAAGACACUAAUUAAUCAACUAGGUACCAAUUUUUGGGCAUUACGAGGGUGCUAAUCCUUCCUCGUAUGUAAUCGACUCCCGAACCCUUUUUUUAAAUUUUGUGGACCAAAAUUGUUGUUUUAAUAAAAUCAAAUUGUUUAUUAAAAAUAACUACUUUUCGAGGUAACCCGAUCACACCUCAUUAAAAAAAAUUGGUGGCAACUCCUAUUUUCAUUUUUGUUUUCAAAAUUAAAGUCGACCCCUUUUUUUAAAAAAUGAUUUUGACAAUUGCAGUACGAAAUCAAUUCUCAAUUAAAUCCAAAGGAAGGAAUUAAAAUAGCUCGAUUUUUAUUUAUAAUAAAAUUGAGCCUUAGAUAUUUAAAAAAGAAAAAACUGACUUUUUUAAAUUAAAAUAUAUUCAAAAUGUAAGCAAACCCUUUAAAAGAUCCAUCAACUUGCAGUACUCUCCUAUGGCCUUCUCAUCUACACCAUUCCUCAACAACUGCGGAAGAAACAACCAAACGGCAGUCACGGCCAGAAAUCCCAUAGCCAACGCCCCGGAAACCACUGGGUGCAACCUCAUUUUCUCAGGCACCACCUUCUUUACCACCACUUCCGCCGCCACCGCAACCCCAUGUAAGAUGAAAAACCAUGUCAUCUCCCAAGUAGGAGCCACAUGAGUCACGUAAUAAUACAUCAAUUCAUGCAUCAAGCCGGAGACGACAAACACGGUGAUGAUCGCCGGCAAAGAAGUCCACCUUGAUCCGACCAAACGAGUAGAAAUACGACGCAUUGGGUAAUAUACGGUUGGUCGUAGAAUACUAGUAACGAUAAGGUUCCAUCUACGACCCCAGAAAUCUUGUAAAGAGGUAGUUAAGAAGGGUUCAUUGAACUGUGGCUCGAUCUCGAGCCCAAACAUGGCUCGAGCCGGGAUUGCGGCCAAGGCUAGGGUGAGCUCAAGCUCAAUGUACAUAUGGACACCGUACAUUGCUAGAACUAUAUUUUUAUGGAGAUUUCGUUUGUAGUUAUAACAAUGGUAAAGCAAAGCUAAUAUUAGAACUUUUAUAGCAAACAAGAUUGAUCUUUAGGGUGGUUUAGAUUUGUUUUGAGAUGAGGUUUUUUGUUGAAGUUUAAUGGGAAGAGACGCUAAGGAAAUUGUUGCGCGGAAGCGUGUGAAAGAGUAAAAUUAUUGUACUGAAAAAUCACACUAAGUUCAAUUCCCAGGAAAGAGAGGUGGAUCACGAGGAUCGCUUACAUACCAGAUCUUUCCUAGCCAGAAUAUCCCUCUAUCGUAAUUUAAUAGCACAAUAAAUCACUACAAUGACACUUACAAAAUAUGCAGAAUAAACAAUAAAGAACACUAGAAUUUUAACGAGGUUCAACAAAUUUUGCCUACGUCCUCGGGCACUACCAAAUAUAUUUCACUCCAAAAAUACAAGUGAAAGUUUACAAAUAGGGAGAGAGAACAAUUGCCUUAAGUAGAGAAUGGCAAGUGUGGGAUGAAGAAAGUAAGAAAUGGUUAGGCCUAUUUAUAGUUGAGGUUUAAGGAUCAACUUGCAAUGUCCCUAUACAAUUAGGGACCAAAAUUGCAAUUAUCCCAUGCCAACUUUUAACCCAACUUGCCAACCAAUUUUACUUUCUACUUUCGGUGCCCACCCUUUUUGACUUUUCAAACAAUGGGUGGGUUCCAAUAAUCUCCACCUUGAAGAUUUGAUUAGGAUAAUCUUAUCUUCACACAAUUCUUUCUGCCUUUGACAACAAUACUUGAUAGUGCCUUCUUCAACUGUUAAACUUGCAGGAUAUUAAUCAAGUUCAAACAAUGUUCGAACUUGGUUGCUGUUACCACCUUGGUCAUCAUAUCUGCGGGAUUAUCUGCAGUCUUGAUCUUCUGAAGACAAAUUUUCCCCUCUUCAAUAAUUUCCCGCACAAAAUGGAAUCGUACGUCGAUAUGUUUUGUACGUGCAUGAUAGACUUGAUUCUUUGCUAAAUGAAUAGCACUUUGACUAUCACAAUAUACGUUAAUAUGCUCCUGAACCAACCCCAAGGUUUUAGCCAUACCUUGUAACCAAAUAGCCUCCUUUACAGCCUCUAUUACAGCCAUGUACUCGGCUUCUGUGGUUGACAAUGCAACUGUAGACUGUAGUGUAGACUUCCAACUUAUUGGUCCUCCAGCAAGUGUAAACACAUAACCGGUGGUUGAUCUUCGCUUGUCCAAAUCACCGGCAUAGUCAGAAUCAACGUACCCAAUAACACCUUUACCAAGUGUAUUAUCCUGCUUGAACAGUAAUCCAACAUCCACGGUCUUCUGAAUAUACCGUAGAAUCCAUUUCACAGCUUGCCAAUGUCCUUUUCCAGGAUUAUGCAUAUACCUGCUCACUAUACUAACUGCCUGUGAAAUGUCGGGUCUUGUACACACCAUUGCAUACAUCAAGCUACCCACUGCAUUAGAAUACGGAACUUGCAACAUGUAUUCUCGUUCCGUAUUCGUCGAAGGAGAUAGUUGUGCAGAAAGCUUGAAAUGAGAAGCCAACGGGGUACUUACAGGUUUUGUCUGCUCGUUCAUGCCAAACUGCUGUAGUACCUUUUUCAAAUACUGCUUCUGAGAUAAGCUAACUCUAUCAUGAGCUCUAUCUCUCCAUAUUUCCAUGCCGAGAAUCUUUUUAGCUUCUCCUAGAUCUUUCAUCUCAAACUCGAGAUUGAGUUGAGUCUUCAAUCUUUCAAUCUCAACUUUGCUCUUAGAUGCUAUUAGCAUAUCAUCAACAUAUAAGAGCAAGUAUAUGAAAGUUCCUUGUUGUAGCUUCUGAAAAUACACGCAAUGAUCAAAUUUACUUCUUGUGUACCUUUGCCCUUUCAUGAACUGAUCAAAUCGCUUGUACCACUGCCUCGGAGAUUGCUUCAAUCCAUAAAGCGACUUUGUCAGUUUGCAAACCUAAUUUUCUUUUCCAGUAACCUUGAAUCCAUCUGGCUGAGUCAUAUAGAUUUCCUCUUCCAAAUCACCGUGUAAAAACGCGGUCUUCACAUCAAGCUGAACUAGUUCAAGAUCAUAUUGCACAACCAAGGCUAGCAAAAUCCGAAUAGACGAAUGCUUCACAACUGGAGAAAACACUUCAUUGUAGUCUAUUCCUUCUUUCUGAGCGUAACCCUUUGCUACUAAUCUAGCCUUGUAUCGAAUUUCAUUUUUAUCAGGAAAUCCUUCCUUCUUUGCAUAUACCCAUUUGCAUCCAAUUGCCUUCUUUCCCUUGGGUAGUGUCACCAACUCCCAGGUCUUAUUUUUAUGAAGAGACUGCAUUUCUUCAUUCAUUGCUUGCUUCCACUUUACACCAUCAGGGUUACUUAUUACUUCUGUGUAAGUAGAAGGAACAUCAUCAUCUGUAAUUGGAAGUGCAUAGGCCACUAUAUCAUCAAAGCGAGCAGGCUUACGAAUCUCUCUUCUUGGCCUUCUAUAUGCAAUUGAAUCUUGUUGCUGUAGAGAUUCUUGGGUAGGAACCUCUUCAUCAUUUGUCCCUUCAAUAUUAGCUGGAUCAUCGUUAACCUUUUCAAGCUCCACCUGCUGCAAAGUACUACUGGUUUUGUCAUCCUUUUGUGAAUCCUUGUACUUCAACAUGGUUGAUUCAUCAAAAGUCACAUCUCUACUGAAAACAAUCUUCCUUGUAUCAGGACACCAGAGACGAUAUCCUUUUACUCCAUCAGUUAUACCCAAGAAUAAUGCUUUCUUUGCUCUUGGGUCUAACUUAGAUUCUUUUACAUGAUAAUAUGCAGUGGAACCAAAUACAUGCAAAGAAUCAUAAUCAGUAGCAGAUUUACCAGUCCACAUCUCCAUAGGAGUUUUUCCAUUUAUUGCAGCUGAUGGCAAACGGUUAAUUAGAUGGCACGCAUAUGUAACUGCCUCAGCCCAAAAUUCUUUGCCCAAUCCAGCAUUGGACAACAUACAUCGAACUUUCUCCAGUAUAGUUCGAUUCAUUCGUUCUGCCACCCCAUUUUGCUGUGGUGUAUCCCGAACAGUGAAGUGUCGCACAAUGCCCUCAUCUUGGCAUACUUGUAGAAAUGGAUCGUUUUUGUACUCAGUACCAUUAUCUGAUCGAAGUCGUUUGACCUUUCGACCAGUAUGAGUCUCCACCAUCUUCUUCCAUUUCAGAAAUGCAUCCAAAACUUCACUUUUUCUUUUCAUUAGAUACACCCAUACUUUUCUUGAAUAAUCAUCAACAAAAGUAACAAAAUAGUGCAUACCUCCCAAAGAAGCUACUUUGGUAGGUCCCCACACAUCACUGUGAACGUAGUCCAGAAUUCUUUUCGUAUUGUGAAUUGCUGGACCAAAUUUUACCCUCUUCUGCUUGCCCAGAACACAAUGUUCACAGAAUUCCAUUUUGCAAGAAUUUGCACCUUUCAAUAAGCCUUGCUUCACCAAUGUCUGCAAAGCUUUUUCACCAGCAUGUCCCAAUCGCAUAUGCCAUAAUCUGGUAGCCUCUGAAUCUACAUCUUUUGUAGAAACUGUUGAUGUUGAUCCAAUAACUGUACUUCCAUUUAAAAAAUACAAGUUAUUUCUUCUUGUGCCUUUCAUCACCGUUAGUUGCCCAGCUACUACUUUUAGUAAUCCAUCUCUCAAAGUGAUUGUGAGCCCUUUAGAUUCUAGGGCACCUAAUGAGAUGAGAUUUUUCUUCAGGCUAGGUACGUAGCGAACAUCUGUCAAGACUUGGAUUGAGCCGUCGUGAUUCUUCAAUUGGACUGUACCCACUCCCAUUGUCUUACAAGCACUAUCAUUGCCCAUAAGAACAAUUCCACCUUCUAGCUCUUUAAGACUAGAAAACCAGUCCUUAUUAGGACACAUAUGGUAAGUACAUCCUGAAUCCAAAAUCCACUCAUCCGUUUGACAUGCCAUUGCCAUGCCAACCAAGCUAAAGUCUGACUCCUCAUCAUGCUCCGCUACACAUGCAUUAGAAAUAGCCUUGCCCUUUUGUAGCUUAGGACAAUUCUUUUUCCAAUGCCCUUUUUCACGGCAAAAGGCACAUUCAUCUUUGGCGGGUCUCCCUUUGGACUUUCCCCUUCUACCAGAUUUGCUGCUGUGUGAACGACCUCUUACUGUUAAGACUUCUGCGGUUGUAUCUCUGUGAUCUCUUUUAUCUUUCUUUCGAGUCUCAGAUCUAUACAACGCACUACAGACUGCAUCAAAUGUGAUCGUGUCCUUCCCAUGAAGCAAUGUGGUGGUAAGAUGAUCAUAUUCAUCAGGAAGGGAAUUCAACAACAAUAAUGCCUUGUCUUCAUCUUCAAAUUUCUCAUCCAAAUUUAGCAAGUCUGCUAAAAUUUUAUUGAAUGAGUUCACAUGGUCAUUCAUCGACAUACCGGGUGCAUACGUGAAUCGAUAAAGUUUUUUUUUCAUAUAAAGCCUAUUUUUAAGACUUUUCGUUAGAAACUUUUCUUCCAGUGUAUCCCAUAACUUCUUCGCUAAUGUCUCCCUCAUGACAGAGUACUUCUGCUCUUUGGCCAAACAUAGGCGGAUUGUACCACACGCCUGUCUAUUGAUCUUGGCCCACUCCUUGUCAUCCAUCUUGUCAGGUUUUUCUUCAAGGGCUAUAUCUAGCUCUUGCUGACAUAAGACAUCCAGGAUCUCACAUUGCCACAUACCAAAAUUAUUGGUACCGUCAAAUUUCUCUACUUCAAAUUUUGCAUUUGUCACAGUAGUCCUUGCUGAUGACGAUGCUGCUGCCAUUUUUCUCCUCAAUCCCAACUACUGUAUACGUGAACAGUACCGUAUACGUGAAUAGUGUCGUAUAUGUGAAUAGUGCCGUAUACAUGAAUAGUGUCGUACACGUGAAUAGUACCGUAAACGGUCGUAUUCCCCAAGUACGAACUUGGCUCUGGUACCAAUUGUUGCGCGAAAGCGUGUGAAAGAGUAAAAUUAUUGUACUGAAAAAUCACACUAAGUUCAAUUCCCAGGAAAGAGAGGUGGAUCACGAGGAUCGCUUACAUACCAGAUCUUUCCUAGCCAGAAUAUCCCUCUAUCGUAAUUUAAUAGCACAAUAAAUCACUACAAUGACACUUGCAAAAUAUGCUGAAUAAACAAUAAAGAACACUAGAAUUUUAACGAGGUUCAGCAAAUUUUGCCUACGUCCUCGGGCACUACCAAAUAUAUUUCACUCCAAAAAUAUAAGUGAAAGUUUACAAAUAGGGAGAGAGAACAAUUGCCUUAAGUAGAGAAUGGCAAGUGUGGGAUGAAGAAAGUAAGAAAUGGUUAGGCCUAUUUAUAGUUGAGGUUUAAGGAUCAACUUGCAAUGUCCCUAUACAAUUAGGGACCAAAAUUGCAAUUAUCCCAUGCCAACUUUUAACCCAACUUGCCAACCAAUUUUACUUUCUACUUUCGGUGCCCACCCUUUUUGACUUUUCAAACAAUGGGUGGGUUCCAAUAGAAAUGAAGUGAAAAAGGUUGGACGGUGGUGGUGAGAGCGGUGGUUGGUCGAAACAAAAGAGGAGGAGCUUGAAAUUAGCUAACCAAGAGAGAAAGAAGGCGGUGAUGCCAACAAGAUGAACGGAGGAGACGGUGAGAGGUAGGUAAAGGAAGAAGAUGAUGGUUGGGGUUAAAGAAAAAGGCUUGAAAAUGCCUUUGGGGAGCUUUGAUGAUAUGUAGAAACAAUAACAAUGGGAAAUGAUAGCUAAAAUCCAUACCUUGAUGAAAUUGUGAAGUUCGUUCUCCAUAGGUUGAUCUUUGGAUCUUUGAUGAAGAUGACGUUUAAUGUUUAAUAUUGAUAAGGAUUGUAGUACUUGACUUUACUUAGAUAAGUGCAUAUUAAUUAAUGUGUAUUUAAUUGAACGUUGUAGAUAGGUGUAUUGUCUCCAAUCAUAUCAUAAUGAAUUUAAGCCUAGAAUUUAUUACCUCUGAAUUUUUGUUGGAUAUGAUAAAUAUAAUUUUGGUUGUGUUUGAUUAAAAUAUUGAUAUAAUUUUAUAAUUAUUGAGUGGUUUUUUUUAUUUUAAAAUAUUACAUUAGUGAAUUUAAUAGCGUUAACGAUUAGAUUUGAAUUUUUAAAUUCGAAAAUUAAAGUAUUACAUUUCCAAAAGUAAAAAUAUAAAAAUUAAAUUUCAAAUGCACGAAGACUACAAAGAUAUAUAUAGAGUAUAUUUUAAUAUUCAAUUAUUUAUUUUAUAAUUUAGCUUAAAAAAUAAUUAACCUAAUGCGAAGCGUGGCAACAACUAUACUAGCUAUAUUUCAAAGUAGAAAAUGAGAGAAAGCCCAAUUUAUCCUUUUCAUAACAGUUACCUUGUUGUUAUAAUUUUCAAGUUGAUUACGCGCACAUCGCACCAAUUGUUGAUACAAAAUGUUGGCUUAGUGUACAUGGUGAUUCAUAUACAUCACUAUGGAGAGCCGUUGAUGGUGGUUUUGAGAAUUUUAAUCUCUUUCUUUUUGAUUUGAUAGGGCCACAAUUUGGUUUGGUGGUGAGAGAAUAUCUUAAAUACUCAAAUGGCAUGCAAAUUUAUUAUUAAUUGUGAAUUUAGUCUCUUUAUUUUAAUGUAGUCUAUUUUAAUUUUUGUAUUUUUUGAAUUAGUUAAUUUUAAGUCAUGUAUUUUAUAAUUUCUGUUUUAGACAUAAAAAUUUAUAUUCGAUGAAUUCGACACCCAUCGCAGGUGUCUUUGGAUGUAAUGAAACAAGUUAGUAUAGUCGAGUCAAUAUGGCUUGAAGUGGUGGAACCAGGAUGUUAACCUUAAUAGGGCCAAAACUAAAAUUUAAUGUGUAUUUAAUUGAACGUUGUCAAUUUCAGUUGGUUAUGAAAAUAUAAUUAAAUGUAAUUUAAAUUAUGUUCGUAUAUUUAUGUGGCUUUAAGUCAUUACCUUUUUAAUUAUAUAUAUUUUUAGUUCGUUAUUUUAAUUAUAACUUUUAAAAUUUUUAUUAUUUGUGAUUAUAUUUGUAAUUAUAAUUGUAUUUGUAAUUUUUUUAUAUUUUUUUAAAAUUGAAUAAUUUAUUUCUCGGUUAUAUUUAUUUAAAAAUUAACAUAAAAAUACACGAUAACUUAAAUAAAGAAAGUUAAUUUGAUAUAAAAAUUGUUCAAGUUCAAACUUAAAGAUCAUCUGAAAUUUGAAAAAAUUUAGAUAAACAUAAAUUAAAAAAAUUGGUUUAGGCAAAAAAAAAAUGAAUAAUUUGCAAAUACAGAUUGCAAAUACGUAUAAUUAUCAAAUAUUAAAUAAUAAAUAUUAAAUAAAAUAAUUAUAUUUCAAAAAUAUAAAAUGGUAUACGUGAAUCUAGACAGGCUUGAGCAAAUUAUUUGCAAAUACGGAUUGCUUUAGGCAAAAUUUGAAAUCCAUAUUUUAAGUAGAGUCAAGUUUGGGCAACUAUGUAUGGUAUUGAUGUCAUUAAGUGUAAACGAGCCUCAAGCUAUUAGUAACGAAGCUCAAGCUCGAUUUAAGAUUAAAAUCAAAUAGUUUGAACAAAAUUAAUUAUACUAAAUUAAAGUUUAUCGAUGUAAGAAAAAAAAUCUUAAUUUUCAUGUAACUUCAAACUCGAUUAUUGAUACUUGAUUUGAACUCGAGUAAUACUAAUUAAAAAAUAUUAGACUAGUGAGCAAUAUUUAAAUUCAAUUUACUCAAAUUCGAUUAAAAUCAAGUUAAGUUAAAUAGAAAAGUUUGCUAACUCAAUACUUAUUAGUUAUUAUCCCUAGAUAUGGGUGCACGCAAGAAAAAUACAUUAUUAAAAUUUGACAUAAUGACUUAUUUGGUCCUCUAAUAUUAUAAAGAAAAUAAUUUUAGCUAUUCAGUUAAUUUUUUGUUUUCUUAAAUUUUUAAACUUGUAUUUGUUUGUCAAAUCACCCCCAAAAUAAAUGAAAAUUUUAACUUUUACUAGCGUGGCAUACACAUGGAUUGACAAUUAAUUAAUUUUUUAAAAAUUUUAAAAAUUCAAAAAAUUAUUUUAAAAAUUAAAUAUUAUUAAAAUAAAAAAUAAAAAUUUUAUUGGAAAUAUUUUUAAUAUUUAAAAAAUUAAUUUCACACUAGACCUGUCCAUGGGCCGGGCGGCCCGGCCUGGCCCGACGGCCCACCCGAAAUAUGGGAGGGUUCGGGUAAAAAUAUAGGCCCGAAAUAUGGGUUUGGGCAAAAAACUAGGCCCGUUUAGAAAAUGGGCUGAGCCUCGAGCACCACUUUUUUGGCCCGGGCCCGGCCCAAAUUUAAUAAAUAUAUAUUUUUUAUUUUUAUAUUUUUAAGUUUAAAAUAUUUUAAAUUUUUUUUUAUUUUUUUAUUUUUAAAAUAAUUUUUCGGUAUUUAUUAAAAAAUGGGCCGGGUCCUGGUUUAGGAUUUUAUUCCCGGGCUGGGCCUGGACAAAAUUCCAGGCCCAUAUUUCGGGCCGGGCUGGGCCUAGGAGGCGGGCCAAAUUUUUUUAUGGGCCCGACCCGAACCCCUGGCCGGCCUGGCCCAUGGUCACCUCUAUUUCACACCAAAGAAUUUAAUAGAAUAGUUUCAAUGGUGGUAACAAUUGCACUUGAGUUUUUAAAUUCAAAAAUUAGAAGACGACAUUACUGAAAAUAAAAGUAGGGGACUAACUUUUAAAUAUACAAAGUGCAUAGGGAAUUAGAGCAUAUUUUAACUUUUAAAUUUUAAAUUUACAAUUUCACAUGAACAAAUAGUCAACCGAAUGCGAAGUGUGAGCCUAGAACCAUACUUGUAACACCCCAAACUUGACCUAGAUGUUACAGGCAAAUCCGGGGAUGUUAUCGUAAAUUGAUUGAAAAUUCUUAAUUUGUAUGUUUUGCAAAUCAUCGUAAACUCUAUUUACACAAAAACCCAGUUUAAUUGAAAGCAUAUCUUUCCUAACUAUUUUAUUGAAAACGUUGUGUGCUUACACUUUCCAAAAUUUAUAAGUUUGCAGCAGAAAUUUUUAGAACGUUGAAUUUUGGGAAAAUACAGUUUGUUGUUUAGAAAUCCAUUGUUUUUGUAGGAAAACGAUUGUUUUCAAUAAAAACAUUUAAAUAGUUUCGUGUGGAAAACGGAAAUAAAAUCUAAAACAAAAACAACCCAAAAUGUCUAGAUAGUCUAAAAUAUACAAAACAAUUAAACCCAAAUUAAAAUAAAUAAAGUGAACAAAAAUGUUAUUAUAUCCGAGCUCCUGUCGCAUCGACUUGCCUAAGUCUGAGGAUUACCUAAAAGUGACAGAUAACAGAAGGUGAGUUUUCAAAACUCGGUGUGCAACAUUUCAUAUAGAAAUCAGUCAGAUCUAUGUAUAAAAAUAUAUAUCAGAAACAAAACUUAUCAAAGCACAACAGAUACAAAUAAUCAUGUCCCCAUUUGCUACACACUAUCUCUGACCAUCUCAACACACUAUAUAGGUAUUAUAUAUUCAUCUAGGCCUACACACCGCUUAGUGUCGGUAUGACACUGAUCAAAAUAUUUGCAGCAGAGUUGCCAGUUUAUUAGGUGAUCUAUCACUGUCCAGAAACAUAUGUGGUUGAGCCACCAAAUACGACAGGUUAUUAAAUUGCCUACACUUCAUAUAACAAAUCCCAUCCCAGAUGCAAAUGCAAAACUAAUAGGUAUCAGAUAUGUUUACGAUGUACAUGCUUGUCAUGACAGAUACAAAGCAUAAAUAACAUUUGUCAUGAUUUUACCUAUCUUAUAUCAUUUCAAACAUGUGUAAUUAUAUCAAGUUUUAUGCUAACAAAUCAUAAAAAUCCAUGUUUUAUAGCUUAAUUAAUUAUAUACCGACCCUACGGAGGCUUACGUUCAAUCCAGACGAAGUUUACGGUCCUAGGAAAAAAUCUUAUUUGUCAUGCUCCUAUUGAAAAGAGACAAUGAUGACGCGGAAUCACAGUUUCAUACAAUUCUUUCUCUAUCCCUAACAUCCCAAUUCUUAUUCAACUAAGUUCUCUAACUGAAUUUAGAAAAAGAAAUAAAUAUCUCUCAAAGCUCACAAAGAGACUCCCACUCAAAACCUUAACCACUAAGACAAACACAUGAUAUAAUUUAACAAAUCAGGAAUUCAUAUUUUUAGGACGUUGCAACACUAAUACACCAAGCUUGAAAUGUGUGCCACCUUCAUUUAAGAUUAUAUAACAAUGGUAAAUUUUAAUUUUGGUAUAUGUGUUACACUUGAAUUUAAGAUCUAAUCUUAAUACUUCAACUUUUUCUUUAUAUAAUUUGAUAUCUUAACUUUUACAGUGUCAUUGAUUAACUCAAAUAUUUUAUUUAAUUAAAAUAUUUAUAUAAUUUUUAAGAGUUAUAAAUACUGUUAGAAAAUAUUUGUUAAAUUCAAGUCUAUUAUAAUAUUUUUUAUGUGACUACUAAAUUCGUAUAGUCCUAUGCGAUCAAGUUUAAAUGACCGCGCAGUUUAAAAGUUAACCAAAUCCAAUUGAUGGAAAUUAAAUGGCUCUAUUUUUAUUUAUGAUAAAAUUCGAUAAACCCUCUAAUAUUUAAAAAAGAAAAAAAAAGGUUUUUUUUUCAAAAAAAAUUAUGAUGAUAUUCAAAAUGGAAGCAAACCCUUGAAAAGAACCAUCAACUUGGAGUACUCUUCAAUGAUAUUCUCUUCUACACCAUUCCUCGCUAACUGCGGGAGAAACAACCAAUUGACAGUUACCGCCACAAAUCCCAAAGUCAACACCCUGGAAACCGCCGGGUGCAACCUCAUUUUCUCAGGCACCACCUUCUUCACCACCACUGCCGCCGGCAUCGCUAUCCCAUGUAAGAUGAAAAACCAUGUCACCUCCCAAGUAGGAGCCACACGAGUCAAGCAAUAAUAAAUCAAUUCAUGCAUCAAGCCGGAGACGACGAACACGGCGAUGAUGAGAGGGAGCCUAUUUUAAUAUGGGUGGGGUUCUAAUAGUUAAAGUUUAUAAUAUGUUAAUUACGUAGAUUAUGUAAUUUAUACAGUAUGAAAAUUAAAUAAAUUAUACCAUAAUGUAAGCAUUAAAAAUAUGUUAAGUUGUUUAUGUUUAGAAAUUUAAUAAAAAAAUAAAAGAAAUAUAUACAUUUCAAAAAUAUAAAAUGAAAUAGGUUAGCCUAAACAGGCUUGAGCAAGUUAUUUACAAAUAUGAGUUGCUUUAGGUAAAAUUUGAGGUCUAUAUUUCUAAGUAAAGUCCAGCUUCGGCAACUAUGUAUGGUAUAAUUGGUGUCAUUAGGUGUAAAUGGAGCUCAAGCUCGAUUUAUGAUAAAAAAUUAAAUAGUUUGAGCAAACUUGAUUAUACUAUAUUAAAGUUCAUUGAUGUAACGAAAAAAAUUCUUGGUUUUCAUGUAACUUCUAACUCGAUAAUUUAUACUUAGAUUUGAGCUCGAGUAAUACUAAUUAAAAAAAUUUUCCCUCAAUUUCGAUUAAAAUCAAGUUAACUUAAAAUUUUAAAAAUUACUCAAUUUACACGAUUUUUAAUAUAAUUUGAUUUUUAUAUUUUUAUAAUACAACGAGCAAAGAGGGGCAGCUGUACAAGCCCAAAUUUGCCCAGGGCCCAUUAACCUAAAAUACCCCAGCCUAACAAGCUAAAAUUAAACCCAAAAACAACAGACCCAAAAUGACCCAAUAAUGAAAACCCUAACAGCCCAAAAUGGCCCAAACCUAAACUAUUUUCAGCAAAAAAAAAGAAAGAAAAAACCCUAGGCGCCGUACCUAGGGCCUUCAGGUCUCCUCUGCCGCACGUCCCAUCGGCCACCCCCACCUGCAUCUGACCCGCGCCGCACGUCUCCGUCAAUGCCUGCAAACACGAAAAGAAACAGAGACAAAAAAUAGAAGAAGCAAUAUAAACAAUAGGUCUUUUGAUUUUUCUUUACUUUUCUCUUUGGCUAUAUAAAAGCCAAGCACAGAUCUGUAAAAGGGGGGGCUAAAUCACUGUAAUGGGGGGAUUUUUCUUUUUUUCUUUUCCUUCGGCUAAGGCCGAAUACACUGUAAAAGGUUUUUUUUUACGAGAUUUAAGAAAAAAAACAAGUUUUUGAAGGUUUUUUCCCUUAGAUUCGCGUCUUUUAUUUUUAUUUAUUUAUUUUAGAUACUAAUAAUAUAAAAUAAAAGAGGAAAAGAGGAGAAGAGACCUUACCUGCGCCGUGCCGGAGGGAGGGGAGACGGGCGGUCUCUCUUCGCUUUUCUCGAGUACGGGCUCAUUUCUCGCGGGAUUCGGCCUCGAAUCCGUGUCCUAGAGGCGACAGGCUCCAAAAGGGACCAAAAAGGUUCGAUUUUGUGCCUCCGACCACCGUGUGCGGUGGCCGACGGACGGCGGCUUGAUGACCGGGGACGGCCGGACCAUGGCCAGAUUUGGGGAUUUGAGAGGAGUUGGUGGAGCAGGUGAGGCCGUGCGUCGGCGGUCAGAGGACGGCGGCGGUAGUUAGGACCGAUUAGGUUUUUCUUUCUUUCUCUAUUUUUUGUUUAUUUUGGGCUGGUAGAAAUGGGUUUGGGUUAAUUGGGCCAGGUCUAGGCUUGUCUAGUUUGUAAUUGGUUUUGAGUUUAGGUUUAGGUGGGUUUGGGCCCGGGCAAAAUGGGCUUGUACAUUCGAUAUUUAGGAUCUUCGAGAGAAUCAAGCCCUAACAUAUUGGGUUCCGAUUUCCUUCGUUGAAUCUAAAUAAUCGAAGCUAUAUUUUUAUAAAACAUCACUAAAAGCUCGUUAUUGGGAAUUCACUAUGUCGUGUCCUAAUGCAUUGGAUAUGAUAAGUUAUUUUCUCAAGACGAGGAUUUUUCUUAUAAAUGCAAUAUUCAAUGUUUAAUAUUUUGAGAAAUUAUACCCUAACGUAUUGGGUUGCAAUUCUUUCACAUGACUUAAAUAAUUGGAUAUCGUUUUAAAUUUUACUUCGUAAGUUUUUUAGACAAGCUCAUUUCGGAAGAGGUAAAAUAUUGUGCCCUAACUCAUUAGAUGUGACAUUUUCUCUUUCUGAAAUAAGAGAGUCUUAACGAGUAACUUGAUUAAUAUAAGUUUUAAAAUAAAGGAUCGUAUUUUAAAUCUCUUCAAAGUUUUCAAUUUUCGACACUAAGACAUUAAGUAAUCAACUAGGUACCAAUUUUGGGCGUAUUAAGGGUGCUAAUCCUUUUAUAUUUACAUAAACUUUUAUAUUUAAUAAUUUUAAAAUACAUAUAUGCAUAUUUUUCCAUAUUUUCAUAAUUAUAUAUAUACAUGUUUAUAUUUACAUAACCUCUUAUAUUUAAUAUCCUUAAAACAUAUAUAUAUACAUAUAUAUUUCAUACUUUUAUUAUUUUAUGUAUAUACAUACAUAUAGUCCUCUUUAUGUACAUACACAUGUCCACAUUUUAUAAUUUUCAUCUAUUUUCCUUUUUUUUAAUGUUCAUUAAUUUAUGUAUUUAUUUAUAUGUCUAUUUUUAUGCUUUAGUUUAUUUAUUUGUUAUGGUAUAUACAUGAUUUUUAUUUAUUUAUUCGAUUUUGCUCAUAUUAUUUUUGUUCACAUUAUCAUAUUUAUUAUUCCAUUAUGCAUAUUAUAACACCAUACUUCAAAAAGGAAAAAUUUUCUAAAUGAGGCAAUAUUUAGCGUUUGGAAAUUCGAGGAAACGUGCUCUAAUGUGCUGGGUUUCGAUUUUUUCUCGUUCAACCAAAUAGCUAAAUAUCCUUUUCAAAAUUUCAAAAUAAGGCAAUUUUUGCGUUUGGAAAUUCGAGAAAAUGUGCCCUAAUGUGUUGGGUUUCGAUUUUUCUCGUUCAACCAAAUAGCCAAAUAUCUUUCCAAAAAUUUCAAAUAAGGAAAUGUUUUGCUUUUGGAAAUUUGAGGAACGUGCCCUAAUGUGCUGGGUUUCGAUUUCUCGUUUAACCAAAUAGCCAAAUAUCCUCUUGAAUUUCAAUCCAUGUCAUCCGAGUUUUUUUAGGAUCGUAAUUUAAAUCUCUCUAAAGUUUUCAAUUUUUCGACACUCAGAUAUUAAGUAAUCAACUAGGUACCAAUUUUAGGCGCAUUGGGGGUGCUAAUCCUUCCUCGUUGUAACCAACUCCCGAACCCGUUUUUCUAAAUUUCGUGGACCAAAAUUGUUGUUUUAAUAAAAUUAAAUCGUUUAUUAAAAACAACCACUUUUCAAGGUGAUCCAAUCACACCUUAUCAAAAAAAAGGAUUGGUGGCGACUCCCGUUUUUAUUUUCAUUUUUUAAAACCCAAGUCGACCCUGUUUUCAUCAAAAAAAUGGUGUCAACAGCUUGGCGACUCCACUGGGGACCCAAAAUAAGAGAGUCAAGCUACAAGUUGAUUACUUUUUGUCUUUUUUGUCGAAAAUUAAAAAUUUAGUUUAAAUUUACGAUCCUUUCAUUGCAUUUCAUUCGUCUUUAUUAUAAUUUCCAUUAUUGUGGUUUAUGAUUGCUGUGUUAGCUUAAAUUUUGGCAUCUUUCUGCACAUUAUAGUGCAUGACCUUUGGUCACACCCUUUUAAGUGGGAGUGAGAAGCUACUCCUUCGUGAGGUUUUCACCUCCAUGCAGGAUAGUGGAUCGCUUUCGGGAUACAUCCGUACCUAUGUCUUCGUGAGAUUUUCAUCUCCGUGCAGCCAUAGGGAAAUGUAUUCCCCUGAAUCGAACUCGGUCUAUAUGAGCCUAUAAUGGGUGAAGAUCGAGGAAUCUGCUGGUUCGGGUACCCUUACUUUAGAGCCAAACCUCAUGUAGUGAACCUUAGAAGCCCACCCUAGGUAGAACCACUUCGAACCCUUAGUAUUCACCCAAAUAGGUGUUCUAUUUAUUCUUGCUUGCUCUUGCUUUGUACUAACCUGUUUUUUUUUUUUGUUAUGAUUGUAUUGCAUUUUCAUCAUAAAAAGGUGUUGAUUCACGUUCGGUUGUUAAAUAGAGAGCUUGCAAUAAGGAAAUGGGUUACUUGAUAAAGUGGAUAAUAAUACUGUUGUCUGAAUAUAUUCCGAGAAAACACAAUAAGAGAAGGGUGAUAGUUUAAUGGAGGGCUACACGACCAUUGCUCCGUAGCCCGAGAAUUCAAGAUGAUAAAGAUUAUUCGAGAGCCGCUGAACUUUCUUAAAGAGAAGCCAACGAGCGUCACGAGGGUAAGUGAUUAACGAGUCGCGGCCCAGAUCAAGCAAAAAAGAGAUAGAAGAGACGUCCCUUUUGAAGAGUUCGUGAGAUUUAUCUUACGCGCGAAUGAAGAAAAUGAUCGUUGUCUUAGAAUAUACGGGCAAGGCUGUAUAUAUAUCCGUUUUAUGUAAAGAGACUUGUUUUCUAGUAAAGUUGUUCUAAUAAGAAUUGAACCAAGAAUCAACGUCUUUUUUUGCAUUCAUUUCACGCAUUUGCAUUAUAUAACAUCAUGUGCAUUAAGGACUAUUAAAAGACUCUAAUUGAAUAAAAUUAUUUCAGUUAACUUGAAAAGCUGACACAUUUACGGAACUCGAGCGAAAUCAAAGAACAUGGAUCAAAGAUUAGAAAAGCUUGAACAACUCUAAAAAGAUAUGCAAGAUCAGAUACAAGAGCGGAUGGAAAGAAUUCAGCAAGAUAUGACAAAAAAGAUGCGGGAGUCCCAGAACGACAUGAUGGCACAGUUAACGCAGUUGUUGAGAUGAGGAAAUGACAAGGGAAAAGACCCUGUAAUUAAUGUUGAAGAAGGAAAUAAUGAUGACCCCUUUACCGUCCAGGCUUCACCCCUCCGCACGCGCAUACUGAAGCUAAGCUGAACCCACAUAAAUCCUCCCUUACAAUCAGACCCCAGUAAUUUCAGACAGGUCCUUCAAUGCCAAUGAACUUUCAAAUAGAAGUAGGUCCUAAUCCUGAAGAGAAUCCUACUAAUCCCAUGGUUCCUGAUCUCGAUGACGUAGUAGAAAUGGAGAAAGCAAAAGUGGAUCUGCCAAAACAAUUAGAAGACCGGUGUAAAUGGCUAGAGGAGAAGUUUAAAGUAAUGGAAAAUACUGAUUACCAUCGAGGAAUGGACGCUAAAGAUUUGUGCUUGGUACCUGAUUUGGUCCUCCCUCCUAAAUUUAAAAUGCUAGAGUUUGAGAAGUAUAACGUGACAAGUUGUCCCGAAGCUCAUAUCACUAUGUUCUGUCGAAGAAUGACCGGAUACAUCAACAAUGAUCAACUACUGAUUCACUCCUUCCAGGAUAGUUUGAUCGGGUCAGCGGCUAGAUGGUACAAUCAAUUGAGUCGGACCAACAUCCACUCAUGGAAGGAUUUGGCAUAGGCCUUUAUAAAACAGUAUGGACAUGUGAUGGAUAUAGCACCUGAUCGAAUUGUAUUGCAAAACAUGGAAAAGAAGCCUAAUGAGAGCUUCCGACAGUAUGCUCAGAGAUGGAGGGAGGUGGUAGCGCAAGUUCAACCACCACUUUUAGAGAAAGAGAUAACCAUGCUUUUUAUCAAUACUUUGAAAGCUCCAUUUCUGAGUCACAUGUUGGGCAGUGCCACUAUGAGCUUUUCAGACAUAGUGAUGUCCGGAGAAAUGAUAGAGAAUAUGUCUGGAGAAAUGAUAGAGAAUGCCAUAAGAUGCGGCAAGAUAGAAGUGGGAAAAAGCGCCCAGAGGUCAGCUCCAAGGAAGAAAGAGCACGAGAUAAAUAAUGCAAGCGUGUUUAACAAGGGCUAUUCUAAACCAAUCACGGUGGGACAAGCAAGAGCAGUAACCACUAAUCAUCAAGGUUCUUCAAGGCAGGAAACCAAUCCUAGGCCAAAUAAAGAAAGAACCCAAUUUACACCCAUCCCGAUGACAUAUAGAGAGUUGUAUCAGAGGCUAUUUGAUGCACAUGUGGUAUCUCUAUUUUACUCAGAGCCCGUACAACCUCUGUACUCCAAAUGGUACGGUGAAAAUGCCCAAUGUGACUACCAUGUAGGAAUUACGGGGCACUCAAUAGAAAAUUGCAUCACCUUCAAAAAGCUAGUUGAAAAACUCAUCAACAUAGGUAUUGUCAAGUUAGGUGACUCAUCUACUGCAGAAAAUCCGCUACCCAAUCAUGAUUGACAAUAAGGUGAAUGCGAUGUAGGAAGAAAUGUUGAGAAGUUUUCACAUUAGUGUCGUGCAUGAAGACAACUAAAAAGAGGUCUUGUUAGAUAUCCACCCUUAUAAACCUAGGAGUGUUCUAAGCAAUUGAACUGCGGAAGUAACCCCUGUAGUAUUUAGGGCUUGUUUAGAAUAAUAUUCAGAACAACCUUGUUGCUUUUAGCCUAGAGGCAAUAAGAACUCUUUUGUGAAAUAGGCUCAUGUCUGAACGUCGUUAUUUUAAUGGAAUUGCAUCUUUGUGAUCUUUUUGAACCAAUAUUCUUUCAUUUCUUACGAACAACUAUGAUUAUUCUUUUAUUCUUUCUUCUAAAUCAUUAUUUCAUUCAUAAUCAUAUUGUACAUAACUUCAUAUAUUCUUUGUAUAUUCUUUUGUACCUACAAUAGGUCUCUGAAUAUCAAAGACAUGAGUAACGCUGUUACAGACUCAGAAUCUCAUUUUGAGCGAGACAUGUGUUUAGAAGAAUCUCACGACUUUGAAGAUGACAUAGAUUGUAGCCUAUCUCAAGACUUAUUGAGGAUGGUAGAACAAGAUGAAAAACAGAUCCUACCUUAUAAAGAAUCAUUAGAAUCCACAACUUCUCCCUAUGUGGGGUAUGAAUGUCAUUGAGCCGAUCUUACCAAAAAUUUCUGGAGGUCAACAAUUCAUCUUUGCAGCCGUCGAUUACUUCACUAAGUAGGUUGAAGCUGCUUCAUAUGCCAGUGUCACGAAGUCGAUAGUCAGCAAAUCUUUAAAAAUCAUAUGGAAUGUCAAAAAUGAUCAUAUUUGACAAUGCACUAAAUUUGAACAAGGGCACGAUAUCAGAAGUUGAUAGUCUGUUUGAGAUUAACAUCAUGUCGUCUCUAAGUGAAUAGUAUAUUAGAGGUAAAAAAAACUCUGUCGGGGCAAUGUCGUUCUCUUGGGCCUACCACGAUUUUGCCUAUUAAAGACGAGAUUCUUUCUCUCUAAGUUUUUAGACCCAAUCCUGAUCGAUGAGGAAUGUUCAAAGUAACCCAUCAUGGUCAAAUGUGCCAAAAGUAAAUGAUGCGAGCUCACAAAAAGUUCGCCCAAGAAAAUCCCAUGAGAGGGACUUGGUAUCGAAGAAGAUCCUUCCCACACAAAAAGAACUUCAUGCCAAGCUGAAAAAAAACCUUAAAUAGAAUGCCUUAUCUGGAAAAGCGUCAGUCAUGAUCAGAGGGGAUAACAAGGACAUGCCUAAUUCUAAGAGUUAAGAUUCAAAAAGAAAAAGAAAAAAGAAAAAAAGAAGAGAAAAGAAAAAGAAAAAAGGAGAGGCCAAGGUAAAAACCCGCAAAGGGCGCCUUGAGACCAAAGAGGACUUGAGUUGAAAACCCGAAAAGGACGACUCAAAUUUUGGAUCAAAUUGGGGCAUGAGGCGAUCAGAGCAACUCAAAUUUUGAUCAGAUCGGGGCAUAUGGUGAUUUGUUAUACCUAAAUCAAUAGGAAAGGGUAGGCGACAUCUUGGGGCAUCAACAAAGUCCUAUAGAUCUCCUAAACACAUGUCAAACUCAGAAUGAUCUUUCAAAGAGUUUGUACAGAGAAGUUCAAGCUGCGAUAUCUGGGGCGUCUAGUCCUCAUACUAUUUAUAUUGAAUUUUUUAUUCUUGGAAUACUUCUUUUUUUUUCAAGAUACAUGUUCCAAUCAAUUCCUUUUUUUAUUCUUGUUAUCCUUGAUAAUUUAUUCAUUUCGAGCUAUGCUCUCAAAUCAAUUCUAUUUUAUCUAUCGUUAUGAUCUGUUGCAAGCAUAUUGCAUUAGAGUAAUGAUUAAUGGACUAAUAAUACUUUCACAAUGGAAGUUUUGCAUAUUACUCUAGAAGUUUCUAAAUAAUAUAGAAACCUGAAAUAGGACUAUUGUUUAGAAAACACCAAGUUUAAAGGGUGAAAUAUCUAAGAAGGAAGAAUCUAAGUUAAAGACUAUCCUUUCGGAUUUUUUUGUCCAAACAUUAAUGGAACAAAAUGACAAGAGACCAGAGCUUCAAUGAACAAACAAGUGAUGUUUACCAAGCAAUACGAAAAGGUCUUCUGGGAGAAAAAAAUUCUUCAUUGUGCAUAAACUUUUGGUAUGACACCCUUGGAAUGGUGUAGGAGACGAAGGAGUUUCAGAUCCUGUAUCCCCGAUUUGCAGUGGGAGAGAUUUGAGAAUGAGCUAGAUCUUAUACUCCUAAAUUACAGUAGGAGGAGGAUGGUUUUGAAUUUUAUGUCCCAAAUUACGGUAGGCUUAACUUUGAAAAUCGCAAUGAAUUGAACUCUGAAGAUUACAGCGGGGGCAAUCUGAUCAAGUAAGAGAUGAACAUUAUCAACCGGACAAGAUAGCAUUCUGACGCGUUGGCAAUAAAGCCUUAUUGAGCAAUGGGCCAUAACAACUCAAAUAUGGAAAGAUCAUUUUCAUUUUGCAUUCAUGCAUACACUUUUAGUCAGGAUAUUUUGAUUCAUUUCGAUCAUAAUCACUAGGCAUAAAUAAGUUCAUAUAGGUUAUGUUCCCCAAAGAACAGAUCAACGAAGAUGGCAGGUCUUGCUUUCCUGAGUUGACAGCGAAACAGAUCGAAGAAACCAUAGAUUGCAAUUUAAAAGAUUAAAGCCACAAUGACGAAUCUUACUUCUCAGGCGAUGCAACGGAAUAGAUUGAAGCAACGACGGUGAAUCUCGCUUCCCUGACAUUGUAAUUUAAAAGAUUGAAGCCACAACGGUGAAUCUUACUUCUCAGGCGAUGCAGCGAAACAGAUUGAAGCUACGACGGCGAAUCUCGUUUCCCCAACAUUGCAAUUUAAAAGAUUGAAGCCACAACGGUGAAUCUUACUUCCAGACGAUGUAAUGGAACAGAUUUAGCUACAACGACGAAUCUUGCUUCCCCGACAUUGUAAUUUAAAAGAUUGAAGUCACAACGGCGAAUCUUACUUCCAGGCAAUGCAGCGGAACAAAUUGAAGCUACAACGGCGAAUUUUGCUUCCCCGACAUUGCAAUUUAAAAGAUUGAAGCUAUAACUGCGAAUCUUACUUUCAGGCGAUGCAGCGGAACAGAUUGAAGCUACAACGGCGAAUCUUGCUUCCCCAACAUUGCAAUUUAAAAGAUUGAAGCCACAACGGCGAAUCUUACUUCCAGGCGAUGCAGUGGAAUAGAUUGAAGCUACGAUGGCGAAUUUUCCUUCCCUGACACUGCAAUUUAAAAGAUUGAAGUCACAACGGCGAAUCUUACUUCCAGGCGAUGCAGCAGAACAGAUUGAAGCUACAAUGGCGAAUUUUCCUUCCCCGACAUUGCAAUUUAAAAGAUUGAAGUCACAACGGCGAAUCUUACUUCCAGACGAUGCAGCAGAACAGAUUGAAGCUACAAUGGCGAAUUUUGCUUCCCCGACAUUACAAUUUAAAAGAUUGAAGCCACAACGGUGAAUCUUACUUUCCCAAGCGGUGAAGUGGAACAAAUUGAAGCUAUGACGGCAAAUCUUCCUUCCUCGACAUUGCAAUUAAAAAGAUUGAAGCCACAACGGUGAAUCUUACUUUCCAGGCGAUGCAGCGAAACAAAUUGAAGCUACAACGGCGAAUCUUGCUUCCCCGAUAUUGCAAUUUAAAAGAUUGAGGCCACAACGGCGAAUCUACUUCCAGGCGAUGCAGCAGAAUAGAUUAAAGCUACGACGGCGAAUCUUGCUUCCCCGACAUUGCAAUUUAAAAUAUUGAAGCCACAACGGCGAACCUUACUUUCCCAAGCGGUGCAGUGGAACAGAUUGAAGCUACGACGGCGAAUCUUACUUCCCCGACAUUGCGGUUAAAUAGAUUGAAGCUACAACAGCGAAUCUUACUUCCCUGGCGGUGAAAUGAAAUAGAUUGAAGCUACUCUAAUUUCUCCAACAUCGCAGUUAAACAGAUUGGAGAUGACAGACCUUAUCUCUCUAAAGUUGCAGUAGAGCAGAUCGCAUCCAGUCCUAUCUCCCUAAACAGUCCAAUCUCCCUGGUUGGCAGUGGAAUAGAUUGAAGAUUUCAGAUCUUGCCUCCCUAAGUAGUAGUGGAGCAGAUCGAGUAAUGGCAAAUUUUACCUCCCUGUGAUUACAAUGGAGUACAUUGAAGUCAGUAAUUCUAUCUCCCUGGUUAGCAGUGGAAUAGAUUGAAGAUUGUAGAUUCUAUAUCCCUAAGCAGUAGUGGAGCAGAUCAAAGAUGGUGAAUCUUAUCUUCCUAAGGUAGUAGGGAAGUAAAUUUAAACCACAAACCUCGCCCCCUGAAGUUACAACAGAGUGGAUUGAAGCUACAAGUCGUAUCAUUCUGAAGUGUAAUGGAGUGGAUCGACGCGACAAGACACAGUGGAUCAAAAUAAAGCUACUUAAAGAGAAACGACAAGAGAAGUCAAGACUCGGCGAGGCUGGGCAAAAUUGGUCUUUCUAUGUCUUUGCUUUGUUCUCGUUACACAACAACGAGCAAAGAGGGGCAGCUGUAAAGCCCAAUAUUUGCCCAGCCCAAAUUAACCGACCUAGACUAAACCCAAAGUCGAAUGGCCCACUUACAACACCCAAAGCCCAAACAGAACCAAGCCCAAUUAACCCUCAACCCAAACCUGAAGCCCAACUGAUAUAACCCUAGCCCAAAAGAAAAUACAUCAGAAACAAAUCAAACCCUAAGUGCGCCGCACCUAAGGUCUCUAGUUCUGCCACCGCCGCCUGCAGCCACCUGCCCACUUGCCACCACCACGGUCACGUUGCUGAAUUGCCACUUGCGCCUGCAAGAUCAGAAAGAAGCGACAGAAAGCAAAAAAUGGGAAUAAAAAAUAUGUAAAAAAAUGGCUAUAUAAAAGCCAUUCAAAAUUGUAAAAAAGGGGAGGGGGAGAGAACCGAUCUGGAGGUUUUGUAAAAAAGGAGUCUCUUCCUCGUUUUUUUUACAAGCAUUACUUAGAAAUAAAAAGAACAAAAAGAAACAGAUUUAAAACAAAACAUUCAAUGUGACUUUUCAUUUUUUUUCCUUUUCUAUACGUACUUAGUUAUUUUAUUUUAUUUUAUUUUAUUCUCUCCUAACAACAAUAUAUAUUAGUACAAGAGUAUUUAAAUAAAAAAUAAAAUUUUACCUUUUUUGGCGGUCCUGUUUGUCGUUUUCUGGGCUCUGGCUGGAGGAGGGGAGAGAGUUUCUGGUUUUUUUUUUGGAAGAAACGAAAAAAUGAAAAUUUUGAAAGAAAAUUAGCUUAAAUAGCUGAACAAAACGACGCCGUUUUGAUGGGGUCAGGAAAGCCCCAAAACGACGUCGUUUUGGGCUCCUGACCCGAGACCCGACCCGCCUACCCCAGGGGAUCCGCGUGUUUUGACGGAAGGGCUAAUUGCACGUUUAGCCCUUCCGCUUUUUAAUGUUUUUUUUUAAAUUAGGUUCUUUUAAUUUCUUUAAAUUUUACCCAAAAAUUUAUUGUGUUUUCAAUUUAGUCCCUACUGGAACUCUGCGUUUUGCAAGAAUGGGAUUAUCUUCCUUUUGCCCCUCCUAGUUUUUCAGCGCGUUUGAUGUGGCCCUUCCUCUUUUAUUUAUUUCAUAUUUGACCCCAAAUUUUGUUUUAAAAUUUUAAUUUGGUCCUUUUUCGUUAUUUUGGUUAUUUUAUUAAUAAAUCUAUUAUGGUUAUUAUUAUUAUUAUUUAUUUCCUCAUUUACAUAUAUACAUAUUUGCAAUUUCCAAUUUUGCUAUAUAUAUAUGUGCAUGCGUGCAUUUUUAUAUUAUACAUACAUAUUUCUAUAAUUUAUUUUUUUAUAUAUAUAAACAUGCUUAUAUAUAUAUUUUAUAUUUUAUAAUUUUUAUAUACAUUUUGUAUACAUAUACGUGCAUAUACAUAUUUACAUAAACUUUUAUAUUUAAUAAUUUUAAAAUACAUAUAUGCAUAUUUUUCCAUAUUUUCAUAAUUAUAUAUAUACAUGUAUAUAUUUACAUAACCUCUUAUAUUUAAUAUCCUUAAAACAUAUAUAUAUAUACAUAUAUAUAUUUUUUCAUAUUUUUAUUAUUUUAUGUAUAUACAUACUUAUAGUCCCCUUUAUGUACAUACACAUGUCCACAUUUUAUAAUUUUCAUCUAUUUUCCUUUUUUUUUUAUGUUCAUUUAUGUAUUUAUUUAUAUGUCCAUUUUUAUGCUUUAGUUUAUUUAUUUGUUAUGGUAUAUACAUGAUUUUUAUUUAUUUAUUAGUUUUUGCUCAUAUUAUUUUUGUUCACAUUAUCAUAUUUAUUAUUCCAUUAUAAAUAUUAACACCAUACUUCAAAAAGGAAAAAUUUUCUAAAUGAGGCAAUAUUUAGCGUUUGGAAAUUCGAGGAAACGUGCCCUAAUGUGUCGGGUUUCGAUUUUUUCUCGUUCAACCAAAUAGCUAAAUAUCCUUUUAAAAUUUUCAAAAUAAGGCAAUGUUUUGCGUUUGAAAAUUUCGAGAAAACAUGCCCUAAUGUGCUGGGUUUCAAUUUUUCUCGUUCAACCAAAUAGCCAAAUAUCCUUCCAAAAAUUUCAAAUAAGGCAAUGUUUUGCGUUUGGAAAUUUGAGGAACGUGCCCUAAUGUGCUGGGUUUCGAUUUCUCGUUUAACCAAAUUGCCAAAUAUCCUCUUGAAUUUCAAUCCAUGUCAUCCGAGUUUUUUUAGGAUCGUAUUUUAAAUCUCUCUAAAGCUUUUAGUUUUUCGACACUAAGACAUUAAGUAAUCAACUAGGUACCAAUUUUGGGCGUAUCGGGGGUGCUAAUCCUUCCUCUUGCGUAACCGACUCCCGAACCUAUUUUUCUGAAUUUCGUGGACCAAAAUCGUUAUUUUAAUAAAAUUAAAUCGUUUAUUAAAAACAACCACUUUUCAAGGUGAUCCAAUCACACCUUAUCAAAAAAAAGGAUUGGUGGCGACUCCCGUUUUUAUUUUCAUUUUUCAAAACCAAGUCGACCCCGUUUUCAUCAAAAAAAUGGUGUCAACAGUAUCAAUGUAAGUUCUAUGGUUGAAAUUCUGUGAAUGUUACUCUCACUUGUAACACCCCUAAAUUAAUUUGAACAUUUGUUCGAUAAAUUUUGUCAAUAAUUAAGUUUUCAUAUUUGUGGUUUAGUGCUCUGUUUAUGUGUUUGAGAUCGGGGGUUUGAGUAUUUCUUUUUGAAAUUUCUCUGUUUAUUUUAACUUAACCCUUACCUUUGAACUCUCGACUUAUAUUUAUUUCUACGCUAAUUUAUGUAAAAAAUGAGCUUGUUAUUUUGAUGGUUAGGCCUCUAUAAACUUCCUAGUCUUGUGUUUGAAUCUUUUUGCAUGCGUUAAUGAAAUAUUUUUAUGCUACUUGUAAAAGCUUGUUAGCUUUUUUUUAGUUUAGUUUGUAUUGUUUAGAAGUUCUGUUUUUAUUUUCUCUUUCUUUUUAUUCACUUCACUUCACGUUUUCCUUUUCUUCUUUCUUUCUUUUAUUUUUGUCCUCUUUUUUGUUUCUACUUGCUUUCAUUGACUGCUAUCGGGUUUAAUUGGAAAUUUUAAGUUUUUCGUUGCGUCAAUUGAAAGGUUAUUGUGUAAGUUCUGUUGUUAUUCUCUUUUGUCUCGCGAAAUUUCGUUGUUUGCUUUGAAGUUAAAAAUGACUGUUGUUUGUUUGAAUCUAUGUUAAUUGUGUGAUUGGGGAUUCUUUUAGGCGAAGGACUUGUGGGAGCGGUUACUCCAACGCACUGAUUUCAUAACUCGUUGUUACAUACGAGGUAACGGGUGUCUUUCGAGUUGGGGUUCUAUGUCAAAUUUUUCGACAUAAGUUUGGGUGGUGCGCUAAUCUUAGUGUUGCAUUGCGAAUAAUUGCUUAAUUGCCUUUUGGAUUACUGUUUUUAGGUUUUGAACUUCUUCUGGGUGCUUCUACAUAGAAACCGUACCAGGUGUGUACCGAAAAUCUGAUUUUCUGCGAUUUUUGAAUGCCAGAAAACAUGGCUGUCGACGUCACAUGGCCGUGUGGCUGACUGUGUAACUUACUAUUAAUGAGUUAGAGGCACACGGGCGUGUGUAAAGCCCUAAAAAUAAGUCUAGUAAUUUCAAGUAAGUUUACCGGGUUUCGAGUGAAAAUUAAGAGUUAAUCGGGUUUAUUAGUAAAUUUUUAGUUAGCUAAUUUCAUUUAAAAAUCGAGAAAUAAUAUUUUGGAAAAUUAAAAUAUUUUUAGAAAAACUAAUUUUAUAAUUUUAAAUAAUUUUUGGGUAAAAUAAAUGUUUUGGGUCAAAUUAGAAUUGAAAAAUAAAUUAAAAUAGGGGUUUAAUUUAGAGAAUUUAAAAUAUUAAUUACAUAGGACCGUUUUGCAAAAUAAGGGAAAUAUUUGAGUGGUUCUAUGGCAAAUUACCCAUAUUUUUAGAAUUUUGGAGGGAAAUGAUUAUUUAGUAAAACAAAGGAAUUGUGACAGUGCCUCAUGGGAAUUUCUCCAAUUUUUGGAAAUUAGGUGGGGGUUCUUCAGUUCAAAAACGCUGCAGCCUCCUCACUUCACACACAAUUCUCACCCAAUUUCUAAGUAUUUCUCUCGUUUUCCUUUUUCAUUUUUGAAGUGCACAUAUCAAAUAUUAGAUCUCAUCUUUUAUUCUCUCAAAAUUCUCCGGAAAAGAUUUCCAAAGUCGAGAAAAAAAACUCAUCUGAGUUCUUCAAAGGUCUUGAUCCAAUGUUCAAUAUUAGUGAUUCCAGAUCGAUUGAAGGUAUUUCUCAACCCUAAAUUUAUUCUAAGGUUGACAGCAAGGCGAGUUCAAGGACUUUGCUCGCAGAGUGAGCUCACAGACUCAGCUCGCAAGGCAAAGCCAAGGACCCAACUCAUAACGUAAGGCCACAGAUCCAACUCGUAGGGACCUAGGGAAUUAAGGCCACUGUCUCAGCUCGCAUACACCUAGGGAGUUAGCAAAAAGGGCCACGUGCUCCGUAGGCUACCCAGACACGUGUCUAGCAGGUACGGAGCCCGCCUAAAAUGUUAGUCCUAAGAACAGAAAAAAUCGCGUGCUCUAUAAACACGUGCCUAGCAAACCUAGAGUUCGCAGAGAAUGUCAUUACUAGAAGCAGAGGAGUCUAGACAAAAUAGUGAGGCCCUAUCAUAAACUGUAAUAGCAUCUGUAAUAAUAUAUAUAAAUACUCAACCGCUCCUAUUAAUAACACACAAACAAAUAUUACUCCAUAAAUCAAAAUUUUAUUUCAAUUGAAAAUUUUUUAUUUGCAGUACGAAAUCAAUUCUCAAUUAAAUCCAAACGAAGAUAUUUAAAAAAAAUGACUUUUUAAAAUUAAAAUAUAUUCAAAAUGGAAGCAAACCCUUUAAAAGAUCCAUCAACUUGCAGUACUCUCCUAUGGUCUUCUCAUCUACGCCAUUCCUCAACAACUGCGGGAAAAACAACCAAACGGCAGUCACCGCCACAAAUCCCAAAGCUGACGCCCCGGAAACCACCGGGUGCAACCUCAUUUUCUCAGGCACCACCUUCUUCACCACCACUUCCGCCGCCACCGCAACCCCGUGUAAGAUGAAAAACCAUGUCACCUCCCAAGUAGGAGCCACACGAGUCAAGUAAUAAUAAAUCAAUUCAUGCAUCAAGCCGGAGACGACGAACACGGCGAUGAUCGCCUGCAAAGGAGCCCACCUUGAUCCGACCAAACGAGUAGAAAUACGGCGUAUGGGGUAAUAUACGGUUGGUCGUAGAAUGCUAGUAACCAUAAGGUUCCAUCUACGACCCCAAAAAUCUUGUAAAGAGGUAGUUAAGUAGGGUUCAUUGAACUGUGGCUCGAUCUCGAGCCCAAACAUGGCUCGAGCCGGGAUUGCGGCCAAGGCUAGGGUGAGCUCAAGCUCAAUGUAGGUAUGGACACAGUACAUUGCUAGAACUACAUUUUUAUGGAGAUUUUGUUUGUAGCUAUAACAAUGGUACAGCAAAGCUAAUAUUAGAACUUUUAUAGCAAACAAGAUUGAUCUUUGGGGUGGUUUAGAUUUGUUUUGAGAUGGGGUUUUUUGUUUAGGUUUAAUGGGAAGAGACGCUAAGGAAAUGAAGUGAAAAAGGUUGGACGGUGGUGGUGAGAGCGGUGGUUGGUCGAAACAAAAGAGGAGGAGCUUGAAAUUAGCUAACCAAGAGAGGAAGAAGGCGGUGAUGCCAACGAGAUGAACGGAGGAGACGGUGAGAGGUAGGUAAAGGAAGAAGAUGAAGAUUGGAGUUAAAGAAAAAAGCUUGAAAAUGCCUUUGGGGAGCUUUGAUGAUAUGUAGAAACAAUAACAAAGGGAAAUUAUAGCUGAAAUCCAUACCUUGAUGAGAUUGUGAAGUUCGUUCUCCAUUUCUUGAUCUUUGGAUCUUUGAUGGAAAUGUAGUUGACUUUACUUAGAUCGAGAACCAUGGUCAUAAUAUGUUAAUAGGUAAUUGUAAUUUUCCAAAAUUUUGGAAUUUAGUCCAUAUAUUUUAAUUCCCAAGGAUUUAAUCUUUAUAUUUUUUGAAUUUUAAAAUUCAAGUUCAAUUAUCACUUCGAUAAUGUGAACAAACAUUAACUUUAUCCAUUAUUUUAAAGUGGCUUGACAAAUAAUAUAAAUUUAAAGACUAAUGAAGGACUAAAAUAAAUUUUUUUAUAAAGUUAAAAGGUAAAAAAUUGUCAUUAUACCUUACUUAUUUUUUAGAUCUAAAGUCAGUGCUCUCACUUAAUUUUAUAAUGUUGUCCUUCAGCAAAAAAGUAAAUACGAAGUUGAGCAAUAAUAAUAACACGUGAGGGACUGUGGAAGUGGGUGCUGUCUUUAGGACAAAUCUAUAUCUAUAUAUUCAAAGCACUGUCCUCCUGCCGUCAAGUGGUAAGUCGACUGCUCUUUUUUUUUUAAAUGAAAAAUUUUGUUUACUUUUGAAAUUUAAUCUAUAUAUUUUAACUUUUUAAUAUAAUUUAGUUUUUAUAUUUUUAUAAUAUUUUUAAUUAUUUUAAAUAGUUGAUAUAAUUUACUUUUCAGUUAAAAUAUUAUGUAGUUAUAUAUAAUUUGAAUACAUUAUAAGUCUUAGAGACAGGUACCCGAUGUUCUAUUUCUUUUAGAUUUGUGUCGCUUUUUUUUUUACAUUAGAACACAAUGGCUAAAUUUUAAUUUUAGCUUCUAGACUAUGCUAAAACUUGAGAGCCUCUAUCCCGACGAUGCGACGCCCCCUCGCCCCGACGACGCAAAUGCCACGUCACGACGUGGCGACGUGCACCUCAUGUUUUUCGGUUUUCUUCUCCUAGUUAAACAUUAUUUUUAGUUUUCUACUUAAACUAUGAUUAACCUACGAUUAUUCUAAUCAUAUAUGCUACGAAUUUUAGCCUAUAAAUAGGCAUUAGUUACUCUAGGUUACAUACAAAAGAAAUAUUUAGAUUGAGAGAAUUCAUUUAUUUGUUUUGAAGGGUUUAUUUUUUUGAGGCUUUGAGAUUUCCUUUGAUUCUCUCCAUUUUUUGUACUCUCUUUAUUAUAGUGAAAUCUCUUUUUGUCUUUGUUUUUUUAUCCUCUUUUGAUGAGCUUUUUCACGUACAUUUUACGUGUUCGAUCCUGUCGUUUUUACUUUAUUCACUUGUUCAUUGCAUAUAAGGUCCAUUUCCCUACACUGUUCUCGUAGUUAAUUUAUCACUACGGAAGAAGUCAGAGAUUUGAGGUUGUUUUUGAAUCUCUGUAACUGACUUAUCAAUUGGAGGAGAGAGAAUCUAUUGUUUGAGAUCAGUUCAAAGUCGGAGUCAAAAACACACCUAAGGCUAGAGUUUUCAUUUUAUCGGUUUAUUAAGUUUUAAUUUUGUUUUACUUAUUUCUACUUUGCUUUUAUUUUUAUUUAAUUUUUGUGAUUUAUUUUAUAUUCCAAUUUAAUCCCCUCAAUUUUGUAUAGGUUGGCAUGAGUCAUGGACACGAAAAUUACUUGGGAUGCGUUAUUGUUAUAAAGAGAUAUAGAUUCAGGUAAAUCAAUCUCUAUGGAAUCGACCCUACUCUAUAUACUAUAAAUUUAAUUUCAGUUUUAGACAAAAAAUUCGUGUUGGACAUAUUUCUAAACAGAGAUAUAAGAUAUGAUUUCUUAAAAAUUUGUUUUUAUCCAACCUGCUCAAAGCCAAAUAUAAGGAGGACAAACAGACAAAACUUUGACAAUUCACAUGUUGUGUUGUGUUUUAAUUAUCUUUUUAUAGCCUAUAGUCUAGAUUAUGAUUGCAUGCCCUGUUUUCUUAUACGAAACCAUAGUUUCCCUGGAAACCAAACAUCAAACCCACAUUUUCGAAAUUCAAAUUUUAAAAUUUCAAUACUAAUCAGAUGAUAAUUAUUAAAUUUGGUAAAUUUUGUUAUUUUUAAAAUUUAAUGUGGUAAGUAAAUAUAUUAUCAUCUGUGUAAUAAUAUGAUAACUUGUUAUUUCCAUAUAUUACUCACUAAAAAUACAUGCAAUGGCUUAACGAUUAUCACUUGCUUCAAGAUUAAAAUUUUAAAGUUCAAAAAAUAUAGGGACUUAAAAUCUUCCACUUGAAGAAUAUGGAAUAAAUCUGUAACUUUACGUAAAGUGCAAAACUAUUAAUUGAAUUUAACUGAACAAAUUUUAGCUGCUAUUAUGUGGGUUAUGACUAAAUGUCAAAAUUCAAAAAAUAUAAUACUAAAAUUAAUUAAAGUAAAGUAUAAAGACUAUAUCCAUAAUUUUGACAAAAUACUGAGAUUAAUAGCAAAAUUUACCUUUUUUUAAUGAAAUAAAAAAUAAAACCAUGAAAACAUUCUUCAUAGAACUUUGUUGUUUAAGUCAGACUCAGAGAGUUAUGUACUUUCUACUCAAGUUCUCUCGUGAUUGUCCUACAAACUGUAUUCACAUGUCUUCUUAUAUAUAUAUAUAUAUAUGUAUAUAUGGGUAGACUAUGCUAGUAGUUAACCAAAUAUUAAUAUUUUUUUUUUCUAAAAUUACAAUGAUAUUCAAAAUGGAAGCAAACCCUUUAUCAGAUCCAUCAACUUGGAGUACUCUCCAAUGUUCUUCUCAUCUACACCAUUCCUCACUAACUGCGGGAGAAACAACCAAACGGCAGUCACCGCCACAAAUCCCAAAGCCAACGCCCCGGAAACCACCGGGUGCAACCUCAUUUUAUCAGGCACCACCUUUUUCACCACCACUUCCGCCACCACCGCAACCCCAUGUAAGAUGAAAAACCGUGCCACCUCCCAAGUAGGAGCCACACGAGUCAUGUAAUAAAAAAUCAAUUCAUGCAUCAAGCCGGAGACGACGAACACGGCGACGACCGCCGGCAAUGAAGACCACCUUGAUCCGAGCAAACGAGUAGAAAUACGGCGUAUGGGGUAAUAUACGGUUGGUCGUAGAAUACUAGUAACCAUAAGGUUCCAUCUACGACCCCAAAAAUCUUGUAAAGAGGUAGCCAAGUAGGGUUCAUUGAACUGUGGCUCGAUCUCGAACCCAAACAUGGCUCGAGCAAGGGUUGCGGCCAAGGCUAGGGCGAGCUCAAGCUCAAUGUAGAUGCGGACACAGAACAUUACUAGAACUACAUUUUUAUGGAGAUUUUGUUUGUGGCCAUAACAAUGAUAAAGCAAAGCUAAUAUUAAAACUUUUAUAGCAAACAAGAUUGAUCUUUGGGGUUGUUGAGAUUUGUUUUGAGAUGGGGUUUUUUGUUUAGAUUUAAUGGGAAGAGAAGCUAAGGAAAUGAAAUGAAAAAGGUUGGACGGCGGUGGUGAGAGAGGUGGUUGGUCGAAACAAAGGAGGAGGAGCUUGAAAUUAGCUAACCAAGAGAGGAAGAAGGCGGUGAUGCCGGCGAGAUAGGCGGUAGAGAUGGUGAGAGGGAGGUAAAGGAAGAAGAUGAAGAUUGGGGUUAAAGAAAUAAGCUUGAAAAUGCCUUUGGGGAGCUUUGAUGAUAUGUAGUAACAAUAACAAAGGGAAAUUAUAGCUAAAAUCCAUACCUUGAUGAAGUUGUAAUGUUCAAUCUCCAUAGGUUGAUCUUUGGAUCUUUGAUGAAAAUGAAGUUUAAUGUUUAAUAUUGAUAAGGAAUGUGAUUGCGUUUUCUUAGAUAAGUGCAUAGACACGUUUAAAAUUUAAUGUGUAUUUAAUUGAAGGUUGUAGAUAGGUGUAUUGUCUCCAAUCAUAUCAUAAUGAAUUUAAGACUAGAUUUUGUUAGUUGUCAAUUUUACAUGAUUAUUAAGUGGGUUUUUUUUUAUUUUAAAAUAUUAAAUCAAUGAAUUUAAUAGUGUUAACAACUAGGUUUGAAUUUUUAAAUUCAUAAAUUAAGGGAUUAAAUUUUUAAAAAUAAAAAUACAAAGACUAAAUUUCAAAUGUACGAAAACUACAAAGACAGAGUAUAUUUUAAUAUUCAAAUAUUUACUCCAUAAUUUAGCUUAAAAAAUAAUUAACCUAAUGCGAAGUGUGGCAACAACUAGACUUGUUAUAUUUCAAAGGAAACAAAUAAGAGAAAGCCAGUUUGACCUUUUCAUAAUAGUUACCUUGUUGUUGGUUACUUUGAACAACUGAACUAGCUUGGUACUAAAACUCUUAAUAGUUGUAAUUUUCAGGUUAAUUACAUGCAUAUCGCACCAAUUGUUGGUACAAAAUGUUGGCUUAGUGGUAGAUGAUGAUUCAUAUACAUCACUGUGGAGAGCCGUUGGUGGUGGUUCUGAGAAUUUCAGAGAUCAGUAAAAAGGCUUCUUGAAGGGUUUUAACAAAGUUUAUAGGUAAAAAGGGGUAUUCUAAUAAACGAUAAUAAAAUUCAUAAUAUUUGAAAUAGGUUCCUUGGAGGGAAUUUGGAAGCUUGGUCAUGAUGCGUCUUUUUGCACGUUGAUAAUGUGCUUAAUCAACAUGUUUUUAGUGAUUUAUUGUAAUUAAUUUUAGACAUGAAUGCUACUAAUUCGAUACUUUUUUAUACUAUUUUCUAUAUUGGUAUAAUGCAGGAUUGAAAUGUUAGAGUACAAGUUGCUUUCAAGGUUAUGCACUUGGUAAUGGUUAGUCGUCGUGCUGGUCUCGUAAUUAAUUUAUCACUACGGAAGAAUUUGGAGAUUUGAGAUUGUUCCUCGAUCUCUAUAACAAACUUAUCGAUUAUAGGAGAAAAUCCAUUAUCUAGGAUUAGUUCAAAGUCAAAUUCAAAAUUGUGCCUAAUGCUAGAUUUGUCAUUUUAUCGUUUUAUUCAUUUUUUAUUUGUUUACUUAUUUCUAUUCCAUUUUAUUUUUUAUUUAUUUUUUUUAUAUUCUAAUUUAGUCCCCAUCUAUUUUGUAUAGGUUGGCAUGAGUCAUAGGCACGAAAACUGCCUGCAACGCAUUUUGGUUAUAAAGAGAUACAAAUUUAGAUAGAUUAGUCCUUGUGGGAUCGACUCUACUCUUUAUACUAUAAAUUUAAUUUUUCUUUUAGAUGUAAGAAUUUAUUUUUAGUGGAUUUGACAUCCAUAAUAGGUGUGUUUGGAUGUAAUGAAACAAGUUGGUAGUGUCAAGUCAAUGAGGCUUGCCUCUUUUACACUUGUCAAACAUGCAUGAGACAGAUGUUUAGCAAGGAUUAAUAUUUUACCAUGUUGCUGAGCUUCCACAUAUAGAUGUUGGUGAAAUGUUAUAGACGAAAUUCUCCUAUUUUCCAUUGGUCAAAGAGGUUGACUUGACAAGAUCCAUUAGGCAAGAUGACACAUAUAACAAUUACGAAUAUGCGAAAACAAAAAAUGAAAAGAGGAAGAACAAAAAUUCAUCGAGACAUAUCUUUUUUACACUUCACAACUUUACAAUUUUUCAUAUGAUGUUUUAGGAGGGGCGACUCCUUCGCGAGAAGUCUUCAAAGUGUCGUAUAUUGGGCAGCUGACCUGAUCCCCCAACAACCGAAGCUAUUGUCCCCUUGUCGAGGUUUUGUCUUUAGCUUUCAUGAAGAGCCAUGUGCAGUUCAUGGAGGGGGCGCCUCGAGAGAUAGGUGCUUGCAAGACUUGGGAAAGAUGUCAAUAUGGUGCGUGUGAAUAAUAGUGGGGGUACUUGGGUGCGUCCAGAUUCAAACCACCAACCAAGGCUUAAAGACAACGUGUUUGCAAACAUGGUACUCUUCAUUUUUUUUAAAACCCCGACACAGGGACUAUAUUGAUUGUUGGGUGUCUGGGUUGACUGUCGGAGGACGACACUUUGAAAACUUCUUACAAAGGAACUGAUUCUCCCCUUAACAAUUAUGAUAAUUAUAACAGCUCGAUUUUCAAUGGUAUUGAAAAAGCGAUUUGAAACUUCAUUUCCGUAAAACCGUGUUUGUAAAUAUUAAUAUUUAAUAUUUACGAAGCUAUUAUAGUAAUAUAUUAAAUUUUGGUUUAGUAAUUUUGUUGAAUUGAUAGCUAAUUAAGGUUCAAUGACUAAUUUGUAAAAUUUUAUUGCUAUAAGUUUUUAAUUGCCCAAAGAUUUAAGGACUUAAAUUACAAUUAAUAAAAGGUCCAAAAAGGUAAUUUAACCAAUUUAUAAUAUGAAAUAGUGGCAUAUGAUGACAUUCCCACUAUCUUUGAUUAAUAGUUAAUUAAUUAAUCUUAAAUUAAUUAAACUUAAUUAACUCAUCCUUGGUCCAAAAAAAUUAAAAGGAAAAGUUAUCAUCUUUUAUUCAUCUUCCUCUCUUGGCCGAAUCUUGAAGGAGAGAAAACCUAAGGAAACAUUUCACAUUCGACUACAAAAUUGGUAUGUGCAAUUAAGUCAUUUUCUUGUAAUUUUUAUGUUUUUGGGGCCAUGGGAACUUGAUUUAGCUAGAUCAUGUACCAAUUUGUAAAACUGUUAAAAUUUUUAAAAGUUGUCAUUGCUAAUUUCUUACAGAAAUUAGUGUUAAAUUGGUAAACUUCAAGCUUAGAUGUGAAAAAGUAUAAGAUUGUAAAGUUUAAAUUGUUAGUUUUGUCAAAACGGAUUAAAGUGUAAAAAUUGAAUAUUUGAUGUGAAAUUUUUUUAACAAUAGAUAGUAGAGGGUCCUAAAAGGAUAGGAGCUAGAUCGAUUUUGAAAUCUAAGCUCAAAAUUGAAAGUUAUGGCAAUUUCGAUUUUUGGGUCUAAACUGAAUAAAAUGCAAAAAUUUAGGGGCAUUCAGAAAAUAAAAUUGAACUGGUACAUGCAUAUAAUAGAAUGUUAUAAAAUUUUUAGUAUUGAUAAAUUGAAUUGAGUAAUUGUAUAGAUCGAGAAUUGAACCGAACCGAAGAUAAUUAGGAAAAUAAAAAAUUGUCAAUUAGUCCUUAAAGUCUCGUUUAUUGCUCUUUUUCUGGGUAAGUUCAUCUGAAACUUACUAAAUUAUCUUUUGAAUUUUAUUUUUUUUAAUUGCAUGUUUAUAUUUAAGUGAAAUUGUGGAAAUUGGCUUAUUUGGCUAUUUAUGGACUGAAUUGUAAAACAUGAAAAUGUUGGCUAUACGAAAGGGUACAAAGUACCGAUAUGAACGUUACAUGUUUAUAGGAUUUGUAUGGAAUAAGUAUUCUGAUAUAAGACUUGAAAUGAUACGAUUAAGAUAAUGAUGUUGUGUGAACUUAGUAAAAGAUUAGAAUAUGUAUGGCAUGCCAUUAGGGUCAAAUAUGGAAUUGGUCAGGGAUUUACAUGGUUAUAUAGUCAACUUUUUUUUAGAAACCCUGAUCAAUGUCAACUUGUGUGAGCAAUAUAGUCACGUUUAUCCGAAAUGGUAACCUAACGGAAAUGAAAUCAUUGUAAUGAUACAAAUGUGGAUUGAAUUUUACAUGUUUUCAAAUUGAAUAUGAAUUUUUUUGUACAUGUUUCAAAUUGAGUUGUGGUAAAUUAAUUUUGUGUAAAGUUCUUGAUAUGAAAAUGGACUAAUCUAUUCAUUGUAUAUGAUAUUAUGUGUUAGCUAUUUCAAGAUAUGUCAAAUGAUGCCAUACUGAAUGACAAUGUAUUUAAAUUUUUAGUUUGUUGUAAUAUCAAGGUAAGUUAAAUUUCAUAUGAACUUACUAAGCAUUAUGUUACUUUUUGUUUUCCUUGUAGAUCAUUACCUUGCAGAACAUAUCAAGUAGAUCGCUUUGAAUCUCACAUUAUCCUGUUUUUGAAUCAGUAGCUUUUCGAUCAUUUUAAGUUUGGAAUUGUGGCAUGUAUAUAGGCGUUUUGUAUAUGUUAACUUUCAAUGUUGGACAUAGCUUAAAACCUUCCUAAUGCAUGAUUUUGACAAUGUUAAUGUCUAGUUGAAAUGGCAUGUUUUGGUAAAUGUGUUUGAAUUAGGUUUGGAAAUUAAAAUCGCAUGUUUGAACAUAAAGUAGCAUAGAUAAUAAAUUGGUAUUUUAAUGGCUAGUUGGUUGGAUGGAUGAUUUAUAAUUGAAUGAGUUGAAUUGGUAUGUUUUGUGUUAAUUUGAACUUAUAUUGAAUUGAUUGAUUGGAAAUGGUUAAAUGACUUGUUUUGGUAUGUUUUUGGUAUGGUUUGAUUCAAGUAAAGAUCGGCGAUUUGUUCAGUAAAUUGAAUAGGUUGUUUGGAAGCAUUAAAUAGGUACCGAAUGGUUCAUUUUUCUUAAAAACAGGUUCCACAUCACGAUUAUGGUUCUCGACAUCGCAACAUUGGAAAUUCAGAGAGUCUCGUUGCGACAUAUUGAGGUGCCCAUGUCGCGAUGAGGAAACACUGAAGUCACGACGACGGUUAAUUUUUAAAACUUUACAAUUUGGUCCUAUUUCGUGCUCGGGUCAGUAAAAGAGCUUUAGUAAGCUCGAUUAAGGCUCGAGUUUAAUUGAUUAACAUAAUGUAAAUGUGUUUAGCACUUAAUUACAUGUUUGAUUGAUGUUUACUGUAUAAUUGACUAUAGUUACUUCGACAACAAAUGUGACAUACUGUAACUCGAACCCGACAAUCGAAUCGGGCUAAAAGUGUUACAAUAACUAUUGAAUGCCAUUGGUACUCUCAUUUUUUUUUAAAAAAGACAUCUAUAAUUAAUAUUCAUGUUCCACGUAUAUUUAAACAUAGAUAUAAGAUUUGCUUUCUCAAAAAUUUGUUUUAUUCCAAUCUGGUCAAAGCCAACAAAAGUGUUUGAUAGAAACGAGAAGGACAAACAGACAAACUUUGUGUUGUGUUUUAAUGAUAGUCACUAAACAUGGCGUGGCCCGUUUUCUUAUACGGAACCAUAGUUUCUACAUCCUGGAAAUGGAACAUCAAGCCGACAUUUUUAAGGUUAAUUUCUGCUAUUAGUCCUUAAUUUUUGCGAAAUUUAUAUAUUUAAUCUCUAUAUUUUAAUUUAGUCAUUUUUAGUCAUUGAACUUUUCAAAUUUUAAAGUUUCAAUACUAACCGAACGGUAACUAUUAAAUUCAGUAAGUUUAGCUAUUUCAAAAAUCUGAGGUGGUAAACAUAUUAUCAUAUGUGUAAUAGCAUGUCAGUUGAUUAUUUCUGCAUAUUACUAACUAAAAAUCCAUGCAAUGGAUUAACGAUUGUCAUUUGCUUUAAGAUUGAAAUUUUAAAAUUCGAAAAAUAUAGGGACUUAAAAUGAUCCACUUGAAGAAUAUGGAUUAAAUCUGUAACUUUAAGUAUAGUACAGGACUAUUAAUUGAAUUUAACUACUAUUAUUUGAGUUAUGACUAAAUUUUAAAAUUCGAAAAAUAUAGGAAAAUAAUUGAUCAAAUUAAAGUAUAAAGAUUAAAUCCAUAAUUUUGACAAAACAUUGAGAUUAAUAGCAGAAUUUGCCUUUUUUAAUGAAAUAAAAAUAUAACCAUGGAAAUAUUCUUCAUAGAACUUUGUUGUUCAAUUCAGACUCAGAGAGUUUUGUACUUUCUACUCAAGUUCUCUCGUGAUUAUCCUACAAGCUGUAUUCACAUGUCUUGUUAUAUAUAUAUAUAUAUAUAUGGGUAAACUAUACUAGUAGUCACCCAAUUAUUAAUAAAUUUUUUUUAAUCACACAAUUAUGAAAAGUUAUAAAUUAAAUGAUCAUCUAGCUAUUAGUAAAUUUCUUUUUUAGUCACACAACUAUGAAAAAUUACAAAAUAAUUAUUAAACUAUUCAAUUUUGUCAUUUUUGGUCCCCAGCUGGCUACCAUAAAAAUAGAAAUACCCAAAACUCCAAGAUAGUUAGGUGACCAAAAAAGAAAUUUACUAAUAGUUGGAAGACCAUUUUAUAAUUUUUCAUUGUUGAGUGACAAAAGAAAAUUAACUAAUAAUUGGGUGAAUAUUAAAUAGUUUACCUCAAAACCCUUGCUAUAAUUUAAGUGCAGGUGUGUUACUUAGCAUUGUGUUUGAUAUAGUUUUUUUGAGGCAAGAAAAAUGGCUAAGGUUAGUGAGAAACUGAUGGUGUAUUGCUUGGUAGCAAUCUUUGUGGUCAUUGCAAUGGUGGAAGGAAUUUAAAUGGCUGGAUUUUUAUUUAUGAUUUUUUUCUAAAAUUACAAUGAUAAUCAAAAUGGAAGCAAACCCUUUAUAAGAUCCAUCACCUUGGAGUACUCUCCAAUGUUCUUCUCAUCUACACCAUUCCUCACUAACUGCGGGAGAAACAACCAAACGGCAGUCACCGCCACAAAUCCCAAAGCUGACGCCCCGGAAACCACCGGGUGCAACCUCAUUUUCUCAGGCACCACCUUCUUCACCACCACUUCCGCCGCCACCGCAACCCCAUGUAAGAUGAAAAACCAUGUCACCUCCCAACUAGGAGCCACACGAGUCAUGUAAUAAAAAAUCAAUUCAUGCAUCAAGCCGGAGACGACGAACACAACGACGAUCGCCGGCAACGAAGCCCACCUUGAUCCGAGCAAACGAGUAGAAAUACGGCGUAUGGGGUAAUAUACGGUUGGUCGUAGAAUACUAGUAACCAUAAGGUUCCAUCUACGACCCCAAAAAUCUUGUAAAGAGGUAGCCAAGUAGGGUUCAUUGAACUGUGGCUCGAACUCGAACCCAAACAUGGCUCGAGCAAGGGUUGCGGCCAAGGCUAGGAUGAGCUCAAGCUCAAUGUAGAUGUGGACACAGUACAUUGCUAGAACUACAUUUUUAUUGAGAAUUUGUUUGUAGCUAUAACAAUGAUAAAGCAAAGCUAAUAUUAGAACUUUUAUAGCAAACAAGAUUGAUCUUUGGGGUGGUUUAGAUCUGUUUUGAGAUGGGGUUUUUUGUUUUGGUUUAAUGGGAAGAGAAGCUAAGGAAAUGAAAUGAAAAAGGUUGGACGGCGGUGGUGAGAGCGGUGGUUGGUCGAAACAAAAGAGGAGGAGCUUGAAAUUAGCUAACCAAGAGAGGAAGAAGGCGGUGAUGCCGACGAGAUGGGCGGUGGAGAUGGUGAGAGGGAGGUAAAGGAAGAAGAUGAAGAUUGGGGUUAAAGAAAUAAGCUUGAAAAUGCCUUUGGGGAGCUUUGAUGGUAUGUAGAAACAAUAACAAAGGGAAAUGAUAGCUAAAAUCCAUACCUUGAUGAAAUUGUGAAGUUCGUUCUCCAUAGGUUGAUCUUUGGAUCUUUGAUGAAAAUGAAGUUAAUGUUUAAUAUUGACAAGGAAUGUAGUUGACUUUACUUAGAUAAGUGCAUAGGCACGUGUAAAAUUUAAUGUGUAUUUAAUUGAAUGUUGUAGAUAGAUGUAUUGCCUCCAAUCAUAUCAUAAUGAAUUUAAGCCUAGAAUUUGUUAGUUUUGAAUUUUGGUUGGACAUGAUAAAUAUAACUUUGGUUGUUUUUGAUUAAAAUAUUGAUAUAAUUUUAUUUUUUUUUAAUUUUAAAAUGUUACAUUAGUAAAUUUAAUAGCAUUAAUUUGAAUUUUUAAAUUUGAAAAUUAAAGGAUUAAAUUUCUAAAAGUAAAAAUACAAAGAUUAAAUUUCAAAUGUACGAAAACUACAAAGAAUAGGGUGUAUUUUUAAUAUCAAUUAUUUACUCUAUAAUUUAGCUUAGAAAAUAAUUAACCUAAUGCGAAGCGUGGACAGAACUAUAUUAGCUAUAUUUCAAAAUAGAAAAAUGAGAGAAAGCCCAAAUUGUCCUUUUCAUAAUAGUUACCUUGUUGUUGGUUACUUGACCAGCUGAACUAGCUUGGUACUGAAACUUUUAGUAGUUAUAAUUUUCAAGUUGAUUAUGUGCACAUCGCACUAAUUGUUGAUACAAAGUGUUAGCUUAGUGGUACAUGGUGAUUCAUAUAAAUCACUAUGGAGAGUCGUUCGUGGUGGUUUUGAGAAUUUUAGAGAUCGAUGAAAAGGCUUCUUGAAGGGUUUUAACAAAGUUUAUAGGUAAAAGGGGAUAUUCUAACUGUACUUGGGUAAGGGAAACGAUUAUAUAACUCAUAAUCCUUGAAAUGGGUUCCUUUGAGGGAAUUUAGAAGCUUGGUCAUGAUGCGUCUUUUUGCACGUUGAUAAUGUGCUUAAUCAACAUGUUUUUAGUGAUUUUUUGUAAUUAAUUUUGGACAUGGAUGCUACUAAUUCGGUACUUCUUUUUUCCUAUUUUCUAUAUUGGUACAAUGCAAGUUUGAAAUGUUAGAGUACAAGUUGCUUUCAAGGUUAUGCACUUAGUAAAGGUUAGUCGUCGUGCUGGUCUUGUAAUUAAUUUAUCACUACAGAAGAAUUUGGAGAUUUGAGAUUGUUCCUCGAUCUCUAUAACUGACUUAUCGAUUGGAGGAGAGAAUCCAUUAUCCGGGAGCAGUUCAAAGUCGAAGUCAAAAUUGCGCCUAAGGCUAGAUUUUUCAUUUUAUCGGUUUAUUCAUUUUUUAUUUUGUUUUACUUAUUUCUAUUCCAUUUUAUUUUUAUUUAAUAAAAGGUCCAAAAAGGUAAUUUAACCAAUUUACAAUAUGAAAUAAUGGCCUAUGAUGACAUUCCAACUAUCUUUGAUUAAUAGUUAAUUAAUUAAACUUAGUUAACUCAUCCUUAAUCUAAACAAAUUAAAAGGAAAAGUUAUCAUCUUUUAUUCAUCUUCCUCUCUUGGCUCAAUCUUGAAGGAGAGAAAACCUAAGGAAACAUUUCACAUUCGGCUACAAAAUUGGUAUGUGCAAUUAAGCCAUUUUCUUGUAAUUUUUAUGUUUUUGAAGCCAUGGGAGCUUGAUUUAGCUAGCUCAUGUACCAAUUUGUAAAAUUGUUAAAAUUUUUAAAAGUUUUCAUUGCUAAUUUCUUAAAGAAAUUAGUGUUAAAUCGAUAGAUUUCAAGCUUAGAUAUGAAAAAGGAUGAGAUUGUAAAGUUUAAAUUGUUAGUUUUGUCAAGACGGAUUAAAGUGUAAAAAUUGAAUAUCUGAUGUGAAAUUUUUUUGACAAUAGAUAGUAGAGGGUCCUAAAAGGAUGUGAGUGAGAUCGGUUUUGAAAUCUAAGCUCAAAAUUGAAAGUUAUGGCAAUUUUGAUUUUAGGGUCUAAAUUAAAUAAAAUGCAAAAAUUUAGGGGCAUUUAGAAAAUGAAAUUGAACUGGUAUAUGCAUGUAAAAAAAUGUUAUAAAAUUUGUAGUAUUGUUAAAUUGAAUUGAAUAAUUGUAUAGAUCGAGAAUUGAACCAACCCGAAGAUAAUUGGGGAAAAGAAAAAAUUAUUGAUUAGUCCUUCUAGUCUCAUUUAUUGCUCUUUUUCCGUGUAAGUUCAUAUGGAACUUACUAAAUUAUCUUUUGUAUUUUUUUUUCAAUUGUAUGUUUAUAUUUAAGUGAAAUUGUGGAAAUUGGCUUAUUUGGCUAUUUAUGGACUGAAUUGUAAAACAUGAAAAUGUUGGCUAUAUGAAAGGGUACAAAGUACCGAUAUGAAUGUUACAUGUUUACAGGAUUUGUAUGAAAUAUGCAUUCUGAUAUAAGGCUUGAAAUAAUACGCUUAAGAUAACGAUGCUAGUAUGAAUUUAGUAAAAGAUUAGGAUACGUAUGGCAUGCCAUUAGGGUCAAAUAUGGAAUCACAGGGAUUUACAUGGUUAUAUGAGAUCCAAAAUUUGUUGCGGAUUCUUAGCCUAUAUGUAUCAUUGGUUUAGCCUGGACUAGUAACCUCAAUACGAUGUUAGCUUGUUUGAGCAAAUUCAUAAAUGUCAGCUUGUCUGAGCAACCCUAAUCCCUACCAACUUGUGUGAGCAAUAUAGUUACGUGUAUCCGAAAUGUUAACCUAACGGAAAUGAAAUCAUUGUAAUGAUACAAAUGUGGAUUGAAUUUUACAUGCUUUCAAAUUGAAUAUGAAUUUUUUUGUACAUGUUUCAAAUUGAGUUGUGGCAAAUUAUUUUUGUUUAAAGUUCUUGAUAUGAAAAUGGACUAACCUAUUUGUUGUAUAUGAUAUUAUAUGUUAGCUAUUUCAAGAUAUGUCAAAUGAUGUCAUAUUGAAUGACAAUGUAUUUAAAUGUUUAGUUUGUUGUAAUGUCAAGGUAAGUUAAAUUUCAUAUGAACUUACUAAGCAAUAUGUUACUUUCUGUUUUCCUUGUAGAUCAUUACCUUGCAGAACAUAUCAAGCAGAUCGCUUUGAAUCUCACACUAUCCUGUUUUUUAAUCGGUAGCUUUUCGAUCAUUUUAAGUUCGGAAUUGUGGCAUGUAUAUAGUUGUUUUGUAUAUGUUAACUUUGAAAGUUGGACAUAGCUUGAAAGCUUCCUAAUGCAUGGUUUUGACAAUGUUAAUGUCUAGUUGAAAUGGCAUGUUUUGGUAAAUGUGUUUGAAUUAUGUUUGGCAAUUAAAAUAGCAUGUUUGAACAUGGAUUAGCAUAGAUAAGAAGUUGGUAUUUCAAUGGCUAGUUGGUUGGAUGGAUUAUUUAUAAUUGAAUGAGUUGAAUUGGUAUGUUUUGUGUUAAUUUGAACUUAUAUUGAAUUGGUUGAAAGAAAAUGGUUAAAUGGCUUGUUUUGGUAUGUUUUUAGUAUGGUUUUAUUCAUGUAAAGAUGGUGAUUUGUAGAGUAAAUUGAAUAGCUUGUUCGGAAGCACUAAAAUAGGUAUCAAAUGGUACAUUUUUAUCGAAAACAAGUUCCACGUCAGAACUACAAAUCUCAACAUCGUGACAUUGGCAACUCAGAGAGUCUCGUCGCAACGAGGAAACACUGAAGUCAUGAUGACGGCUUGGAAUUUUUAAAACUUUACGAUUUGAUCCUAUUUCGUGCUCGGGUCAAUAAAUGUAUUUAGAACUUAAUUACAUGUUUGAUUGGUGUUUAUUGUAUAAUUAAUUGUUAAAAUUUAAUGUCAAUAAUGACAAUGAAUCACAAAGAAAGAGAGAAAAAUAGAACAUGCAGAAUUUUACAUGAAAAUCUUUUCGGGAAAAAAUCACGGGCUGAGGAGAAGAAAUUCACUAUGUCGAAUUCGAAUGAUACAAGAUAAGUAUAGAUUACGUCUAUUUAUAGGUUUGUAAAACCAUAUUUUAAUCAAAGUCAAAUAAAAGUAAUGCAGCAAGAUUAAAACACCUUAUUGUAAUCAACAUCAAAUAGAGGAAGUAAACUUCUAUACAGAUUUCACUUGUGCAGCAUGUACUAUACCGCGGGGGAUCUACAAUGGGCUACGACCUUUACCCUCGUAGAUCCUCCUAUCUUGCCACUUGUAUUUUAUUUUUAACAGGGAUUUGAGUCACACAAUUUCUAACAUUAACGAUAGUUGCUUCAACAACGAAUAUAGCAUCCUAUAUCUCAAACCUGAUCGGAUUACAAUGAACAUUGAAUUCCAUCGGUACUCUAAUUUUUUUAAAAGACAUCUAUAAUUAAUAUUCAUGUUCCACGUAUAUUUAAACAUAGAUAUAAGAUAUGCUUUCUUAAAAGUUUGUUUUUAUCCAAUCUGGUCAAAACCAACAAAAGUGUUUGAUAGAAACGAGAAGGACAAACAGACAAAACUUUGACAAUUCACAUGUUGUGUUGUGUUUUAAUUAUCUUUUUUAUAGCCUAUAGUCUAGAUUAUGAUUGCAUGCCCUGUUUUCUUAUACGAAACCAUAGUUUCUACAUCGAACCGACAUUUUUAAGGUUAAUUUCUGCUCUAAUUAGUCCUUAUUUUUUUGGGAAAAUUUGUUGAUUUAAUCUUUGUAUUUUAAUUUAAUCAUUUUUAGUGAUUAUAUUUUUAAAAUUUUAAAAUUUCAAUACUAACUAAACAAUAAUUGUUAAAUUCAGUAAGUUUUACUAUUUCCAAAAUAUGAUGUGGUAAGCAUAUUAUCAUAUGUGUAAUAACAUGUCAACUAAUUAUUUCAAAAUUCGAAAAAUAUAGGGACUUAAAAUGAUCCAAUUGAAGAAUACAAACUAAAUCCGUAACUAACUAUACGUAUAGUACAAGACUGUUAAUUGAAUUUAACUAAACAAACUCAACUAUUACUAUUUGGGUUAUGACUAAAUUUCAAAAUUCGAAAAGUACAGGACUAAAAUUGAUCAAAUUAAUAGGAUAAUUUAACUUUUUUAAUGAAUUAAAAAAUAUAACCAUGGAAACAUUCUUCAUUGAACUUUGUUGUUCAAUUCGGAUUCAAAGAUUAAGUAUUUUCUACUCUUUAAGUUCUCUCGUGACUAUCCUACAGACUGUAUUCACAUGUCUUGUUAUAUAUAUAUAUAUGCAUGUAUGUAUGUAUAUGGGUAAAGUAGGCUAGUAGUCACCCAACUAUUAGUAAAUUUCUUUUUUAGUCACACAACUAUGAAAAAUUAUAAAAUAAUCACUAAACUAUUUAAGUUAUCAUUUUUUGUCCCCAGCUGGCUAACAUAAAAAUAGAAACACCCAAAAAUUCAAUAUAGUUGAGUGACCAAAAAAAAUUUAUUAAUUGUUGGAUGAUCAUUUAAUAACUUUUCAUAGUUGGAUGGCCAAAAAAAAUUUUCUAAUAAUUGGAUGACUACUAAGAUAGUUUACCCUCAAAACCUUUACUAUAAAUUAAGUGCAGGAGUUUUACUCGGCAUUGGGUUUGAAAUAGUUUUUUUGAGGCAAGAAAAAUGGCUAAGGUUAGUGAGAAACUUAUGGUGUAUUGCUUGGUAGCAAUAUUUGUGGUCAUUGCAAUGGUGGAAGGAGCUAAAGGGGCAACCAUAUGUAACAUUCCAUCGAGUAGGUUGAACCUUUGCCGGCCGGCGGUCACCGGGAGAUACCCUCCACCACCGACCAAACAAUGCUGUCUUUUGAUAAAACAUGCCGACUUGAAUUGUCUUUGCAACUUCAAGGAUGCUCUUCCUGCCUUCAAUAUCAACCCUUCUCGCGCAUUUGCAUUGCCUAAGAAGUGCAAAUAUAAUCUUCACAUACCACCAAAAUGCAGGGGUAAGUUCUUUGGGAAAUAGUUUUGUUGAGGGUUAAAAGUUUUUAAAGUGUCAUCUAUUGAACAGUCGGUCGUAGUGUAAGUGGUAUAAUGUUCCUUAAGUGAUAACCUGUAUGUCAAUGGUAACCCCACUAAGGGCGAGACGCUCAUGACCCUUGGUGGGUGGUUGUGUGCCCAAGUACGGUCGAGGCACUUCUUUUAUGAACCAUUUACAGCUUUUGGCUAGGGAUGGUAAAAAAAUUCAAAUCCAACGAGUUUCGACCCCACCCGAUCCGUUAGGAUUGAAAGUUUUUUGGAAAAUUAGGUUCGAGGCGAGUUAGGUCAAGUUUAAGGUAAAACUACUCCAUUCCAAGAUAUUUACAAAAUUACCCCAUAUAUAUAAUAUUAAAUUUUAAGCUUAAAAAAAAAGAUAAAUCAAUUAAAAAUGUAAUAUUAUUUCCUUCAAAAUGAAAAACAAAACAAUUAAAUUAAAUUCGGAUCGGAUUGAAUUAAAUUAGAAUCGGAUGUCUUAUUAAAUUUCAAGUUUAGAGCAAUUUUUUUCUUAAAAAUCGAGAUCGGGACAGAUUGGUCAAGCUUCGAGUUGACACAGAACAUCCCUACUUGUGAUAGAGUCAAGGACAAAACCCGAAUCAAGAGACAAGUUUGUAAAUCAUUGUUUUCUUGUUUGAUAACAUUAAUAGUGGGGACAGUUUUGGUUUCUAACUGAUAUGUCUUGUUCUUUUGCAGGCUGAAGCACACUCGAAUGUUCCCUCAUUAUCUGCUGAAGAGGUUUUUUGGACCCUGCUUAGAUCUUAUAUGUAUUGAAAUUGUGUUCUUUGAGUUUUUCGUCUUUCUUGCAAUAAUCAUUUCAGUUUUCUUCUUAUUAUUUUUGGUCAUGUCCUUAAUGAUUGUAUUGUUCAUGAAUGUUACUCGAAUUCGAGUUUCGAUAUUUUAUAAAGAUUUUCAUAUAUCAGUUUACUGAAAUUUAAUUGUAACUCAAACACCGUUUGAUUAAAUUUAAUUAUUAAUCUUGUACUACGUGUAUAAUUGUAAAUUUAGCCCAUGUUCUUCAAUUAAAUCGUUCUAAAUCUCUAUACUUGUCAAAUUUUGAAAUUUCAAUAUUUAACGCAAAUGAUAGUCGUUAAUCUAUUGAUUGAAUUUUUAAUAAAAAAAUGAGAAAAUAAUAUUCUGACGUGAUAUUACAUAUAUGAUAAUUUGAUGUAUUAUAUUUUAGAAAUAACAUAACUUAAUAAAUUUAAAAAUACAAAGUUAGAAAAACAUAAAAAUUAUAUCUACAACUUUCACAAAUUACAAGAAUUUUUUACAAAGCAGACAAUGUCACAUGCAGCAAUAGGUUACAUUAUAAUACAUACAAAACAAAGAAAUCAAUGCAAAUAUAGAUUGAAAUCCCUAUACUUUUCAAAAAUUAAAAAUUUAGUCCCUAUACUUAUAUUUCUAGAAAUUUAAUCCUCUACUUUUUGUAUUUCAAAAUUCAGGUUCAGCUAAUUUUUUUUGUUAAAUUUUAGGUUAUUGACAACAUUUUUUUUAUUACAUUGCUACCAAAUGAAUACUUUUUUUUAUAUUUCAGAAUCCAAUAGCAACAAAUUUAACAACAAAAGAAUUAACAGUAUUAACAGUUAGACCUGAAUUUUAAAAUCUGAAAAGUAAGGACGAAAUUCCUAAAAAUACAAGGACAGGGACUAAAUUCCUAAUUUUCGAAAAGUCGCAUCUAACCGUGGAAUUUACAUACACUUUGAGUUAUCAUAUCCUCAAGGUCACUGAUGAGUUUCAACAAACAGAGGGACUCACUCUGGUUUAGCUUUUACAUUCUGUUUCGCCUCUAUAGCUGGUUUAACUGCCAACCGAAAAACCCAAACCGCUAACAAAGUCGCCUCUAUCGGAGCGAGCCAGUAUACGAGUAUAUGUUCCUUCGAGAUAUGAUCUCCACGAGCAUAAGCCCAUCCCAUUACCUACAUGUUUUAAAUAAUAAUAAAAAAGAGUUUGACCGUUAGGUUCUGUUAUCGACCACAUCGAUCGGGACUAAGAAACGGUGGGUGCUUACAGAGGCAGGGUUCAUGCAUCCACCAGUGAGAUUAGAGCCAAGAAUAUGAAGAGUUAACUUGGAGAUGCUUGCGAUCCACGUCUUCAUAAAGAAACUGCUAGGGAUCUUGGUAGUAAGCCCGAGCGAGAUGAUGACAAUUGCAAAUGUUAAGAAUCCUUCAGUUAAUGCACCUUGAUGGAUAUCGACAUUCAAACGUGGCCCGGAUCCAAUCCCCGGAAAGAUCUGGAUAAUGAGCUUAACCCCAGUAAUAGAUCCAAUUACCUGAAAAGGAAAAAAAAACCAUACAUAACAACAUAUCAAAGUGCAAUGAAGUAAAAGCUGUUUUUGAUCUAUCAUACAAUCAACAUUUGAGAUCAUAAAUAGCUUUGGCAACAUACACUGAUCAACCGAAACAUAGUUCAAAAAUGUUCGGUUUAUGGUCGUGUGAGAAACCAUGUUACAAGUCAUGUCAAAAACCUAAAAGAAUGAUGUACUAAGCAAAGCCAAAGGGCUAACGUAAAACAACGGUUUGUUCCCCUAUCACUAUUAGGAGUGCAAAUGAAACACUGGUGACAGCAAGCUACUCGAUUCGAUAAUUAUCGAGCCGAGCUUGAACUCAAGCAACUCAAGCUAUCGAACGAGUCAAAUUCGAGCUUAGUAAUACUUGAUUUGAACAGCUCCUGAGCCUUAUCGAGCUUUUCAUAUUUUAUAUUAUUAAAUUACAUUAUUACCCUUAAUAUAUAUUAUUAACCCUAAGCUUAAUUUUUGGGCAGAGCUCGAGCUUAAUUACAAAAAUCGUUAAAUGAGUAGCUCAAUUAUAUCUCAAACUUAAAAACAGAUGUUCUACCAAGCUCAAGCCAAGUAUCGAGCUUAUAAUUUCAAGUGGAGCUCGAGUUUGACAGUAUUCAAGCUCAGCUCACUUACACCCCCUAUUCACUAUUAAGCAUGUUUAGAUUCUUGUCUAAAGAGAAACAACAUUCUUUGAACAACCAUGUACAAACAACAGAUACCAUACAUAUAAAAUACCAGACACUUGGCUUGUAAAUCCAUAUCCUUGGUAAGUUUGGUAAGAACAAACAACAUUAUAGUUCCCUAAGUACUUGAUGCAGACAUGAAAUGAGAUAAACAAUGGCAGUAUAUUCAGUAAAAGUAUCAUGGAAGCCCUGUGCUAGGAGUCAGAUUGCAUUUUGCCCCCUUUAUUCAAAAAAUAAGCAUAAAUGGUACAUGGCGUGUCACAUGUCACUCUAUGGUAUUUCUUCAACCACGCCAAUUUUUAUCGGUAUAAAUGAAUGAAACUUUUAACAAAAAAGAUCAAUUUGCUCUUUAAUGCAAUGUACAAAGACUAGUAAAGGGAGCAAAAUAUAAUCCAACUUCUAAUUCAAGGCCUCCAUAGUACUUUUUUACCAAUUUUCAGGACUAGUUUGCUUUAGUAGAGCAAAAUGGAAUCCCCCCAAUGGUUACCUAGUGGAUUCUAACAAAGUAUCAUGCACCAAGGCACAAAAUCCAAACAUCAACAAACAGGAAACAUCAAAAGAAAUCUAAAAUUCAGAAUUAACCUAAACAUCAACAAUGUAUAUAAUUUAAUCAUUAAAUAUACAUAUAAUUUGUUGUAAAAAGACAUUAACCUGAGCGGGAAUUCUGGCCCCAACAGUGAAAAGGAAGUGGGCGAAACCACCAGACACGGCGGAGGCUAAAACAGUCAAAGGAUUAUAAGCGCCGCCAUUAGUGACCUUACCCAAGAAGGCGAAGAAGAACAUGUUGAUAACGGAUAAAGAAUUCUUCACAAAUUCAGCCUUGGGUUGGUAAUCAAUCCCUAAAAUUUGAUUCACCAACAGCUUUAUCAGAAAAUUAGACCAUACCCACAUCAAGGAGAUGAUAAAAUCGUAUAUAAUCACCCCCCUCUUGCCCAUCUUUUUUUUUUCUUUUUGAAAUUCCAGUUUCUAUAUGAUCAUACAGAUUUCCAUUUAGCGCUUUUCUUUCAACUCUUUGUUUAAAGCUGACAAAUUUCUCCAAAAAAGGAACUUUCAUGGAAAAUUCUGCGAAUGUUUUUUUAUAUGGGUUAAUUGCAAACAUAAUCCUCCAUUUUUUGUAAAAGUUCUAAAUUCGUCUCUGAACAUUUAACCGUUAGCCAUCUUGUUAAAUUUUUGGUAAAAAUAUGCUAUUAGUUCUUGUACAUUGACAAAAUGUGAGAUUUAGUCCCUUUAUAAAAUAUUAACAAAAGACAAUAAAAUAUUACUUUGGUUAAAGGUAGUAAAUAUAAAAUGAGAGUCGUAAUAUUUUGGGUUCAAAUCUCUUUAUACACGUAUUUUCUAAAUUUUAUAUAAAAAAUGAAAGAAUAAAAAUAUCUUUAAAAUAAUUUUUUUAUAAAUAAUUCACCACUAAAUUAGUAAUUCGAUUAAGGAUGACAGCAAUUUAAUAAAAAAUCUUAAAUAAUAUAUCAAUGCUAAAUAUUUUGGUCGCAAAAUUUUAAAAUUAAAUUAUUAUAUGACGUGAUUAAUAGCGAAAAAUAUGAUAUGAUAAUUAAAUUAAAUUAAAUAUUAUUUAAUGUGAUUAAAUUAAAUUAAAAUGUUAUAUAUUGUAAUUAAAUUAAGGUAAUAGUGGGUAUCAUAAUUAUUUAAAACCAACUCCUAAGCGAGUUUUUAGUAGUUAAUAAGGAUAUUUUAGGUAACAUAAAAAAUUAAUAGGGAUAUUUUAGGUAGUAUUAAAAAUCAAUAGAGAUAAAUUAUUCCUUAGAACUUAAUACGGGAAUUUUUUUUAAAGGUAAAAUCAUUAGUUCAUUCAAUGAAUGGAAUCAUACAAUUCAGAGAAAAAAAUAGUAAACACUUGUCGUAGAUAAUGAAGGACAAGCUUCUUCAACACAACAAAGGCUUUAGCCUUAGCAUCAAAAGAACAUUAUGACACGUUGAUAAUUGGCUUUGUCACAAGUCAAGCACGACGUAUCUAAAGUGAUUGCAAGUACUUAAUACGAUAAGGAAAUCAACCCCAGAUGGUCUAUAGCAGCGAGCAAAAAUCGACAAAAGAAUCGAGCAUUCACCAAUCUAGAGAGGAUGACAACAAAAUCAUCCGUAAAAUCAAUUGUAAAACUAAGAUUACAUGCAUAAGCAAGACUAAAAAACGUAUAACAAGCGUAGACAAAAACUUCUAAAACUAAAAACUUAUUAAGUAAUGGAAAAACAAAUAAAAAAACAUAUAAAAUUUAAGACAACAUGGGUCCAAAUCGACAUUUGAAAUCAUUAAUUAUUCUGAAAUACUCUCAAAACAGAAAUAGAUUAAGAAGUUGACAAAGAGCCACCCACUUUCCAAGAAAAACUACGGAUGGCCGGUGGAGUUUUAGUGAACGACAAACACCAUCAUCUAUCCAUCACAAGUUGUGAAAACAACAAAGAUAUCCACAAAAUAUAUUUACAAAUUGAAAAAAAAGAAGACAUAUGUAGUGAAUGAGAAGAAGAUAUUCAUAAAAUUUAAUUUAUUUUUAAAUAUAUAUAUUAUAAGAAGAAGACCUUCAAAGCUUUUUAGAAAGAUUUAGAAAGAUUUAGAUAAAAUUAAAAAUUGUUUUAGAUGAUUGAAUAAAUAUAAGGACAUGUCCAAAUCAUAAAACUGAUGUUCAAAGCUCUUCAGCUCAAAUCGAGAUCUUGUGUUUAGAAACAUAUGUAAAAUCAUUUGGAAAUUUUUAUGGGGUGAUCGGAGGUGUUUGGGGUCUGAUAUAAGUUUCGGAGAGUUCAAAACAACCAAAACAAUGCAAGGGAGUCUAUCCAAGGGCAAUGUGUCGAUACCUAUACCCAAGGUUUUGGUGCCUUAGUUUGGAAUUGUAGCAUUUUGACUACUGUCAUUGAUCUCUCAAAUAUUAUUUAUUGUGGUUCAAUUCAAUUCAAUAAUUCUUUUAGGGUUAUGGACUGAUUCAACCCGUCAAUCUAAUCUAAUGUAAACAACCAUGAUUAUCAAUUUUAUAUGUUGAACUACAUAAAUUUAAAGUUUGAGUCUCGACCCGUGACAUUACCACCAACAUAACCACAGAUUAUGUAACUUAAUUUUGUUUUAAAAUAAUUUUGUAACUCAUUAAAAAAAAUGGGGUUUAUGAUUUGCAUGGUAAGGCCAAGUUGAAACUUGCUGCUUGGAUAUCUUCUUGGUUUCCAUAACAAAGUAUUAGCUAUCUAUUCAAGGGUAUGGCUUGGAUACCUUUUAAAUUUAAGUGAAAUUUAAGUUAGCCAUUGUUUGCCGAUUGAGUCUUAGUUCGAUUGGUAUAGGUAUUGUUGUCAAUAUAGGAGGAUGUGAGCUCGAUUGCGUUGAAGCGCUUAUCUUCCUAUUUAUCGGUUGGAGGGCUAUGGGUUGUGUCAAAAAUAACAGAUAUGACCAGAACACCUUUAUUCGAAAAUUAUUAAAAAUAUUAAAUCAACUUAAAAUUAAUAUUUUCAAUGAUUUAAUUUGUUUAAGUACGUUCGAUAAUUGAUUAUAAAAAAAUAAACUAUAGAUUUUUUCAAUGAAAAAAAUGUGAAAAAUGUUAAGUAGAUAAGAAGCUACUUAUCACUUAAUGUUGAAUUUUUUAAUUCUGAUUAUUUUAUUUUAUUUCUUUUGACGUUACCCUUUAAAUAAUUUACUUGGGAUUUUAAUUGUUAAAAUUAAGGAAAAAUAACUUAUUUGGCCUUCUUUAUAAAAAAAUUUUAUUUUAGCCCUCUAUUUAAUUUUUCGCCUUUUUUAGCCGUUGAACUUGUAUUGUUUGUUAAAUCACCCUAAAAUAAAUGAAAAAAAUUAAUUGUCUGUUAACUUUACUGACGUGGCAUCCAUGUGACAAUCGACAUGUAUGACACGUUAACAAUUAAUUAUUUUUUUUAAUUUAAAAAUAUUAAAAAAUAUAUUUUAUAUACUUUUUAAUAAUUUUUAAUUUUUUAAAUAACUUUAUAAUUUUUUUAAUUUUCCAAAUUAAAAAAAUUAAUUAAUUGUUAUCAUGGCAAUCCAUGUGUAUAUCGCAUCAACAAAAUUAACAUACGUUAACUCUUUCAUCUAUUUAUGGAAUAAUUUGAUAAAUAACACAAAUUUAAAGACUAAAAGGGACAAAAAAAUUUGGAUAAGAAACACAAAAGUCUAUUCUUGUAAUAUCGUCUCAAUAGUUGAUUGAGUUUUAGUUCGAUUGAUAUGGGUAUUUUUGUCAAUGCAAGAAGACGUGAAUUUGAGUGUGCUGAAACGCAUUACCCUCUUAUUUAUGAGUUGGGGAAACUAUAAACAAUUCUAAGCAUUAUGUUAAAAAAAUAAUCCAGAUAAAUUAUUUCAAUAUAUAUACAGAAAUAUAUAUGUGCCAAAAACCUGACAGCAUAUCUCAGUAUCCAGAAAUAACACAUGCUAAACCAUGUGCUUUUUAUUUAUUAUGAAAUAUAAAGACUAUGAUUUCCUAGAGUUAUAAACCUAUGGUUUUAACAUUAAUUUUUAAAUUACUAAAUAAUUAUUCAACAUGCACCUACCCGUAUAUAAAAAUAUUUCCGGUAAUAAUUAGGGCUGUCGAUUGAGUCAUAUCUCGAUUGAAAUAGGUAUUAUUGUCAUUGUAGGAAGAUGUGGGCUCGAGUGCACUGAAUCGCAUUAUUCUCCUAUUUAAGGGAGGGAGAAAGAAUAUAUUAGUAUUUACUCCCUUAAAUAGAGAACUCACAUCCUCUUACAUAAGCAACAAUGCCGAUACCAUUCAACCUAAGACCAUUCAAUUCAAUGUAUACAUCUUUUAAACACAGUACAUACAUAUUUAUUUAAUAUUGGACCAAUUAUUAUAAUAUUUUAUGAAUUUUCAUCACUUUAUAAUUUAUUUAUUUGUAUUUUAUAUUUAUAUUUAUAUUUAUUUAUACUAAUAUUAUAAUAUCAAAAUCAAUGAAGUGGUCCUCACGAUUUGGGUUGUUUCUAUAUUACACAAAAACAAAAAAAUGUUACAAUCAAAUUUUCUUUGAAUAAUUCAAAGCAAUAUAUAUAUAUAUAUAAUAUGGAAAAAAAAGUAAAGUAGGUGUCCUGGAACAUAUCCCUUAAAAUUAGUGUCACCAUCAUUUGCCCUUUGAACAAGUCUUUUUGUAUUUAAGGCACCUUUCUACUUACGCCUGUUUUGAUAAGAUUGAUUUAGGGUAAAAUUUGUCACAAGUCCUUGUAUUUUUAAAAUUUUAAGAAUUUAGUCCUUAUAUUUUUAUUUUUAUGAUUUCAAAAUUCAGGUCCAACUGUUAAUCUUUUUGUUAAAUUCAAGUUAUUUACAAAGUUAUUGUUUUAAUUACAUGGAAACCGAAUGUCAACAGCAACAAAUUUAGCCGCGUUAAUAAUUAGACAUGAAUUUUAAAAUCUAAAAAAUAGAGGGACUAAAUUGAAAUACUUUAAUCAUUUAUUUAUUCUUAUUAUAAAAUGAUUUUGGAUUAUUUAUUUGUAUGUACAUGACAAGUUGGGAUAAUAUAAAAGAGAAACUUCCUCCCACAAUAAAAUAUAUCAAAUUAUUUAUUUUACAAUUUAGGGCUUCAGCAAUGCCUUUGACUAUGGUUUUAAAUUGAUUAGGUUGUUAAUUAUAAAUUAUAAUUAGGUAGGAGAAUUAAGGAAUAUAACAUUAAAACUAUAUAAUAAAAUCGAGAUUUUCAACUAUUGGACUAUACUCACCGAAAUUAUAAAAUCAAAUUAUCUCGAAAUAAAUGAAAAAGUUAACUUUGUUGAUCUGACAUACAUGUAACUGUUACAUUAAUAAUUUAAAGUUUUUAAAAAAUUUAUAAAAAUGAUUAUGAUAUAAUAAAUAUGUAGAUAAUGAAUUAUCAUGUCACAUUAAAGAUGAAAAGUAUGCUUUCAUAAAGGUGCAUCAAAAAGCAUGAAGUCUACUUUAAGAUUAUAAGUACUGCAAAAAUUAGUUGUUGGGUAACCAUCUAAUUGAACUUUUUUUUUCUUUUUAGUGUCAACUAUUUUGGUCAAUAAAAUUCAUUUUUCCACAUAUGAAAAAUGAUAUAUUUCUACUUUAUUUUUAAUAUUAUGAUUAAAAUUUACUUAAAAGUGUUAUGGAGAUUCCCGUACUAGAAGUGAGAUUAGAUUAUAAUUUUUAUAUUAAAAAAAUACGUAAAUUGCUAUGUGCAUUAGGUUAAAGAGUAAGCUGAUCCUUUUAUUAAAAGUUUUAUCUAUUUUUACAACUAAUUUCUGUACGUCAGUAGAAGGUACAUAUGGUAUGCCAUGAGUCACUGUUUAGUUUUUUCAUUAGCCACAAAGGGAUAAAAUUUUCAAAAGAAAUGAUAAAUUGAUUUUUUAUCUAACCUACAAUGGCUAAUUUGUCUUUUUUUUUUGCGUAGAGGGGACAAAACGCAAUCUGACUCCUAAUACAAGAACUUCCAUGGUACUUUUACCUACUUAUAUUGUAUUUCCAUUGAGAAUGUCAAUAGCAAAUAAUAUUAUGUAUCUAUAUUAUUAUUUUAAGUGUUCGACUAAAUUGGUGUCACGAGUUAACUCGACACCGUUUCAAUCAAGUAAAUUAUUAAAAUAAUCUUACAUAUUUUAAAUAAAUUGUAUUAUUACGAGGGUACUUUUGUAUUUUUUUAUUUCUUAAAAAAAAUUUUGAAAAUAUUGAUAUUUAAACCCAUACCACCAGUAUCUAUAAAAUCUCUCCUUUACAACUUCAACCAAAGUUUUAUUUUGAUACGUUUACCCACAUUAGUUGAUUGAGUUAGUAUCAUUAGUCAACUCGAUACUAACUCUAGAAAAAUGAUAAUAACAUAAUAAACAAUCGAAAUGCAUUUAAUAUUCUUAAUCCGAUGUAGUUAAAUACGUAAUUUUUAUAUAUAUAUAUGUAAAAGUUGGGUCAUUUUAAAAUUCUCUUGGCUUUUACAUAAAGCAACUUGCAAUUAAUAAAGAACUAUUGGAUUUAUAUUUUUAUGUAUUUUUUUGCUUUAGAUUAUUUAGUAAUGUCUUUAAUAGUUUUAUAAUAACCAACAAAGGUAGAAUGGUACAAUUAUUGCCUUUUCUUUAAUAUAAACAUAACCAAUGGUACCUUUUCUCCCUGUUUUUGUAAUUAAUAUUUUAAUCAUGCAUGAAAUCAUAAUUAUCAUUAUAAAGAGUCUAAAGAUGAGUUGGUAAAGAUAGAAACUCCUUUAUAUAAUUCCAUUAUCAAAUUUUGAAUUGAGAUCAUCUCUUUAUAUAUAUAUAUAUAUGUAAGUAUAAAUUUUUUAUAUCAGUGCAGAGCCAGAAAAUUUUUUUAAUGGCCAAAGUGUAAUUUUAUCAUUACUGCUAAUUUGAGAUUUAAUCUCUCUAUUUCACGUUGGGUUAACUAAAUUAUAGAGUAAAAAUGUAAAGGUUAUAAUAUGCUCAAAAUACUUGUACUCUUCAUAUCUUUGGAAUUUAAUCUCCAUACUUUUAUUUUCAAAAAUUAUUUAAUCUCUCUAUUGUUUAAUUUUUAUUAUUAAGGUCUAUUUGUUAACACCGUUAAAAUCCUUUUAUUAAAUUUGUUGGUGUGAUAUUUUGAAUUAAAAAAAACUCUAUUGGUAUCCGUGCAAUAGAAAAUGAUAUUAUAAUGAACUUGAAUUUAAUAGAGAAUUUUAACUGUGUUAACUAUUCUAAAAAAUUGACCUCAGCAUUUUAAUCAGAAUAAAAUAUUUAGACCAACUAAUGGCACUAUAUAAAAGUUGAAGAAUCAAAUUAUGUCAAAAUUAAAAUAUAGAUAUUUAAAGCUCACAUUUGAGCGAAAUAUAGGGAUCAAAAUUGAAAUUUAACCACUUUUAUAUAAUCUUAAAGAAAGUAGAUGGAUUAGACUUGAAAUUGGCCAUUAUUUUCUCAUGUCAAAAGAAAAAAAAAGAACAAAAAGUACGAAUAGGUGUCUAAAUUAUAUCAAAAUUAAAGUAUAAAAAAUAAAUCUCAAAUUUGAGUGUAAUAUAGGAUCAAAAUUGAAAUUUAAUUAUUUUUACAUAAUCUUAAAAAGGUAUAGGGAUUAAAAUUGAAAUUAGCCACUAUUUUCCUCAUGUCAAAAGAAAAGAAAAGAAUGGACAGGUAUCAAAAUUAAAAUAUAAAUAUAAAAUAUAAAAUUUGAACAAAAUAUAAGAGAAAACUGAAAUUUAACCAUUUUUAUAUAAUCAUAAAAAAGUAGAAACAUUAGAAUUGGAAUUUAACCAUUGUUUUCUUAUAUAUAAAAUUAAAAUUAUAUCCUCAUUUAUCUUUUAUUUUAUUUUUAAAAAAGAAUUUAGUGCCCAAAUUUAUCUGUCCUUUAAUCAUAUACAGCUAAGAGUCCAAGCAUACAAUUUUUGAAUUUGAAUUACUUGAAAUAAAAUAAUAAAAAAAGUUUAAUAUAUUAUUUUGUACUCGAGUUUGACAUUUUUUUUAAUGUGACACUUAUGUUAUUUUUUUGGUCCAAGUCGGUACCUAUAUUCGAUGAAAGUUACAUAUUUUAGUACCCAAAUGUAACAAUGUUAAUUUCUUAGUAUUUAGUUCGGUUUUUUUAGUAAAAUAAAUUUAGUAUUAAUUAUGAUUUUCUUCAAUCCCGUGUUUAAGUUUUCAAAUGCAAUGUGAUGGAUGAUGUAAGUUUUAUUAAUAAUAUUAAGGUCAACAUCAAAAACCAAAAAAAAAGGAAAAUCAAUUAAUGUUUUUAUACAUUGACUAAACCCAGCCAAAAUCCCAAACCAAAACACAAUUUGCCAAAUCUUUCAAUUUCACCCUCAACAUUUUAUGUUGACCCCAAUUUGCUAUUUUAUUAUUGUUCUUAUUAUUUGUUGUGGUGGGGUUUCCACCUUGUAAGGUGACCAUUUGACGAGUUAAGAUGAUCUCACGGUGGUGGCCAGCCAAUGGUAUAAUCCCACGUGGUUAUUUGCCAGGGUGGCGAUAGGGUUUGGACACACACUACCAGACAGCUGUCCUCCAAUCAGAAACUUGGUGGCUUAGUGCGCCGCAUCCAGUUGCUGGCUCGAGCCGUGGGAAAAGAAAUUGGGCUCAGUUUUCCUUUUGGAUGAGAUUGAGAGAUUAUAAAACUUCAUCAAAUUAGUUUAUUUACCAUUAAAUGGGUUAAUUUAGUUCUUGUAUUGUUAAAAAAAUUAAAUACGAUCAAACACCAUAUGUUGUCCAGAUAGUCAGGGAGUUCACCGCCUCAGGUAUAAUUUGGGUUUGAGUCGCGUUACUCAUGUUGUUGUUAGGGCUUUACCCUCCUAUUAUAAUUCACAAAAAAAAAAAUUAAAUAAGGUCAAAUUGGAAUAUAGUUAAUUUUUACUGUUUAAUAUUUUUAUGGUUUUGUAAAUCAAAUCUUUUGUUUGGAAUUAAACUGCAAUUGAAAAAAAUCAUUUUUAAGAUAUUUUUUAUAUGGUAAAUGUUAACUUUGAUACAGUGUGGACUUAUUUGAUUAUUUUUAAUAGUAUAUGGACUAAAUUGAUCAUUUUAAUAAUAGAGGAACUAGUUUAAUCCAAUCCUUAUAAUACAUGGAAUUCUUAGGUACUUUAACAAUUUUUUUUUACAUUAUAGGGAUUGAAUUUGGACUUAUUUGAUUCCUUUCAAUGAUAUUAACAUAAUUUGUGCUUGGCCAAGUUCGUUUCGACCCAAAUUUUAGACUCGUCCAUAUUAUUUUCUUAAUUUUUUAAAUAAAUAUUUAUAUUUUUAAGCAUUUUUAAACAUUUUAUAUAUUUUUUUAAUUUAUUAAAAAUUUAUAUGUAACCUCCCCAACCCGGCCUAGACAUUAAGCCCGAAUUCGAGAGAUUACAUCGGCCACCGAAAUGGCCUAGUACAUUCGAAGUUUUACAAAAUAGUCAUAUUUAAACAAUCAUUUUAUUUUAGAAGAAAACUUAGCCUAUUUUCAUAAAAACUCAUGAAUUAAUAAAAACCGAUUAAGCUUAAUAUUUUCCUUGUAACGGUGACUACUUUUGAAAACUUCGUUAAUUUUUAAUUUAUUUAUUCUUCAAAAUUUAUUUAUAAUCUAGUAGAGGAAAGAGUGAUAUCUAGUUUAGUUUUAAUAAAAACUGAAGUUCAUGCAUAAUUAAUUAAUAUCCAUAUUUCAACCUCCUAAAAUUAAAUUAUGUGUCAUGCAUGCUAUUUUUAAAAAACCUAAGUCUCAUGCCAUGAAUCGAAAUUAAAGCAAUAUAGUCUCUGGAUAACACAAAUAUCGAAUCAUAAAUCUAAAAUAUUUUAAUAAAAGUAAAAUUGAGUCGAGACCCUCUGGAUGUCGAGUCCGCGACCUAACCUAGUGGGUUAUCUAUAAAGAUAGAAAUAAUGGGGGAGAGAGCUUAUAAAGUUCAAUGUAAGUUCAAUCAUGAGAAAAUCAAUGAAAACAAUAGAUAAAACAUAUUGAAUAAUAAUGCAUAGAAUAAUCACAAUUGAAUAACAAUUCAGAACAUCGUUGUUUCAAAUAAACUCAACACAAUAUCAUUUCAAAAUUCAUAGUUUUGUAUGCGCAUGUUUAUGAAUGCAAUGUAGUUUCAAUUUAAUAGAAAAGGUCCUACCCAACUCUGCUACACACCACAGUAAAAGUUCCCCACAACUCAUCCAUCCCUACACACUGCGUUGUGGAUAAACCAUAAAUUUGCAGAUAAACUGCUGCUGGGCUAUGGAUACACAGCAAAAUUUGCAAAUGAGAACUGCCACUGGGUUGUGGAUGCACAGCAAAAUUCACAGAUAAAAUCUACUAGUGGGUUGUGGAUACACAACAAAAUUUCGCAAUUAAAAUCUGCCACUGGUAGGGGUGAGCAUUCGAUCGAAUCGAAUCGAAAAUUUUCGAGUUAAUCGAGUUUUCGAAUCUCAUUUUAUCAUCCUAACUUUAUUUAAAGUUUUCUCGAAUCGAGUCGAGUGAGAUGGAAUUCGAAUCGAAUCGAAUCAAAUCGAAUAUAUUUGUUCGAGUUAAAUUUUAAAAAAUAAUUUUGGGUCCUUGUAACCAAUGUAACCCAUCGUAAUAAAAUUUGUCCAGCUUAAUCAAAAUUUUUAUUAACUUUCAUCACUUCAUAAUUUAUUUAUUAAUUUUUUAUAUACUGGUUAGCGUCUUUGCUUGCUUAGUUGUUUCAAUUAUCUUCAGAUUCUUGUCACUAUGUAUUUUAAAAUUAAAAAAUAUAUUAAAUGUAAAAAUAUGAUUUUUUAAUAAAAGUUAUUUUAAAAAUAAAAUGAGAAAUUGAUACAAAUAUAAAAUUUUAACACGAAUAUUUUAUGGCAUAAUUAAUAAUUCAAUUUUAAUAUAAAUAUUCAAUAUGACUAAACAAUUCAAUAAUAUAAAUAAUAUAAAAUGUGAAAUUUAAUUUAAUAAUAUAAAUAGUAGAUAUAAAUAAAAUUAUUACUAUUUAUGUUUAGUGAUUUUUUUUGGGAUAAUUUUGAUUUUUUAUUUGAGAGUAAAGGGUGAGAAGUAAAAGUUUAGGGGAAAAAUAAAAAGUUUUGGGGAAUAAAAGUUUGAGGGAAAGUAAAUAGGGGGAGUAAAAUUUUGGAGGGAAAAUAUUAAAAAAAAAUUGGAGGGGGGAGGGUUUGGGAUAGAUGGGAGGGGAAUAAAAGUUUUAGGGGAAAAGUGGGAGGGAGUAAAAAUUUUGGGGGAAAAUAAAAGGUUUUGAGGGUUUUUGGGAGUAAAAUUUUGAAAAAAAAUAAAUUGGAGAGUAAAAUUUUGGUGGGAAAUGGAUUUUGGGUAGAUUGGGGGGUUGGGAGGGGAGGGGAGUAAAAGUUUUGGGGGGAAAGUGGGAAGGAGUAAAUGUUUUGAGGGAAAAGUAAAAAGGUUUGGGAAUUUGGGGUAAAAAUGCAAAAUACUAUAGUUUGAUAUUCGAAUUAUUCGAGUUAUUUGAAUUCGAAAACUCAACUCGAUUCGAACUCGAAAUUCGAAAAAAAAUUCGAGUUGAUUCGAAUAACUCGAUUCGUUUAACUCGAAAUUCGAAUUUUUUUUUCGAUUUUUUCGAGUCGAAUCAAGUUUUGCUCACCCCUAGCCACUGGGCUGUGGAUGCACAGCAAAAUUUGCAGAUAAACUGCCACUCUUCCUCCGUACAUAUUGUCCCACCCCAUGCAAUGUAAUAUGUCAUGCUUUGUAAUAGAACAAUUCAACACUAGCAAUAGACAUGUUUAACAUGUACUCAAUUCAUCAUUAACAAUAGACAUGUUUAACUUGUACUCAAUUCAUUAUUAACAGUAGACAUGUUUAAUACGUACUCAAUUCAUUAUUAACAGUAGACAUGCUUAUCAUGUUCUCAGUAGGGCGGUAACAAUAGUAUCAUUAACAAUUUAUCGGUUUCACUUUAACAUAAAGCAUAUAAUAUUCACAAAUCAUGUGAUGUAACAAUAGAACUUUAAGCAUUUAAUUCAUAGAUUCCAGAAUUAACAUAGUAUUAGGGACUUAAUUGAGCAAAUAAAAACUCUAAAAAUAAUUCAGGGAAUAUACAAGGACUAAACUGCACAUAAUAUAAAUGUUUGGGCAAAACUGCGAUAUGGCAACCUAUAAAUAGGCUUAUUACAAUUUUAUUCCAAAUCAAAAUAAAAUAGGUCAACAACCUGCAAUAGAUUCAAUCCUUCUUAAAGUAAAUCUUGAUCAACUUCUUAGUAAAUAAGUUUCUACUUGAAGUAAAUCUGAUCAACAACUUAUCCAUUAAGAUAACAAUAAAUUGUAGUCAAAGUUGAACUUCUAAUUCAAGUCAAAAUUAUCACCCCUACUUGGAUACGACUUUAAACUCCUUUAACCCUAGUUUCUUUGGUCAUAAAAAAAUGUUCAACACAUUCUUUAUUUGCUACUUAAUAUAAAUCUCUAAUAUUAUCUUUAUACAAGUCAAAAUUGCCAACAAAACAAAAUAUACUUUGAUAACACUAAAUCUGCUCUGAUCUAACUGUUGUUCAAAUACGAUCUGAAACAAUAGAAACAACGAUCAAAGUUUCCAAAAAUUAAUUUCAUAUUUAAUGUGAUUAAAGUUUUUGGAAAAGCUUUCAUAGGUGUCAAGGUAUUUAAUAGAAUCCCAUUUCGCACCUCAAAGGGCUUGAAACUCAUUGUUCGUUAAAUUUCAAAUUGACUCGACACUUGAAAUUAAGCGGUGGAAAAAUAUUUUUUAAUAAAUAAUUCUGGAUGUUUGAUAAUUUGGAAAAAAGAAUAAUUGAAUAAAAAUUUCCUAAGGCUCUACCCGAUGUUUUUUAAACUAGACUGGUGGUUGAACUCUUCAAACCACCAGUUCCCAAUUUGAUUGGUUUGUUUAGUUCAAAGUAAAUAAAUUAUUAAAAAAAUAAAAAAAAAUCUAAUUCAAUUAACUCAACUAGUUUUUUAGUCCAUUUCAAUCUAUGUAUAUCACUUUUCAAGUCAAACGAUUUUUUUCACUUUCCGAACUGGUACCCCGAAUGGUUCAUGGCCCAAUCAACCAUUCUAAUUUGAUUAAAAAACAUUGGCUAUACCAUCCAACCUUUCAAAUACCAAUAAAAUGGAGAAAAGAAAAAUAUUUUUUUUGGGCUCAUGAUAAUCUUGUGGGAUCGGUGACACUCAAUACUUAUCUUAUUGUUUUACGGCAAAAACCUCCAAAAAACAAAAGCUUAAUAUAUAGAUUAACUCUUGAACUUGGCAACUUUUCUCAAACUAACUCUUAAUUUUUUCUUGGAUCACAUUGGUCCCUGAGGUUGGCAUUUGUUACGCAAAUCAUUCCCUAUGGUUAACACCAUUAGUUUUUUUAAGGCUUAAUAUAUAGAUUGACCCCUAAACUUAGCAAUUUUUUUCACACUAGCCCCUAAACUUUUUUUUGGAUUAUAUUGGUCCCUAAGGUUGGCAUCCGUGACACAAAUCGACCCUUACAUUAACACAAUUUGUUUAUAAAAAAAUUGCUAAUGUGGAUAAGUAUGGGGGCAACACGUGGAGAAAUAAAGGGAUGUGUGUUUAAAAUAUUUUUUAAUUUUAUAUUUUAUACUUUUACACUUUCUUGCAAUUUUCUAAAAAUUAACCAAAUUUAUUUAUUUUUUGAUUUUCUAAACAUAUUUAAUUUUUUUAAAAUUUUAACUAAAUUUGUUAUUUAUAUAUAUUAUUUUCAAUUUUUAUGUAUAUAAUUUUUGAGGUUUUAUAAUUUAUAUAUUUCUUAUAUUUUUUAAACAAAAUUUUAAGAUUUUUAAUUUUUUUUAAAGAAUGGUUAAAAAUGAAUUCACGUGUCGUUCUUUUAUUUCUCUUUGUGUUAAUCUCGUGGUUGCAGUUGUCCACAUCAAAAAAUUCUUAAAAGCAAGCAAACAGUGUUAGCGAAGGGACCAAUUUGUAUAGCAGAUGCUAACCUUAGGGACUAAUAUGAUCCAAAAACAAUUUUAGAGGCGAAUGUGAGAAAAGUUAUUAAGUUCAGAGCUAAUAUUAAGCCAAUAAUAAUAGCCAAGAACCUUCCUGAAACCGGCUCGAGCCGAGCUUAGGACAACGCGUAAUUUGGUAUAGCAUUAGAAAAAAAAAACCUGAUUUAAAAAAAGAAAAAGUCAUAAUUAAAUAUUAUAAUGAAUUAAAAUGGAAUAAUUAUAUAAAUAUUGAAACCAACCAAAAAAAAAGAAAAGAACUAAAGACAGCCUAAAAAGUUCAGUAUUUUUCUGUUAUUCUUCUCCGUAAUCUUGCGCGGUUGACGAAGGGAGGGAAGGAAGAAACCGUCGACGGAGAUCAGUGGCGGAACUGAGCUGAGUUGUCAUCGGAAAAGAUAUUUCCGGCAAUGGGAAGCUUACGUGGCAUUUCGGUUGCCAUUUUUGUAGUUCAAGCUUUGUUAGCUUCAGUAACUUUGGUAUCUGCUCAGGGAUCUACCAACGGUUCUCGUUGGCAGACUCUAAGUGGUGCGUUUCUCGUUAUUAGAGUCUUCUCUUUGUUUUCUUUCUCUUUAAGCGAUUACAUGAUGAGAAGAAUCUCUUCUUCUUUUUUCGUUGGUUUAGUUUCUUGUUUCAAUUUUUCUUUUAGCUAGUUUUCGUGUUUGAUUGAUGAGAAAGAGGGAAAAAUGUUGAGAAAGUAGCUUUUUGGGAUGGAAGCAUGUUCAAUUUUCCAUAUUUUGGCUUAAUUGUUAGGUUUCGUCUCCUCAAAAGUGAAGGAAAUGAUAAGAAAAUGGUUCAAACUAAGCUUACUUUGACUUUGAGCUGCUUGAGCUUUUAGCAGAUUCGUUAAAGUUUAUUUUCUUGUGUUAUGCUUGAAUUCUAGCUUUCUUUUCAGUGUUUUCUGUUUGUUUUCAAAGAAAACGGAGGAAAAAACGAUGAGAAAUGUAUGUUUACUAAUUUCCAACUCCAUGCUUGUCAAAGUGGAAAUAUUUCCUUUAUUUUAAAUAAAAUUUGACCUUUUUUUUAAAUAGAUUUUUUAUCCUUAAAAUUUAGUUAUUUUCCAUUUGGUUUCUGAGAAAGUUAAUGAGCCAGGUUUUUUUCUCUAUCAAAGUCAACUGCAAUUAGUGUUUUCUUUUUUUCCCUAAUAAUAUGUGUGUGGGUCAUUUUAACUUUUAUAGGUUUACUUGAAAUAUAAGGCUUUUUCUUAGUCUUAUAUAUUUGUUUCAUUCGUUCACUAGUAAAUCUUUUCGGUUUUGUUGAUGAGAAAAUGGAACAAAUUGAUAGAAAAUGCACCUUCAUGCCUUCCUGAUUUACUUAUUUGAAUAUUAUUGUUUCUAUUUUGAGUCUUCCUUCUUAAAUUAGAAUGAGAUUUACUCACAAUUCACUGAAGAAAGGCUCUCUUUUUUUUUUCCUCUACCAAAGAGGUUGAGCUUUCUCCUAUUGCUUCUACCUAAGGCUGGUUGAAAUUACGAUGACAUCACCUGACAGCAUUCUGAGCUAUACAGCAUUGGAACAUUUGAGUCUAUAGAUGCAGAGAAAACUUUUAGCAUUAGCAUCCGUAGCAGCAAAAAGUUCUGUAAAGUUUGUCUCCCUUUUUAUAUGAUGUUCCAUAAGAUUAAACGGUUUGAUUGCUUUUGCAGGGAAGGCACCCUCCGUCAUAGCUCACGGUGGAUUUUCAGGAAUAUUUGCUGACUCCAGUUUUGGAGCUUAUAGUUUGGCUUUAUUAACUAGUCUACCUGAUGUCAUCUUGUGGUGUGAUGUUCAAUUAACAAGAGAUGGAGCUGGGAUUUGCUUUCCUGAUCUUAAGCUAGAUAAUAAUUCUGACGUGGCAGUUGUAUACAAGGAUAGGCAGAAGACUUACCUUGUCAAUGGGGUCUCUACAAAGGGAUGGUUUUCUAUUGAUUUCACUCUUAGAGAACUUGGAAAUGUCAUACGUAAGUUUAGCACACAAUUUCUCUUCUUUUUUUUCUUUUUUUUUUGGUCAUCAUCAAUGUUCUCUUAGUAUCAUUCAUUACUUUUGCCCUUGCUACAUUCUGAUUAUUAUCAUCAUCUCCUCAAAAUUAGUUAUCAGUUUUGAAUCUUAAAACAUAAACACAUUCCCUAAUCACUACCUAGUUCAAGCAAUUACGAGCAAUCAGGUUUUUGAUAUGCUUGUGCUAGUUGUUAUGUCAAUAUUAGGACCUAUAGAGGUUUAGCAUCUUUUCUAAAUUUCUUUUGGUUUGACUUGCUUCAAAAUGUACUAGUAAUAAAAUCUUCUCUUCUUUCAUUUGUUUGAUGUUUCACAUUCUAAUGUUCUGUUUGUUAUUUGGACAGUAAACCAAGGUGUCUAUUCUCGAACUAAUAAGUUUGAUGGCAAUAGUUACCCAAUUAUGACUGUUCAGGAGACCUAUGCACAGUUGAAUCCACCUCGGUUUUGGUUGAAUAUUCAGGUAAAGAAUUUGCAAAUGCUUAACAAUGCCAUCUAACUUUUUCCCUCCUGUCCCUUCUUAUCCCCUUGUUAAAUAAGUAUAACUCCACCUUCCUGUUUUUGGAUUUAAUUGAUUGUCUUUCAAUUUUGCAGCAUGAUGCAUUCUAUACACAACACAACUUGAGUAUGAGAAGCUUUGUACUUUCUGUAACUAGAAAUAGGAAUGUAACUAUUGACUAUAUCUCAUCACCAGAAGUGGCUUUCUUGCAAAACAUUGCCCCAAGUUUCCAAAGAAGUGCAACAAAUCUUGUCUUCCGGUUUCUAGGACAGAAUGAUGUGGAGCCUUCAACCAAUCAGACUUACGGUUCUCUCUUAAAAAAUAUCACAUUUAUCAAGACAUUUGCCUCCGGAAUUAUUGUGCCCAAGUCUUACAUAUGGCCUGUAGAUAAGGAUCUUUACUUGCUACCUUCUACUUCUCUUGUCUUGGAUGCUCACAAAGAAGGGCUAGAAGUUUUUGCCUCAGAUUUCUAUAAUGAUGUUCCAUUUAGCUUCAACUACUCCUAUGAUCCAGUGACCGAGUAUCUUCAGUUUAUUGACAAUGGUGAAUUCUCUGUUGAUGGGAUGAUAUCCGACUUCCCAAUAACUCCAUCAGCUGCUAUAGGUGAGUUAUACGCCUCUGGAUGCAAUAUAAAUCUUCAUAGAAUUCUUCAAUUUGUUUUUGCAUCUCACACACUGAUAUUUGCUUUUCAAUUUAAAUAAUGGUUGAAUUUAAAAUAUUCUUAAGGAUCAUUACUUGUCUCUGUGACUUGUGCUUGCAAAUGUCUUACAAAUUUCUUUAGUUUUCUCAACUUAGGUAGUAUAUCAAGAGAGCGCACCCAAGGAUCUUGCACUUUGUUGGUUUUAUUCUCAUUAAUUGCCUCAUGCCAUGGUUGCAUCAUAUAAAUAAGAGGAUGAAGUGAGAUUUUGUCUGCCUUUUCUGUCUCUCUUUACUCUCUUAGCCUGACACGCUCUACUGCCUACAAAAUAACUUUGAUUAUUGAAAGAAAGAUUGCCUUAUUUUUACUAAAUACCAUUAUGUUUCGCUGCUAAUGGAUAAGAACUUUUUUUGUUGAGAUGCUAACUUUUGUUGAACAUUGCAGAUUGCUUUGCUCACCUUGGCAGAAAUGCCUCCAAACAAGGUAUGCCAUUAUAUGAUGCUUCAAAGUGAAAGACCUUAGGUUUUCUUGCUAGGAGUCAGUAGUAAAUGAUCAUAAGAUUGUGUGUUUUAAGGUACCAACUCAACUAAACUAUUUUUCUUUUGUUGCAAUGUUACAGUGGACCUUCUGGUCAUCUCAAGUAAUGGAGCAAGUGGAGACUAUCCUGGUUGUACAGAUAUGGCAUAUUCAAAAGCAAUUCAAGAUGGUGUAGAUGUUAUUGACUGUCCUGUUCAAAUGACAAUGGAUGGAACACCUAUUUGCUUGAGCUCUAUCAAUCUCAUAGAUAGCACAACAGUUGCUCAAUCACAAUUCAGCAAUCUUACAACAACAAUUCCACAGAUUAUGCUGGGCAGUGGAAUAUUUUCCUUUAAUCUGUCAUGGAGUGAAAUUAAAACCUUGACACGUAAGUUAAAUUUAGUUUUCUUUCUAUAAAAUAGAAACAUAACAUGUUGGGAAAAAAAAAGUUUUCCAGCUCAAUCUAGAUUGAAGUUUGUACAUUACAUUGACUGGGUUUAUAAAAACUUGACGCUUUGAGGAUGCUCUUCAUGUUCAUGUUGAUGGAGCAUGAAUAAAAAAACCUUGCUUUGGGAGAUAAUGGUUCCUUACAUAGGGUACUUAUUUCAAUUUUGUAUACUUUGCCUAUCAUCUAAAUCUGUGUUUUAGUUGCUCACAUUUAGCUGGCUUGUUGUUUCUUAAAUAGAUAUGAUUUGCAUUAGCUUUUCAUCAACUUCCUUGUUUUAAUCUUUCAUUACUUUCACUGUAGCUAUAAUAUCAAGCCCACAGUCACAGUACAAAUUGUUUCGAAACCCGAGGUUCAAAAAUGCUGGGACGUUCUUAACAUUAUCCGAGUUUUUAACCAUAGCAAGCAAUGCUAGCUCUCUUCAAGGUGUCUUAAUCAGCAUUGAGGUCAGUUCUUUCCCUUCUAUAUUUUUCCUCUUCAAGUUCCUUCCAUUGGAGUUUACUUUCAUGGUUUUCAUUUUCUAUUUCCACACUUUAUUGAGCCUCAUGAUGGAUGUUAAGAGGUGAGGCACAGUAACUGAAUGGUCGCUAUUGUUUUCCGUUGUGCCAUGGUGGUAUGAUUAGCAUGGGAGCUUAAUUAUCCGGAGAUGCAUAUAUUUGUAUUUCAUAACAAACAUUUUCUUGUGAAGGGUUGUUGACAUUUUUGACUUGUUUAUUCCUUUUCAGAAUGCUCCUUUCCUUUUAGAGCAAGGAUUUGCCGUAACCAAUGCAGUGCUCGAUGCUUUGAGCAAAGCUGGCUACGGUAACAAGACAGAUCAGAAAGUCAUGAUUCAGUCAAGUAGUAGCUCGGUUCUAAUGAAGUUCAAGAGUCAAACCAACUAUGAUCUCGUUUACAAGGUUGACGAAGAUAUUGGUGGUGCUCAAAGUUCAACGAUUGAUGACAUUAAGAGUUUUGCUAGCGCUGUCGUCAUUAGCAAGGAUUCUGUAUUUCCUGAAAAUUCUGCAUUCAUCACUAGUGCUACGAAUGUUGUACCGAGGCUAAAAGCUGCUAAUCUCUCUGUAUAUGUUCAAACCUUCAGUAAUGAGUUCACAUCUCAAGCAUGGGACUUCUUCUCCGACCCAACUGUUGAAAUAAACUCAUUCUAUUUAGGAGGUGGUAUUAAUGGUGUUAUUACAGAUUUCCCGAAGACUUCUAAUAGAUAUCGGAGUAAGUACUUGCUGAUUGAAUUUUGACACUGCUAUGUGCUGAAACUAUAACAUUUUCAUCUCAUUGUACUACCAGCUUUUAUGAACACCAGUAUUGACAUAAUAACCGUUUUGUAGGGAACCGAUGCUUGAACAGACGCAAUCAAAUUCCUGGCUACAUGAGUCCCGUGCAACCUGGAAGCCUUUAUGGACUAAUCACAGCUCCUUACUUGCCACCAGCUGAAGCUCCAAAUCCGUUCCUGACUGAAGCAGAUGUCAACGAGCCCCCUUUGCCUCCUGUUGCUGCAAAAGCCCCAAGUACUUCUCCAAAUGGUACUGCACUUGCCCCAACAUCACCAAAUGGACAACCUAAAGUUGCUGCAGCCGCCAUCAUGCAGCUAUCGACUGUUUUUCUUGCCAUUUCUCUACUGUUUUGAAGCCGUCGAAAACCUGGCCUUCCCCUAACACGUUUUACCCCCUUGUUGUCGUAUGUUAUUGCUUCCGUACCGAGUAGCUCGAAGGUCUUAUUGCAGGAGUGGUGUGGCAAAUACCACUUGUUCUUUUUGGUUCUCUCCCCUUCCAAAGUCCAAAACAGAAGUUAAUUCUUUCACCUUUUAGUUUUGAAGGUUUGUUCAUUCUUCUCUCUUGUAAUUUUCAAAAACACAAAAUUCUUCAAAGAGGUACAUGUCCUUAAUGGAUCCUUUCCUUAUUUGAUUUGUGUAUAAAGAUAUGGUGUGAUUAUUCUUUUGUGUUAGCACUUACUCUCUCCUUUGUUUUAUUUCCUUUGAUAUUAGGCUCCAAAUCUUUAAUUUAUUAAUUCCUAAAAAGGGCUAAUUAUGGGUUUAGUCCUUACACUAUACUGAAAAUUGAGAUUUCGUCUUUCUAUUUUAGUUUUGUAUUAUUUGGUCCCGUUUUAUGAUGUUAUUAGUGGACAACGAGGGGAACUUUAUUUUUUUUUAGCUAGCUUUAAGUACUCGGGUAAUAUAUAAGUUAUUAUUGGUUGAACAUUGGUUAACUAGAGACAUGAUUUUGAUUGUGUAACUAAAUAAUAGUAUUACAUAAUCACUCUAAUAAGCAGUGUACCUCUCUAGAAGAGCUCUCCCUUAGGGUUUCUUCCUAGGCCUUCGUCCUCGUUUGCCCUUCCCAGUGACUCCUCCUCUGUCAGCUCGACAGACCUUCUUGAUUCCCUCUUCCUUUUUCUUGUUUCUAUUCGUUGCAUUCUCUUCUUUCCUGCAUUAACUCCUAUUUUUGUAAUCAUCUUCGUCGCCACCUUUUUUCUCCCCCUACAUUUAAUCUACGUCACCCAAUCCUUGCUAAUCUUAACUAGUUUCCUCUCUCAUGCGUUCCCCUCAUUAUUGCUCUUACCCUUCAUCCUUUGGCUAUCCCAUAACCCCAUUAAUCUCAUCAUAACGCUACAUCCUUCCCUGUCGUUUCAUUUCCUCCUCCCUAAUAUCCUCAGGCCUUUUCUCUCAUCGUUUCGACUUCCCAAGACACCAUGACUUACAGACACUUAAAACGACAGAAAAUAGGAUCCCUUGGUCUUGUUUCUCUUCACAGUUUACUAGUUUCCCCUCCAUCACUCGCUUCUUGUUCAUUUCCAAUCCUUUCCUUCUCUGAUCCUCCUCCUCUAAAUCCCAAGAUCACCUUCCAGAGAUUGUGCUUGGCCUGACAACAAAUCUUCUAGGACCUCCUCUAAGGAUGACUCUAGCAUGCAACAUACCAUUCAAGCUGAGGUCCAUCCCCAUGCAAAUGCAACAGUCAGAAGGGGCCUGUCAUCCCUUUCAACCAGCAGGAGUUUGAAGUUGGUAGAGCACAAUGGAAUCAUUACCUAAUCAGAUAUAUGCAUGACUUUAGAUGUUUCGAUCCUCCUAAUCUCAAACGCACUAUCAAAUAGACUUUAGAUUACUCGAGGUUCGGUACAUGUAGAUUCCAGAAGUGGUGACAUUUUCAUUCUCAGAUUUGAUUCCAUGAAAAAACUUCAUCAGAUCCUUUGAGAGGGGCCAUACGCCAUUCAUGGUGCCCUACUUAUGUUAGCUAGAUGGUCCCCCAACAUCACUUCCUCCAGAGAACUAUUUGCCACCUUACCUGUUUGGAUACAAAUUUGGGGACUACCAUUGGAGUAUUUUCGUUCUUUUGUGGCAAUCAGAUUAGGCAGAAUCGUUGAAAGGGUAGUGCAAGUGGACAGCCAUGACGAGACUCCUUAAAACAUUCGUUUUCUCGGAGUCAAAGUGGAAAUAAACCCUUGGAGAACUCUAAUCUCUGGAUGUAACAUCCAAAGAGAUGACAAAGUUAUGCAAUGAGGCCAUUUUCAAAAGGAUGAACGAUCACAUGUGAAACACUGUUCCAGUGACCUUCAAAAUGUUGAGUAUAUGGUAAACGAGCAAAAGAAUGAGAUUUGUGAGAAUAUGGGAUAUGAAAUUGAAAACAAUGCCAAUCAGACCCUUUUCAGAGGUUGCAUUAGAGCAGCCAUAGCCAGAGGCACCAACCGUUCCACUUACGUGAACCUUGACACUCCUCAAGUCUAAUUUUGCAUUAGUUGAUCGUAUCUUUUCUGCAGAAGAACAAGAUUCCAUUUUGGUUAUAGUUUAAGAACCACACCUCCAAGAAGUUAUAAUGCAGAUCAAAAUGAUGAAGCAACCAACCCCAUCCCAUGGCAAUGGUAUUUCGAGUAUGGCUAACCCUAUUCCUAUUGACGAUGACGAUGAGGAAUCUAACCCCUCAAUGGAUGAAGAUGAAAAAAAUAGUGAAGACUUAACUCCCUCAAAAAUAGACUUGGUGAUGAAUGCUACUACUGGUGAUCUUCCAUCUAUUCCCUCUUCUUCCCUUACAUUUGAUAAUCAUGCUUUAGCAAUCAUUCCACAUUCUAGCAACCCUAUUACGAAUCCCUUCUUAGCCCCCAUCCUUGAUUUUGGCCCCUAUGCUCUUGAUGUCGAAGUGGAUGAUUCCAUUAGAGCCCAAUUUCUUGCCUCUUUCAUCAGGGCUAAUGAACAACUUCUAAAUUGGUGGGUCAACAGACAAUUCAAACAGAUUGAAUGGAUUAUUGUUGAACUAUCCUCUCACUUUCUCUCAAGGAGUACAUAUCUUAACUCUAAAGCUUAUGCUAUGACUUUUGUUUAACCUAUGAACAAUAGAUCUACCAAAUUUUGAGGUGACUUUUGCGAACUACCGCCUUCUCUUGAUGAUUCCACCAACCAAGCUGAAUCAAGUCAGGCUGAGGCUUUGGGUGGCUUUUACAUGACCCUCAGGUUGUAUCAAGUAAAUCUCUUCAUCAAUAUCUUUGAAAGUUGUUUUAACAUUCAUUUGAUGGACUUCUAGAUUUCGCAAGGCUGCAAUUGUAAAUAUCAUUUAAGUUACUCUGGAUGUUGGAGAAAAAAUAUCAAAAUUGUCAAAGCCUUUUUUUAUCUAUAAUCUCUUAUAACCAAUCAAUUGUUUCAUCUGCUUUCAUUUUCCAUUUGAAAAUUCACUUAAAAUAUAAUGGUUUGAUUCUUGGAAGAAGAUUCACUAAUUCACACGUAUGAUUUUGCAUGCUGGAGUUAAUUUCACUCUUAGCAUCUUUUCAUGAGGUGCUUUUGGAUAAUCGUAUAGUAUCAUUAUACAUUUGAGGUUCGGCUUCUAACAUUAAAGUUAGAAAAUUCAAUCCAAAAAUUUUUUCCACCCUUGCUCGUUUACUCUUCUUAGCUCUAUCUCAGGCAACUUUUAGCCUGCACCCAUAUAUUAAGAUAUUCACUUUGAAUUUUCUUUUGUUAAAAUUUUCCAAAAAAAAAAAAAACACCCACUAGGUAGUAGUGUCAUGCUUUUGUGCUAAUGAUGUCAUUUGAUUUUAAACCUAAGAUUCUAAAAGAAAAUUGUUUAUUUGUAUUUAUAUUUAGAAAUUCAAUAUAUUAAUAAUUAAAUGGCAAAAUGAUAAAUUUAGACAUUAACUUUGACUUUUUUUAUUUUAGUUAAAUUUGGCCAUUAAUCUUUCAAAAAAAGUUAAAUUAUUUUUUUAACGGAAAUAUUGACUAAAACAUUAAUUUUUUAACGAUGUUGGUGUGGUAACUCGCAUGAUAGCCCACUUAUAUUUCAUACUAACAUAACACUAUUUAUCUUGUACGCCCCAAAUUUUGUGUUUCUGGAUUGUUAAAAAAUUGAUAAGUGAAGUGAUUUGGUUUAGUGAUUAAGGGUGAAUUUGGACGGACGGUGCGUUUACCUGCUGUUAGUGUAAAAACAGCAGUGGCGGUGAGAUUAGAUAUUGUAGCGAUACUGUAGCGUGAGACAAAAAAUAAGCUAAACGCACCGCACCCAAUCGCCCAUCCAAACCCACCCUAGGUGUUGUGUCCUUGUGUGAGUUGUUUUAAGUUUGAAUCCAUUCCCUUAAAGUUUUAGGUAUUUUUGUCUCGUUCUUGAUCUUUGAGCAUCUGGCUUAUGUUUUAUUUUUGUGCAAGUGUUAACAAUAAUAAGUUUAUUGGUUCAAUGAUAAAGCCUUAGCUUAUCUUUGGUAAUGUGUUUGAACCCGUAUCUGAGUUAAAUAGAAUUAUUUUUACUAAUGAUCCAGUGUGCGGCCCAUCUAGAGAUAUUUGGGUUAAAUUCGAAUUUAUGAGAAUCUAUUUAGAUAAGGAUCAAGUUGUGGGUAGUUUUAGAUUUUUUUUUAAUUUUAUUUUCUUUUUCUUUUUUUAAAAAUAAUUUAUUUCACAAACUUGGUUUUUAUACCCAGUUUUUUCUGCUGUUGCAUCUGACAUUGCACGGUAUUUUUCCUUUGCGCUUGAUCGAGAAACUGUUCUUUGUUUCUUGCUACUCCAUAAGAUAAGUGAACCAGCAAAGAAGACACAAAAACCUGAAAUUGAUCUCCUUGAAUCAGGAUCUCCGCCCCAGUUAGCAUCUGAGUAAGCAACCAGAUUAGGUUGCCUUUUGACAGUAGGGAAAAAAGAAAAAAAGCCCAUCUGCUAAUGUUCCUUUCACAUAACCAAGGAUUCUCUUGGCAGCUUGAAUAUGUAACUCACGAGGAUCAUGCAUGAAUUGAGAUUUAUUUGUUUUAGCUAAAUUUGAUCACUAAUCUUUAAAAAAAAAGGUUAAAUUUUCUUUUAACGAAAAUAUUAGUUAAAAUAUUAAUUUUUUAACAAUGUUGACGUGACAACUCGUGUGACAGUCCACUUAUAUUUCAUACUAACAUGAUGCUAUUUAUCUUAUAUGUUACGUCAAUAAAUAAUUUAAAUUUUAUAAAAAUAUUCAAAAAUACAAAAAAAAUAUGUAUAAAAAGCUCAUAAAAUUACACAUGGGUUCCCACGAAAACUAUCACGAAAACUGUCAUGGUUAAAAAUUUAAUAUUUUAGUCAAUAUUUUUAUUAAAAAAUAACAAUUUUAUACUUUUUAAAAUGUUGAUGACCAAAUUUAGCUUAAAAAAAUGUAAACGUUAAAAGUUAAAUUUAUCAUUAUACUUAAUUAAAUCUAUCUUUAUUUUAUGUUUUCUUUUGUUUUAAAUCAUUGUCUCGUUUGUCGAUUAAGCCUUAACUCAGUUGGUUUUAUUGUUAUUGUAAUAAUAAGAAAAACGUGGGUUCAAGCACAUUUAAAUACUUCUCUCCUUCUAUUUUAAGGAUAAAAAAGAGUUAUGAGUAGAAAUAAGCUUUGUAUUAAAAAUAUUGUUUUAAAAUUAUCAAGUGUAUAAAAUAAUUUUAAAUUAAAAAAAGUAUAUAUAUAUAUAUAUAUUUUUUAAUUAAGCAGGUUUUUUUCAACUAAGCCCUUAGCAAUAUUUUGAGCUUUGUUAACAAAAUCAUCUAAAUAUCCACUACCCUUCUUGAUGUACACUCCUUUAGCAUAUGCUUCCCAUAUGUUUUUAUUAUUUGGUAAAAAGAUUUCUCCAGUCUCUCAUGUUAAUUUUAAAAGUGGGCAACGAAGAAAAAUUAAUUACGGUGUUAAUGUUUUUUUUAUUAUUAUCAAUUUUACAUAAUUUUGUUUGGCAUAAUAUAAAUUUGGUCUUCAAUGUUUAUAUAUUUUUGUUAAUUUAGUCUUGAUUCUAAAAAGUUCAACAAAUUUAGUCUCAACAUUUUCUCAUAUGUUGCGGGCUAAAUUUGUUAGAUCAUGACCAAAUUAAAAGGAUGUGUAAACUUUAAGGGGUAAAUUUGUUAUCAUACCAAUUAAAAUUAUGUACAAUUGAUAGAAGACAUUAAUUCUGUAAUUAAUUAUCCUUUAUUGCCUACUUUUAAAAUUAACGGAUAUUAAAUUACUCCGAUUUUUUUAGAAGAAACAACUUACUCAAUAUCUAUAUUGAAAGAGAUUAAAAAUGUUCUUUUACGACUUUCAUCGUUAAAAAAUUUUAGUAUAGCGUUAGAAAUUUUGAUAUCGAGAAUAUUAAAUGACUUGCUAAUGAGGUAUGGACCCUCCCACUACCAAACCCAUGGGUCACCACUAGGAGAAAGAGGUCUACUCUAGAAAUAUCAACAACUUAAUUUUCAUAAUUAAUCAUGAUAAUGCAAUUAAUUUAUCUUUUAAUAGUCAUUACUUAGCUGAUUUUAAUGCACUUUCUUUUUCCUUUGUGUGUAGUAUAAGCAAAAUAUUAUCAACACACCAUAAAUGAAAACAUUUUUUUUUGUCAAAGGAGUGAUAAAAAAAUAUUGAAAAAUCACGAUAGUUAGGUGAGAUAAUAAGGGUCUCUCUUAACUUAAUUAGUGAUUGAGAGUUUGAUCCUUACUCUGGGUAUGGAGCAGAUUUAAAACUCGUAGCCAGUAUCUCCCCUUAAUAGGUCUACAGAACGCGGAUGAUUAAUUACUGAGCUCACUUUGAUAAAUACAUUGAAAAAAAAAAUGAAAAUUUCCUAGUUCCUCAUUAGACUAUUCUUAAUCCAAAUUUACCGUUUUGGCUAAUUUUAAUUAUUGGCCUUCACAACAUUAUUUGAGUUUCUAUUAUCAAUUUGAAUAGAUAUUUUUUAAAAAUUUAAAAUUAAUAUAAAAUAAUGUGAGGAAAGACUCCUCAUAUUAUAUCAUGAAAAUUUAAUGUAUAUCUUUUUAUCACUUUGAUUUUUAAUCUUCAAAAUUUCGAUCCAACUCACAUAGUAAUUGACGUAUACUUUGUUAGCAUGCACAUAUUUUUAAAGAUUUUUAUGAAUUUUUUAAUAAUUUUAAUUUUUUUUUAUUUUUUAUAAAGUGCACAUGACAAUUAGGGAAAUUGCUACACUAAUAUCUUUAAAGUUUAAUGAUUCAAUCAAUUUUUCAUUUAAAAGGUAAUAAUUUGAAUAAAAUUUAAAAGUCGAGGCUAAAAAGUAAAAAUGAUAAAAAGAACUUGUGAUUUUGCCUUUUGAAAUUAAGACUGGGGCAACUUGUAUUUCUUGUGGCAAGGGAAUAAGGGUUCCUUUGGAUAGGCAAUGUAUUUACAUGCGGUUAAUAUAAAAAUAGCGAUAACAGUAAAAUUAAAUAUUGUAACGAUAUUGUUGCGUGAGACAAAAAGAAAGCUAAACGCACCGCACUAAAAGUAAACGUCCAUCCAAAAGGACCAUAAGGACUGUUCAUUUACAAAUUAAUACGGGGUAGAAUAUCAUCCCUUCAUAUUUGUGGACCAUUGCAUUUUUCAAAUCAUAAAUAGGAGGAUAAUGUGCUUCAGUGUAUUCGAACUCACGUUCUCCUGUAUUAACAACAAUGCCCAUGCAAGAUAAAUAUUGAAUGGCUCAAGUUUGCUUAGUUAGAUAUGUUCAAGAUCAUCACUUUAUUAAACAAUAAGUUGAAUAUUUUUAAAUUUAAUUAUUUGUGUUCGUGGUCAAAUUCAAGCUUGAAUUAAAAAAAUUCCAAUACUAAUUUUUUUUUAAAAAUGUAUAUAUUAAAAACAAAAGCUAAAACAUCUAUUCGAUCCUUUCAAUUUCGAAAUUGAAUAAAUUGAUUUCUUUAAAAAAAUAAUUUAAUUUUUGUCAGUUUCAAAAGUGAGCAACUAAGAACAAUUAAUCACGACACCAAUAGUUUUAGCCAAUUAUACAUAAUGUGUAAAUUUAGCACUUUGAUGUUUAUAUAUUCUAUGUAAAUGUUGACAAAAUGUGUAAAUAUCACAUGCUAAAUUUGUUAAAUUAAGACUAAAUAGACAAAAUUUGUAAGCUUUGAAAACUAAGUUUGUUAUUAUAACAAUAAAAAUAUGUAAAUUUGGCAAGAAAAACAUCAACACUUGGAUUCUUUUUUCGAGAGAGACCAAUCUAUUCUAUAUCAAAAUUAAGAAGGACCAAAAUGAUAUUUUACCGAAAACAAGAUGCUCCUAAACUAAUUUAGAAAAUGUCAACCAUUAAUGGAAUAAUGAUCAUUACCACAUCAUGGCAACGCUAUGAUGACGUUUAACUUAGAGUUGAAGGUAUGGCGAGUCUUUUAAUUGGCCAACUCUUUGCCCCCUCCCUUUUGACCUUCCAUAAUUCACAUUCUUUACAUUUUCUUCACAACAAUCCCAAAACCCAAAAGAAUAAAAAAAUCCCAAACUUUUUUUUUCGAAAUUAGUGAUAUCUAACUUCAGUAGCAGUGAUUAAUCGUCUCGUUGUGCAAGUGUUUUCUGAAAAGAUAAGCUACUGAUUACAAAUGCCCGAGGAAAACAAUAGUUGUGUUGGUUUAAAUGAACCAAGAUUGGUAGUGAGGAAGUUUUUGGCUAAGCCACAAUAUGAAGGUGCUGGAGCCAUAGUGAGAAGAAGCAUUGGCAGGUAGCUUGGGAAUAUAUAUAUAUGAUUAAUUUGGUGCUUAUUUUUUCAUUGGAAUGAAGGAAUUUGAGCAAUUUAGAUCAAAGGGUAUUUUUUUUUCAUCUUUUUUGCAGGUUUGAGUUGAGAUACUUUGAUCCUUUCCUUGUUUUGGAUGAAUUUUCAGGUUAGUGUCACUCUGUUUUUUGCUCUGUUUUCUGUCUUUUUUAAUAUCUAUAUUGUAAUGUUUUGAUUCUGGAAAUUGCAGUCACAGCACCUGCUGGAUUUCCAGAUCAUCCACACAGAGGUUUGAUUUUCAGUUUUAUAUGUAGGUUAAAAUAUGCUAUUAGCCCAUGCACUUUUAUAUAAUUUGAGAUUUAGUCCACAUACUUUUAAAAGCCUCUUACUUUACCAAAAAUCUUAGUCAAAAUAAUUAUUAUCAUCGGUAGUUUUCAUUAAAAUUUAUCAGAUAAUAACUUAAUCAACAUGUUAAAUUAAUAAUUUUUUAUAAAAAAUACUUACGAUUUAAUGAUUGAAUUGGAAUUUUUAAAUAAAAAAAAGUUAGGAACUUAAUUUCUAUAUAUAUUUUUUUUUGGUUAUUCUUAUACAUACUCUGUUUCUCUUGUUAACAGGAUUUGAGACAGUCACCUACAUGAUACAGGUAUACAAUUUAUCAUUUUAAAGCUAAACCUACAUACUCUGUUUUUUUAUUGAAAAAUUAUGUGUUGAUGUACAUUGUUAGGAGCGACAGUCACGAACUCCGAAUCAUAAAACGAACAUGAAAUAUAUCAAAAUAAUAACUUAUAAAAGAAAAAAGAAAAAGUCAAAUUAGAUGUGAUAGUUUAACUUUAAAGAAAGCAACUCAUAAAUGAUAAAUUGAUCAUCUAUCCUACUUGAAUGAUUAGAUAUAUAGAUAUGUAUUGGGUACUGAGAUAUUUAAAGGGUUAAAAUAUUUGUAUUUUUAGAAAAAAAAAUUAAAAUUUGGUUUUUAUAAUUUUAUUUUUAAGAAUUUAAUCCUUUUACUUUUCAGAUUUUAAAAUUUAGAUUCAAUUUUAAACAUUAUUAUUUUUUGUUAAUUACAACAUCAUUAUUUAAUUACAUGGCUACCAAAUAAAUUUUUUAUUUCAAAAUGUUACACUAAAAAAAUUUAACAAAAAAAAAAUAAUAAUGUUAACAGUUGGACUUGAAUUUUAAAAUUUAAAAGUAAAUGAACUAAAUUCUUGCAAUUAGAAGUACAUGGACUAAUUGGGGUUUCUUUUUUUUUGUUUGUAUUUGACAAUUUGUCGUUUUUUAGGGUUAUUAUAACUUUUGCCCCUAAAUUUGGUAACUAAAUUCACGAUAUACUUGUACUUUUUUGUCCCACUUUGGUACUUGAAUUCGACAAAAAAGUUUAUUUUGGUCCCUGACCUUAAAAAAAUAUAACAGUUUAAUGAUGUGACACUCCUAGAUUGUACUACUUCGACAUCUAAAAAAAUAGUUGACGUAAUGACAUGACUUUAGAGUUCUACAUCAUUAAACUUUUAUAGUUUUUCAAUUUCAUGUAUCAAAGUGGACCUAAAAAAAUAUAAAUAUUAAAAUAGACUUGGUUAUUAAGUUUAGGGGAAAAAAUAAAUUUAACCCUUUUUUAAUUAAGGUUUUUAAACAAAAGUGUAUGAAAUGAAAGUUACCUUUGGUUGAUAUUGCAAUAGGGGUCAGUUACACAUGAAGACUUUGAAGGGCAUAAAGGGACCAUUGGAGCUGGUGAUCUUCAAUGGAUGACUGCAGGGAGAGGCAUUGUCCACUCUGAGAUGCCUUCACCACAUGGUACCCAAAAGGGUCUACAACUAUGGGUCAAUCUCUCCUCCAAAUAUAAAAUGUAAGUUUAAUUUUAUAUAUAUAUAAAAAUGAGGUUCGGGAAAAGAAAAACUAUCGUAAAUAUUGGGUUCGGAUUCAUAAUUAUUGAAAGUAAUCUUUUUUAAAGGUGACUAUAUAAAUCGGUUUUCUAAAUCCUGGUUCAAUUAAAUAGAUAUUUACAAGUUUUAUGAAAUUAAAAUGGGGAUUAAAAGAGAUCACAAAUUUGCUAAAUACCACCUCUUGCUCUAGUUCUAAGAGUUAGAUUUAAAUCUUAAACUUAUUAAAUGGUCAAUGAUAAAAUGUAUCAUUGUAUUAACGUAUAUCUUUAUUGUUUUUAUGAGGAUUAAAUCAAAAUUUUUAUCAUUUUAAGAGUAAAAUAUAAUUUUACCAUUUAUUUACUUACUGAAAGUACAAUUUUUCAUUUUUUGAGGGGGCCAAGACCCUUGCUUGCCCCCUUCCAAAUUCGACACGGGUGUCGGAUUGAUAGUUUUUGUUGAACAUUUACAGGAUGGAACCAAUGUAUCAAGAAAUAUCAAGCAAGAACAUUGCAGAAACCACAAAGGAUGGAAUCAAAGUUAGGGUUAUAGCCGGUGAAGCCUUGGGAACAAAGUCACCAAUCUACACAAGAACCCCAACAAUGUAUUUGGAUUUCACUCUGGAUCCCGGAACUCACCUCCAACAACCGAUACCUAAACCGUGGAACGCCUUUAUUUACAUAUUAGAAGGAGAGGGUGUCUUUGGGCAGUCGAAAUCGUCAGCGAGUGCUCACCAUUUGCUUCUUCUAGGGCAUGGGGAUGGGUUAGAGGCAUGGAACAAGUCCACUAAAUUGUUAAGGUUCAUAUUAGUAGGAGGUGAACCAUUGGAUGAACCAUUGGUGCAAUUUGGACCAUUUGUGAUGAACACUCAAGAAGAGAUUGAUCAAACAAUAGAGGAUUUUGAGAACUACACCAAUGGAUUUGAGAAAGCAAGGCAUUGGAGAUCUGAAUCUGGUCUUAGCCUGGAUUUUUUAUUCUUUGUUUUUGGUUUAAGAAGUAUUCAUUGGUUAUGUAAUAAAAAAAUAUAAUUCUUUCUUUUUUAUACAAUUAUCUAAUAAAUUUAUUUAAAAUUUGAUAUAAAUAUCAAAUAUGUUUUUCGUUGAGAUAGUAAAAUUGAGAACGUAGAGGUCAUUGUGCUUUGGGUUUGAAUCUCAUCCGGUGUAUUUUUCCACCAAUUAACUUGUACCAUUUGCAGUUUGGGAAGUACAGUUGAAACUUCAGGAUCCGAAGGUGUUUCACCUUUAGCAAAAUCGUUCUAGCUAGCAGGAGUUGGCUAUGAAGUUUCGAGUGACCAGUGCAAUGUGUGGACAUGUAUGUAGGCAGAGAGGCGUACCCGGUAAUUGCUACCGGAAGGGUGGAAGGUUUAGACCGAGCAUGUGUUCCGAUACAUGUCGCAUGCUAUCUCCAACCUCAGUGCGAGUAGUAAGUGUGAGCGAAUUGAGUAAAAGAUGGUAGAGUUGAUGGCAGAGUUGCACACCCCUUAGCACUUACGUAGGAUUUGGUGUUUGGUUGGAGAAACAGUCCUGGUUCCUGUGUUUCCAAAUUUGCCAAAGGAUUAGGAUCCAUUCGUUGUACAUGGAUUGGUGUCUGAGUUCUGUCUUGGAAUAUUGUUGAAUCCACUGACUAAUCCAUUCCCUGAUGUAUGGUACACCAAGUUGCUUCGGACAGACAGAAUACUAAGAUCCAAACGGAAGGGGGAUGUUCGAAAGAGAUGGUCGCUGGUUUCGUCCGCUUGAUCACAUAGUGGGCAUUGGGAAGAUGUUGUGAUAUGUCGGGCACACAGUUCUGUUCGGAGAGGAAGGUAAUUAUUGCAAAGUUUCCAAAGAAAUAUUAGAAGCUUCGUAACAAUAACUUAUAUCUUUAUAAUUUUUAAAAAAUUAAAUUUAAUUUUCAUAAUUUUAGGGGCUAAAGUAUAAUUUUAUCAUUACUAAUAUAAAAUUUUAUAAAUUAUAAGAGGCCUAAAUGAAAAUUUUUUUAUUUUAAAGGAGGCCAAACCCUACCAAGUCCUUGACUCUAAUACGACACUUUAAUAUAUAUAAUUCUCUACUUAUAGUACUAGAUUUUUCAUCUCUACUUUAUCUUUUAUAACAAAAACUAUCCAAAUCACAAAAUAUAGAGUUAAACUUUCUACAACUACAUAAUUAUAAAUCAGAAAUUUUAUCACGCUAUUGGCGUGAAAAUUAUGUAUUUGGAACAUAGAUUUAUGUUUAAAAAUAAUAUAUUCAAAUUAAUAAUAAUACAUAUACAAUAUGUAUAGAAUUAAAAUAAAAAAAUUAGUUUAAAUUGUGAGUAAAAGAAAAUCUAAAUUCUUAUUUUUGACUUGAGGAAAAUUAUUGAGGGAUAUAUUUGGGUAAUUUAAAUAAGACUUUUAUAUAAUUUUUUAAGUUUAUUUUUUAAAAAAAUAAAAAAAAUGAAAAAGGUUUAUUUCUCUUAUUCUUAUAUUUUUAAGGGCUAUUUAAAUUUAAUUUCAAAAGAAAAGACUUAACAUGUAAAUAGAUCAAAAGUUUAAAAGCAUUUAAAUGAAUGCGGUGAGUAAUCAUAUAAUCUUUUUUUUAUUUAAUCUAAAAAGGUUAAUUGCUUCAUUAGAUCCCUAAACGUUUCAUAUAAUCAUACUUCAGUUCGAUGCCGUCAAUGACAGAGGCGACACCGAAGUUCACUGUUCAAAACGAUUCUUUACCUACAUGAUUUUGAAAGCGGAUUAUUUUCGUAAUUAAUAAAAAAUAAAAAAUUCAAUUUCAUAUAAUUUUUUAGUAUUCAAACUGAUUUUUUUCAACAAAAUCAUCAAAACCUAAAAUCUCAAAAAUCUUAGAAAUCUUAAAAUCAUCAAAAUUUUAAAAUCACAAAACCUAAACUAUUUUUAAAAAAUAAUAAUAAGAAAAAAAAAACAUUCCACCCAUGAACAAGGCAGAAUUAAUUUUUAUCAAGAUCUUCUUAGCUCUAUUUGCUCUAAACUCCCUCUCUCUUUAUGGUUACUUCUCCUCCAGCCACCCCAACCAUCAUCACCAUCAUCUGGCGGUUAACCACCGUAACACGACGGCGGCGGAGGGUUUUCCCAAAAAAAUCCCACACCGUAAACCCCAUUUGUCAAACCCCGCGCGACCAAUCAUCCCAUCAAAGCCCUGGCCAACCAUCCCAUCAUAUCUACCUUGGUCUUUCUCCCCAACCGUAGCUUUAAAUUCAUGUGAAGCUUAUUUCGGGAAUGGGUUCACAAAGAUAUCCAACAUUUUGCCCGUAAAGGCCGCCUUGAGAUCCGGGUCUAGUUGGUUUAGGUGUCGUUACUCAGAGACUUUGAGGACUUCAAUUUGUGAAGGUGGGAAGAUAAGGAUGGAUCCCGGGAAGAUUAAGAUGUCAGGUGGUGGUGAAAAGCUUAAAGAUGUUAUUGGGAGAAGUGAAGGAAAAGAAUUGCCUGAGUUUGAAGAUGGAGCUUUUGUGGUUGAAUCAAGGUUAAAGAGAAGGAAGCUUGUUGGGUAUAAGUUCUUGCAUAAAAUUUUACCUGAGAAUGUUACGAGACACCCUAUAAGGGAAUCAGUUAGGUCUAUUGUUAUUGUGGGUCAAAAUGAUUUUGAUUGUCAAGAGGUUAGUUUACAUUUUUCUUUGAUAUUUUAAUGUUUACUGGGAUUUCUAAUUCUGGGUUUUGUUUGAUUUAGUAAAUUAGUGCUUAAAAAUGCAGAUAUGGAAUUAGAAUUUAAUGCAAUUCUAUAUGUUAAAAUUAACUUUUCUUACUUGGUUUUAGUUAAUUUUUUAGUUUAAUAGCUGUUUGUGAACUCUUUGAUUAUAAUGCCAAUUUUGAACAUGGAUAUAAUUCGUAAGCAGAGUGGUUCAUUUGUUAAUUUUCUUCUAAUUUUUUGCCCUUUUUUUAUGGAAUAUUAACUUUAUUCUUACUGUAUUAGCUGUUUAGUUUCUUCAUUCAUCUUACUAAUUCGAUUCGAUUUGUCGAUUGUUGUUAGUUCUGCUUUUAUGGAUUCUGAUGUGGAAAAGCUCUGAUUACAGUGGGUAGAGGAACCUACAUUGCUGGUAACAAGAUUUGAGUAUGCUAACCUUUACCACACGGUGACAGAUUGGUACAGUGCUUACAUGUCUUCCAGGGUUACCGGCUUGCCUAAUCGGCCACAUUUGGUCUUUGUUGAUGGUCAUUGUAAGGUAUACAUGCUUGGUAUUCCGAAUUCUGUUCCUAUUGUCAUCUUUCUUCUCUUUAGGACAUUAUCAUUCUUUUAUCACCAUGUUGUUUGUCAUUCAUGUACUCGAAUUUAUGAGAAAAUCACUGGCCUUUCAAGCUCAGGGAGUUGUCCUUUCUUGCCCGAAACAGAUUAGAGUGGAAUGCUCAGUUAGUAAAAAGUGAACCACAGGGAGAAUACAUGCAAAAUGAAUUGCAUUCCAUAAUAAAUAAAUCCUGAGAUACUAUUCGAAGAAUUUAUGAGAAAAACACUGUUGUUUCGAGCUCAGGGAGAUGUCCUUUCUUAUCCGAACAGAAUAGUGAGAAAUGUUUGGUUAGUGCAUCGUGAACAUCAGAUACCUAUGUCAGUCUAGCCUGCAUCCCAAUUACAGACAAAAUGAAUUUUAUUCCAUAGGCAGUCCCGAGAUACAAUUCAAAUACUUAGAUUUUAAUAUUUGCUUGAUUUUAAUUUCUUGGCUUCCCCAACCUAAAGUUCUAUUAGUUCACUGUGUCAUCAGCGGUCCUCCUUUUCUCUAGUAUCAACAUUUCGAACAUCUCUGUUGAGUUUAAACUGUUUAUCUAGUAAUGCUUUAUUAUCCUACAAUGCUGAUCUUUUGUUCUUGGCUGAACAUUUCCAGACACAAUUAGAAGAAACAUGGAAAGCUUUGUUUUCGAGCCUUAGAUUUGCGAAAAACUUUACAGGUCCAGUCUGUUUCCGCCAUGCUAUUUUCUCGCCUUUGGGAUAUGAGACUCCAUUAUUCAGAGGGAUUAGUGAAGAAAUAAAUUGUCGUGGAGUUUCUGCUCAUGAUCUACAGCAAAAUCCUGAUAUCCACAAAACUGCUCGAGUAUCUGAGUUCGGAGAAAUGAUCAGAGCUGCUUUUGGAUUUCCGGUAAACAGACAUCAUGCUGGUAAGGCAGCCUCGGGUCAUAAUGUUCUCUUUGUCCGUAGAGAAGAUUAUUUAGCGCAUCCACGCCAUGAAGGAAAAGUUGAAUCCAGACUUACCAAUGAACAACAUGUGUUCGAUUCAUUACAGAGCUGGGCAUCUGAUCAUCUCAAAUGCAAAGUGAACUUGAUCAAUGGGUUGUUAGCACAUAUGCCGAUGAAAGAACAGAUCCGAGCUAUUCAAGAUGCUUCAGUUAUCAUUGGUGCUCAUGGUGCCGGUCUAGCGCACAUAGUAUCUGCAACACCUAACACAGUGAUCCUCGAGAUUAUUGGCCGUGAAUUCAAACGGCCACAUUUUCGGUUGAUAGCGCAGUGGAAAGGAUUGGAAUAUCAUGCCAUUUACCUUUAUGGAUCGUAUGCCAAUCCUCGAGCUGUCAUUCUUCGGCUUAACAAGAUAAUAAAGAGUCUUGGUUGCUAAACAACGGAUAAUCCUUCCAUCAUAUGCGUGUUAGAGUUAGCCUUGCACGAUUUUGCUCAUUUUUCCCCGAUUUUUUUUGGAACUGACUGAAGAAUAGAAUGAGAUUUUUUUUUUAGAAACUUCUUAGGUGUUCAUUCCAUUUAAUGGAUUGAAAUUAUAGUCACGGUACAAAGAUAAAGGAGAGGGUGAAAUCAUUCUAGUUGAUGAUGGAUAUAGGCAAUAUCCACAUUCAUAGAUGGAUAAAAAAUUAGGGUUUCAUAUGGUUAACUUUAAAUGUAAAUUUACAUGUUUGAUUUCACUUUCUUUUUCCUUUGAAUCAAUUCCUUUGAAGAAUUGAAAUCCCUCAAAGAUGCAUAUACACUUAAAAUCUCUCAAAGGUGUAUAUACAAUAAUUCAGAUAUUACAAAAUACAAAUAACACCUGUGUAAAGAAAUACAAAUAGACCCAACAAGUGUUUUGGAUAAUUUGGGUUUUUGCAUAAUAGACUUUGUAAGUUCAUUUCUCGUCUUCAUUCUUAUUUCAUUGGAUCAUAUUUAUACUCUUAUUGAUUUGGAAUCAUUUGGAGUCAUUACAGUAAGCUUUUAGCUGUUGGGAACAUUAAUUUCGUGCAUUAACUGCAGUCUAUAGGGUCAAGUAUCGAUCUUGACACUUAGUUGAGAAUAGUCGUUCAAAAAACAUUGGUCAGGUCUUGUGACCUUAAGAAUAAGACUUGAUACGUACCAUGCUCCUUUAAAAAGGAUUUUUGGCUACUGACUUGCAAGCUUUAAUAUCGAUACAUGGUUGCCUAGGCAUCGAAGACUUGCCUGAUAAAUCCCGAUACCAUACCCCUCUAGAAAGUCAUUUUAGCUAUUAUUUGGGAGGUAUCGAUAGUAGUUUUGACAACUACGUAAAGCUCAUUUGCACCCCUACAUUUUGAACUCAGCCUUAAAAUUUAUGUGUUAAGAUCAAUUUUUUUAAAACUGAAACGGUAGUCAAAUCGAUCGGGUUAUCGGUUCGUUGAUCCGAUUAGUUGGAUUGAUUAGAUUAAAAAAUUAUUAAAUUUUAAAAAAUUAAAAUUAAAAAAUUAGUUUAAUUGAUUCAAUCAUCAGGUCAACUGAUCCAUACUGGUUUCCAAUCUAAUCGGUUCAAAGUCAUUCUCCCCACUAGUAUCUUAACCGAUUCCCAAUCCAACCCGUUUAAUCGAUCAGGUCAGUUUGGUUCAACCAUCCUUGGUUAAGAUAACCCAAUCUACGAUAUGGAUCACAUAAUGUUAGUCUAUAAAAGAACAGGCUAGGACUAGACCUGAUCAACGGUCGGGCCACUUGCUCAGGCCCAAAGGCCUACUUGUAAAAUGGGUUUGAACAAAAAAAUAAGACUUGUUUUCUAAAUGGGUUGUGCUUUGGGUAGAAUUUUUUGGCCCAAGCCCGACUCGACCCUAAUCACAUGCCUAUACUUUUUUUUAUACUUUCAAUUUGUUGGGAAAUAUUUAUUUUAAUAUUUGUAGUGUUAUGUAGUAUAUUUUAAAAAAAAUUUGUUUUUAUAUAAAAAAAAUCUAAAACAAAUUAUUACAGCCAGGCUUGGUUGGGCCCGGAUUUGGUAUUUUUAAAAUGGAUCGAGCUUGGAAAAAAAUUUAGCCCCAGUUUUCACCGGCCCUAGUUGGGUUGGGUUCAAGCUUAGAAAGCAGGCCUAAAAUUUUACACCGGCCCAACCCAAACCCGACCUAGCUCAUGAUGAGGUCUAGCUAGAACUUAGAAUCAUCUUUUUUCUCCCUUGUGAAAAAGGGUUAAUAUAACAUAUGGUACUUUAGUUUGGCUUUAAUAUUUAAUUUAGUAUUUAAUUUUUUUUAUUUCAAUUAAUACAUGAGUUUAACUUUAAUAUUCAAUUUGGUACUCAGACCAAACAAUAUCACGUGACCCUAUGAACAUUUGAUACGUUUACUUUAGUAAAAAAACAUAUGUAUUUAAUUGAAAUAAAAAAGCUCAAAUACCAAAUUAAACAUUAAAACUAAACUUUUGUAAGGGAAAAAAAUAAGUAAGAAAACGUAGGUACCAAAUUGAACAUUAAAUCCAAACUCAUGCCCCAAAUAGUAUAUUAAGCUGUAAAAAAUAAAAACAAAAAAUUCAACCCUUUAAUGGAUUACAAUUGUUCUUAUUUUAUGUCGAAUCUGAAGUUCAAAACAUUCCAAUAUUAGACAAAGUCUAUUCCUUGGGAACUUGCCUGUUUAAAGCAUUGCAGUUUGAGGUAUGAGUUCUUUCUCUGUUAUGUUUCAAUGUGUAAUAUCAUACAAAUAUGAAGUAAUUAUUUCAUGUAGAAAAAAGGCAUGAAUUAUGGUGCUUAAACAUGUUUAUAGUUUUAUAUCGUUCAUGGUGUCACUGUAAUUGGGUUAGAUUGAUUAUGAACUAGGUUAAAUCAAUAUAGUUCGCCAAGUGUUUGACAAAUUGCCUCUGAGAAAAAGCAUGUAUUUACUAUGCGGUUUAUAACAUGUUACCCACCUAAACCCGUGAAGGGGAGGUCUUAAAUUGUGUACAUUAUUGGAAUCUUCUUGGUUCUGGGAUCUGUUGUCUGUGUUAACUCGAGCAUUUUCGUGGCUGGUUUAUGUUACAUGAUUCUUUGGUGAUCAGCAAAGAUGGUUUUUUGCUUCCCAUCUACACCUAAGAAGCUGGCAAUGACUGUGGGUUGCUUCAUUGCUGGUGCGGGCCUUUUUGUUGUUGGUACGUAUCUCUCCUAUGUAAACGUUGCUCCUCAGCAAGCUCGAAUUAAAGCACGAAAUGACUUUGUUAAGGAACGGUUAAGAAAGAAAUAUGGCAAACCAUAGAAUUGCAUUGCACUGUUGCUUCAUCCUUGGUUUUUACUCACAUUCUCUGCUCUCAUUUAAUGUUUUUAUGGUAAUAAGAGUUCGCAUUAGAAUGUUACUUUGACUUUGGUUUUAUGGUAAUAACAAUUCUCUUUGUUGAUUUGGUUAUGCACUUGAGAUUCACAUAAGCUUUAGCAGAUAUCCCAGAUUCGGUAAAAGUACCAUGGAUAUUCUUGUAUUAGGAAUCGGAGUGCAUUUUACCCCUUCUACUCAAAGAAUAGGAAAAUUAACUCCUGUAUAUUAGAUCAAAUAAUAAGCUAGUUCUUGAUUAAAAUUUCAUUCAUUUCUACUGUUAAGUAUUGGUGUGGUUGAUGGAGCAACUAUACAAUGACACGUGACGUGUACCUCAUGCUAACGUGGAGGGAUUAAUUUAAGCAAAAUGGAUGGAAUUUUAACAAACAAUAAAUUUGAUAGAAUUUUUUACGUAUAGAUAUCACUUAACAGUAGAAAUGGAUGAAAUUUUGAAUAGAAGAAAUAAUUUGCUCUUUGACUUAAUAUAUAUGGACUAAUUUGCUCAUUUUUAAGUAGAGGGGUAAAGUGUGAUUCGACACCUAGUACCGGUACUUUUACGUAUAGAUUCUUAUUAUAUAUGGUUCAUAACAUUACUUGCUAGAUGUGGUUGAUUGCUAUUAUUUACACUAAGUCCAAGUAUUAUUAUCUAAAUCCAAUUUUAAAUUAAUUAAAUUACUCGUUAAAUACUAAAAUCUUGUAAAUACUCAAAAAAUAUAUUAAAAUAAGAACUUUAACGAAAUGCAUCUCGAUUCAGAUAUCUAAUUUCAUUAUUCGUAAAAGAAAAAUGAAUUUAAAUAAUGGAUAUUUGAUUCCAAAUUUGUUAUUUACAAAAAUAAAACAAAUUCGAAAUAUAAAUAUACCCAAAUUAAUAUUCACAUCUUCUUUGAAUCCGUUAUAAAUAUAAAUAAAAUAUCGAAAAUAAAAAAUUUCUUUGAAUCCGUAACAUUAAAUUUCGUAAAAUAUCAAAUACAUCCAAAUAUUAAAUACCCAAAUAUCAUGCACGCGGAAAAAUUAAAUUAAAUUAAUUGGUAAAAAAAAUAUCUCUUAAUUUUGAUAUUAAGUAAAUUGUUUUUUUUUUAAAUUGGAGUAAUUUAAUUCUUGUUAAUUUUGAAUGUUAGUAACUAUGGAUAUUUAAUCACAACAAUAAUAUUUUUCGUUAAUUGUAAAUUAUUUUUAUUGGCCUGAUAACAAAUUUAGUCUUCAAAGUUUCCAUAUUUUAUCAGUUUGGUCUUGAUUUAACAAAUUUAGUUCGCAACAUUUUCAUAUGCUAUCAAUCUGAUCUUGAUUUAACAAAUUUAGUCCGUAAUAUUUACGCAUUUUGCCAAUGUGUACAUAAUAUAUAUAAACAUUAAAGGCUAAAUUUGUUAUACCAAUCAAAAUUAUGUAUAAUUGCCAUAAAACAUUAACAUCGUGAUUAUUUGUCUUUAGUUGCUUACUUUCAAAAUUAACAAUGAUUAAAUUGCUCUAAGUAAGAGAGACUAAAGAAGCGUAUUUACCAAACUAAUUAGAAGUGACAAUUCGACGGGUUCAAAUCAAAUUAUUUUAAAUUUGGAUUAUUACAAAUUUAGGGUUUUUCGAAUUUGAACUUUUCUAAAUUGAGAGUUUUUCUGAGUUAAAACAUCCUCAAGUUUAGAUUAUUCUAAAUUAAGAUUUGGUUCAACGCAAUUUACAUCUGAAUAUAAAUUUAAAUGUUUAUUGUCAUUACAUUUUUCUUUAAGUAUAAUAUGUCUGACUACUACGGUGUACCAACACUAGUUUAAAAAAUUACUAUUUCAUUUAUUAAAAAAAUUUGAGAGCUUUUAUAAAGAAAAUCUCAAACCAUACAUGAUUUAUAAUUUAAUGUGCAAAUUAUAUACAUGAACUUUGAGUUUAAAAAUUCUAAUUUGAUUCAAUUCUUAUAAAUUAUUAAAACAAUUAAAAUAUUUAUCCAACAUAAAAAUAAAUUAAGAUAUUUAUUUUUAAAAUGUGUAUGAUUAAAUCAAAAUUAAAAUUUCAAAUAUACAUUUGAACCACAAAUAUAAUUUCACAUAUAUAAUUAUUCCAAAUUUUAAAUUCAUUUUUGGAUUUUCUUGAAUGAGUUUUUUUUUUCAAACACAAAUUUUAUGAGCUCCCACCUUUUCUUGUUCAAGUCAUAUUUUCAAGCUCGGGCCUAGUAGUUUGACACCUUUAAAAUUAACUAGAGAGCCACAUCCCAACCAAAGUUGGCUCCAUCUAUAAAGUUCAAGAUACUACCUUCAAAGUACAAAAAAUAACAUGCAAGUAUAUAAAAGUACACAAUAAUUAAUAUUCAAACUAAAAAAAAAAAAGCUCAAAACUAACACAAUUUCAAAUGUUCUCAAAUGGUGAAAGUAAGGCAAAAAAAAAAAAGGACAUUUUGAUCUUAAUGAUGAAAUACUCAAAAGCAACAAAAUUUUAGGCAGCUCCCUUCCCCCUCUUUCUCUGCAUCUUCUUCAUGUAAAACUCCAGCUCUUUGCCCUCCAAGAUAUAUCUAUAAAUCCCAUUUCACAUCAUAUUAGAAUAACAUUGAUACUAGUUAUUGUUUCCUAAAGGGUUAAUGUAAUUUUUGACCCCUGAACUUGAUAAUUAGGUCCACAGUCUCAAAACUUGCAGCUUUUACCAAUUUAAUCCCUGAACUUGAAUUCCGUUGAAGUGUGAUGUGACACUAAGAUUCUGUAACAUCAGCUUUUCCCAAGUUUAUAUAUUUUUAAAAGUUUUAAGUGAUUAUGUGAAACAAUCUCAAAGUGUCACAUCAUUACACCAUAAAAGAAUCCAAGUUCAAGGACCAAACUGAGAAAAGUUGCCAAAUUCUAGGACUAAUAUGGGGAAAAAUUUUCAAGUACUGAAGUGAGCCUAAUUGCAAGGUUCAAAGUGAAUCCAAACAUAUCAUCCAAGAGACUAACGAAUCAAAACAAUAUUGCGAAGGAUAAUUAGUCUAUUGGCUGUCUAAUUAAUAUUCUUCUUCUAACAAAGCAAUUAUAGAUGCUAAUAAUAAAGAUGAGAAGUUGAGGGUAUAUGAUGGAAGGCUUUUGUAAAAUGACUUUUUAAGACAUGACUUACCCAUCAGCACGUCCGCAUUGACCAGGCCGUGAAGAGAUGCAAGCCAGUAAACGACCACUACCAAAUUGCUCCUCGAUAUGGGGGUCAAGUGUGCGACUCUGCUGACGUUUCUCCAGCUUCCUCAAGACAUGGCUGCUCUUCUUCACUUCCUCAGUAGCAGUUUCACCUUCCUAUAGAUAAAUGGAGGAUUAAAAGAAGAACCAUACACAUCAUUACCUCCCUCUAUUUUAGGGACUAGAUAAAAUUAGUCCUAUUGUUAAAUGGAUCAAUUUAAUCUCUGUAAUUUUAAAAAAGUCAAAUAGGACUGAAUUGUAACAGAGCUAACAUUUACUGUUUAAAAAGUGACCAUUUGCAGCUCAAUUUCAAACAAAAGAUUUCGUUUGCAAAAUUAUAACAGCUUUCGAAACAACUAACUCUGUUAAACAGUAAAUGACAUUUUUCAAAUAAUAAAUGUUAACUCUGUUGACAUUUGGCCUUAUUUGAUUCCUUUUAAUAGUACAAGGAAUAAGUUGGCCCAUUUAAUAGUAGGACUAAUUUGAUCCAAGCUCUAUAAUAGAGGGACCUACCAGGUGCUUCCACCCAUCAUUAUGCUUAACCUUAAGUCUUGCCUACGGUACAACUUGGAUAGCUAUAUAACUUCUAUUUUGUAGGAAACCAAGUUCGAGAAGGUGCAGAAACAAACUUAUCAUAGCAUGAUAAGAAUUAAACUCUCGUAUCACAGAUCACUCUAACAGCGAGGACAAAUCAAUUGCAAAAAGAACUGUGCAAAGACACCACUAAAGUGGAGGAUAACAAGGUUCAAUUUCUUUCUGAAAGACAUGAAAAAUACAAAAAGAAUAAACACAAAGCAUAACGACUACCACUUUAUUAGAAAAUAUUAAUUCAUCUGUCAUUGAAGCAAUAUCUGUGAGAUGAAAACAUGAAAAGAUAGUCCUACCUCUCCUUCUUUCUUGGCUCCUGCUGCUGCUUUCUUCUUGCGACCAAUGUCAACACCAUAGUGCUGGAGAUACCAUUGCUUGAAUGGAGCAGCAUCGACUUGAACAAUAGCACUCUUCACCAGAGUUUGUGUACGAACCAACUCAUUGUUAGACGCAUUGUACACCACAUCCAAAAUUCUGGUCUUACGAGUCACAGCCUCACUUCCCCAGGAGUAGUUUCCUGUGUCAAGCCUCAAGGCACGCCACUUCACAUUGCCACCUCGGACCCUAAUCCUCCUGACCGUCUUGUUGCUGGAUAGCUUUGUGUUUGCAGGUUGCCUUCCAAGCUCAUACCUUUCAAGAUAAAUCACCAAAAUUUAGAAAACGAGAUAAAAUCACAUCGAGACAUCAACUGAAAUAACCUAAUAAUAAUGGGAGAAAAAAAUGGACAAGUCUCUGGAUCUAAACAAGCUAGAAAGGUUAAAGUUUAAUGGUAAUGAUAAGCAAUUUGAAUCGAUUAGCAAAACCAAUAAAAAAAAAACAAAAUUCACUCCAAAAUUUUCAACCACAAUCAAAUGAAGCUAAAUCCAAAACUAAAGACUAAAAGUAGAAUAUUAGUUCAAGUAAAUCACAAGAAUAAAAGUUCCAAUUUCUUAAUCAUUUUAAAUUAACUUUCUAAGCAACCAAUCACAGCCAAAAAAGAAAAAGAAAAAAAAUGAAAGCACAAAGAAAAAUGGAGGAAAAAGGGUCUGUAGAUUACUUUCUCUUCUUCCUCCAAGCCUUCUUUUUGCCACCAGUGGCACGCCUCUUGUGCAUGGAAUCACGAGAAAUACCUAUCAGUACAAAACAAUUAACCCCAUUAAACAAGAGAAUUAAUAAUAAAAUUCAAUGAUUUAGAAGAGACUAAUAACAAAUUAAACGAAUGUGAGGAAUACCCAUUUUGGCUUGGCAGGGGCUUUAGAGUGCUGAAGCAAAAUCUCAAAGAAGAAGGAAGCUAGGGUUUGAAAGGAAGUGAUACGCUGAGAUUAGAAGAUCGGUUAUACACUCCGAAAAAAAAAUUGAAAAACCCUAGUUUUUAUGAAAUUACUUUUGUGUCCUUUUCGGAUUUGGGUUUUAUGUUAGAUAAUGGAUAAAUUAUGGGUUUUGAUCCAAUAAAUGUUUGGAUUAAUGAUUUGGUCCUUUAAGGCCCAAUACUAAUGGAUGCUUUGGAACCCAAUUAGUCCUUUUUUUUUCUCUCCAACCUUCAUAAUUAGUCUUUUUUUUUUUACUAUGUGAAAAUUUGUAAUAAUUGAUUAUAAUUAUAAUUAUCGAUAUAAUUAAUUGUAAUUUUUAAAAAAUAUUAGUAAAAAAAUUUUCUUCAAUCUCUUUCAAUUUCGAAAUUAAACAAAUUGGUCCUUCUAAAAAAAAUUGGAGCAAUUUAAUCCUUAUCAAUUUUGAAAGUGACUAACUAAGGGCAAUUAAUCACGAUGUCCUCCGUAAGUUGUACAUAAUUUUGAUGGUUAAAAUAUGCUACAAGUCCCUGUACUUUUUGAAAAAAAUAGGAAUUUAAUCUUUCUACUUUUUAGAUUUCAAAAUUUAAGUCCAACUGUUAACACUGUUAAGUUGCUUUUGGUUCAUCAAAUCUUAGGUUGCGUUUCAUAAUAGGAUUACACUAGUGUAAGAUUCAUGUGUUUGAUUGACAAAAUUUAAGAUUCAUGUGUAAGAUAGAAUUUUUAUUUUUAUAAAUUUAAUUUUUUAAAUCUUAGAUUUUUCAUAAAAUUAUAUUAACUUAAAAUUUUCAUUUUUAUUACACAUUGAUUUUAUCAUAUGAAUUUAAUUUAACCACUAAACCUGAUUAUGAUUGUUUAUUUAUACAGUUUAUAAUUAUUUAUUUUAGAGAAUUUGGUUUUCUUUUAAUAUGAAAAGACAACUGCAACUUAAUACAGUUUGGUAUAUAAUUUCAACAAGAAAUUACAAACAUUAUCAUCACCACAUAUUUUUAUUCAUUAAAUCAGAUAAAUAGAUUAUUCAGUUGUCACUUCAUGGUUAAAUUAUUAAUAAAUUUACAUUUUGAUGACUUGAUUUUAAAAAUUAUAAAAUAAUUAUUAAAUUGUUUAAAAAUUUUCAUUUAAGUCGAUUGGAGUAUUAAAACCGUUGAUAUAUAACAUUUUUUAUUUGCAUCGCUAGCACCAACUGAAAACUCUCAUGUCACUUCUUUUCUAUAGAUCAAUAUUUUUUCAUAAAACAACUUUGAACGUCAUAAAUCUGCGAACCAAAAUUCAAACAACUUUCUUUUCUGAUCUCCGACACUAACCAUCAAUCAACAUGGACCUAAGGUAUAUCCUUCUGAUCUUCAAUGGGUAUUGAUCUACCAUACCGAUCAUCGAAUCAUCGUUUGGAAUUUGCUAAUCGGACUUUGAAAAAAAUCUUAACAACCCAGUGACUUAAAUAAAAACUUUCAAAUAAUUCAACGACAAUUUUGUAACUUUUUAAAGUUGAAUAAUCAAAACGCAAAUGAGAAUAAUUUACUUUAAUUUUUUUUUCUUAAAUACAUCAAGUGUCAUAUUAAGCAAACACUUUCAAACAUGAAUAAUCUUCAACUUUUAUGGGCAUCCCAAGUUGAGCCUCAAAGACUGACAAAGUUCUAUCUAGAAAAGAGUAUCUUUCACCUUUGAGAGCAAAACAAAGUUGAUGCCUUUUGGCUAAUAUAUAGAGCUAAUUGUGUUGUUAAUCAUUUUAAUUUCAAAAGUUGUCAUCUACCAACAAAAGUUCUUCAAACAUGACUAGGUUUUUUUACUUUGACAAUUGGAUUCUAUAAAUAUAGAUAACCCUUUUUUUUGCUUGAUGUUAUGGUAGUGAAAUUUACAAGUUCUUAACACCUUUUUAGAUUCCAUAGGGCUAAGAAGCUUGUAGAUGUGCUUUUAUCCAUUCUAUAUGCCAAUAGAAGUGUAUAUAUUUGCAAAUGUACAAUUAAAGAGCAAAACAAGCUAUAGUUUUAGUUCAUGAAAUGAUACUAAAAUUGGUCUAAUCCAUCUCCAUCAUCAUUUAAGAUAAAAAGAAGAAAGAAAUAAAGAAAAAGGAGAAAGCCCCAUUUCUAUCAAGAAUUCAUGUGAGCCAAGGGGUCACCUUUGAUUAAAAUGAAAAAGAUUGUUUGAUUAGAGGGUGUUGUAGGCCAUGUUUUCUCUAAAGUCUACCCCCAUAGGUAUUUUUAUUAUAUUAUAUUUCUUUUCAAUUUUUUCCUUUUUUAAAUUUCAAAGGGAGAGUUAAGCAUCAUUGAUUAAGUCUAUCCCUUUUAAGUCUUUUCAAUUAAAAGAAAAAUAAAUAAGACCCCACCUUAUCAAUUUUGUCUUUGAUUUCUAGCAUUUUGGGUUUGCAAAAAAGGGCAUUUAGUUUGAAAAAUACAACAUAAGGCUUCAUGAAGAGGAAGGAUGGCAUUUUAUUUUAAAAUUUACAUUCUCAAAUUUUCGAUAUUAUAUCAUCGCACUUUUUCAUUAUUGAAACCAUUAAUGUAACUAUUAAAUUAUACAUAAAAUUCUAUACGGCAUAAUUUAAAAUAAAAUUUUAAAAUAAUAAUAAAACGUUGUGGCGUAGAGGUGUCUUGGCUAGUCAAGCCAAGUCUAAGUAUGAUAUUAAUAUACAUUUUGCUUGCUCAAGCUCAACUUGACCCAAAAUAUAUGCCUAAAAUUUUACCCAAGUCUAAACAUAUUUGUAAUGACUAGCCCAAACCAAUUUUAGACUCGUAUUAUUUUAAAUUUAAUAUUUAAUAAUUUUAUAUAUUUUUAGUUUAUUAAAAUGUUAUACAUAUAGAGCCCUUAAUAUUAUUAUAUCUUACUAUAGAUUUAAUUUUUGUACGAGUUAUAAAUUAUAUAAUAUAUAAAAAUAACACAAUAUAAUAUAUUGGAAGCUUAGAAAUGGGUAGAGCCAAGCUUGGGCAUUCAAUGAUUGAGUUUGAGCAUAGCUCAUUUUUAAACGGGCUUAAUUUUUUUUUGCCCAAAUUUAUUUUUUGGUCCUAAUGUUUUUUUCCCAAACUUCCAAAAUUUUUACCAGGCCUUCAAGCUUGGGCUAAUAACUCGGCUCAUGAACAAAUUUAUUGUGAAAUAACUUUAAUUAAAAACUAAAAUAAAGCGAAUUGAAAAAAAGAGAGUGAACGAUAGUUUUUGUAAAAGUUUCAAAAAUUUUUAUUUUUACAAUAUUCUUUUUAUUUUUCAAUUUUUUAUCUUAAAUCAUGUCACAUAAUAUUUGAUUUCUCAUUUAACAGUAAAAUUAACAAUUUUAGUAAUAAAAGGACCUUAAUAAUUUGAGAAUGUAAUUAGAAUGUUUUAAAGUUUGAGGACCAAUUUAGAAUUAGGCUCAUAAUUUGGGAAUGUUUGGUGCAAUUAACUCUUUAGUUAAACACGUUUUAAGUUUUUUUACUUUUCGUAUAUUUGGAAUUUAGUCCUAUUUUUAUUUUAAAAAGUUUAAUCCGUUUACUUUUCAGAUUUAAAAAUGUAAGUACAAAUUCUAACAUUGUAAAUUCUUAUGUUCAGUCAAUGAUCAUUACAAUGUCAUUCUUUUUGUUACAUAGCUACCAAGUUAGUUUUUUUCUUAAACUUCAAAAUAUCGCAUCAACAAUUAUAAUAAAAGAAUUUUAAUAGUGUUAAUAAUUAAAUCUAAAUUUUAAAAUCUUAAAAAUAGAAAGAACAAAUUUUUAAAAAUAAAAUAAAGGACUAAAUUCCAAAUAUUAAGAGUACAUAUUUUAAACUAUUAAUAGUGAAAAAUAUAUAAAUAUUAAUUAGAUUAUGGAAACGGAAUUAUGUUAUAAAUAUAUUUAUAAAAAAUUAAUAUAAUUAAUAAACAAUGUUUCAGUUAAAUGGUAAAAUACAAAUGUUGAAAAUUGUACAAGUUUAUUGUAUAUUUAUAUUUUCAUUUUAAAAAAUAUAAAAUAACAAAAAACUCCUUAAAAUAAUAUAAUUUAUAAAAUAAAAUAAAAUAAAAGUAUUUCAUCAUUAAAAUUAAUAAGAGAUAUAAAAUGUUUUUUUAAUAAUAAUAUAAACUUUUAAAUUAGUCCAAAUUUGACCACAAAAAUAGACAAAAAACCCAACAGCAGUGAGGCCCCAAUUAAAAGAAAAAAAGGGUUGUGCUCUCUCUCUUCUUCAUCCCUUAGUGGGGGAUUUUUGUCCCUAAAGUGAGAAUUAUCCUAAAUCCUUACAUUUUAUUUCACUUUUUGCUUAGUCUUGAUUGUUCUAGAAUCUCAAAAAUUUCCUUACUUUUUACACAAAAUUGUUAUAUAGUUAUAAUAAAGAAAAUAUUCGAUUAGGGUCUGACUUGAAAAUUCGAUCCGACAUAAUAAAGGAAUAUCCUAAACCUCAAAAUGGGAGACUCCUUGAGCCUCCAUUUUACUUCUGUUGAUUCUCUGUACCAACGCUUCUUAUUACAAAUACUUUUUCAUUCAAGAAAAACAAAAGAUUUUUAUGUCUUAAUUUUGUGGGUAUUUAACACAUCAUUUGUAAGUACAAAUAGUUGGUGAAAUUAGUGACAUUAAUUCCAUGUUAUGUAAUAAUUAUAGAGUUAUCCCUCAAAAAAGAAGAUUGAUUAAUUUGCUAUUAUUUCCAUUAUUUCCCAUCAAUUAUAGGCUUAGGUUAGUUGGAUACAUGGGAAUGGAUUUGGCUUUUUAUCAUAAAGAAAAAACAAAGUAGAAGAAAGUUUAGAAUAGUCUAAAUACACCUAAUAAUUGACCUUUCUAGAUAAUCUACUUAUAAUAGAUUUCUAUUUAAUUUUUCGUCUCUUUUAAUUCUUCAAUUUAUAUUCUCAAAAUAGAUAAAAAAAAAAGUUAAACGUCUGUUAACUUUGUUGACGUAACAGUUCACGUGUAUACCACGUUAGUAAUUAAUUAAUUUUUAAAAUAUUAAAAAAAUAUUUUUUAUAGUUUUUUUUAAAUUAAUUAAUUAUUGUCAUGGCAUCUAUAUGUAUAUCAAACUCUUGGUAAAUAACAUAAGUUUAAGGGCUAAAUAAGGUGAAAAAUUAAAUCAAAGGCGAAAAUAAUUUUUUUUUGUAAAGUUGAGGACGAAAUAAGUUAUUAUGCCUAUCAAAUUUACAUAUGAACUUUGAUUUGGUAAAAAUUAUAUACAAGAAACUUGAAUUAUAGUUCAUAUGUAUACAUGAAACUUUGAUUUUGUUUUAAUUAUAGACAUUUAAGGAAGUAGAUAUAUAUGUAUAUUUUCAUAUUAGAUUAAUAUAAUUUUUUGCGAAUGAAAUAGAUUGCCGUAAAAUGGUGCUAAUUCGACAAUAAUAUUAAUGAUUUGUGACAAUUGAAUAAAUCAAGUUAAUGUAUAAUUUUAAUAUUUAUCUCUUCAUACAAAUAAUAACAAAUAUAUAUAUAUUUUUUUGAAGUAUUUUUUAUCAUCUAUAUAACUAUAUAUAAAAGGAAGGCAUGAGAACCUUAUGGGUAAACUUUAAUUCUAAUACCUCUACUUUUUCAGAUUAUAAAAAUGGUUAAAUUUUAAUAUAAUCCCUGUAUUUUGCUUAAAUUUUAGAUUUAACCUAUAUAUAUUUUAAUUUUGACAUAAUUUGAUACGUCAAUUUUUAUAUUGCCAUUAGUUAGUAUAAAUACUUUAUUCUAAUUCAAAUGAUGAUACGAAUUUUAAAGAAUUGUUACAAUAUUUUUUAUGUUACAUUGAUACUAAGAUUUUUUUUUUCAAAAUGUCAUAUCAACACGAAAGAAUUCUAACAGCGUAAAUAAAUGGACCUAAAUUUUAAAUUUUGAAAGUAGAGAAAUUAAAUUAUUGAAAAUAAAAGUACAACGAUAAAAUUACAAAUAUACGAAAAAUACAAAAACUUUUAAUAAAUUGUAACUUUUAAAAUUUUAAACUAUAAUUUAAUUAAGAAAUAAAUAAUUAACCCAACACGAGACGUAUUGAAAAUGUAAUUGGGUUAUAUUUUUUUAUGUAAUUAAAUAAAAUAAAAAUAUAAAAGUAAUUAUGUGUAUAGUACAUCUACAUGUGAUUAUAAGUCAAAGUCUCAAAAAAAAAAUUUAAUAUCCUAACAUGUCAUUCAUGCAUUUAUUGACUUUAAUGGUGAGACUGAAUGCUGAAAUUUAUUACCUAGAAAGCAAAGAGUUUGACUACAAACACCUCAGCAUUCAAUGUUUCAAGCUGCCAUUGAAGACAGGCAUUAAUAUUUGCAGGCUUGCAAACUUAUGGCUAUCCUAUUUUCCCUUUUAUUUUGUCAAUGAAAACUCCACAAAAAUGAAAACUCCACAGGCAAUUAAUGGUUGAUAAAUAUUAGUUAUACAUAUAUGUAUAUAUCAUAUAAAGUAAGAUAUAUAUAAUAGAAAUUAUUUUACGGACCAUUUCAAUCAUAUUAUUUAUGGUCUCUUUUUAAUUAUUUCAUGAUAUAUUAAUAAUUUUUUUCACAUCAUUGAUUUUUUUUACUUUAAACCCUGAACUCGAACCCCAAAUCUUGAAAGUUUAAGGUUCAAGUUCAAAAUUUAGGAUUUGAACUUGAGGUUUGGAUUUAGGGUCUAAGUUCAGGUCACACAUUAUCCCAAGUUUACAAUCCAAGUAAGUAAUAUUUUUGAUUUCUCGUUUCUAUUACAGGUAUCAUCUAAAUGACCAUAAAUCUAUAAAAAAAAAAUCAAUGCAAUGAGAAAUUAUAAAUAUUUUUCAUUCAAUAUAUUUUUAUAUAUUAAGUACAAUUACACACUUAACUUCGAUUCAAAGGGAGCUCUCAUGGCUGGGAAUGGAUAGGCGUUAACUACAUCAUUCGUAUUUAAGCUUGUUUUACAAAAGCAUACAAAAACCAUUUAUUUCACUGAUUGACUGUUGAAUCACCUUGUAAUCUAAUGGAUCUUAUUGCUAAAGAAGGUUUUUUGUAUUACAGGUAUGAUUCAAAUGACCUUAAAGGUGAAUUUGGAUGGGCGGUGCGUUUACUUACGGUUAGUGUAAAAAUAGCGGUGACGGUGAGAUUAGAUACUAGAGUGAUACUGUAGCGUGAGACAAAAAAUAAAUUAAACGCACCGCACUGCACCCAAUCGCCCAUCUAAACUCACCCUAAAUCUAUAAAAAGAAUCAAUGCAAUGAGAAAUUAUAAAUAUAAAUGCACCGUUAAUUCUUAGUUGAUGAUAAAAGGAAAAAAGAAAACUUUAAAAAGACAGUAUUUUGAUUCAAGAAUUAUUGCAUAGUUAAUAAUAUACAGAAUAAUUAUGAGCCACACAUCCACAUGAACUUGUCUCUGACAAUGAACAGUUUAGGUAAAACAGCAAUAUAAAGGGGGAAAAAAAUACUGUAUAAUAAAAAUGUAUAUAAAUAUAAAAUUUCCCAUGUCAUUGUAAUCAUUAAGCUUCAGAUAAGGAAAAAAAAAUUAAAAUAUUCAUAAAACAUUACCACUGACCCAACAGCUCCAACAGCCCACACUCUCUUUCCGACAAGCUUCCAUAGACGCCUCUCAGAACUGAGAAUCCACUGGUUUUUUUUAUUUGUAAGAGAUUUUAUUCUUUUGUAUUCCUUUUUUUUUUGUUUUUUGGUAUUAUAUAGAAUACAGUGCUUCCUGUUAGAAACUACCAAAAAGGAAAAAGAAAAGAAAAAAGAAGAAGCUCAGUUCUUUACAAAGAAAACCCCAAAAAAAGGGUCCUCGAUUUUGGAACUGGGUUUGUGUUUUUGUUUAAAGUUUGUUUGACUUUAAAGUCGCAUAGACAUUAGAGCCAGAGCCCCGAGGUGAAUAUACAGUUCAUGUUUUUUUAUUAUUGCUAUUUAAUAUUGCUUUGGAAUUGCUUGAAGUUGAGAGGAAAUUUGGGAAUUUUCAUUGGGAUUUUCUUUUUCCUGUUUUUACUCUUCCUUGGAUUCUGGUUUUUGUGAAGAAAAAUUAAAAAAAGUUGGUUGCUUUAUUGGAAUCUGAGCUUUAACUGUUGAUGGGUCUUUGCCAAGUCUCUCAAACUUCAAAAAUUUCAACUAUAUAAUAAAAUCUAAAUGUUAGGUCUUUUUUAGAUAGUUUUAAAUUCUGAGUUUCUCAAACUUCAAAAAUUUCAACUAUAUAAUAAAAUCUAAAUGUUAGGUCUUUUUUAGAGAGUUUUAAAUUCUGGGUUUUUCUUUUUUGGUUUUAAAAGGCAAAUCUUUUGAGUUUUUGGUUGGUGUUCUUGGUUACAUAAAGGUUAAUAAUUAGGCUUCAAUUUGGAAUUUUCAUAUCCUAGUGUUUUGAUUGAAGAAUUUAGGGUUUUUGAUUUGGGGAUUGUUUCUCCUCUUAGAACUGAUUUGGGGAAUUUUUUUUUCUUUUGUUUUUGACAGGUUUCAUUUGACCAUGGAUUCCCCACAAUCAGUUGUGUCACCAUUGAAGAACACAGUUAUAGCUGAAUCUGGUGAGAAGCAAAAAUCCAACACAGAAGAAGCUGUUUUGUCCAAAAAAGACAACAACAUCCUAGGUGUUCUUGAAGUUUAUGUUCAUCAAGCAAGGGACAUUCAUAACAUCUGCAUUUAUCACAAACAAGAUGUGUAUGCUAAGCUUUGUCUCACCACUGAUCCUCAAACCACUGUUUCCACCAAGAUCAUCAAUGGUGGUGGAAGGAAUCCGGUGUUCAACGACAACCUCCGUCUCGAUGUUGGGAACAUCGAUUCGUGUCUUAAAAUCGAGAUAUUCAUGAUGAGUAGAGUGAAGAAUUAUCUUGAAGAUCAGUUAUUGGGGUUUGCAUUGGUACCACUGUCUGAAGUAAUACUCAAGAAUGGGAAAUUGGAGAAAGAGUUCUCCCUUUCUUCGACGGAUUUGUUUCAUUCGCCGGCUGGUUUCGUUCAAUUGUCGCUCGAGUAUAUCGGAUCAUCUCCCGAUGUAAUGACUAUUCCUAAUGUUGUUGUUGAUGAAACCGUUAAGGAUUCGGAAACGGAGGAGCUCGAAAAGAUCGAGUUCCCGGAUCCGAAAAUCGUUAACGAGAACCAAAUGAUGGUGUCCGAGUACUUUGGGAUCUCGUGUUCGAAUUUGGACUCCAAGAAUUCGGAAAUGGGUGUUAAUGUAUUGGAUUCAAUCCAAGUCCCUGAGCUUGAUUCUCCCCCAAGUAGUGUUUCCACCAAUGGGGUUUCCCUUUCAAGCUCCGAGUCUUCCGAUGGCGCUUCGAAAGAGAAAACCGUCGAUGUGGGUGACGGUGACAGCAAUUUAUCCGGGGCGAAACCGGUUGUUUCCGUCAAUAUCGAGCCUGAAAUGAAGGUGGUACAACAAGACAUAGUGGAUAUGUAUAUGAAAAGCAUGCAACAAUUUACCGAUUCCUUAGCUAAGAUGAAAUUGCCUUUGGACAUCGAUAGUGGACCGGCCAAAUCGGAGAAUUCGAAUUCGAGUACUACAUCCGAUCAGAAGACACCGGCAUCGAAAAAUUCCGGCAAUCGAGUGUUUUAUGGAAGUAGGGCUUUCUUUUAAAGCUUAUAUCUUCGUCUUUUGAAAAAAGGAAGACACAUAGGUGACUUCAGAUUUUUAGGAUGGUGACUUGUAAUAUGUUGUUUUCCUUGAUGGCAAAAAAUCAUGACAUUAUGACUCACUGUUACUACCUUUGUUUCACUGCAACUGCUCUUAGUUUAUAUAUAUAUAUGAACCUUUCCUUUUUUAUAAUGGCAAAUCAUAUAUUUUCUAAUUAUGAUUAAUCAUAUUCUUGUUAUGUUUGGUCCCACCUUCCAAAGUAUUUGUAUUCGACACAUAUUCGGACAUUUCACUUCAAUUUCCACAGUCGAAGAAUAUUGAAGCAGAUCUUGGAAAACAAGUGCGAUGACAGGCGAGGGUGAUGGAGACAAUAAAGGGUUGAGAAAUGCGAGAGUUACUGUUGCUGUGAUUGUAAAAAGAAAGUCGUAGAAAGAAUUUUAAAGAACUCGAGUUUGUCGAAAGAUCAAAAAGUCUCAAAUGAAACGUUUAAUCCUCUAUUUAUAAACAUUAAAAAGGAAGUUAUUCAAAGACGGUUAUAACGAGAAAGUGGGGAUGAACAUGUUAAACUAACGAGUAGUGAGAUUGAGAGAAGUUGGCAAACGUGCUCCUAUACUCUUCAAGACAUCCGAAGCAACCUAGGAGUCCUACUAACCUUUCAAGUUAAGGCGUGUUCUCUAUUACCGGGGAAAUACAUUAUCAAGCCAAAAAAUGAUUUUCCACUAGAGAAGCAACAAAGAACAUUCGACUUUUGGAGUCAAAUGUGCGAUCAAAUCACACCACCCAAUAUUACGUUAUUUAAAUAUUUCAUGUAUCAUUAUACUAGAUUAUUUAAUUAUCAUAUAACUUAAAAUUUUUUACUUUUUAUUAUCAUGUUUAAAACGGACAUUUUAAUCAUAAUGAAUAACACUAAGAAAUAACAAAUCGUAUUUUUUUGAAACAUUUUUUUCUAAAAACACUUUUCAAUCACAAUAGUAACAGAGAACUAACCCUUAAUUUCAAUAAAAGUCAUUUUUAACAUAGUAUUGUUCGCGAGGAUAUCUGAUCUCAAGAGACUAUUUAUUUCAACGUUUUUAGUGUAUUUAGUAUAUUAUUUUUUAAAAUAAAAAUUAAUCUAAAAAAAUUGAAUAAACUAACUUUACGUUUCUUAAAUUGAAACCUAAACUUAAAAAUUAAUUUAAAUACCUUGUAUAAACUUGACCCAAACCCGAGAUAAGCUCUAGAUAUUACUUAUAAGCAGCUUGUAUAAAUUGGAGUAUGUAGUAGUGGUGGUACAUUUCUCGAGCUAUGUGCAAAUAAGUGAAAUUUGCGGUGCAAUCAGAGCCGUACAGUUAUUGUCAAAACCUAGGUAAAUGUCAUUUUCUUUGUAAAAACAGAACCCAAUUCCCAGGUUUUUUUUUAAUAAAAAUUAAUCGAUUAAAAAAAAUUAAAAUAUGUAUUCUUUGUAAAUUCAUUUAGAAUUUAAAAAUUUAGUGUUUUUAUUUUUUAAAAUUUUAAAAUAUUUUAUUAAAUUCAAGUUUAUUAUAAUAUUUUUUUAUAAAAUAAUUAUCAAGCGAGUAUUUUUUUAUUUUAAAAUAUUAUAUUAAUAAAUUUAACAUUUGAACUAAAAGGUAAAAAGAUUAAAAUUCUAUAAAUAAAAGUAGAUGGACUAAAUUAUAAAUUUACAAAUAAUAUAAAAAAUUAUGACAUAUCUUAAUAAAAGUUUAAAUUGCCAAAAAAAAAAAACUUCAACUUAUCAAAAUCAAAGUAAGGUAAAAGUACCAUGGAAUUCAUUUUACUAAAAGUAUCGUAAAAAUAGGUAAACUAGUCACUAUAUGUUAGGUCAAGAAAGUAUAUUGGUCGUUCUGUUAAAAAUUCUAUCUAUUUUUACUGUUAAAAAUCUAGUUCUUAUAUCUCAAAAAUGGGUAUCUACCCAUGACAGACCACGUGUAACUGUUUGAUUAUUCUGUCAACUAUAUUAAUUUUUAACUUUCAUUUAACAUAUAAAGACUAAUUUACUAUUUGUUACUAUAGUUAUAAUGAGCAAACUUUGUAGCAGUGAAACAAAUUAUUAAAGUUGAAGUCAAUCAUCCAUGUAUGGUCAUUCAUGAAUGAACCACCAGAACUUUUUUCUCUUUUGGACAAACAUUUGUGACCAAAAGUAGAGGGACCAACAAAAAACAAAAUUCAAUUUGGGGGCACAAAAUAAAUAAAUAAAUAAGAGAUCCUGCCUAAACCAAAAUGGCAUUUUAACCUUUGCCCCCACUGUAAAUUUGAAUGAAAAAUUUAUCAUCUUAAACCUGUGUUCACUUAGGAAAUUUUUUUAAUGGACUCACAAUCCAAUUACUUCGACCUCAAGUCAAGGUUAAAUUAUGCUAUUAGUACCUAUACUAUUCGUAAUCCUAUAAUUUCGUAAUUUUUAAUUCUUAUUCUUUUAAAAUUUUAGUCCAUUGUUUUCAAAAUAUUAUCAUAUGCAAAAAAAAAUCUCAACUAAUACUAAUAGAUUUAACGACUAUAGUUCAUGUUAAGAUUAAAAUUUUGAAGUUCGUAAAAUACGAAUAUUAAAAAUGAUUCUAUUGAAGAACAUGAACUAAAUUUACAACUAAUGACAGAAAUGAACCAAACAUAUUUAAUUGUUACGGUUUAUUAAAAACUAAAAUUCCGAAAGUCAAAUAAAUCCCCCCAAGUAUAGGGUCUAACAAUGCAAUUUGACCUUAUUCUUAUUCCCAUCUAACAUCAUUAUUAUCAUUUUUGUAGCAACUUGCAAAAUGAAAACCCACAUAACAUAUAAUUUAACCUAAUUAGUUAAAAAAUAAUAUUUGACCUAGGGUCGGAUUCGAAAUUCAAAUCUCAACAUCUGCAAUCUUUUUAUCAUAACCAUCCCAACUUUUUUUAUACCAAAAGUACCCCAAAAAAGAAAAUAGAAAACUUAAAUAAAGUGAAUUGGAUAGUGGAAACCUACUAAAAUCCACAUAUCAAAAAAGUUCAUCUCAUUAUCAUAAAAUGAAAAUUCACAUAAAGUUAAGAGAGGACCACAAUCAUGGUAGUAUCCAUUUUUGGAUGCCACUAUUAAAUAAAUAAAUGAAAGUGAUUUGAAAACCCCAGCAAGAAAAAUUCCAGUUUUCUAUGGAAAAAGUAAGGAUAAGAGCUUAGUAUGGCCACAAAAAUGGAAACCUAUGAAUAACACACCAAUGGCAAUUAAUGAUGCAGCACAGUCCGGAUUCCGAUUGUAUCGGUAUAUCAUAACCAUAGAAAAACAGCAUGUCAAUGAGAGAUGAACAGCAACAGCAAAAGCAAAUGCAAAGGCAAAAGAUGGAGAAAUUCUUGUAACUUAUUUGAUUGGGAUUUUUUUUAUAUGGACGUUUUCUCUAAUGUUUCACACUAGCAAAUCGAAUCGAAUCGAAACUCCUUAAAAUCGGAUAGAAAAAACAAUCCCGGAUAAUACGAAGAAGAAUAUAAGGACAAGAACCAGCAGCUUCGCCAGGCAUUACAGCAGUUGAAAAUUUUGAAAAAGAAAAAAAAGGGAAAAAUCAUUAAUACCCUAUUGUUCAAUGUACCACGAUUGGCACGCGUUCGAACCGAUCUUCUGGAGUAUAUAUAUCCCGCAUUCUGAUUGUAAACCUCACUCAAAUGCCAAGAAAGGAACCUAAAUUUUGUUCUUUCACUAUUUUAAAUAAAGUAAAAAGAAAAAAAAAAUCAAAUCUCAAACCUUGUUGAAAAUCGCUUGAAACCGCUCACUCUGAAUGUGUAUAUUUCAAACCAUUAACCGUUGUUAGUGCCAUAAGAUCAAUUUCCGUGUAAGCCAACAUAGUAACGAGUCAUAUCGAAUUUGUGCAAAUCCAUUCACCCUACAUUAUAGUAUCUGAUAUCCGAAUACCGGAUCUCCUAGGCAGCAAUUCCUGAAAGAUGAAACAAAGAAAUAGAUGAAUUAAUGAAGGCUGCAAAAGCCGGGAUUCACCUCUCAAGCCUCAACAUUCGGUCUUACGACAUUAUUAAUAAUACUGAAUUUUCGGUGUUCAUAUAGGGGUAAUCUGAUAACAAUUGUUAAAUAGGCAAAAGAAGCAUGUUUACCUCUAUUGGACUGUCUACUUGCGACAUUGUAACUUCCAACAUAAUCCUCAGAGGGUCUUGUAGUAACAUCUGCGGAUGUAUUGCCAAGUCCAUAACCAAACGAGCUAGAACCAUCCAAGUCAGGUGAUGCAAACUUCCAAGUUGAGUCACCAUAAACUGAAGCAUUACGGUAAAGAUCUCCAUAGGAACCUUCAAUAUUACCAGUUGACCCAGCAAAUGAUGAUGGUGGUGCUGCAACAAUGCCGAUGUUUCUUCCAUAUCCUCCCCCUCCCAAACUGUAGUUGUCAUCGGCACUCCCACCGGUAUAACCAGAAGCGUUCCCUCCGCUUCGAGCAGGAAGAGAAGGUCUCCAAUUUGCCCCACUAUUUCCUAAAGAACCGAAACUACCAUUUCCAGACCCUAAGUAACUAGCAGGACUGGAAGCAUUUGUAGCAUUGCUAAGGCCUACAUUUCCCCAAACAUUCCGAGUAGCAGGGCUCAAAACAGAAUCGUUUCUUCCACUUCCGACACCAUAACCAAUUGGAGUAUUAUACCUGUUUGAAUUCCCACCGUAAUAUGGACUAAUUAUCUGUCCGUAUCCAAGACUGUUACCAAAGUUAGAAUUCCCCCCAUAGUUCGGGCUCAUUCCUGGUUCCAUAUUCAUACCGAUUCCGUACCCAGUGGUACUAAAUGGAGAAAACCCGUUUUGCCUACUAGCGAGAGGAUUAAACCUACCAUCCAUCCUAACUCCAAUGCCUCCGAUGGGACUUAGAUUAAAUCCCUGCGCAUAACUAUUGAGGAAGUUGGAAGCCCUAUUUAAACCAUAAUUAUAUCCAAUAACAUUGCGGUUGGUAACACCUGGAGAUAGUUCUUUAGGAACUGCUCUCUUGACCUCAACCAAUUUCCCAUUGAGUUCGUGAAAUGUUUUAUGUAGGACUUUGUCUACUGCUUCUUCCGAAUCAUAGGUGAUGAAGCCAAACCCUCUCGGCCUUUGUGUAUUAUGAUCAUACAUCACCACAACAUCAGUAAUUUUACCAAAUUGAUCAAAGUAGUUCUUAAAGUCAACCUCGGUGACGGUAGAUGCCAAACCUCCAACAAAAAUCUUUUUCGUUUGUCCAAUACCGGUAGAUCCAGUGACACCAACCACGUUCCGGUUUAGAACAAUUUGAUCAUCCCUAGGAACAGCCUUCUUUGCCUCAACCUGAAAAAUCGGGCAGUCAAAAACUUGAAUCAAAUAAUUGCAUCUCGAUUUUAAAAAGGAUAAUUAUAAUCGAGGCUCUCACCUUGCGACCAUCGAUCAUAUGCUUAUCCAUAAUUACCCUCUCAGCAACAGCAGAAUCAGCAAAGACAACGAAACCAAAGCCACGGGCACGGCCAGUGACACGAUCUCUCAUGAUCAUUGCCUCCACCACUUCCCCGUACUUUCCGAAAUACUCCUUAAGACGUUCCUCAUCGGUGUCCCACGAUAUCCCACCAAUGAAGAGUUUACCAAGAUCAGAUUCCAUCUUUAUCUAAAAUCACCAUCAUUAAACCACCAAUUUCAAUCCCCAAAAACACAAAUUCUAAACUUUGUUUUUCUCAAAAUAAUGUUUCCCACAAUUGGAUUCAAAGAUUAAAUUUCUCAAAUUCAAUCAGAAUUCCGAUACCAAUUCAAUAAAAGUAACUCUUUCACAUCAUCCUGAAUUAUCCAAAUUAUCAUCAGCAGCUAAAAUAGGAUCCAUCUUUAUGCAUAACAAUAACAACAAUUAAACACUAAAAUUAAAAGGAAAACACAUACCUUUUUAUUGUGAACAGAUAGAAUCCUAGCAAAGAAAAAAUGGGGAUCUGUCAAAUCCAAUAUAGGAUCAUCUGAAAAAAUACUUUAUACACUAAUCAGAAGACAACCCAGAAUUCCUGCCAAUCAAAAAGGAAACAAAAAACUUUAAAAUUGAGACCAAAUUAUGUGGAUCAAAACAAAAAGACCAAAGAGCAUGAAGAAGAUCAAAAUUUACCAUAUUGGAAAUGACCCAGAUGAGAAAAUGGGAAGGAAAUUAAGAUCUGAGAUGAGAAAUGAUGAUAGUGGAAACAGAAGUGGAGGUUUUAUAGUUCAUUUUCUUUAAAAAAAAUCCUUUUUCUCUCUUUUCUCCUCCUCUUCUUUGGUUAUUCCACUCCUCUUAAUUAAAUCAAAAGAAAUGGAAUUUGAGGAAAGAAAAGAGAAGAGAGAGAAUAUAUGGUGUCUGUGCGUGAGAGAGAGAGAGAGAGAGGGGGGGGGGGGGGGAGAGAUUGAGAUUGGCAAUCCUCUGGGCUAAGAAUAUUUGGAGUAUUGAUGGCAGGAGAGGGUGAUUUUUUAUGGUUUUAUUUAUGUUUUAGCCCCUAAAUUAUACAUUUAAUUAUAUUAAUACUUUUAUUUUUCUCCCAUAUUAAUACCUCAACUUUAUUUCGGUUAAUAUUUCCACUCCAAAUGCCAAAUGGCAUUAAAAAAGUUGGAAAUCAAAUCAGAGUUAGACACGUGUUUGGGUUUAUGAUAAAUAAAUUUUAAAUGACAAAUAAUAAAAAAAACUAUUUAAUUUAUAUAUAUUUUUGGCAUACUCACAUAUUGUCCCUUAAAUUUAGACAUGUUGAUAGCGGAGUUAUACACCCAAAUUUAAAGGUUUGCCUGAAAUUUUGGGAGGGUUUAAAAAAAAUAUUUAGCUUAAAAAAUGAGCUUUGGUAAAAGAUUAGGCCAGUUUAGAAUAUGCGUCGGACUCAAUCUUGAACAUUCAAGGCUUGAACCAGGCAUGACCUAAUUUUUUUAAAAGUAUGUAAUGUUUUAUAUUAUGUAAUUUAUAGCACAUAAAAGUUAAAUCUACAGUAGUAUUAUAUAAUACUACUAUAAUGUAAACAUUAAAAAAUGUUAAGAUGAUUAUAUAUAUAAUUUUAAUAAAUAAAAUAUUAAAUAUUAAAUUAAAAAUAAUGCAAAUAUAUAUUUUUAAAUAAUAAUAUAGGCCGACCUAAAAUGGGUUUGAGCUAGUUAUUUACAAAUAUGGAUGAGUUUGGGCAAAAUUUUAUACUCAUAUUUUUGUCCUUUAUCUAAAACUAGAACCCAGAUUACCAAGUCCAAUGUAACACCCCACACCCGACCUGGUCGCUAGAUUCGAAAAUCUAAUGUCAGAUUACGUUGUCGAAGUAAUUCAAAUUAGCUUACUACUUAUUUACAUCAUUCAAAGAACAUUUAUCAUAUCAAUCCAUUUGUUCAUCCAACACAUCCAUCUUAAUGUUUAAGAAUCUAAUUUAUUAAGUCAAUUUGAGAGUUAGGACUUGAAUCCGAACUCUAUUAUCACAUUUUAGUGUUGUGUCUCAAGAUAAAAAAAACUUUAUAUCUUGAGACAAACCUUAUUUUAUUUUUGAGAAUUUUUGUUUUGAUAUCAACAUGUCUUGAGACGCUAGAUGUGGUGUCUUGAGGUAAGGUACCUUAUGUCUCAAGACUAGGUCUCGAGACCAACCUCGCUGUUUUCUUAUUUUAGCUCUAAUGUUUGAAUGUCUUGAGACAAGUGUUCUUUUUGUCUCGAGACCUCAAACAGGGCCAAACCUAAUUAGUUUCGAUGUUCUCUUGUCUUAAGACAAAAGCCACAUUGUCUUGAGACUUAAAGGGAAUUGUCUCGAGACAUUAAACAUAUACAUAAACAAUAAGGUAAAUUUUGUUCUUAUGGUCUUGAUACACGUUCUUGUAGUUUCGAGACUCAAUGGCAAAUUGACCUUAAAUGCACAUUUUCAAGUGUCCAAGCCAUACCAAAAUAUACCGUAAACAUACUUAAACCUUAUCUCAAUGUAAAAUCAUCAAUUUAUCACAUACAAACACAAUCAAACAUCAUCGAAUCGUAAUAAUUGAUACAUCAUUAUCUAACCAACUAAUUCACAUAUUCAAACACAUAUAAUCUAGCAUAAUUAUCUACUAACCAAGGAACAAAACUCAUCUUAAUAAAGUUUAUAUGCCAAGUAUAAAAAAAUCAAAAUGUUAACUUAAACAUCAUGCCUAGAACAACCUAGGUAAAUGCGUAACGCCCCAGAUUUCUUAAAUUUGAAUUGUUAAAUUAUGUCAAGUAAUUUGUUAUAGUUAAGUGUUCUGGUUGUGUGUGUGAAGUUCUGAAUUCGAGUCCUUUCCCUUGAAUUUUUGCUAUUUUUCUCCCAACCCCUGACUUGAACUUUUGGCUUAUCUUUAAUUUCUGAGUAAUUGUUAGCAAGAAUGAACCUAUUGGUUUGAGUCCACUUCCCAUCUUUUCCCAAUUUUGUUUUCACGUCAGUUUCUUGUUAUUGCUAAUUUUUCCUUCUUCUUCUUCUUCUUUUUUUCAAAUUUUCUCUAUUCAGUUUCUGAAAACUAUCUUUCUCCACCAUGGUGUUCCUUCUUCUGGUUUUUUCCAUUACCGUCAUUCUUGUUGUUAGUGCAACGUUCAGACUUGUUAUUCUUUGUGCCAUCGUUUGCUAAUUGCUUGUCUCUGGCUGUGUGAAACUUGGGUAUUUUAGUGUUGUGUCUUCAUCUCUUUGUAAGUGCCUUGUUUACUCUUCAUGGGGGUGAUCUUUAUUUUUGUUAUUAAUCAGUUUCAAAAUGGAGGUAGGUGAAUGUGUAGGUUGAUCUUUUGGUUGUGUAUUGAUCGUUUAUUUCAUUAUUUCUAAUUAGGAGAAGAUCUGGUGGCGAUUAACCCUUUGACGAAUUAAGAAAUCUUAGAAUUUCUGAAUUAAGAAAUCUUAGAAUUUCUUUCUUUCUUUAGGUAAGUGGUCGACUGCCUUGGUUAUUACUGAUUCUGUUUGUCUUGGUUGAAUGCUUUGAUGGUUUUUUGGCUGAAUACUCUAACUUAGUAGGGGCCGAAUGACUGUCUCAAUUUUGGUGUAUUAUUGCUAAUUAGUUUAGUUGGAUGUUGAAUGUAGGAGCUAGAAGGGUUAUUAUAGUGUCGACAUCGCAUUUCAAUUAGGUGUGUAACUCUAAUCCCAAAAAAUCAGUGAAUAGCACGAAGCCGAAAACCUUGUUGUCGACACCACACGAUUGUGUGCUUGGCCAUUUGCUAGGCCAUGUGGGCAACACGGGCCCACACACUCAGUAAAUUUAGUUAGGGUCAUGUUUUGAAGUGCGUUUCGAGGUCAGUGAUUUUAUAGGUUCUGUUAAGUGAUAUGCAUGUUGUCUGAUAAAUGAAAAUUGUUGUUCUGUUGUGAUUGCAUAAAUUCAGGAGGUAUGUCUGCCUUAUAAAAUUUGUUUAUGAUAUGUAAAUCUGUGAGCAUCGUUAGCAUGUUUCUGAUUAAUUAAGUAUAUACGAGCAUUAUUAUUCGGAAUACAUACAAAUAUAUACUAUGUUGUUUCAUGUAUAUUUGGGGUGGGAUAUGAUAAUGUGACGGAGGAAGUUCUAGAAGAUUCUGAUUUACAUUUCUAGCAAUUAAACACUAAAUAUAUCUGAUUCUGGAGGUUUUUCGCACUAUAUCUGGUAGUUUGACUACAUAUUUAUGUAUAAUGACAUACAAUCACUCAUUUGGUGCGUGGGGUUGGAUAGGUAUUAAUUACCCUAUUUGGUGUGUUGGGUGGGACAGAGAUAGUAUGUUGCGGAUGAGGGUAGGAUCUGUAUAUGAUUUGUCUGGUAUUGUUGUAUCACUUAAUAUGUAUGUAUAUACAUACAAAAGAGGCAGCAAAAUAAUUCUCGAGUUGAGUUGUUAAGAUUGGGUGCUUGAACACUUUCAAUCUACAGAAAUCGUUGUCCAAGACCUGUGUACAGAAAUAAACAUUACCGUACAAUGAGUAUUGAAUACUCAAUGGUGCUAAUAUAAUUCAAAGACAAUGCAUUAAAGAUAAACUAAAGCAAUUACAUAUAAAAGUAUCAAUUACAUUAAUGUAUACUACUUUAACUCAUCACAUCAUUUUUUAACUUUCUUGAUCAUUUCAUGUUUCAGUAUCAAUUUCAAUUGUUACUCAUUUUGACCCUUAUUAUCCAAUGAUAGACAUUAAAAUUGAUACUCAGAUCUAUAUAAUGAGUAAGCCCAUGACACUCGGGAAAUUUGAGAUUGAUUUAUUCUACCAUCCUUGGUUGUCUGGCAAUAAUGACUUUUAGUAUUUGUUCGGACUAUUUUAUUCUGUCACCCCGAGUUGCCCAACAACGAUGGCUUUUAGUAUUUUCUCAUGACUCUCAAGGAAUUGGAGCUAGUAAAUCACUGGAUCGGUGACCCUAUGACAUACAAAUAUACCCAGACUACGUCUAACAUCUUUUAAUUAGGCAUUAACAUCAUAAUCACCAUUGUAACACAUGUCAUCAUAAUAUCAAUGUAUCAAUAUUUAUAUACAUAUCAAACACAAUUUCGAAUAUUUAUCACAUAUUCUAUCAUCACAUUGGACCCAUCUUUCUAAGUUUAUAGGGAAAAGAUACAAUUACCUUGAUAUUUAUUCAUAUUAGAUUAUUACAACCAAUUAAUCUACGAAAGCAAAUUCAAAUUGAAUUAUAGAAACACAAACCGCAGUAGCUAUUUGACGUUCGCCUUUUCUUUUUCCUUCAUCUUGGACGUUCCAGCGUCGUCUUUCGCUACAUUCAAUAAUAUCGUUUCAAAACAAUAUUAGUUUCUCAAUCAAAUUCACAUAGUAACAAUAAUUAAACAUAAAUACAUUUUAUUAAUUUUAGUCCCUAUAAACCCUAUUAACCGAAAUGCACGUAACCUUUGAUUUUCCUGAUUGAAUUUAAAAUCAACUUCAUAAAUAUAGUACAAGGACCUCCUACUAUCAUUAUUUGUUACUAAACCUCAAAAUUUUUAUCCUUUAUAAUUGAGUCCUUAACAAUACAUAAUUAAUCAAAUCAUUUAAAUAUAAUUCAAACUUAUAUUUCAUACUUUUUAUUAUAUUUGUAGCAUAUUGAAGCCAUGUAUUCUAAUCUCUUAACAUUCAAGUUACCAAGAAUCCAAACAAUGGAAAUUGAACCAUAAUUCCACUAAUUCAAUGAUCAAGAAAAUGGGCUUUAAGGAUUUGGCAUUAACAACUAAAAAUUUAUCAUUAAUUCAUGAAGAAAACUUGCCAAUUAUCUUGAUCAUGGAUCGGCAAUGGUGGAAAGCUUAAAGAAAUUUUCUUUCUUUUUGGUUUAGCCGAAUAAGGAAGAAGAAAAAAUAGUUUUUUUUUUUUGUGAAUUAUAAGAAGAGGGAAAAGCUUUAAUAGUAACACGACUGGCGCGACUAAAACCCAGAUCACACUUGGGACGAUGAACACCUUGACUAUGAGGCCAACACACGAAGUUUAGUUUAUAUAUACAUGAUUAACAUGGUGUUUAGUUUAAUUAAAUUUAAGUAAUUAACUAAUUAAAUGUUUACUUAGACUGUAAUAUUGGUUAGUAGUAAUUAAGAAAAAAAAACUUUUUGAAAAAAUUGCAUCAAUGAGUAAAAUCUUCAAAUUAGCCCAAUAUUUCCUCCCAAAUAGUCCAAAUCGAAUAUACAGGAAGUCAAACCUUUCAGCAUUUUCUACACCUAAACAAAGAGGGAAAAAAGUAAAAAAGGGAAGCACACAGACAGACAUCCUCAAAUCCUUAAGUAUCAAAUGUCUGAAUAAAAAAAGUAAAAUGUUAGACUUUGAUUCUUGCUAAGGUGAUUCAUCUUCAAAGGAAAUUAUUUGCAAGACUUUUUAGUAUCAAUAAAAACAAAUCAUGAUUAAGCACAAAAAGAGGAAAAAAAGGAAGAAAGAAAGUUGGGUCCUAGUCUUUGAUUUAUUUGGUUAAAAGUCUAAGUUUUUAACUAUUUUAGGAAGUUGACUUAUCAAUGCAACCAAGACAUGGAUCGUAGAACUUUGCUAAUUAGUUAAUUUUACGGUCCAUGUUGAGUGUUUGUGGUUGUCUUUUCCAACAAUGUCUCGUAUUUAAGGUUUGAACUUACAUUCUUUUUUUUUAAGAGUACAAUGUGCUUUACCAUUGCACCAAAUACUUGUUGGUAAUGGUAAUUGAUGUUAAAUAGAAGAUGUGAGGUAGAAGGAAAAAAGACGAGAGAUUCAAGAGGGAAAUGUAAGCAUUGCUGCAAUUAUUUCAGAUAUUUCUUGGUAAGCAUAAAGGCAAUAACGACUAGACAGGAAAAAGGAGGUUGAACUACUUUAUUAACGUGGCCAUUAACGAAUGAUGAACUAUUAUUAUUAUUACACAUAAUCAUUUAUGUGGAUUAUCAAUCAAUAAUUUAAGAUUAUAAAAAAGUAAAAAAAAUUAAAAUUAUAGAAAUUAUUGUGUAUAUAUGUUUUAUCUAUAUUUAACCCUUGUGGUAUUGCAAUAAGUGAGAUAGAUUGUAAAAAUCUAUAGUAGUAGGGGCUUGUAUCAGUACAACUGGUGUGUUGUAGCGAUAUCACAGUGUCUUGGUAAAUUCACUUCGUUUUGAGUUUCGAUCACUUCUAUUCAACUCUGAAUCAUUUUUAAAACUUUUAAAUUGCUUAAACUUGAUUUAGUAAUUUUAUAAAAGUAUUUUUAAAGUUCCAACUCUUUAAAUAAGUUCAAAAUUUUUUUCUUGUAUAUGUUCCAGUGACAUCUCUCAUCUGUACUGGUCGUCGAGACGGAUGGGGGAUAUGACAGGGAGAGGGCUAGUCUGCUAGAGAGAAGAAGUGCUGGGAGGUUCCUCUCCUCCUUUUCCCAAUUUAAAAUUUGCCCAAGUGGGCCAAAGGCCCAAACCUAAAGUCCAAGUUCAUGGGUUUUUUUUUUAUUAUGGAGGCCUACUUUUAAUAUCUAUGAUCCAAAGGUUUCAAAAUUUAUGUAGUAUAUUAAAUAUAUUAUUCAAAUAAUAUUUCCACUAUAAGAUUUUCGAGAAAUGACCAAAAUGCCCUGUAUGACCAAAUUAUCAUUUUGCCUCUAUUGAGCUUUUCCACAAUUUCCUCACUACAAUAAGCAUUUAUCAAAUUCAAAUCUCACAAAUUUAUAUUUAUCCUAUAAUAUAGACCCAUGGGUAGAGAUAAUUACACCAUAGAGAUCUAGUGCUCUUAGUGUAGUAUUUUUGUCUAUGUAUACUUGUAUUUUUUAAACAAAUCGGUUUAAUUAAAAUAUCCAUUAAUUACAUUAAUAUCCUUUGUAUAUUGUUUUCAGUGGUUUUUGCAUGCAAAGCAAAAUGAAAGCGAAUAUUGACUCAUUGAUUAUCUAAUAUUUAACUAAUAUUAAUUGGUAUUACCUGGUCGGAUUGUAAUAUGGAAAAACAACUUAUAUUAGUAGAUGAUCUAAACAUGUUCUUAGUUUAAUCGGAAACGAGCAAAUUGAUUGAAAAACUAAUAUGUCGUCUAUGAAGUCCUAUAAGGGAGAUACUUUGUCAUGGGUAUCGGAGCGGAUGACUCCUAGAAGAUAAAGAUAUAGAUGUGAUUACCUGGAUUGAAGUAAAUUGGAUAGGACCUAAGUAGCAUAAAUCCUAGACCCAUUUAUAGAUUUAUUCACUUGUUUAAUUCAUAUUGUGACAUACCUUAAUCCUGAGUGGAUGAUGGGCUAUGUAUGCGUGACUCGUACCUUUUGCAGUAAAUGAAAGGCUAAGUUCAAAUAGAUAAGGAUCCAGAAGCUAGUAUGUUAGGUAUACAACUUCUGCAGUAUGUAGCAUCAUUCCACAAUAGUGGAAUUUAUAGCCCAACUAAAGGGUAAAUAAUAUCCUCUCAUCGGCAUUACAUGUUAGAUGAAAAGUAAACAUGAUCAUGUGUCAUUUGUCUUUGUGAUAAAUGAUUUAAUUACUAUCUGAUCGUAAUUGACUUUCCAUGAAGGAAGAUGUAAUGGUGAUCGUGAAAUAAAAUAUGAUCAUAUUGGGAGAACAAAUUUUAUCCCAAAGAAAUUAAGGGUAUCUUAUGAGUGUAACACAUUUAUGACAAGAUCAUUGGACGAGCACUUAUUAAGUAGAUUUCAAAAUUGUAUACAAUAAGGGAGAACCCAAUCACGAUACUUUAGUGGAAUGACUUCGUGUCUAAAAAAUAUCAUAAAUAUCAUAAAAAAUAUCCAAUCGGUCUUUCCACUAGCUCGAGAUAACCAUAAAUGAAUUGCACGUAAAACCAAUAUAUAUAAUUGAACGAAAACUGUCACAUCCCAAAAAUCAUGUUAGUAGAAUUGAGUUAUUAAACUGAGGGUUUGAGUUGGAUACCGAAAAUUUGGGUCGCAAAUAGGUAAUUAAAGUAACACAAUUGAGUCUUUAUUUUAUUAACUAGCUUAAAACCAAAUUUAAUUUUGAGGUCUAAUUUGAAAAAAAAUGGAUUUUAAUUGAGUUAGGACCUAAUUGGAAAAGAGAAGAAACAUGAAGUGACCAAAAGAGAAAAUUGCCCAAUUUUUUAAAUUAGUCUCUUUCAAGGAGAAUAUCCAUUGUCUUCCCCUUCCUUUCAAAACCCCAAACCAUUCAAAAUUUUCCUAAACCUAAAAUUAGAGAGUUUUUUCAAAAUCAAUCCAUUCUUUCAGAUUUAUUAACCUUCCAAACACCAAAAUAACCCCCAAUUUCAAACGAAAAUAGUGUUUUAUUCCCCAAAUUUGUCAUUGUUCUUCUUGAGUUCAAAUCUCAAAUUAGAUUUGUAGAUCAUUGUUUUCAUCGAAGUUGUAACAACCCGUUUUUUAGUGGUGUCAAAAAUAAUGGUUUCGGGACCACCAUUAUGACGAGAGAGUCUAUAGAUAUAUUUAAUUAAUAUUUAUGAGUUAAAUAUAGUAUAAUAGUGAAUUAUGAUUUAAUAGAUUUUAUUAAUUGAUCAAGUUAGUCAAGGUACAAGUGAUGCAUAUCGAAAGUCAAGUAGUUUUGAAAAAUUAGGUAUCAGGACCUCGUUUCUGUAAAUCGAGCCUGUAAAUAUUUUAUUAAAUAUUUACGGAGCUUUUAUAUUGGUGAAUUGAAGAUUGGUCCAAAAAAUUUAGUGAUUGAAUAGUUAACUAAGGAAAAAUGACUAAAUCGUAAAAAAUGUAAAACUUAAUCGCAUUUGAAUUUUAUUAAUUAAAUGGUUUAAAAAGUAAAAGUGGGAGGUUUUAUGUUGCAAAUAGACCAUAAUAAAGUUAAUGGAUGGUUGAACAUUAUUUUAUAUUAUAUUUUAUAUGUUUUAAUUUAAUUAUUAAAGUAAUAAUAUUAAUAAAACAAAAGUAAAACAUGUUUCAUCUUUUCAUUCUUUCAUUUUUCACAACCAAACCACUAUUUUUAUACCUUAGGAAGCUUCGGUCAAGCUAAGCUUGCAUGUAAGAUAAAUUUCCACCCGUUUAUUAUAAAUUUUAUGUUUUUGAAAUCGUUGUAGCUUAAUCUAGCUAGUCCAUGGACUAAUUUGUGAUACUGUCAAAUUUUUUAAAACUUUUCAUUGAUGUUCUUGAAGCUUUUUAGUUGAUAAUGGUUUAGUUUGAAGCUUGAUGUUGAAAUAGGACUAUUUUGUAAAGUGAUUUUGUAUAGUUCUUAAAUUUAAGGACUAAAUUAGUGGAAAUUAGGAGUUAAUCGAGUUUAUUAGUGAUUUUUUUGAAAAUUUAGUUAGCUUAAUUUCAUUUAAAAAUCGGUAAAUAUAUUCCGAAAAAUAAAAAUAUUUUUAGAGAAAUUAAAUUUAUGGUUUUAAAUAUUUUUUGGGUAAAAUAAAUAUUUUGGGUCUAAUUAGAAUUGAAAAACAAAUUAAAAUGAGGGUUUAAUUGAAAGAAUUUAAAAUAUUAACUAAAUAGGACCAUUUUGCAAAAUAAGGGAAAUGUAAGAGUGGUUUUAUAAGAAAUUAUCCUUAUUUUCGAAUUUAGGAGGGAAAUGAGUAUUUUGUAAAACAAGGGAAAUGUGGGAGUGGCUUGAUAGCAAUUUCCCUACUUUUUGAAAAUUAGGUAGGGGUUUUCAAUUUUAAAAACAUUGCAACUACGUCACAUUGCACACCAUUUUCACCCGAAUUAAGAGCUUUUUCUCUUGUUUUUUUUGCUCAUUUUCAUAGACCACAUAUUAGAUAAUAGAUCUAAACUUUUACUCUCUCAAAAUUCUCUCCAAAAUCUCCAUAAAAGUUUUCCAAAGUUGAGCAAAAGUCAUCCGAAAUUUCUUCAAUGAUCUUGAUUCAAUCUUCUAACUUGAUGAUUUGAGAUCAAUUGAACGUAAUUCUCAACUCUAAAUUGAUUUUUAAGUUGUUUUCAAUCAUUAUUUUCUAUUUAAAUUGAUUAAAAUGGAUUUUCAAGUUUUGAUUUCUUCUUUCUUGAACAUGGAACUCAACAAUGAUGAAUCCAUAAUUUUGAGUUGGAAUCCAAGUUUUAAUGGAUGUCUAAGCUCAAAAUAUGUUUAUUAAGAAGUUUUUAAUCAUAAAACAAGAGAUCAAACUCGUUUGGUUGAUCAAUUUUGAUAAAUUCAUUUUUAAUCAAGAAAUAAAAUUAUCACUAGUCUUUUUGGAUUUGACUCUACUCAUUGCUAUCUAGAGCUGUUCAUGGGCGGGGCGGCCCGCCCGAAAUAUGGGAGGGUUCGGGUAAAAAUAUAUACCCGAAAUAUGGGUUUGGGCAAAAAAAAUGAGGCCCGUGCAGCACUUUUUUGGCCCGGGCCCGGCCCGAAUAUAAUAAAUAUAUUUAUUUUUUUAUUUUUUUAUAUAUUUAAAAAUAUUUUAAAAUACUUUUUUUAAAAUUUUUUAUUUUUAAAAUAUUUUAAAAUACUUUUUUAAAAUUUUUUUUGGUGUUUAUUUAAAAAAUGGGCUGGGCUCGGGCAUAUGAUUUUUUUCCUGGGCCGGGCCUGGAUAAAAUUUCAGGCCCAUAUUUCGGGCCGGGCCGAAAUUUUUUCUGGGCCCGGCACGACCCGGCCCAUGAGCACCUCUAUUGCUAUCUACAAACUUAUAUUUUGAGUAGGAAUUUAUUUUUGGCGAUCUCGACAACCAUACAUAAUCUUCUAGUGAGUGUUGAAGCAUUUGGUUAAUCAUCUUUCUCACUCAACGCUCAUGCUUUUCAUAUGCUUAUUAAACUCCAUUCAUAUCUUAUCUUUGGAUUGAGCUAUAGUUGUUAGUUGAUGCCUCUAAACAUUCAAAUUUUUGUUGGAGAUACCCAACUUCUAUUUGCAACAAUGUAGAAAUCUCAUCCCUUAUUUUCCAAAAUAAAGCCCUGAUACCACAAUGACAUCACUUGAAUUUGCAGAUGAUAAUUUAAAAAAAAAAUACGAUAAAUGUGAAAAUAGGAGAAUAAUUAACAGAUGAUUGAUAGGGUAGAAAAGAAAGAGAAAUUAAAGAGAUAAUUGUUGCAACCAUCUCCUCAAUGGAAAGAAUACGUUUCAUGUAUAUCAACAGACCAUCACUUAGUACAACAUCAUAAAGGUCUUAUUUAAUGUUCAUAUUUUUGUCUAUAAAACUCAUUUUGAUAGUGGCUUAGUUGUGAUCUUAAUACGAUAUUUUUAAAAUGAUUUUUUAAAUUAUUUUUUGAAAAACUAAGUCGACAAAGCAAAAUCAACUAAAUAUUUUAGAUAAAUUGUUUUGAGAAUGUUUAUUUUAGCAUUCUUAAUAGAGUUUAAACAUAAAAUAUUUGUUUAAAAAAUAUCUCAAAAGUGAUCUACAUAAAAAACUGGAAACAUGAUAGUUUGAUAAUAACGAUAAAAUGUGCAGGUGUCACCCUGGUAUUCUAACUAGCUCUAACAUGUUUUUCACUUCGCCUAGAUGAUUGUUGAAAUGCCGCCACUUUCUAUAGCAGAAGUGAAAGGGCUAUCCGGCAGAUUAAGUCCUUCGCUGCAGAUACAUGAAGUUUUGAUUUGGAAUAGAUCAUUAAACAAUCAAAUAUGAAAAGAAAAAACUUGGAAAGAAAGUAACUUUUAUACCUUUCUUGGUCAUUGUUGUUCAUCUCUACAUGUUUGAUUUUUCCAUCAGAUGUGGUGUUGAUGUUGAGAGCUUCCAACAAAUAAUUGAACUCUGCCGACGGGAAAUCGAGUUGAUCUGCUAGGUGGAAAAGAAAGCGUUGUAAGGGUGGCCAAGGUAAUGAAUAUACAUAUAUAAAAUGGGAAAGUUCGCUACCUUCCGUGACCUUUAACUCAUCCAUGAAGUAACCGAAGGAUUGGUGAGCUAGAGGCUUUUGUGACAAAUGCAUCUCUGACGAGUGCCUUCUUUGAAGCUUAAAGAUUUGAUCUUGAUCUUCGAUAAAUUGCUUACGGAACAACCUCGACGUCGCAUAUCCUUUUGGAACUGAGAAAAUCAUACAUUAGAUACUCGAUAGUAAACAUUGCCUAAUGCUUAAAACUAUACAAUAUGAAUUAACAUCGUAUUCAACAGAGCUAAAUCGAGUAAUAGCCCCAAAAAUGGCGAGUGUUUAUGUAGCUAUGGACCAUAAUUUGGAUAAACGAUGAAAUGGAGGUACUUACUUGAGUGAAGCUCGGGUUCCAUAUAAUAUGAAGAAUAAUACAUGGGAGACUCGAUUCUCUCGGGGUACUUCCUACACAAAAAUCAAAUGUAGCCGAAUGAUAUAGAAACCAAAAAAAUAUUAAAAAAAAAAGAAGAGAAAUGAUUGUCAUACUAUGCAUUCAAUUCAUGAAAUUGGUGUAAAAAUGAGAAACAUUUAUAUUUACUUGUAACACCCUAAAAUUUUCGAUAUAGUAGUUGGUACUAUUCUAGAAAUGCAUAUAGUAGAUUUAUGAAGAAAAUGAGUUGAGAUUUAUCUGAAUAAAGUAUAUGGGAGAUGAAUUAGAUAUUGAAGAGAAAGAAUGAAUGGUGAAAUUUUAGUAAGGAUUAAAUUGAGAAUUUGUAAAAGUAUAAAGACUUAAAGUGCAAAUAGACCGUAAGAUGAAAAUGGGUGGUGCAAAUAAACAUUUUUUUAAAUAUGACGUCGAAAAAUAUAUUGACAUGUGGAGUUGAAAAAUCGAGGUAUAUAUUAAAUUGAGUAAAGUGGAAAAGUUUAAAGACCAAAGUAUAAUUUUACUAUUUUGUAUCAGGGGUCCAAUUAGCAAUUUUUACCAUAAUUGGUUGAUAUUUCAAGACAUAAUGAUGAAAAUUUGGUGGGAUGGGAUAGGUUGGUGGAAUAAGUGGAUUAAAAUGAAAGAAAAGAAAAAUGUAGAAUUGUAAUGCUCCGAUUUUUGCUGAAGUCAUAGAAUUCGGUUUUAAGUCGAUUUAUUAAAUCGACCCAUCCAAAAAGUUAAAUUGUUAGGUUUUCGAGAAUAGGUGUGGGGACGAAUCAGACGAAUUCAAAUUUAUUUAGAUGUGUCAAUUUUUUAGAAUUGAGAAUUUCAAAUUUAAGGCUUAUGGGCUAAAUUGCAAGAAUAAUAAAAUUGUUGGGGUCAAAAGCUAGGAAAUAUAUUAGGGGAUGUGAGAGAAUUACAAAAUAGAUUUUUUCAGAGGUGAGGUCCUUGAUUGGUAAUUGUUCCAACCCCAUUUUAGCAAAUCUCCCUUUUUCAAAAAUUGGUUAGAGGAGCAGUUUAGCUAGAUUCUUGAGUUUUGAGAGUUUAGAAUAAGAAUAAGAUAAGUGAUCUUAAGGUAGUGUAAGGAAGAUAACUUGAGCAUCUCAUCAUUAGAUUUAGGAGGUUUUAAUGCUUAAUUAUGUUUUUUUUCUAACCUUAGUUCAUCUUUUUUAUUAGGGUUUGUAGCAAAGGAAGUGGUCAAAUCUUCUAAAGCCAAAGGAAAGAAGAAGAUUGAGGAGGUGUAACAGUUUUCAGUUUGUGCUUGUUUAAUUCAAUUUGUGGUAUAAACUUGAUUGAGCAAUUUAGCUUAGGAAAUCUUGUUGAUUUUAUAUUGUCGGUGAUAUGUGUUGGCAAAGACUUGACUUUUGCAUAUAUGAAACCUAUGCUCGACAUGUUAAUUGCGGUGAAACAAUGUAAAUGAAUAUUAUUGUCUCAAGUAUGAUUUGUUGUGAAGAAUGUGGGAUUGAUUCUUGUGAUGCAUGAUGAUAAUUAAUAUUGCUUGAUGAUUCUAAGACAUGUAGAUUGAUAAACACCCUAUUAAACAAAGUUGGGAAUGGUUUGAGUAUUGUUGUCAUGCCAUAGGAUUUGUUUGUGAUAGAGGGAGGAUUUGCGCUUGUGUGCCUUCUAUUUGUGCUUGUGUUCAUGAUUGGUGUGCAAGGGAAGUCAUGUUUUCACUCUUACUAGUGCAUUUUUCCCCAUUUGGCGCUUUUGCACAACUUUUGAGGUGUGUUAUGAGUUUGAUUUGUGUAUCUAUUCGUUGUUCCACUAUUGGUUAAUAGGGGCAAAACUUUAAUUAUGAUUUAAUAUGGUAAUGAUGAAUACAAAUUGAAAAUGUUGAUGAUCGUGACACUUGGGAAUAUGAUAUGUAAUUAUUUGAGGCAAAUGCUCCAGUAUGGUUUGGAUAUAUUGAGGAACUUGAAUUAUGCUAUUGGAAAUGUUUUAAAUGAAGCUAAUUAGAUAACACAUGUAUAUUUCUUGUGUUAGCGUGCUUUGUUGCUUAAUUGUUUUGUAUUACAAACUUGGUUAUAUUUGUUGCUUAGCAUAUGAAUUAUUUGUUCCAAGCACAGGUAGUAAGAAUGUGCACGAAUUUUGAUUUGGUUAUCCCAACAUCCAAGGCUUGAAGUCUCAGCUUUACUUUUGAACUUUAUAAUGUUUAUUUUAGACUUAGUGUUUUAGGCAUGUAUAUAGGUCACUAGGUGAAUUUUUGCAUCUUUAAGUGGAUUUUUAUGUUGUUUUGAAGUAUUUGGUAUGUUUUGGUUCAUUUUGAAACUUUUCCACACUUUUGGAUUUAAUCUGUGAUGCAAAUAUGUAUGGUUUAUGCAUGCAUUAUAAGUGUUACAAUUUACUUACCUAGUGAUUUUUUUUUAUCUAUUGUGGUAAUAGCCAAGAUUUUAUAUGUGUUUGACUUGUUUUGGCAUUUCAAAUAUGUUUUCUAUUAUUUGGUUGCAUGUUGCUUAUGUUUAGGGACCUUUAGAGACACAAUUGCAUGACUUGUAAUGCUUGUUUUAUGCAUUUUUGGGCAUGUGUCUCAAGAUCACAAGAAUAUUUUCAUGUGAUUCUUGCAUUUCCAAGUGCAGGCCUUGAUACAUAGACAUCAAAGUCUCUAUAUAUGGUUGCAUUACCUUGAGAGAUAAAAUAUUGAAGCUAAAAUAUAAAAAAUUCAGUCCAGAGUCUUGAGAUAUUGUGCAUUGUCUUGAGACAUAAAACUUCGAAGCUAAGAUCUGAAAAUAAGGAAAGUAUGUCUUAAGACAUAGUCUUGCAUUUUUCUUGUUUGACUUACAAUUUGUAACCUGGCUCUAUGUUUAACUUUCUUUGACCUUGGUUUAUCAUAUGUGGGUCUAAUUGAGUAUGUUUAACACUUUAUAUCUUCUUUUAAGUGUUCAUGCCAUGCUUGAGUUGUUUUAGUUGAAUUUUUUUAGCUUCAAUGAUCGUUUUAAUGUUUGCUUCGACAACGAAUGUGGUAUCUUGCAUCUGAUCGUCUUCUAGGUCUAGUGUAGGGUGUUACAUUAGUUGAUAUUAGAGGGGGUUUUGGUUUAGCUGGUUCUAGGCCCAAAAUGCAUAAUUUUUUUGUGAUUUUGUCUAGGGUACAUGCCAUUAGGUGAACCAACCAAGUUUUAUUGAUAGUUAAGACUUGAAUGUUGAAUUUUUCUCUAGUUGUUAUAUGUUUGUAUAAAUUCAAUAUGUCUGUUGAAUCUCUUAAUGCAUUAGAUGAGGAGGUUGAGUUAGACCCUCAAAUUCUCCCCUUACCUUAAGCUACUCAAACUGAUGUGGGAGACAAGAAUUAACCUAAGGCACUUGAUGUUGGUGCACAAACUAUAGUUGGUGGUCGAAAUGCUAAAAAUGAUGAUGCUCUAUUGUGUACUAUCGCAGAUGCACUCCAUAGAGUUUAGGGGGGCUACACCACAAGUUUGAAUUGUUAUGAGAGUUUGUAAGAUUGCUACUAGGAAGCUUAAAAAAUACGAAAUAGUGGACUUCAAGGGGUUGAAAGGUGUUGAUCCUUUCGCAGCAGAAUCUUAGCUUGCAAUGAAUCAACUAGAAUGUGUUCAAGUUGAGUGAGUUCAGUGCAUAAUUCACUUGUUAAAGGAAGAAGCUUACCAAUAAUGGUUAACUAUAAGUCAGUCUAUUCCAAUUGAAAUGAUAAAUUGGGUUUUUCCAAGCGAAGUUCAAAAAGACGUAUGCCAGAAAGUUGUAUUUGGAGGAUUGGAAAUAAGAGUUUAUUAUGCUAAUAAGGCAACUUGUUUGUGGCAAACUACGAGCAAGAGUUUCUCUGAUUUAGUUGGUAUGCUCCUAAGAUGGUACCAAUGAAAGUUGAGAAUUCCAUCUAAUUUCUUAGAGGAUUGUGGGAUGAGAUAUAUGUACAACUAGUGGCCACCGAGUGAGAGUUUUCUGACAAAAUUAAGAGAGCCAAGAUGGUUGAGCAAGUUUUGGGGUUAGACGAGAAACUCGAUGAUAACCAAACUCAAGAGAAGAGAGUUGGUGGUUCUAGUUCGUAGCCUGUUUCGAAGUGAGCUAGAGAUUUCAGAGUUUCUAAGUGAUUUGUGCCUUCUAGGUUCCAUUUUGAGGGAAGACGAUCGCAGCAAUAUUUUGUUUCUAUGGCUAGUUCAGGUGGACCUGUUUUGGUAUCUAGUACUUCGAAGUGUGACCACUGUGGCCAUAGGCAUGUGUGGGGAGUUUUGAAAGAAGAUUGGUGCAUGUGCCUUGUGGUUGUGGUACGACUACAGGGGGAGAGAAUGUUGUUAGGUGAGGUUAGAGGAGGACUAUAGAUAUUACUGCUACUAUUAGAUUUGAGGCUAGAGCUUUGGUUUUGGCUUAAUUUGUUCGUGCUCGUUAUGGUGUGGACGCUAUUGUUAUGGUCUAAGGUAUAUAUUCUUUUUUUCUAUUCCAGUUGAUGCAUUGAUUGAUCCUUCUACACAUUUCGAUAUAUAUAGUAGUGUGACCUGUGUGUGCAGUGUUCCUAUGGAAUUGCCAGAUAUAAGGAUUUCAAUGUCUAGUCUUUUAGGGGCAGGGUGUGAUUGUUGAUAAGGUCUGUAAUCAUUUUCAUUCGAUGAUUUAGGGAAUUAUGUUCUUAGCAGAUUUAAUAGUGAUGUCAUUUUUUGAGUUAGAUAUGUGAUUUUGGGAGUGUACUGGCUAUCAAGCAUAAUGUUAUAUUGGAUAGUUAGAAGAGGUUUGUUAUUCAAUAUUUGUAUGGUAUUGUGCUGGAAGUUGUUGGUAUGAAGUUUGGAUGCUUUGCUAAAGUGAUUUCUGCGGUGAAGGCUUGGAAAAUGUUGAAUAAGGGUUACAAGGUUUAUUUAGCGUGUAUGGUAUCUUAGGGGAAGUCAAGUUUUCACACACAUUGGUGCAUUGUCAUUAGCAUUGUUGUUAGUGUACUGAAGUGCAUUAUCUUCCUAUUUAAAAGUUGAGGAAGGGCUAUAAGUAGUUCUAGGCAUUAUAUAAAAAAAAGUAGAUAUGAUAAGAAUUUAUAAUGAGAUUAAUGUUGAAUAUGAAAUUUAAAAUAUUAGUCACUAUGUAAAAUUAAAAUAUAUGGAUUAAUGGUGUAAUUAAUUAAUGUUAUAAAAGAUAAGAAAUAAGUUGAAACAAGUUUUAAAUAUGACAUAAUUUGAAAUAAAGAAUUUAUGUACAAGUGUUGAAAUAUGUAUGUGAUAUGAAUAACAUAUGUUUAGGAUGUGAAUGGUUAUGUAUAUGAUAUGCUAUGAUUCAAUAACUUGUUUUAUUUAUGUUAAUGAAAUUAUGAUCACGGUGAAGAUAUUAUAUGUUUAAUGUUUUAAAUGAAAAAUAUUGUUUGAGUCUUACAUCGAUUGAUAUGAUAAUUGUUGUCAAUGCAGAAGGCCGUGAGUUCGAGUGCGCUGAAGUGUAUUAUCCUCUUAUUUUAAGGACUUUAAUGUAUGAAUGGUAAUGUAUAAUUGAAGAUUUAAUUGUGAGUUAUAAGUUAAUUUAUUAUAUUUGAUGUCACUUAAUUUUAAUUGGUUACAUGUUAGACAAAAUAUCUUAUAUCAUAUUUGAAUUGGAUUCUUGAAACUUAACCAUUUGAGAUCACAUCACUCAAUAUGGACUCAAGCUCAAGCCAUUUGGUAUAAAUUUUGUACUUAGAAAUGGCAUGUGGCAUAAUGUACAUUUGAUUGUGCGACUAGGUAUGUUUAGUGUAAGUUUAUCAUAUUUUAUAAGUUAACGGUGGGGCGAAGGCAAAAAUUUUUUUGAGAGGUCGGAAAUAAGUUGUAUAUUUUUAUGAUAAUAAAAAUGUAAUUUUACCAUUUUAAUAGUUUAUAUCUUUAUGAUUUUUUUAAAUGUUAAAUUAAAAUUUUAUCUUUUUUAGAAGGGCAAAGUGUAAUUUUACCAUAACUAAUUUAAAAUUUUAUAAAUUAUAAAGACUUGGAAAAUUUUUUAUUUUAGGAGGGUCUGGUCCUGUCAAUCCUCUUGUCAAAAUUGUUUAAGAAUCAUUAGCUAAAUUAUUAUAGUAAAAAGAUAAUGUAUCGAUACCAUACAAGAAAGUGUCUAUACAUGUUGUCUUGAAGCUUAAAAUUCGAGUUUUUAUGCUUGGUUUUGGGCACGACUUAAGCCAUAACAUGAGUUUUAAACCUCUAUUAUGAGAUUAGAUAAGAGGUGUUACCGUACUUGUCAACCAGCUUGGAUUUUUCCCUGUAAGGUUUGACGAGAACACGAGCCCCGCAAACGUAAUGCGGAUUUCCUUCGGCCAAAAUCAUCUUCACAGUAUCGGAACUAACAAAGUUUACGAACCCAAACAUUCGUUUUUGUUGGCAAGGGAUCCGUACAUCUUCAACUUGUCCAUAAUUGCUACGCAAGUAAGAGAACUCUUUUAAGACAAUGAAUAUGCAAAUAAGCCUAUAAAAUGGCUUUAAAACAUCAUGUAACCUGAAAUAAUUGGAGACAUCAUCUUCACUAAAUGUGCUCUCGGCCGGGAACGUAAGGUAUAUCUGCCUCGACCCGUUAACGAUCGGACCUGGAUCGUUUCGAUCAUUUCGAUUUUCCAUAUAUUUUGGUACAUCUUCGGCUAAAAUGACUGCAUGUUGUCCAUGCGGCCUGUUAUUGAAACCACGUAAGAUUUCAUUUUUAUUGGUUUUAAGUUCUAAUCGGAACGAAGAAACGUAAAUGAACUAAAUUCUUAAUUUUCGAAAAAUACAAGUUCAUAUCAUGUACCUGUCGAUCACUCGAAUAGCGGUUUUCAAUCUUGCGAGAAGCUUAGUUAAACUAUAGCCUGCUUUUCCAUGUCUUUGGCUUUCAGUAAGAUAACCAUCUGCUUGUAGAACUUUGCCAUACUUCUCAUAAUAUAGCAACGGUAACGACGCGAUCGAGACCGGAUCGCCUCGUUUCGUUCUCAAUAACUCGACUAAUUCAACCUCUAAUUUCUCUAGUGACAUAACAUUAUCUUUAUAACCAGUGGCACCAUCCAAAUGAACAAACAUUUGAGGGAGAUUAUCCGAGACUUCACCAUGAAAGUACCUACAAUUACUCCCAUGUUUGCAAUACCCUUUGUUGAAAUAAUGACAAGUCUUAACCGGAAAAUCGGGUGCGUUGUUUUGAUGCCGACGUAGUCCCGGUCUUACUCCGAAAUUACAGUAACAAUAAUCAUUGGAAAAACUAUUAUCACUUCUUAAGUUUAAAGAUCCCAUUUGAUCAUCUAAAGUGCUUGAUGAGACUGGUGGUGAGAAAGAAGUGAACUGUGAAGAUAUUUCGGAAUUGAGAGUCGUCACCGAGUUCAUCGACGGUGAUAUCGGAGGUGACCCGGAUUUAAGGGCGAGUUGUUGAAGCUCAAGUUUGAUUUUAUAGAUUACUUCUCGAAUGACCUUAUCAGGGCACAGUGCUAAUUGAGCAAUUUCUUGCUCACCAUGGUCUUGUAAGAGAAUGUAUCCUAUGAUUUUCAAUACAUUUUCAGGCUCAAAUUUCUUGAUUUUGUUGAAUAAAAUUUGUGUAUAGUCGGAAAAUUCCAUCAUGCAUUUAGUUGAUCAACUUAAAUCUGCAAAUAACAAAAAUAUUAAGUCAUAAAUACAAAAAAAAAAGCACAAAACCCAGAAAUUCUUUAAAGAAAAUAGGAACUUACCAAGGAGAAAAUUUGUUGGAAAUGUAAAAGCAGCUGGUUCCUGGUAGCAACAAGUAGAGUUGUUGUUGUUCUAUGAAGAUAUUAAAUUCUCUUUUAUGCUUCACUUUUCAACUUUUCAUAUGAUUUUUUAUGGUUUUUUUCUUCAACUAUAUGUAUAUAAAAAAAGAUUUUUUAAAGUAAAAACAAAAACUUUGUUUACUUCGUGUUGGUAAAUUUAUACAGAAAAAAUUUCACCUUAAAUAGUUUUUUUAAAAUUAUAAUUUUUAGUGAGCUUAAAAAAAGAAUUUAAAUAUUCAAAGCUAGAUAUUUUAUAAAAAAAAUGAGUUAGAGAGAAUUAAGGCGAUAUACUUUCUUACUUUUUCUUAUUACUAUACUCAAAAAUCCCCCCCCCUAAAUGUUAUUUAUUUUUUUUCUAUAGAAAAAUGAGUUAUUAAAAUAUUAUUUAAAAAAAUCCCAAUGUUCUAAAUUUAGAUUUGAUUAUGAAUGAUAAUUUAAUAAUUUUGUGGUUUAUUUAAUUUUCAUUUUAUACAAAAAAAUUGGGAAAUUAUCAAAAUGAUUAAAUGUGAGGAUAAAAAUGGUAAUUAAAGGAAAUUAUUUAUGAAAGUGAAGACCAAUUCUACAGCUGGAUAAGUGGGGUGAUAGGUAAAAAUAAGAAUAAAAGAUUAGAAAAAAAUUAUAAUUUUUGGUAAAUAAUAAAUAAGUAAUGUUAGAUUAAUUAAAAAGAAAGGAAUUUUUGGAGAGCUAAAAAGGAAAAAAAGAAUUGAUUAGAGAGAAUGAGGCUUUUCUGUUCUAAUUAUAGAUAUUAUCUGGAUCUAUUUCCUUAUGAUUUUUGACUUUGUCAUUUAGUUUUUUAAAUAAAGGAUUAUGUAUAUAUAUAAAAAGCAUGUACUAAAUUUGUAUUUAAUUAAGUUUUUGUAAAUAAUUAAUUAAGUCUCUUCGUUAAAAAUUUUGCCAUUGGUCAUGUUGACUCUUAAAAUAAAUUAACGGACUAAUCAGAUGGUAACACGUGAUAGUUUAUUGUUUAAUCUAAUAUUUUUCUGACAAAAAUUGUAACCUCUUCAAAUCGCCCUGGAUGAUAGACCCGAAUUCGGGAGAUUACAUCAGUCAUUGAGAUGACCUAGUAUGAUCAAGGUUUAUAAAACAAUCAAUUUAAAAUAUUUAUUUAAUUUAGAAGAAAAUUUAGUCUAUUUUCAGAAAAGCUGACGGGUUAUAAAUAAAUGUUUUAGUUUAACUUUCUUAAGUAACGAUGACUUUUAAAAAAAAUUAAUUUUCUAUUUUUUUAUUAUUCACAUUUUUCAAUUUUAAUCUGGCAGGGGAAGAGUGAUUUUUAUUUGGAUUUGUUAAAAUUAUAUUUCAUGCCUUCAUUGAAUAAAAACUAUAUUUUAAAAUUAAGUUAAAUGUUAUGUAUGCUAAAUAAACCUUAAAUAUGAGUCUCAUGCCAUAAAAUAAAACAGUAUAGUUCCAAAAUAACAAAAAAUAUAAAAAUAAGUCUAAUAAUACUUUCAUAAAAAUAAAACAUUUUUGAGCCCUCCGUAUGCCCCGUUUGUGUUCUAACCUAGUGGGUUAUCUGUAAAGAUGAAAUAAAAGAGGAAGUGAGCUAUAAAGCUCAGUGUGAGUUCCAUAACAAGAAAACCAUGCAACAAUAGACAAAACAUUCAGAAAAUUAACUUGAUAAAUCACAAUUAAUUAGAAAUACAAAAUAUCGAUAAUUUGAAACAACUAAUCAACAUAAUAUUUCAAUGUUCAUAGCCAUGUGUAAUUGCUUAUGAAUGUAAUGUAAGUUUGGUUUAACAGUAGAAAGGUCCUACCCUAUCGCUACACACCACAAUAGGAGUUCCUCAGAACUUCUCUACCUUUAUACCACAUUGUGGAUAAAUCACUCAUUGCAAAUGACCUGCUAAUGAUAAGAUAUAUUGGCGGAUGAACCAUCAGUCUGUGCAGAUAAAAGCUGCUAAUACGUUAUGGAUGAACCACUGGUCAAGCAGAUGACUGCUGACUAAACUAGCCAUGGAUAAACUACUAAUCAAACAGAUGGUUGCUGACUAAAAUACAUUGUUGAUAAACCAUUGGUCAAGCAGAAAAGCUGUUGACUACUUCCUUCGUUCAAAACAUCCCACCCCAUGCAAUAUGCAAUAUAACAUGGCAAUACAUACAUAUUUUUCAAUAACAGUUUAUGCGGUACAUUAUCAUGCUUAUCAAGUAAUUCAGUAAAACAGUUUGGUUGUAUGCUUUGCAUACAUUUGGUUAAUAGUAUCAGUGCAUGUUCACAUGCUUUUGGAAUGCUUAAGAUCAUGCAUAAUCAACUUAAUAUUACAUAAUACAAUUCUAAUCAUAACAUGUCUCAUAUGCACAUCAUGGUAUGCCUGCUAGUCAAAAACGAUAUAAACCAACCAUAAUAAUGUUAGAACAUAUAACAAUUUUGCAUAUUAUGGUCUCGAAUCAAGCAUAUAAUCACUAAAGAGUUUACUCAUCAAGUUUCAUGCAAACAAGCACAAAACACAUAGACUUAGUUUAGAUUCCACAUAGGCUCGUGGAUAAGGUUCGCAUGAAUGUUUGCAUUAAAGGUUCACAUGACUGUUCGCAAUAAGGGUUCACAUAAGGUUUGCAGUACAAUAUACAUAAGGGUUCACAUAACAGUUUUACAAAAGGGUUCACUUAAUAGUUAAAAGGAUCCCAUAUUAGCUUUAAAAGGAAUCGCAUAACAAUUCACUAAAAGGUUUGCCCAACAUUCACUACGGGGUUUGUUGGGAUAUGUACCCAUGGUGUAGUAAACAUGUAAUUAUUUUCUAUGUAUUUGAUCGAUGAAUAAAUAAAUUUCACAAUUCACUAUUAUAUCUUUUUGUAUUUUUGUCCUUCAUAUUUUGCAUGCAUAUCGAAAUUGUGACAAUCAAAUACUAGCUUAUUAAUUGUCUAAGUUCAAAUUGAUGAUAAGUGGCAUUGUAAGAACAUUUACAUUUCAAGAAAGACAACUUAUUUCAGUAAAUAAUCUAAAUGAGUCUGUAAUCUCAUAAAAGAAUCAAAGUGAGCAUUUGAUUCAAAUACUGAGAAUGAUUAUUAUGUUAUCUACAAUUUCAAUUAAGGAGAUGGCUAGUCUUGGCUAUCGGAGCAGUUGACUCCACAUGUAGAGAUAUAGAUGUAUUCAAUGACAAAAUGAUACAUUGGACUGGACCCAAGAUAAAUUAAUUUUGAAUCUGUUUGUGAAUUAAUUAACUUGUGACAUUCAUGGUGUGAUUUGUCGAAAUCCUAAGUUAGUAACUAACCAUGCAUAUGUAGCUCAUGUGCUUUGAUAUAAGUAGAGGCUUAUGCUCUAAAGAUGAUCGAGCUGAUAGCUAGUAUGUUGAGUACAUAACUUGUGUAUGGGAUGGCUUUACUAGCAAUAGUGGAAUUCAAAGCUCAAUUAAAGAGUUAACGAUAUCCUUUCAUUGACAUUGUGUGGAUUGAUAAAUAUGGAACGUGACCACGAGUUGCUUGUUCUCGAACGAGUAAUUUAUCGCAGUCAUUUGUUGGCAGUGAUUAUAUUAAUCAUUAAGAAGACACAAUGGCAGCAAUGAGAUAAAACAGGACUGUAUUGAGUGAACGGAUUUAACUCAAAGGAAUCAAUGAUAUCAUAUGAGGGUAACACACACAUGAUGAGGUCAUUGGACAAUGGAAUUGGAUGAAUUGCUUUCGUAAAUAGUAUACAAUAAGGAGUUUUCAAUCAUGGUACUUCUUGUGGACUGACUUCAUGAUUAAGUAAUUUCGAAUUAUCGGAAUGAUGCUUUUGGACAUAAUUUCAAUUACUAGAGCUUAAUUGUAUAUGUCUGAUUGGUCCCUCCGCUAACUUAACAAAAACUCGACCGGACUGCUUUUGAAUUAGAAAAAAUUUUUACGACUUUGGAAAUAAUUUAAUUGAGUCAAUUUAUUUGAUGUAGAAUUAAAUUGGGCAAUCGUAAUAAUUGUUAAACUAGAAAAUUUUAUUAAAGAAUUUCUUGAAAAAUUAAUUUGAAAAAUCUAAGUGAUUUUUGGGAAAAUUAAUUUUGAUCAAGUAAAAUUAAAUUAAUCAAAUUAAUUAAAAUUAAUAUGAUAUUUUUGAAAAUUAAUUUUCAAGUCAGACAAUUGGCCCAAUGGGUAAUUGAACUUGAAAAUUGGAUCUAAGAUCGUAAAUUGGGUCCGGGAGCCCAAAACUGAGACCAAGACCCAUAAAUUGGUUGAAUCGGGUCUGGUAUGUGAAACUGGCCCGACGAUCCAAUCGGUGGCUGGAUCGGACCGAUCGAGUCGUCAUUGGCUUGGACCAAACUGGCAAAAACGGACCAGCUCGGGGUGUCGACAGCUACGAUAGCAGCAUUCUGUUGGCUAGAAAAUGGUCGAUGACGGUGGGUCUUCGGUGGUUGAGCAUUGAAAAAAUGACACUCCUAUUGGGACUCUAACAAAGAAUUUGAUUUCAGAUUAACUAUUCCAAAAAUAAUAAAUUUAAUAUUAAAUUUAAUUUAAUACUUAUCUUAAUAGUAUUUUAUUAAUUUAAUAAGACUUAAUAUUAAAUUUAAUCUAAUAUUUAUCUUGAUGAUUAUUAUAUUAAUUUAAUAUUAAAGUGAUUAAGUUUAAUCAUAAUUGAAAUCUCUAAACUCUCUCUAUAUAAAUAGAGCCUUGGGUAAUAAUUUUUCACAUUUGAAUUCAAGAGAAAGUUGUAGAGAUAAAAUUUUCUGAAGAAAUUAUUUCAGAAAAUUUCUAGAGAUAUUUUUCUUAUUACAACUUGGCCCAAAAGUUUAGAGAAUUGCGAUAUUACUUGACUGGUAAUUUUUGUGAAAGCUUUUCUGAUUCGAAGCGAGCCCACACUCGGCAAACAUGAGCUUGAGAAUAGUGGGUCCAUCCUAAACGAAUAGAAAAUGUACAAUUUUGAUUAAGUGUUUAUUACUUUAGAUAUCACAACCAAGUUCUUGUUUUGAAUUUUUUUUAAAACUCUGAUUUUUCUUUAAAUUUAUUUUUCGCUGCUUUUUUCAAACCCGAUUUUCCAAUAGGGUUCGCAUAAAAUUUACUAAGGGGUUCACAUAACAUUCACUAAGAUGUUCGCAUAACAUUCAAUAAGGGGUUCACACAACAUUCACAAAGAGGUUUGCAUAACGUUCAUUAAGGGGUUUGCAUAACAUUCAUUAAGGGGGUCAUGCGGUCCACAUAGGCGGCCCACAUGCCCAUGUGGUAGGCCGUGUAGUCUGGGUUAGGUUCAAUUUUGCCUCAGUUUCCUUGUAAAAUAACACACACAUGACUUUCAAGGUUUUGAACGAUGAUCCUAUGUCCAAGUCUAGCUCGGGAUACCUACAACAAGUCUUACGAUCGAAAAAUAUGUAAGAGUUAAUGUCAACUGGCUUGCUUCGGGCCUUGCGGACUAGAGGAAUGAGCGGAUUGCUAAGAAAAUAGAAAUUUUAGUUAGAUUUCGCAAUCAGAUUUUGUUGAGUGCAAACCGGGAAAGCUCCGGGCCUUGCAGAGGGGACAUUGUAAUGCCCAAGCAUCAAGGUUAGAUGCGAGACAGAAUGAUAUCAACUGGCUCACUAGAAUGGAACCGUGAUGACGGUUAUCAACUAAUUCUUCGGGACGACACCGUGACAACGAUUUAUAGGUUCCAUAGAGCCACACCGUGACAACGGUCUACAGGCUCUAUGAAGCGACACCGCAAUGGCGGUAAGGUCUUUAAGGGUGACACCUCAAAAAUGGUUUAAAGGUGUAUGACCAUAGCUCGGCUAUGGCAACCAAUAGAGUCCACUGGGACAAUAAAAAUGGGGUAGUCUGCCGAGACAAUAAAAAUAGGGUAGUCCAUCGGGACAAUAAACACAGGGUAGUCCGCCGAGAUAAUAAACAUGAAGUAGUCUGCUAGGAUGUUAAACAUGUGGUUUACAUGUAUAAGACCAUAACUCAGCUAUGGCAGUAUGUGCUAUCCACAAAUCAGUAAAUCGGGAAACCCGCCAAAGUAUAAAGAAGAAGUUGCAUUGUGACUUGAGCAACCAGUCAUCAGACAGAAUGGGCCUGACGCGUUUGGAGACACAUGCUAACGGACAACUAAUGGGAUUUGUCAAAGGAAAUGAGGAUUAGAACCUAGGAAGUGUAUUAACUUAGUUAUGCGAAAAAAGAUGGAAAGAUUCUUUAAACAAGAUGGUAAAUGUAAUGUUUGCCUAGGAAAGUCCACCAAAAAAGUCACGGAUUCUAUAAUGUUUAAGCAGAUAUAGGCUCAAAUUUGAAUCGAUAAAAGGUAGCUAAAUGAGUAGGCACCAAGAGUAUUCAUGGGAGGAAAUGUCAACUCAAGGCCGAAUGGCUAAUAAAGUUUGCCAGAAAAUAGUAAGAAGCACUAGAAAUAUCUUGAAGGUCUACCAGCGGUGGAAAUUGUCAAGAGAUACCUAGGUAAGAGAUAGUUCGUUGGGAACUACCGGUCAAUCGAAGUAUCUAAAAGUAAUAGAUUGAAAGAACAGGUACCAUGGGGUUACAUUGAGGUCCUGAGUCCAUUAAAGAAAAGUGGAUAUCAAGAAGAGACAUUAUUUAGAACAAAGGUUUAGGCUAAGGAACCGCGGUCAGGGCGAUUAUUCGUAUAACCACAAUUAGGGCAAGAUUUAGUCCCAUAAACACAAUUGUUAUAUGUGCGUUAGAUUUUACGGAGGUCAGGGCCAUUUAAGUUCACAGAAUUUCCUCACGAAUCCUAGGGAGUUUUACUCUACGCACAAAAUAUUUUCUCUUAGAAUUUAAAGCAACCCUUUUAAAGUUGAAUGAAUAAACUCACUAGGUUUCUUUGAACUUAUAGAAAUUCCUGCUGACAUGGCAUGAAAGCCUCCCAGCUGGGCGAGCUUUCUUUAACAAAGUUACUAUUUCCUAGGUUGAAAAGCUUGACGCUUCAAAUAAUUCAGACACUUUAAACAUUUCUUCAACACGUUUAGAAUAUAUUUCAGUGCGCUUUGAAGGUUUCCCUUUGCAAACAGACCCUUCAAUGCUGCUAUAAAAUGACUUUUACAUACCAAGCUUCAUCAUCCCUCACUCAUAUAAUUUCUCUCUAAUCCUUUCUAUUUCUCUACUAUAAACAAUUUUUCGGUCUUAAAAUUUUCAGUCGCUAAAAAUAUUUGGUUUACAUUCGAGGUACUCUUGAGUCGUCGGUGAUGCAAUAUCACUCAGAGCUACACACAUUUCAUAUAUCAUGCCGAGAAGGGAUCAUUGCCUCCGAAUCCUAUCCUAGGAAAGCCGGUUAUGGGGUGAUUUUGCUUUCUACGGUCAAGGGUAGAAGUCGACGUGGAGCCUCAAUCGACGAUCGUUAUGCGGUAAUGGAUCGAGAUAUAACGGGGGAGCAAGUUGAUGGUUGUUAUGUGGCCACGAGCUCAAUCUUUUCGAAUGCCCGAAAAUGAUGUCCUAUAAAUACCAUAUAGAAGUUUGAGGGCAUAUUCAUACGGAAAAAAUCUGGGGCUUUUAGCUAUAAUUGGUGUAAUUUUUUUCUCUAUUUCCAGGCAACCAAUACCUUUAACCUUCCUUCUUAUUCGAAGGUCGGCACCGUCGUGGAUGCAAAAGGACUCUUAGGUGGGGAGCAAUUGUUGUGGUGUAGUAAAGGUGAUGCUUCUUCAGAGCGACGACGAUUGUCGUUAUUACACAACCCAUUAAUAACUACAAUUGCUACCGCGCAAACCCGAGUUUGACCUCUACUGUGUCGGAACAUCCGCUCACCUCUUGAGAGCCCUUUUCUGUCCACCUCGGUGUCAGCCUUCGGACAAGAAUGAAAGGUUAAAGAUACCGGUUGCUUGGAAAUAGAAAAAAAUUACGUUGAUUACAUCGAAAGUCCUUAAAGUUAUUUCGAAUGGUUAUGACCUCAGUCUUAUGUAUGGUAUAUAUAGGGCAUUGUUUGCAGGUACCCAAAAAGCUUAAACUUUUGAUUGUGUAACAACUGUUACCUGGCCCCCCGAUUAUACUCGAACCCAUGAUCGCAUCACGACCGCUGACUAGGACCUUCACGUUGACUUCGACCCUUGAUCGUAUCAAGCAUUAUUACCUCGAAAUCAGAUUUCCCCAUGAUGAGUUUCUAAGGUCAUGGUCCUAUCCUGCCAUGACAUAUGAAAUGUAUGUGUGCUAAUGCGUAUUAUCACAUCUCCGACCCUUCAAAAUUAUUUAAGAACUUCUGUUAUUUCAGUUGAAAACCCAAAACACUUUCAAAAUACCCUAAACCCUAACCUUAAAAUAAAAACUCUAACCUUAAAAUAAGCCCUAACCCUAAAGAAAAAAAGGAAAACACAUCCAAUUGGACAAAUUUUUUGGAAAGUGCAUCCAACUGGACGAGCGUUUUAGAAAGCUCGUCUAGCUAGGCGCGCUUUCCUGACACCUGUACAGAAAGCUCACCCAACUGGACACGUUUUCUAUUGAAAUCAGUCUAUUUCCCUAAUUAAUUUUAAAACCGGCCUAAAACCCCAAUUAAUUAAAAAAAAUAGCCUAUUGACCUUAUUGUCAAUUUGAUCUAAUCUCACUUAUUUCUAUUAAGCUAUUUAUGAAUUGGUCCAAACUCCAAUUAGUUCCAACAAUGUAACAAUUUGACCCAAAUUCAGUUGUAGUUGGUUUUAAAUUUUACUUUUGUCUAGCCCUAAUUAAAUUCCAAUUAUUUAUUUUUUAGAAAAAAUGCAAAAAUAGAAGAAACUGCUGCCCCAGCAGGCCAGCCAAGCCAUUACAAAAAAUAAAAUAAAAUAAAUAUAAAAAAGUAAACUCCAGAUCUUCCAAAACGACUUCAUACAAGCAAGAAAAACGUAUAAAACGACGUACGUUUACGUUCCUUUUUAUUUAUUUAUUUAUUUUUAAGCUUCCUUUUUCCUUCAUCGAUCUGCAAUUUCUUAAGCAAGUUUUCUUUUUUUCUUUCUCUCUUUAGAUCUCCCUUUCCACAAAUUCCUUUUACAACGCCGUCGUUUUUCUAUUUGAUCUACAGUUUCUUGAAAAAUCAUUGUGUGGAUCCUUCCAUGGCCAGUCACUGAAGCUGUUCGCCGCUGAAUACGACACCGGUUAGUCGUUCUUUUUUAAGCUUUUGAUUGUUUUGGCGAAGAUAUUUUUUUGGGUUUUCAAAAAAGAAUAUUUUUUUUACUCAAAACUGAAGUUAAGUUAGUGUAAAGGGAAAUUGAAUUUUGGAUUAGUUUAUUGGAAUUUCAGUUUUAUGAAUGAUUUGUAAAAUUUGAAUCUCAACUGUUUUUGUUUGAAUUUAGAUUAGUAUUGAAUUAAAGGAGCUGGAUUUUAGGGAAAUUAAUUGGAAUUGAGUUGAAUUUUGAUUGUUUUAGAGUGUUCUGGAAGUUUCUUUUGAUUGUUAAACUGUGUAUUAUAGCUAAGAUGCAAAUAUUAAGUGCUUAAAACUGAUUAAAUUUUUAUUUAAAUAAAAAAAUCAAACACUUUUCGAGUUCAAUUAUGUUUAUAUGUGAUCUUCAAAUAAUCAUAUUUUAGCUAUUUGGAAGUUAAUUUAUCAACUCAAGAUUAUGCUUUUAUAUAAGACUUUUGCCUUAGAUUCAUGGAUGUGGUUGAUUGUGGCUGGCUUGGAAGUUAGCAUUUGGGUGGGGAGGGGUGGGGGGGGGGGGGUGGGGUGGAGGGGAGGUUGAAUCAGUAAUAUUUCCUUUUAGUUGUGGGAUGCAUGGAAUUAUUGAGCAUGAUAAUUUUGAAGGAAAAGUGAAAUUUUGAAAUAUUUAGUUUUUCUUGGUGCAUUUGGUGCUGCUUGAUUCUUGGUGAUGUCUGUGGAAAAUUUUUGCCUUUUCUGGGUGAUUUGGCUAUGAAGUUUACUGGUGUUUCAUUUAUUACCUUUUGUGAAUGCUCACUAUUGUGAUAUUACUUAUCCUGGCAGGGUUAGUUGCGGGAGAUUGCCUAUUCAUAACAUAGUCAUAAUAUUGAACACCAUGGGGACUGAAAAUCCUGGUCGUCCGAAUUUCCCCAUGCGACCUUCUGCUACCCCUUUUGCUUCUGCUCCGCCAACUGUGAGACCUUUUUCAUCAUCUGGUCCUGUGGUGGGAUCAGAAAGCAGCAAUGUUAGAUCUGCUCCACCAGGUGCACCCCCAACUAUGACGCCUUUCUCGUCAGGUGGACCUAGACCACCUGCUCGUUUUAGUGAUCCACCAGUUCCAUCUCCGCCCUUAACAUCUGUUCCACCUUCUGGGGGAUCUUAUCAGCGAUUUGUAACUCCACCGUUUCCUUUAGCUGCUCAAGCACCCCCUGCUCGUGCACCACUUGUGGGGCAGCCACCAUUUCAACCUCCUGGGAGUCAAGUAUCAGUGCCACCACCUUCUUUCCGACCACAGACACAAGUUCUGCCAGUGCCAAUGGGAUCUCCACCACAAAAUGUAAAUUUUCCUCCAUCCAGUGCGAAUGUUCCUCAACCUCCAUCUGAUUCAUCAUUUUCGGGGCCCAGACCCAAUUUUCAGAUGGCUUCCCCCCUUCCAGAUCAUUCUGCUACCAAGUCGAGCUUCCAGCCACCUUUUCCUGGAUAUCCAGGCAAGCAGCCUGCAGUUUCACAAGCACCGUCACCUUUUCCUGCUCAGCAAGGAAGUUUUAUGCCUCCUCCUGCACCGCCUUCUCCUUUUGCUAGUCAGCAAGGAAGUUAUGCUCCUCCUCCACCAGUAGCAGCUAACUUGGGCUACCAAUCAAGGGACCAAAUGCAGCAUCCAGGCUCUGCACCUCCUACUGGCAGCAUCCAAAGCUUGACAGAAGAUUUUAGUUCACUCUCCAUUUCAUCUAUGCCUGGAUCAAUUGAGCCAGGACUUGAUUAUAGAACACUUCCUAGGCCAUUGGAUGGUGAUUUGGAGCCAAAUUCUUUUCUUGAGAUGUAUCCUAUGAAUUGUGAUCCUAGAUACCUACGGCUUACUACAAGUGCUAUACCAAAUUCUCAGUCUUUAGUUUCAAGAUGGCAUUUGCCUCUUGGAGCAGUUGUUUGUCCUCUUGCAGAGGCUCCUGAAGGGGUAAGUGCCUCAAGAAUCAUAAUAUUACUUUUAGUUGUUUAAUAACUGUAUUUUCAUGAAGACUUAAGUUUUUCCUGUCAAUUACUGUUGCUUCAUGUUCAGGAAGAAGUGCCUGUAAUUAAUUUUGCUUCGACUGGUAUCAUUCGUUGUAGAAGAUGUCGCACAUAUGUGAAUCCCUAUGUCACAUUUACUGAUGCUGGAAGAAAGUGGCGUUGCAACAUCUGUUCUUUACUAAAUGAUGGUAAACUCAACCUAGGAAGCAAAGAUAUAAUUCAAUGUUGCAAGUGCAAUGAGUCGCAUCAAGUUUUCUAGUUGUGACUGAUGUUUAUGGCAUCAUUUUCCAUGCCAUACAUUCUUUUAUCUUUUAUCUGCAUUUUUUUUCUUUGUAAUAUCAAAUAUUAUUGGAGGGCAAUGAGCUCAUUACUCGCAUAGACUUCCAAUAAAAUAUAACAGUUUUCUGCAAGGUUGCUUGUCAUGGGCAUCUUGCCUAACUUUUAACUAUCUCAUUACACUGGUAAACUGCAAACUGCAAAAUGUAAUUUUCAAUUUACUAAUAGGUGCAGUAUGGAGUAUCACAUAACAUGUCAACUAACUUCUCUUUAUUGGUAAUGUAUUUUUGUUUAUUUUUCUGUUGUAUCCAAUUGGUUAUACUGUGUGGCAGACUGGCUUUCUGUCCUGGGUAGAUCUCUUUAAUAGUUAUUACAAAGCAUAUAUGCUUAUUUGAUUCAACUUCCAUGUUCAGUUCCUGGUGAGUAUUUUGCGAACUUGGAUGCCACUGGAAGAAGAAUUGAUUUGGACCAGCGGCCUGAGCUUCUAAAAGGCAGUGUGGAAUUUGUUGCACCAACUGAAUACAUGGUGCGGCCUCCAAUGCCGCCACUGUAUUUCUUUCUCAUUGAUGUUUCAAUAUCUGCAGUAAGAAGUGGUAUGAUUGAGGUAAGCACUUCCUUUAAGGCAGUUGAUUAUUUACUAGAGUGUGUUUAAUAAAGAAUCGUGUUAUUCUAGUAGGGAUUUAUGAAGGCAGAGUUUUCUAAUUGUAAUGUGAAUUAAGAACACGUGAAUUACAGUUGAGGAUGCUGGCUUGGGUUAUCUAGUGUUUGUCUGAUGUACUAUUUGAAAGUGAUAGAUGGGCUGACUUUGCCACAAUUUGGUCUCAAAUAUGUUUAUCAAGUAAGAUUUGCAAGACUCUUUCCCCUUGCCAUGGAAUCUGUUGGGAGAAGAGAAAUAUGGGUUAGCCUGGCUGCAAUUAUUACAGUGUUUGUUUAACAUAGUAGAACUUGUUUAGCUGAUUGUUCAUCCAGGUUGUUAUAGGCAUUUUCCGAUCAUACUUGAUUAAACUAUGGUCAUAACAUGUACCUUUAUAAGUCUUGCUGUUCUUCUCUCCAUUUUUUUCUCCUUAUAUUGCUUAUGCAUGUAAUAGUUUCUGCUAACUUGCAACAUAUUUCUUAGGUUGUUGCUCAAACUAUACGUUCAUGUUUGGAUGAGCUGCCUGGUUUCCCCAGAACACAGAUUGGUUUCAUUACUUUUGAUAGCACCAUUCAUUUUUACAAUAUGAAGGUAAGUGACAUCUGGGAUCAGUGGAAAAGUUUUCUGAGAUGCCUCGAUUUUCUCCAUUCCAGUGAAGUAGUUAAUAACUAUGCGGUUUUUGUCUUUGCAGUCAUCUCUUACACAGCCUCAAAUGAUGGUAGUUUCAGAUCUAGAUGAUGUAUUUGUGCCAUUGCCCGAUGAUCUCCUUGUCAACUUGUCUGAAUCUAGAAAUGUGGUUGAGACGUUCCUGGAUAGUUUGCCCUCUAUGUUUCAGGAUAAUGUGAAUGUGGAAUCUGCUUUUGGUCCUGCACUUAAGGCUGCAUUCAUGGUUAUGGUAUGUUAUUUUCUCCACCUUUCUACCGUGAGCCUUCAUCAAUGAUAAGAUUCCUUCUAGUUUCUUGCUGAUGUUUGCGUUAUAUAUUUGGUUGUUUGGCAACCUGUUUAUUGCAGAGUCAACUUGGGGGAAAGUUGCUAAUAUUCCAGAACACAUUGCCUUCCCUAGGAUAUGGGCGCUUGAAGUUGCGUGGAGAUGAUAUCCGUGUGUAUGGAACUGAUAAGGAACAUACAUUGAGAUUGCCGGAAGAUCCUUUCUACAAGCAAAUGGCUGCUGAUCUUACAAAGUACCAGAUAGGGGUUAAUAUUUAUGCCUUUAGUGACAAAUACACUGACAUAGCUUCCUUAGGUACAAAGAUCAGUGCCCUUUUUUUAUGUUAAAAAUGAUAUAGAUUUUUACAAGAGCUUUUAGUGAUACUUGAUGUCUCUUUUAUGAAUUUUCAAUGUAGGAACCCUGGCAAAAUAUACUGGGGGUCAAGUGUAUUAUUAUCCAAGCUUCCAAUCAAACAUUCAUGGAGAGAAGCUGAGGCGUGAGUUGGCCAGAGAUCUUACUAGGGAAACAGCCUGGGAAGCAGUUAUGCGCAUAAGAUGUGGAAAAGGUAUGUAAAUUCUUUUUUACUUAUUGUUGUAGCUAUUUGUAACUUAUGCUACAUUUGGUUAGAGAAUUAUUUUUUCCACAUGUUUUAGUCAUUGUUUAACUAUAAACUAAUCACAAUUGGUAAUUUUUAGCCACUCACAUGACUUGUUUGUAGCAAAGAGAAGGAAAAUUUUUCGCUUAUUUUAAAGGGGUCUUAAUUUUCACUAGAGUUUUUACUCAUCUUUCUAGUUGCAUGUUUAAAUUUGUGUUAACUAUUCUUUAUUUAAUAUCUAACUAUUUUAAAGCAUGUGUUAAAUAUGCUUUUUACUCAUGUUAUUACACCAGUAACCAAACGUUGCCUUAAUGCCAUGUAGCCAUAAUUCCAAUGUAGUUGGGUUAGCUAGAUUUUUUCCCCCUUCCAUCUGUAUGCUGGCUUGGGGUAAUGCUCAUAUAAAAUGCUAUUACGACCCAUGUUUUUUUGAUAACAAAGCAACUUAUUCAUGUUAUCUGUUACUUUGCACCAGGGAUUCGGUUUACAUCUUACCACGGCAACUUUAUGCUGAGGUCCACAGAUUUACUAGCACUUCCCGCUGUAGACUGUGAUAAAGCAUAUGCAAUGCAGUUAUCCCUUGAGGAGACACUUCUUUCUACUCCAACAUUAUAUUUCCAAGUUGCUUUACUGUAUCCUUCAAAUGGCAAGCUUAUUAUAUCAGUUUUAAUUUAUUCGAUUAUUCCCUUGUCAGCUGAAACUGAUUGUUUUAUAAGUGGAAAACGAUAUGGAUUACUGAUGUUUCUUUAACAGUUUAAAGAUAUACUGCAUCUUGUGGAGAGAGGCGUAUCAGAGUACAUACCGCAGCUGCCCCUGUUGUUACAGAUUUGGGGGAGAUGUACCGCCAGGCUGACACUGGUGCCAUUGUUUCUUUGUUUUGUAGAUUAGGUGAAGUUAAUCAAAAGUCCCUCUGCAAGAGUGCUAUUUGUUUUGGUUGAUCUUAUUCUUAUGUUUUCUAAUUGACUUAUGUUUUGCAGCAAUCGAGAAAACAUUGACAAGUAAACUUGAAGAUGCUAGAAAUUCUUUGCAACAAAGGAUUGUAAAAGCGCUCAGAGAAUACCGCAAUCUUUAUGCUGUGCAGCAUCGGUUGGGAGCUAGGAUGAUCUAUCCAGAGUCUCUAAAGUUCUUGUGUUUGUACGGAUUAGCACUGUCUAAAUCAGUACCUCUAAAAGGAGGAUAUGCAGACGCUCAGCUUGAUGAACGCUGCGCAGCAGGUUUCACCAUGAUGGCAUUACCCGUUAAAAAGUUGUUGAAGCUUUUAUAUCCUAGCUUGAUUCGAAUUGAUGAAUAUCUUUUGAAGGUGAAAUAUUUGAAACCUUUAAAUACAUUUCAAUAAAGAUGUAGAUUUUGCAAACUGAACAUAACUUAUGUUUCAUAUUUGCAGCCAUCUGCUCAAGCUGAUGAUUUCAAAAACAUCAUGAAGAGAUUGCCUUUGCUCGCAGAAAGCCUAGAUUCAAGGGGCCUUUAUUUGUAUGAUGAUGGCUUACGCUUUGUUAUUUGGUUUGGUAGAAUGCUUUCACCUGAUAUAGCAAGGAAUUUACUUGGACCAGAGUUUGCAGCAGAAUUAUCGAGGGUAUGAUCUCUUGAUGAAACUAUUCUUGUAUGUUUAAUCUGUUUUAGUGACCAUUUUAUGGAUUAAUGAAAUUGAUAUCAUUGUCGGUAAAUAUAUAAGAUUUGCUUCAAAUGCUAGCCUUUAUUGUUAUAUGAACUCGUCUUUAAUAGGACUGCGGGAUUGUAAUCUUGCUCAUAUUUUUCUGCAGGCUAAUGUUAGUAUUUGAAGUUGAAUGCCUCGUUAUGAGGUUUCUACUUAACUGGUUCUUCAUGUUGUCUCUUUAAAAUCAGGUUGCGCUUACCGAGAAUGAUAAUGAAAUGUCAAGAAGGCUGAUGAAGAUGUUAAAGAGACUAAGAGAGAGUGACCCUUCGUAUUAUCAACUUCCUUAUCUUGUAAGACAAGGUGAACAGCCGAGGGAAGGUUUCCUGCUGCUUGUAAAUCUUCUUGAGGACCAGAUGGGCGGUACUGUUGGUUACGUCGAUUGGAUAAUGCAAAUACACCGACAAGUCCAACAAAAUGCAUGAUAUACGGGUAAUUGUUCAAGAGGUGGCUAAACUUUCGUAGUCUUCUUGAACUUAAGAACAACUAUUGUUCCUUUCAUUUGGGAUAACUUUUAGUCUAGUUUUUGGUUGAGACAAGCAAGUUUUUCGAGUCAGGAUCUUUAGUCAGAGUUAAUGGUGUUUGAGUUAGGGGCUUCUUUUUAUGGAAUUACAUUGCAAUGAAUCAUCAUUUGCUUUUGAUUCUGAUUACUUCAAAUUCCACAGGAGUUCAUCAUCUUACGUCGUAAAAUUCAUCUGUAUUGUCCGGUUUCCUCUGGAGCUUGUGUGUUGAACCGAUGGAACCAAUCGGUCCGAAGAUUUGCAGGAAAGAAUUUUUUGUUCAUUACGAAAUUCAAUAACUAGGAAAAGAGAGAAAACACCUGUGCUUCUAGCUAUUCGUUAUUGCAGUGCUUGAGAAUUUAAGUUGUGUAUGUGACAUUUAAAUUAUUGCCUUGCAAUUUUUUUGGGUUUAGAAAAAAAGAAGGUAUGAACACAUUUGCCAAAACGCUGUCAUGUUUUAGCAUGCUUUCGAAAUUGGAGUGUUAUUUUCUCACUUCCCCAACACAUAAUCAUCAUCAUCGUGUUUCUGACUCUAAUUCAUAUCCCUACCUGGUAACCCAUAAAUCGGUUCAAUUGUUAAAUCUGUAUGUUAAAUAAAAAAAUUAAAUAGGUUUUUUUUUUUUGUUAAAAUCUUCUUUCAAUUUUAUCUCCGAAUGUCGGUAUGAGAUACACAUGUUAUGUUAGUAUGUUAUACAUAUAUUGUUUAAUUAAUUUGUUUACUACACUAUUUUUUAAUUAAAUAAAAAGAAUUAAUUUAUUCUGUGAUUUAACUUUUUAAAUAAAGAAAGUAAAAUGCAUGGUAUUUUUUACUCCAUAAAUCUUAUUAAAGUAAUACUCAAAUUAAGUUAAGUGAUUUGAAUAAAUAAUUUAAAAUGAUAUAACUGUGAAUUAGUUUGAAAAAACAAAAAAAAAAUGUAAUUAUAACUAAUGUAUUUCUUUAUCAUUUAAUAUUAAUUUUUUAAUUUUUUUGCCUACCAAUUAUUGCAUACUCUAAUAAUUGUGAUUUAAUUUUUCAUCCAUUCACAAUCAUACAAAGUUAUUUUCCAAUUUUUAUCUAACUUUUUAUUUUAUUUUAUUAUUUUCUAUCCGAUAUUUAAAUUUAUUAAAUGAUCAACCAGUUAUGCACAAAUUUAUUAAUGUUAAUAGUAAUUACUCUUUUUUUUUUUAAAUUUUCAUAAGCAUUUUUUUGAAAGAAAAUUUAAAGAUUAUUUAAUGAAUUAGUAAUGGUUUAAAUUAUUUUCAUUAAUUUCAACUCUAAGGUAGUGUUUGGAAAGUCACUUAGAUUUGAGUGUAACUGUUUGUGAUUACAAAGGGGUGACACGUUUAGGUAACCAUUGUGAUUAAUGGACCUCACUAAAUUGCGUGUAAUUAAAGUACCUCAAUUAUACUUUUCAAUUCUUAGGGAAAUAGUGAGGAUUGGAGCAAUUACAUAGGUAAUUACACUCAAUUUUUUAAAAAUAUUUUUAUACAAGUUUAAGAUGUAAAGUUAUAUUAUAAGCAUGUACAUGUAUGGGUGUUUGAGAUGAUUAUGAUAAAAAAAAUUAUACUAUAAAUCCUAAAAAUAUAUUAUAAAAAUAAUUUGUGUAUUUUAUAAAAUUAUAAUAAAAACUUUUAUUAUUUAAAAAAUAUAAAGUUAUAAUUAAAAUGUUUACUAUGAAAAAUAAUUUACAUGUUAUAAAAGUAUUAUAAUAUAUUUAUUUAUAAAAAAAAUAAAAUUUUAAAGUUGUGGAAAAAUCAUAUUAUUUAUAAGAGGUAUUAUAAAAGUUAUUAGACACUUUAAAAUAAUUUUUUUAACAAGGAUUAUAUACUAUAAAUUUAUAUUAUUUUUACUUAAUUUAUGUAUUAAAAAAAUGUUAUAACUUAGCCUAGGUCUUUUUUCAAAAUUAAAUUUAUGUAAGUUUUUAUAAUUAACACUACAUGAUAUCUGCAUCGUGAAUAUAAAUAUUAUAUGGUAGAUAUUAAUUAUAUAAAUAUGAAAGGUUUUCUUACAUCAUACUAUAGGGAUGAUACCAUUUGAAAGAAUAGAGCUAGAUACGAACAUUAGAGAUAGCUCGUGAGCUCUUUACUUUGAGACAUUCAAGGCUUUGAAAUGUAGUUCAAAAGACGUUUGUUGUUCUAAAAAAAGAUUUCUCAUGUUAACAUCACUUUAGUAUAGCAUAAAAAAAAGUUGAACCAUAAUAACAUGUUAUUAAUGAAAUGAUACAAGUAUUUUUUUUAAAAUUAAAAAAUAAAUAAACACAAUUUAAUUAACACAUACAAUUAAUUUGCCCAUCGCAUGCACAUGUAUGAAAACUAGCUUAUUGAUAAGUGACAUUAUAUAAUUAAAUAAUAGAUAAUUAUUUAAUAUACUAAUAGUGAAAAUUUUUAAUUUCACAAAUAAGAUUGAGAUUUGAUCAUGUAUUUUUAAAUUAUAUUUUUAAAAAAUAAAAUAUACGAUAAAAUCUCAACCCACUUAUAAAAUAAAAAAUCCCCACUAUUUAUACACCAAAUAAUUACCCAUAAUUUAGAAAUAAAGGAAUAAUUAAAAAGAAUGGUGGUGGAACAUGCAUAUACUACCUUCCCAUAAUACUAUUAUAAUAAGUUGACUUCCUUAACCAUAUAUAUAUAUAUAUAUAUAUAUAUAUAUAUAUAUAUAUAUAUAUAUAUAUAUUUUCUAAGUAAAUUUCUGGAAUCUAUAUGCAAAAUUCUCUUCCAUAUUCGAAAAAAUUAAAAAAAAUUCAAAUUUUGAGUUAAUCGAAUCGAGUUAUUCGAGUAAACUCGAAUAAGUAAUUAUAGUUUCGAGUUCGAGUCGAGUUGAAAUUUACAAUUCGAAUAACUCGAAUAAUUUGAAUAAUAAAUUGGUGUAAAUACCCAUUUGGUCCUUGUCAAUUUUGAAAAUGGGCAAAUUAAUCUCCCUCUCAACAAAAAAUAGAAAAUAAUUCCAAAUAUUUUUCAAAAAUUUAAAAUAUUUAUAAAAAUUCCAAAAUUUAGAAAUUUUUUAAAUACAAUUCUAAAGAAUAUAUAACUAAAGUUAAAAUUUUAAAAAUUUUCUAAAACAAUAACUUUGGGGAACCUAAAUAAGUUAAUUAAUGAUUCAAGUUUACCAUACUAAAGCAUCUUAUUAUUUUAUUAUUAUUUUGCUUUGAAUUUUUUUUCAAAUAUAUAUGGUUUCAAAUUUAUGUGCUCUAACAUGAAAUUAGUUAUACUAUAACAAUAUUUUACUUUGACAUGUUUAAUUUUUAAAUUUAACAUCAAAAAAUUUCACUUAAAUCAACCUUUAUAAACUGCUCUUUUUGACAUAAUGUCUAGAAUUAUCAAUAGCCCCUCCCCAAUCCAUAAAUAGGAAGAUAAUGCGCUUCAACGCACUUGACCCACAUCCUUUUAUAUUGACAACAAUGCCCAUGUAAUCGAGUUAAGACUCAAUCGUCAACAUUAGUGAGUUUUUUUUUUAUUUUAAAUAUACUAAUGCAGUUAAACUUUUUUCUACUAUUCAUAUAUAGGUGAAUAUUUGGUAUACUGACAAUGUAUUUUUUUUUUUGAAAUAAGUUUCAGAUUGGGUUUUAUUUUAAAAUAAAUAAAUGUUACACAUAAUAUCUUAGAAAAAACAACCAACGAGCCCAAUUAAAAAAAUUGAGCCCAGCAAAAGAAAACUAAAAGACAAAAAUUGAAAAACCAAAUCUCCUAGAGAAAAGAAAAAGGAAACAAAAUCUGAUUCUAAUAAAUGUUUACUAUUCUACCUGCCCAAUCAGUCUUAAAAGACUACAAACGUCUUAUCUCUUCAAUUUUAUUUACUUUUCCAAGACGCUUGAGAUUACUCUAGGGCUGCUGAAAUAACUUUGAUGUCUGCCCUUCUCUAUACUCUCAUCCCUUCAUUUCUCGCUUUCUUCCUUCAAUCUGGUGCUUUUGCCCUCUCAGUUUCUGCUUGGAUUUCUGCCGCUUCAGGGACUCGUCCGAUCAGGUAGGCUCCUCUACUACUCUUCAGCGCUUCAUUUGCUAAUAUAUGCACAAGGUUGUUUGCUAAUCUUGGGAUAUGCUCAAACCUACACUCCUUGAAUUUAAGCAAAAGUUGAUGAAUAUCAUGUAAAUACGCACUAAUCAAUGAUUUAUCGGGGCUUUUUGUUUUACAUUUUCUUAUUAUUGAUAAAGAAUCCCCUUCAAUAAUAACUUUUUCCCACUGCAUGUUAAUGCCGAUCUGGAGGGCUUUCCGACACGCUAUUGCUUCCGCCCCAAAGGCUGAGGGAACUCUUUGAUGAACCUCCGUACAUGAUAGAAGAACUGAACCCUUCUUAUCGCGGGCCACAACCCCAAUAGCCGUUUUACUUUGUCUACCAUCGUACGCUGCAUCGAAAUUGAUUUUGACUACCUUGUCCACUGGCUUUGUCCAUAUUUUUACAGGUAUGGAAGAUUGCAACCUAUUUUUACCAACUGCAUCAAGAUCUGAAAUAUAGCUAUGAACAAAUCUCCUUACUUCUUUUCUAGAUUUACCAUCUUUUUUAUGCAAUCUAUUGUUCCUGUCUCCCUAGAUGGCCCAUACUGCAACACAAAAGAUUCGAUGCUGAGGAGUCGAGCUUUGUGAGAAAACCCAGGUUAGCCACUGUAGAAACCCCAUUUGAUUGUCUUGCAAAAACCUAUGAAAAGAUAACUCUCUCCAUACUGCUAUUGUAGCAGGACAUUCCCGGAAGAGAUGGUCCAUAGUUUCAGUUCCUGAACUACAGUGAGGACAUACUGACGUGUUCGUCAGUCUUCUAAGUAGCAUAUUAGCUCGCGUAGUUAGAAAAUUCCAAGAUAUCUUCCAAACUGUAAUUUUAAUUUUUGAAGGAAGAUCAAGUAGCCAUAGUUUUCUGUAGAAGUCCUUGUAGUCAUUUUGUAAAGCAUAAGCUUCAGGGUUAUUUUCAAUGCUUUGUAAUAGUUUAUAGGCGCUCCGUGUUGUGAACUCAUCCGUCGCUUCAACGCUCCAAACUUGGAAAUCUUUGUGCGGUGUUUCAGCUAGUGGGAUACUGAGGAUCUUCUCUGCUACAUCCUCCAGAAAGGUAUGCUCUACCAACUCUUGUUUCCAUGUUCUGCUACUUGAAUCAAUUAGCUCUGCAACUUUACUAUCAUUCAAAUUUGAACUUAAAACUGGUAAUCUAUCACGCGGUAAAACUGGAAUCCAAUAAUCACGACUGAUUGAAAAUUUUGUACCUCGCCCCACCUUCCAACAUAAGCCCUCUGCUAGGAUGCCCUUAGCAGCCCAAAUACUUUUCCAUGUAUACGAUAUAUUAUUCCCCAACUGUGAGUUUAAAAAAUCAACACUUGGAAAAUAUUUCGCUUUUAAUACUUGCGCAACUAAAGAAUUUGGAUUGUUUAUAAUACGCCAUCCUUGCUUAGCUAAAAGUGAAACAUUAAAUUGAGCCAUAUUUCUAAAGCCCAAUCCACCCUCUUCUUUAGGACGGCAUAAGUACUUCCACUGACACCAAUGAAUACCUCUCCUACCAUGCGUUUUUUGCCACCAAAAUUUAGCAAAAAUAUUUUCAAAUUCUCCACAAGGAGUCUUUGGUAAUAAGAAGCAUGACAUAGCGUACGUUGGAAUGGCCUGUAACACCGAUUUAAUAAAGACUUCUUUACCUCAUUGAGAUAACAUUCUAGUACUCCACCCAUCAAUCCUGGUAGCAAUCUUUUCUUUUAAAUGCUGAAAGGAUUCUUUCUUUCAUCGACCAACCAUGUUUGAAAGCCCUAGAUAUCGUUCUAAGUUUGUUGAGAUCCUAACCCCCAAUUUUGCCGAAACUUCAUUCAUUUUUUCUUCUGACGUAUUGGUGCUGAAAAAUAUGGUAGACUUGUUGAAAUUAACGCACUGUCCAGAACACUUUUCAUAUUCCUUCAAAAUUUCCUUUAGUAUACUGGCACCCCUAUCAGAUGCUUCCCCAAACAACAUACAAUCAUCUGCAAAGAGUAGAUGUGAAAUUUCUGGUCCUCUUCUGCUUGCUUUUGCACCCUUUAUCAGUCCCUUUUCUGAAGCCAAUCUCAUUAAAGAUGAUAACCCCUCACUACAAAUCAGAAAAAGAAAGGGGCUCAGCGGAUCUCCUUGACGUAAGCCUCGAGACGGUGAAAAAACUUUUCCACUUCUACCAUUUGUAUUAACUGCAUAGGAUGUUGUGGAAACACAAGUCAUAAUCAGCUUAACCCACUCUGGUGUGAAGCCCAUUCGUAACAUCACUUCCUUCAAGAAUCCCCACUCAACCCUAUCAUAGGCUUUGCUCAUGUCAAGUUUAACUGCCAUGUAUCCUUUUUUUCCUGUGCGCUUUUGCCGAAAAGUAUGUAAGAUCUCAUAAGCUAGUAUCACAUUGUCUGUUAUUAGCCUUCCCAGGACGAACACACUUUGAGCAGCAUCAAUGCAUCUUCCAAUAACUGCUUGUAGUCGAGUUGCAAUUGUUUUUGCCACCAUUUUGUAGAUUACAAAACAUAAACUGAUAGGUCUGAAAUUAACUAUGCUAGUGGGAUUUGGAAUUUUUGGGAUAAGCACAAUGUCGGUAUGAUUUAAAUUACCAAAACUUGCACCGUUAUUUAAAAUUUCCAAGCAAAGAUUGGUUAUUUCCUUACCUACGAUAUGCCAGAAUUUCUGAAAGAAAAUGGCUGGAAAACCAUCAUUGAUUAAAUACUAAAAUUACAUAUUUUAUGUAAUUAAUUUGGUAUAUUUAUGAGAAUGCACCACUAAUUUUGCCAUAUUUAUUGAAUUUUGUGCAGGAAUGUAUUUGGGGACUAAAUAGAAGAAAAAGGGAACAAUUGGGCCAAAUUAAAGAAAGAAGCAAAGAAGGAGCGCCAAAGUAGAAUUUUUCCUAUUUUUAAUUAGCUAAAAAUUUUGUUGAUUUAGUGGGGGAGAUUAUUUUGGGAUAUUUUUGGUCAUGGAAUAUUUUUUUUCCUUAAUUUCCUAUGACUAGUAGGUUCCUAAUUUAGUAAAUCCUCUAGUAUAAAUAGUGCUUGUAUUGUUCAUCAUUUCAUCAAUCAAUCAAAAAAAUAUUUUAGCUUUUGUCUUUCAAUUCUCUCCUUUCUCACGUAGCAUUUGUUAUUUCUUAGCUUGUUUUCCUUCAAUUUUCAUUAGUUCCAGUAGCCUACCAUCCAUUUCACCUUUAUUUUCAACUUUUCAUAAAUUUAUUUAUUGUCUUUAGUUUCUUUAACUUUUAAUUCCUAAAAACUUCCAGCUUUUACUACUUUCCAUUUACAACUUUUUUUUCAAAUUCUCUUUUUCAACCACCCCCAUACUUAAUCACAUCACCCAUCUUUUCACCUUUUCUACCUUAUUUAAUUUAUCAAAUACCAACAUGUCCCAAACCUUAGCCAACUAAACCCAUUUUUAGCUUUAGGCCGAAAUUAGCCUCGUCAAAACCCGUGAGUUACGAACCCGAGCCAUUUAACUCCUAAAAUUCCAGUACUUAUUACUUCUCCGGAUUAAGAGUAUGAUUUUGUCAACUCAUAAAGUCAGAUCAACACUAAGUCAAAAAAGACGUCGUUUGAUUUAGUGUGGUUAGACGUACAGUUGGAAUUCCGAAAGGAACGUUUCUAAUCGGUUUUCUGUGAACACAUUAGCGUGCCAAGUGGAGAUUGCUGUUUGGUUCUGUCAAGGGAAGUAGUAACCGGAUUUAAAUGUUUGACGCGGUUGAGGGCAUUGGUUCGAGUUAGGCUCUUCUAGAACGCAAAGCUGCCGGAGUUCUAAAUCACGAACGUUUCGUGGUUGUUCGAUCGGUAAGAGUUAGUUAUUGGACGUUCCAUAACUAAUUUACACAAGGAAGAGUUGGUGUCUGAGGCGUCCUUGGUAGCUAUAACUAGCUUAUUGGAAAAAAAGGAGUUCAUCCAAUUUCGAGGAUCGGUUCAAAGACGAGGAAAAUUCGCGCCUAAAGCUGAGCUCAUUCUAAUUAAUUCUUCUAAAUAUUUAUUUCACGAUUUUUAUUAUUCUAUUUUCAACUUUUACUUUUGACAUUAUUUUUCUGUUAAUUUUAGGUUUUCAAAUUUUUAUCCCCCCAAACGUCUUGGGCAUGACAGCUGCCCCGACAAAAAUUUGGUCAAGAGAGGAACAAUUUGCAGUAAACCAGUCUCUGAGGGAUCGACCCUACUCCCUAUACUGCAUAAUUUGCAAACUAAGGCGUAGGUUUAUAUUGGUGGAUUCGACAACCAUCAGUUUUGGUGCCGUUGCCGGGGAUUGGCAACACUUAUAAUUGUUUAAAUCAUCUUCAUGACCAGGUCUUCAUUCAGAGGUCUCGAAUACGACCCAGAGAUCGAAAAAUCAGCACGAGCACGACGUAAAGAGACGGAAGUUCUUAAGUGUGUAGCAGCAAUUGAACGUGGAAAACAAGUCGAAGUGGUUGAACCUGAGUCUAAACCUCUUCCUGCAACAAAAGAAGUAGAAGACAACCUCGGCGAACCAGAAAGGAUGGCAAACUGAACCAUUCGUCAACUAGCCGCUGCUCCCAACGAGCAAACACCGUUAUGCAUCAACUAUCCAAUCGGAGAAACCCCAUUCGAAUUGAAGUCAGGCCUGAUCCACCUUUUGCCCACUUUUCGAGGCUUGAAGAAUGAGAAUCCACAUACCCACUUGAGAGAAUUCCACAUGGUCUGCUCAAGCAUGAAACCACAGGGAGUAACCGAAGAUGAAAUUAAACUUCGGGCCUUUCCUUUUUCUUUAGUUGAUACAGCAAAAGAAUGGUUAUUUUACUUACCCCCUGGUUCUAUUACAACGUGGGAUGACUUAUCUCGUGUUUUUCUUGACAGAUUUUUCCCAGCAUCGCGAGCAGCUGAACUUAGGAGAGACAUAGUGGGAAUUCGCCAAAUGGAGAGUGAAUUGCUUUACGACUAUUGGGAGUGGUACAAAAACUGUGUGCAAGUUGUCCUCAACACGGUUUGACCGAACAAUCACUUCUUCAAUAUUUCUACGAGGGUUUGCUCCCUAUGGAAAUUAAAAUGAUUGACGCAGCUAGUGGAGGGGCGCUUGUCAAUAUGACUCCUCAAAGGGCAAGAGAAUUGAUAUCCACCAUGGCGGAAAAUUCUCAACAGUAUCGGCCAAAUUCAGAACCCACAAGACGGGUUAAUGGGGUAAACGUUUCAUCCUUAGAAGAUAAAUUGGAUAAGCUCACUAAUGCUGUUCAAUCUAUGCUUACAGAAAAGAAGAAUCAGACCCAAUUGUGUGGGAUAUGUACUACGUCUGAACAUCCGACGGAUUUGUGCCCAAUCCUUAACGAAAAUUCAACGGUACAUGUCGACGCUGUCGGAGGUUUUUCGGGACCUCUACAAAGACGCUAUGAUCCUUUCUCCAACAGUUACAAUCCUGGGUGGAAGGAUCAUCCCAACUUGAGUUACGGAGCUAAUCCCCGAUAUAAUCCAUCGUUCCAGUCAAGACCACCGCAACUGCCACCCAAGCCAAGCACAUCUCUAGAAGCUAUUGUGGAAAGACUUGCCGUCGAUGUUGCGAAGUACCAACAGAGGACAGAUGCAUCAAUACAGGAGUUAACUAAUCAAGUUAGUAAACUCUCGAUGGCAGUUAAUCGAUUGGAAUCUCAAGGUAAAUUACCUUCCCAGACAGAGCCUAAUCCUCGGCAGAAUGCAAGUGCAAUAACUCUUCGUAGCGGAAAAGUCCUGGAAACAGUUCCAGACAAAAGUCAUGGGCAAGACAAUGAACGGGAAAAACAAAUCUCUGAUCCAAAAGCCAGACCGGAAUCAGAAAUUCAGAAACCAGUUGUGGUGCCACCUCCUUUUCCAGGGAGACUCUCGAAGGAUAAGAAAGAAAAGGAGGAAAAAGAAAUCCUCGAAACGUUCAGGAAGGUGGAGGUAAAUAUUCCUUUGCUCGACGCUAUCAAGCAAAUCCCUCGUUAUGCGAAAUUUCUCAAGGAAUUGUGCACUAGCAAAAGGAGGUUAAUAGGUAACGAAAGAGUAAAUGUGGGAGAAAAUGUCUCCGCGGUACUGCAAAAGAAAGUUCCGCCUAAAUACAAGGACCAAGGUAUGUUUGCUAUUUCUUGUGAGAUAGGUAACGUAGGCAUUAAGAAAGCCAUGUGUGAUUUAGGGGCUUCCAUUAAUGUUAUGCCUUAUCCUAUUUAUAAGUUGAUUAACGCGGGUCCUUUGAAAAAGACAGGAGUAAUAAUCCAGUUGGCGGACAGGUCAGUCAUCUAUCCCGAAGGGUUGCUUGAAGACGUCCUUGUUAAAAUUAACGAAUUAGUUUUCCCUGCAUAUUUCUACAUUAUUAAUAUGGAGGAUGAUAACUCAACUAAUUCGUCUGAUAUUUUGCUUGGAAGGCCAUUUUUAAGUACCGCAAGCGCAAAAAUUGAUGUUCAGAGUGGAACAUUGACAAUGGAGUUUGAUGGCGAAAUCGUGAAAUUCAAUGUCUACGAAGCCAUGAGUCAUCCUAACUCAUUGUCAAAUAUUUCCAGUAUCGAUAGUAUAGAUUGUUUAACUCAAAAUUAUUCUGAAUAUCAUGACUUUGAUGAAUUGGAAACAGUCUUUUACAGAAGCAUUGACAUGGAUGUAUUGAGUCGUCUCGAGGAGUUAGCAGUUAUAGAAGAUCCGUUGCGAGAAAUUGUCAAACACUUGGAGACUCAACCAUCGUCGACGAGUUGAGGUAACCAUCUUGAACUAUUACCUUCCCAAGUUGAAAUGUUGCCUUCGAUUUUGCAGCCACCAACCUUGGAGCUCAAAGCGUUACCAGACCACCUCAAGUAUGUCUUUUUGGGAGAGAAAGACACCCUACCGGUAAUAGUGUCAAACAGACUAACCAAAGACGAUGAGGAAAGUCUAGUUCGAGUUCUGAAGGAAUAUAAGGAAGCUAUUGGUUGGACAAUAGCCGACAUAAAAGGGCUAAGUCCAUCCACCUGUAUGCACAGAAUUUCCAUCGAAGAUAGCACGAAACCAAAGAGAGAUGCUCAGAGGCGCCUUAAUCCACCCAUGACGGAGGUAGUAAAGAAGGAGAUCCAGAAAAUGUUGGAUGCUGGAAUGAUAUACCCGAUCUCUGACAGUGAUUGGGUUAGCCCAGUUCAUGUCGUGCCCAAGAAAACUGGCGUGAUAGUGGUGCAAAAUUCAUCAGGAGAGCUAGUUCCUACCCGAGUCCAGAAUGGAUGGAGGGUUUGCAUCGAUUACAGAAAGUUGAAUGCAGCUACCCGGAAGGACCAUUUCCCACUUCCCUUCAUCGAUCAAAUGCUCGAGCGAUUAGCUGGUAAGACUCAUUAUUGUUGUCUCGAUAGAUAUUCAGGAUUUUUCCAAAUUCCGGUGGCGCCUGAGGAUCAAGACAAAACAACUUUCACGUGCCCAUUUGGAAUGUUUGCGUAUAGAGGAAUGCUGUUUGGACUCUGUAAUGCUCCGGCCACCUUCCAGAGAUGUAUGGUAAGCAUAUUCUCUGAUUACGUCGAGAAAAUCAUUGAAGUCUUCAUGGAUGACUUCACGGUGUACGGUAACUCUUUUAAUGAAUGUCUCGAUAAUCUUGCUAAGAUAUUACAAAGAUGCCUAGAAUUUAAUAUUGUUUUAAACUAUGAAAAAUGCCACUUCAUGGUUGACAAAGGAUUGAUUUUAGGUCAUAUAGUUUCCUCGGAAGGUAUUGAGGUCGAUAAAGCAAAAACAGAUAUUAUUAACUCAUUACCUUAUCCCACAUCUGUGAGGGAAAUUCGUUCGUUUCUUGGACAUGCAUGAUUUUACAGAUGAUUCAUAAAAGACUUCUCGAAGAUCGCGCAACCGCUUUGCAGUCUGUUACAAAAAGGAUAAAGAAUUUAAAUUUGACCAGACUUGUAAAGAUGCAUUUGACGUAUUGAAGCAGAAAUUGGUCUCUACCCCCAUAGUGUAACCACCGAAUUGGAACUUCCCGUUUGAAAUCAUGUGUGAUGCAAGUGAUCGAAGUGUGGGAGCUGUUCUUGGCCAAAGAAUAGAGAAAGAGCCUCAUGUUAUCUAUUACGCUUCGAAAACCUUGGAUGCUGCCCAAAGCAAUUACACAACCACCGAGAAAAAAUUAUUAGCUGUUGUGUUUGCUUUAGAUAAAUUUAGAUCUUACCUGUUGGGAACUAAAGUAAUUAUCUUUUCUGAUCAUGCAGCUUUAAAGUAUUUAAUAGGGAAGAAGGAGGCAAAACCUCGACUGAUCAGGUGGAUUCUACUCCUACAAGAAUUUGAUUUUGAAAUCCGGGAUAAGAAGGGAUGCGAAAACUUAGUAGCUGACCAUCUGAGUCGAUUACCGAUUCCAACAGAUGACACACCAUUGAAAGACAACUUCCCAGAUGAAAACUUGUUUUCAGCAAAUGCGGUUCAUCCUUGGUACGCAGACAUAGUAAACUAUCUCGUCACAGGUACUAUACCUUCAGAAUUACCUAGGUCCAGGAAAGAUAAUAUUAAAAAGGAUGCUCGAUAUUACAUUUGGGACGAUCCUUACUUAUGGAAGCAUUGCUCCGAUCAGGUAAUCCGACGGUGUGUAGUAGAAACAGAGGUACAGUCUAUCUUAACUUUUUGUCACUCUUAUGCAUGUGGAGGACACUUUGGACCUAAACGCACUGCACAUAAAAUUCUUGAGUGUAGACUAUUUUCGCCAAGUAUAUUUCGUGACGCCUUCUUAUUCUGUAAAACCUGUGAAAAAUGUCAAAAAGUCGGUAAUCUUAGCCGUCGAAAUGAGAUGCCCCUUACUCCUAUCCAUAUUUGUGAAAUUUUCGAUGUGUGGGGCAUCGAUUUUAUGGGUCCUUUUAUUUCUUCUUUCGGUAAUUUCUAUAUACUCUUAGUUGUUGAUUACGUUUCUAAGUGGAUAGAGGCAAAGGCUACUCGCAAUGAUAAUGCUAAGACUGUGGUUGACUUUCUUAAAAGUUCUAUCUUUUCCAGGUAUGGCACCCCACGAGCAUUAAUCAGCGACAGAGGAACUCAUUUCUGCAAUAAACUCGUAAGUGCACUUAUGGAGAAGUAUGGAGUGACUCAACGAAUUUCUACUGCCUACCAUCCACAAACAAACGGACAAGCUGAAGUGUCAAAUCGAGAAAUCAAGUCCAUAUUGGAGAAGACUGUUAAACCUAACAGAAAGGAUUGGAGCUUGAGACUAAACGACGCACUUUGGGCUUAUAGGACAGCUUACAAGGGACCAAUAGGCAUGUCACCUUAUCGACUUGUUUUUGGUAAACCGUUCCAUCUCCCGGUCGAAUUAGAGCAUAAAACAUUUUGGGCAGUUAAGCAGUGUAAUAUGGAGAUGGAGACCGCAGGAAGAGCUCGAAAGUUAGACAUUCUGGAACUCGAAGAAAUUAGAAACGAUGCAUAUGAAAAUGCUCGAGUUUAUAAAGAAAAGACGAAGGCAUUCCACGAUAAGAUGAUCACUAGGAAGCAGUUUUCAAUAGGACAAAAAGUUCUCCUAUACGACUCCACCUUAAAAAUUUUCGCUGGUAAGCUUCGAUCCAAAUGGAUAGGUCCAUUUACUAUCACUAAUCUAUUCUCAAAUGGUGUAGUGGAAAUUCAAAGCGAAGAAACCCGAAAGUGCUUUAAGGUGAAUGGUCAACGACUGAAACCCUUCUACGAGAAUUUUCAAAUACACACAGUUGAGGAGAUUGUUCUCGAAGAGCCCAAAACUUGAAUAACACAGGUCGUCGAGCUAAAUGACGUUAAACAAAGCGCUGUUGGGAGGCAACCCAAAUUUUCUUUUCCUUUAUGCAAAUAAAAUUUUUGGUAAAAUGGAAAAUGGAAAUGCAUGUCAAGGAUUAGUUCUGUCUAAGGAAAGACUUGGUACUUAAGUAUGUCCAUUGUGACUCACCUCUCUUUCCUGGGAACUUACUUGGUGCAUUUAUCACGACUGUUUUACCAAAUCUCGUAAUCUUGGUUUUUAAUAAUUUAUUUCUCGAGUUUAUAACUUAGCUAAUAAAUUUGAAAAAAAAACAUUUUAAUUUUCCUAUUAUUAUUAUUAUUUAUUUAUUUUUACUAUUUUAUUUUUGCAGGAAAACAUUCCAAGACAAAAUUAAAUUCCACAUGUCAACCCAUAAAAUUCUUUUUUUCAGUUAAGGCCCACUCUACCUACGAGACCAUCCUCCACGACGUUGAAAUACAUGGGAAAUUUAUUUUUCUUCUUUUGUCUACUUAAUUUUACCUUAUAUCCUUUAAUAUUACAUUGGGACAAUGUAAAACAAGUAGGGGGAGGGAAACAUAAAUUGGUUCUAAUUGCUUAUCUGUCAUCGCUAUUUUUGCAUGUUUUCGGUAAAAGGUAAAAUUUUCUUUUAAUUGGGAUGGUACACUUAUGGUUUGACUGAUUUAGCUAUUUAAUUCUUUACACAUGAAACUUUUCAAUAACCUAGACUUAGUAGGUAAGAAAUUUUUGGAAUUAUGAGUUUGCUUGAUUGCCUACCUUUUAUCAUAUGUUUUUAUUUUUCUGUUCAAAAAAAAAAAAAAACUCCUCUGAUACAAAUGUUAAGAGUGACAAUUGGGGUUGUGCAUCGGGCUAAGUAACCGGAACGUGGUGCUUGGGUUGUCAUCACAUCGCGCGUAAAAAGGUUCGUGUGGCUAUCCAAUUUAUUUGCACUCACUCCGCUGACAAGUUAUUAUGAGUAGGGCGAAAUAACCCGCUUAGAAACGUCCGAAUUGAGUAACCGGAACAUGGUGCUUGGGUUGUCAUCAUGUCUCGCGUCAAAAAAUUCGAUAAUGUCCUAAGUAAAAAAAUAAAUAAAUAAAAUAAUAAAAUGAAAGGUAAGUCUAUCAAGCUCUCAUAAAUUCUGAAAUAUAUUUACUUACUGCUUAGGCUAGGUUAUUUGAGUUGUUAAUGUGCUAGGAUUGAAUUGUUGAAUUGUGCAAACCAUGAGUAUCAAGUCCUAUUUUGGAGAAAUUUUUUCCUUUUGCAGAUACAUACAAAAUGCUCGAGGACUAGCAUAAGCUAAGUAGGGGGAAUUGAUUAAAUACUAAAAUUACAUAUUUUAUGUAAUUAAUUUGGUAUAUUUAUGAGAAUGCACCACUAAUUUUGCCAUAUUUAUUGAAUUUUGUGCAGGAAUGUAAUUUGGGGACUAAAUAGAAGAAAAAGGGAACAAUUGGGCCAAAUUAAAGAAAGAAGCAAAGGAGGGCCAAAGUAGAAUUUUUCCUAUUUUUAAUUAGCUGAAAAUUUUGUUGAUUUAGUGGGGGAGAUUAUUUUGGGAUAUUUUUGGUCAUGGAAUAUUUUUUUUCCUUAAUUUCCUAUGACUAGUAGGUUCCUAAUUUAGUAAAUCCUCUAGUAUAAAUAGUGCUUGUAUUGUUCAUCAUUUCAUCAAUCAAUCAAAAAAAUAUUUUAGCUUUUGUCUUUCAAUUCUCUCCUUUCUCACGUAGCAUUUGUUAUUUCUUAGCUUGUUUUCCUUCAAUUUUCAUUAGUUCCAGUAGCCUACCAUCCAUUUCACCUUUAUUUUCAACUUUUCAUAAAUUUAUUUAUUGUCUUUAGUUUCUUUAACUUUUAAUUCCUAAAAACUUCCAGCUUUUACUACUUUCCAUUUACAACUUUUUUUUCAAAUUCUCUUUUUCAACCACCCCCAUACUUAAUCACAUCACCCAUCUUUUCACCUUUUCUACCUUAUUUAAUUUAUCAAAUACCAACAUGUCCCAAACCUUAGCCAACUAAACCCAUUUUCAGCUUUAGGCUGAAAUUAGCCUCGUCAAAACCCGUGAGUUACGAACCCGAGCCAUUUAACUCCUAAAAUUCCAGUACUUAUUACUUCUCCGGAUUAAGAGUAUGAUUUUGUCAACUCAUAAAGUCAGAUCAACACUAAGUCAAAAAAGACGUCGUUUGAUUUAGUGUGGUUAGACGUACAGUUGGAAUUCCGAAAGGAACGUUUCUAAUCGAUUUUCUGUGAACACAUUGGCAUGCCAAGUGGAGAUUGCUGUUUGGUUCUGUCAAGGGAAGUAGUAACCGGAUUUAAAUGUUUCACACGGUUGAGGGCAUUGGUUCGAGCUAGGCUCUUCUAGAACGCAAAGCUGCCGGAGUUCUAAAUCACGAACGUUUCGUGGUUGUUCGAUCGGUAAGAGUUAGUUAUUGGACGUUCCAUAACUAAUUUACACAAGGAAGAGUUGGUGUCCGAGGCGUCCUUGGUAGCUAUAACUAGCUUAUUGGAAAAAAAAGAGUUCAUCCAAUUUCGAGGAUCGGUUCAAAGACGAGGAAAAUUCGCGCCUAAAGCUGAGCUCAUUCUAAUUAAUUCUUCUUAAUAUUUAUUUCACAGUUUUUAUUAUUCUGUUUUCAACUUUUACUUUUCAAAUUAUUUUUCUGUUAAUUUCAGGUUUUCAAAUUUUUAUCCCCCCGAACGUCUUGGGCACGACAGCUGCCCCGACAAAAAUCUGGUCAAGAGAGGAACAAUUUGCAGUAAACCAGUCUCUGAGGGAUCGACCCUACUCCCUAUACUGCAUAAUUUGCAAACUAAGGCGUAGGUUUAUAUUGGUGGAUUCGACAACCAUCAAUCAUAUCCUGGAGCUUUUGUUGGUCCCAUUUCCUUUAAUGCCGCAUACAAUUCUUCUGCUGUAAAGGUUAAUAUUAGCUCUCUAUUGAUAUCAGAUGAAAUAUUUUCCUUUAUUCCCGAUAGGAGAUAUGAACAUUCCGCCCUUCCUUCUGUCGUGAAAAGUUCCUGAAAAUAGGAGGUGUCCACAUCAUUAAUCUCACUCUCCUCAGUUGCUUCUCUGCCCACAGAUUUCUCCAAUUUGGAUAUUGAAUUUAUACGUCUUCUAGAUGUAGCAAACCUGUGAAAAAAAACUGUAUUUUUAUCACCCACUUUCAGCCAAUUUGCCUUUGCUCUUUGUUCCCAAUAUAUUUCAUCCUUAUCAAUUUCCAUAUUUAGGUGGAUCUUAGUGUCUACAAUGUCUGCCAUUGUGUUGUCAUUCCUUUCUUUCCCCAUUAACACUUCCAGCUGCUUCGUUAACUUUUUCUUUAGCCCCUCCCGACUUUUCUUAAUCCUUCUCGCCCAAUCUAAUAAAUCUGCUUGCAACUUUCCAAGUUUCUCAGCUACUAGGGCUGUUCUUGACUCCCUAAAUUCUUUAAUUAUUUUUUCAUAAGUAUCCUCCAUCAACCACCACGCUUCAAAUUUAAAUUUUGAAUUGCCAUUAUGAAUGCUUUCGCCAUCUGUGUUAAUUAGAAGUGGGCAGUGGUCUGACAUUGUGUGGGGUAGAUGGUUAACUCUACCUGCUGGGAAAAGGAGCCUCCAUUUAUCAUUUACCACCCCCUAUCAAGUCUUUCUCUAAUAUUUGUCUCUGGUAAAUUUCCCCUUUCCCAUGUAAACCAUACUCCCGAAAAACCCAAAUCUUCUAAAUGGCAAUUCUCUAAGACCUCUCGAAAUGCCUUCAUUCUAUUCUCUUCCCUUGGGGCACCCCUACAUUUCUCAAAAGAAUACAUGAUCUCAUUGAAGUCACCACUUACCAACCAUGGGUGGCUGUUAUCUUGCCCCAGAUUUAUCAGCAAAUCCCACGAAUCACUCUUAUUGUGGACAUAUGGAGAGCCAUAGAAACCUGUAAAUCUCCACUCUUUGUUACCCUAUUCCUCUUCAACCAGAACAUCAAUGUGAUUCCUAGAAAAACUUCGUAAACUUACUUUGGUGUCACCUUUCCAUGCUAAGCAUAAUCCUCCUUUCGAACCUUGUGCUUCUAUAUCAAUACCAUUCAUAAAACCGCAUUUCUGUCUGAUUUUUUCCAUCUUCUGUCUAUCAACUUUGGUCUCCAUUAAGAAGACCAUUUGGGGAUUGUGCUGCUUGAGGAAGUAACGCAGCCUUCUUUCAGCUCGUGGACUCCCCAAUCCACGAACAUUCCAGCUGAUGGUUGUUUUCAUUGCGUCCGGUCGGCUUGCCUAUUAGCAGCAGCCGAUAUCAAUAAAUCUUGAACUUCAAUUUGCUCAUUAGUGUCUGUCACCAUUUCCACAGGGCCUUUGUAGUAGUCUGAAGUAUCCUGUUUCAACCUUUUAAUUCCAUCUUUGUCUCCUUUUCCUGUAUGAUCGCUGGUAAAAUCUGCAUCAAUGGGCUUCCUCUUCCUCGUAUUAUUUCCAGCUUUUGUCGUUGUUGUGCCAUGUUGAAUGCUUAUCCAUUUUGCUUGUUUCUCUUGAUUUGGAUUUUGGCUCUUCUCUCUAUUACAAUUACUCACCUUCUCACCUUCCCCUUGUCUCUAAAUACCUGCAUAUUCUUUUAGCAUCUUCCCCCUUUCCUUUAAAUUCACCUUCUCAGCUUCCUCUACCUCCAAAAUACCUUCCUGUUCUUCUGGCAUCUCCUCCCCUUCUUUUAAUUUCAAAUUCUCCUGCGGGCCCCCUCUUCAUUGCUUCCUUUCUCAGCACAUUUAAUACUAUUGGGAGAAAUUCUCUCUUCUCCGAUAUAAGAACUCUGAACCCCCGUCUGUUUCUUCAAACUAUUAAAUUUCACACUUUCUUUUCCAAUUAAUCUUGAUUCUGCUUUUAAGGCCACAAAAUAAUAAGGAUUUUCACUGAUUUUAUUUUUUCUUACAGGUAAUAGCUGGGUGCAAUUACUCAUCCCAUGCCCCAUUCUUCCGCAUUCAAAAUAGAAUAUUGGCAAGUUUUCAUACUUGAAGGGUAUCCAAACUUUACUAACAUAAGCAUUAGAAACAAAAAUACCUCUUCUAAGUGGUCUUUGAACAUCCAAUUUAACUCUGAGUCGGCAGAAAUCUUCACUAAUUUCAGAUCUGAGGACCCCACCAAACGUAGAACCAAUGGCAUGCAAUAGAUCUUUCUUGUUGAACUCUGGGAAACACGACUCAAUUUUUAUCCAAAACGGGGAUGAAGUUAACUUUAUCUGAUCUCUUUCCACCGCUUGGCGUAACCUGUCAAAUAAAAUUAAGUUUUUACGAAAGAGCCAAGGUCUCCCCUCCAAAAUCAACUCCAGAUCUUCUACCAUCUCAAAAAUUAUUAGAAAUAAGUUUUGUCCCACCAAUCUGAUUUCAAACUUUUUCCUUGUCUUCCAUAAACUUUUCAUAUGAGCCCUAAAACUAUCUGGGUUAUAUAAUUUCCCCGUCCAAACCGUACAAAUCAAUGUAGGUUUGGAACUUGGUACCACCAACGAUCCUUUGACUGAUAGUUGAACUAAUUUUUCAGCAAGAAGACCGAUCUCAUCCCCUUCCUCUCUAUCGUCGCCACCGCUUGCUUCCAUCCCCAGCCACAGUAGUUACUGCUAUCUCUAGGGUUUCUCAACCAAGCACUCUUGGGAGCAGAGAGUUAAAUUUUAACAAUGUAUUUUUUUAUUCUACAAACAACAUUAAAAAAUAGACGUGUCUUCUCACUAAUUUUUUUUGAGAAGUCUCUUUUUUUUUAAAUAUUUAUUUUUAAAAAUAAUUUAUUAUACCUUUAUAGACAUUUUUCAACUCAUUGACUAUGCUUAUGGAGUCUAAAAACUCCAAUGACAGUAUACCAAAUAAUUUCUCUUCAUACAUUUUAAAAUUUAUCAAAAUAUACUUUAAAUUUUUGUAUUUUUUUAAUGUAUGAAAUUUAGUACUGUUUUUUAAUUUAAUACUUUUAAUUUUUUAUUAAAUUUAGAUUUAUUAUUUCUUCUUUUUUUACAAAUUACCAAUUGAAUAUUUUUUUAUAAAAUAUUAUAGCAAUAAAUUAAAAAAAAACCGAUUUUAUUAAUUAAAUCAGAAUUUGAAAAUUGAAAAGAUAAAAAAGAAACUAAAAUAUUGAAAAUAAAAGUACUAAAUUUGAAAUAUAAAACUUGGAGCUAGACCAUGCAUACGUGUCUAUUAUACCCACCAUACUAUUAUAUUACUUUUGACUUUCUUAACGGUGAAAGUUUUUGCUAAGUUGGAUUGGAUACAUUAAUAAUUUUAAAUAGAAUAAUUUAAAUUUUAUAUUAUUAAAAAAAUAAAAUAAAACAAAAUUGAAAUAAUGUUAAUAUUUACCAUUAAAAGAUUGAUAUGGGAAUAUGUUGAAUAUUGGCAAUAUCCCACAUUAGGUAAAGAUAGAAAGGGAGGGGGUUUUGGUUUGUUAUAUAUAGAACCCUUCCCCCUUAGGUUUUAUCAUCCCAAAAAUCCAAGUAGCUAAUUGUAACUUGGUGUUGAUCUUCUCUAUUGUAAUAUUUCUAGAGGAAAUAUUAAUUUGGUAGUGUCCGAGGACAUAAGCUAAAUUGGCCGAACCUCGUUAAAACUCUGGUAUUUUAUUUCUUAUUUGUUUGCUUAUAUUUAAUAGCUUUAUGUUGGUUAUAUUUAUUUAGUUAUUAUUGCUAUAAAUAUCUAAGUGAGUUCUGUCUAGUUGUUGGGUUUUAAGCGGGACCAUUUGUGACCCCUCCAAUUUAACUGAGAAUUUUCUUAGUAUAAUUGUUGGCAUAAUAAUUAUCUAAAUAUUUCUGAUAAUAUUAUUAUUAAUAUUAUCGUCGCUUCCGCAACAAUUGGUAUCCGAGCCAAGGUUUUGUAGUAUGCUCUGUGUUUGCAGCUUAGUCUGAUCUUACACAUCAGAAACAUUUUCGAAAGCUUGUGGGUAUUCCGCAUUUGGUGGCUAUUAAAUAGAAGCUAUGGCAAAAAUGACAGAAGAAAAACCAUCCAUAUCAACAACUUCCACUUCGUACAUUUUGUCGAGGGUUGGAACUGUAAAUACGAGAUUUGCAGUGGAAAUUUUUGAUGGAACAGGUCAUUUCGGCAUGUGGCAAAGCGAGCUUCUAGAUGCCCUCUUUCAACAAGGUCUAGAUAUUGCCAUUGAGGAAGAAAAACCAGAAGGGGUUGAUGAUAAAGAAUGGAAGACCAUCAACCGAUUGGCAUGUGGUACAAUUCGAUCAUGUCUUUCCAGAGAGCAGAAGUAUACAUUCAGUAAAGAGACUUCUGCAAGUAAAUUGUGGAAAGCAUUGGAGGAGAAAUUCCUGAAGAAGAACAGUCAAAAUAAGUUGCAUAUGAAGAAAAGGCUGUUUCGUCUCAGUUAUGUUCCUGGUACCACGAUGAACGAGCACAUUACCAAUUUUAAUCAGCUGGUGGCUGAUUUGUUGAAUUUGGAUGUGACUUUUGAAGAUGAAGUCUUGGCGUUAAUGUUGUUGGGAUCGCUUCCAGAGGAAUUUGAGUACCUUGAAACUACUUUACUUUAUGGAAAGUUGGAAGUAACUUUCAAUGAAGUAACUGCUGCAUUGUAUAGCUAUGAACUACGCCGAAAGGAUAAGUUGAAAGGUUCAAGUGAAGCAACAGUGGAAGCAUUGGUAACAAGAGAUCGUCAGCAAAGUCAGUCUAAGGGGAAGAGAAGAAAGUCCAAAGGUCGAGUUGUUGCCAAAGAUGAAUGUUCUUUUUGCAAAGAAAAAGGACAUUGGAAGAAAGAUUGUCCAAAAUUGAAGAAAAAAGGGAAGACUUCGCAAGAUGCAAAUGUUGCAGAAUGCAAUAGUGAAGCAGAGUCAGACUUUUCUCUUAGUAUGACAUCUUCAACAUUACAUGCAGAUGAGUGGAUCAUGGAUUCUGGUUGUUCCUAUCAUAUGUGUCCCAUUUGGGAAUGGUUCUUUGAAUUUCAAAAACUAGAUGGAGGGGUUGUUUACAUGGGUAAUGAUAACACAUGUAAAAUAGACGGGAUAGGUUCAAUUAAACUGAGGAGUCAUGAUGGAUCUACUAGAAUUUUGCGGGAUGUACGAUAUGUCCCAAAGUUGAAGAAGAAUCUCAUCUCUUUGGGGUCGUUAGAAUCUAAAGGCCUAGUUGUGACAAUACGAGAUGGAGUUCUUAAAGUAACUUCAGGAGCCUUGGUGAUGUUGAAAGACAUAAGAAAGAACAAUCUGUAUUACUACCAAGGUAGUACAGUGGUCGGGACAACAGCAGCAGCAAUUUCGAGUACCAAGAAGGACGUUGAGGCAACACAGCUGUGGCAUAUGCGUUUGGGCCAUGUUGGUGAAAAAUCCUUGCAAACUCUAGCCAAGCAAGGAUUAUUGAAAGGUACAAAGACUUGCAAACUUGAAUUUUGCGAGCAUUGUGUUCUGGGAAAACAACGAAGGGUGAAAUUUGGCACUGGGAUUCACAAUACUAAAGGUAUUCUGGAUUAUGUGCAUUUUGAUGUAUGGGGACCGUCCAAGACUCCAUCACUUGGAGGAAGACAUUAUUUUGUCACCUUUAUUGAUGAUUUUUCCAGAAGAGUUUAGGUGUUUCCUAUGAAGAACAAAGAUGAGGUGCUUGAAGUUUUCCUUAAGUGGAAAACUAAAGUUGAAAAUCAGACAGGAAGGAAGAUUAAGGUUCUCCGAUCAGACAACGGUGGAGAAUAUAAAAGCGAUCUAUUCCUGAAGAUAUGCCAAGAUUGUGGCAUAGUAAGGCACUUCACCAUAGGUGGAACACCGCAACAGAAUAGGGUGGCAGAGCGUAUGAAUCGAACGCUUGUGGAGAAAGUUCGAUGUAUGUUAUCUAAUGCUGGAUUAGAUAGAAAGUUUUGGGCUGAGGCUGUGACGUACGCUCAACAUCUCAUCAAUCAUUUGCCAUCAUCUGCUAUAAAUGGCAAGACUCCUUUGGAGAAAUGGUAUGGAAAACCUACUACUGAUUAUGACACCUUGCGUAUUUUUGGUUCUAUUGCAUAUAAUCAUGUGAAAGAAUCAAAGUUAGAUCCAAGAGCAAAGAAGGCUCUAUUCAUGGGCUUCAAUGCUGGUGUUAAGGGAUAUCGUUUGUGGUGUCUAGAGGCAAAGAAGACGAUAAUCAGUAGGUAUGUUACCUUUGAUGAAUCUGCCAUGUUGAAUAAGGUAAAUCCAGAAGGAGUGAGUAGUACUUCGCAGCAGGUGAAGUGUACUCCGCAGCAGGUGGAGUUUGAGCAGAGAGUGGUAAUUCCAGCAGAAGGUACCACUAGUGAUUCUUCAUUGCCAGAUGUAGAGUCAGAUGAGGAAGAGGUUUCUACCCAAGAACCUCAACAGCAAUCAGAGCCAAUUGCAGUCAGAAGGCAGAGACGAGAAAUUCAGAAAUCUGCUCGUUUCACUGACAUGGUAGCUUAUGCACUUCCAGUUGUUGAUAAUAUUCCAUCCACUUACACCGAAGCCAUUCAAGGUUUAGAGAAUAAUAGAUGGUUAGGUGCAAUGGAAGAGGAAAUGCAAUCCUAGAGAAAAACAAGACGUGGAAGCUGGCACAACUACCAAAAGGGAAGAAGGCGAUUGGUUGCAAAUUUGAAGACACUAUUGAAGUUUGUGUUAUGAGAAGAUGUUCGAAGAUGUGGAAUAUCGCCAAGGUGGAGAUUUGUUGAAUAUUGGCAAUAUCCCACAUUAGGUAAAGAUAGAAAGGGAGGGGGUUUUGGUUUGUUAUAUAUAGAACCCUUCCCCCUUAGGUUUUAUCAUCCCAAAAAUCCAAGUAGCUAAUUGUAACUUGGUGUUGAUCUUCUCUAUUGUAAUAUUUCUAGAGGAAAUAUUAAUUUGGUAGUGUCCGAGGACGUAAGCUAAAUUGGCCGAACCUCGUUAAAACUCUGGUAUUUUAUUUCUUAUUUGUUUGCUUAUAUUUAAUAGCUUUAUGUUGGUUAUAUUUAUUUAGUUAUUAUUGCUAUAAAUAUCUAAGUGAGUUCUGUCUAGUUGUUGGGUUUUAAGCGGGACCAUUUGUGACCCCUCCAAUUUAACUGGGAAUUUUCUUAGUAUAAUUGUUGGCAUAAUAAUUAUCUAAAUAUUUCUGAUAAUAUUGUUAUUAAUAUUAUCGUCGCUUCCGCAACAGAAUAUCCAUAUCAUGGAGGAAAGUUUAUUGACAGUUGAAAGUGGAAUGUGAUAAUGCUCUCUUAGUUGAAUUGAUUUUAGCUAGCGGAGUUGCAGAUAAUCAUUUGACUGAAAUGCGUCUUAUCCAUCAUUUAUUGAGUCAAACUUGGAAGGUCAUUGUUCAUCAUAUUCUGAGGUCACAAAAUAUAAUAGCUGAUUAUAUGGCCAAGUGUAUGGCGACUAAUCUUCAAACCAAUGAAUUUUGAGUUUUUCAUUUUAAGCUGUCUCUUUUUCUACUAAAAAAAAUUGAUAUGGAAAUACUUUUUUCGCAAUCUAACUUUAAAUAAAAUUUAAUUUACAGAAUUAUAAAAAGCUUUCAAAAUAUUAAUUUUGUUAAGCGUAAAUGUUACUUUUUAAGCUAAAAAUAUUUACUCCAUUGUAAUUUAAACUUAUUAAUUUUUUUAAUAAUAUAAAGAUAAAAUUAACGUAUUUACUAAUAGAAAAAUUAAUUUAAUUCAAUCCUUAUAUAUAUAUAUUCUUUAUCUCCAAUUUCCACUUGCUGUGCUGAAUUAAACUAAUGAAAUUAAAAAAAAAAACCUAAAGAUUGAAUGAAUCAUCAAUGAUUCACAUGCACAUGCACAUGCACUUCCUUAUAGUCUGGAAAUAUUGUAUACAUAUAGAGAAAUUUCAUCUCUUCAAAACUCUUCAAUUAGAUUUGAUUUUAGCCCAUUUUUUGAAGGUUAAUUAUGAUUAUGAUUGCCUUACAAAUCAUUCAAGGUUACCUCAACAUAAUAUUGUGAGGUUAUACUAAACACAUAUAGACAUCUAAAAUUUUUUGAAAAAAAAUUGAAUUUACUCAAACCCACACAAUACAUAGAGACAAACCUAUUGGUAACAUAAAACAGAGCUAAGAAUAAGGAAAAAAAAGGCAGGCCUAUAAUUGGAGUUACAUUGCUAAUCAACAUGGCCUUAUUGCUGAUAGUAGUGUGCUUUUAGUUUCACAUAAUAGUACAAGGAGCUGGAGUAGGAUCAGGAACCACUCUAUAAUAUUCAAACGGCUGUGGUUGACAGAUUAUAAUUUGAGGAGACGGGGGCUUUGGCGGAUCUACUGGUUUGGGUGUAUCUUUCACUUCUUCAACUAUUUCAAUGCUUGCAUGACAAAGCUUCUUCCUUAAUGCCUCGGUCAAACAUGCUGCAUCCACCCCAUCACCUAAUAUCAUUAGCUUGUCCUUUUCUGGUCCAUGUAAUGCCACCGAUGUCACCCCUGCCAAUCCAUUACAUGAACUUAUAAAAACACAUCAAUGGUUUCAUUAAUUUUGUUUUUAUUUGGUUGAAUCAAUAGAUUCAUUGUUAAAACAUACCAUAUGCAACAGCAGCUACUUUUAAAGCUUUUUUUCGGCAUUUGCUGCAAUGCAUUGACACUUUAAGAACUAUCUUUUGCUGCACAUUUGAAACACAACUUAAACAUCACAAUUUUGAAGACCCUAAAAUGUUAUUUUUCAUUGAAGAAAGUUUAAUGUAUAUAAAAAUGUUGAUAUAGAGGAAUUGGAGAGGAGUUGGCGGAGGAAAAAGAUGGUUUACCCUAAGAAGGGCAGAGAGCCGUUGCAGAAGAAGGGUGGUUAGGGAGAUGGAUAGAGAGAAAAGGUGUCUUCUCUUCCUUUCUAAUGAGGCGAGAGGGUUUUCAUACGAGUAAGCAUCUCAUAGGUGAGUGGUUCACAUCCUUGUCUCCUAGUGGUGGUGGCGGUAUAACCUUUUGGUGAUGUGACAAUUUAGAGUGGUUUUACUUCAGCCAUGUAGUCCAAUUGAUGCUAUGGUUGUAAGUAAGAGUUUUAUAAGCCUCGAGGUUUGAGUACUCACAUGUAAGUAAACUGUAUUAACACUUCUUUUGAGUCUUACAGGUUCACUAAUUGAAGUACUUUCGACUCUAUAAAUCGACUCUCAAGAGAACACAACAAGAAGCAAUUUCUACCAAAGAAUCAAUUGAGUAUUUGAUAAACAUCACUUCGAAGAUUUCUUCGGAAGUAAUCACCUCCAUUAACAAAGAACAUAAAUUGCUAUAUACUAUACCUUCAUAUUCUCAAGCACCGAAAAGAAUGUAGCUCCUAGACAAUUAGGCUUUUCCAAUAGCUGAUCACUUGAAAAUUAAAGUAGCCAUUGGUAGCUCUUUAUAUAAGGUCAUGACCUCUAAGGUUUAAACUCAUACAUAAUAUAUUAUAUAUAUAUAUAAAAUAUAAUUUAAUGAAAGUUUAAGAAUUAAGUUAGUAGAUGAUCCACAAUUUAUGGGUUCAACGCCAAGAGCUAACCUAUUCAAAAACACACACACAAAAAAAAAAUCUUUUGGUAGUGUUAACUCAAUCUUGAGUUAAACACGUUAAUUAAUUAAAUAUGUUUACAAAAGUCAACUAUUAUUGUAGUGAUUAGUUGUUAACAAUGCGAAACGAAUAUUUUUUAAGAGUUUUAAAGGACAUGAUUGAAAUAAUAUUGGAGUUGAUGUUAGAAAGUCAAAUAGUUUAAAAAUUAUAUGGAAUUUAGUCCCUUUGAUUUUCAAAUAUUAAAAAUCUAAGUCCAAUUGUUGACGCUGUUAAAAAUAUUCUAUUAAAUUCAAGUUUAUUACAAUAUCAUUUAUUUGUUACGUGACCAUUAAGUGAGUAUUUUUUUAUUUCAAAAUAUUACACCAUCAAAUUUAACCAAAGAAUUUUAACAGUGUUAACAAUUCGACCUGAAUUUUUAAAUAUGAAAAGUAGAUGAGUAGAGGGACUAAGUUCCAACUGUUCGAAGAGUAUAGGAGCUUGUAUCAUAUUUUAACCAAAAUUUCUCAACAUUUAAGUAGAGGAUUAAUUUUUUUAAGGUUGGCUUUAACGUAUUGAUCUUACGUGAUGGCUGAUCUCAUCAACUACAUCUUUGCAAUGCCAACAUUUACUAAAUAAAUACAAUCAUGAGAAAGGGUUCCAAGUGUCAUGAAUAAUAAUAUAAACAAGUUAAAUACACAUAAUGCUUCAUGUUUAGGAUAUUUUAUGCAUGUUUAGGAAUUUUUUAAGUAGGGUUAAGGUAUUCUUAAUAUCAUUUUACAAUGAAUCUGAUUCAUUGUGUCAUAAAUUAGUAAUAUCAUGAUUCAAGACCAUUAAGUGUACACAUGAUCAGAUUAUCUAUAAUUAUCCCCAUAAAAAUUACAAACCCCAAUUUGAAAAAGGAAACAUGGUGAGUUAAUUUCUUUAUAUAUAUAUAUAUAGAGUAAAAGUACAAAUUAAUAUUUCAACGCUUUAAAUAUUAUAUUUCACGGUUUAUUUGUGUAGAUUAUGUAAGUCAAAUUUGAUCUAAAAUUAAAAUUUCUAACCAUUUGUUUUAUGUAAAAAAUUCAACUGUUGAAUAUAUAAUAUAUAGAGUAUUUUAGAUGGAGAUGAUAGAGAUAUCAGAUUGAAUCGAAAAUUUACAUGCAUGAUAAGUAAAAUUAUAUAGAUAAAUUCAACAGUUGGAUUAUUAAAAUAUUAAUCAUAUAAAUAGUUAUGAAAGUAUGUAAAAACAAUCUUUAGUUUUUACAUUUUUACACUAAGUGGAUUUGAUGGGAGUCUCAAGGCUCAAUUUUAGGCUUACACUAUCUCAAGACCCAAUAAUAAGAUCAAAUGCCAAACAAAUCAAACAAAGAUUUGAUCAAAGACAAUAUGUGAGGACGAAUUUUUUCGAGGAAAGGGGGAAUGAUACAUGCACGAAAUGAGUGAAACUUAUUGAAGUCAAUCCAACCAAAAUGCCAAUUUUCAAGAUGAAAAGAUUAGUCAAGUUGCAACAAAUUUUUGGAUGUGAUCUAGACAUUUAUAGGCUUAGAUGUUUGAAUAGCGGUUCAAGAGCUAUCUUUUAUCUUCGAAACGCACUUUGAAUCACUCAAUUUUAAGUUUAGGAGCUCAAGUUAUGAUUAUUUUAGUGAAGAUUGCACGAACAAAGUUUUUGGAUGAGGAUAAUACGGAAAGUACGAGUUUCGGAAUUUUUAUUCAAGUUUAAAUAAUAUUGGGUUCAAGUUUUAGGCUUAAUUUUUAUCAUACACAAGCCCAAUAUUGUAUUUAUUAAGUUUUAUUAUUUUAUUAUUUAUUGAUUCCAAAUUUUGAAUAAAUUUUAAGUAUUUUUAGUUAUUUAGGAGUUUUAUGUCAAUAAGAAAAUUUAGUUUAAAACUACUUUUUUUUUAAGUUAAUUAGAGUUUUAUUUGGAUUUACUUAGCUUGCAGGUCUCUUCAUUGUACACAAUUAUACAACAAUCAAUUCAUUCAUUAGUUUGAGUUUUCUUUUUAAGAAUUUAUCUUGAGUUUUCUUUUAGAAGAGUUUUAACAAAUUUUUUCAGAUUUUGAGGAUCAUAUUCAGGCUUUUUCUUGUUAAGUUUUCUUUCUUGGAGGAAAAUUAGAGCCGUUUGUAAGGGGUUGUAGAUUCAUCAGGUUUUCAAGUGUAACCCCCCAAAGUGUGUAUACGAGAUUUGCUGAAUAUUGUCAUAUAAUUUAGUGGUUAAAGGCGUGGGUGUGGGCUUCAAGUCCUUUCGUGAGCGGUAUGACAAUAAAUUUAUGUGUUGUUUAAGUAGUUGAGUUUUAAGUAAAUUCAAAUGUUUUAAAAAAACUGUUGAGACUUAGUGGAUUAGUGGGCUUGUUAGAGAUUUGUUGGCAGGGGGUGUGGGGGUUUGAAUUUAAUUUCUUUUUCUUUUUCUUUCAAAUCAAAUUGUUCUCUUAUUUUUUUCAAUUUUUUUUGUAAGCUAUUUUGAUUUCCACGUCUCUUUCUACCUUCGCUAUCCAUUUUUUCCCCUUUCUUUUGUUCAUCGUUUCUUGCGCCACCUCUUGCCAUUUUGUUUCUAUUCCUUUUUGUUCUUUUAUUCCAUCGGUUCUGGGUGCCCGUCUGUUUGUGCCUUCACUUGCGUUCUUGUGGGUGGCUAUCGAUUCUGCUCUCUCAUGCAAUACUGUUUUUUUUUGGGGUAUUUGUGAGUAAGUUUUGUAGAGUUUAUAAAGGUUUUUGGUUAAUGUUUUAUUACCCUUUCGAAGCUUGGGUUAAUACUGUGUAAUAUUCACUGUUGGGUGCUAAUCAAGAAGAUUGGAAUUUCCCUCCUACGAGUGGGUUGUUUUAGGGGCUGCUGUGAACGUGGGUAAGUAUUCGAGCAUUUAUAUGUUCAAUUUUAGUUGGAAUUGCUCAUGUUUGUGUUUUAGCCAAGUGAAUGGCUCGGUGAGAAUUGAGGAAUUUGGGAUUGAUUUUGGGCGAUCUAUUGUCGUUUUUAGGUUUUCGCUAUCUCGUAGUUGCAUUCACGCAACAAGCGAACUAGGUGUGUAACAAGAAACCUAGAAAAUAGUGAAAGAAGAAAGCUAAAAUUGAGUACUAUCGACGCCACACUGCUGUGUGAUAGGCCGUGUGUGACACGGUUUGGGCUAUUUUGGGCCAUGUGGACCACAUGGGCUAGGCUAUUUGGGUUGUGUGGGCACAAAAAUUAAAAUUUUUCCCUAGGGCCGUACACAUUGUUUCGAUCGAUUGUGGGCCUUCCGUAGGGUCGGCAUGUGAUUAAAUAUACUAUAAAACAUGAAAUUUGAUCAUAUGUUAUUAUGAAUUUUGAUAUCAGUAAAUGUAUCUGAGAUGUCAUAUGAUAAUUCAAAUUGAGUGUGACGUCAAAUACGUACAUGAUUUGCAUUUGAAAUGUUAUACAUGAUUUCUGUUCUGUCUAUACCUGAUUCUGGGGUGGGAUAUAUUAUGUGGAGGAAGUGUUUAUGAGAGAAGCGAUUUUUUACUCAUUAUAUUGGUAACACUGCUGCGAAUAUUCUAAAAAGUGUCAUUUCGACACUAAGUGAUGUGUAGGGCUGCAUGGGUCUUUAAGACCCUACAUAAUGUGUAGGGAUGGUUGGAGAUGGUGUGUUGCGGAUGGGGUAAGAUUGUAAAUUUGCAUAUGAUUCUGAUUCUAUAUGAGAUAUACAUCUGUAUCUGGUCUACUAUGUAAUAAAUCUAAAGUUAAAUCUAUGAUUCUGUUUUGUUUUAAGUUACAUAUUGAGUUAUGAAAACUCAUUGUUUUUGAUUGUAUGCCACUUUCAAGUAACCCUCAGACUUAAGCGAGUCAGUGCGAUGGGAGCUCGGUUAUAUCCACAUUUUCGCAAACUCAAUUUAUUUAAAUUUGACUUAUUUAAAGUUCUGGUUUAAGAGUUUUGUAAAUUUUGGACUCUCUGGACAUUUAGGAUUAUUUUUGGUUUGGAUUUUAUUUUCGAUUUUUGCGUGAUACAGGUAAAAGGAUUUAUCGAAAAUGUCUGUUUUCCUGCAAACAAAUGAUUUCAAGAAAACAAACCUGGUUUUCCAAAAUAUAAUGGUCUAAGAAUUUUCGCUACAAAGUAACUAAUUUUUAGAAAACAUAAUUGAACAUGGAUUCAACUGAAAAGCUAACUAAGAAUAAUUUCCACUAAAUUGGAGAUUUCUUUAGUAACGAAAUUUGUGCUAUUUUUCAAUGUUUCUAGAAAGUUAAAUCUUCAACCAUUUUAUAUAAUCACUCCAGAUGCGGCCAUAACGUCUAGGCUAGAAUCAAAUCAAAUUUCUUGACAUAUCCUACAAAGAAAAUUUGUAGUUGUGCUGCUAGAAUAGAUUUGGUGGGUAUACUGCCAGAAUUGCAGUAAAACUGCUAGAGCACACUUCUCCAUCAUAUAUCAUAUCCUACCCCAAUGCACAUGCAAAAACAUACCAAUAUCUCAUGCUACAUGAUCAUAACAAAACAAAUUUAUAACAUGCUUACACAAGUUUCAUUAAAACAGAUUAUGUCACAUAGCCUACAUAGAGUUUUGCUAAUCAGAGUUAUGCUUUACCAAAAUGCAAACAUUUAGAUUAUGUAUUUCACAUUCUUACUAGAUUACAAAAUAUCUACCUACCUAAUUUCAAAAAUCUACUUUUGGCCAAAUAGAGGCCACAAACUACCCAAAAUGGGCCCACACUCUUGUGUGGCCCACACACCCUACUUGAUCGGGCCAUGUGGCUCACGAUCUACCACAUGGCCUACCAAAUGGCCGUGUGACCUACACUACUUCCCACAGGGUUUACCACAUAGUCGUGUGACCCACACGGUCUACCACAAGGCUUAACAUACAGUUGUGUGAUGUACACGACCAACCACACGACCGUGUGAUGCAGUCUACCAGCUUCAAUCACAAAAUUCCAGAUUUUUUGUGAUUUUUUAGUGUUCUCGAGUUAGAAAGACACACACGAACACUUUUGGUAUGUUGUCUCAACAACAAAAAUUUUGGAAUCUACCUACGAAAUCCAAAUCGAACCAAUUAACUAAUACACAUACUAAUACAACCUAAAUAAUCGGUUCCUAUAAACUAAAUGAAACUAACCUUUAAUUUGAACAUUUAAACACUUACCAUUGGAGAAGAACAAGAGCCUUUAACAACACUUAACUCGCUAGAGGAUCGUUGUGUGUCUCACAAUAUUCCUUUAUCAAUACAAGAAUGUUCAAACUCAACAUUAAAACCAAUUAAAAGUCCACUUAACUCUAUGUGAACUGAAGAAGAAAACCACAAAAAUAUGGAAAAAUAUGGAAAAAUAUGGAAAACCACAAAACAAAAGGAAGAAAACAGAGGAAGUGGCUGCAAGAGAGGAAUGAAACAGAAGGAAUAGUAGAAGCAAUUUUUUUAUCAGCCCAAAGUUCACAGGAAACAAAAGAAAGAAGGAAGAUUGUGAAGGUUUAUAGGAAACAAACAAAGAAAGAAAAGGGUCAACUUGUGACACGCGCGAAAGGAGGGGGACCAAAAGGCAAUAUUCCCACGUUGAUCAAACGGUGCCAUUCUGGCAAGCCCGUGCGCAUGGUCUUUGGACCAGAUUGAAACAAAAGCCAAAACUUGGUGGCCUAAAUCAAAUAAAACAAAGGACCAUAUUGACACAAAAUGCAAAGGCCGAGGAUCUAUUGCGCAAAUAGUCCCUCAAGUGAAAAACAUGCGGAUCCUUGGGUGCGGAUCGGGUCGCGCACGGGUCACGAAAAACGGCGCUGUUUUGGCGGUAAAACCCCUCCAAGUGAAACAACGUCGUUUCACACUAUAUAUAAAUUUUGAAAAAUAACUAAAAAAAACAUUUUUCCUUUCAUUUCUCAGAAAAAAGAACAGAGAGACAAAGUCUCUCUCCCUCUCAGCCUUUCUCUCCAGAUCCGACCAUCGCCACCACCGUAGCGCCACCGUGGCUAAUGGACGGCGUUGCACAAACAGGGUUUUUGAACCCUCGCCUCACGGCGUCCCCGAAGGCUAGGCCUUCUCAACCGCGUGAUCAAAAGAAAAGGAAGCAAAUGGGUCUUCUCCCUAUUCGACUCCGGUGAUGGCAAAGACAGACUCCAGCGCCGACUUUCGAAGCAAACAUGUAUUUUUUGCUUUAUCUUUUAUUAAAAAGGCUCGUAAAAAAAGUAAAAUAAAAUAAAUAAACACAAACAAUAAUGAACAAGAACACAAAGUAAAGAACAAAGAAAUUUUUAAAACAACCUUUUCUUUAAGUUUUUUUCAUGCUUUUCAUUCAUCAGUCGUAAAAAAAAUACAGAAAGAGUGUUUGGCUUUUAUAGCCGAUUUGCUUCUAUUUUUCUAUUAUUAUUUUUUGGGCUGCUUGUGUGUGUCCUCUAUUUUGCAGGGUUGAUGGGCGACGGUCGACGUGACAGCGGCGGUGGUAGACUCGCGGUGGCUCGGAGACCAAGGGUCUGAAGCAAGUGGUGGCCAGGAGACCAAAGGUCUGAAGCAAGGUGCGACAUUUAGGGUUUCAGUAGGCUGACUUUGGUUUCUGGGUCUGUUGGGCCUGGUUUUGGGCUCUGGGUUUGGAUUUAAUUUUGUUGGGCAAGGUUUUGGGUUAGGCUAGUUGGGCCUUGGGCUAAGUCCAUAGGUUGGGUUUGAUUUGGGCUAGGGUUAGGUGGGUUUGUUGGGCCCCAGGUAAAUUUGCGCUGUACAGCUCUGUAUUGUCAAAUGCUUAUGCAACAACUUUUACUUUAAUGAAAGUUUCUUUCCAUUUGUUAAAAUUACACAAGUUCCCAAUCCAUGUACUUAAACGAAUAUUAGAAUAUGUCAAUAACUUCAUUUCCCCAAUCAAUUACGCUCUCUUCUUUUACCAUCAUUUCUCAAUAGCUCAGCUUCUCUAGAUCAAGUAGUCAGUAUCAUACUAGUGGAUGCAAAGUUUUUGUUUUGGUAACCGUACGUGCUAGUGUAUUUUAUGUUUUGUUUCGGCCUUAUUGUUGUUUCUUAAAUAUAUUUUCCUGUUUAUAUCUUAGUUUCUCGAUAAAAUAUAUUAUAUAUGCAAAUAAACCAUAACAAUAUACGUUCGAACAAUUUAUUGAAAUAUAUAUAUUUUCCAAAUAUUAAUUGCAUCCAAUGAUUAUAUUUUAUUUCUAAAUGCAACAAUAAAUUAAAAAUCUUACUUUUUAAGACAAAAUAGCGUAAAUUUUUUAUUGAAACUGUGAAAAUCUUAUGCCAAUCGGUAUGGGCUAGGAGAAGCUGAAAUAAAUUGAAACACAAAAAAACCAAAACAAACCAAUUGAUUUACUAGUGAAUCAAUACAAUCAGAAUCUAGUGAAUGGCGAAAUCUCAAUUUUGAUUCACUAGUUCUGUCAACAAUUCGAAGAUAAAUUCACUUAUCUGAUCACUAAGAAUUUGAAUUUUACCCACAUACUACUAUUUUGGGCAGUACGACUUAAGGGAAACAAAAGUUAUUUUCGUUUUACACACACAAGAUUCAAACAUGAAACCUAAGGACAAGCUGAAGCCUUACCAUUAAACCAGCAGGCUCAUUCUUGUCAACAAACUAAUAAGAAUAAAUUAUAACUUGUAUGUGAACAGCCAAUUGAAGGAGCAAAUAUCAACAAAAGUCAAGGGAAGGGAAUCGAAUACAGGACCUCUAGCACACAACCAAAACACUUAUCUACUGAACCAAAUCAAAUAAACCCAUAAAUUAUAAAAUUUUGGGCGUUACAACUCUCGGUUCACUAACCCAAUUUCUACUAACCCGGUUUUUGGGAUGUGACAAUAUUUAUUUCCCUAAAAGAAAAUAUAAGCACAAUAAAAAAAGGGAAUAGAAAAUGGAAAGAGUCCAAGUCAAAUAAAUACACCUCCAUAUAUAUCUUAUCAUUUCGAAAGGGAAAGCACAAUAGGUCCAACAUGAAACUCUCUUAACCCAACCCUUUUGUGGAUAAUAAAAGCAUUUUCUAUUAAUGUACUCGGGCAUUAUCAUUACUAAAAAAUAAAAAUCUUACCCUAUUAAAUAUAUUUACUAACAAAACCAAAAUUAUUAGGCAAACUAACAAAACCAAAUAAUGCCUUAAAACAAUGACAACUUGAAACCUAUGUUUCACGGUUUCAAAAUGUUAGCUAUUAAAACAAUAUAUUUACUUUAAAAUAGAAAAAAACACAAUAUAUAAGGUAGCUAUCUCCAUUAAUUUUAAGCAUCAGAAAGUAAAGAAUUCAAUAAACAUUUGCUACCCUUAUCUCUUUGAUAUUAGAAUAAUUUCAAAUGGAAUUUCGGGGAGUAAUCUUUGUUAGUUUUCUUAUUUUUCAACUUGGAGUUAACUCUAAUGCCUUUCCAAUGAAUGAUUUGAUAAGCAAAUUGCCAGGACAACCAGAUGUUAAUUUCAGGCAAUUUGCUGGAUAUAUUGAUGUGGAUGAAAAUGUCGUUGGUCGAAGUCUUUUUUACUAUUUUGUUGAAGCUGAAAAAGAUCCCCUAACUCAACCCCUCACUGUUUGGUUAACUGGAGGUUCACUUCUUUGAAAUUUUUUAUUGCAGUUUUUGAUGUUAUGCGGAUUUUCCAGUAGGUAUCCUAUACGAACAAGUUAGAUAAAAUUUACUAUGCGCAAGCCAAAGCAAAGGGAAGCUGGGGCUUCGGCCCCAUUGGUUAAAUGUUACAAUUACAUUUUUAGCCUUUCCCAAAAAAUUAGAAUUCAAUUUAAUCCCCUUUUCCCCCUUCAAAUGGAAACAUUAUCACUUCCUGCCCUCGUUAGAAAGUAAUAAUUCAAUUUAGGCCGUUUCCAUGCAAAGAUUUUAUCUUUAUCUCCAUCUCUAACACAAAAUUUAUAGCCUUUCUCUGACUAUGAUUUUUUCCUCAUCUGGAAACCCAUACGUUUAAACAUAUAUUGAAUACAUGUCGAACUAGACUAGUCAUUACGUUAGAUCGAACCAUCACUCUAUUUUUCUAGCUUUACUUAAGUCUAGCCGAUAAGUUUGUUUGAUUACUCACAUAUAAUAAAAUCUUUAGUGUAAUACUAUUCAGGACCAGGGUGUUCUUCAGUUGGAGAUGCCUUUGGAAGUGUUGGUCCUUUUAUUGUUACAAAAGAUGCUCAUGGUCUCCAAACAAAUUUCUUAUCUUGGAGCAAAGGUUGUCUAAUUUCCUACGCUUAUUUUAUUGAUAUAUUUUUUUUGUGCAUAUAUAUAUAUCAUGUUUCAUAGUUAUUUUUUUUUCACAUCCAUAUAAAUUUAACAAAAUAUAUUAAAUGUUUUAGAACUAUAUAUAUAUUUUCACAUCCAUAUAAAUUUAACAAAAUAUAUUAAAUGUUUUAGAACUAUAUAUAAAAUGUUACAGUACGUCUAGUUUUCAUUAUUGUGUUUAAAUGAAUUGCAUUGCCUUUCUUAUAUUGUUUUUUUUUGUAUUUCUAUGUCUAUAUAAGAUUCUGUCUAAUAUAUGUUUCAGUGUCAAAUCUAUUGUUUAUUGACUCCCCUAUUGGAUCUGGAUGGUCAUAUUCAAACACAAGUAGUGAUUAUAAUAACGGAGAUGAUACCACUAGUAAGAUCGUAGUAUAUAUUCUUCACUAUUAAUUAAAAUAGUUUGGAUAUUAUAUAUAUUGAUAGUUUCCAAUUGUUUGUUACGUACAGAUAAAAUAUUGCUUACAUUUAUGCAAAAAUGGUAUGAAAAAUAUCCGGUCUUCAAGUCGAAAGAUCUAUAUCUAGCUGGAUCAAGUUUUGCAGGUGAACAAUUUCUUGCUUCUUUUCUCUUAUCUGGUUGUAUAUCAACAUAUUUUUAAUACACCAAAACAUACUUAAUGAAUACCUAAACAAAAUAUAAUGCGAUCUCUAGCAUAUAGUAUUUUCUAUCUAUAUAUUGUACGUUAUUAUUUACAUAUCAAGCUUGCAACACUAUUAUUUUUUAGAUUCAAACUCAAAUAAUUAAUCAAAUUUCUUAUUAAAUUAAUAAUUUUGUAAAAAUAAUUAAAAAAAAUAAAUAUUUUCAUAAAUUAUUUUUUGUAACAUACUUCUUUAAUUGAAUAUGUCAAACUAAUUAUUCAAAAGAAAUAUAACAAGCAAAUGAUCUUGUCUUAAUACGAGUUAUGGAUAAGUCUCUAUGGAACAAUACAAACAAUAUAACAUGUUCGUUACUAUAAUCAAAUCUGUGGAUUUUAUUUCAGGACACUAUGUACCAAAUCUUGCUAAUGCUUUACUCGAUGACAACAAGCAAUCCAAGCAGUCGAAAUUUAACCUCAAAGGACUGGUUGUAAGUAAAAUCGUAUCUAAAUAAUCAAAUUUAAUUGCCACUUUAAUAUAUAUUUGCAUAAAAGGAUUAGUUAGAAAUGUUCAUGGUUGAGUAACUUGCCUCAUUCGAGAAGGCUUAGCUUUACUAGAUUGGAUUAGGAUACCGACUUCUACGUUUUGGAUCAAACCAUUAUGACUUUGAUUAUUGUUCAUUAGAUUGCAUCAUAGAAAAUAAAUUUUGGUUUAAAUCAAGCAUCCACACUAACAUAAAAAGUUAAAAUUAUUCUGAAAUAUUUUUAAGAAUUUUAUCGGGCCUGGAUAAAACAAAAAUAACAUGUGUUGCAGCUCAAAUCUUCCGUAAACAUGGUUAGGUUCAAUUCAAUGUUAAUUUAAAUAUUUUAUUGUGAACUUUAUUUUUAUUUUUUUAAUUGCAACUAUUUUGAACAGCUGGGAAACCCAAUGCUUCGUAAAAAGCUAGACGAUAUUGCAAAAAUUGAUUUCUUUUUCUCUCGAGAGAUGAUAAAUAGCUCGUUGUAUAACGAAAUCAAGAAAGAAUGCAAUGCCAUUGAUGAAAAUAAUUACUUUUCUAGCAUCAAAACCACUUGGAGUGCAAAAUGUAAAAACCUUGUGUUUGAGGCCGAUUUGGCUGCUUUCAAGACCGAUGCUCAUAAUUACUCCCCGCAGAAGCUAUUUGAUGUCUUUCGCCCUCCUUGUGCUGAAACUGAGAAAGAUUUGAACUUAGGAAAACAGGUUUUCAUUUAUUUCUUUACAUUCCUCUUACUUUACUUCAAUUCGGAACUGCAAAUAACAUACGUUCGUAUAGAAUCGAAUUAACUGAACAACCGAGUAGAACUAAUUUGUGUUAUUUUUCUUUUAUUGGUCAUAGCAAAAGCAUAAAACUUUAUUUCUCGGUCCAGGUUCCUUUAGUUAGCACAGAAGUAGACAUGUGCCAUCCAUUACGGGUGCAAUUUUACUUUAAUCUCCCAGAAGUUCAAAAAGCUUUCCAUGGGAAUCAAACAAACUUGUCAUACAGAUGGAAGGGUUGUUUCACGUAAGUUCUCCCUUAAAAUUUGAAAAUAAUUGAUGUUUUUUUAUUCCAGAUAUGUUGAUAUAAUUACUUUUUAGAAAUUAUUUUAAAUUCAAGUUUUAAGACUCAUUAUCUCCAUAUUGUCACCUCUUGUUUUGGUAAAAUAAAUAAAUUACUUAUUUAUUGAUGUGGAUGCCGUGUAAAAAUUGUUAACCUUAAAAUUUUCAUUAUAUGUCACUCUUAUUUAUUUAGAGCUAAUUUUAAAUACAACGAAGCUGAUAAGGACCUUGACAUGCUUCCUGCGCUUAAAAAUCUUCUUCAACUAUCCGUUCCCAUUACAAUAUUCAGGUUGGUAUUGUAUUUGUAUGCCAUAAUUUUUCCAAUACUUUCUUGAAAUAAGUUAACUAAGUAUGAAGAAUCGAAGUGAACGAUUAUGAAAACAAAUUCUCGUGCCAUUUGACUGAUUUUUUAUUUUAUUUUAUUAAUAUGAUUACAAUGUUAUAGUGGAGAUCAAGAUGGUAUAAUACCGAUAGAGGGAACCUUACAACAUUUGGAAAAGUUGGCCGAGGAGUUAAACAUCAAGUUAACCAAAAAGGAAACAUGGAGUCUUGGAACCAAGGUUUUAUGUUUACACAUUUAAUUAUAUAUAUAUUAGCUUCUUCUUUUUUAUAUUAUGAUUAGAUAUAUUUAAGCAUCAAGUUAUCCGGCAGAUAUGGUUACCAAUUUGGAUCUAAACUUGAACAAGAAAUUUUAAGUGUUGACUCGAUUGGCUUGAUUAGCGCAUUCAAGGCAAGCUCACACUACUUACCCAGUUCAAUGGGCUUGACCAAUACGUGCUAGGCCGUGAUCAUGAUUUUCCACAAAUUUUGGGCAACUCGUCCUAAAUUUUUAUUUAAAUAUGAAAAUAUUAAUGUAAACAUAAUUUAUAUUUACUAAAUAGUUAGUCGAGCCGAUAGGUUGGCUCGAGCUAACUUAAUCAUAAAAAAGUAAAUAUAUUAGAAGAAAAUAAUUUUGCAGAAUGUCAUAUAUAUUGAAUAAUGGAAUGGGUUUUCUUCUUUACUAUUUAUAUUUAUAAAUUUGUAUUUUAAUACGAUAAAAUUAAUUAUAAAUAUUUAACAGGAAGGAGGCUUGAAGUAUGAAUUUGGAGACUUACUAAAAUUCUUGACGGUGAAGGGAGGUAAUCAUCAUGUUACAUCUUCUCGACCAUCACAAGCUUUUUCUAUUUUCUCAAAUUUCACAAUUAAAGCGAUGCAUUGAGGAUUGGUGAUGAAACUUAUGGAGCACACGAUCAUGAUUCAUGUUGAAGCCACCAUUCACCAUAAUAAGACUUGUCGUUGUAAUAAUUUAUUGUGAUGAUAUGUAUUAUUUUAUGAUGCAUGGACAUCAUAAAUUUUUAUAUUAUGCAAUAAUAUAAUUAGUUAAAUCAUCUGAUAUCUAACGAAUAAUUAUUAUUUUAAUAAAAUCAUGCAAUUUUCAUACAUGAAAAUAACAAAUAAAGAGAACUCAACCCAAUAUGUGUAACAAUUUUUUAUUGAAGAUUUUGUUUUCUAAUGUCAAAUAAAUUGAUUAAUGCAUCAACCUUUUCAAACACCUUUUAUAACUUUGUUAUAAGCAUUUUGUAUAUUUGAAUAUAUUAGAUACAGACUCUAAAACAAUGUGAAUAGUAAUUUCUUAUAUUUUCUUGAUCAUAAGUGUAUUAUAUAAAUAAUUACGAAAAAAGAUGGAGUAAUACAUUUGCGUAGUGCUUAUUACAAAAGACGAUCACAAUUUGUACACAAAACCCUUUUUCCUUAAACUCUCCUACAAAAGAAAACAUAGCCUUAGAUUUACGUUACUCUGUGAUUGGCCACCACCUUCUCCCUUCUAUUACUUCCCUCUUUAUUUUACUUUUUUCGAUUUCUUUCGUUACCCCUUGUGGGGGUGGUUUUGGAGCAACAAUUUUCGGAAGCAACACGAUUGUGCUUGUCUCAUAGCCGCCGUCUCAUCUCCUACAUUAGGGUGCUUGUUUUCAUUACAAAUUUGGCAUUGUUGUGGAAACGUCAAAGAACAAGAUGAGUGUGCUUUUAUGUCACAUUGGGGUGGACAACAAAUGACUUUCGAGUUUGUUGUGUCUUGGCCUUUCUUUGUCCUAGUUCUUUUGUUCGACUCUAGUGUCUCCCUUGUCUUUUAAAUUUCAGUUUUGCUUUAGCCCUUGGGUUGUUGUCAAGAAAUACGAUCAGGUUGCAUGCAAGAGAAAGGCUUGUGAAUGCAUAAUGACUUGAUGCACCAAUUCUCUCCAAUUACUUUCCUCCAUGCUUUUAAUAAAUUAGUAAAGGAAAACCUAGUCUUUGCAGGCCCUGUUCUAAGAGUUAUUUUGUUCGAUUUUCGAUGCAUUCUACCACGUUUUUAUAUCGCUCUUGUUGACACCAUUUUUUUUGGUGAAACGGGGUCGACUUGGAUUUUGAAAACGAAAAUAAAAAAAAUGGGAGUCACCACCAAUCCUUUUUGAUGAGGUGUGAUUGGAUCACCUUGAAAAGUGGUUUUUUUAAUAAAUGAUUUGAUUAAAACAACAAUUUUGAUCCACGAAAUUUAGAAAAAUAGGUUUGGGAGUCAGUUACGCACGAGGAAGGAUUAGUACCCUCGUAACGCCCAAAAUUGGUACCUAGUUUAUUAAUUAAUGUCUUAGUGUCGAAGAUUGAAAACUUUGAAGAGAUUUAAAAUACAAUCCUUUUUUAAAGACUGAUAUAAAUCAAAUUUCAUAUUAAGACCCUCUCAUUUUGGAGAGAGAAAAUGUUAUACCCGAUGAGUUAGGGUAUGAUAUUUCACUUCCCCAAAAAUGAGCUUGUCCUAAAAAAACUCACGCAAUAAAAUUUAAAAGGAUACUCAAUUGUUUAAGUCGGAUGAAGAAAUCGCAGCCCAAUACGUUAGGGCGCAAUUUCUCAAAAUUCUAAACAUUGAAUAUUACCUUUAUGAUUUCUUAAAAAAAUCCUCAUCUCGAGAAAACAACGUGUCAUGUCCAAUGCGUUAGGACACAACGUAUUGAAUUCCCGAUAAUGAGCCUUUUAUUUACGUUUUUUAUUUUAAAGAGCACUCUCGAUUAUUUAGAUUCAAUGAAGAAAAUUGGAACCCAAAACGUUAGGGCUGAAUUCUCUCGAAGAUCCCAAAUACCGAGUGUUGCUUUUGUUUUGAAAUUUUUCUGUUUUUGACAACUUUGAGUAAAAAUGGAUGUAACAUAAUGAUAAUGAUGAUAAUGUAAAUAGAGGAAUACAAGCAUGGGCUUUAAAAUAAAAUAAAUAAAAGGACAAACUAAUAUGGUACACAAUAGCAAGCACAUAAGCUACAAAAUUAAAACAUUCAUUCUAAACAAUGCGAAUACGAAUAAGGAAGUAAACAAAGAAAAUGAAUAGCACUAUGGAAAUGUAAAAAAGAUAUAUACAUAUGUAUAUAUUGUAAGAUUAUUAUACAUGAAAAUAUAAGUAAGUAAAAGCAUACAUAUGUGCAUAGAAAGGUACAUACAUACAUGCAUAUAUAAAUUAUAAAAGGUAUACGAAAAUAUGUUUUUAUAUACAUGUAAAAAUAAAUAAAUAUAUAUAUAUGAAUGUGCAUAUAUAAAUUAUAAGAUAUACAAAUGUGUAUGAACACAUGGUAAUAAUAACAGAAAAUAAAAAUAGUAAUGAUAUUGUAUGAAAGGAGUAACAAAUACAAAAAUAGUUAAUUUGAUGAACAAAUAAUUAAAAUAAUAAACUGGGGGCUAAUUUGAAAUUAAACAAAGUUUAUGGGCCAAAAUUAGGAAUGGAAAUAAAGAAAACGGUCAACUUGUGACACGCGCGAAAGGAGGGGGACCAAAAGGCAAUAUUCCCACGUUGAUCAAACGGUGCCGUUCUGGCAAGCCGGUGCGCAUGGUCUCUGGACCAGAUUGAAACAAAAGCCAAAACUUGGUGGCCUAAAUCAAAUAAAACAAAGGACCAUAUUGACACAAAAUGCAAAGGCCGAGGAUCUAUUGCGCAAAUAGUCCCUCAAGUGAAAAACACGUGGAUCCUUGGGUGCGGGUCGGGUCGCGCACGGGUCACGAAAAACGGGGCUAUUUUCGCGGUAAAACCCCUCCAAGUGAAACAACGUCGUUUCACACUAUAUAUAAAUUUUGAAAAAUAACUAAAAAAAACAUUUUUCCUUUCAUUUCUCAGAAAAAAGAACAGAGAGACAAAGUCUCUCUCCCUCUCAGCCUUUCUCUCCAGAUCCGACCAUCGCCACCACCGUAGCGCCACCGUGGCUAAUGGACGGCGUUGCGCAAACAGGGUUUUUGAACCCUCGCCUCACGGUGUCCCCGAAGGCUAGGCCUUCUCAACCGCGUGAUCAAAAGAAAAGGAAGCAAAGGGGUCUUCUCCCUGUUCGACUCCGGUGAUGGCAAAGACAGACUCCAGCGCCGACUUUCGAAGCAAACAUGUAUUUUUUGCUUUAUCUUUUAUUAAAAAGGCUAGUAAAAAAGUAAAAUAAAAUAAAUAAACACAAACAGUAAUGAACAGGAACACAAAGUAAAGAACAAAGAAAUUUUUAAAACAACCUUUUCUUUAAGUUUUUUUCAUGCUUUUCAUUCAUCAGUCGUAAAAAAAAUACAGAAAGGGUGUUUGGCUUUUAUAGCGGAUUUGCUUCUAUUUUUCUAUUAUUAUUUUUUGGGCUGCUUGUGUGUGUCCUCUAUUUUGCAGGGUUGAUGGGCGACGGUCGACGUGACAGCGGCGGUGGUAGACUCGCGGUGGCUCGGAGACCAAGGGUCUGAAGCAAGUGGUGGCCAGGAGACCAAAGGUCUGAAGCAAGGUGCGACGCUUAGGGUUUCAGUAGGCUGACUUUGGUUUCUGGGUCUGUUGGGCCUGGUUUUGGGCUCUGGGUUUGGGUUUAAUUUUGUUGGGCUAGGUUUUGGGUUAGGCUAGUUGGGCCUUGGGCUAAGUCCAUAGGUUGGGUUUGAUUUGGGCUAGGGUUAGGUGGGUUUGUUGGGCCCCAGGUAAAUUUGCGCUGUACAGCUCUGUAUUGUCAAAUGCUUAUGCAACAACUUUUACUUUAAUGAAAGUUUCUUUCCGUUUGUUAAAAUUACACAAGUUCCCAAUCCAUGUACUUAAACGAAUAUUAGAAUAUGUCAAUAACUUCAUUUCCCCAAUCAAUUACGCUCUCUUCUUUUACCAUCAUUUCUCAAUAGCUCAGCUUCUCUAGAUCAGGUAGUCAGUAUCAUACUAGUGGAUGCAAAGUUUUUGUUUUGGUAACCGUACGUGCUAGUGUAUUUUAUGUUUUGUUUCGACCUUAUUGUUGUUUCUUAAAUAUAUUUUCCUGUUUAUAUCUUAGUUUCUCGAUAAAAUAUAUUAUAUAUGCAAAUAAACCAUAACAAUAUACGUUCGAACAAUUUAUUGAAAUAUAUAUAUUUUCCAAAUAUUAAUUGCAUCCAAUGAUUAUAUUUUAUUUCUAAAUGCAACAAUAAAUUAAAAAUCUUACUUUUUAAGACAAAAUAGCGUAAAUUUUUUAUUGAAACUGUGAAAAUCUUAUGCCAAUCGGUAUGGGCUAGGAGAAGCCGAAAUAAAUUGAAACACAAAAAAACCAAAACAAACCAAUUGAUUUACUAGUGAAUCAAUACAAUCAGAAUCUAGUGAAUGGCGAAAUCUCAAUUUUGAUUCACUAGUUCUGUCAACAAUUCGAAGAUAAAUUCACUUAUCUGAUCACUAAGAAUUUGAAUUUUACCCACAUACUACUGUUUUGGGCAGUACGACUUAAGGGAAACAAAAGUUAUUUUCGUUUUACACACACAAGAUUCAAACAUGAAACCUAAGGACAAGCUGAAGCCUUACCAUUAAACCAGCAGGCUCAUUCUUGUCAACAAACUAAUAAGAAUAAAUUAUAACUUGUAUGUGAACAGCCAAUUGAAGGAGCAAAUAUCAACAAAAGUCAAGGGAAGGGAAUCGAAUACAGGACCUCUAGCACACAACCAAAACACUUAUCUACUGAACCAAAUCAAAUAAACCCAUAAAUUAUAAAAUUUUGGGCGUUACAACUCUCGGUUCACUAACCCAAUUUCUACUAACCCGGUUUUUGGGAUGUGACAAUAUUUAUUUCCCUAAAAGAAAAUAUAAGCACAAUAAAAAAAGGGAAUAGAAAAUGGAAAGAGUCCAAAUCAAAUAAAUACACCUCCAUAUAUAUCUUAUCAUUUCGAAAGGGAAAGCACAAUAGGUCCAACAUGAAACUCUCUUAACCCAACCCUUUUGUGGAUAAUAAAAGCAUUUUCUAUUAAUGUACUCGGGCAUUAUCAUUACUAAAAAAUAAAAAUCUUACCCUAUUAAAUAUAUUUACUAACAAAACCAAAAUUAUUAGGCAAACUAACAAAACCAAAUAAUGCCUUAAAACAAUGACAACUUGAAACCUAUGUUUCACGGUUUCAAAAUGUUAGCUAUUAAAACAAUAUAUUUACUUUAAAAUAGAAAAAAACACAAUAUAUAAGGUAGCUAUCUCCAUUAAUUUUAAGCAUCAGAAAGUAAAGAAUUCAAUAAACAUUUGCUACCCUUAUCUCUUUGAUAUUAGAAUAAUUUCAAAUGGAAUUUCGGGGAGUAAUCUUUGUUAGUUUUCUUAUUUUUCAACUUGGAGUUAACUCUAAUGCCUUUCCAAUGAAUGAUUUGAUAAGCAAAUUGCCAGGACAACCAUAUGUUAAUUUCAGGCAAUUUGCUGGAUAUAUUGAUGUGGAUGAAAAUGUCGUUGGUCGAAGUCUUUUUUACUAUUUUGUUGAAGCUGAAAAAGAUCCCCUAACUCAACCCCUCACUGUUUGGUUAACUGGAGGUUCACUUCUUUGAAAUUUUUUAUUGCAGUUUUUGAUGUUAUGCGGAUUUUCCAGUAGGUAUCCUAUACGAACAAGUUAGAUAAAAUUUACUAUGCGCAAGCCAAAGCAAAGGGAAGCUGGGGCUUCGGCCCCAUUGGUUAAAUGUUACAAUUACAUUUUUAGCCUUUCCCAAAAAAUUAGAAUUCAAUUUAAUCCCCUUUUCCCCCUUCAAAUGGAAACAUUAUCACUUCCUGCCCUCGUUAGAAAGUAAUAAUUCAAUUUAGGCCGUUUCCAUGCAAAGAUUUUAUCUUUAUCUCCAUCUCUAACACAAAAUUUAUAGCCUUUCUCUGACUAUGAUUUUUUCCUCAUCUGGAAACCCAUACGUUUAAACAUAUAUUGAAUACAUGUCGAACUAGACUAGUCAUUACGUUAGAUCGAACCAUCACUCUAUUUUUCUAGCUUUACUUAAGUCUAGCCGAUAAGUUUGUUUGAUUACUCACAUAUAAUAAAAUCUUUAGUGUAAUACUAUUCAGGACCAGGGUGUUCUUCAGUUGGAGAUGCCUUUGGAAGUGUUGGUCCUUUUAUUGUUACAAAAGAUGCUCAUGGUCUCCAAACAAAUUUCUUAUCUUGGAGCAAAGGUUGUCUAAUUUCCUACGCUUAUUUUAUUGAUAUAUUUUUUUUGUGCAUAUAUAUAUAUCAUGUUUCAUAGUUAUUUUUUUUUCACAUCCAUAUAAAUUUAACAAAAUAUAUUAAAUGUUUUAGAACUAUAUAUAUAUUUUCACAUCCAUAUAAAUUUAACAAAAUAUAUUAAAUGUUUUAGAACUAUAUAUAAAAUGUUACAGUACGUCUAGUUUUCAUUAUUGUGUUUAAAUGAAUUGCAUUGCCUUUCUUAUAUUGUUUUUUUUUGUAUUUCUAUGUCUAUAUAAGAUUCUGUCUAAUAUAUGUUUCAGUGUCAAAUCUAUUGUUUAUUGACUCCCCUAUUGGAUCUGGAUGGUCAUAUUCAAACACAAGUAGUGAUUAUAAUAACGGAGAUGAUACCACUAGUAAGAUCGUAGUAUAUAUUCUUCACUAUUAAUUAAAAUAGUUUGGAUAUUAUAUAUAUUGAUAGUUUCCAAUUGUUUGUUACGUACAGAUAAAAUAUUGCUUACAUUUAUGCAAAAAUGGUAUGAAAAAUAUCCGGUCUUCAAGUCGAAAGAUCUAUAUCUAGCUGGAUCAAGUUUUGCAGGUGAACAAUUUCUUGCUUCUUUUCUCUUAUCUGGUUGUAUAUCAACAUAUUUUUAAUACACCAAAACAUACUUAAUGAAUACCUAAACAAAAUAUAAUGCGAUCUCUAGCAUAUAGUAUUUUCUAUCUAUAUAUUGUACGUUAUUAUUUACAUAUCAAGCUUGCAACACUAUUAUUUUUUAGAUUCAAACUCAAAUAAUUAAUCAAAUUUCUUAUUAAAUUAAUAAUUUUGUAAAAAUAAUUAAAAAAAAUAAAUAUUUUCAUAAAUUAUUUUUUGUAACAUACUUCUUUAAUUGAAUAUGUCAAACUAAUUAUUCAAAAGAAAUAUAACAAGCAAAUGAUCUUGUCUUAAUACGAGUUAUGGAUAAGUCUCUAUGGAACAAUACAAACAAUAUAACAUGUUCGUUACUAUAAUCAAAUCUGUGGAUUUUAUUUCAGGACACUAUGUACCAAAUCUUGCUAAUGCUUUACUCGACGACAACAAGCAAUCCAAGCAGUCGAAAUUUAACCUCAAAGGACUGGUUGUAAGUAAAAUCGUAUCUAAAUAAUCAAAUUUAAUUGCCACUUUAAUAUAUAUUUGCAUAAAAGGAUUAGUUAGAAAUGUUCAUGGUUGAGUAACUUGCCUAAUUCGAGAAGGCUUAGCUUUACUAGAUUGGAUUAGGAUACCGACUUCUACGUUUUGGAUCAAACCAUUAUGACUUUGAUUAUUGUUCAUUAGAUUGCAUCAUAGAAAAUAAAUUUUGGUUUAAAUCAAGCAUCCACACUAACAUAAAAAGUUAAAAUUAUUCUGAAAUAUUUUUAAGAAUUUUAUCGGGCCUGGAUAAAACAAAAAUAACAUGUGUUGCAGCUCAAAUCUUCCGUAAACAUGGUUAGGUUCAAUUCAAUGUUAAUUUAAAUAUUUUAUUGUGAACUUUAUUUUUAUUUUUUUAAUUGCAACUAUUUUGAACAGCUGGGAAACCCAAUGCUUCGUAAAAAGCUAGACGAUAUUGCAAAAAUUGAUUUCUUUUUCUCUCGAGAGAUGAUAAAUAGCUCGUUGUAUAACGAAAUCAAGAAAGAAUGCAAUGCCAUUGAUGAAAAUAAUUACUUUUCUAGCAUCAAAACCACUUGGAGUGCAAAAUGUAAAAACCUUGUGUUUGAGGCCGAUUUGGCUGCUUUCAAGACCGAUGCUCAUAAUUACUCCCCGCAGAAGCUAUUUGAUGUCUUUCGCCCUCCUUGUGCUGAAACUGAGAAAGAUUUGAACUUAGGAAAACAGGUUUUCAUUUAUUUCUUUACAUUCCUCUUACUUUACUUCAAUUCGGAACUGCAAAUAACAUACGUUCGUAUAGAAUCGAAUUAACUGAACAACCGAGUAGAACUAAUUUGUGUUAUUUUUCUUUUAUUGGUCAUAGCAAAAGCAUAAAACUUUAUUUUUCGGUCCAGGUUCCUUUAGUUAGCACAGAAGUAGACAUGUGCCAUCCAUUACGGGUGCAAUUUUACUUUAAUCUCCCAGAAGUUCAAAAAGCUUUCCAUGGGAAUCAAACAAACUUGUCAUACAGAUGGAAGGGUUGUUUCACGUAAGUUCUCCCUUAAAAUUUGAAAAUAAUUGAUGUUUUUUUAUUCCAGAUAUGUUGAUAUAAUUACUUUUUAGAAAUUAUUUUAAAUUCAAGUUUUAAGACUCAUUAUCUCCAUAUUGUCACCUCUUGUUUUGGUAAAAUAAAUAAAUUACUUAUUUAUUGAUGUGGAUGCCGUGUAAAAAUUGUUAACCUUAAAAUUUUCAUUAUAUGUCACUCUUAUUUAUUUAGAGCUAAUUUUAAAUACAACGAAGCUGAUAAGGACCUUGACAUGCUUCCUGCGCUUAAAAAUCUUCUUCAACUAUCCGUUCCCAUUACAAUAUUCAGGUUGGUAUUGUAUUUGUAUGCCAUAAUUUUUCCAAUACUUUCUUGAAAUAAGUUAACUAAGUAUGAAGAAUCGAAGUGAACGAUUAUGAAAACAAAUUCUCGUGCCAUUUGACUGAUUUUUUAUUUUAUUUUAUUAAUAUGAUUACAAUGUUAUAGUGGAGAUCAAGAUGGUAUAAUACCGAUAGAGGGAACCUUACAACAUUUGGAAAAGUUGGCCGAGGAGUUAAACAUCAAGUUAACCAAAAAGGAAACAUGGAGUCUUGGAACCAAGGUUUUAUGUUUACACAUUUAAUUAUAUAUAUAUUAGCUUCUUCUUUUUUAUAUUAUGAUUAGAUAUAUUUAAGCAUCAAGUUAUCCGGCAGAUAUGGUUACCAAUUUGGAUCUAAACUUGAACAAGAAAUUUUAAGUGUUGACUCGAUUGGCUUGAUUAGCGCAUUCAAGGCAAGCUCACACUACUUACCCAGUUCAAUGGGCUUGACCAAUACGUGCUAGGCCGUGAUCAUGAUUUUCCACAAAUUUUGGGCAACUCGUCCUAAAUUUUUAUUUAAAUAUGAAAAUAUUAAUGUAAACAUAAUUUAUAUUUACUAAAUAGUUAGUCGAGCCGAUAGGUUGGCUCGAGCUAACUUAAUCAUAAAAAAGUAAAUAUAUUAGAAGAAAAUAAUUUUGCAGAAUGUCAUAUAUAUUGAAUAAUGGAAUGGGUUUUCUUCUUUACUAUUUAUAUUUAUAAAUUUGUAUUUUAAUACGAUAAAAUUAAUUAUAAAUAUUUAACAGGAAGGAGGCUUGAAGUAUGAAUUUGGAGACUUACUAAAAUUCUUGACGGUGAAGGGAGGUAAUCAUCAUGUUACAUCUUCUCGACCAUCACAAGCUUUUUCUAUUUUCUCAAAUUUCACAAUUAAAGCGAUGCAUUGAGGAUUGGUGAUGAAACUUAUGGAGCACACGAUCAUGAUUCAUGUUGAAGCCACCAUUCACCAUAAUAAGACUUGUCGUUGUAAUAAUUUAUUGUGAUGAUAUGUAUUAUUUUAUGAUGCAUGGACAUCAUAAAUUUUUAUAUUAUGCAAUAAUAUAAUUAGUUAAAUCAUCUGAUAUCUAACGAAUAAUUAUUAUUUUAAUAAAAUCAUGCAAUUUUCAUACAUGAAAAUAACAAAUAAAGAGAACUCAACCCAAUAUGUGUAACAAUUUUUUAUUGAAGAUUUUGUUUUCUAAUGUCAAAUAAAUUGAUUAAUGCAUCAACCUUUUCAAACACCUUUUAUAACUUUGUUAUAAGCAUUUUGUAUAUUUGAAUAUAUUAGAUACAGACUCUAAAACAAUGUGAAUAGUAAUUUCUUAUAUUUUCUUGAUCAUAAGUGUAUUAUAUAAAUAAUUACGAAAAAAGAUGGAGUAAUACAUUUGCGUAGUGCUUAUUACAAAAGACGAUCACAAUUUGUACACAAAACCCUUUUUCCUUAAACUCUCCUACAAAAGAAAACAUAGCCUUAGAUUUACGUUACUCUGUGAUUGGCCACCACCUUCUCCCUUCUAUUACUUCCCUCUUUAUUUUACUUUUUUCGAUUUCUUUCGUUACCCCUUGUGGGGGUGGUUUUGGAGCAACAAUUUUCGGAAGCAACACGAUUGUGCUUGUCUCAUAGCCGCCGUCUCAUCUCCUACAUUAGGGUGCUUGUUUUCAUUACAAAUUUGGCAUUGUUGUGGAAACGUCAAAGAACAAGAUGAGUGUGCUUUUAUGUCACAUUGGGGUGGACAACAAAUGACUUUCGAGUUUGUUGUGUCUUGGCCUUUCUUUGUCCUAGUUCUUUUGUUCGACUCUAGUGUCUCCCUUGUCUUUUAAAUUUCAGUUUUGCUUUAGCCCUUGGGUUGUUGUCAAGAAAUACGAUCAGGUUGCAUGCAAGAGAAAGGCUUGUGAAUGCAUAAUGACUUGAUGCACCAAUUCUCUCCAAUUACUUUCCUCCAUGCUUUUAAUAAAUUAGUAAAGGAAAACCUAGUCUUUGCAGGCCCUGUUCUAAGAGUUAUUUUGUUCGAUUUUCGAUGCAUUCUACCACGUUUUUAUAUCGCUCUUGUUGACACCAUUUUUUUUGGUGAAACGGGGUCGACUUGGAUUUUGAAAACGAAAAUAAAAAAAAUGGGAGUCACCACCAAUCCUUUUUGAUGAGGUGUGAUUGGAUCACCUUGAAAAGUGGUUGUUUUUAAUAAAUGAUUUGAUUAAAACAACAAUUUUGAUCCACGAAAUUUAGAAAAAUAGGUUUGGGAGUCAGUUACGCACGAGGAAGGAUUAGUACCCUCGUAACGCCCAAAAUUGGUACCUAGUUUAUUAAUUAAUGUCUUAGUGUCGAAGAUUGAAAACUUUGAAGAGAUUUAAAAUACAAUCCUUUUUUAAAGACUGAUAUAAAUCAAAUUUCAUAUUAAGACCCUCUCAUUUUGGAGAGAGAAAAUGUUAUACCCGAUGAGUUAGGGUAUGAUAUUUCACUUCCCCAAAAAUGAGCUUGUCCUAAAAAAACUCACGCAAUAAAAUUUAAAAGGAUACUCAAUUGUUUAAGUCGGAUGAAGAAAUCGCAGCCCAAUACGUUAGGGUGCAAUUUCUCAAAAUUCUAAACAUUGAAUAUUACCUUUAUGAUUUCUUAAAAAAAUCCUCAUCUCGAGAAAACAACGUGUCAUGUCCAAUGCGUUAGGACACAACGUAUUGAAUUCCCGAUAAUGAGCCUUUUAUUUACGUUUUUUAUUUUAAAGAGCACUCUCGAUUAUUUAGAUUCAAUGAAGAAAAUUGGAACCCAAAACGUUAGGGCUGAAUUCUCUCGAAGAUCCCAAAUACCGAGUGUUGCUUUUGUUUUGAAAUUUUUCUGUUUUUGACAACUUUGAGUAAAAAUGGAUGUAACAUAAUGAUAAUGAUGAUAAUGUAAAUAGAGGAAUACAAGCAUGGGCUUUAAAAUAAAAUAAAUAAAAGGACAAACUAAUAUGGUACACAAUAGCAAGCACAUAAGCUACAAAAUUAAAACAUUCAUUCUAAACAAUGCGAAUACGAAUAAGGAAGUAAACAAAGAAAAUGAAUAGCACUAUGGAAAUGUAAAAAAGAUAUAUACAUAUGUAUAUAUUGUAAGAUUAUUAUACAUGAAAAUAUAAGUAAGUAAAAGCAUACAUAUGUGCAUAGAAAGGUACAUACAUACAUGCAUAUAUAAAUUAUAAAAGGUAUACGAAAAUAUGUUUUUAUAUACAUGUAAAAAUAAAUAAAUAUAUAUAUAUGAAUGUGCAUAUAUAAAUUAUAAGAUAUACAAAUGUGUAUGAACACAUGGUAAUAAUAACAGAAAAUAAAAAUAGUAAUGAUAUUGUAUGAAAGGAGUAACAAAUACAAAAAUAGUUAAUUUGAUGAACAAAUAAUUAAAAUAAUAAACUGGGGGCUAAUUUGAAAUUAAACAAAGUUUAUGGGCCAAAAUUAGGAAUGGAAAUAAAGAAAACGGUCAACUUGUGACACGCGCGAAAGGAGGGGGACCAAAAGGCAAUAUUCCCACGUUGAUCAAACGGUGCCGUUCUGGCAAGCCGGUGCGCAUGGUCUCUGGACCAGAUUGAAACAAAAGCCAAAAAUUGGUGGCCUAAAUCAAAUAAAACAAAGGACCAUAUUGACACAAAAUGCAAAGGCCGAGGAUCUAUUGCGCAAAUAGUCCCUCAAGUGAAAAACACGUGGAUCCUUGGGUGCGGGUCGGGUCGCGCACGGGUCACGAAAAACGGGGCUAUUUUCGCGGUAAAACCCCUCCAAGUGAAACAACGUCGUUUCACACUAUAUAUAAAUUUUGAAAAAUAACUAAAAAAAACAUUUUUCCUUUCAUUUCUCAGAAAAAAGAACAGAGAGACAAAGUCUCUCUCCCUCUCAGCCUUUCUCUCUAGAUCCGACCAUCGCCACCACCGUAGCGCCACCGUGGCUAAUGGACGGCGUUGCGCAAACAGGGUUUUUGAACCCUCGCCUCACGGUGUCCCCGAAGGCUAGGCCUUCUCAACCGCGUGAUCAAAAGAAAAGGAAGCAAAGGGGUCUUCUCCCUGUUCGACUCCGGUGAUGGCAAAGACAGACUCCAGCGCCGACUUUCGAAGCAAACAUGUAUUUUUUGCUUUAUCUUUUAUUAAAAAGGCUAGUAAAAAAGUAAAAUAAAAUAAAUAAACACAAACAGUAAUGAACAGGAACACAAAGUAAAGAACAAAGAAAUUUUUAAAACAACCUUUUCUUUAAGUUUUUUUCAUGCUUUUCAUUCAUCAGUCGUAAAAAAAAUACAGAAAGGGUGUUUGGCUUUUAUAGCGGAUUUGCUUCUAUUUUUCUAUUAUUAUUUUUUGGGCUGCUUGUGUGUGUCCUCUAUUUUGCAGGGUUGAUGGGCGACGGUCGACGUGACAGCGGCGGUGGUAGACUCGCGGUGGCUCGGAGACCAAGGGUCUGAAGCAAGUGGUGGCCAGGAGACCAAAGGUCUGAAGCAAGGUGCGACGCUUAGGGUUUCAGUAGGCUGACUUUGGUUUCUGGGUCUGUUGGGCCUGGUUUUGGGCUCUGGGUUUGGGUUUAAUUUUGUUGGGCUAGGUUUUGGGUUAGGCUAGUUGGGCCUUGGGCUAAGUCCAUAGGUUGGGUUUGAUUUGGGCUAGGGUUAGGUGGGUUUGUUGGGCCCCAGGUAAAUUUGCGCUGUACAGCUCUGUAUUGUCAAAUGCUUAUGCAACAACUUUUACUUUAAUGAAAGUUUCUUUCCGUUUGUUAAAAUUACACAAGUUCCCAAUCCAUGUACUUAAACGAAUAUUAGAAUAUGUCAAUAACUUCAUUUCCCCAAUCAAUUACGCUCUCUUCUUUUACCAUCAUUUCUCAAUAGCUCAGCUUCUCUAGAUCAGGUAGUCAGUAUCAUACUAGUGGAUGCAAAGUUUUUGUUUUGGUAACCGUACGUGCUAGUGUAUUUUAUGUUUUGUUUCGGCCUUAUUAUUGUUUCUUAAAUAUAUUUUCCUGUUUAUAUCUUAGUUUCUCGAUAAAAUAUAUUAUAUAUGCAAAUAAACCAUAACAAUAUACGUUCGAACAAUUUAUUGAAAUAUAUAUAUUUUCCAAAUAUUAAUUGCAUCCAAUGAUUAUAUUUUAUUUCUAAAUGCAACAAUAAAUUAAAAAUCUUACUUUUUAAGACAAAAUAGCGUAAAUUUUUUAUUGAAACUGUGAAAAUCUUAUGCCAAUCGGUAUGGGCUAGGAGAAGCCGAAAUAAAUUGAAACACAAAAAAACCAAAACAAACCAAUUGAUUUACUAGUGAAUCAAUACAAUCAGAAUCUAGUGAAUGGCGAAAUCUCAAUUUUGAUUCACUAGUUCUGUCAACAAUUCGAAGAUAAAUUCACUUAUCUGAUCACUAAGAAUUUGAAUUUUACCCACAUACUACUGUUUUGGGCAGUACGACUUAAGGGAAACAAAAGUUAUUUUCGUUUUACACACACAAGAUUCAAACAUGAAACCUAAGGACAAGCUGAAGCCUUACCAUUAAACCAGCAGGCUCAUUCUUGUCAACAAACUAAUAAGAAUAAAUUAUAACUUGUAUGUGAACAGCCAAUUGAAGGAGCAAAUAUCAACAAAAGUCAAGGGAAGGGAAUCGAAUACAGGACCUCUAGCACACAACCAAAACACUUAUCUACUGAACCAAAUCAAAUAAACCCAUAAAUUAUAAAAUUUUGGGCGUUACAACUCUCGGUUCACUAACCCAAUUUCUACUAACCCGGUUUUUGGGAUGUGACAAUAUUUAUUUCCCUAAAAGAAAAUAUAAGCACAAUAAAAAAAGGGAAUAGAAAAUGGAAAGAGUCCAAAUCAAAUAAAUACACCUCCAUAUAUAUCUUAUCAUUUCGAAAGGGAAAGCACAAUAGGUCCAACAUGAAACUCUCUUAACCCAACCCUUUUGUGGAUAAUAAAAGCAUUUUCUAUUAAUGUACUCGGGCAUUAUCAUUACUAAAAAAUAAAAAUCUUACCCUAUUAAAUAUAUUUACUAACAAAACCAAAAUUAUUAGGCAAACUAACAAAACCAAAUAAUGCCUUAAAACAAUGACAACUUGAAACCUAUGUUUCACGGUUUCAAAAUGUUAGCUAUUAAAACAAUAUAUUUACUUUAAAAUAGAAAAAAACACAAUAUAUAAGGUAGCUAUCUCCAUUAAUUUUAAGCAUCAGAAAGUAAAGAAUUCAAUAAACAUUUGCUACCCUUAUCUCUUUGAUAUUAGAAUAAUUUCAAAUGGAAUUUCGGGGAGUAAUCUUUGUUAGUUUUCUUAUUUUUCAACUUGGAGUUAACUCUAAUGCCUUUCCAAUGAAUGAUUUGAUAAGCAAAUUGCCAGGACAACCAGAUGUUAAUUUCAGGCAAUUUGCUGGAUAUAUUGAUGUGGAUGAAAAUGUCGUUGGUCGAAGUCUUUUUUACUAUUUUGUUGAAGCUGAAAAAGAUCCCCUAACUCAACCCCUCACUGUUUGGUUAACUGGAGGUUCACUUCUUUGAAAUUUUUUAUUGCAGUUUUUGAUGUUAUGCGGAUUUUCCAGUAGGUAUCCUAUACGAACAAGUUAGAUAAAAUUUACUAUGCGCAAGCCAAAGCAAAGGGAAGCUGGGGCUUCGGCCCCAUUGGUUAAAUGUUACAAUUACAUUUUUAGCCUUUCCCAAAAAAUUAGAAUUCAAUUUAAUCCCCUUUUCCCCCUUCAAAUGGAAACAUUAUCACUUCCUGCCCUCGUUAGAAAGUAAUAAUUCAAUUUAGGCCGUUUCCAUGCAAAGAUUUUAUCUUUAUCUCCAUCUCUAACACAAAAUUUAUAGCCUUUCUCUGACUAUGAUUUUUUCCUCAUCUGGAAACCCAUACGUUUAAACAUAUAUUGAAUACAUGUCGAACUAGACUAGUCAUUACGUUAGAUCGAACCAUCACUCUAUUUUUCUAGCUUUACUUAAGUCUAGCCGAUAAGUUUGUUUGAUUACUCACAUAUAAUAAAAUCUUUAGUGUAAUACUAUUCAGGACCAGGGUGUUCUUCAGUUGGAGAUGCCUUUGGAAGUGUUGGUCCUUUUAUUGUUACAAAAGAUGCUCAUGGUCUCCAAACAAAUUUCUUAUCUUGGAGCAAAGGUUGUCUAAUUUCCUACGCUUAUUUUAUUGAUAUAUUUUUUUUGUGCAUAUAUAUAUAUCAUGUUUCAUAGUUAUUUUUUUUUCACAUCCAUAUAAAUUUAACAAAAUAUAUUAAAUGUUUUAGAACUAUAUAUAUAUUUUCACAUCCAUAUAAAUUUAACAAAAUAUAUUAAAUGUUUUAGAACUAUAUAUAAAAUGUUACAGUACGUCUAGUUUUCAUUAUUGUGUUUAAAUGAAUUGCAUUGCCUUUCUUAUAUUGUUUUUUUUUGUAUUUCUAUGUCUAUAUAAGAUUCUGUCUAAUAUAUGUUUCAGUGUCAAAUCUAUUGUUUAUUGACUCCCCUAUUGGAUCUGGAUGGUCAUAUUCAAACACAAGUAGUGAUUAUAAUAACGGAGAUGAUACCACUAGUAAGAUCGUAGUAUAUAUUCUUCACUAUUAAUUAAAAUAGUUUGGAUAUUAUAUAUAUUGAUAGUUUCCAAUUGUUUGUUACGUACAGAUAAAAUAUUGCUUACAUUUAUGCAAAAAUGGUAUGAAAAAUAUCCGGUCUUCAAGUCGAAAGAUCUAUAUCUAGCUGGAUCAAGUUUUGCAGGUGAACAAUUUCUUGCUUCUUUUCUCUUAUCUGGUUGUAUAUCAACAUAUUUUUAAUACACCAAAACAUACUUAAUGAAUACCUAAACAAAAUAUAAUGCGAUCUCUAGCAUAUAGUAUUUUCUAUCUAUAUAUUGUACGUUAUUAUUUACAUAUCAAGCUUGCAACACUAUUAUUUUUUAGAUUCAAACUCAAAUAAUUAAUCAAAUUUCUUAUUAAAUUAAUAAUUUUGUAAAAAUAAUUAAAAAAAAUAAAUAUUUUCAUAAAUUAUUUUUUGUAACAUACUUCUUUAAUUGAAUAUGUCAAACUAAUUAUUCAAAAGAAAUAUAACAAGCAAAUGAUCUUGUCUUAAUACGAGUUAUGGAUAAGUCUCUAUGGAACAAUACAAACAAUAUAACAUGUUCGUUACUAUAAUCAAAUCUGUGGAUUUUAUUUCAGGACACUAUGUACCAAAUCUUGCUAAUGCUUUACUCGACGACAACAAGCAAUCCAAGCAGUCGAAAUUUAACCUCAAAGGACUGGUUGUAAGUAAAAUCGUAUCUAAAUAAUCAAAUUUAAUUGCCACUUUAAUAUAUAUUUGCAUAAAAGGAUUAGUUAGAAAUGUUCAUGGUUGAGUAACUUGCCUAAUUCGAGAAGGCUUAGCUUUACUAGAUUGGAUUAGGAUACCGACUUCUACGUUUUCGAUCAAACCAUUAUGACUUUGAUUAUUGUUCAUUAGAUUGCAUCAUAGAAAAUAAAUUUUGGUUUAAAUCAAGCAUCCACACUAACAUAAAAAGUUAAAAUUAUUCUGAAAUAUUUUUAAGAAUUUUAUCGGGCAUGGAUAAAACAAAAAUAACAUGUGUUGCAGCUCAAAUCUUCCGUAAACAUGGUUAGGUUCAAUUCAAUGUUAAUUUAAAUAUUUUAUUGUGAACUUUAUUUUUAUUUUUUUAAUUGCAACUAUUUUGAACAGCUGGGAAACCCAAUGCUUCGUAAAAAGCUAGACGAUAUUGCAAAAAUUGAUUUCUUUUUCUCUCGAGAGAUGAUAAAUAGCUCGUUGUAUAACGAAAUCAAGAAAGAAUGCAAUGCCAUUGAUGAAAAUAAUUACUUUUCUAGCAUCAAAACCACUUGGAGUGCAAAAUGUAAAAACCUUGUGUUUGAGGCCGAUUUGGCUGCUUUCAAGACCGAUGCUCAUAAUUACUCCCCGCAGAAGCUAUUUGAUGUCUUUCGCCCUCCUUGUGCUGAAACUGAGAAAGAUUUGAACUUAGGAAAACAGGUUUUCAUUUAUUUCUUUACAUUCCUCUUACUUUACUUCAAUUCGGAACUGCAAAUAACAUACGUUCGUAUAGAAUCGAAUUAACUGAACAACCGAGUAGAACUAAUUUGUGUUAUUUUUCUUUUAUUGGUCAUAGCAAAAGCAUAAAACUUUAUUUUUCGGUCCAGGUUCCUUUAGUUAGCACAGAAGUAGACAUGUGCCAUCCAUUACGGGUGCAAUUUUACUUUUAUCUCCCAGAAGUUCAAAAAGCUUUCCAUGGGAAUCAAACAAACUUGUCAUACAGAUGGAAGGGUUGUUUCACGUAAGUUCUCCCUUAAAAUUUGAAAAUAAUUGAUGUUUUUUUAUUCCAGAUAUGUUGAUAUAAUUACUUUUUAGAAAUUAUUUUAAAUUCAAGUUUUAAGACUCAUUAUCUCCAUAUUGUCACCUCUUGUUUUGGUAAAAUAAAUAAAUUACUUAUUUAUUGAUGUGGAUGCUGUGUAAAAAUUGUUAACCUUAAAAUUUUCAUUAUAUGUCACUCUUAUUUAUUUAGAGCUAAUUUUAAAUACAACGAAGCUAAUAAGGACCUUGACAUGCUUCCUGCGCUUAAAAAUCUUCUUCAACUAUCCGUUCCCAUUACAAUAUUCAGGUUGGUAUUGUAUUUGUAUGCCAUAAUUUUUCCAAUACUUUCUUGAAAUAAGUUAAAUAAGUAUAAAGAAUCGAAGUGAACAAUUAUGAAAAGAAAUUCUCGUGCCAUUUGACUGAUUUUUUAUUUUAUUUUAUUAAUAUGAUUACAAUGUUAUAGUGGAGAUCAAGAUGGUAUAAUACCGAUAGAGGGAACCUUACAACAUUUGGAAAAGUUGGCCGAGGAGUUAAACAUCAAGUUAACCAAAAAGGAAACAUGGAGUCUUGGAACCAAGGUUUUAUGUUUACACAUUUAAUUAUAUAUAUAUAUAUAUUAGCUUCUUCUUUUUUUAUAUUAUGAUUAGAUAUAUUUAAGCAUCAAGUUAUCCGGCAGAUAUGGUUACCAAUUUGGAUCUAAACUUGAACAAGAAAUUUUAAGUGUUGACUCGAUUGGCUUGAUUAGCGCAUUCAAGGCAAGCUCACACUACUUACCCAGUUCAAUGGGCUUGACCAAUACGUGCUAGGCCGUGAUCAUGAUUUUCCACAAAUUUUGGGCAACUCGUCCUAAAUUUUUAUUUAAAUAUGAAAAUAUUAAUGUAAACAUAAUUUAUAUUUACCAAAUAGUUAGUCGAGCCGAUAGGUUGGCUCGAGCUAACUUAAUCAUAAAAAAGUAAAUAUAUUAGAAGAAAUUAAUUUUACAGAAUGUCAUAUAUAUUGAAUAAUGGAAUGGGUUUUCUUCUUUACUAUUUAUAUUUAUAAAUUUGUAUUUUAAUACCAUAAAAUUAAUUAUAAAUAUUUAACAGGAAGGAGGCUUGAAGAUUUUGUUUUCUAAUGUCAAAUAAAUUGAUUAAUGCAUCAACCUUUUCAAACACCUUUUUUAACUUUGUUAUAAGCAUUUUGUAUAUUUGAAUAUAUUGGAUACAGACUCUAAAACAAUGUGAAUAGUAAUUUCUUAUAUUUUCUUGAUCAUAAGUGUAUUAUAUAAAUAAUUACGAAAAAAGAUGGAGUAAUACAUUUGCGUAGUGCUUAUUACAAAAGACGAUCACAAUUUGUACACAAAACCCUUUUUCCUUAAACUCUCCUACAAAAGAAAACAUAGCCUUAGAUUUGCGUUACUCUGUGAUUGGCCACCACCUUCUCCCUUCUAUUACUUCCCUCUUUAUUUUACUUUUUUUGAUUUCUUUCGUUACCCCUUGUGGGGGUGGUUUUGGAGCAACAAUUUUCGGAAGCAACACGAUUGUGCUUGUCUCAUAGCCGCCCUCUCAUCUCCUGCAUUAGGGUGCUUGUUUUCAUUACAAAUUUGGCAUUGUUGUGGAAACGUCAAAGAACAAGAUGAGUGUGCUUUUAUGUCACAUUGGGGUGGACAACAAAUGACUUUCGAGUUUGUUGUGUCUUGGCCUUUCUUUGUCCUAGUUCUUUUGUUCGACUCUAGUGUCUCCCUUGUCUUUUAAAUUUCAGUUUUGCUUUAGCCCUUGGGUUGUUGUCAAGAAAUACGAUCAGGUUGCAUGCAGGAGAAAGGCUUGUGAAUGCAUAAUGACUUGAUGCACCAAUUCUCUCCAAUUACUUUCCUCCAUGCUUUCAAUAAAUUAGUAAAGGAAAACCUAGUCUUUGCAGGCCCUGUUCCAAGAGUUAUUUUGUUCGAUUUUCGAUGCAUUCUACCACCUUUUUAUAUCGCUCUGUAUUGUCAAAUGCUUAUGCAACAAAUUUUACUUUAAUGAAAGUUUCUUUUCGUUUGUUAAAAUUACACAAUUUCCCAAUCCAUGUACUUAAACGAAUAUCAAAAUAUGUCAAUAACUUCAUUUCCCCAAUCAAUUACGCUCUUUUCUUUUAUAUUCAUUUCUCAAUAGCUCAGCUUCCCUAGAUCAAGUAGUCAGUAUCAUACUAGUAGAUGCAAAGUUUUUGUAGUUUUUGUUUUGGUACUGAUAGGUAACCGUAGUAGUGGAAUUUGAGGAGUUUUAAAUAUUUAAUAGGUAUUUUCGAGCUUUUUAAUUGAUCUUAAAAGUGGUUUUAAGUCAGCCCCAAUUUGGUCAUCGUGGGUGGUGGUGUGCGCACCUAUGUGUUGGAAAAGGGGGUUGUUCUUGUUUAAUUUCUUUCCAUCUUUUUCCAAAAUUAUCUUGAGUUCUUGAACCCUUCUUAAUCAGUCUUUAAUCAUGUUUUAAUUAGGGAAAAUCAAUCUUGAUCAAUAGGUAAUUCAGAUCUAAUAAUUCGGGAAGCAUGAAUAUGGUUAAUUAUAAACUAGUUUAUAGUUUCCGUUUAGAUAUUAGGGGUAGAUUGAUAAUUGCCCCAAAUCAACAGUGAGGCCGAAAGAUGUUCGUGCGUACGAUUCACAUCAAAUUAGUGUAAGAAACUUAACUAGUUUGGAUUCAAAAAAUUGUUAUAAUUGUAAAGGUUGGAUUGAACCCAUAAGUGGGUGUUAGGGGGGCUGUUUAAUAGGUAUAGUAAUCAAGUUUAAUACUGAUUUUUAAUUUAGGUUAAUUUUAAAGCUUAUUAAAGAAACCGCGAGAUUCGCUAGUAUGCUGUAGAUGAGUGUAAAAUAAGGUGUGGGUCCUAACUCUAAGACUUGGAUGUUUAUAAUGAUUUUAAUGAUAUAAAUGAUGGUUUCACUUGCUGAUCGGGCUGGGCUAAUUAGCUAAGUAAUUAAAUUUGUAAGUGGUCGAAUCGGGUACGUUUCAAGUCCUAACUAUUUGGCAUGAUAGCAAUGUUGCUAGUUUGACUGAAUGAUUGAUGUUGUCAUGAAUGUUUGGUUAGUUUGAUGUAUGAUUGGUUGCAUGUAUAGCCAGUUUUUGAAUGAAAGUAAGGCUUAUACAUGAUAUAUUCGUACAAGUGAUUUGCUAUGAAAUGUUCGAAAGAUUGCUAUACAUUCACACAGAAAAGUUGUAACUGUACAUGAAAUUGUGAUUUGUUAAAUUAUACCACCUUGAAGGUAAAUUGAAAGUUGGAUCGAUGAUCUUACUCACUGAAUGUAUUUGAUAAUUUGAGGGCAUGUUGAACAUACCAAUAAAUUGUGAAAGUAUUGAAUUAUGACUAUGUAUGAGAUUGUAUGACAUUGAUUAGAAUUAGGUUUUUCAACCUAUAAAUAGAUGUAAUCGAAACUUCUCUUGUAUUAUUCGAAUUCGACAUUAGUGAAUUUUUUUCUCCUCUGCCCGUGGUUUUUUUCCUAAAGGCUUUCCACGAAAAAUCUGUGUGUUCUUUUUUUUUUAACAAUAUUUUUAUAUUGCCAUUAUCGAUGUUCAGUUUUUAACAUAUUCUAAUCAGUAUGAAUCGAUUUUGCUCAAAAUAGACAAAAAAAAAAACUAUCGAAACUAAAUUUAAAUUACUUAGACUAAUCUAGAAUUGAAGCAGUACAUAUCAACCCAUAGUACCAAUAUAAUAGCAGAGAGAAUCGUGAUAAACUGGACAAUGCAUAUGUUUAUAUUAUAAUGAUCCUAAGCUGGACCAUGCAUAUAUAGUUUUCUAAGUAAAUUCCUAGAAUCCAUUAAAUAUAUACGCAAUACGCUCUGUCUCUUCCUUUCUCGGGAUCUACAUGUGCUGUGCUGACUUUUCCUUUUCCAUUCAGUUAUCUUAUACAACAUCAACGAAGGUUCUAUUUUAAAGAAUACCCUUCAUAAAAACUAAUAUUUUGGGUUGAUAACUAUUCUUCCUUGAGUUCUCAUUUUUAUCAUUAUACUCAAUAUUUAUUAAUUUUUCCUUAAUGCAAAUUGCAUCAAGAAUUUGUUUAUUUUACCUCAAAGAGAUUAGACCCAACAUCUUACCCGUACCCGUACAGUGGGCAAAACAAGGACGACGCCAAGGGAGCUGGUAGGGGUCAGGCCACCCUUAAACUAAAAAAAAUCACUUUGAUCCCUUUAAAGUUAAUAAAAUUAUUAGUAAAUGAUUAAAUUGUAUUUGAAACCUUUAAAAUAGUAAAAAAGUUUAACUUAAUCUUUGAAAAUAUAUAAAAAUAUAAGUUAAUACAAUAACAAAAUUAUAUUUUAAUUUUCGAAUUGAGCAUACUGUUCAUAGUUUCAGUAAAAACAUAUACUUGUAGAAUGAGUCAUUGGUGAUUCUUGUCCUCAUAUGCACAUUUUGCAUAUAAACAUAGUACAAAUCUUUUGAAUAUAUAAAAAAUAAACUUUAAAAAGUUUAAUAAACUCGAAUUCAAAUUCCAUCCAAUGGGAUAACAUAGAUUAGUGUUUUGGUACCUAAAACUGAUAUAAAACCAAUCCUCAUAUGCACAUUUUGCAUAUAAACAUGGUACAAAUCUUUUGAAUAUAUAAAAAAUAAGUUUUAAAAAGUUAAAUAAACUCGAAUUCAGAUCCAAUUCAAUCAAAUGGGAUAACAUAGGUUACUUUUUUGGUACCUAAAAUUGAUAUAAAACCGACGAAGAAAACAUACCGUAAUUGAAGUUAUAAUUGCUAAUUAACAAGACAUUAUUGCUGACAGUCGUGUCAUUUUAGAUUCACAUAAUAGUACAAGGAGCAGGAGAAGGAUCAGCAACCACUCUGUAACAUUCAAACUGUGGCGGUUGUUGACAGUAUAUAAUUUGAGGAGGCGGUGUCGGUGGAGCUGGUGGUUUGGGUGGUGAUGGUUCUUUUACUUCUUCAACUAUUUCAAUGGUUGCAUGGCAAAGCUUCUUCCUCAAUGCCUCAGUCAAGCAUGCUACAUCCACCCCUUCACCUAAUAUCAUUAGCUUGUCCUUUUCCGGUCCAUGUAAGGCCACCGAAUUAACCCCUGAGAAUCCAUUACAUGAAUUAAAACCAUUGUUUCAUUAAAUAUGUUUUUAUUUGAUUGAAUCAAUUAAGAUUACUAACAGUAAACAUACCAUAUGCAACAGCAGCAACCUGUAAAGCUUCUGUUCGGCAUUUGCUGCAAUGCAUUGAAACUUUAAUAACUAUCUUUUGCUGCACAUUUGAAACAAAUUAAACAUCAGGUUUCUGAAAAUUUUAUACACAAUCAAUAAAUUAUCAGAAAUAUGUAGGCAUUCCUAUAUGAAGACCCUAAAAUGUUAUUUUUCACUGAAAAAAGUGAAAUAUAUAAGAAUAUAAAUUGCUAUAUUACUAUACUAUACCUUCAUAUUCUCUGGCACCGAAACGAAUGUUGCUUUUAGACAAUUAGGCUUUUUUACAGUAGCUGAUUCCUGCAGAAUAAAAGCAGUCAUCACUUGCUAUUUAUAUAAUGUUAUUAGAUACAAGGAUCAAUAGGUAUAAUUCCAAAUUUAGUCCUCAAUGCUUAUAUCUUUAUGUCAAUUUGACCUUUAUUCUUAUUUUGAGCUAAAUUUGACCAUUAUUCUUUAAAAGAAGUCAAAUUUCUUCUUCUUUUUUAACAAAAGUGAAAACUAAAAUAUUAUUUUUUUUAACAAAGUUUACAUACGUCAACAAAUAAUUCAAAAAUUAUAAAAAUAUUCAAACAAAUAAAAAUUUUAAAUAUAUAUAAAUUCGAAAAGAAAUAGCAUGAAGUACACUUGGAUUGUCAUUCAGGUUAUCAUACCUAAAAAUUUAAGGUUUUUAGUCAAUAUCUCCAUUCAAAAAAUAGUAAUAAUUUGACUCAUUUUGAAAGAAGGACCGAUUUAACUAAAAAAGAAUAAUGACCAAAUUGAUAAAAAAAUAAAAAUUAAUGACUAACUUUGUUAUUAUCCAUAAAUAAUAAAUUAAAUUUAGCUUCAAUGGAAGUUUAAGGAUUAAGUUAAUGAUGAUCCAUAAAUUGCGGGUUCAACGCCAAUAGCUUAGCCUAUCAAACCAAUUAACUUAAUCUUGAGUAGUUAAUAAUUAAAAAUUCAAAAGUCAAUUCUUAUUUAAUGAUCAGAUUGUUAAUCAAUGGGGAACGAAUAUUAAGAAGAUUUUAUAAGCACAUGAUUGAAACCAAAGUACAUCAAACAAACAACUUAUAUGGAUCCAUUUUCAUUGUUCAGCUCAACAACUUGCAGGAAAAUGUGGUUUUGGAAACUUUGGGGUUGAAUUUGACGUAAUCAUGUUAGUUGAUGCUUAACCUCAGCAAACAUGCAACUUUUUCUGCACCUGGUGCAAUGUUUUUCUUUAGGUUUUACGAGUAUAGUAUUAAAUAAUUCUCUUUAGGUUGAGAGUAGUAUUAAAAUAAAAUAAUCCAAAUUUAAUCAAUAUGUCGAGAAGAGAUUUUUUUAGCCGAAAAUGGAAAACAAUUCUAAGUAGUGAUUAAUGCCAACAAUAAAAAAUUGGAUUGGUGUCAUAUCGGUUCAAUUAGACCGAUUAGACCAUCAUUUUUUAGUUCGAUCGGUUUGAUUUUAAUUAAAUAAAUUAUUAAAAAAAUUAUAAAAUCAAGUCGACUGGCAUUGAACAGUUUACUCAAAAAUCGAUUCAAUACCUUUAUAUGUACUGAUAUAUUGGUCGGUAUGAUCUGAUUCCAACAACCAUGAUGUUAUUUGGUAUGUAUUAUUUUAUGGAUAGGUUUUAAUUGAAUCAUUUGUAAAAAUUUGAUCUCUAAUUUUUUUCAUUGAUAUGUAUGAUAUAUGUAACACUCCAAACCCGACCUAGAAGUUUAAGCCGAAUCUAGACGAGCUAUACCAACGUAGUAAAAACAUACUUCUUGUCAGAGUUUUAACUUUGAAAAUCAGAAAAUCAUUUUAGUCAAUUUAGAGGAUUUUGUAAUUUCAUUUUAGACUUGGCAGAUACUGAUGAGAUUAUAAAAAGAAAAAUUAGACAAGUCCAAAACAGUUUACAAAUCCAAAGGAUUAAAUCAAAAAAAAAUCAUAAAAAUAGGACAAGUAGUGAUUAAUUCCAACAAUAAAAAAUCGGAUUGGUGCCAAAUCGGUUCAAUUAGACCUAUCAGACCAUCAAUUUCUAGUUUGAUCGAUUUGAUUUUAAUUAAAUAAUUUAAAUUAUUAAAAAAUUAUUUAAAAAGUUAUAAAAUCAGUUCAAAUGGGAUUCAACAAUUCACUCAAAAAUUGAUUUAAUCCAUUUAUUUGCACUGAUAUAUUAGAUGAUAUGAUCCGAUUCCAACCACAUUAUUUGGUAUAUAUUAUUUUACAGAUAGGUUUUAAUUGGACCAUUUGCAAAAAUUUAAUCUCUAAUUUUUUUCAUAUCAUAUUCAAUACAAAAUAAAUAUAAUAAAUAGAGCACAUUUAAAUAAAUUUAUCACAACAACAACCAAAAAUACAUUAAUCACAACAAUUUGAACACAAAUUAUAAUAUUUCAUGCACAUUUUAUCAUUUUUAUUAUAUUUAUGAUGAUUACAUUAACAAGUGUUCACUUAAGAAUUUAAGAAGAGAAUUGGCUUAAUUAACAAUUAUUUAUUGACAAUAUUAGAGAUAAUUAAUUAUCUGGAACAUUUUAUUAGGUAAAUUUAAUUUUUUUAAAAUUUGAGGAUUAGGGUUGAUAAAAUGCCAUGCAAAUUCAUCAGAUUCAUUGUAUAAUAAUGGAAGGUACAUAUGGAUCGCAGUUCACAAUGUAUUUUAAUUUGAUUAAUUUAGUUCCUUUUGAUUUUGUCAAACUCUAUUCUAAUAGUUACUUGGAAUAGAAAACAAAGUCAAUACUAAAAGUCUUACAUUAAUCUUAUAUAUGAAGAUUCAAGAACUAUUAAGUAUGCACUUGAUUUUAACUUCUAUAUUAAAUUUAUGGGUUAAAUAUUAAAAUUCUACGUUAAUUUUAGUUUAAUGUGUAAUUUUAUGUAUAAUUUUUAUUCGGUAUAAUUAUAUAUAUUAAAAUUCAAUUACAAUUUAAAUGUGUAUAUCAAGUUUUGAUUUUGAUCUAAAAUAAUUCAAAUAAAAUAAUUCAAAUUUAAUCUAAAUAUCUCGAGAAGAGAUCUUUUUUAGUCGAAAAUGGAAAAGAAUUCUAAGCAUGGAUUAAUGCAUGCCAACAAUAAAAAAUCGGGUUGGUGUCAAAUCGGUUCAAUUAGACCUAUUAGACCAUCAAUUUCUAGUUCAAUCGGUUUGAUUUUAAUUAAAUAAAUUAUUAUAAAUUAUAAAAUUGGUUCGACUGAUAUUAAACAGCUCACUCAAAAAUCGAUUCAAUACCUUUAUCUAUACUAAUAUAUUGGUUGGUAUGAUCCGAUUCCAACAACCAUGAUGUUUUUUGGUAUAUAUUAUUUUAUGGAUAGGUUUUAAUUGAAUCAUUUGCAAAAAUUUGAUCUCUAUUUUUUUUCAUUGAUAUGUGUGAUAUAUAUAGAGAGAGGCAUAUCUAGGGGGAUUGGUGGAGGCCUUAACCUCCCCUAAAAUGGAAAAUUGUCUAUUUAGGUAUUUUAGAAAUUUUAGAAUGUUAAAUUAGUAGAAGUAAAAUUGCAGUUAACACUCCUAAAAUAAUAAAAAUUUGAUUUAAUCUUUUAAAAAUUAUAAAUAUAUAAACUAUUAAAAUUUAAAAUUUAAUUUCGACCCUCCCUAAAAAAAAGUUCUCCCAUAUUAUGAUUUGGAUAAAAUACAAUAAUAUGAACCAAUAUAUGGUGUUUGAAAAAUAUGUAGGGGAGAAAAACAAAUUAAGACUUUGAGGUGUGAAGACAUUUUUGUUGAUGCAAAGUCAUAAACAAAAUAUUAUACUAAUUACAAUAAUAAUAAAUUGAGCACAUUUAAAUAAAUUUAUCACAACAACAACAAAAACACAUUCAUCACAACAAUCUGAAUGCAAAUUAUAAUCAUGUUAGGAUGUUAGUUCACUUCAGAAUUUGAGAAGAGAAUUGGCUUAAUUAACAAUUAUUUAUUGUAAAAGAAAAUGCAAUAUUAGAGAUAAUUCAUAUUAGUUAAAUUUAAUUUUUUUUUAUAAAAUUUGAGGAUUAGAGUUGGUAAUAUGCCAUGCAAAUUCAUCAGAUUCAUUGUAUAAUGGAAGGUACAUAUGGAUCACAGUUCACAAUGCAUUUUAAAUUUGAUUAAUUUAGUUGCUUUUGAUUUUGUCAAACUUUAUUCUAAUAAUGUGAAUAGAAAAUAAAAUCAAUACUAAAAGUCUUACAUUAAUAUUAUCAAGAUUCAAGAACUAUCAAGUAUGAACAUGAUUUUGUUUUCUAUAUUAAACUUAUGGGUUAAAUAUUAAAAUUAUACAUUAAUUUUAAUUUAGAUUCAACUGUAAAUAUUUAAAGAAAUAAAUAUAUCAAUUUAUUUUUAUUGAAUAAAUAUAAUUAUUUGUGUAUAUAGUGUGUUAAGGUAAAAUGAUGUUAUAUUGAUAACUAUAUUAGUGAUUUGUAAAAAUUGAAUCAAAUUAACAUGUAUAAAAUUACACAAAAUUAAAAUUCAGGUAUAGCAUUGCACAUUGGACCAAAGUACAUGUGUAGCUUUAAACAUGAUCCCUGAAUGUAUUUCAGUAUAUCUAUCAUGACUUAUUUAGCCCUCGAACUUUAUAAAAAAAAAAGUCAUUUUAGACAUCCAUUUAAUUAUUUUUUUGCCCCUUUUGGCCUUUAAACUUGCGUUGUUUGUCAAAACACUUCAAAAUAGAUAGAAAUAUUAGUGCUCGUUAACUUUGCUAACGUGACAUAUACAUUUGACUCGAUUUGAUUCGAUUAAAAAAAAAAUUCAAAUUGAAUUCGGUUGCUAAAAUAGGAUUCGUCAACUCGAUUAACUCCAAUUUUUUUAACUCGAUUCGAUCAAAUACUCACUCUUACUCUAUUCUACAUUUGAUGAUUGAUUAAUUAAUAAGUACUGGAAUACAAAAAGAAAGUCAUACGGGCACCAAAUUUGACAUUAUUUAGUCAAUACUAAAGGUCUUAAAUUAAUAUUAUAAGAUUCAAUACCUAAGUGUGCACAUUAUUUUCUAUAUUAAAUUUAUGGGUUAAAUAUUAAAAUUAUAUAUGAAUUUUAGUGUAAUGUGUAAUUUGAUGUGUGAAUCUUAAUUUGGUAUAAUUAUAUAUAUGAAGCUUUAAUUACAAUUUAAAUGCGCACAUGAAAUUUUGAUUUUGAUUCAACUGUACACACUUGAAGAAAUAAAUAUUUCAAGUUAUUUUUAUAUUGAAUAAAUAUAAUUAUUUGUGUAUGUAGUAUGUUAAGGUAAAAUGAUGUUAUAUUGACAAUUGUGUUAGUGAUUCGUGAAAAUCAAAUCAAAUUAAUAUUUAAUGUAUAAAAUUACACAAAAUCAAAAUGCAUGUAUAGCAUUGCACUUUGGACCAAAGUUCAAGUGUAACUUCGAACAUUACCCCUAAUUUUAUUUUGGUACAACUAUCAUAAAAAAGGCAUAAUGACUUAUUUGGCCCACCAACUUUACAAAAAAGUCAUUUUAGACCUCUAUUUUUUUUACCUCUUUUGGCCCUUAAACUUGUGUUGUUUGUCAAAAAACCUCAAAAUAUAUAUAAAAAAAAGUCAAUGUUUGUUAAUUUUAUUGACAAGGCAUACAUGUGGAUUCCAUGUUAACAAUUAUUUUUAAAAAUUUUAAAAUUUUGAAAAAUAUAAAAUCAUUUACAAAUUUUAAAAAUUAUUAAAAAUAUAAAAAAUAUUUUUAAUGCUUAAAAUAUUAAUUAUUUUUUAAUAUUAUACAUGUAAAUUGCAUGAAUUCCAUGUUAGCAAAGUUAAAUUUUCCAUCCAUUUUAAGGUGAUUUAACAAACAAUAUAAGUUCAAUGGCAAAAAGAGGUGAAAAAUAAAAUAGAGAGUUAAAUAAGUGAUUAUGCCUAAAAAUAAAUUAAACAAAAAUCCAUUGUAACUGUUGAGUUCUAUGGCGGCAAACUCAAUGGAGUGAGUUAUAGUGAUCCUACUACUGUGAAAAAAUAUGCUAGACGUGCUCAAUUGGGUGAAACUUUUUAAUUAGAUCAUGCUACUUUGAAAUCCGAUGGUGUUUUUCGUAGCAGUCCGAGGGGUUGGUUUACUUUUGGGCAUGCUUCGUUUGCCUUGCUUUUCUUCUUCGAACACAUUUGGCAUGGUGCUAGAACCAAGUUCAGAGAUGUUUUUGCCAGUAUUGAUCCAACUUUGGAUACGCAAGUGGAACUUGGAGCAUUCCAAAAACUUGGAGAUCCAACUACAAGAAAACAAGUAGUCUGAUGCAAGAUUGCUUUGUUAACUUAGAUCUUCGGUGAUCACGAGUUCUUUUCUUUUUCCAAUUCUUUUUACGUGUAUUAGAUGAAUUUUGUGACAUGAAAAUUUUAACUUAUUGAUUGGUUCCAUUCGAUUCGAACAACCAUGAUGUUAAUUGGUAAAUAUUAUUUUCUAGAUAGGUUUUAGUUCAACUAUUUGCUAAAAUUUGAUCUCUAAUUUUUCUUCUAGAACAUUUUAUUAGUUAAAAUUGAAUUUUUUAUAAAAUUUGAGGAUGACUGUCGGCAAUAUGCCAUCAAAAUUCAUUGUAACGUUCACAAUGCAUUUUAAUUUGAUUAAUUUAGUUGCUUUUGAUUUUGUCAAACUCUAGAAUUGAUGGAAUAGAAAAGAAAGUCAUACCGAAACCAAAUUUGACCCUAUUUAGUCAAUAUUAAAAGUCUUAAAUUAAUAUUAUCAACAUUCAAGACCUAAGUGUGCACAUUAUUUUAUUUUCUAUAUUAAAUUAAUGAAUUAAAUAUCAAAGUUAUACAUGAAUUUUGAUUUAAUGUGUAAUUUAAUAUACGAAUCUUAAUUUGGUACAAUUAUACAUAUGAAGCUUUAAUUAAAAUUCAAUGCGUACAUAAAACUUUUAUUUUGAUUCAACUAUACACACUUGAGGAAAUAAAUACAUCAAUUUUUUUAUAUCAAAUAAAUGUAAUUAUUUGUGUAUGCAAUAUGUUAACGUAAAAUGAUGUUAUAUUGAUAAUUGUGUUAGUGAUUUGUGAAAAUUCAUAUAUAGCAUUGCAUAUUGGACGAAAUUUCAUGUGUACUUUUGAACAUUAUCCCUAAAUUUAUUUUGGUAUACUAUUAUACAGAAAAACUCAUCUUAGACCUCCAUUUAAUUUUUUCCCUCUUUUGACCUUUAAACUUACGCGGUUUGUCAAAUCACCUCAAAAUGAAUAAAAAAAAUUAAUACGUGUGACAUAUAUGCAAUAAAUUAUUUUUAAUUUUAAAAAAUUAAUUAAUUACAGAUAUCACAUAGUAAUACGUGGAUUCCAUGUAAUUACAUAGAUGACUUUUGUUACAUGAAAGAUGUAACAAAGUAAGCCAAAAGCGAUCCUAAAAGUGUGGAAUUACAUAGAAAUGUAGAUAAAGUUAAGAGUAGUUGAAUUGGAAAUCUAAUAAACUCCACUACACAAAUUAUUCAAUGUUGCUUGGUCAAGACUCAAGUGCUGCCUUACUUUUAUUUCACUUUUUCUGCUUCUGUUUUUCAAUAUAAAACAAAAUUAAAAAAAAAAUCUAAGAUAAACUAAUUAAAAGUCCAAAGCAGUUAUGAAUUUCUAGAAUCAGACAAGGGUGAUUUAGAUAUUAAAAUUUAGGAGUAAGGGUAAUUUAGGUAUUAAAAAUUAACAACAAUCUAAAAAAUUUGAUAAAAGUUAAUUAAUUUUUUUUUAUUAUUUGUGCUUUUGAUUAGUUUUUUUAAUUUGUUUAAAGUUACUUUUGUAGUAUUUAUCCCAAUUAAUUGUAUUUUAAGAAUAUGAUAAAGUAUGUGAUGUUUUAAUGGGUGGGAGUAAAUACGUGUUAUACUCUUUUUCUCUUAAUCAAGAUUUUGUUUCAUUGAGUUUUCUUGGUAAUGUUUUUAAUAAAGUAACAUAUUAUGCGUAUUAUAGAUUGCGUACUCUUUUUUCUUCAUUAGGUUUUUCCUAAUAAGGAUUUAACAAGGCACAUUAUCUACCAAUGGACAUCUAACGGGGAUGUCUAUCAACAUCAAGAUAAGCUUUGAUGUACUUUAAAUUCUAAUAGCCAUUAGAAUUAUAUCUCUACUUUAUUUAUACUUCUUAUGCUUAUAAAUAAAGACUUUGGAGAUGAUUUGUAAAUAUUCUCAUUGAUCGCAUUACAAAUAUCUAUAUCAACAUUCUUUUAAAUUAGUUUAUAAAAAAUAUUUAACAAUUUAAUCCAGUUCAUACAAAAAUAUAGAUGAAAUUAACAAAUGAUAAAAUCUCAAAAUGAUUUACUAUAAAAAUUUAUUAGUUUUAACUUUUUAAAAGAAAGAAAAUUAAACUUUAAAUUUUUAACUUCAAUUACAUAAGGUUAAUUUAAAUUUUAGUAUUUCAUUUUAAUUAUUCAUGAUUUAAUUAUUAUUUAAUGUUCAAAAAUUAUUUUUUGUCUAAUUAAUUAUUUUUUCUUUUUAAUAAUUAUAUUAUAUGUUUUCAAUUCUUUUUGAAGUCAUUGGAGUUAAUAAGAGUACUCUUGAUAUUUCAACACAUAUUAAGGGUAUUCUUGAUAUUCCAAAUAUAUUAAUUAAAUUAUGAAAUUUUAUUAUAUCACUAAUUAUAAUUUAAUUGAAUUAUAUAUUUUAUUAAUAUUUUUUUAUUUUUAAGUAAAUGAUUUUCAUUUAUAUGAAAUUAAUUGUUUUUAAUUCUUGAGAGUUACAUUUUUGUUUUAUUAUUAACUAAAUUAUUUUUAUUUAUAUCAAAUUAUUUUUAUUAAUUUUUGAGAGUUACCUUCUAGAAAUUUUUUUAAAAAAGUUACAAUAUUUUUAUUUAUAUCAAAUUAAUUGUUUUUAAUUAUUUUAGAGUUACAUUUUAAUGUCACUCUUCAAGUAGAGUUUUUUUUUUUUUCCCUUUUCUAAAGCAGGAAACGUUUGCCAUUUUCUUCAUAAAUAGUUAAUUUUAAAUAUUGGGUUUUAAAAAAUCAAAUAGAUUAUUUAUAAGUCAAAUUAUAAAAUGUAAAAGAUAAUAUUGAAUGAAAAAAAUAUUUAUAUGCUUUAAAAAAUAAAAAUAAAAUUGAUUAUAGAAUUUUUUUUAUGUUAAACUAAUAAAAAGUCAAAUCACGCAACGCAUGGUCAUAUUUCCAAUAGUUUAUUAAAUUGAAAUCUUUAAUUUCAUUUAUUAAAUAAUAUUUUUAUUUAAUUAAAUAUAAUUAAUAUGAUUUUAUGUGAAAUUUAAACAUUUUAUUAAAGUAAUAUCUUAACUAAGAUCAUUUUUAUUUAAUAAAUGAUAAUUAAUGGGUUUGUUUAUACAAAAUAGUUAUAGUUUUAAUUAAAAAAUGAGAAAAUAGAUUGUUAUAGAAAAUUAAUUUAUUAAAGAAUUUACUUCAUAAUUAUGAUGGUUCCUGUUAUAAGUAAAACAAAAUCCCAUUCUGCUAGAAAAAUUUCUUCUUUAUAUGAAGUGGUUAUAGAUAAACCAUCAAAAGACCCAUUUAUAGUCCUUAUGAAAGUAGGCCUUCUAGCUCAAUAAUGGGGCUUUAUAGUCGUAUCUAAAUCCAUUUACCAAUAGUUGUCUCAUUAAUGCUCUUACCAUCCCCUUUCAAGCUUCACAUCUUUCCCUCGUGUGUGUGUGUGUGUAAAAUACCUGCUCCACUAUUAAGCUUUUGGUUUCACCAAAUUGUUGAGUUGUUGCUAUUCGAGUUUCCUUGUAGGGCAUUCCCUAUCCAUUGCUCAACCUACCUCAACAAUAGCACACCUUAUGUAAAAUCCCAUAUUUGCAGAACAUAUCGCAAGCUAAUCGAUUUUUCCUUCUUAGUUUAAGCCUCACUUUUAAGCCUCCUUAAUUGAUAUACUUGUUUUCUUUCUUUUUAUAUAUGUGAACAUUUGGCUCACUUGACUACAAAGAGGAAGGAAAAAGAGUGUAUAAACACAAGAAUUAAACCCUAAAUUUCGUAUCAAUCAACUUAAAACUCACACAAUACUAACUUGAAUUGUAUGCUGGCAUAAUAUAUUGAAUGGAAUAUAUAAGAUAGAGAUUAAUUAAGACUUAACUGUCUAUAUUUGUUAUUGACAAGUAUGUAUAACCAUUGCCCUGGCCUGCAUUACUUCAUUUCAAGCAUCCCGUACAAGAUUUUUUUUUCUUUUUUAACUUAUAUUUUUUUAUGUUUGUUUUACAUUUUCAUUUAAAAUAAAUUAAGAGUUAAAAUAUAAUUUUAAUUUUUGUAAAAUAAAUUAUCAAAUGCUUAUAGGAAGGCAUCUAUUUAUAUAAGUAUAAAUUUAAAAUCAUUUUACAUCUUUUCAUAUAUUUUUGUACAAUUAAUAUUUUAACGCAUUUUAUAAUCCUUUAAGUAUUUUAGAUCGAUAUCAUAGAUACAUCAGAUAGGUUCAGAAAUUUACAUGCAUGAGAAGUUAUUAUAUCAAUAAAUUUAAUGAUUAAAAAGUUUAAAUAUUAAUAUUACAAAAUGAUAUAAAACUGAAAUAAUUUUACACCAGCUAUCCUCCCAUAAAAAGCAUAUUUGAUGAAAAAAUGUUUAAUAAUGUAAGAAAAACUACAACAAAAAAUUAAUGAGAAUUGAAGUAGACGCGUCUUUGGCAGCUUGGCUGGACACCCUUGAAGUCAAGUCAACUACGAAGAACUAAACAUUUUUGGUCGAUCAAACCAGAAGGUUUUCUCGAGAAGAAAAAAGAGUGCUUCAUUACCUUGUCUAUCUCUAAAAACAAUCGCAUUUCUUUAAUUUUUUUUGCUGCUAAUUAAGAGUUCAAACAUGGCAGAAGCUUUCUUGUCCUCUAUUGCAGCAAGGGUACUGGAGCAAAUGGCCACCAAUGUGUCAGAAGAAAUUCGCACGGCCUAUAAUGUCCGAAACGAUUUCGAAAAGCUCGAGGAGACCAUGAGCCGCAUUCAAGCUGUGCUUUUGGAUGCUGAGCGGCAGCAACACGAAAAUGAAAGCUUACACCUCUGUAUAUGGAAGCUUAGAGAAAUCUUUUACGAUGCUGAAGAUGUAGUUGAUGAUUUCAAGUGUAAAGCUCUUCGAAAACAGGUUGUCCAUGAUCACAACAUCAGCAAAAAGGUGCGAGCUUUAACUUCAUUAUCUGGUCAUCCGUCCUCUUUAAAACUGGCUUGGAAACUCAAAGAUACCAAUAAGAGGCUAAAUGAACUUACUACUGAGUGGGACAGCUUUAAUCUGAGACAAUGUAGGGAAAACCAACAUGUUUUUUACACAGAGACUCACUCUUCUGUUAAUUCUUGGGAUGUUUGUGGUAGAGGUGAACAUAAAGAGAAAAUUGCUCGUCAUUUGAUGAAACCAAGUGAGGAUCGAAAUUUCCCUGCUGUUUGCAUUGUUGGAAUUGGUGGUCUAGGGAAAACUACGGUGGCUAAAUUGGUAUACAAGGAUGAUAGAGUUAUUUGUUAUUUCGAUGUGAAGAUAUGGGUGAGUGUUUCAGGGGAGGAAUUUGAUCUUCCCAGGUUGCUCAAGUUGAUGAUUCAAUAAGUAAAGAAGAAAGCUGUGAUACUUUCACGGCUCGAGCCUUGCAAAACUGCUUGAGUAGUAUUUUAAAUUAUAAGUGGAGUUAUUUAAUUGAAGAAGCAAAUAUCAACAAAAGUCACGGGAAGGGAAUCAAACACAGGACCUCUAGCACACAAUUAACUAUUGAGCCAAAUCAAAUUUCUCAAUACAAUUAAACCCAUAAAUUAUAAAAUUUUGGACGUUACAAUUCUCGGUUUACUAACCCAAUUUUUACUAACUCAAUUUUUAAUAUGUAACAAUAUUUAUUUCCCUAAAAGAAAAUAUAAGCACAAUAAAAAAAAGGGAAUAGAAAAUGAAAAGAGUCCAAAUCAGAUAAAUACACCUCCAUAUAUAUCUUAUCUUUUUUCAAAGGGAAAGCACAAUAGGUCCAACAUGAAACUCUCUUAACCCAACCCUUUUGUGGAUAAUAAAAGCAUUUUCUAUUAAUGUACUCGGGCAUUGUCAUUACUAAAAGAAAAAAAAAAUCUUACCCUAUUAAAUUCAAAUUUCAAAAUAUAAUUGAAAUAUGAAGUUUAAAAAAAUGGGAAGAAAUUUACAUUUCAUUUCAUUAAUUAGUUACCUGAAAUCAUGUUUGUCCACGAAAUUAAUGAAUAUUUUGAUGCUAUAUCCUAUAAUAUGUUUAUAUAAAGUAAACCUAUAAUUCAUAAAGGUUAUUCAUCACAAAAAAAAAAAAAUUUAUUAGGCAAACUAACAAAACCAAAUAAUGCCUAAAAACAAUGACAACUUGAAACCUAUGUUUCACGGUUUCAAAAUGUUAGCUAUUAAAACAAUAUAUUUACUUUAAAACAAAAAAAAAACACAAUAUAUAAGGUAGCUCUCUCCAUUAAUUUUAGGCAUUAGAAAGUAAAGAAUUCGAUAAACAUUUGUUACCCUUAUCUCUUUGAUAUUAGAAUAAUUUCAAAUGGAAUUUCGGGGAGUAAACUUUGUUAGUUUUCUUAUUUUUCAACUUGGAGUUAACUCCAAUGCCUUCCCAGUGAAUGAUUUGAUAAGCAAAUUGCCGGGACAACCAGAUGUUAAUUUCAGACAAUUUGCUGGAUAUAUUGAUGUGGAUGAUAAUGUCGUUGGUCGAAGUCUUUUUUACUAUUUUGUUGAAGCUGAAAAAGAUCCCCUAACUCAACCCCUCACUGUUUGGUUAACUGGAGGUUAACUUCUUUGAAUUUUUUUAUUGUAGUUUCUGAUGUUAUGCAGAUUUUUCAGUAGGUAUCCUAUAUGAAUAAGUUAGAUUAAAUUUACCAUGCGCAAGCCAAAGCAAAGGGAAGCUAGGGCUUCGGCCCUAUUGGUUAAUUGUUACAAUUGCAUUUUUAGCCUUUCUCAAAAAAUUAGAAUUCAAUUUAAUCCCCUUUUGCCCCUUAAAAUGGAAACAUUAUCACUUUCUGCCCUUGUUAGAAAGUAAUAAUUCAAUUUAGGCCAUUUCCAUGCAAAGACUUUAGCUUUAUCUCCAUCCCUAACACAAAAUUUUUAGCCUUGCUCUGACUAUGAUUUUUUCCUCAUCUGGAAAGCGAUACGUUUAAACAUAUAUUUAAUACUUGUCGAACUAGACUAAUCAUUACGUUAGAUCAAACCAUUACUCUAUUUUUCUAGCUUUACUUAAGUCUAGCCGAUAAGUUUGUUUGAUUACUCACGUAUAAUAAAAUCUUUAGUGUAAUACUAUUCAGGACCAGGGUGUUCUUCAGUUGGAGAUGCCUUUGGAAGUGUUGGUCCUUUUAUUGUUACGAAAGAUGCUCAUGGUCUCCAAACAAAUUUCAUAUCUUGGAACAAAGGUUGUCUAACUUCCUACGCUUAUCUUUUAUUGAUAUUUUUUUUGUGUAUAUACGUCAUGUUUCAUUCUUAUUUUUUUCAUAUCCAUAUAAAUUUAUCAAAAUAUAUUAAAUGUUUUAGAACUAUAUAUAAAAUGUUACAGUACGUCUCGUUUUCUUUAUUGUGAUUAAAUGAAUUGCAUUGUCUUUCUUAUAUUGUUUUUUUGUAUUUCUAUAUCUAUAUAAAAUUCUGUCGAAUAUAUGUUUCAGUGUCAAAUCUAUUGUUUAUCGACUCCCCUAUUGGAUCUGGAUGGUCAUAUUCAAACACAAGUAGUGAUUAUAGUAACGGAGAUGAUAGCACUAGUAAGAUCAUAGUAUAUAUUCUUCAUUAUUAAUUAAAAUAGUUUGGAUAUUAUAUAUAUUGAUAGUUUUCAAUUGUUUGUUUUGUACAGAUAAAAUAUUGCUUACAUUUAUGCAAAAAUGGUAUGAAAAAUAUCCAGUCUUCAAGUCGAAAGAUCUAUAUCUAGCUGGAUCAAGUUUUGCAGGUGAACAAUUUAUUGCUUCUUUUCUCUUAUCUGGUUGUAUAUCAACAUAUUUUUAAUACACCAAAAAAUACUUAAUGAAUAACUAAACAAAAUGUCUCUAGCAUAUAGUUUUUUCUAUCUAUAUAUUGCACUUUAUUAUUUACAUAUCAAGCUUGCAACAGUAUUAUUUUUUAGAUUCAAACUCAAAUAAUUAAUCAAAUUUCUUAUUAAAUUAAUAAUUUUGUAAAAAUAAUUCAAAAAAUAUAAAUAUUUUCAUAAAUUAUUUUUUUUGAAACAUACUUCUUUAAUUGAAUAUGUCAAACUAAUUAUUUAAUAGAAAUAUAAUACGAGUUAUGGAUAAGUCUCUAUGCAACAAUACAAAAAGUAUAACAUGUUUAGUUACUAUAAUUAAACUUGAGGAUUUUAUUUCAGGACACUUCGUACCAAAUCUUGCUAAUGCUUUACUCGACGACAACAAGCAAUCCAAGCAGUCGAAAUUUAACCUCAAAGGAUUGGUUGUAAGUAAAAUUGUAUCUAAUUAAUCAAAUUUAAUUGCCACUUUAAUAUAUAUUUGCAUAAAAGGAUUAGUUAGAAAUGUUCAUGCUUGAGUAACUUGCCUAAUUCGAGAAGGCUUAGCUUUAUUUUAUUGGAUUAGGAUACUGACUUCUACGUUUUGGAUCAAACCAUUAUCACUUUGAUUAUUGUUCAUUAACUUACAUCAUAGACAAUAAAUUUUGAUUUAAAUCAAGCAUCCACACUAACAUAAAAAAAAAUUACACUGAAAUAUUAUUAAGAAUUUUAUCGGGCCUAGAUAAAACAAAAAUAACAUAUGUUGCAGUUCAAAUCUCCCGCAAACAUGGUUAGGUUCAAUUCAAUGUUAGUUUAAAUAUUUUAUUGUGAACUUUAUUUUUAUUUUCUUAAUUGUAACUAUUUUGAACAGCUGGGAAACCCAAUGCUUCGUAAAAAGCUAGACGAUCUUGCAAAAAUUGAUUUCUUUUUCUCUCGGAAGAUGAUAAACACCUCGUUGUAUAACGAAAUCAAGAAAGAAUGCAAUGCCAUUGAUGAAAAUAAUUACUUUUCUAACAUCAAAACCACUUGGAGCGCAAAAUGCAAAAACCUUGUGUUUGAGGCCGAUUUGGCUGCUUUCAAGACCGAUGCUCAUAACUACUCCCCACAGAAGCUAUUUGAUGUCUUUCGCCCUCCUUGUGCUGAAACUGAGCAAGAUUUGAACUUAGGAAAACAGGUUUUCAUUUAUUUCUUUACAUUCCUCUUACUUUACUUCAAUUUGAAACUACAAAUAACAUAUGUUCGUAUAGAAUCGAAUUAACUGAUCAACCGAGUACAACUAAUUUGUGUUAUUUUUCUUUUAUUGGUCAUAGCAAAAGCAUAAAACUUUAUUUUUUGGUCCAGGUUCCUAUAGUUAGCACAGAAGUAGACAUGUGCCAUCCAUUAAGGGUGCAAUUUUACUUUAAUCUCCCAUAAGUUCAAAAAGCUUUCCAUGGGAAUCAAACAAACUUGUCAUAUAGAUGGAAGGGUUGUUUCACGUAAGUUCUCCCUUAAAAUUUGAAAAUAAUUGAUUUUUUUUUUCUAGAUAUGUUGAUAUAAUUACUUUUUAGAAAUUAUUUUAAAUUCAAGUUUUAAGACUCAGCGGUCAAUUUUCCUUAUUUCCAUAUUGUCACCUCUUGUUUUGGUAAAAUAAAUAAAUUACUUGUUUAUUGAGGUGGAUGAUGUGUAAAAAAUUUUAACCUUGAAAUUUUCAUUAUAUGUCACUCUUAUUUAUUUAGAGCUAAUUUUAAAUACAACGAAGCUGAUAAGGACCUUGACAUGCUUCCUGCGCUUAAAAAUCUUCUUCAACUAUCCGUUCCCAUUACAAUAUCCAGGUUGGUAUUGUAUUUGUACACCCUACUUUUUCCCAAUACUUUCUUGAAAUAAGUUAAAUAAGUAUGAAGAAUCGAAGUGAACGAUCUUGAAAAGAAAUUCUCGUGCCAUUUGACUGAUUUUUUAUUUUAUCUUAUUAAUUUGAUUACAAUGUUAUAGUGGAGAUCAAGACGGUAUAAUACCGAUAGAGGGAACCUUACAACAUUUGGAAAAGUUGGCCGAGGAGUUAAACAUCAAGUUAACAAAAAAGGAAACAUGGAGUUUUGGAACCAAGGUUUUAUGUUUACACAUUUAAUUAUAUAUAUUAGCUUUUUUUAUAUAUUAUGAUUAGAUAUAUUUAAGCAUCAAAUUAUCGGCCGGAUAUGGUUACCAAUUUGGAUCUAAACUUGAACAAGAAAAUUUAAGUGUUGACUCAAUUGGCUUGAUUAGCGCGUUCAAGGCAAGCUCACACUACUUACCUAGUUCAAUAGGCUUGACCAAUAAGUGCCGGGCCGUAACAAGAUUUUUCACAAAUUUUGGGCAACUCAUCCUGAAUUUUCAUUUAAAUAUUAAAAUAUUAAUGUAAACAUAUUUUAUAUUUACUAAUUAAUAGUUAGUCGAGCCAAUAGGUUGGCUCGAGCUAACUUAAUCAUAAAAAAGUAAAUAUAUUAGAAGAAAAUAAUUUUACAACAUUUCAUAUAUAUUGAACAAUGGAAUGGGUUUUCUUUUUUACUAUUUAUAUUUAUAAAUUUCUAUUUUAAUACAAUAAAAUUAACUAUAAAUAUUUAACAGGAAGGAGGGUUGAAGUAUGAAUUUGGAGACUUACUAAAAUUCUUGACGGUGAAGGGAGGUAAUCAUCAUGUUACAUCUUCUCGACCAUCGCAAGCUUUUUCUAUUUUCACAAGUUUCACAAUUAAAUGGAUGCAUUGAGGAUUGGUAAUGAAACUUAUGGAGCACACGAUCAUGAUUCAUGUUGAAUCCAUCAUUCACCAUAAUAAGACUUGUCGUUGUAAUAAUUUAUUGUGAUGAUAUGUAUUAUUUUAUGAUGCAUGGAGAUCAUAAAUUUUUAUAUUAUGCAAUAAUAUAAUUAGUUAAAUAAUCUGAUAUCUAACGAAUAAUUAUUAUUUUAAUAAAAUCAUGCAAUUUUCAUACAUGAAAUUAACAAAUAAAGAGAACUCAACCUAAUAUGCGUAACAAUUUUUUACUGAUACAUACUCUAAAACAAUGUGAAUAGUAAUUUCUUAUAUUUUCUUGAUCAUAAGUGUACUUAUUAUAAAAGACGAUAACAAUAUGCACACAAAACCCUUUUUCCUUAAACUCUCCUACAAAAGAAAACUUAACCUUAGAUUUGCGUUGUUGUGUGAUUGGCCACCACCUUCUCCCUUCUAUUACUUCCCUCUUAAUUUUACUUUUUUCGAUUUCCUUCGUUACCCCUUGUCGGGGUGGUUUUGGAGGAGCAAUUUCGGGAAGCAACACGAUUGAGCCUGUUUCAUAGCCGCUGUCUCAUCUCCUGCAUUAGGGUGCUUGUUUUCGUUACAAAUUUGGCAUUGUUGUGGAAACAUCAAAGAACAAGAUGAGUGUGAUUUUAUGGCAAAUUGGGGUGGACAACAAAUGGCUUUCAAGUUUGUUGUGUCUUGGCCUUUCUUUGUCCUAGUUCUUUUGUUCGACUCUAGUGUCUCCCUUGUCUCUUAAAUUUCAGUUUUGCUUUUGUAGUCAAGAAAUACGAUCCGGUUGCAUGCAAGAGAAAGGCUUGUGAAUGCAUAAUGACUUGAUGCACCAAUUCUCUCCAAUUACUUUCCUCCAUGCUUUCAAUAAAUUAGUAAAGGAAAUCCUAGUCUUUGCAGGCCAUGUUCCAAGAGUUAUUUUGUUCGAUUUUCGAUGCAUUCUACCACCUUUUUAUAUCGUCAAAUGCUUAUGCAACAACUUUUACUUUAAUGAAAGUUUCUUUUGGUUUGUUAAAAUUACACAAUUUCCCAAUCCAUGUACUUAAGCGACUAUCAAAAUAUGUCAAUAACUUCAUUUCUCCAAUCAAUUACGCUCUCUUCUUUUAUCUUCAUUUCUCAAUAGCUCAACUUCUCUAGCUAGAUCAAGUAGUCAGUAUCAUACUAGUGGAUGCAAAGUUUUUGUUUUGGUAAUCGUACUAGUUUAUUUUAUGUUUUGUUUCAGCCUUAUUGUUGUUUCUUAAAUAUAUUUUCCUGUUUAUAUCUUAGUUUCUCGAUAAAAUAUAUUAUAUAUGCAAAUAUACCAUAACAAUAUACAUUUAACAAUUUAUUUAUAUAUAUAUUUUUAAAUACUAAUUGCAUCGAAUGAUUAUAUUUUAUUUCUAAAUGUAACUAUAAAAUAAAGAUCUUGCUUUUUAAGACAAAAUAGCGUAAAUUUUUUACUGAAACUGUGAAUAUCUUAUGCCAAUCGUUAUGUGUAACACCCCGAACCCGGCCAACACAUUAUGGCCGAAUCUGACGAUGUCACAUGGUAGUGCUUUUUGAAAACUAUGUCGUCGCUAAAUCCCCUUUUCUAUUUAACCAUUUUUUUUCAUUUUCCUAUGUUAAUUUCAAAUCGUGUCUUUCGUUUCCAAAACAUUAUUCAUUUAGAAAUCGUUAUUAAAUAUCCAAACAUUUUUUUAUUGCGGAAGCUUUUAAACAGUUUGCGUAUUCGUGGUAUUUUUGAUAAAAUAUUAAUUUCAUUUGAAAACCCGAGUUUUACCUAACACUGGCAGAUUUAAAUCAUAAAAUCGUAUACAAUCCAAAUUUAAACCAAAAUCCAUAAAAGCCAUAAUUACAGCAAACUACUCCCAAAUAAAAGUAAAAUCAUGAAUAGGUAAUAAACAGUGUAAAAGAAGUCAUGUGGCCACCACUGAGUCCCCUGUCGUACCAAUCCACCUAUAUUUGGGGAUUACCUGUACAGAUUAAACAGAAGGGGUGAGUUUACAUAAACCCAGUGUGUAAUCCUCGUACAAAUGUACAGACAGGAAACAGAUAAUCACAGUCUGGGCUUAAGCCUUUUUCAGUAUCAGUCUAGUUUGGGCUUUAGCCCAUCUCAUUACAAAAAUAGGCAUGCAGUAAGGCUUUAGCCCAUCACAGUAUCAAUAGCAGUAACAGAUAUGCAGUCACAAAUAUCCUACCCAACUAGCCUCUACAAACCAUUUUAAUCCAACCCUACACUCCAUGUGGGUAUAUAAUCAACCCACCCAUCCCUACACUCCAAGUAGUACCAAAUGUGGCACUAGACAGUAGUUUGUAGCUGAGCUGCCAGUAAAUUAGGCUCGAGGCCUUUCAGUACACUUCCUCCGAACAUUACAAUCCCCUAGCCCAAUGCAAUGUAACAUACAUAUAUGACUUGCUAUAACAUAAUAUCAUGCAUGUAAACAAGGCAUACAGUAUCAAACCAGUGGGACACCAUCAGGCUUAAUCAUAUCAGUCAUAAAGUCAUUUCAGUCAGCUAGGGGUCUAGGUAAGCUUACCGAUCCUACAGUAUGUCCACAGUCGACUCAGGCGACCAAUGCAACCUUAGCAAUAAAACAGUGAAAAUGGGCCUACAAGCCCAUGAUGUUUGCCCAUGUAGGCCCGCACGCCCGUGUGGCCCAAAUUGGCCUUGACCUCGUGAUCCAUUUUAAUGUAACCCGUGCUAGAUAAUUAAUCACAUGUGUUUCCACUAUUUACUUAUAUGAUCUUUCAAAGUUGUCUACUUGAGUCACUGUUACUAAAUUAUUUAUAUCUUGAGCUAUAGAAUUUCGAAUUAAGAUCCUCUUGAUGUCUUUGAAACUAGACUCAAGUACCUUUCUACCAUAAAAUUUCUAUAAUUUUUGGAUUAGCCAAUAAGUACAGUAAAAUCUUUAAGCUUUACCAUAUUCUGCUGUCUGACAGCUCCGACUCUUCUUUGCUAAAAAUUAGUUAUCUGUUAGUACAAAAUUUGGAUGAUGUUUCCAUUUGUUUCUAUUGAAAAUAGACUAAUUAAUAAUUUAAACAUGUAAAUUUUAACCCCUAAUUAUUUUUCUCCAAUUUUUUCAAAGUCAAAAUAGGGGAACUCGAAUUUAUUCUAACCUUGUCUUACAAAGUUUGUUAUAUCUCAAGAUUUACAAUUCCAUUACUAACAUCGUUUCUUCUAUGAGAAACUAAACUCAACAAGCUUUAAUUCCACAUUUUUUUCAUCCUCUAAUUAAAUUUCCAAAAUUUAUGACAAUUUUUCAAAGUCAGCCUAUUGUUGUUGUCCAAACAGCAAGGAAUUUCGUCAUUUCGCUGAAUCCCUUAUUUUUGCGUUUCGGGUACACAUCUGGUUUUGUAUGAUGCUAAAACAGUCCCCGAGCACUCCAAAGCCUAUAAUUGAACAAAUAACACCAUAAUCAGUCUUACCUCGCGAUUAAUCAAAAUCCCAAAACCAAAAUACUUACCCAUAAAAUGUGAACACUUACCGCAAAACUUUAAAUCGGUACGUUUACGAAAAUCACGAUGAGAGCCUUAAUCCUCGCAAAAUGCUGCUACCAACACCCCAGAAAUAGACUAUUGAACACAAAAUAAUAUAUUAAAAUGAUACCCAACAACUUACUGAAUUUGCACAAGUGCUGCUUAACGCUACGAAAUCAAGAGGAAAGAAUGAAUUAGGGGAAACAAGGGAACUUCAGCCGUAGUAGAGGAAAGAAAAAUAAAAGGUAACAGAGUAAGAAACAAAGAAAAAGAAAAAUUCGACAGAGAUGGAGGAGAAAACUUCAGAAAGAUGGAGAGAAAAGCAACUCUCUCUUUUUUUGAAAAAGGAAAAAAUAAUCAGAUUUUGGAUAUACUCCCCUAAUUCACUCCUAAAAUCUCUCCCCCACUUCACUACACAUCCACUGCUCAGAAACCCAGUUCCGUACAACUCUUGCUGAAAUUAGGAGCAAAAAAAAAAAUUCAACCCUUGCCAUCCCAGAGAUUCAAACCCAUGACCUCCACCAUAAUAAUACACCAUUUAACCACCAAACCAGCAGGCCCAUACUAAUGUAAUUUACCCAACAAUCAAAUAAAAGCCUACUGAACAAGAGUAAGACCCAAUUCAUCCAAAAUACCAAAAUUUGCCCAAGCGAAGGCUUAAACUUGAGACCUCCCAAGCACUCCCAAAACACAUAACCACUAAAGCUAACAGAUAUUUGUGUUAUAUUUUCACAAUAACGAAAUUAGAAAUUUUGGGGCGUUACAGUAUGGGCUAGGAUAAGCUGAAAUAAACUGAAACACAAAAAAACCAAAACAAGCCAAUUGAUUUACUAGUGAAUCAGUACAAUUAGAAUCAACAAAACACGAAACCUAAGAAUAAGCUGAAGCCUUACCAUUGAACCAGGAAAUAUCAACAAAAGUCAAGGAAGGGAAUCAAACACAGGACCUCUACCAUACAACCAAAACAGUUAACUACUGAGCCAAAUCAAAUUUAUUAAUACAAUUAAACUCAUAAAUUAUAAAAUUUUGGGCUUUACAACUCUCGGUUCACUAACCCAAUUUCUACUAACCCGAAUUUUGGGAUAUGACAAUAUUUAUUUCCCUAAAAUAAAAUAUAAGCACAAUAAAAAAAAGGGAAUAGAAAAUGAAAAGAGUCCAAAUCAAAUAAAUACACCUCCAUAUAUAUCUUAUCUUUUCCAAAGGGAAAGCACAAAGGUCCAGCAUGAAACUCUCUUAGCCCAACCCUUUUGUGGAUAAUAAAAGCAUUUUCUAUUAAUGUACUCGGCCAUUGUCAUUACUGAAAGAGAAAAAAAUCUCACCCUAUUAAAUUCAAAAUUCAAAAUAUACUUGAAAUAUGAAGUUUAAAAAAAUGGGAAGAAAUUUACAUUUCAUUUCAUUAGUUACCUGGAAUCAUAUUUGUCCACAAAAUUAAUGAAUGUGUUGAUGCUAUAUCCUAUAAUAUGUUUAUAUCAAGUAAACCUAUAUUUCAUAAAGGUUAUUCAUCACAAAAAAAAAUUAUUAGGCAAACUAACAAAAAAAAAUAAUGGCUGAAAACAAUGACAGCUUGAAACCUAUGUUUCACGGUUUCAAAAUGUUAGCUAUUAAAACAAUAUAUUUACUUUAAAACAGAAAAAAACACAAUAUAUAAGGUAGCUCUCUCCAUUAAUUUUAGGCAUUAGAAAGUAAAGAAUUCGAUAAACAUUUGUUACCCUUAUCUCUUUGAUAUUAGAAUAAUUUCAAAUGGAAUUUCGGGGAGUAAUCUUUGUUAGUUUUCUUAUUUUUCAACUUGGAGUUAACUCCAAUGCCUUCCCAAUGAAUGAUUUGAUAAGCAAAUUGCCAGGACAACCAGAUGUUAAUUUUAGACAAUUUGCUGGAUAUAUUGAUGUGGAUGAAAAUGUCGUUGGUCGAAGUCUUUUUUAUUAUUUUGUUGAAGCUGAAAAAGAUCCCCUAACUCAACCCCUCACUGUUUGGUUAACUGGAGGUUAACUUCUUUGAAUUUUUUAUUGUAGUUUCUGAUGUUAUGCGGAUUUUCCAGAAGGUAUCCUAUAUGAAUAAGUUAGAUUAAAUUUACCAUGCGCAAGCCAAAGCAAAGGGAAGCUAGGGCUUCGGCCCUAUUGGUUAAUUGUUACAAUUGCAUUUUUAGCCUUUCCCAAAAAUUAGAAUUCAAUUUAACCCCCUUUUGCCCCUUCAAAUGGGAACAUUAUCACUUUCUGCCCUUGUUAGAAAGUAAUAAUUCAAUUUAGGCCAUUUCCAUGCAAAGACUUUAGCUUUAUCUCCAUCCCUAACACAAAAUUUUUAGCCUUGCUCUGACUAUGAUUUGUUCCUCAUCUGGAAAGCGAUACGUUUAAACAUAUAUUUAAUACUUGUCGAACUAGACUAGUCAUUACGUUAGAUCGAACCAUUACUCUAUUUUUCUAGCUUUACUUAAGUCUAGCCGAUAAGUUUGUUUGAUUACUCACGUAUAAUAAAAUCUUUAGUGUAAUACUAUUCAGGACCAGGGUGUUCUUCAGUUGGAGAUGCCUUUGGAAGUGUUGGUCCUUUUAUUGUUACGAAAGAUGCUCAUGGUCUCCAAACAAAUUUCAUAUCUUGGAACAAAGGUUGUCUAACUUCCUACGCUUAUCUUUUAUUGAUAUUUUUUUUGUGUAUAUACGUCAAGUUUCAUUCUUAAUUUUUUCAUAUCCAUUUAAAUUUAUCAAAAUAUAUUAAAUGUUUUAGAACUAUAUAUAAAAUGUUACAGUACGUCUCGUUUUCUUUAUUGUGAUUAAAUGAAUUGCAUUGUCUUUCUUAUAUUGUUUUUUUUUGUAUUUCUAUAUCUAUAUAAAAUUCUGUCUAAUAUAUGUUUCAGUGUCAAAUCUAUUGUUUAUCGACUCCCCUAUUGGAUCUGGAUGGUCAUAUUCAAACACAAGUAGUGAUUAUAGUAACGGAGAUGAUAGCACUAGUAAGAUCAUAGUAUAUAUUCUUCAUUAUUAAUUAAAAUAGUUUGGAUAUUAUAUAUAUUGAUAGUUUUCAAUUGUUUGUUUCGUACAGAUAAAAUAUUGCUUACAUUUAUGCAAAAAUGGUAUGAAAAAUAUCCAGUCUUCAAGUCGAAAGAUCUAUAUCUAGCUGGAUCAAGUUUUGCAGGUGAACAAUUUCUUGCUUCUUUUCUCUUAUCUGGUUGUAUAUCAACUUAUUUUUAAUACACCAAAACAUACUUAAUGAAUAACUAAACAAAAUGUCUCUAGCAUAUAGUUUUUUCUAUCUAUAUAUUGUACUUUAUUAUUUACAUAUCAAGCUUGCAACACUAUUAUUUUUUAGAUUCAAACUCAAAUAAUUAAUCAAAUUUCUUUAUUAAAUUAAUAUAAGUAUUUUCAUAAAUUUUUUUUUUUGAAACAUACUUCUUUAAUUGAAUAUGUCAAACUAAUUAUUUAAUAGAAAUAUAACAAUCAAAUGAUAUUGUCUUAAUACGAGUUAUGGAUAAGUCUCUAUGCAACAAUACAAAAAGUAUAACAUGUUUAGUUACUCUAAUUAAACUUGAGGAUUUUAUUUCAGGACACUUCGUACCAAAUCUUGCUAAUGCUUUACUCGACGACAACAAGCAAUCCAAGCAGUCGAAAUUUAACCUCAAAGGAUUGGUUGUAAGUAAAAUUGUAUCUAAUUAGUCAAAUUUAAUUGCCACUUUAAUAUAUAUUUGCAUAAAAAGGAUUAGUUAGAAAUGUUCAUGCUUGAGUAACUUGCCUAAUUCGAGAAGGCUUAGCUUUAUUUUAUUGGAUUAGGAUACUGACUUCUACGUUUUGGAUCAAACCAUUAUCACUCUGAUUAUUGUUCAUUAGCUUACAUCAUAGACAAUAAAUUUUGAUUUAAAUCAAGCAUCCACACUAACAUAAAAAAAAAUUACACUAAAAUAUUAUUAAGAAUUUUAUCGGGCCUAGGUAAAACAAAAAUAACAUAUGUUGCAGUUCAAAUCUCCCGCAAACAUGGUUAGGUUCAAUUCAUUGUUAAUUUAAAUAUUUUAUUGUGAACUUUAUUUUUAUUUUCUUAAUUGUAACUAUUUUGAGCAGCUGGGAAACCCAAUGCUUCGUAAAAAGCUAGACGAUCUUGCAAAAAUUGAUUUCUUUUUCUCUCGGAAGAUGAUAAACAGCUCGUUGUAUAACGAAAUCAAGAAAGAAUGCAAUGCCAUUGAUGAAAAUAAUUACUUUUCUAGCAUCAAAACCACUUGGAGCUCAAAAUGCAAAAACCUUGUGUUUGAGGCCGAUUUGGCUGCUUUCAAGACCGAUGCUCAUAACUACUCCCCACAGAAGCUAUUUGAUGUCUUUCGCCCUCCUUGUGCUGAAACUGAGCAAGAUUUGAACUUAGGAAAACAGGUUUUCAUUUAUUUCUUUACAUUCCUCUUACUUUCCUUCAAUUCAAAACUGCAAAUAACAUACGUUCGUAUAGAAUCAAAUUAAAUGAUCAACCGAGUAGAACUAAUUUGUGUUAUUUUUCUUUUAUUGGUCAUAGCAAAAGCAUAAAACAUUAUUUUUCGGUCCAGGUUCCUAUAGUUAGCACAGAAGUAGACAUGUGCCAUCCAUUAAGGGUGCAAUUUUACUUUAAUCUCCCGGAAGUUCAAAAAGCUUUCCAUGGGAAUCAAACAAACUUGUCAUAUAGAUGGAAGGGUUGCUUCACGUAAGUUCUCCCUUAAAAUCUGAAAAUAAUUGAUUUUUUUUUCCAGAUAUGUUGAUAUAAUUACCUUUUAGAAAUUAUUUUAAAUUCAAGUUUUAAGACUGAGCGGUCAAUUUUCCUAAUCUCCAUAUUGUCACCUCUUGUUUUGGUAAAAUAAAUAAAUUACUUAUUUAUUGAGGUGGAUGUUGUGUAAAAAUUGUUAAACCUUAAAAUUUUCAUGAUAUGUCACUCUUAUUUAUUUAGAGCUAAUUUUAAGUACAACGAAGCUGAUAAGGACCUUGACAUGCUUCCUGCGCUUAAAAAUCUUCUUCAACUAUCCGUUCCCAUUACAAUAUUCAGGUUGGUAUUGUAUUUGUACACCCUACUUUUUCCCAAUACUUUCUUGAAAUAAGUUAAAUAAGUAUGAAGAAUCGAAGUGAACGAUCUUGAAAAGAAAUUCUCAUGCCAUUUGACUGAUUUUUUAUUUUAUCUUAUUAAUAUGAUUACAAUGUUAUAGUGGAGAUCAAGAUGGUAUAAUACCGAUAGAGGGAACCUUACAACAUUUGGAAAAGUUGGCCGAGGAGUUAAACAUCAAGUUAACAAAAAAGGAAACAUGGAGUUUUGGAACCAAGGUUUUAUGUUUACACAUUUAAUUAUAUAUAUUAGCUUUUUUUUAUAUAUUAUGAUUAGAUAUAUUUAAGCAUCAAAUUAUCGGCCAGAUAUGGUUACCAAUUUGGAUCUAAACUUGAACAAUAAAUUUAAGUGUUGACUCGAUUGGCUUGAUUAGCGCGUUCAAGGCAAGCUCACACUACUUACCUAGUUCAAUGGGCUUGACCAAUAAGUGCCGGGCCGUGAACAAGAUUUUUCACAAAUUUUGGGCAACUCAUCCUGAAUUUUCAUUUAAAUAUUAAAAUAUUAAUGUAAACAUAUUUUAUAUUUACUAAUUAAUAGUUAGUCGAGCCAAUAGGUUGGCUCGAGCUAACUUAAUCACAAAAAAGUAAAUAUAUUAGAAGAAAAUAAUUUUGCAAGCAUUUCAUAUAUAUUGAACAAUGGAAUGGGUUUUCCUUUUUACUAUUUAUAUUUAUAAAUUUCUAUUUUAAUACAAUAAAAUUAACUAUAAAUAUUUAACAGGAAGGAGGGUUGAAGUAUGAAUUUGGAGACUUACUAAAAUUCUUGACGGUGAAGGGAGGUAAUCAUCAUGUUACAUCUUCUCGACCAUCGCAAGCUUUUUCUAUUUUCACAAGUUUCACAAUUAAAUGGAUGCAUUGAGGAUUGGUAAUGAAACUUAUGGAGCACACGAUCAUGAUUCAUGUUGAAUCCAUCAUUCACCAUAAUAAUACUUGUCGUUGUAAUAAUUUAUUGUGAUGAUAUGUAUUAUUUUUGAUGCAUGGAGAUUAUAAAUUUUUAUAUUAUGCAAUAAUAUAAUUAGUUAAAUCAUCUGAUAUCUAACGAAUAAUUAUUAUUUUAAUAAAAUCAUGCAAUUUUCAUACAUGAAAUUAACAAAUAAAGAGAACUCAACCUAAUAUGCGUAACAAUUUUUUACUGAUACAUACUCUAAAACAAUGUGAAUAGUAAUUUCUUAUAUUUUCUUGAUCAUAAGUGUACUUAUUAUAAAAGACGAUAACAAUAUGCACACAAAACCCUUUUUCCUUAAACUCUCAUACAAAAGAAAACUUAACCUUAGAUUUGCGUUGUUGUGUGAUUGGCCACCACCUUCUCCCUUCUAUUACUUCCCUCUUAAUUUUACUUUUUUCGAUUUCCUUCGUUACCCCUUGUCGGGGUGGUUUUGGAGGAGCAAUUUUGGGAAGCAACACGAUUGAGCCUGUUUCAUAGCCGCUGUCUCAUCUCCUGCAUUAGGGUGCUUGUUUUCAGUUACAAAUUUGGCAUUGUUGUGGAAACAUCAAAGAACAAGAUGAGUGUGAUUUUAUGGCACAUUGGGGUGGACAACAAAUGGCUUUCAAGUUUGUUGUGUCUUGGCCUUUCUUUGUCCUAGUUCUUUUGUUCGACUCUAGUGUCUCCCUUGUCUCUUAAAUUUCAGUUUUGCUUUUGUAGUCAAGAAAUACGAUCCGGUUGCAUGCAAGAGAAAGGCUUGUGAAUGCAUAAUGACUUGAUGCACCAAUUCUCUCCAAUUACUUUCCUCCAUGCUUUCAAUAAAUUAGUAAAGGAAAUCCUAGUCUUUGCAGGCCAUGUUCCAAGAGUUAUUUUGUUCGAUUUUCGAUGCAUUCUACCACCUUUUUAUAUCGUCAAAUGCUUAUGCAACAACUUUUACUUUAAUGAAAGUUUCUUUUGGUUUGUUAAAAUUACACAAUUUCCCAAUCCAUGUACUUAAGCGACUAUCAAAAUAUGUCAAUAACUUCAUUUCUCCAAUCAAUUACGCUCUCUUCUUUUAUCUUCAUUUCUCAAUAGCUCAACUUCUCUAGCUAGAUCAAGUAGUCAGUAUCAUACUAGUGGAUGCAAAGUUUUUGUUUUGGUAAUCGUACUAGUUUAUUUUAUGUUUUGUUUCAGCCUUAUUGUUGUUUCUUAAAUAUAUUUUCCUGUUUAUAUCUUAGUUUCUCGAUAAAAUAUAUUAUAUAUGCAAAUAUACCAUAACAAUAUACAUUUAACAAUUUAUUUAUAUAUAUAUUUUUAAAUACUAAUUGCAUCGAAUGAUUAUAUUUUAUUUCUAAAUGUAACUAUAAAAUAAAGAUCUUGCUUUUUAAGACAAAAUAGCGUAAAUUUUUUACUGAAACUGUGAAUAUCUUAUGCCAAUCGUUAUGUGUAACACCCCGAACCCGGCCAACACAUUAUGGCCGAAUCUGACGAUGUCACAUGGUAGUGCUUUUUGAAAACUAUGUCGUCGCUAAAUCCCCUUUUCUAUUUAACCAUUUUUUUUCAUUUUCCUAUGUUAAUUUCAAAUCGUGUCUUUCGUUUCCAAAACAUUAUUCAUUUAGAAAUCGUUAUUAAAUAUCCAAACAUUUUUUUAUUGCGGAAGCUUUUAAACAGUUUGCGUAUUCGUGGUAUUUUUGAUAAAAUAUUAAUUUCAUUUGAAAACCCGAGUUUUACCUAACACUGGCAGAUUUAAAUCAUAAAACCGUAUACAAUCCAAACUUAAACCAAAAUCCAUAAAAGCCAUAAUUACAGCAAACUACUCCCAAAUAAAAGUAAAAUCAUGAAUAGGUAAUAAACAGUGUAAAAGAAGUCAUGUGGCCACCACUGAGUCCCCUGUCGUACCAAUCCACCUAUAUUUGGGGAUUACCUGUACAGAUUAAACAGAAGGGGUGAGUUUACAUAAACCCAGUGUGUAAUCCUCGUACAAAUGUACAGACAGGAAACAGAUAAUCACAGUCUGGGCUUAAGCCUUUUUCAGUAUCAGUCUAGUUUGGGCUUAGCCCAUCUCAUUACAAAAAUAGGCAUGCAGUAAGGCUUUAGCCCAUCACAGUAUCAAUAGCAGUAACAGAUAUGCAGUCACAAAUAUCCUACCCAACUAGCCUCUACAAACCAUUUUCAUCCAACCCUACACUCCAUGUGGGUAUAUAAUCAACCCACCCAUCCCUACACUCCAAGUAGUACCAAAUGUGGCACUAGACAGUAGUUUGUAGCUGAGCUGCCAGUAAAUUAGGCUCGAGGCCUUUCAGUACACUUCCUCCGAACAUUACAAUCCCCUAGCCCAAUGCAAUGUAACAUACAUAUAUGACUUGCUAUAACAUAAUAUCAUGCAUGUAAACAAGGCAUACAGUAUCAAACCAGUGGGACACCAUCAGGCUUAAUCAUAUCAGUCAUAAAGUCAUUUCAGUCAGCUAGGGGUCUAGGUAAGCUUACCGAUCCUACAGUAUGUCCACAGUCGACUCAGGCGACCAAUGCAACCUUAGCAAUAAAACAGUGAAAAUGGGCCUACAAGCCCAUGAUGUUUGCCCAUGUAGGCCCGCACGCCCGUGUGGCCCAAAUUGGCCUUGACCUCGUGAUCCAUUUUAAUGUAACCCGUGCUAGAUAAUUAAUCACAUGUGUUUCCACUAUUUACUUAUAUGAUCUUUCAAAGUUGUCUACUUGAGUCACUGUUACUAAAUUAUUUAUAUCUUGAGCUAUAGAAUUUCGAAUUAAGAUCCUCUUGAUGUCUUUGAAACUAGACUCAAGUACCUUUCUACCAUAAAAUUUCUAUAAUUUUUGGAUUAGCCAAUAAGUACAGUAAAAUCUUUAAGCUUUACCAUAUUCUGCUGUCUGACAGCUUCGACUCUUCUUUGCUAAAAAUUAGUUAUCUGUUAGUACAAAAUUUGGAUGAUGUUUCCAUUUGUUUCUAUUGAAAAUAGACUAAUUAAUAAUUUAAACAUGUAAAUUUUAACCCCUAAUUAUUUUUCUCCAAUUUUUUUCAAAGUCAAAAUAGGGGAACUCGAAUUUAUUCUAACCUUGUCUUACAAAGUUUGUUAUAUCUCAAGAUUUACAAUUCCAUUACUAACAUCGUUUCUUCUAUGAGAAACUAAACUCAACAAGCUUUAAUUCCACAUUUUUUUCAUCCUCUAAUUAAAUUUCCAAAAUUUAUGACAAUUUUUCAAAGUCAGCCUAUUGUUGUUGUCCAAACAGCAAGGAAUUUCGUCAUUUCGCUGAAUCCCUUAUUUUUGCGUUUCGGGUACACAUCUGGUUUUGUAUGAUGCUAAAACAGUCUCCGAGCACUCCAAAGCCUAUAAUUGAACAAAUAACACCAUAAUCAGUCUUACCUCGCGAUUAAUCAAAAUCCCAAAACCAAAAUACUUACCCAUAAAAUGUGAACACUUACCGCAAAACUUUAAAUCGGUACGUUUACGAAAAUCACGAUGAGAGCCUUAAUCCUCGCGAAAUGCUGCUACCAACACCCCAGAAAUAGACUAUUGAACACAAAAUAAUAUAUUAAAAUGAUACCCAACAACUUACUGAAUUUGCACAAGUGCUGCUUAACGCUACGAAAUCAAGAGGAAAGAAUGAAUUAGGGGAAACAAGGGAACUUCAGCCGUAGUAGAGGAAAGAAAAAUAAAAGGUAACAGAGUAAGAAACAAAGAAAAAGAAAAAUUCGACAGAGAUGGAGGAGAAAACUUCAGAAAGAUGGAGAGAAAAGCAACUCUCUCUUUUUUUGAAAAAGGAAAAAAUAAUCAGAUUUUGGAUAUACUCCCCUAAUUCACUCCUAAAAUCUCUCCCCCACUUCACUACACAUCCACUGCUCAGAAACCCAGUUCCGUACAACUCUUGCUGAAAUUAGGAGCAAAAAAAAAAAUUCAACCCUUGCCAUCCCAGAGAUUCAAACCCAUGACCUCCACCAUAAUAAUACACCAUUUAACCACCAAACCAGCAGGCCCAUACUAAUGUAAUUUACCCAACAAUCAAAUAAAAGCCUACUGAACAAGAGUAAGACCCAAUUCAUCCAAAAUACCAAAAUUUGCCCAAGCGAAGGCUUAAACUUGAGACCUCCCAAGCACUCCCAAAACACAUAACCACUAAAGCUAACAGAUAUUUGUGUUAUAUUUUCACAAUAACGAAAUUAGAAAUUUUGGGGCGUUACAGUAUGGGCUAGGAUAAGCUGAAAUAAACUGAAACACAAAAAAACCAAAACAAGCCAAUUGAUUUACUAGUGAAUCAGUACAAUUAGAAUCAACAAAACACGAAACCUAAGAAUAAGCUGAAGCCUUACCAUUGAACCAGGAAAUAUCAACAAAAGUCAAGGAAGGGAAUCAAACACAGGACCUCUACCAUACAACCAAAACAGUUAACUACUGAGCCAAAUCAAAUUUAUUAAUACAAUUAAACUCAUAAAUUAUAAAAUUUUGGGCUUUACAACUCUCGGUUCACUAACCCAAUUUCUACUAACCCGAAUUUUGGGAUAUGACAAUAUUUAUUUCCCUAAAAUAAAAUAUAAGCACAAUAAAAAAAGGGAAUAGAAAAUGAAAAGAGUCCAAAUCAAAUAAAUACACCUCCAUAUAUAUCUUAUCUUUUCCAAAGGGAAAGCACAAAGGUCCAGCAUGAAACUCUCUUAGCCCAACCCUUUUGUGGAUAAUAAAAGCAUUUUCUAUUAAUGUACUCGGCCAUUGUCAUUACUGAAAGAGAAAAAAAUCUCACCCUAUUAAAUUCAAAAUUCAAAAUAUACUUGAAAUAUGAAGUUUAAAAAAAUGGGAAGAAAUUUACAUUUCAUUUCAUUAGUUACCUGGAAUCAUAUUUGUCCACAAAAUUAAUGAAUGUGUUGAUGCUAUAUCCUAUAAUAUGUUUAUAUCAAGUAAACCUAUAUUUCAUAAAGGUUAUUCAUCACAAAAAAAAAUUAUUAGGCAAACUAACAAAAAAAAAUAAUGGCUGAAAACAAUGACAGCUUGAAACCUAUGUUUCACGGUUUCAAAAUGUUAGCUAUUAAAACAAUAUAUUUACUUUAAAACAGAAAAAAACACAAUAUAUAAGGUAGCUCUCUCCAUUAAUUUUAGGCAUUAGAAAGUAAAGAAUUCGAUAAACAUUUGUUACCCUUAUCUCUUUGAUAUUAGAAUAAUUUCAAAUGGAAUUUCGGGGAGUAAUCUUUGUUAGUUUUCUUAUUUUUCAACUUGGAGUUAACUCCAAUGCCUUCCCAAUGAAUGAUUUGAUAAGCAAAUUGCCAGGACAACCAGAUGUUAAUUUCAGACAAUUUGCUGGAUAUAUUGAUGUGGAUGAAAAUGUCGUUGGUCGAAGUCUUUUUUAUUAUUUUGUUGAAGCUGAAAAAGAUCCCCUAACUCAACCCCUCACUGUUUGGUUAACUGGAGGUUAACUUCUUUGAAUUUUUUUAUUGUAGUUUCUGAUGUUAUGCGGAUUUUCCAGAAGGUAUCCUAUAUGAAUAAGUUAGAUUAAAUUUACCAUGCGCAAGCCAAAGCAAAGGGAAGCUAGGGCUUCGGCCCUAUUGGUUAAUUGUUACAAUUGCAUUUUUAGCCUUUCCCAAAAAAUUAGAAUUCAAUUUAACCCCCUUUUGCCCCUUCAAAUGGGAACAUUAUCACUUUCUGCCCUUGUUAGAAAGUAAUAAUUCAAUUUAGGCCAUUUCCAUGCAAAGACUUUAGCUUUAUCUCCAUCCCUAACACAAAAUUUUUAGCCUUGCUCUGACUAUGAUUUGUUCCUCAUCUGGAAAGCGAUACGUUUAAACAUAUAUUUAAUACUUGUCGAACUAGACUAGUCAUUACGUUAGAUCGAACCAUUACUCUAUUUUUCUAGCUUUACUUAAGUCUAGCCGAUAAGUUUGUUUGAUUACUCACGUAUAAUAAAAUCUUUAGUGUAAUACUAUUCAGGACCAGGGUGUUCUUCAGUUGGAGAUGCCUUUGGAAGUGUUGGUCCUUUUAUUGUUACGAAAGAUGCUCAUGGUCUCCAAACAAAUUUCAUAUCUUGGAACAAAGGUUGUCUAACUUCCUACGCUUAUCUUUUAUUGAUAUUUUUUUUGUGUAUAUACGUCAAGUUUCAUUCUUAAUUUUUUCAUAUCCAUUUAAAUUUAUCAAAAUAUAUUAAAUGUUUUAGAACUAUAUAUAAAAUGUUACAGUACGUCUCGUUUUCUUUAUUGUGAUUAAAUGAAUUGCAUUGUCUUUCUUAUAUUGUUUUUUUUUGUAUUUCUAUAUCUAUAUAAAAUUCUGUCUAAUAUAUGUUUCAGUGUCAAAUCUAUUGUUUAUCGACUCCCCUAUUGGAUCUGGAUGGUCAUAUUCAAACACAAGUAGUGAUUAUAGUAACGGAGAUGAUAGCACUAGUAAGAUCAUAGUAUAUAUUCUUCAUUAUUAAUUAAAAUAGUUUGGAUAUUAUAUAUAUUGAUAGUUUUCAAUUGUUUGUUUCGUACAGAUAAAAUAUUGCUUACAUUUAUGCAAAAAUGGUAUGAAAAAUAUCCAGUCUUCAAGUCGAAAGAUCUAUAUCUAGCUGGAUCAAGUUUUGCAGGUGAACAAUUUCUUGCUUCUUUUCUCUUAUCUGGUUGUAUAUCAACUUAUUUUUAAUACACCAAAACAUACUUAAUGAAUAACUAAACAAAAUGUCUCUAGCAUAUAGUUUUUUCUAUCUAUAUAUUGUACUUUAUUAUUUACAUAUCAAGCUUGCAACACUAUUAUUUUUUAGAUUCAAACUCAAAUAAUUAAUCAAAUUUCUUAUUAAAUUAAUAUAAGUAUUUUCAUAAAUUUUUUUUUUUGAAACAUACUUCUUUAAUUGAAUAUGUCAAACUAAUUAUUUAAUAGAAAUAUAACAAUCAAAUGAUAUUGUCUUAAUACGAGUUAUGGAUAAGUCUCUAUGCAACAAUACAAAAAGUAUAACAUGUUUAGUUACUCUAAUUAAACUUGAGGAUCUUAUUUCAGGACACUUCGUACCAAAUCUUGCUAAUGCUUUACUCGACGACAACAAGCAAUCCAAGCAGUCGAAAUUUAACCUCAAAGGAUUGGUUGUAAGUAAAAUUGUAUCUAAUUAGUCAAAUUUAAUUGCCACUUUAAUAUAUAUUUGCAUAAAAAGGAUUAGUUAGAAAUGUUCAUGCUUGAGUAACUUGCCUAAUUCGAGAAGGCUUAGCUUUAUUUUAUUGGAUUAGGAUACUGACUUCUACGUUUUGGAUCAAACCAUUAUCACUCUGAUUAUUGUUCAUUAGCUUACAUCAUAGACAAUAAAUUUUGAUUUAAAUCAAGCAUCCACACUAACAUAAAAAAAAAUUACACUAAAAUAUUAUUAAGAAUUUUAUCGGGCCUAGGUAAAACAAAAAUAACAUAUGUUGCAGUUCAAAUCUCCCGCAAACAUGGUUAGGUUCAAUUCAUUGUUAAUUUAAAUAUUUUAUUGUGAACUUUAUUUUUAUUUUCUUAAUUGUAACUAUUUUGAGCAGCUGGGAAACCCAAUGCUUCGUAAAAAGCUAGACGAUCUUGCAAAAAUUGAUUUCUUUUUCUCUCGGAAGAUGAUAAACAGCUCGUUGUAUAACGAAAUCAAGAAAGAAUGCAAUGCCAUUGAUGAAAAUAAUUACUUUUCUAGCAUCAAAACCACUUGGAGCUCAAAAUGCAAAAACCUUGUGUUUGAGGCCGAUUUGGCUGCUUUCAAGACCGAUGCUCAUAACUACUCCCCACAGAAGCUAUUUGAUGUCUUUCGCCCUCCUUGUGCUGAAACUGAGCAAGAUUUGAACUUAGGAAAACAGGUUUUCAUUUAUUUCUUUACAUUCCUCUUACUUUCCUUCAAUUCAAAACUGCAAAUAACAUACGUUCGUAUAGAAUCAAAUUAAAUGAUCAACCGAGUAGAACUAAUUUGUGUUAUUUUUCUUUUAUUGGUCAUAGCAAAAGCAUAAAACAUUAUUUUUCGGUCCAGGUUCCUAUAGUUAGCACAGAAGUAGACAUGUGCCAUCCAUUAAGGGUGCAAUUUUACUUUAAUCUCCCGGAAGUUCAAAAAGCUUUCCAUGGGAAUCAAACAAACUUGUCAUAUAGAUGGAAGGGUUGCUUCACGUAAGUUCUCCCUUAAAAUCUGAAAAUAAUUGAUUUUUUUUUCCAGAUAUGUUGAUAUAAUUACCUUUUAGAAAUUAUUUUAAAUUCAAGUUUUAAGACUGAGCGGUCAAUUUUCCUAAUCUCCAUAUUGUCACCUCUUGUUUUGGUAAAAUAAAUAAAUUACUUAUUUAUUGAGGUGGAUGUUGUGUAAAAAUUGUUAACCUUAAAAUUUUCAUGAUAUGUCACUCUUAUUUAUUUAGAGCUAAUUUUAAGUACAACGAAGCUGAUAAGGACCUUGACAUGCUUCCUGCGCUUAAAAAUCUUCUUCAACUAUCCGUUCCCAUUACAAUAUUCAGGUUGGUAUUGUAUUUGUACACCCUACUUUUUCCCAAUACUUUCUUGAAAUAAGUUAAAUAAGUAUGAAGAAUCGAAGUGAACGAUCUUGAAAAGAAAUUCUCAUGCCAUUUGACUGAUUUUUUAUUUUAUCUUAUUAAUAUGAUUACAAUGUUAUAGUGGAGAUCAAGAUGGUAUAAUACCGAUAGAGGGAACCUUACAACAUUUGGAAAAGUUGGCCGAGGAGUUAAACAUCAAGUUAACAAAAAAGGAAACAUGGAGUUUUGGAACCAAGGUUUUAUGUUUACACAUUUAAUUAUAUAUAUUAGCUUUUUUUUAUAUAUUAUGAUUAGAUAUAUUUAAGCAUCAAAUUAUCGGCCAGAUAUGGUUACCAAUUUGGAUCUAAACUUGAACAAUAAAUUUUAAGUGUUGACUCGAUUGGCUUGAUUAGCGCGUUCAAGGCAAGCUCACACUACUUACCUAGUUCAAUGGGCUUGACCAAUAAGUGCCGGGCCGUGAACAAGAUUUUUCACAAAUUUUGGGCAACUCAUCCUGAAUUUUCAUUUAAAUAUUAAAAUAUUAAUGUAAACAUAUUUUAUAUUUACUAAUUAAUAGUUAGUCGAGCCAAUAGGUUGGCUCGAGCUAACUUAAUCACAAAAAAGUAAAUAUAUUAGAAGAAAAUAAUUUUGCAGCAUUUCAUAUAUAUUGAACAAUGGAAUGGGUUUUCCUUUUUACUAUUUAUAUUUAUAAAUUUCUAUUUUAAUACAAUAAAAUUAACUAUAAAUAUUUAACAGGAAGGAGGGUUGAAGUAUGAAUUUGGAGACUUACUAAAAUUCUUGACGGUGAAGGGAGGUAAUCAUCAUGUUACAUCUUCUCGACCAUCGCAAGCUUUUUCUAUUUUCACAAGUUUCACAAUUAAAUGGAUGCAUUGAGGAUUGGUAAUGAAACUUAUGGAGCACACGAUCAUGAUUCAUGUUGAAUCCAUCAUUCACCAUAAUAAUACUUGUCGUUGUAAUAAUUUAUUGUGAUGAUAUGUAUUAUUUUUUGAUGCAUGGAGAUUAUAAAUUUUUAUAUUAUGCAAUAAUAUAAUUAGUUAAAUCAUCUGAUAUCUAACGAAUAAUUAUUAUUUUAAUAAAAUCAUGCAAUUUUCAUACAUGAAAUUAACAAAUAAAGAGAACUCAACCUAAUAUGCGUAACAAUUUUUUACUGAUACAUACUCUAAAACAAUGUGAAUAGUAAUUUCUUAUAUUUUCUUGAUCAUAAGUGUACUUAUUAUAAAAGACGAUAACAAUAUGCACACAAAACCCUUUUUCCUUAAACUCUCAUACAAAAGAAAACUUAACCUUAGAUUUGCGUUGUUGUGUGAUUGGCCACCACCUUCUCCCUUCUAUUACUUCCCUCUUAAUUUUACUUUUUUCGAUUUCCUUCGUUACCCCUUGUCGGGGUGGUUUUGGAGGAGCAAUUUUGGGAAGCAACACGAUUGAGCCUGUUUCAUAGCCGCUGUCUCAUCUCCUGCAUUAGGGUGCUUGUUUUCAUUACAAAUUUGGCAUUGUUGUGGAAACAUCAAAGAACAAGAUGAGUGUGAUUUUAUGGCACAUUGGGGUGGACAACAAAUGGCUUUCAAGUUUGUUGUGUCUUGGCCUUUCUUUGUCCUAGUUCUUUUGUUCGACUCUAGUGUCUCCCUUGUCUCUUAAAUUUCAGUUUUGCUUUUGUAGUCAAGAAAUACGAUCCGGUUGCAUGCAAGAGAAAGGCUUGUGAAUGCAUAAUGACUUGAUGCACCAAUUCUCUCCAAUUACUUUCCUCCAUGCUUUCAAUAAAUUAGUAAAGGAAAUCCUAGUCUUUGCAGGCCAUGUUCCAAGAGUUAUUUUGUUCGAUUUUCGAUGCAUUCUACCACCUUUUUAUAUCGUCAAAUGCUUAUGCAACAACUUUUACUUUAAUGAAAGUUUCUUUUGGUUUGUUAAAAUUACACAAUUUCCCAAUCCAUGUACUUAAGCGACUAUCAAAAUAUGUCAAUAACUUCAUUUCUCCAAUCAAUUACGCUCUCUUCUUUUAUCUUCAUUUCUCAAUAGCUCAACUUCUCUAGCUAGAUCAAGUAGUCAGUAUCAUACUAGUGGAUGCAAAGUUUUUGUUUUGGUAAUCGUACUAGUUUAUUUUAUGUUUUGUUUCAGCCUUAUUGUUGUUUCUUAAAUAUAUUUUCCUGUUUAUAUCUUAGUUUCUCGAUAAAAUAUAUUAUAUAUGCAAAUAUACCAUAACAAUAUACAUUUAACAAUUUAUUUAUAUAUAUAUUUUUAAAUACUAAUUGCAUCGAAUGAUUAUAUUUUAUUUCUAAAUGUAACUAUAAAAUAAAGAUCUUGCUUUUUAAGACAAAAUAGCGUAAAUUUUUUACUGAAACUGUGAAUAUCUUAUGCCAAUCGUUAUGUGUAACACCCCGAACCCGGCCAACACAUUAUGGCCGAAUCUGACGAUGUCACAUGGUAGUGCUUUUUGAAAACUAUGUCGUCGCUAAAUCCCCUUUUCUAUUUAACCAUUUUUUUUCAUUUUCCUAUGUUAAUUUCAAAUCGUGUCUUUCGUUUCCAAAACAUUAUUCAUUUAGAAAUCGUUAUUAAAUAUCCAAACAUUUUUUUAUUGCGGAAGCUUUUAAACAGUUUGCGUAUUCGUGGUAUUUUUGAUAAAAUAUUAAUUUCAUUUGAAAACCCGAGUUUUACCUAACACUGGCAGAUUUAAAUCAUAAAACCGUAUACAAUCCAAACUUAAACCAAAAUCCAUAAAAGCCAUAAUUACAGCAAACUACUCCCAAAUAAAAGUAAAAUCAUGAAUAGGUAAUAAACAGUGUAAAAGAAGUCAUGUGGCCACCACUGAGUCCCCUGUCGUACCAAUCCACCUAUAUUUGGGGAUUACCUGUACAGAUUAAACAGAAGGGGUGAGUUUACAUAAACCCAGUGUGUAAUCCUCGUACAAAUGUACAGACAGGAAACAGAUAAUCACAGUCUGGGCUUAAGCCUUUUUCAGUAUCAGUCCAGUUUGGGCCUUAGCCCAUCUCAUUACAAAAAUAGGCAUGCAGUAAGGCUUUAGCCCAUCACAGUAUCAAUAGCAGUAACAGAUAUGCAGUCACAAAUAUCCUACCCAACUAGCCUCUACAAACCAUUUUCAUCCAACCCUACACUCCAUGUGGGUAUAUAAUCAACCCACCCAUCCCUACACUCCAAGUAGUACCAAAUGUGGCACUAGACAGUAGUUUGUAGCUGAGCUGCCAGUAAAUUAGGCUCGAGGCCUUUCAGUACACUUCCUCCGAACAUUACAAUCCCCUAGCCCAAUGCAAUGUAACAUACAUAUAUGACUUGCUAUAACAUAAUAUCAUGCAUGUAAACAAGGCAUACAGUAUCAAACCAGUGGGACACCAUCAGGCUUAAUCAUAUCAGUCAUAAAGUCAUUUCAGUCAGCUAGGGGUCUAGGUAAGCUUACCGAUCCUACAGUAUGUCCACAGUCGACUCAGGCGACCAAUGCAACCUUAGCAAUAAAACAGUGAAAAUGGGCCUACAAGCCCAUGAUGUUUGCCCAUGUAGGCCCGCACGCCCGUGUGGCCCAAAUUGGCCUUGACCUCGUGAUCCAUUUUAAUGUAACCCGUGCUAGAUAAUUAAUCACAUGUGUUUCCACUAUUUACUUAUAUGAUCUUUCAAAGUUGUCUACUUGAGUCACUGUUACUAAAUUAUUUAUAUCUUGAGCUAUAGAAUUUCGAAUUAAGAUCCUCUUGAUGUCUUUGAAACUAGACUCAAGUACCUUUCUACCAUAAAAUUUCUAUAAUUUUUGGAUUAGCCAAUAAGUACAGUAAAAUCUUUAAGCUUUACCAUAUUCUGCUGUCUGACAGCUUCGACUCUUCUUUGCUAAAAAUUAGUUAUCUGUUAGUACAAAAUUUGGAUGAUGUUUCCAUUUGUUUCUAUUGAAAAUAGACUAAUUAAUAAUUUAAACAUGUAAAUUUUAACCCCUAAUUAUUUUUCUCCAAUUUUUUUCAAAGUCAAAAUAGGGGAACUCGAAUUUAUUCUAACCUUGUCUUACAAAGUUUGUUAUAUCUCAAGAUUUACAAUUCCAUUACUAACAUCGUUUCUUCUAUGAGAAACUAAACUCAACAAGCUUUAAUUCCACAUUUUUUUCAUCCUCUAAUUAAAUUUCCAAAAUUUAUGACAAUUUUUCAAAGUCAGCCUAUUGUUGUUGUCCAAACAGCAAGGAAUUUCGUCAUUUCGCUGAAUCCCUUAUUUUUGCGUUUCGGGUACACAUCUGGUUUUGUAUGAUGCUAAAACAGUCUCCGAGCACUCCAAAGCCUAUAAUUGAACAAAUAACACCAUAAUCAGUCUUACCUCGCGAUUAAUCAAAAUCCCAAAACCAAAAUACUUACCCAUAAAAUGUGAACACUUACCGCAAAACUUUAAAUCGGUACGUUUACGAAAAUCACGAUGAGAGCCUUAAUCCUCGCGAAAUGCUGCUAACAACACCCCAGAAAUAGACUAUUGAACACAAAAUAAUAUAUUAAAAUGAUACCCAACAACUUACUGAAUUUGCACAAGUGCUGCUUAACGCUACGAAAUCAAGAGGAAAGAAUGAAUUAGGGGAAACAAGGGAACUUCAGCCGUAGUAGAGGAAAGAAAAAUAAAAGGUAACAGAGUAAGAAACAAAGAAAAAGAAAAAUUCGACAGAGAUGGAGGAGAAAACUUCAGAAAGAUGGAGAGAAAAGCAACUCUCUCUUUUUUUGAAAAAGGAAAAAAUAAUCAGAUUUUGGAUAUACUCCCCUAAUUCACUCCUAAAAUCUCUCCCCCACUUCACUACACAUCCACUGCUCAGAAACCCAGUUCCGUACAACUCUUGCUGAAAUUAGGAGCAAAAAAAAAAAUUCAACCCUUGCCAUCCCAGAGAUUCAAACCCAUGACCUCCACCAUAAUAAUACACCAUUUAACCACCAAACCAGCAGGCCCAUACUAAUGUAAUUUACCCAACAAUCAAAUAAAAGCCUACUGAACAAGAGUAAGACCCAAUUCAUCCAAAAUACCAAAAUUUGCCCAAGCGAAGGCUUAAACUUGAGACCUCCCAAGCACUCCCAAAACACAUAACCACUAAAGCUAACAGAUAUUUGUGUUAUAUUUUCACAAUAACGAAAUUAGAAAUUUUGGGGCGUUACAGUAUGGGCUAGGAUAAGCUGAAAUAAACUGAAACACAAAAAAACCAAAACAAGCCAAUUGAUUUACUAGUGAAUCAGUACAAUUAGAAUCAACAAAACACGAAACCUAAGAAUAAGCUGAAGCCUUACCAUUGAACCAGGAAAUAUCAACAAAAGUCAAGGAAGGGAAUCAAACACAGGACCUCUACCAUACAACCAAAACAGUUAACUACUGAGCCAAAUCAAAUUUAUUAAUACAAUUAAACUCAUAAAUUAUAAAAUUUUGGGCUUUACAACUCUCGGUUCACUAACCCAAUUUCUACUAACCCGAAUUUUGGGAUAUGACAAUAUUUAUUUCCCUAAAAUAAAAUAUAAGCACAAUAAAAAAAAGGGAAUAGAAAAUGAAAAGAGUCCAAAUCAAAUAAAUACACCUCCAUAUAUAUCUUAUCUUUUCCAAAGGGAAAGCACAAAGGUCCAGCAUGAAACUCUCUUAGCCCAACCCUUUUGUGGAUAAUAAAAGCAUUUUCUAUUAAUGUACUCGGCCAUUGUCAUUACUGAAAGAGAAAAAAAUCUCACCCUAUUAAAUUCAAAAUUCAAAAUAUACUUGAAAUAUGAAGUUUAAAAAAAUGGGAAGAAAUUUACAUUUCAUUUCAUUAGUUACCUGGAAUCAUAUUUGUCCACAAAAUUAAUGAAUGUGUUGAUGCUAUAUCCUAUAAUAUGUUUAUAUCAAGUAAACCUAUAUUUCAUAAAGGUUAUUCAUCACAAAAAAAAAUUAUUAGGCAAACUAACAAAAAAAAAUAAUGGCUGAAAACAAUGACAGCUUGAAACCUAUGUUUCACGGUUUCAAAAUGUUAGCUAUUAAAACAAUAUAUUUACUUUAAAACAGAAAAAAACACAAUAUAUAAGGUAGCUCUCUCCAUUAAUUUUAGGCAUUAGAAAGUAAAGAAUUCGAUAAACAUUUGUUACCCUUAUCUCUUUGAUAUUAGAAUAAUUUCAAAUGGAAUUUCGGGGAGUAAUCUUUGUUAGUUUUCUUAUUUUUCAACUUGGAGUUAACUCCAAUGCCUUCCCAAUGAAUGAUUUGAUAAGCAAAUUGCCAGGACAACCAGAUGUUAAUUUCAGACAAUUUGCUGGAUAUAUUGAUGUGGAUGAAAAUGUCGUUGGUCGAAGUCUUUUUUAUUAUUUUGUUGAAGCUGAAAAAGAUCCCCUAACUCAACCCCUCACUGUUUGGUUAACUGGAGGUUAACUUCUUUGAAUUUUUUUAUUGUAGUUUCUGAUGUUAUGCGGAUUUUCCAGAAGGUAUCCUAUAUGAAUAAGUUAGAUUAAAUUUACCAUGCGCAAGCCAAAGCAAAGGGAAGCUAGGGCUUCGGCCCUAUUGGUUAAUUGUUACAAUUGCAUUUUUAGCCUUUCCCAAAAAAUUAGAAUUCAAUUUAACCCCCUUUUGCCCCUUCAAAUGGGAACAUUAUCACUUUCUGCCCUUGUUAGAAAGUAAUAAUUCAAUUUAGGCCAUUUCCAUGCAAAGACUUUAGCUUUAUCUCCAUCCCUAACACAAAAUUUUUAGCCUUGCUCUGACUAUGAUUUGUUCCUCAUCUGGAAAGCGAUACGUUUAAACAUAUAUUUAAUACUUGUCGAACUAGACUAGUCAUUACGUUAGAUCGAACCAUUACUCUAUUUUUCUAGCUUUACUUAAGUCUAGCCGAUAAGUUUGUUUGAUUACUCACGUAUAAUAAAAUCUUUAGUGUAAUACUAUUCAGGACCAGGGUGUUCUUCAGUUGGAGAUGCCUUUGGAAGUGUUGGUCCUUUUAUUGUUACGAAAGAUGCUCAUGGUCUCCAAACAAAUUUCAUAUCUUGGAACAAAGGUUGUCUAACUUCCUACGCUUAUCUUUUAUUGAUAUUUUUUUUGUGUAUAUACGUCAAGUUUCAUUCUUAAUUUUUUCAUAUCCAUUUAAAUUUAUCAAAAUAUAUUAAAUGUUUUAGAACUAUAUAUAAAAUGUUACAGUACGUCUCGUUUUCUUUAUUGUGAUUAAAUGAAUUGCAUUGUCUUUCUUAUAUUGUUUUUUUUUUGUAUUUCUAUAUCUAUAUAAAAUUCUGUCUAAUAUAUGUUUCAGUGUCAAAUCUAUUGUUUAUCGACUCCCCUAUUGGAUCUGGAUGGUCAUAUUCAAACACAAGUAGUGAUUAUAGUAACGGAGAUGAUAGCACUAGUAAGAUCAUAGUAUAUAUUCUUCAUUAUUAAUUAAAAUAGUUUGGAUAUUAUAUAUAUUGAUAGUUUUCAAUUGUUUGUUUCGUACAGAUAAAAUAUUGCUUACAUUUAUGCAAAAAUGGUAUGAAAAAUAUCCAGUCUUCAAGUCGAAAGAUCUAUAUCUAGCUGGAUCAAGUUUUGCAGGUGAACAAUUUCUUGCUUCUUUUCUCUUAUCUGGUUGUAUAUCAACUUAUUUUUAAUACACCAAAACAUACUUAAUGAAUAACUAAACAAAAUGUCUCUAGCAUAUAGUUUUUUCUAUCUAUAUAUUGUACUUUAUUAUUUACAUAUCAAGCUUGCAACACUAUUAUUUUUUAGAUUCAAACUCAAAUAAUUAAUCAAAUUUCUUAUUAAAUUAAUAUAAGUAUUUUCAUAAAUUUUUUUUUUGAAACAUACUUCUUUAAUUGAAUAUGUCAAACUAAUUAUUUAAUAGAAAUAUAACAAUCAAAUGAUAUUGUCUUAAUACGAGUUAUGGAUAAGUCUCUAUGCAACAAUACAAAAAGUAUAACAUGUUUAGUUACUCUAAUUAAACUUGAGGAUCUUAUUUCAGGACACUUCGUACCAAAUCUUGCUAAUGCUUUACUCGACGACAACAAGCAAUCCAAGCAGUCGAAAUUUAACCUCAAAGGAUUGGUUGUAAGUAAAAUUGUAUCUAAUUAGUCAAAUUUAAUUGCCACUUUAAUAUAUAUUUGCAUAAAAAGGAUUAGUUAGAAAUGUUCAUGCUUGAGUAACUUGCCUAAUUCGAGAAGGCUUAGCUUUAUUUUAUUGGAUUAGGAUACUGACUUCUACGUUUUGGAUCAAACCAUUAUCACUCUGAUUAUUGUUCAUUAGCUUACAUCAUAGACAAUAAAUUUUGAUUUAAAUCAAGCAUCCACACUAACAUAAAAAAAAAUUACACUAAAAUAUUAUUAAGAAUUUUAUCGGGCCUAGGUAAAACAAAAAUAACAUAUGUUGCAGUUCAAAUCUCCCGCAAACAUGGUUAGGUUCAAUUCAUUGUUAAUUUAAAUAUUUUAUUGUGAACUUUAUUUUUAUUUUCUAAAUUGUAACUAUUUUGAGCAGCUGGGAAACCCAAUGCUUCGUAAAAAGCUAGACGAUCUUGCAAAAAUUGAUUUCUUUUUCUCUCGGAAGAUGAUAAACAGCUCGUUGUAUAACGAAAUCAAGAAAGAAUGCAAUGCCAUUGAUGAAAAUAAUUACUUUUCUAGCAUCAAAACCACUUGGAGCUCAAAAUGCAAAAACCUUGUGUUUGAGGCCGAUUUGGCUGCUUUCAAGACCGAUGCUCAUAACUACUCCCCACAGAAGCUAUUUGAUGUCUUUCGCCCUCCUUGUGCUGAAACUGAGCAAGAUUUGAACUUAGGAAAACAGGUUUUCAUUUAUUUCUUUACAUUCCUCUUACUUUCCUUCAAUUCAAAACUGCAAAUAACAUACGUUCGUAUAGAAUCAAAUUAAAUGAUCAACCGAGUAGAACUAAUUUGUGUUAUUUUUCUUUUAUUGGUCAUAGCAAAAGCAUAAAACAUUAUUUUUCGGUCCAGGUUCCUAUAGUUAGCACAGAAGUAGACAUGUGCCAUCCAUUAAGGGUGCAAUUUUACUUUAAUCUCCCGGAAGUUCAAAAAGCUUUCCAUGGGAAUCAAACAAACUUGUCAUAUAGAUGGAAGGGUUGCUUCACGUAAGUUCUCCCUUAAAAUCUGAAAAUAAUUGAUUUUUUUUUCCAGAUAUGUUGAUAUAAUUACCUUUUAGAAAUUAUUUUAAAUUCAAGUUUUAAGACUGAGCGGUCAAUUUUCCUAAUCUCCAUAUUGUCACCUCUUGUUUUGGUAAAAUAAAUAAAUUACUUAUUUAUUGAGGUGGAUGUUGUGUAAAAAUUGUUAACCUUAAAAUUUUCAUGAUAUGUCACUCUUAUUUAUUUAGAGCUAAUUUUAAGUACAACGAAGCUGAUAAGGACCUUGACAUGCUUCCUGCGCUUAAAAAUCUUCUUCAACUAUCCGUUCCCAUUACAAUAUUCAGGUUGGUAUUGUAUUUGUACACCCUACUUUUUCCCAAUACUUUCUUGAAAUAAGUUAAAUAAGUAUGAAGAAUCGAAGUGAACGAUCUUGAAAAGAAAUUCUCAUGCCAUUUGACUGAUUUUUUAUUUUAUCUUAUUAAUAUGAUUACAAUGUUAUAGUGGAGAUCAAGAUGGUAUAAUACCGAUAGAGGGAACCUUACAACAUUUGGAAAAGUUGGCCGAGGAGUUAAACAUCAAGUUAACAAAAAAGGAAACAUGGAGUUUUGGAACCAAGGUUUUAUGUUUACACAUUUAAUUAUAUAUAUUAGCUUUUUUUUAUAUAUUAUGAUUAGAUAUAUUUAAGCAUCAAAUUAUCGGCCAGAUAUGGUUACCAAUUUGGAUCUAAACUUGAACAAUAAAUUUUAAGUGUUGACUCGAUUGGCUUGAUUAGCGCGUUCAAGGCAAGCUCACACUACUUACCUAGUUCAAUGGGCUUGACCAAUAAGUGCCGGGCCGUGAACAAGAUUUUUCACAAAUUUUGGGCAACUCAUCCUGAAUUUUCAUUUAAAUAUUAAAAUAUUAAUGUAAACAUAUUUUAUAUUUACUAAUUAAUAGUUAGUCGAGCCAAUAGGUUGGCUCGAGCUAACUUAAUCACAAAAAAGUAAAUAUAUUAGAAGAAAAUAAUUUUGCAGCAUUUCAUAUAUAUUGAACAAUGGAAUGGGUUUUCCUUUUUACUAUUUAUAUUUAUAAAUUUCUAUUUUAAUACAAUAAAAUUAACUAUAAAUAUUUAACAGGAAGGAGGGUUGAAGUAUGAAUUUGGAGACUUACUAAAAUUCUUGACGGUGAAAGGAGGUAAUCAUCAUGUUACAUUUUCUCGACCAUCGCAAGCUUUUUCUAUUUUCUCAAGUUUCACAAUUAAAUGGAUGCAUUGAGGAUUGGUAAUGAAACUUAUGGAGCACACGAUCAUGAUUCAUGUUGAAUCCAUCAUUCACCAUAAUAAUACUUGUCGUUGUAAUAAUUUAUUGUUAUGAUAUGUAUUAUUUUAUAAUGCAUGGACAUCAUAAAUUUUUAUAUUAUGCAAUAAUAUAAUCAGUUAAAUCAUCUGAUAUCUAAUGAAUAAUUAUUUUUUUAAUAAAAUCAUGCAAUUUUCAUAUAUGAAAUUAACAAAUAAAGAGAACUCAACCCAAUAUGCGUAACAAUUUUCCUGUUUAUAUCUUAGUUUCUCGAUAAAAUAUAUUAUAUAUGCAAAUAUACCAUAACAAUAUACAUUUGAACAAUUUAUUGAAAUAUAUAUUUUUUAAAUAUUAAUUGCAUCCAGUGAUUAUAUUUUAUUUCUAAAUGCAACUAUAAAAUAAAAAUCUCACUUUUUAAGAUAAAAUAGCGUAAAUUUUUUAUUGAAACAGUGAAAAUCUUAUGCCAAUCUGUAUGGGCUAGGAUAAGCUGAAAACUAGGUCGUUACAAUUUCAAUCAAUUUGCUCAUUUUUUAUUAGAUUAAGGACAUGUUUAGAUUAUAUAUUAAUAUAAGUUAUCUUUUUGUAUUACGAUCUGACCAUAUAAUAUCGCUUAGUAUUAGUUAAGUGCUAGAUAAUUAUUGAGUCAAUAUUUGCUUUUAUUUUACCUUUUGUGCAAAAACCAUUGAGUACAAUAUACAAAGAAUAUUAAUGUAAUUGAUGAAUAUUUUAUUAAACUAAUUUGUUCGAAAAAAACAAGUACUUAUAGACUACUACAUUAAGGGCACUAUAUCCCAACAAUUUUAAGUCCAUCAGAACACUAGCGGUGGAGCUCUCCGAUCGACGAUGACUAGGGUUAGAAGAAGAAGGAGAAAAGAAAAAGGAAAUAGAGAGAAAAGAAGAGAUAAAAAGAAACUGAAAAGAAAGAAAAAUGAAUAAAGAAUAAAAGUAAUAUUCCAUGGAAAAUAGAAAAUUAAAAGAAAAUGCUACAUUAGAUUUUCAUUUGGGAUUUUAACGGAAGUGGUCAAAAUAAUUGAACCAUGUAACGUAAGUGCUUAAAUUGCAAACUUAUUAUUUUAGGUGCCUAAAAUGAAAAUUUUUCAUAGUUGAAUGACUAUAUAUGUAGUUUAUCUAUUUAGUUUUUCUAACUAAAUUUUGGAAAAUUUUCAUUUCUUCCUUGAAAUUUUUAGAAAAUCAAAAUUAAGCUCUCCAAAUUUUUUGAAAAUUUUCAAAUUUUUGUUGAAGUUUUAAAAUAAAUUUAAUUAGUCCUCCCAAAAUUUUGAAAAAUUUCAUUAUACCUUUUAACUUUUUUUCAAAAAAUAUUUAAUUAAGCUCCCUUAACAUUUUGAAAAUUCUUAUUAAUCUCGAAAUUUUUAAAAAAAAAUCUUUUAAACUCCUAAAGCAUUUGAAAGCUUUACUAGUCUCCCAAAACUUAGUCCUAAGUUCCGUAAUUUUGAAGGAGUAUAAAACACAAUAAAAGAAUAUAAAAAAUUAUGGAAAAAUACUAAAAAAUAUUUUUUUUUAAAACCAAAAAUUAUGAAACAAUUUAUUUUUAUGAAUUAUUAUUUUAUAUACAGUCAGUUAAGUACAAUUUAUAUACAGUUUGCACAGAAAAAUUACUUUUUUUCGUGAGAGAAAAUAAGCGUAAAAGUCAAACGGUUAAGCUCCCUUGGCGCGUGGCAAAGAGAAGAAGGGAGUGAAGACGCCACGUGACGUGAGGAGCCAGCUAAGCCAGGUGGGCAAAAAUUAGUACGGAAGUAGUACGAUGGAGUAGCACCACAUCCGUGUAUUUGUUGAGGUGGGAAGGGAGGGAGGGGAGGGAUAUCAUGGGGUCGGGCAGCCGGGGGGCUUUAGGAAUUUAUUUAUGGGUAAAUUGCUUUAUUAGUCACUAAACUAUUAAUAACUUUUUUUAUCUAUUAAUAAUAAUCUAAUUAUUUAAUUUUGUUCUUUUUAGUUAUAAUUCCAGCUUUUACAAUUGAUAUAAUAGUAAUUUUAACCCUUGAAAUUGAUACAUUAUAUCAAUUUAAUCUUGAUUCUAAAAAAUUUAACUGUCAAUAUUUACGCGUUGUGUACUUUGAUUUUUUUGUAAUUUUACUUCUUUUUGUGACCUUUGCACCUAAAAAGCUAAAAAUAUAUUAGUUAAAUUUUAUUGAAAAUAUUUAAAAAAUUAAAAACACCUAAAAAUUCAAUAUAAUAUUUUUCAUAUUUUCUAAUUAUUUUAAAAUUAACCCUCAAUGUCAUAGAAAAAACAAAAACAAAAAACCAAAUUACACCAUUGUGUAAAUGUUUUUUUUAAACAAAGACUAAAUUGACAUAAUUUAUAAAUGUUGAGGAUUAAAGUUACUAUUAUACUAAAUUUUCAUAUUGUGUUGAGUGAAUAACCCAAUUAUUGGUUAACUAAUUAAUCAAACACUAUAUAUAAUAAGACGAUUCCACUUUCAACCACUUCGUUUUCAUUUUUCUCUGCUCAAAAUGGAGGACAUUCAAGACUGAAGGAGUUGAGUGAGUACGGCCUUCCCUUUUCUUCUUCAUUUUCUUUUCAUUUUAUACUAUAAAAUUUGCAUUUAACUUACGUUAUUGUUAAAUAUUAUCAGACGGUAAGCGGUUUUCCGAAGGCGGUUUUCAGGUGAAACUUGUAUGUCUUUGAACUUAUCUUUUCAUUAUAUGCAGAUUUGCUUUUCAGGCUUAGCUUCUGUAGCUUUUAUUUGCUUCGUUUUUUGUACGGAUCUUUCUUUACUACCUUGUGUUUUCUUUACAUUUUCUUUUAUCUUCAUCUACUUUCUCUAAGUAGGAUUUAACGUGAUCUCGUCAUUUUUGCAUGCUAUUCUUGAUCUUCUUUAUUUGUUUUACUUAAUAGUUUUAUAAUAAACAAUAGGUUAAUGACAACGUUAGUUUUACUUAAUCGGAACUUACAUAGGAUUUCUGGUAACAGGGUUCUUGAUAUAUAUAUAUACACACACACACAAAUGAGGUAUAUUUUCCUGUCUCUCAGUUUAUUUGCUUUGUUAGGGUUGUUGAUGCCAGGGCUUCUAGUUUUGCUUCUUUAGACUUGUAUAUGAAUCCGUAACUUUUUCCUUUCUGCAAUUGUAAGUAGUCGGUGUUAGAUUUUAGUUCCAUUGUUUUGGUGGAAAACGCUCUUCCCUUUCUUUCCUGUGUACAUUUUUAUGGUAUUAAUCUCAUUGUUGCUUUUUUCUCCUGUUACAGUUAUCGUCAUGGUUCGAAAGAAGGGAACUGAUUCUGCUGGAGGCGAGAGCUCUCAGUCCCAUGAUACUGGAGUUGGCAGUGGUCGUGGUUCCCAAGGUCCUCCACAACAACUAGGCAGAGGUGAAGGUGGAGGAGGAUACUCCGGUGGUGGUAGAGAUUGGGUUCCACAGUCACAGCAACCGGGUCGUGGAGGUUAUGGUGCUGGUGGACCCCCUGAAUACCAAUCUAGAGGAAGGGGAUGGCCUUCCCACCGAAGAGGUUAUCGUGGUGGUCGGGGUCGCGGUGGCUAUGGUCGUGGUCGAGCAGGACAUGGCAGUCGUGGAGUACCUUUCCCCAGUGGACCAUCCCGGCCGCGUGUUCCUGAGCGGCACCAAGCGACUGAACCUUUUGAAAUUGCGGUAACUCCCCAGCCUGAUCCAUCUGAGGCAGGUUCGUCAUCCAGACCGCCUGAGCAUGUACCAUUGACAGAGCAGCUUCAGCAUCUUUCCAUCAAGCAAGAAGCUAGCCGAGCAAUUCAGCCAGUCCCACCUCCGAACAAGCCAUUGAGGUUUCCUCGUCGGCCGGGAUUGGGAUGCGAGGGAACAAAGUUCGUAGUCAAGGCUAAUCAUUUUUUUGCUGAAUUUCCAAAUAAAGAUUUGUACCAGUAUGACGUGAGUUCUUUUAUCUUCAGUGUACUCUAUGUUUGUUUUUGCCUUUAUUUGCAGGUUCUUGAUUAGAAUUGUGAAUGGAAAUAGGUUAUCAUAACACCAGAGGUCACAUUACGACGAGUGAACCGAGACGUCAUGCAACAGCUGGUGAGCUUAUACAAAUGUUCAGAUCUGGGAGAGCGCGAUCCUGCAUAUGACGGCCGGAAGAGUCUUUAUACUGCUGGGUCUCUCCCUUUUGAGUCAAAGGAGUUUAAGGUCACCAUUAGUGAUGAAAAUGGGUCAGUAUAUUUUUAUUUAUGGUUAUGUUAUGUUUUCUUUUUGGUGAAACUUUAUACCUUCUUAACUUCAAUCAUAUAUCUAAUUCUAGAAAUUUGUAACAUUAGUUUUGGCUAUCAUUUUGCCUUCUCUAUUAUUUAAAUUCAACAGGUUCUUAAAUGCCUACUGAGUGGUGGUUACCUUUUUUAUCUUAAAUUUCUAUUAAUGCAGAAAGAGAAAGUUCAGAUGAAAUAUGGCUUAUUUUUUUUAUAUCUAUACUCCAUCUCUUAUUAUAUUCUUGAUGCAGAAGAGAGAGCGAAUUUAAAGUUAUGAUCAGAUUGGCUGGACGUACUGAACUGCACCGUCUUCGACAAUUUUUGCAAGGGGACCAAGUUGAUGUACCUAAAGAUGCUCUUCAGGCUCUUGACAUUGUUCUCCGCGAACUACCCGCUACUAAUACUAGGUAUUGCUAUCUGGCUCUUUCUUUGGCAUAUAUGUUUACCACAUUGGUUUCACUGUCCAAGUCUAUUAUUUGAGAGACCAUUGGUAAUUGAUUACAGCUACUGUCCUGUUGGCCGUUCAUUUUAUUUCCGUGACGAACUGAGAAAAGAUUUGGACCAGGGACUACAAGCCUGGCGUGGCUUUUACCAAAGUACACGUCCUACACAGAGGGGAUUAUCACUGAAUAUUGGUAUUGUGGUUAUGAUGCUACCAUUUUUCUUGUGUUGGUCUAUUUUUUAUGCCUCCCUCAUGUUUGGUUGCCCCUGCAUUUUAUCUCUGUGCCUUUGUAAUCUUGAGCCAUUGCCCCUGCAUUUUAUCGUUGUCUUAUGGUUAUAAUUAUUUGUUCGACAGAUGUGUCUUCAACUGCUUUCAUCCAGCCAUUGCCAGUUAUUGAAUUUGUAACAAAUUUGCUAAAUCGGAAUGUUUCUUCCGGGCCUCUAUACGACGCAGAUCGUGUGAAGGUUAGGUUUGCUUAGAUUUCUUUUCGAUUGGAACUAUAUUUAGUAGGCACUUUUAUCAUUCUUGUUAUUUGUUCUUGCUUUAGGAAAUAAGAACCAUUGUUUUGAGCCAGCACUGAAAAAGUCCAUAGGAAAUUGUUGAGGGCUUGUAGUGUCUCACUUCUUCAAUGGAAAAUAUUGCUCCUCUGUUGGGGUUUUAAGAAGUUUAGGGAGUGCCUCAGUUAAUAUAGAUACGACCUGCAAACUUAAAGAAGAGGUAUUAAUAUUGUGUGAAAUAUUAAUUAUGCAUAUUGUGCCUGUGGGGAUCGAAGCAUUAAUUAAGGCUUAAAUGUCUUAACUUUGCAUACUUGAUACCACUUGGCUAGCCAAUACCUCUUGUUGAGGGAGUGAGACAAUCCAAAGUGGAUACUCACCUCAACAAAAAUAUAUUAUAUACCUGCUCUCUAUUAUUUCCAUUCUUAUUCUCCGUUUUCCUUGAAUAUGAUUAUAGUAGCUUAUGUUACAAUGGUCAUCGUAUUUACUUUCUUGUAUAGAUCAAAAAGGCUCUUCUAGGAGUUAAGGUGCAAGUUACGCAUCGUGGAAACAUGCGAAGAAAAUAUCGUAUAUCUGGUUUAACAUCACAGGCAACUGGACAACUGACGUGAGUAUAUUACUAUGAUAUUGUUAGAGCAGAUGAUCUAUGCGCUAGGUUUCACGGUUACAUCAUGCUAUGGUAUGAAACUUCUCUAACAAAGUUUAUUGCUGUAUAGUUUUCCCGUAGAUGAAAGGGGUGCAGAGAAAUCAGUUGUGGACUACUUUUCUGAAACUUACGGUAUCACCAUUCAACGCACGCAAUGGCCAUGUCUUCAAGUUGGAAGCCAGCAAAGACCAAUUUAUUUGCCAAUGGAGGUAAAGUACAUGCUAUAGUAUACUCCUUUCGAUUGAAUGUGCUUAAUGUAUGGACAUGCUUACGAAUGGGUUGUGAUUCAUGUAGGUAUGCAAGAUUGUGGAUGGUCAGAGAUACUCCAAGAGAUUGAAUGAGAAACAGAUCACUGGUUUGCUGGAGUUCACCUGCCAGCGUCCUAAGAAUAGAGAGGAUGAUAUUUUGAAGGUCUGACAGCUUUGCAUUUCUUCAUUCUUUUGCUUUUGACAUGCCUUGUAGAAUUGUAGUGAUAGCAUAUUGUUAGAUAAAUUUGGCAGCAACUAAAUCAAAAAGGAAGUUUCACUAAGCAACAGCAAAACAAAACAAUGAAAACAAAAGAAAGACUAAGAGCAGCAUGUAACCGAUGAAGCAAAAUCCUACAGCUUUCAUUUUCAUUUCAAAAUAUAAAGGAGUUACAAAAAUAAUAAUAAUAAGUCAGUUACCUAAACUGUAACUGCUCCUACCAAAUUUGGCAAGUUGCCAACUAAAAUAUUACAAAAGAAAAGCUGAAAAAAUUCAGCUGUUACAUCCAUCAAUUUCAAAUCUAAAAAUACUAGCUUUAGAUAUCAAGCUACUUGCCAACUUGUUAACAUGACAAAAAUACAAAAUUUAAACAAAAAAGUUGCUUCUGGUUCAAUCUUCAAACAGACAUGCUGCUGCUGCUCACGAUGCUGGUAGUUUGUUGCAUUGCAGACCAAUGCUCAACACUCCUCCUUGGACUGUAGGCAACAAACACCAAUCGAAUCUCGUAAGAAUUCAAACCUGAUUGUGCCAAGAGGCUUUGUCAAAAUGUCAGCCAAUUGAUCUUGUGAACUACAAUAUGCAAGAUUCACAUCCUUUGAUUGUACUGCCUCUCGAACAAAAUAAAAUUUGAGCUUAAAGUGCUUCGUUUUGCCAUGAAAAACAGCAUUCUUAGAGAUAGCUAUUGCUGAUUGAUUAUCAACCAUAAUCUCAGUAGGCUCAAAUUGUUCCUCAUUCAAAUCACACAACAAUUUUCUAAGCCAAAUAGCUUGGCUUACUGCUCCAGCUGCUGCUAUGUACUCUGCCUCAGCAGUUGAUUGAGCAACUGUUUGUUGCUUUUUAGAGCUCCAACAGAAAGCUCCUGAACCAAGAGAAAAGAGGUAGCCUGAGGUACUCCUCAUAUCAUCAAUCGAACCUCCCCAGUCACUGUCUGAGUAGCCAGAUAACUUCAGCUGACCUCCUGUCUUGAACAUCACUCCAAACUUCAAGGAUCCUUUCACAUACCUGAGGAUUCUCUUUGCAGCCUUUAAAUGUGUUGUGUUGCAGCUAUGCAUAAAACGAGAUAGCAAACUGACCGAAUGCAUAAGGUCAGGUCUAGUUGCUGUCAAGUAUAGCAAACAUCCAAUUAGACUUCUAUAUUCUCUUUCAUCCACCUUUUCUUCAUCUCCAUAGCUGCUCAACUUCUGUCCCAUGACUAGAGGUGUACUCACUGGCUUGCAAUUUUCCAUAUGAAACUUAGUGAGAAUUUUCAAGGCAAAUGCAUGCUGGCUGAUAAAAAUGCCUUGAUCAGACUGGUCUACUUCCAUACCAAGGAAGUAAGUCAUGAUUCCCAAGUCUGUCAUGUCAAACAUGUCUUGCAUAUUCUUCUUGAACUCCUGAAUCAAAUCAACCCUACUUCCAGUCACUAAUAGAUCAUCCACAUAUAUUGAGACAAUCAGCAAAGUCUCAUCUUUAGACUUCUUUAUAAACAAAGUUGGCUCACUCAAACUUUUCUCGAAAUUGAGCCUAGACAGGUAAGCAUCUAUCCUGUCAUACCAGGCUCGAGGAGCCUGUUUUAGUCCAUAGAGUGCCUUCUUCAGCUUGUAAACCUUGUCCUCCUUUCCUUGGACUUUAAAUCCAUCAGGCUGUUCAACAUAAAUUUCCUCUUUAAGGAAGCCAUUCAGGAAAGCUGACUUGACAUCAAGCUGAUGGACCUUCCACUGUUUCUGUGCAGCGAAAGCAAAUAGAAGCUUUAUGGUAUCCAGCCUUGCCACUGGAGAAAAUGUCUCCUCAAAAUCAAUGUCAAACUGUUGAUUGUACCCUUUCACCACAAGCCUUGCCUUGUGCUUGUUCAGAGAGCCAUCUGCAUUGAAUUUGGUCCUGAAAACCCACUUGACACCUAUGACCUUCUUCUUAUCAGGUCUGUCUACCAGAUCCCAAGUGUCAUUCUUAUGGAUCAUGUCGAUUUCAGCCUCCAUAGACUUCUUCCAGCUUUUGCUUCUUGCAGCUUCUUCAUAGCUUGAAGGCUCAACAAUGGCCACAUUGCAUCUUUGGUAGAUAUCAGCAAUAGACCUGGUCCCUCUCACAGGAGCAUCAUCUACAUUGGCAUUACUAACUUCAUUUUCUGCCAAUUCCAGAUUGCUGUCAAUCUGCUCUUCUUCAAACUGACUUGUGUUAGAGCCAUCUAGACUCCAAAACCUUCCUUCAUCGAAUUUGACAUCCCUGCUUACCAAAAUCUUCUUGGUUGAAAGAUCAAAUACUCUGUAGCCCUUCUUGCAGCUACUGUAGCCAACAAAUAUACCAGGAACUGACCUCUUCUCGAGCUUGGUUCUUCUUUCUGCAGGGACAAGUACAAAACACUUGCAACCAAACACUUUUAAAUGGGAAACAGUUGGUUUAAGAUCAUACCAUGCUUCAAAAGGAGUUUUAUCAUUCACAGCAUGUGUUGGCAGCCUAUUGAGCAGGUACACUGAGGUGUUGACACCUUCAGCCCAAAAAAUGCUUGGAAGCUUGCUUUGAAACAACAUACACCUGGUCAUGUUCAUCACUGUUCUGUUCUUCCUCUCACACACUCCAUUUUGCUGAGGAGUGUACACUGUGGUUAACUGAUGAUGAAUCCCAGCCUGCUCACAUAGCUUCUGAAAUCUUUCAGACAAGUAUUCAGAACCAUUGUCUGUCCUCAAGGCCUUAAUCCUGCAGCCUGUUUGAUUUUCUGCCAAUGCCUUGAACUUUCCAAAAACUUCAAACACUUCUGACUUCUGUUUCAUGAAAUAAACCCAGCAAAAUCUGGUCAGAUCAUCAAUAAACAGUAUAAAAUACUUACUGCCAUUCAGUGAAGGGGUCUUCAUUGGUCCACAGACAUCUGAGUGCACCAACUCUAGUCUUUCUCGAGCCCUCCAUGCUUGGUUAGCUGAAAAGGGCAACCUGGCUUGUUUGCCAAGCUGACACACCUCACAAACACCUUCACUUGCACUAACCUUCACCAUGUCCUUUGUCAUGUUCAUUUUGUGCAGCAAAUCAAGUGAUUUGAGGUUAACAUGGCCAAACCUCUUGUGCCAAAGAUCAGUAUUGUCAACUGAGCUUGUAUAUGCACUUUUCUCAAGCUGACUCACAUCCAGCAUAAAAUAUUUGUCUCCCAUAGGUACUGAGACAAUCUCCCUACCAUGAGCAUCACUUAUAACACAAGAAUCAUUCUUGAAAACUAGUGAAAAGCCUUUCUUGACUAGCUGGCCUACACUGAGUAAAUUUUGGUCUAUUUCUGGCACAUAGAGCACAUCAGAAAUGAUUUUGUUACCUGAACCAGUGUGAAUCACCACAUCACCUCUACCUUUUGCUUCAAUCAAGUUGCCAUUGCCUAUCCUGACCUUCGAGACAUAGCUCCUGUCAAGGUUCUUGAAAAGGCUCUCAUCUGCAGCCAUGUGGUGUGAGCAGCCACUAUCGACAAGCCAACUGCUCUUGCUGUUAGCUGCAAAACAUGAAGCUGUAAAUACAUGCUCUUCCUGAGCUUGGACAUCCUCGGCAGACUUGGCUUGUACUGGUUGUGCUUGUGCCUUCUCAUGACUUCUACAGAUUUUCUCAUGAUGACCAUACUUCUUACAGCUUUUGCAUUGUAUAUCUGGUCUGGUCCAGCAAAAUUUUUCCAGGUGAUUGGUCUUCUUGCAGUGAAUGCAUGGUGGAAACCUCCUUCUACCGGCAUCUUUCUUUGAUCUUUCCCUCUUUUCAAACCAAGGCUUCUUAGCUUUCUGGCUUGAGCUGGAGCCUUCUCUGACCUUUGCUUGAAAAGCACCUUCAAGACUCUCCUCCUGCCUACUUGCUCUUCUCUGCUCAAGUGCAUAGAGUGAGUUAACCAACUCAGACAAAGAAAUGGUUGUGAGAUCUCUCGAGUCCUUCAAUGAGGAGAUUUUUGACUCAAACCUUUCAGGUAAGGUGGUAAUAACCUUCUCAACAACCCUGCUAUCACUGAAAUCUUCUCAAAGGAGUCUAAUAUUAUUGAUAGUAGCCAUAAUCCUAUCAGAAUAUUGCUUGAUAGUUUCUGACUCCUUCAUCUUCAAAUUUUCAAACUCCCUUCUAAGGUUGAUGACUUGUUGCUGCCUGGUCUUGUCUGAUCCCAUAAAUUCCUCUUUCAGCCUGUCUCAUGCCUGCUUGGGAGAGUCACAGGCCAUGAUACGAGUGAAAAUAACAUCUGAUAUUCCAUUCUGCAAACAGGCCAUAGCUUUGUGUUUCUUGGCUCGUUCCUCACCAUGUUGCCUGAUCUGAGCAAUGGUAGGAUUUGCUCUUAAUGGUGCUGGCUCGACAUCACUCUCAACUGCACUCCAGAGGUCAAGUGCUUGAAGAUAUGUCUUCAUUUUGACAACCCAAAUGUGGUAGUUGUCUCCAGCAAAAACUGGUGGUGGAGGAGGAGCAAAACUCAUGCUGCCAAGACUGACUUUGAAAACACAAAAAACUGACUUUGCUUUGAAAAAACUAAAACAUAAACAACAGAGGUCCUCAAAGAUAGGAGGCUCUGAUUACCAUUUGUUAGAUAAAUUUGGCAGCAACUAAAUCAAAAAGGAAGUUUCACUAAGCAACAGCAAAACAAAACAAUGAAAACAAAAGAAAGACUAAGAGCAGCAUGUAACCGAUGAAGCAAAAUCCUACAGCUUUCAUUUUCAUUUCAAAAUAUAAAGGAGUUACAAAAAUAAUAAUAAUAAGUCAGUUACCUAAACUGUAACUGCUCCUACCAAAUUUGGCAAGUUGCCAACUAAAAUAUUACAAAAGAAAAGCUGAAAAAAUUCAGCUGUUACAUCCAUCAAUUUCAAAUCUAAAAAUACUAGCUUUAGAUAUCAAGCUACUUGCCAACUUGUUAACAUGACAAAAAUACAAAAUUUAAACAAAAAAGUUGCUUCUGGUUCAAUCUUCAAACAGACAUGCUGCUGCUGCUCACGAUGCUGGUAGUUUGUUGCAUUGCAGACCAAUGCUCAACACAUAUUGCAACAUGGUAUAUCUAGGUGAAUUAUUGUCGAACUAAUAUUUUAUAUUUCCUUCUAUAGACGGUAAAAAAAAAUGCUUACGCUGACAGCAAAUGUCAAACAGAAUUUGGAAUUAAAAUCAUAGAGAAGCUUGCUUUGGUUAAUGCACGCAUUCUGCCUGCACCCCUGGUAUGUUAUCAAUUAUAAUAUCCUAUUUUCUGCAAUUGUGAUUAUUUUCUGAUUUGAUUUUUUGUCUUUCUUUUAGCUUAAAUAUCAUGAUACUGGUAAACAGAAGAAUUGCUUGCCUCAAGUCGGGCAAUGGAAUAUGAAGGAUAAGGUAUACCUUGCUUUCAAUUCCGAAUUCUGCAAUACAUAUGUUGUUGUGCUCUCACUGUGUAUUUGUUCUUAGUCAAAUGUUUUACACAGCCAUUAUAUAAACUACUUGGUUAUCUAGAUUUAAGGGAAAACAAAAGUUAAUCUUAGAAUUUCAUCUCUUCAGCUUGCGAUAGUUGAAUGUGAAGAUUUUUUCGUGCAUUUUAUGAUAUAUUAUUGUUUUGUUGCAGAAAAUGGUUUAUUGGGGGACCGUAAAUAACUGGAUCUGCAUAAGUUUUUGUAGCAAAGUUGGACCUAAACUCGCACAUAACUUUUGGACAAAACUUGCAGACACGUGUCGCAUUUAUGGCAUGGUGAGGAAGUUGUAUUAAUUGGACAUUAUUGUUUGUGACCUCAGUUUGGUUAUUUUUAACACUUCUUAUUUGAUAAGGAUUUCUGUGGUUGUUUGCAGGCAUUUAAUUCUGUACCAGUGAUUCCUCCAUUGAAUGCUUCUCCUGACCAGGUGGAGGAAGUCUUGAAAACACUGUAUCGCAAAGCCAUGAAUAAACUCCAGCAAAACAAAGAGCUUGACCUGCUUAUUGCUAUUCUACCAGAUAAUAAUGGCUCUCUUUAUGGUAUAGAUUUUAUGGUCUGAAAUUUAUGUCUGUUGAAAAACAGUCAUACCAUUCCUUAGAGAUUUUCAUGUCCCUUGCAGGUGAUUUGAAAAGGAUUUGUGAGACGGAUAUUGGAAUUGUUUCUCAGUGUUGUUUGUCUAAAUAUGUACUUGACAUAAAAGGACCAUAUCUGACCAAUGUGGCAUUGAAGAUUAAUGUCAAGGUUGGUGGAAGUAAUACAGCUCUUGCUGCUGCAAUACCUUCAGUCAGUGAUCGGCGGACUAUAAUUUUUGGUGCUGAUGUUACCCAUCCUUCCCCUGGGGAGGAUUCAAGCCCUUCUAUUGCAGCUGUAUGUUUCUUAUCUGCUUUUCAUGAGCAUUUUGCUUCUUUGAAAUUCUAAUAUAAAAUUUUUAAUUAAACAUUCAGGUUGUUGCCUCUCAAGAUUGGCCAGAGAUUACCAAGUAUGCUGCUCUGGUUUGUACUCAAGCACAUCGCAAAGAGGUCAUUCAAGAUUUAUACAAGACAUGGCAGGAUCCUGUUAGGGGAAUUGUAUCUGGAGGCAUGAUUAAGUAUGGUUUUUUUCCUCGUGCUUCUAGUUCAAACACCUUUCAGCUUUUGUAGGUAUCAAGUUCUGUUUUGCUGUAAUGCAGGGAACACCUAAUAUCAUUCCAAAGAGCCAAUGGAGGACAUAAGCCAGAGCGCAUCAUAUUCUACAGGCAUAACGAAGCUUCUGGCUCUUCGAUUUUCCUCCCUUAUUUUUAUUGAGUUUUAUUGUAUUUUCUGUAUGCAGGGAUGGUGUUAGUGAAGGCCAGUUUUCUCAUGUAUUGAGCGAAGAACUUGAUGAUAUUCGUAAGGUCGUUGACUGUAUACCAUACUAACAGUAUUUUAACUUCAAUUUCUAGUGUCAGAGCUCUGAGUCUCAUUCAUCAACAUUUCAAUUUAGCAUAUACUCAUUUUUAUCUCAGGCAUGUGCCUCUUAGGAACCAAAUUAUAAGCCUACUAUUACUUUUAUUGUGGUACAAAAGCGACAUCAUACAAGGUUGUUUGCUAAAAACCACAAUGACCGCAAAUUUGCUGACCUUAAGGGAAAUAUUUUGCCUGGUGAGUACUAUUCAUUCUUUUUAUAAUUUUUUAAUAUGACAUCACAAUCUGAUGAUGGUUAUUUGUAUUCUAUUUUGCAGGCACAGUGGUGGACUCCGAUAUAUGUCAUCCAACAGAGUUUGAUUUCUACUUAUGCAGCCAUGCUGGGAUUAUGGUCAAUUCAUUUUUUACUUUGCUCCUAUUGAUAGGUGAUUAGGAUGGGGAUGUAGUUGUUUGUAUUUCUAAUAUUUUAUCCACCGUGGUAAACAGGGAACAAGUCGUCCGGCUCAUUACCAUGUGCUAUGGGAUGAGAACAACUUCACAGCUGAUGCAUUGCAGACUCUUACAAACAACCUGUGCUAUACGUACGUUCUUUUGCCUUCAUCUUGAUGAAUAUUGUCUCUACAUUAGCAAUUGCUCGUAUAUAUUUCUUGUUUUAAAUGUCUGUAAAAUGUUACGUUUCAGGCAUACAUUUUUGGAAGUCUAUAAUUUUAAGGGUUAAAUCACAUUUUGGGACUUGAACUUGACAACUAUUUCCACAUUGGGGCUUAAACUGUUUUAUUUCCAAAUUAGACCAUGAACUAGACAAUUGUUCCGAAAACUUUUUUUGUCCAAGCUAAGCCUUGAAUUUGAUAAUUAUUCUCACAUCGAGGCUUGAACUUUUUUUUUGUCCAGGUUAACUUGUGAAAAUGUUAGAGUUCAAGGCUCAAUCCGAGACAAUUGUCGAGUUCAAACCCCAAUAUUGGAAUAAAUGUCAAAUUCAACGAGUAUCUUAGACAAAAAAAGUUCAAGCCCAAAUGUAAGAAUAAUUGUUUAGUCCAAGUCCUAAUAUGAAAACAAUUACCAAGUUUAGGAUCUAAUUUAGACAUAAAGAAGCUCAGACCCCAAUAUGAGAAAAGUUGUCAAGUUUUGAGGCUCUAAAAUAGUGAUUUAACCCUAAGUUUUGAGUAAAUUUAGUAUUAUAUAAAUGAAAAUUGUAUCACUAUAGAAAUUCCAAUUUAAACAGAACUUUAGAAACACAAACUACAAACCCAUCCUAAGAAUCUUUAUCGAUGAUUGCCCAACUCUUUUCUUAUCUAUAGUAUGAAUCAAACAAUAAUUAAUUGCUCUAACUAAAAAUAUUAUGUUUUCAUUUGUUGCUAGAUAUGCAAGGUGUACCCGAUCUGUGUCCAUUGGUUAGUUCCUUUUGCUUGUUUACUUUUCACACAAAUAUAAAGGCAUUUCUGAGUGCUAGAGGAACUAAGUUUCUCUCCCCUCCCCUUUCCUUGUUAUUUUGUGAUUAACAAGCUAUGAAUAAUUGAACGUGCAGUCCCUCCUGCAUAUUAUGCUCACCUUGCUGCAUUCAGAGCUCGUUUUUACAUGGAACGGGAGACAUCUGAGAGUGGAUCAAGGCUUGGAAGUUCAAGAAGCACAAGAGGACCCGAUGGUAGUGUUGCUGUGAGACCUCUGCCAGCUCUCAGGGAAAAUGUCAAAAGGGUUAUGUUUUACUGUUAGGAGGUGCUUUUAGCAUACUAUAUCAGAGUAUUUUGGUUUUGCUUGUGUGUUGACCUAAAACCUACCUAUUUUCGGUACAAAUUCUGUUUUUGUUGGAACAAUGGCAGCAGCAAAAAAAGAGAACAGAGAGAACAGAACAAUGAAACUAGAUGCAAGAAAAAUUUUUACUUGCUCACAAAUGUGCAGCAAGGGAGCUAUGGCUGAUAGCUCAUUCAGCUCAUUCAUUCAACUAGAAAAACAACAUAUUUAUAGUCAAAUACAUCACCAAAUACUACCUACUACCACUAAGUAGCCUAGUAACUUUAUAAACAUUGCUUGUACCCAUAAACAAGCCACCUAAACUAGUAAUUCAACACCUAAUGCAUCAAGUUGUCAUCAACUUGUUUAUUUUCAACUAGUUUAAUUAACAAAGAAACUAAAGAGAAAACCUUGCUGUUAUAGCAAGUAUUUGUGCUGCAGCAUGUCAUCAAGCUGCAUGCACUUCAACCAAAACAUGUAACAGCAGCAUGGUUGGCCAAUUUCAACAGUUUUUACCGAGAUUGGAACGAUGCAUAAAAUUUCAGUAGGCACAGCUCACUCAAAUUUCCUGGAGUCCUCUAACAUGUUAGGUACAUGUUUAUGUUUUAUGGCAAAUUAAUGUCUCUUUGAGAGAAAAAGCUCCAAUAGUAUUUGAGGUAGUGGCUAUGUCACAGUUUGUUUUUCUGUAUGCUGUCUUUAUUUUUCAUCCAAACGCUGCAUACGUACUGUCUUUUUUUUAUGAUACAAUUUAAUUUGAUCCUAUUAUCAUUUUAUUUUAAGGCAAGGGUAAUGAGAUUCACUUUUUUUUUUCAUCAAAACCAAAAUAUAUGAUAAAAGGAAGCUAGUUGGCAUAAGCCAACAAGGGAAUACAUCAACACCAGUCAUGUAACUAGCAAAAUAUGUCAACGCCAGAAAAAAAAAAUAUCAAUUCACAUCAGCUAAAAUUUCAAACAUAAUCACCCUAUUUCUUCUCGAUCCCUGUCCUAUCUUGCACUCACCAAAUAUUCACCAUAUUCACUGCCUUGAUCACAUCCACCGUUCAUUCACUUCAAUUAACAAUAUAAAAUUUCCACUUACUCGACUAUUGCUCUUAGUUUCAUCUUAAUCCUUCACCUCAGUACCUAUUUCUUCCAUAUCAUUGUCUGCUGCCUUACUUUUGUACUACUCAAAGAAAUGUAUAAUAAAGCAAAAGCCAAAGAUUCCAAGUAUAUAGUGCAGCUCGCAUGCAACCAAGAAACCAAGAUUAAACAGAAUACCAAAAUGCUAGCAAUGAUGGUCAACCAAUGCCACCUGAGAUCAAACCAAAAAACUAGCACAUAAACAACUGAUCUCUUUGAAGAUGUCUUAAAAUCUCCAUUGCCUGUUCUCUGUACUGAAACACCAAGACAUUACACACAAGAAUCAGACACAACGAUCAAGUGCCACUUCUUCUUCCACUCUGUCUUAUCAAAUAUUUGCAGCGCCUAAAAGAUCGCUCUCAGACUCGUUUCUGCUUCAUUAGAUGAUCACUAACAGAACUGAUAAACAUUGCUCAACUCCUUAAAGUCCCUCCGAAACCAGCAGGAUCCCGUCUGCCUCUAGCUGCUCCGUUAACAUUGAGUUAACCAAACCCGAAGACAGUGGCUUCUUCACUAAUGGAGACAGUAAUCACAAUAAUGAAUGUUCCCACCAUUGAAGCACCAGAAAACAUACAUUAGAAUGUACCGCAUGAACCCAAUCCAUGGCUCUUAAUUAAUUGAAAGGAAAAUAUCCCCCUCUUCCAAUCGUUUCCUACUACAAAUGAUUUCAAUUCUAGCCAGCUAAGGAUGAUAAUGGUAGAAGUAAGAAAGAAAUAGGACACUGCCUUGAAACACUGUUAGUAUUUGGUUAACACGUGCCCUUUUUGUUCUUUUUGAAAUGGUAUUUUACAUUGGAAUCCAUCCCAUGCCAUGCCGUGAGAAUUGAUAAUACGUAAAUAAGUAGAUUAUUGAUAUAAAAAUACAACACAAAUAAUUUUUUUUUAAUAAAUGUAAAUAAGUAGAUUAUUGAUGUAAAAAUAUAAUAUAAACAAAUAAUUUAUUCAUUUUUUAUAAACAUACAAAAGAAACACAAAAACAAAUUUUUUUAUAAAAUUCAUAUAUAUUUUUUAUUUUCUAGCCAUUAACAAUCCAACAAUUUAUAUAUUUUUUAUUUUCUAAAAGUCGGUUUUGAGACCAGAUAGGACCACGUGACCAAACAAGCCCCCUAGAUGUUCUAAAAAAAAAAGCCUAUAUUCCUAAUUUUUUUAAAAUUAGCAUAUACCCAUUUUCGAUUUUUAUGAGUACUUUUUGAUUUUUCAGUUGGGUGUUUUGAUUAUUGAUUGAUUUAUCGAUUUUUGAGAUUGAUGUUUGGUUAAAAAUGAAUAAGUUUUGAUGACAGUUUGAUAUGUUUAGGUAGCUGAAUGACGUGUUUUAGUGUACAAACAGUAUUUCACAAUUUACUAGACUGAUUAAUGGCAAUAGUUGUGCUUGAUAGAGAAGAUUGUCUAUAAAUGAUAAUGAAAAUCAGUUUUUCGUUAUUUGCUACACGUUUAUGAGCAAGUAAAUUAUAUCAAGCUUUUAAUUUGCUACUUUUGUUGCUUCAAAAACCCCCAACAAAUGCUCUUUUGAAUCGAUUAAUUAUUGUUCGAGAUUCAUUGUGGUUUAAAUUGAAUUUUAUUAAAACAGGAGAAGUGCCUCCAAAAAUGACUCUCGAGAUUACAUGAAGUUGUGUUUCAUGCAAACAUAUAUCAGUAUAUUUAGAGCCAUUUUCUUUUAUGAUAUUAUGAGGUUUCUCUAGUAAUUUGAUUGCCCAGAAAAAAUUGAGAAUUUGUUCAUAUAGAUCUUCAUUCUUAGAUAUAUAUAGUCAAUUCAUUAUUUUAUUGCUGACACCACUUGAAUCUUAAUUCCAAAUUUUUUAUUGAGAAAAGAGACAUCAAAACAUUUUAGACACUUUUCUGUGCUAUAUUUUCUUUUAAUCUUUUAAAAUAAUUACCAGUUCUAGAAAAUGCCCAAUGUGGAACACGAGAUUCAUACUAGUAAAAAUUAAAAUAAACUAAGUAAACCAAAAUUUCAACAUAAUUAAUUUAAAAUAAGAAAAUAUAUAAAAUUCUCUAACACAAGUAAUUUAGAGAAUGUGUCUUUCUCUUUUCUAAAGAUGGGAUAUUUGAAAAAAAUACGAUGUGUAAUUUGGGGACCGUAACCCUAAUAUAUAACUUUUGCACUAUAACCCUAAUUUUUAAUCAACCCAUCAUAAAUUAGAAAUUAGUUAUUAGAGUAUCUACACAUAUGCCUCACCUAAACAAAGGCUAGGCCAAGCACAACCACCUUGACAAGACUACUAACAUUCAUUAUCAUCAUAUCUUGUAACCCAAUCACAUCAAAUCGUGUAGCCGAAGAGAAAUAUGUCAAAUAAUAAUCCACUAAUCACGAGAGGAUAUGUGGCAACAUCUCUAAACUCCGCAAUAAGACAUAUAAUACACUAAACUAUCAAACCACAUCUCUCCUUCCAACAUCUCCCAUUUCUACUCUCUAACCCUUUAUAUAGUGUUUUCUUCUCCUCUACUGUCUACGGUGAAUUUCCAACACAAAUUGAAUGGGAAUGAAAGAGUGGACAUAAGGAAAAUGUAUUUGUGGUUCUCCAAAAAAGAUUCCUGAAAAUGUAAGGAUCAAGGCAUGUUUGCAAAUUUUUUUUGCAAAAUAUGUAACAUAGGCAUAAAAAAAGUUGUGUAACUUAAAAACAUCCAUUAAUGUUAUGACUUUACCUAUCUAUAACUCACUCAGGUCCCUUGAAAGAAACAAAUGUUAUCAUCCAAUUGGUGGAUAGGUCCAUAGUUUAUUCGUAAGGUGUUUUAGAAUAUGUUAGAGUUGUGUGAUCAAAAUUCUUGUUAAAUAAAUAAUAUAGUGGUAAAACUAGGGGAUCUAUGGUGGGCUUAAGGACUAGGCUGCACAAGUAGAAUUCAUAUAGAACUACUCUUUUUCUAUUUGACAUUGAUUGCACAAGUAGAAUCAAUAUAGAAAUACUCUUCUUUUAUUUGACAUUGACUACAAUAAUAUUUUUCAACCUUUAAAUAAAUGUAGUUGAAACUCCUCUUGUAUCAUUUGAUUUUAAAUGUUAGUGAAUUUUCUUCUCCUCUUCCCAUGGUUUUUUCCCAAAAGGGUUUUCACGUAAAAUCUGUGUAUUUUGUUUUUCUUUCUUAUUGCGUUGCAAUAUUUCUAUAUUGUCAUUAUCGACGUUCAGCUUGAACAAAUUGUAUUAAAACUUUUUGGGUUGCUUAUCUCGAUCACGAUAAUGGCAAUAAUGAAGUAUGAUAUUCUGCUGUUGGAUCACAAUACCAUAUUCACGUUGUGACAGAUAAAGAUGCAAAUAAUUCUUGUGUAGAUAGAUUUGGAGGAUGCCUUGCUAGGGUUAGAUAAGAUGCUUUCGAAAUUAAUAAAGGAAGAGAAGAAGCAUAAAGAUCGAAAGGAUUUAAUGCAAUUACAUAUGCAUCUGUCGAUUGAAAUUCUACAGGACAUGAUGAAGGAGAAGAUCAACGCUAUAUUAUGAGCAAAGUUGCAACAGCUAUGCAUGUCGAAAACCCCAACUAGUAAGUUGUAUAUGAAGUAGCGUAUUUACGCUCAUCGUUUGGAGAAAGGUACAUCUAUGAACGAACACUUAAAUAUGUUUAAAGAAAUUCUCUUGGACCUUGAAGCCAUAUUAGUUUAGUAUGAUAAAGAAAAUUUAGUGUUAAUUCUACUUUGUUCCUUGCCCUCGCCUUAUUCAACCUUUAGAGAUACAAUUUUGUAUAGCUAUGAAUCUCUCACAGUUAAUGAAGCCUAUGCUUAACCUUUUUUGACAAGAUGAAACAUCUGGUAGCUGGAUUUAACUCUUAGGGAGAGAGUCUCAUUGUUCGUAGGAGACAAGAACGAAAUAUUGAUGAUAAUUGUGGGAGGACACAGGAACGAAAUCCUCGCAGUAAAUCUAAAGGUAGAUUGAGAUAUUCAAACAGAGAUAAAAUCUGUAACUUUUGCAAUAAGAAAGGGCAUAUUAAGUUUGAGUUCUAUAAGUUGUGGAAUAAGAUCAAAAGAGAGAUGAUGAAUUAAAAAAGAAAACAAUUAGAACAAUCUGAUGAAGCUGAUGUUGUAGAAGACUACAAUGAUGGUGAACUCCUAGUUUUUUUUGCCGACAACUCUAAAGUGAUCGAAUAGUGGAUCUUGAUUCUGGUUGCACCAUCCAUAUGAGUCCCAAUCGGGAUUGGUUUACAACAUAUAAAAUAGUGUCUAAAGGUGUUAUUUUGAUGGGAAAUAAUGCUUUAUGUAAAAUCGUAGGUAUUGGUAAGAUCGAAAUUAAAAUGUUCGAUAGAGUCAUCAAAAAAUUUAGUGGCGUACAACAUGUACCAUAAUUGAAGAGAAAUUUGAUUUUGUUGACUACUCUUGAUUUAAAAGGUACAAGUAUACAACUGAAAGUAGGAUUCUGAAGAUUAACAAAAGUUCCUUCGUUGUGAUGAAAGGGUAGCGAAAGAUUGCCAAGUUAUAUGUUUUGCAAGGUUCAAUUGUUAUUGGUGAUGCAACUGUCAUUUCCUCUUCCUUGUCAGAUGAUGAUGUUACUAGACUUUGGCAUAUGUGUCUAGGGCAUAUGAGUGAGAACAACAUGAUAGAAUUGAGCAAAAGAGGACUUCUUGAUGGACAAAAUAUUAACAAAUUGAAGUUCUAUGAGCACUUUAUUUUUGGGAAGCAAAAGAGAGUUCAAUUCACAAGAGAAACCCAUAACACAAAGAGAAUGCUGUAUUAUAUUAAUUAUGGUAUUUGAGGACCAUUUAGAGUGCCUUUGAGGGGUGACGCUAAUUAUAUGCUUACGAUCAUUGAUGAUUUUUCUAGAAAAUUUUGGGCAUUCUUCUUGAAGUAUAAAAGUGAUGUAUUUUUUACAUUUAAGGUUUGGAAAACUAUGAUCGAGAAGCAGAUAGGAAAAUAGAUAAAACACCUUCACACAAAUAAUGGCUUGGAAUUCUAUUUUGAUGAGUUUAAUGAAUUAUGCAAAUAACAAGGGAUUGUGAGACACUAGACAGUUCAUCAUACUCUACAACAAAAUGGCAUUACAGAAUGGAUGAAUAGAAGAAUUAUGGAAAAUGUUCGAUGUAUGUUGUCAUAUGCUUGUUUACCAAAGUUUUUUUGGGCUAAAACAACAUUUACUGUAUUUUUUUUAUUAACCAAUCUACGUCCAUUGUCAUUGAGAAAAAUACUCUACAAAAGGUAUGGUCUGAUAAUCCUGUUAAUUAUUCUGAUUUGAAAAUUUUUGGAUGUUCUACGUAUGCUCAUGUUGAUAAUGAGAAAUUGGAACCUAGAUCCAUUAAAUGUAUUUUUCUUCGUUAUAUGGCUAGUGUUAAAAGGUAUAAGUCAUGGUGUCCUGAAGAUAUAAAAGUUGUGAUUAGCAAAGAUGUUAUUUUUUAUGAAAUUGCUAUGCUGUAUAACUUAUCUCUUAAAGAAUCUUCCAAUAAAGACCAGUAAAGUUCAAACACACAUAUGAAGCAAGUGGAGCUUUAGAUUGAUCCAAGACCUACAAUAAAGUCUACUCAUUAAGUUAGUAUAGAAACUCGGAGUAGAGUUGCUCUUCACCACAAUAUUCUAUUGCCAAGAAUAGACCUAGAAGAGAAACUAAAUCUCCAAAGAGGUACGCUGAGUCUGAUCUAGUUACAUAUGCUUUAAACAUGGCUGAAGAUAUAGAUACAAAGCAAGAGUCAUCUACUUAUUCCUAAGAAGUUAACUAUGAAGAUUCAAGAAAGUAGAUGUUUGUUAUGCAAGAAGAGAUGGAAUUAGUCCAUAAGAACAGAACAUGGGACCUAGUGAAGCUAUCGAAGGGUAAAAAGGUUGUUCAUUGUAAAUGAGUAUUCAACAAGAAAAAAGAGACUCAAGGAGUUGAAGAACCCAAGUAUAAUGCAAGGUUGAUUGCAAAAGGUUAUAGUCAGAUUCUCAGUGUAAACUUCAUACAUGUGUUUUCUCCAGUUCUAAAGUAGAAUGUUAAAACAACCAUACUGCCUCUAGUGUCGUGACACAGCUAGUGGACGUCGUGACACACCUUUGGAGUAAAGCUAAAGCUAAGCACGCUAUCAUUGAUGUCAAUACACAAUAAGAGGAUGUCGCGACAUAGAUCAUAUACAUGAAAGCAUUAACGAGUUAAGGGAAUUUUGGUCCAUACAAAGAAAAUUAACAAAGAAAAAUCAAUCGACCUAGGGCUAAGGAGGACGACCAACCCUAACAUUAUAAAUAGACUCAUUAAACACUUGAGAUGGUACUUAAAAUUUUCCUUUUAAUCUAGUUUCAGUUUUUAGUUCUUUUUAGCCUUAGCAUUUAUUUUCAUUUGUUUCUGCUCGUGAUAUUCAGAGAAUCUGAUUUGUGGAUUCAACCAAACGCUGUGGAUUUAUGUGCUUUAAUUUUUCAAUAAAUCAGGAUUCUUCUUAAACCUUUAUUCUUGAUUUGUUAUUCGUGUUCACUUUAUUUAUCAAGUUUAUAUUGUUUGAGAAAUCCAUAAGUAACUAAUCCUCUUAUGGAAGAUUAGCGAGUGAAAGUAUGAUUAAUUAAUUUCUAUGUAGAUUUUCUUAGCGGAUUAGUUAUUUAGAAUAGGAAAAAACUUAAACCCUAGGCUUGGCAACCCUAGGAAGUCAUUUAGGUGGAAAUUAACCCAAAAUUGGUAUUGCCUAUCCAUGAACCCCUUACCCCAAACCAAUCUGGACUAUGAGGUCGAGAGAUAAGUAGCUCUUGUUGACUCAUUAGUUUAGUGGAAGAUCGAGAAGUCCUACUAGGGUAACAACUAGUUAAUUGAGUAGAAAUCCAACAUAGGAAUUAGUUAUAACCAUUGAAGCGAGGUAAUCACCCAUGCUUAGGUUUGGUUGAGUUUAUAGAUUAGUUUUAUGUUUUCACUAUUUUAUGCAUGAUGUAUUCUUGCCUUUAUAAAAAUAAUUCCUUUUUAAUUUAUAUUUCGUUGUGCUAUAAUUUAUUUAAAGUACUAAUUAAUUCUAUUUACGUUUAGGUUAAUCUUAAUUUAGUACUCGCCUCCCUUGGGUACAAUCCUCAGAGUACUUACCUACUUCAUUGUAAAACUAUAUUACAACCUGACUCGAUACUUGUGGACAUCACCUCAAUUCCAUAAUUUUAGUAGUAGUAUUCACACUAUGGACAUUAGUACGUUUGAAGGUUACCAGUCAACAAACAAUGACACGAGGAUUCACCACUAGAUACGUUAAAUGUCUACUUUAAUACCAAUUAUUGCUACCUACAGUUGUUGUUUUCUUAAUAUGAAAAUUUGUAAGGGAACUUCUUGACUUCACUGGCCACUAUGGCUUGACACUGCGAAAAAAUGUGCAAACAAAAACAAAAAACACCAAGAAUUUAUUUACGUAAUUCGAUUUUCUUAUGUCUGUGGAGCCUAGCUCAGUGAGUAAUCCCACUAUCUUUAGUCCACAAUACAUCAAGUGGUUUACACUUUAUCACUCCCCAAGUAUAGAGAACUUACCUUUGAACAUAAAUACUACAACACUCACCUCCAAAUCUUGCCCUUGAGAAUUUGGGCAAUAAACACUCAACAAUGUUUACAAUAUGGUUUGCACUCUCUCACAAAAUAGUUCCUCAAUGAACAGAUUCAAUUGCUCUCAAUAAAACCUCUUACAUAACCUAGACAAGCCUCAAGUAUAAUUAUCAAUCUCAACUACAAACAUAAAGUCUAAGUGAAUACAAAAUAACUCCUUCAAAAUAGCUAUUACAACAUCAAUAUUCAAAGCACAAUCAAUUAAAGAUAUGCUUUUCAAAUUCAACAACACAAUCUCGAUUUGAUCUCCACAUUCCAAGGGUUGGAUAGAUCUAGUCGAAUCCAGUCCAAUAUUCAAAGUUCAGAUUUUGGUUUCCAUAGAUGGACCAUAGUAUCUUCAAUAUAACAAUACAUUAACAUGCCCUAAGAUUUUCUUUAUUAAAUUACAAACUCAAAUAAGACAAAUAAUCAACUGCCUUAGUGGCAACCUAUAAUGAGCAUUGUCGACUGCCACUCAAUUUCAUUCUUCACAUCUUGCUUAAUCAUCAUGUAUUUAUUUGUUGUUGUUUUGUUCUUGUUUCUAAUAAAUUUCUUAAUUGGAUGUUAAUUUAGUGAGGAGAUUUAAAGGGAAAAAAAAGACUUCAUAUCAAAAAGACUUUUCUUAGUAGAAGAUAGAAUAAUUUAUAAAAUCAACACACCAAUCACAUAUAAUGUAUGAUAUCAAAUAAAUUAAAGUCAAUGGACAAUAUUCACACGAAAAUAAAAACGCAGGGCGAGGAAGCUUCCAAUCAGUUUAUUUAUAGAUAGAAUGGUGUUUACAACCUCCACCAUUCUAAUUAUUAAGUGGACACGUUCUUAUUUAUUCAAGUAUUCGUAUUUAUAUGUAUAAAAAAGGCAUUCCUAUUUAAAAAUCCGGCAGCUAAUUAGACCAAGUUGCUGUUGCGUGGUCAAGAUUUGUUUUGUUUUUAAUAUUACUAGGGAGAAAUCAACCAGGUAUUACAUAAUAUGUUUUCGACAAUAAAUUAUUUCCAAGUCUGCGUGAUUUCUCAGUAUAAAUGUUUGUGUUUUGUUAAUGAAAAUGAAGCAACAAUUCUACUAGCUUUCAUCUACAUUUCGCCCCAGAAAUUAUAGUAAAGCAGAGACAAUGAGAGGAUUAUCGGUGUUGAGUUGGAUUCUGAUCAUCUGCGUCUGCCAAGUAGCAGUGCGGAGCCAAUACUACUCGGACACCGUACCAUAUCAACCCAGGCCAGUUGUGGUCACCAAUCUUCACUUCUAUAUGCACGAAUUUACGGGCACUACAGCAGUCGUGCUAACCCAAGCUAACAUCACAAGCAAUAAUACAUCAGUGACAUUUGCCACCCUAGUUGCCGUUAAUGAUCCCCUCAGGACUGGUCCUGAGCCUGACUCAGAGCUGAUUGGAAAUGUUCAGGGUCUUUCCCUGCUAGCCGGAUCAAAUGCAUCGAGCACGCAGUACAUAGAUUUUGGAUUCAAUACCGGUAAGUUUAACGGAAGCUCUCUAAGCGUAUUUUCAAGGGGAGAAGCUGGGCUUGCGGUGGUCGGAGGAAGAGGCCAAUUCGCGAUGGCAACAGGGACUGCACUAUUUAACCCUCUCCUUAUAAAUGCCACCAAUGUCAUCAUUGAAUUUAACGUUACUGUAAUUCAUUACUAAGAUGUUAUUUACAGAGUCAAUCGUCUUGGAUUGUGUGAAAAUCAUAUGAUUAUGCUCCACUUGUUAGAAUAAAUGUAUGAGAAAUAUAUAGGUUUUUAGUAUUAAAAAUUAAAAUUCUCAUACUUGCAGUCAUUGUACUUUAUCAUUAUACGAGAAAUAAAUAUUAAAUUCUUAGCUACUAAAAGGACACCAAUAAAUGUAUCUACUCAGUAUUUAUCUUCAUAUCUAAUAGAGGUUGGUUUAUGCAAAAUUCGGAAAGUUUAUUGAUAACGAAACAAUUAUUAUAUGGUGUCAAAGUCAAAUAUUACAACAAAAGCAAGUUUCUGGACUAUUUGGCGUUGACUGCAACAAAGCAAUCAUGAAAACUUUAAAAAACCUAAUAUGGGCAUUGGUGCCCUUGACAUGUUUACUUUGCUCUAUAUAUCAUAACAAAUAUAUUCUUGUGUUGGGACUUCAAUUCCCAAAAAUAUGAUCCAGAUAACCAAAGUUUGAUCAAAGCCAGAGAGAAAAGUUUCAUUAUUUUUAUUGAUACUAAAUUUUGUCCAAGUCGAUAAAUCCAGAUUAGGCCAUACUUAGUCCACUAACAGAUCAACAAAUCAUGGCAUAAUGCCAAAUUUUGCAAUCAAUAUUAGAUUUUUUUUUUUUUUAAAUUAUGCUGUUAUUCUUUUCUUUUCGCUAAAUUUAACUCUCAACCUUUCGUAAAAAUUAAAUUUGACCAUCAACCUUUUAAAAAUAGUUAAAUUAUUGUAUUUUUAAUGCAAAUAUUAACUAAAACGUUAAAAUUUUUAAUCAUGAUAGCCCGCAUAGCAAUUCACACGUCUUUCAUGCUAAUUUUAUAAAAAUUUCUAAACCUUUUUAUAACUUUUUUUUGAAUAUUUUAUAACUAUAAAAUUAUUAGUUGACGUGGCAUAUUAAACAAAAAAAAAGGCCAUGUCAUACCUAGAUUGCCACACCAACAUCAUAAAAAAUUAAUAUUUUAAUCAAUAUUUUCAUUAAAAAAUAUAAUUUGACACUUUUUAAAAGAUUAAUGACAAAUUUUAGUUCAAGUAAAAGAGCCCUAUUGAGAAAAGUUAAACAUUGAGGGCUAAAUUUGACAUUAUAUUAUAAAUCAACCUUUCAAACUUAAUUCAAGACUUAGUUAAAUUUUUGGGAUUAAAUUGAAAUUUCAAAUUAAACUAAGCCUUUGGUUAAAUUUUUCAAAAGUUAAAUCACAGCAAAAGUUAAAUUUGACUUCCUAAUCUCCAACCAUAGACCAAAAUUGUUGAAGUGUUCAGCUUAUUACAAUUUCUUUCAUAUAAAAUUUCACUUUUAAUUUUAUAACAGAUUAAUAAAAAUACUCUUAACUUGUAAACUCAGACACUCAACUAUACUAUUUUAGUGUAAAAUCUUUUUCUUGUUUUGAAGAUAUUGUCUAGCAAUUGACAUUUAUAUUAUUUUAAAUAAUUUUAUGUAUUAUGAAUAAGAUUAUUUAUUUGAUGUAUUAUGCGUUCUUCUUAUUACACAAUUUUAUAAUUGUUCGACAUAGUCACUCUGUUGAACAAAGCUCGCUCACAUCGGAUGAUAGAAAGGAGCAAAGUUGCCUAUAUAGGAACCCGUCCAGUUGACCUGAAGAAAGUCACGAUCAUAUCUGUUAACAUUAUGAUUAAUGGCAGACAAUUUUAAUGGAAAACAAUCCAAGUGGUGCAAGUUUAGCACCCUAAAGUUGACUUUGAAAAAGUGGCAUGGGAUAAAUUUUUUUUGGUCCUUGAGAUAAUGGGCUAUUUAUUGUUUGGUCCUUAAACCUCAACUAUAAAUAGGCCUUCUCAUUUCUCAUUUCAAUUCAUCCCAACCAAUCUUUCUCUCUUAUUUUUCUCUCUUCUCUCAUUUGAGAAUUCUUAAGGAAUUCUAUUUGUUUGUAAUAUCUUGGAGAUAGUAAAGUUAUCAUCUGGUGUUAGUGCCCGAGGACGUAGGUAUAAUUUACCGAACCUCGUUAAAACUCUUGUGUUCUUUCUUGUCCUAUUUUUCUUUCAAUAUUUGAGGGUAUAAUAGUAGUAUUUAAUUGUGCUAUUAAAUUACUAUAAAAGGGAUAUUCUGACUAAGGAAAGACUUGGUAUUUAAAGAGAUCCUUGUGAUCCACCUCUCUUUCCUGGGAAUUGAACUUUGUGUGAUUUUUUAGUACAAUAAUUUACACGCUUCCGACCCUAUUGGAACAACAAGUGGUAUCAGAGCUGAAGGUUAAUCGUAGUAUGCUCUGUGGUUGCAGUUUAAACUGAUCUUCCACAUCAGAAAAGAUUUCCUUAGGUAUAUUGAAAGAUUAUGGAGAAAACGGUCGGUGUAGGAGCUUCAACAUCGUCCAUGUGGACAAGACCGACAAUUGCAAAUGCAAGAUUGGCCGUGGAGAUCUUUGAUGGCACGGGCCAUUUUGGUAUGUGGCAAAGUGAGGUUCUAGAUGCCCUUUUUCAGCAGGGUCUAGACAUUGCCAUUGAUGAAGAGAAACCAGAUGAUGUAUAGGAGAAAGAUUGGAAGGCGAUCAAUCGGUUGGCAUGUGGCACAAUUCGAUCAUGCCUUUCUCGAGAGCAGAGGUAUGCUUUUUCAAAGGAGACUUCUGCAAAUAAGUUGUGGGUGGCACUUGAAGAAAAAUUUUUGAAGAAAAACAGUCAAAAUAAGCUCCACUUGAAGAAAAGACUGUUUCGCUUCACAUACGUCCCAAGUACCACAAUGAAUGAUCACAUCACCAAAUUUAAUCAGUUAGUCACUGAUUUGCUGAAUAUGGAUGAGACAUUCAAAGAUGAAGAUUUGGCUUUGAUGCUGUUGGGGUCACUUCUUGAGGAGUUUGAGUUCCUAGAAACUACUCUACUUCAUGGCAGGAGUGAUAUAUCUCUGAGCGAAGUCUGUGCGGCCUUAUACAGUUAUGAACAGAGAAAGAAGGACAAACAGAAAAACUCAAUCAGAGAUACAGAAGCUUUAGUAGUCCGAGGUCGUCCAUACACUCGGAAGAAAACUCAAAAGGGGAGAUCAAAGUCAAAGUCUAGAUUCAGGAAAGAUGAAUGUGCUUUUUGUCAUGAGAAAGGCCACUGGAAGAAAAAUUGUCCAAAGUUGAAGAAUAAGGGAAAAGCUGUUGUAGAUGCUUGUGUUGCUAAGCAUGAUACUAGUGACUCUGAACUAUCACUGGUUGCAUCAUCAUCGUCGUUCCAUUCAGAUGAGUGGAUAUUAGAUUCGGGUUGUACCUAUCAUAUGUCCCCUAACCGGGAGUGGUUCUCUGAUUUAGUAGAACUAAAUGGAGGAGUUGUUUAUAUGGGCAAUGACAAUGCCUGUAAAACUGUUGGGAUAGGUUCAAUCCAAUUAAAGAAUAAAGAUGGAUCAACCAGAGUUCUGACUGAUGUUCGGUACGUGCCCAGUUUGAAGAAAAAUCUCAUCUCAUUGGGAGCCUUAAAAUUCAAUGGUUCAGUUGUUACUAUGAGAGAUGGGGUUUUGAAAGUGACAUCUGGCGCACUUGUGAUAUUGAAGGGCAUCAGGAAAAAUAACUUGUAUUACUACCAAGGUAGUACAGUUAUUGGAGCAGUCGCUGCAGCUUUCGGCAACAAAGAAUUAGACUCAAUACAGUUGUGGCAUAUGAAGUUGGGACAUGCCAGCGAAAAAUCCUUGCAAAUUCUGGCAAAGCAAGGAUUGUUGAAAGGUGCAAAGGCUUGCAAAUUAAAAUUUUGCGAGCAUUGUGUUUUGGGAAAGCAAAAGAGAGUGAAAUUCGGUACUGCUAUCCAUAAUACAAAAGGUAUUUUGGAAUAUGUUCACUCAGAUGUGUGGGGGCCUUCCAAGACACCUUCAUUGGGAGGAAAACACUACUUUGUUACUUUUGUUGAUGACUUUUCUAGAAGAGUUUGGGUGUAUACCAUGAGAACUAAGGAUGAAGUGCUUAGAGUUUUUCUUAAAUGGAAAACUAUGAUCGAAAACCAGACUGGCAAGAAAAUCAAGCGGCUUAGGACGGACAAUGGAGGGGAAUAUAAAAGUGAUCCGUUCUUCGAUGUGUGCCAAGAGUAUGGUAUUGUUUGACACUUCACAGUUAGGGAUACACCACAGCAGAAUGGAUUGGCAGAGCGUAUGAAUCGAACAUUGCUGGAGAAAGUUCGAUGUAUGUUGUCCAAUGCUGGGUUGGGCAAGCAAUUUUGGGCUGAGGCUGUGACAUACGCUGGCCAUCUUGUUAAUCGUUUGCCAUCAUCUGCAUUAGAAAGAAAAACUCCUAUGGAGGUAUGGUCUGGAAAACCGGCUACAGAUUAUGAUUCCUUACAUGUGUUUGGAACCACUGCAUAUUACCAUGUGAAGGAGUCAAAGUUAGAUCCAAGGGCAAAGAAAGCUCUCUUUAUGGGAAUCACUUCUGGAGUGAAGGGAUUUCGUCUUUGGUACUUAAGCACAAAGAAAAUGAUCUGUAGCAGAGAUGUUACCUUUGAUGAAUCUGCCACAUUGAAAAAGGUAGCAGAUAAAGAUAUGCAGACGAGCAAUACUCCAUAGCAGGUGGAGUGUACUCCAAAAUAGGUGGAGUUUGAGCAGAUGGGGAUUUGCCCAGUUAAUAAGUCUAAUUCUCCAGCCACAAUGGAGGAAUUAGAGGUUGAAGAGGUUAUGACCCAAGAACUACUAAGUACACCAGAACCAGUUGCAGUUGCAAGGCCACGGAGAGAAAUUCGUAAACCUUCUCGAUUUACUAAUAUGGUGGCCUACGCCCUUCCCGUUGUUGAUGAUAUUCCUAUCACUUAUCAAGAAGCAAUGCAAAGCUUAGAAAGUGAUAAAUGGAAAAGCGUCAUGGAUGAAGAAAUGCAGUCUCUCCAGAAGAACAAUACUUGGGAGUUAGCGCAAUUAACGAAAGGUAAAGGGGCAAUCGGAUGCAAGUGGGUAUUCGCAAAGAAAGAUGGAUCUCCUAGCAAGAAGGAUAUUCGCUACAAGGCAAGAUUGGUAGCUAAAGGCUACGCUCAGAAGGAGGGAAUUGACUACAAUGAUGUAUUUUCCCCUGUUGUGAAGCAUUCCUCCAUUAGAAUUUUGUUGGCCUUGGUAGCACAGUUGAAUUUGGAGCUAGCUCAACUUGAUGUUAAGACGGCUUUCUUGCAUGGUGAGUUAAAAGAGGAGAUCUAUAUGACUCAGCCAGAAGGAUACACAGAUGCUGGUGGUAGAAAUUGGGUUUGUAAGCUUAACAAAUCGCUAUAUGGAUUGAAGCAAUCCCCGAGGCAGUGGUACAAGCGAUUUGAUAGCUUUAUGAGAAGGCAGAAGUACACAAGAAGCAAAUAUGACAAUUGUGUAUAUUUGCAGAAGCUGCAUGACGGAUCUUUCAUUUAUCUACUCUUGUAUGUUGAUGAUAUGUUAAUCGCUUCGAAGAGCCAAAAUGAGAUAGAUAAGCUGAAGGCUCAGUUGAAUCAAGAGUUCGAGAUGAAAGAUCUAGGUGAGGCCAAGAAGAUUCUCGGCAUGGAGAUAAGUAGAGAUAGACCGAGAGGCAAGCUCUGUUUAAAUCAAAAGCAAUAUCUGAAAAAGGUAUUACAAUGUUUUGGUGUAAAUGAAAACACAAAACAUGUAAGUACCCCACUGGUUAGCUUCUUUGCUUGCUUAGUUGUUACAAUUAUCUUCAGAUUCUUGUCACUAUGUAUUUUGGAAUUAAAAAAUAUAUUAAAUGUAAAAAUAUGAUUUUUUAAUAAAAGUUCUUUUAAAAAUAAAAUGUGAAAUUGAUACCAAUAUAAAAUUUCAACACGAAUAUUUUAUGACAUAAUUAAUAAUUCAAUUUUAAUAUAAAUAUUCAAUAUGACUAAACAAUUCAAUAAUAUAAAUAAUAUAAAAUGUGAAAUUUAAUUUAAUAAUAUAAAUAGUAGAUAUAAAUAAAAUUAUUACUAUUUAUGUUUAGUGAUUUUUUUGGGAUAAUUUUGAUUUUUUAUUUGAGAGUAAAGGGUAAGAAGUAAAAGUUUAGAGGAAAAAUAAAAAGUUUUGGGGAAUAAAAGUUUGAGGGAAAGUAAAUAGAGGAGAGUAAAAUUUUAGAGGGAAAAUAUUAAAAAAAAUUGGAGGGGGGAGGGUUUGGGAUGGAUGGGAGGUGAGAUAGGAAAGGAAUAAAAGUUUUAGGGGAAAAGUGAGAGGGAGUAAAAAUUUUGGGGGAAAAUAAAAGGUUUUGAGGGUUUUUGGGAGUAAAAUUUUGAGAAAAAGUAAAUGGGAGAGUAAAAUUUUGGUGGAAAAUGGAUUUUGGGUAGAUUGGGGGGUUGAGAGGGGAGGAAAGUAAAAGUUUUGGGGGCAAAGUGGGAAGGAGUAAAAGUUUUGAAGGAAAAGUAAGGUUUGGGAGUUUGGGGUAAAAAUAUAAAAUAUUAUAGUUUGAUAUUCGAAUUAUUCGAAUUAUUCGAAUUCGAAAACUCAACUCGAUUGAUGGCAACGCGGAGGCUAGGGUGCAGCGGCGGCAGAAGAGCAAAGGUCAGAAGCAGGUGGCGGCCAGGAGCUAGGGUUUCAGCUUUUCUGAAACCCUAGUUUGACUUUGGUUUUUUGGGGUUGGAUAUUGGGCCUCGGGUUUGGGCUGCUGUAGUUGAUUUGGUUUUUUGGGCCUGUAAUGGGUUAUUUGGGUAUUUUAGGUUUGGGUUUGCUGUAUUUGUUUUGCUGGUAUGGGCCCAGGGCAAAAUGGGCUUGUACAAGAAAUAUAUAGGUUUAUAGUAUUAAAAAUUAAAAUUCUCAUACUUGGUCAUUAUACUUUAUCGUUAUACGAGAAAUAAAUAUUAAAUUCUUAGCUACAAAAAUAUAUCUAUUCCGUACUUAUGUUCAUCUCUAAUAGAGGUUGGGUUAUGCACAAAUUUGGAAAGUUUGUUGACAACGAAACAAUUAUUGUUUAGGGUCCGUUUGAUUGUGGUAAAAUAUUUUCCGGAAAAGGUUUUCAGCCUUUUCCAGUGUUUGAUUGGCUAAAAACAUUUUUCAUUUAGAAAAUGAAUUCCAAAACACGGGUAAAAUGCCUUACAAUUAGUGUCAAAGUCAAAUAUUACAACGAAGCAACAAAAUUUUCGGCCUCUUAAUUUUGCGUCGACUGAAGCAAAGCCGCCAUGAAAACUUAAAAGAAACUAAAGUGGACAUUGGUGUGUUUGAUUCCUUCGCAUUUGACAUGUUUACUUUGCUCAAUAUAUCAUAACAAAUAUAUUCUUGUGUUAGAGAUGAAUAAAUCUUGAGAUUCCCAUGAAAUGAUUCAACUCACUGGAAAAUCUCUCUGCCAAAGUUUGAAUAAAAUCAGAAAAGAAGCUUUAUUAUUUUUAUGAGUCAAUAAAUCCGGAUUAAGCAAUACUUAGGUCUCUAAUAAAUCUAUAUAUCAAAGCAUAAUGUCAAGUUUAGUUCUCAAAGUUUACAUUUUUUCACUAGUCAUCAUUGUCGCUAAAAAACGAUUUGACAUUUUUUCAAAGGUUAAUGACAAACUGAGUUAAAAAAGAAAAAAGAAAAAUAAGGGUUAAAUUGACAAAAUUUAAAUAUUAAAGGCUAAAUUUAACAUUAUGCCAUAAGUCAACCUUUUGAACUUAAUUCUAGAUUUAGUUAAAUUUUAAAUUGAAAAUUCAAAUUAAAUUCAGCCUUACGUUAAAUUUAAUUAAAGUUUAAUCACAAUCUUGAAAAGUUAACAAAAGUUAAACUUGACUUUCUAAUCUCCAACCGUAGGCCAAAUUUCUUUCUUUCAUAUUGAAUAAAACAUUAAUACAAAUACUCUUAAACUUAUAAGCUCAAACAUUCAACUAUAUUAUUUUUGUCUAAUGUCAUUUUCUUGUUUUGAAUAUAUCGUUUAGCAAUUGACAUUUAUACUAUUUUAAAAGAAAAUUGUUCAUGAUCUUAAACCAUUUUUUAUUUUUAUGUUUUAUGAACAAGAUUAUUUCUUUGAUAUUGUUGAGACAAGAUGUGAAGAAUAAAGUUGAGUGGUACUUGAAAGUGCCCACAGUAGGCUGCCAUUGAGGCAGUACCUUAUUUGAGUUGUCAAUCUAUUGAAUAAAAUCUUUGGCCCUGUUAAUGUGUUGUUAUAUUGAAGAUACUAUGGUUCAUCUAUAGAAAAACAAUCCUUGGCUAUUGAAGAUUGGAUUGGAUUCGAAUGAAUCAAUUCAACCCUUGGAAUGUGGAGGUCGAUCGAGAUUGUAUUGUUGAUUUUGGAGAGCAUGCCUUCGAUUAACUGUGUUCCGAUUAUUGAUGUUGUGAUAGCUGUUUUCAAGGAGUUACUUUAUAUUCACUUAGACUUGAUGCUAGCAAACCAAAUUGAGUGAAAAAAUGUAAACUUUGAGAAAUAAACUUAACAUUAUGCUUUGAUAUAUGGAUCUAUUAGAGACCUAAGUAUUGCUGAAUCCGGAUUUAUUGACUCAUAAAAAUAAUAAAGCUUCUUUUCUGAUUUCAUCCAAACUUUGGCAGAGAGAUUUUCCAGUGAUUUGAAUCGUUUCAUGGGAAUCUCAAGAUUUAUUCAUCUCUAACACAAGAAUAUAUUUGUUAUGAUAUAUUGAGCAAAGUAAACAUGUCAAAUGCGAAGGAAUCAAACACACCAAUGUCCACUUUAGUUUCUUUUAAGUUUUCAUGGUGGCUUUGCUGCAGUCGACGCCAAAUUAAGAGGCCGAAAAUUUUGUUGCUUCGUUGUAAUAUUUGACAUUGACACUAAACAAUAAUUGUUUCGUUGUCAACAAAGUUUCCAAAUUUGUGCAUAAACCAACCUCUAUUAGAGAUGAAGAUAAGUACGGAAUAGAUAUAUUUUUGUAGCUAAGGAUUUAAUAUUUAUUUCUCGUAUAAUGAUAAAGUACAAUGACCAAGUAUGAGAAUUUUAAUUUUUAAUACUACAAACCUAUAUAUUUCUCAUACAUUUAUUCUAACAAGUGGAGCAUAAUCAUAUGACUUUCACACAACCCAAGACGAUUGACUCUGUAAAUAACAUCUUAGUAAUGAAUUACAGUAACGUUAAAUUCAAUGAUGACAUUGGUGGCAUUUAUAAGGAUAGGGUUAAAUAGUGCAGUCCCUGUUGCCAUCGUGAAUUGGCCUCUUCCUCCGACCACCGCAAGCCCAGCUUCUCCCCUUGAAAACACGCUUAGAGAGCUUCCGUUGAACUUACCGGUAUUGAAUCCAAAAUCUAUGUACUGCGUGCUCGAUGCAUUUGAUCCGGCUAGGAGGGAAAUACCCUGAACAUUUCCAAUCAGCUCUGAGUCAGGCUCAGGACCAGUCCUGAGGGGAUCAUUAACGGCAACUAGGGUGGCAAAUGGCACUGAUGUAUUAUUGCUUGUGAUGUUAGCUUGGGUUAGCACGACUGCUGUAGUGCCCGUAAAUUCGUGCAUAUAGAAGUGAAGAUUGGUGACCACAACUGGCCUGGGUUGAUAUGGUAGGGUGUCCGAGUAGUAUUGGCUCCGCACUGCUACUUGGGAGAGGCAGAUGAUCAGAAUCCAACUCAACACCGAUGCUCCCCUCAUUGUCUCUGCUUUACUAUAAUUUCUGGGGUGAAGGAAAAAUGUUGAUGAAAGGUAGUGGAAUUUUUGCUUCAUGUUUAGACAUUUAUACUGAGAAAUCCUGCGGACUUUGGAAAUAAUGUAUUUGCCCAAAACAUUUGAUAUAAUAACUGGUUGAUUUUUCCCUAGUAAUAUUAAAAAGAAAACAAAUCUUGACCACGCAACGGUAGCUUGGUCUAAUUAGCAGCUUGAUUUUUGAAUAGGAAUAUACCUUUUUUAUAUACGUAUAUAUACGAAUUUCUUCCCUUAAUAAUUAGAAUGGUGAAGGUUGUAAACACCAUUUUAUCUAUAAAUAUAAUGUUUGGAAGUUUCCUGCCCUGCGUUUUUGUUUUUGUCUGAAUUUGACUUUUAAUUUAUCUGAUAUCAGAUAUUAGAUGUGAUUGAUGUGUUGGUUUUAUAAAUUAUUCUAUCUUCUGCUAAGAAAAGUCUGCUUGAUAUGAAGUCUUCUUUCUCUUUUUCUUUAAAUCUACGUACUAAAUUAUUAUAUUCCUACAAUGUUCUGUGUAUAAGAACUAAACGACAAGAAUAAAAGAAUAUAAUCGAUCAAUAUUAUAUUCCAUUAAUUCUAGAAUUCCCCAACCUUCAAAUAACUUCAUUUUCAUAGUGUCCUUGGUCAUAUGGAGCAGCAGCUACUCCUAAUCCUUUGCUCCUUCUGUACAAACCCAAAUAUGCCCGGGCCCAGACCAACAAACAAGCCCAAACAUUUAACCCCAAGCCCAAUAACUAAAUAGCCCAAUACUUAAAUAAAUGCAGAAAACCUUAGUAGCAGCAAGUAGCCGCCGCCCUCAAACGCCCCAGCAAUCUCCAGUCGCCGCAAGUUUCGGCCUCCACGCGUGCCGUUUCUCCGCAAACACCGCUCCUCAAGCACGUACCUGCAACAAGCGAAAGAGAAGAGCAAAAAAUCGGGCCAACAAACAACCGAAUAGAUUUAUUUGGAUUUAUUUUUUCUUUCCCAUUUUCGGCUAUAAAAGGCCAAUAUUUUCAGUGUAAAAAGGGGGAUGCAGUGUAAAAGAUACGAAAAUAGAGAGAAAAGAUUGAAAUACAAAGAAAAUUGAAGGUUAAUCGCGUUUAUUCUAUUUUCAUUUUUACUUUUUUUCUCUUUUCUUUUUUAUUUGUUUUGUGAAAUAAUAGAAUAAGAGGGGAAAAGGGAGACUUACCUUUCGCCGGAGUCUUCGAGCUGGUGUCCCCUCCGUCGGAAUCGAGGCGUGGGCUGAACGGCGGCCAAAGGGUUAAGGAAACCCAGAAAGAAGCAGUUUUUGCUUCAAAGGGAAAGGCAAAAUAUUACCCUGAAUUUGUUUUUUUUCUAAAACUUAAAACGGAACAAAGAUGGUGUUGUUUAGUUUGGGGGUCUGCGCAUAUCAACCUUAAGUGGGAGAAUUGCGCAAGAAGUCCUCCCCCUUUGCGCCAUGUUUUAUUGAGCCAGUUAUUUAUUUUUAAUUUGGCCCAAAUAUUUUUACCUUGUUUCAAGUCGGUCCCCAUUGCUGCGCACCGUUUGGGGAGAGGGAUUAUUUUCAUUUUAGGUCCCCCAUGUAGUGCGCGCGUCGCAAAUUGGUCCCCUUUCUUUUUUUUUUAAUUUCAUUUUUUGGUUAUUUUGUUUUUUUUUGCAUUUUUUUAAAAAUUAUUACUAUAUUAUUUAUUAUUAUUCCUAUAUUUAUACACGCAUUUUCUUUAUAUAGUAUAUAUACAUAUUUCUUUAUAUAAUAUAUAUAUUCUUAAACCUUUUUAAAUACAUGCAUUCUACAUACGUUUUAUAUAUUUAAUUAUUUUUUUGUAACUUUUAUGUACCUUAUAUUAUAUAUAUGCAUACUUAUACAUUUUCUUUUAUUCUGUGAAUAUAUACAUCUCCGCAUACUCUUAUAUUUUUUUUAUAUUAUUUUAUUUUUAUAGUUUUUGCAUUCAUAUAUGUACAUAUAUAUAUACAUAUUUUAAUACGUGCAUAAUUUAUAUAUAUAUUUUUUCCUUUUUUUGUUUUCAUAGUUUUUAUAAAUAAGUAUAUAUGUAUGUACAGUUAUAUUUUACAAUACAUAUGUAUUUUUCUUAUUUUUGUACAUAUACGUAUUUUCUUUGAAAUCUACAUACAUAUUUUUGGAGAUUACUAUAAGUUCUGUUGUACAUGUCUUUUUUACAUACGUAUACUUGUAUAUGUGUGUUAAAUAUAUGCAUACACAUAUUUUCAAAUUUACUUGUGUAUUGUGCUUGUGUUUACAUAUUUUGUAAAUACAUGUACAUAUAUAUUUUAAAUUAAAAUAUUUGUUUCAUAUUGUACAUUAAUUUUUAACGUACCCUUUGGAAAAUAAAUCUUGGUUUUUUCGAUAUAUCAAAAUCAUUUUUUCUUGAUUCAAGGGUUUUUUUUAAUAAAAGCAAUAUUCGAAGUUUGGGAUUUUCGAGGGAAAUUGAGCCCUAACGUAUUGGGUUCUAAUUUUCUUUGUUAAUCUUAAAUAACCGAGGAUAUUCUUCAUUCAAAAUGCAUGAGUAUAAAAAUCAUUUUUGGGAACUUAACUUGUUGUGCCCUAACGCAUUGGGUGUGGCAUGUUACUUUCUCAAAAUGAAGAUUUUCACAUAAAAUAAAAGUGAUAUUCAAAGUUCAGGGAUUAUGAGGAAUUGUACCCUAACGUAUUGGGACUCGAUUUCUUUACAUGACUUGAACAAUUGAUUAUCCUUUUUUCAAAUUUCAUCAUUUGAGCCGAUUUUAGAAAUCUUUUUAACCUUCGACACUAAGAUAUUAAAUGAUCAAUUUGGUACCGAUUUUGGGCGUUACGAGGGUGCUAACCCUUCCUCGUGCGUAACUGACUCCCGGACUCAUUUUCUCAAAAUUCGUAGACCAAAAUAGGGUGAGCCGAUCACACCUUAAUAAAGGAUCGGUGGCGACUCCAGUUUUAUUUUUAAAGUCGACAACUAAAAUUUUUGUUUUCAAAAAACGGUUUCGACAGCUUGGUGACUCCACUGGGGACAUUUGAGAGUCGAGUCAUGAAUUGAUUAUGCUUUGUCUUUUUGUCGAAAGUCAAUUUUUUUUAAAUCAUGAUUUCCUUUUGCAUUUAUUGAUUUUCAUCAUUUGCAUGAUUGAAUCAAGUUGGUUGAUCUGUAUUUGCAUUUUGCAUUGCAUGGUCAGUGUUACCCUUUAAGUGGGAGCGAGAAACUAGUCCUUCGUGAGGUUUUCACCUCCGUGCAGGGUAGUGGACCGCUUCCGAGAUACAUCCGUACCUAUGUCUUCGUGAGAUUUUCAUCUCCGUGCAGCCAUAGGGAAAUGUAUCCCCCUGAACUGAACUCGAUCCACAUGAGCCUAUAAUGGGUGAGGAUCGAGGAAUCUACUGGUUUGGGUACCCUUACUUUAGAAAAUAACCCUCAUAUAGUAAACAUUAGGAACUUACCCUAGGUAGAGCUAUACCAAACCCUAGAGGGGUCCUGAAUAGGUGCUUUUAUAAUUUCCUGUGUAUAUUGAAUUAUGAUUUUAUACAUAAUACUGACUUUUUUGUGUUUCACUUUGACUGCAUAGCAUUUAGACUGCAUGGCAUUUCAUUAUAGAAAAGAGGUGUUGAUUCACGUUUGGUUGUUAAUAGAGAGCUCACCAUGGAAAACGGGUUUCUUGAUAAGGUGGAAGAUAAUACGGUUGUCUGAGUACAGUCUAAGAAAACGUGACACGAAAGGUCUAACAAUUGGAGUAUACGAAUUUGCUACGUAACCUGAGAAUUCAAAUUGUCAAAGAUUAUUCAAAGUCAUCAAAGGUCCCAACCUCUUAAAGAAGCUAAUGAACGUGAAUGAGCAAGGAGUUAUGACCUAGAUCAAACAAAAAGGAGUUCGAAUUCGCGAGGUGCAUCUUAAUAUCCGAAUGGUCGAUGCCUUCGCUUGGAGUACGAAGGUGAAGCCGUAUAUAUAUAUCCGCUUUAUGUAAAGAGAUUUGUUUUUUAGUAAAACUUUCUAGUAAAGAAUUGAACAUAAAUCAACGUCUCUUUUUUGCAUUCAUUUCAUGCAUUUGCAUUUCAUUACAUUAUAUGCAUUAGACACCUUUAAAUGAUCCUAAUUAAUUAAAAUCCCUGCUCAGUUAACCUGGAAACCAACCAACCAACCAAGCACCGUUACGGCACUCGAGCAAAGAUUAAAGACAUGGAUCAGAGAUUGGAAAAGCUUGAACAAUACCAGAAGGAGAUGCAAGACUUACUUCAGCUACAAGUGCAGGAGCGGUUAGACAAGAUGCAACAGGAUAUGUCUGAGAAAAUGCAGGAAUCCCAAAAGGAUAUGAUGGCAAAGCUAACCAAACUAUUGACCGGAGGAGGUGAUAAGGGAAAGGGUCCCAUGGCUGAUGUCAAAGUGGGUAAUGAACCACUCUAUCUUCUAGGCUUUACUCCUCCACAUGUUCGAACUCAAUAUCCACAUAAACCCACUGUCACAAUCAAGCCUCAGCAGUCCCAGGCCAGUGCUUCGAACUUUUAAGUUAGAUUGGGCUCUAACCCCGAAAACUACCCUGUUAACUCUGUCAUUCCUGACUUUGAUGAAGUGGCUGAAAAGGAAAGAAUAAAAGAGGAGUUACCAAGGCAGUUAGAGGAAAGGUACAAAUGGCUAGAGGAGAAAUUUAAGGCGAUGGAAGUCACUGAAAGCUAUCGCGGGAUUGACGCCAAAGAGCUAAGCUUAGUUCCAGAUUUGGUACUCCCUCACAAGUUUAAGAUGCCAGAAUUCGAGAAGUACAAUGGGACAACUUGCCCAGAAGCUCAUAUCACCAUGUUCUGCAGGCGAAUGGCUGGAUACGUUAACAAUGACCAGCUAUUGAUACAUUGUUUCUAGGAUAGCCUUUCAGGGGCAGCAUCUAAAUGGUACAAUCAGCUAAGCCGUACCACAAUUGGUUCAUGGAAGGACUUGGCACAAGCGUUCAUGAAACAGUAUAGUCAUGUGACAGACAUAGUUCUUGACAGAAUCACCCUUCAAAAUAUAGAGAAGAAGCCGAACGAAAGUUUCAGGCAGUAUGCACAAAGGUGGAGGGAGGUCGUAGUCCAAGUUCAACCACCGCUCUUAGAGAGAGAAACAACAAUGCUCUUUGUCAAUACGCUGAAAUCUCCAUUCAUUACGCAUAUGUUAGGAAGUGCUACAAAAAGCUUUACUGACAUAGUCAUGAAUGGUGAAAUGAUCAAAAUGCUAUAAGAAGCGGGAAAAUUGAUACAGAGGAGAGUAACAAGAGGUCAGUUUCAAAUAGAAGAGAAAAUAAGGUGAACAACACAGGUUACUCUAAAUUAGUUACCGUGAGUCAGCCAAGAAAGGUGGUUGGUAAUCAACAGAAUUCAUCGAGGCAAGAUUCCGGCAUGAAGACUGAGAAGUUUCAGUUUACGCCAAUCCCAGUACCGUAUAAAGAACUGUAUCAAAAUUUGUUUGAUGCACAUGUUGUUUCCCCUUUUCAUGUGAAGCCUCUACAACCUCCGUAUCCCGAAUGGUAUAAUGCGAACACACAAUGUGAAUACCAUGCUGGGGUUACGGGACACUCGAUUGAGAAUUGUACUACCUUCAAGAAGCAAGUUGAAAGACUCAUCGACAUGGGUAUUGUCAAGUUUGAUGACCCAUCUAGUGCAGGAAAUCCGCUACCUAAUCAUGAUGGAUGAUGGAGGGAAUGCAAUGUAUGAAGAAGUGGUGAGGUUUUCAUAUCGAUGCCAUAUAUGCAGACAGAAAUAAAAGGGUCCUUGUUAGAUAUUCGCCUAGGAGGUUUUAUAAAUAAUGGGACUGUAGAGGAAACCCUGUAGUAUUUAGAGUUUGUUAGAGUAAUGUUCAGAACACACUUGUUGCUUUUAGCCUAGAAGCAAUGAGAACCUCUUUGUGAAAUAGGCUCACGUCUAAACAUUAUUAUUUUAAUGAAAUACAUUAUUACAAUCAUCUUUGAGCAAAUGUUCUUUCAUUCUUUACGAUUUUUUUCAUUCAUUCAGAUUCUUUUCUUCCAAACCAUUCAUUUAUUCAUUCAUUUAUUUGUAUAUCCUUUAGCACCCACUGUGGGUCCCCAAAUAUCAAUGACAUGAGUGACGCUGCUACAGACUCAAAAUUGCCUUCUGAGUGAGACAUGUGUUUAGAGGGAUCUCAUGACUUUGAAGAUGUCAUAAAUUGUAGUCUAUUUCUAGACUUAUUAAGGAUGGUAGAGCAGGAAGGAAAUUUUACCUCAUGAGGAGACAAUAGAAACUGUGACCUUGAGGGAACAUGCAUGAUCGAAGAAACAAAGCAAGAUGUUGUUGAGCUACUUCAAGAAUUCAAAAAUGUCUUCGUAUGGUUAUACCAGGGUAUGCCCAGGUUAAACACUGUCAUUGCAAUCUGAACAACAACACAAUAUGAGAAAUUUACAGUAUGUUUAAGAUUAAUAUCAUGAAUGAUGUAGUGGAAACUGUACCAGAGCAGUACCUCUCUCUUUAACUCAUCACGGUUUUUUCUAUUGAAGUUGAAAUUCUUUCUCUCCGGGUAUUGGCUGAGCAGGUUGGAUGAAGCAGAACAGAUCCAAUCGCAAUGUGAUCAAUUGAACUUGAUAGAAGGAAGAAGAUUAAAAGUUAUUCAUCAUGGUCAGAUGUACCAGAAAUGAAUGAUGCGAGCCUAUAACAAAAGGUUCAUCCUAGAGAAUUCCACGAGGGUGACCAAAUGUUGUAGAUCUUCCCUCUACAAAAAAUAUUUUGGAAGGAAACGGAUGCCAAAUUGGGAGGAACCUUAUGAUUAUAGAGAAUGUUUUUUUCAAAGGAGCUUUGAUUUUGAGCGAGAUGGAUGAUAAAACCUGCAAAGUCCUGUAAACUCAGAUUCAGUCAGGAAAUACUCUACUUAAAGAAGGAGAGGACCAAGGUAAAAACCCGCAAAGGGCAGCUUGAGUCCCAAAAAAAAAGAAAAAGAAGUGAUGUGAAAAAAUGAAAAGAUGAAAAUAAAAAAUGAAAAAGUGAAAUGGAGAGGCUAAGGUGAAAACCCGCAAAGGGCGCCUUAGACCAAAGGGGAUUUGAGUUGAAACCCCAAAAAGGGCGGCUUAAAUGUUGGUCAAAAUGGCGUUUGAAUUUUUCAGAGCAGCUCAAAUACUGAUCAGAAUGGGGGCAUGCAGUGGUCUUGCUAUACCUGAAUCAACAGGAAAGGGUAGGCGACAUCUUGGGGCAUCGACAAAGUACUCCUAAACACAUGUUAAACUCAGAAUGGUCUUUAAAAAUCUGUACAGAGAAGUUCAAGCUGCGAUAUCUGGGGCAUCUAAUCCUUAUAUUAUUUUUUGUUAUUCUUGGAACACUUCAUUCAUUUCCAAGAUAUGCAUUCCUAAAUCAAUUUCUUUGUUAUCCAUCUUUAUUAUCUUUGACAACUUAUUCAUUUCAAGCUAUGCUCAGAACCAACUCAAUUCUUAUCCAUGAUCUUUUUUGCAAGCAUGUUGCAUUAGAAUAAUGAUUAAUGGACUAAUAAAACUUUCACAAGGGAAGUUUUGCAUAUUACUCUAGAAGUUUCUGAAUAAUAUAGGAACCUCAAACAAGACUAUUGUUUAGAACGCACCAGGUUGGAAAUCUGAUAAAGAAGAGUCAACAUUAAGACUAUCUCUUUAGAUUUUCUUGUCUAAAGUAUUACUUGAACAAAAUGGUAAGAUGUCGUGUUGGUGACAAAGCUUCAAUGAAUAAGCAAGUAAUGAUCACCGAAUAAUAAGAAGAAGUUGUUCUUGGAGAAGAUUUCUUCAUUUGUGCAUGAGCAUUUGGUACAACACCCUGGGAAUGGUGUAAGAGACCAAAAAGUUUCACAUCCUGUAUCCUUGAAUUGUGAUAACAGAGGAUUGAGAAAAGGCCAAAUUUUUUACUCUUGGGUUACAACGGGAAAAGAUGGUACAAAUUUUGCAUCCCAGUAGAUCAAACUUGGAGGUUUACAGCGUGGGGCAAUCUGGUCAAGUGCUUAUUGGGUUCACCAGCCGAGCAUAAAGACGCUAUAGUACAUUAAGCGAUAAGACCUUAAUAAACUUGGAGUAAUGACAACUCAAGUGUUAAAAUAUCAUUUUUAUGACAUUCUACAUUCAUUCAAAUGUCAUUCAUACAUGUCUAGUUAGGAGAAUUUGAUUCAUUUGAUCAUGACAUCCUAUUCACUAGGCAUAAUUAGGUUCACAAAAUAAAUCAUACAGGUAUGUUCCACAGAGAACAGAUUGGUGAAAUCAUAAAGCCUUAUCUCCUUGAGUUGCCGUGGAGCAGGUUGAAAAGAUAGCAAAUCUUGUCUUCCCAUACUGGUGGUGAAGUAGAUCAAAGAAAGUAGAUCUUAUCUUCAUGUACUGGCGUGAAGUAGAUCAGAGAUAACAGAUCUUGCCUUCCCAUACUGGUGGUGAAGCAGAUCGAAGGAAAAAGUAGAUCUUGUCUUCAUGUACUGGCGUGAAGUAGAUCAGAAAUACCAGAUCUUGCCUUCCCAUACUGGUGGCGAAGCAGAUCGAAGAAAGCAGAUCUUGUCUUCCCAUACUGAUGGUGAAGUAGAUCGAAGAAAGCAGAUCUUGUCUUCAUGUACUGGCGUGAAGUAGAUCAGAGAUACCAGAUCUUGCCUUCCCAUACUGGUGGCAAAGCAGAUCAAAGAAAGUAGAUCUUGUCUCAAUGUACUGGCGUGAAGUAGAUCAGAGAUACCAGAUCUUGCCUUCCCAUACUGGUGGCGAAGCAGAUCAAAGAAAGUAGAUCUUGUCUUCAUGUACUGGUGUGAAGUAGAUCAGAGAUAACAGAUCUUGCCUUCCUAUACUGGUGGCGAAGCAGAUCGAAGGAAAAAACAGAUCUUGUCUUCAUGUACUGGCGUGAAGUAGAUCAGAGAUACCAGAUCUUGCCUUCCCAUACUGGUGGCGAAGCAGAUCAAAGAAAGCAGAUCUUGUUUUCAUGUACUAGCGUGAAGUAGAUCAGAGAUAACAAAUCUUGCCUUCCCAUACUGGUGGCGAAGCAGAUCGAAGGAAAAAGUAGAUCUUGUCUUCAUAUACUGGCGUGAAGUAGAUCAGAGAUACCAGAUCUUGCCUUCCCAUACUGGUGGCGAAGCAGAUCAAAGAAAGCAGAUCUUGUCUUCAUGUACUAGCGUGAAGUAGAUCAGAGAUAAUAAAUCUUGCCUUCCCAUACUGGUGGCGAAGCAGAUUGAAAGAAAAAGCAGAUCUUGUCUUCAUGUACUGGCGUGAAGUAGAUCAGAGAUACCAGAUCUUGCCUUCCCAUACUGGUGGCGAAGCAGAUCAAAGAAAGUAGAUCUUGUCUUCAUAUACUGGCGUGAAGUAGAUCAAAGAUAACAGAUCUUGUCUUCCCAUACUGGUGGUGAAACAGAUCGAAGAAAGCAGAUCUUGUCUUCAUGUACUGGCGUGAAGUAGAUCAAAGAUACCAGAUCUUGUCUUCAUGUAUUGGCGUGAAGUAGAUCGAAGAAAACAGAUCUUGUCUUCAUGUAUUGGCGUGAAGUAGAUCAAAGAUACCCGAUCUUAUCUUCCCAUACUGGUGGCGAAGUAGAUCGAAGAAAGCGGAUCUUGUCUUCCCAUACUGGUGACGAAGCAGAUCGAAGAUGGCAGAUUUUACCUCCCUGAGAUUACAGUGGAGUACAUUGAAGCCAGUUAUUCCUAUCUCAUUGAAGUUGCAAUGGAGUGGAUUAAAGUACCAGUUCCUAUACCUCUGAAGAUGCAGUAGGAAGGAACAAGGCUACUGGAAAGAGAAGCAUGGAAUAAGUUGAGAUUCAGUAGGACCGGGCACAAUUGGGCCUUGUAGUCUUUGCUCUAUUCCCGUUACACGACAAUGAGCAAAGAGGGGCAGUUGUAAUAGGCCCAAUCGAUCCAGGUCCAAACAAAAUUAAAAUCAGUCCAAGAUUUACAAGCUCAUCUAAAGCAAACACGGCCCAAAAGAAAAAAGAAAAGCUAAACCCUAGAACCUUCAGCAAAUGGCAGCAAGGAGCGCCGCAGCAAGCCGUCAGUGUCGUGCCCAACGCCCAGUCGCCGCACAACUCGGAGGUCGACCUCCCCACGCGCGUUUACACUCCAUGAACGCCUGAAAAAACGGACUCAAGGAGUCCAAAGAAAAACAAACAGGAAGCAAUAUUUUUUUCCCUUCUUUUUUGAUUUAUUUUCUUUCUCUUUUUCGGCCUAUAAAAGGCCAUUUUGUAAUCUGUAAAAUGGGGGGGAUUUUCGGUGUAAAGGAAUACACAUAGAAACACUGAAAAAUACAGAGAAAAAGAAAGAAAGAUACAAACUUUUCUUGAAUAUAAAGGUGGCUUUUUUUUUUCCAGCGUUCAUUAUUUUUUUCAUGUUUACUGUUGAUUUAUAAAGAGAAGAGAGUGAAGAGGAGUUUACCUCUGUGUUCGGGCCGCCGUUUGCUACCAUCUCCGCCGCAAUCGGGGAUCCGGUUCAAAAGGCCGACGAGCUACGGCGCAGAAGGAAAAAUUUUAAAAAAACCCUAGCAAAGGAUUCUCAAUUUUUUUCCCUUUCAGCUGUAAAUAAGUUUUUAACAAAAAAAUUUGUUUUAAAUAACAAAAGUGAAACGGCGCCAUUUUGCAAUGGGCUAGAUCCGCGCGUCGACCCGACCUGCAAGCAGGGUCCGCGCGUUCUGGCCCUGAAUGGGGAAUUUACGCAACUGGUCCCUCUGUUUUUGAGUCACCUUCAAUGCAAUUUUUUUUAUUUUCAAUUUUGACCGCACGCUUGUUUCUUGUUUCAAUUUGGUCCAACAUGAAAACGCUGCGUAUAAGGGGCUGGUACAUUUCUUGUUUGCUCCUUGAUGUUUCCAGCGCACUACAAAUUAGUCUUCAGCUUUUAUUAUUUUAAAUGUUUACCUGAAAGUUUCCUGUAGUUUCAAUUUGGGUCCCUUGUUAUUAAUUAUUUUAUUAUUAAAAUUAUUUAUUUUUAUUAUAUUAUUUAUUAUUAUUGAUUAUUAUCAUAUUUUCUAUACAUAUAUAUAUACGCAUAGUUUUUUUUAUAUAUAAUAUAUCUAUGGGCAUUUUUUUUAUAUAUAGGUAUAUAUAUAUUUUUAAGCUUUUAUAAAUACAUGCAUAUAUUUUAUACAUAUGUUUUAUUUUUGUUUUUUACUUUUUUAUAUAUACUUUUUUUUGUAAAUAUAUACACAUGUACAUAUUUUUAUAUUUUUAUCUUAUUUUCAUAAAUUUCGCAUACAUAUAUAUACAUGCAUAUUUUCUUAGGAAUUAUAAUAGGUUUUUGUUUUGUUUUAUGUAUUUCAUUUAUUUUUUUAAUUUUAUAUACGUAUACUUAUAUAUACCUGUUUUAAUAUAUGCUUAUACACGUUUUCAAAAUUUAUUUAUGUCUCAUACUUAUAUUUUGAAAAUACAUAUAUACAUAUAUUUUAAAUUAAAGUAUCUGUAUCAUAUUGUAUAUUAACUUUUUAACAUACCCUUUUGAAAAUAUAUUUUGGUUUUAACCAUUCAUCAAAGUUAUUUUCUUGAUUUAAAGGUUUUUUUUGAAUAAAAGCAUUAUUGGAAGUUUGGGAUUUUCGAGGGUAAUUGAGCCCUAACGUAUUGGGUUCUGAUUUUCUUUGUCAAUCUUAAAUGACCGAGAAUAUUCUUUAUUCAAAAUGCAUGAGCAUAAAAAUCAUUUUUGGGAACUUAACUUGUCGUGCCCUAACGUAUUGGGUGUGGCCUGUUACUUUCUCGAAAUGAAGAUUUUCGCAUAAAAUAAGAGUGAUAUUCAAAGUUCGGGGAUUAUGAGAAAUUGUACCCUAACGUAUUGGGACUCGAUUUCUUUACAUGACUUGAACAAUUGGUUAUCCUUUUGUAAAUUUCAUCAUUCAAGCUUAUUUUAAAAUCUUUUUUUCAAAUUUUCGACACCAAGGCAUUAAAUAAUUAAUUUGGUACCGAUUUUGGGCGUCACGAGGGUGCUAAUCCUUCCUUGUGCGUAACUGACUCCGGAACUCAUUUUCUCAAAUUUCAUAGACCAAAAUCAUUUUUAAGGUGAGCCGAUCACACCUUAAUCAAGAAUCGGUGGCGACUCCCAUUUUCGUUUUUAAAGUCGAAAACUAAAAUUUUUGUUUUCAAAAAACGGUUUCGACACCUUCCACUUCUUUCCUGUCAAGUUUGGUGAAAUGUAAAUUACCUACAAAAUAUAAGUAUAAAUAACUAAUUGUAUAGGUUUACAAAAUAAGAAAUUCAGUUCAACAAAAUAAUUAAUAUUUUAUAAUCUACCAAGUGAUUUUGAGGCAGUGCCAACCCUUUUGACAUCCUAAAUUUUACUCUUCCUCCGAUGAUCGCAAGCUCACGUUCUGUCUGCGUUAUAGCGUUUUCGUGAGAACUGUUUGGUAUACGUGGGGGGACGAAAUAAAAUUAAGUGGAUUGAGCAUUGAGUCAUGAUAAUAACUUCAGUCCGAUACUACUCCUAAUAUUUUCCUAUUUCGUUUAUCCUUCUACUUCUUUCCUGUCAAAUUUGGUGAAAUGUAAUUUUCCAACACAAUAUAAGUAUAAACGACUAACUGUAUCUGUUGCUACUUUAAAUUGUUUACUUGCUAAAAUACAAAAUUGAAAGGGAAGUGUUAGAUUGUAGUGGUCACUACGGCUUGGCACUUCCAAAUGCCAAUUCUGUGCAAACAAAAUUAUAAAGAACAUUAAGGUUUCUUUACAUAGUUCGGUUUCUUUAUGUCCAUAGAGUCUAACUCAGUGAGUAAUUUUACUAUCUUUAACUACACUCUAUCACUUCUCAAGAAUAGAAAUCUCACCUUUGUACCUGAAGAUUAGAACACUCAAUAAGCUCUCAUACAAAACCUAAACAAGCCUGUAUAUUCAAUUUCGGCUUGCUAACAUGGAAUCUAAGUGAACACAAUUUUACACAUUAAAACCAGCUAUUACAAUUACAACUUUCAAAGCAGAAUCAAACGAAGAUAUGAUUUCCAGAAUAGCAAUGCAGUCUUGAUCGAAUCUCGACACUUUCCAUGGGUUGAAUUGAUUCAUUCAUAUCCAAUCAAAUCCUCAAAAGCCAAAGACUAUUUUGCAUAGAUGGACCAUAGUAUCUUCAAUAACACAUCACAUUAAACAGGUCCAAAUAUUUUUUUGCCACCACCUUGACGAAUUAGUCUACAGUGACAUUAUCGAGUACCAGUUAGCAACUAUCAACUCAUCUUGCCUCAGUAGUAUCAGUUUACAAAAAUAAGAAAUUUUGGUCUACAAAGUAAAUAAUAUUUUAUAAGUUUUAGUAUUUUAUUUUCCAAGUAAAGUCCCACGACCUGGAAUUUUUUUGCACUAAAUAUUAAAUUUUUUUACACAUGCAAUGUGGUUGAGAAAAAUGUUGUAUAAAAUUGAUAUCUCGAGAAAUAAUUAUAUUCAAAAUAAAAGAUUUAAUAUUUUUUUUCUAAGGAGAUAAAUUAUGGUAUUUAAUUUAAUUUUGUUUUUUUUAAAUAUUGGUAAUUUAGUUAAGGAUACGAAGUUUGAAGUGGGUAGUUAUAGAGUAAUCGGUGCUAGAACAAAUUUUUGCCACCAUCUUGACGUUUUUAAUUAUCUAUGUAUAUAUUGAAAGUUGAUUAGUUAAUAAAAAUUGUGUCUAAAUUGGAUUGGACCGACUUAACUAAAGGCCCAACACAAUGAAAAACUAUAUUUCAUUUAAAUGGAUUUAGGAUCUAUUCAAUUUGGGUCUUAUACGAUGUACUGUCAGUCUAGUUAGUUACAUCUAUAUUCUUAUCUUUUGGGAGUAAUUUGUUCUAUAUUAAAGAUAAGAUAUGUCACCAAUUAGGCUAGAUAGAGAACAUAUUAGUAUUUUAAUCGAUUUUCUCAAUUCCGAUUAGACUAAGGACGUGUUUAGAUUAUCUACUAAUAUAAAUUGUCUUUUUAUAUUAUGAGUCGACCACAUAAUAUUGCUUACUAUUAAUUAAGCGUUGGAUAAUUAGUGAGUUAAUAUUUGUUUUCAUUUUGUUUUGCAUGCAAAAACCAUUAAGAAUAAUAUAUGAAGAUGUUAAUGAAACUGAUGAAUAUUUUAUUAAAUCAAUUUGUUCGAAAAUUACAACUACAUGUAGACGACAAUACUACACCAAGGCACUAGAUCCCAAUGCACCCAAGAGACAAUUUUCUAACCACUAAAUUCUCCUAUUGAGAACAUAGCAUGUAAAGCCACAAUACAAAAUUUGUACAAUCAUAUGCACUCUUACAAAUAAUGUUUCUCACUUGAAUGUAUUAAAUGUUAUAAAAAAUCAACACAUCAACAUUAAUCUAUACAAGUCUCUCAAUUAAAUAAAGAUUUCGAGACAUGCUAUCAUCAUAAAAAUCUGUCAGAAACCUAUUAAACAAUAGCUAUAUAAGCUAAAAUACCAUAUAAUAAUAACAACCAAGAUAAAUAAGGACUGUUGACAACUAAGUCUUCAACAUUUUAAUCUGAUCCAACCUCCUUGGUCUAACGUAUUAGAUAGACUUGCACUUCCUCAAGCAUAUUUUUAUAAUAUUUCAAGUAAUAUGAUAUUCUUUCAACAUUAAUGAGGCUUUAAGUUCAAAUACCUCUAUUUGUGGAUUUGGUCCAGAAAAGGAAAAUAAUUUGCUACAUCAAACAAUAGUAUUCUAUGCAUAAGAACUAAGCAACAAGAAUAGAAGAUUAAUACAAUCAAUCGAUAUUCUCCCGAUAUAUGAAGAUUAAUUCUAGAGUUCCCCAACCUUCAUUAACUUUUCUGUUAAUUGUAUGUACUACAAUUCCCUUUAGACCAAAUAACUUCAUUCUAGUAGUGUCCUUGAUCAUGUGGAGCAGUAGCUACUCCUAAUAUUUAACUAAUUCUUUGGUCCUUUCACUUCUUUCCUGUCAAAUAUGGUGAAAUGUAAUUACUUAGACAAUAUAAGUAUAAACUAAUUGUAUCGGUAAAUUUAGUUAUAAGUUUUAGUAUUUUAUUUACCAAGUAAACUCCUGUAAUUUUUUUUUUCAACAAAUACUAAAAUUUGUGACACCCACUAUGUGGAUGACAAAAAAUUUUAUGUAAUUAAUUCCUCAAGAAAUAUUUAUUUUAAAAUCAGAUGUCAUGUGAUUAAUAUAAUUUUGAAAUAUUAAAGAGUAGCUUCAACAUCUUUAAUUAUUUUAAAAAUAUAUAAUUAUCAUGGAUGGCCCUUCUAACAACUUUGGCCAGCCAUCAUGCUCCGAAAUGGCCCUUGGAGACAACCAUAGUUGUUAAGGUACAUGAGGAGCAAGGGCCAUUUAUCCUCUUCUCGGCAUUGCUUGACAACUUACACAAAUUUGGGUCAUCUGGCAACUUGGAGGCUGACAAUUUCUGAUGGUCUUCUAACAACUUUGGUCAACAAUUACGCUCGCAGAUGGCCGUUUGAACAACUUUGGCUGGCCAUAACGUUUAAGGUUAAAUUUGACAUUAUGUUUUGAUUUAUUGAUCAAGCUUAAGAAUUGCGAAAUCUGAAUUUAUUGAUUCAAACAAAAUAUUGUAUCACUAAAAAUAAUAAAGCUUAUCCCUUUGACUUAGUUAAAACUUUUGUGUAGAGAUUUUUCAUUAAAGAUAUUGGUGAUUUCAAUCAUUUCUUGAAUUGACGUCUCAAGAUUUAUUCAUCUCAACACAAGAAUAUAUCUGUUAUGAUAUAUUGAGCAAAGUAAACUUUCUCAUUUUUUUGGUAAACCAACCUCUAUCAGAGAUGAAAUAAAUACUGAAUAGAUAUAUUUAUGUCUCUUUUGUAGCAAACAAUUUAAUCUUUAUUUGUAAUAAAAUAAUAAAGUACAAUGAUGAAGUAUGAGAUUCUCAUACAUUUAUUGUAAUCAAGUGUAGCAGAAUCAUAUGACUUUUUCACAGUCCCAGAGAAUUGAGUCAGUAGAUAACAUCUUAGUGAUGAAUUGCAGUAACGUUAAAUUCAAUAAUGACAUUGGUGGCAUUUAUAAGGAUAGGGUUAAAUAGUGCAAUCCCCUUUGCCAUCAUGAAUCGUCCUCUUCCUCCAACCACCGCAAGCCCAGGUUCUCCCCUUGAAAAUACGCUUAGAGAGCUGCCAUUAAACUUACCGGUAUUAAAUCCAAAUUCUAUGUACUGCGUACUCGAUGCAUUUGAUCCAGCCAGGAGCGAAAUACCCUGAACAUUUCCAAUUACCUCUGAGUCAGGCUCAGGACCAGUCCUGAGGGGAUCAUUAACGGCAACUAGGGUGGCAAAUGGCACUGAUGAAUUAUUGCUUGAGAUAUUAGCUUGGGCUACCACGACUGCAGUAACACCCGUAUGUUCGUGCAUAAAGAAGUGAAGAUUGGUGACCUUAGGUGGCCUGGGAUGAUAUGGUCGGCUCUUCGAGUAGUAUUGGCUCUGCACUGCUACUUGGGAGAGGCAGAUGAUCAGAAUCCAACUCAACAUCAAUGUUCCUCUCAUUGUCUCUGCUUUACUAUAAUUUCUGGGGCGAAAUGUAGAUGAAAGCUAUAGAAUUGUUUCUUUAUUUUUAUUAAGAAAACAGAAAUAUUUAUAGUGAUAAAACCCGCAGACAUGAAAAUAAUUUAUUGUCCCAAAUAUUUUAUAUAAUAUUUCGCCGUAGUAAUAUUAAAAGGAACACAAACCUUGAUCACGCAAAAGAAACAUGGUCUCAUUGUCUAUGAUCCACUUGUAAAUUAAUUUUAUAUUGGAAGUUUCCUCUCCUACGUUUUUAAUUUCGUGUGAAUGGGGCAUUGUCCAUUGACUUUAUUUUAUUUGAUCUUAUAUAUUACUUGUGAUUGAUUUUAUAAAUUAUUUUAUCUUCUGCAAAUAAAAGAUGUUUGAUUUUAUAAAUUAUUUAUUUGAUACGUUUUUUCGGGUAUUCUAAGAUUUAUAUAUGACAAAAAAAAGAAGAUAGGAGUGAGUUAUCAUAGAAUAUUUAAGAAAUUUUUUCUUAUAUAUACAUCUUAGAAUGCCCGAAAAACCUAAAAAAAUGCAAUUUCCUGUAAUUUAGUGUACAAAUUCAUAAAAUCGACACGAACUACCACAUGGCCGUGUGGAAUGGGUCAGCCCGUGUGGCUCAUGUAGCUUACUCUGAUUUUCCAUUCUUCACACGUUUUGCUCCCAAAUGCUCUAUUAAGCAUUAAAAUAUGAAUUUAAAGGAUUAGGAUAAUAAAAUUCACCAUUAACAUUGAAAAAUCACCUAAAAACGAAUUAAGAGCGAGGUUAAAAUAUGGUUUCUUUUAGCACUCAUCAAAUAUCUCCAUACUUAAGCGUUUGCUUGUCCUCCACAAUCAAGUGCGCUUCCCUUAAUUUGUUGUUUUCACCGAUAAUGUCUCAGGAUAAUCCACAGAUAAUCAAGCAUUAGAAAUUCGAACUAAAAUGACACUAAAGAAUACAAGUAAUCUAAGCAAAAAUUUUCAAUACAUAAAAACAAAGGCAUCUCUCCUAUCUCAAUAAUUACAUGAAAUUUAAACUCAACAAGAAUUGACAUCCUCACUAAGGAUCACUCAAAGCACUCAGAGUCUUUAAUGUUCAAGGACUAUGCACUUAAUAGUCGAAUGAGAAAUGUUAUUACCAUAGGCUUGCUUGAAAAUUAGAUCUCUACCACUAAAGAAAUGAGAUGACACACCUAUUACCUCACAUAAAUACUAAGAAACCUUUAGUUUAAUAUGAUCAGUAAAAUGCAUGUUUCACUAAGUAGAAGAUCUAAAAGGACUUAAUUUGGUUUCUAAACUCAUGAAAGAUCAAGUUGCCAUGGAAUGCUUUCCGAACACUGUUAAGUAUGAUGAAAAUAAAUUAAGUUGAUUAAUGUAAUUAUCUUAACCUAUACAUGUUAUUGAUUGUUGAAGUUGUGUUUCUGUUGCUAAAAUUCAUUCAUACAUUUAGAUUAUUUUGCAUACUUAGUUUAAAAAUGCAUUAGGGACCAAAUUUUGCAUCCAGUUAAAUUAAUUUAGUUAAAUCAUCAUCACUAAAAUUAUUGUGUUUGAUAAUACUCUGGAUUGACAUAUUUUUAUGUAUUAAUUACAUAAUUAUUUUGAGUAUGAUCCUGCUAAUUUGAGCUAUUUAUGGUUUUUUUAUAUGCUAGGGAUUAAAUUGAAGGCAAAAGGAAAUUUAGGAGCAAAAAGCAUGAAUUUGAAACAAAAUGGGCCAGCAUGCGAAAUAGGAAAGAAGUUGUGCCAAAAAUGCAAAGUGUGGAAGACUUGAGAGCAACAGUUCAAAGAAAAGAUUUUAUAAACACAAUACUCUAUUUAAAUUUUAAUUAUAUUAGGAUUAUUGUUAAAAUUAUUAUUUAAAUUUCAUUUUAGCUUUUAUCUUUAUUUAUCUUUUAGAAUUUAGAUAGGAAUAAACUAGGUUUUCUGAGUACUAUAAAUAGAGGAUGGAGUGACAUAAAUUGCACUAAUCUUUUCUGUAAAAGCUCCCUCUCCCAAAAAGCUCUAGCUUUUGUUCCUUUUAUUUAUUCAAUAAAAUUCCAUUUUUAUUAAGUUUAUUUCUUUUUCCCCAAAAAGCACGAGCCACUAAAUUCAUCUAGCCAAAGGUUGUCGAAGAUUCCCCAAAAAGGGUUCAUGAGGCUUAGAAUCCACACUUAACCUUCUCAACAAAUAUUCGUCAUUUCUCUGUAUUACAGGACUGACGCUUCUAUCCAUGUCCCUUCAAAUGUGAUCUUUUCAUCUUGUACAAAGGCGGCCGCUUUAUAUGUUUUGGGAAGGUUGCACAGUCGGUUCGUUAGCCUACUGCGUCAGUGCUUGUCAAGUCCAAGAGACAAAAUAGCGUGGCAUUCGCCAUUGAGAAGUGAUGAUCUAGUGUAAAACGGUUCCAUAAAAGUGACGAUUGGUUAGAGUCAGGUUCCACUAUAUCGUGAGUCUAAAAUCUAAGUGGAGCUGGUGGUCAUAGGCGUCCUCUUCCACUAUAACUGGCUUAUUCUGUUAUGAUAAGGAUCAUCUAAAAGCCUAGGAUUGAACCUGAGGAGGAUCGAGAUAACCGAAGGCUGGAAUCUCUUUAUCAAAAACUCUAUUUUCUUAAUUCUGUUUAUUUUUACAGUUUCAAUUUCAAUUUAUGCAAUCUCAACUCAACCAAACUUUUAAUUUUGUUUUUUUAUUCUUUUCCAGGCACGCUAUUUUUAUUGGGUAAGACUUUGCUCGGGAUAUCGAGGAAGAGGAACCUGUGCAAGUCCAAUCCCUGAAGAUUUGACCCUACUUCCCUUAUACUAUUCUUUUCAUUAUUUUAUAGGGAUAUGAUACUUUUGGUUCUCUCAACGAUGCACCAAAUUUUGACACUGUUGCUGGGGACUAGUAACGUACUAAUCUUGCUCAUUUUGUUUCUUAUUACCAGAUCUGUUCCAAGUAUUCUUACAUUUGAUUCAGAGAUAGAGAAGAUUGCGUGAGCUAAUCGCAAAGAAACAAAACUACAUAAAAAGCAGUUAGGGGUGGUAAGGACUCAGACUAACCCACCGCUGGAGAUAGAAGCAGAUGACAAUGUGUCUAGGGUUAACGAAAACCCUACUCAAACACUAGAAAAUGAAAGAGUAGGAGUCGAUCCACCAGAAGAAGUGCUUAAUGUGAGGGUUAACGAAAUGCAAAAUAAAAAUCCACACAAACAUCUAAAAGAGUUUUAUAUGGUUUGUCUUAGCAUAAAACCUUAGGGCAUAACUAAGGAUCAAAUCAAAUUGGGUGCUUUCCCUUUUUCCCUAGCAGAUUCUACUAGGCAAAGGUUAUUUUAUCUACCCUCUAGAUCUAUUACAACUUGGACUGAUCUUUCUCGUUUGUUUCUCAAUAAUCUUUUCUAGCAUCGUAUGCAAUUGAGUUAAUAAGGGAGAUCGUUGGGAUAAGAAUAAAAGAAGUAAAGUCUCUUUAUGACUAUUGGGAGCGAUUUAAGAAGUUGUGUACAAGUUGCCCACAACAAGGUAUAACGAAACAGUCUUUACUCCAAUACUUCUAUGAAGGAUGGAAACCUAUAGAAAUGAACACGGAAGAUGCCGCCAGUGGAGGGGCAUUGGUCAACAUGACUCCCCAACAAGUAAGGGACUUGAUAUCCACGAUGGCUAUGAAUAAUCAACAAUUUUGAGCCAAUCCUAAACCCACUAGAAGGGUUCACUAGCUAAGUAAUUCAACCUUAGAAGAUAAAGUUGAUAGACUUACUAAUAUUAUGAAUUCUCUUAUUACAGAAAAAGCAAAACUAACUUGACUAUGCGGAAUUUGUUCCAUACCUAAACAUACAAUUGAUUUAUUUCCUAGUUUGUAUGAUGAUACUAUGGCCUAUUUGAAUGCUAUGGAGAACUUUCCUGGGCCACCACAAAGUCGAUAUGAUCCUUACGCUAAUACCUAUAACCCAGGAUGGAAAAACCAUCCUAACUUGAGUUAUAGGGUCAACCUACGAUAUAACUAGCCAUACCAAAAUUAGUUUCAACAAUAGCCGCGAGAUUGAUGUACUUCUCUAGAAACCAUGGUCAAUAAAUUAGCAACUAAUAUGCUUGAUUUUUAAUAGAAAACUGAGGUGUCUAUAAGAGAGUUGACCAUAUCAAUUGAGAAAAUGAACUCUUAAGGGAAGCUACCAUCACAAACAGAGCCAAACCCAAGACAAAAUGCAAAUGUAGUGACAUUUGGAAGAGAACUAGAACCAAUUCCUGGUAGAAAUCUUGGCAAAGAUUUUGCCCAAGAGAAGCACGAGAACGACGAACUAGUUCGAAUGAAACCUCCAUUGCCUAAAAUUCAACCUCCAUUUCCAAGAUGAUUGAACCAAAAUCGGAAAGGUAAAGAGGAUAAGGAGAUCCUCGAAACAUUCAGAAAUGUUGAGAUCAACAUACCACUAUUGGAUGCCAUCAAACAAAUUCUGUGAUAUGCCAAGUUUCAUAAGGAGCUCUACACCAACAAGUGAAAAUUAACUGGUAAUGAAAGGGUAAGCGUUGGUGAAAAUGUAUCCACAGUGUUAUAGUGGAAGAUGCCAACAAAAUGCAAAGAUAGGGGAAUGUUUACAAUACCAUGCAAAAGAGGCCACUUAGGAAUUAAAAAAGCUAUGUGUGAUUUAGGGGUCUCCAUAACUGUAAUGCAUUUUUCUAUUUAUGAAUCACUUACCACGGGUUUUUUAAUGAAAAUAGGUGCUAUCAUUCAGUUAGCAGACACGUCUAUUGUGCAUUCUGAAAGAGGAUCGAGAUAACUGGAGGCUGGAAUCUCUCCAUCAAAAACUCUCUUUUCUCAACUCUGUUUAUUUUUACAAUUUCAAUUUCAAUUUACGCAAUCUCAACUCAACCAAACUUUUAAGUCUAUUUUUUAUUUUUUUAUCCAGGUACGCCAUUUUUCUUGGGCAUGACCCUGUCCGGGAUCUUGAGGAACAAGAACUUGUACAAGUCCAGUCUUUGAGGAUUUGACCUUACUUCCCUUAUACUAUUCUUUUCAUUAUUUUAUAGGGAUAUGGUAUUUUUGGUGUUCUCAACGACGCACCAAUGUUUUUAUACCAAAUUGUGAAUUUAUAAAUUUGCAAAUAAUCAAUUAACACACACAGCCCCUGUGGAGAUGAUAACUCAUUUUACUUACUUAUUACUUGAACAACUGUGUACACUUGCACAAUAAUCCCGUUACAAAUGUUUUUCAUAUUCAAAAGGAGUAAGCUUUAUGCAUGUCAUGGAUGAGAAAAGUAUGGCACUAGGUGUAGAGAAAAGGAUAAAAUUUUUAAGAGGAUGUAGAGAUUAUAAGGUUUUCUAAAUCUUCUCAAAUAUAUUAAAAUUAUUUGACAAGAAUAUCCUUGUCCCAUAAUAAAUAUAUACCUUAAUCCUGAGUGGAUGAUGGACUAUGUAUGUGUGUAUCAUAUACUUUGAGGUAAGUAAAAGUCUGAGUUCAAAUAGAUAAGGAACCAAAAGUUGGUGCAUUGGAUAUACGACUUCUGUAGUAUAUAAGUUCGUUCACAAUAGUGGAAUUCAUUGCGCAACUAAUGGGUAAAUGAUACAAAUUCAUCUACAUUACAUGCUAGAUGAAAAUUAAACAUGAUCAUAGAUCGUUUGUCUUUGUGGUAAAUGGCUUGAUAACUAUUUGUCCUAGACAAAUGAUUCGUGGCCUUGUUACUUUUUCAUCUAUCAUUUAAUGCUAAUGAGAGAAUAUCAUUUACCCUUUAAUGGGUUAUGAAUUCCACUAUCUGAAUGAAGCUAUGUCGUGCAAAAGUAGUAUGCCUAACAUAUUAGCUUUCGGAUUUUUAGUUGUUUUGAACUCAAUCUUUCACUACAUCUAAGUGUACGAGUUAUGCACACAUAGUUAGUCACUUAGUCAAGUUUGAGGUAAGUCACUAUGAACAUCACAAAUAAAUUAAUCCACAAACAAAUCUAAGAUUAAUUUGAAUUGAGUCUUUCUUUAUGUAUUAUCAAUCCAGACAAUAACAUCUACGUCUCUAUCUUCUGGGAGUCAUCUGUUUCGAUACUAAAGACAAGAUAUCUAUCUAAUAGAACUUGAUAGACUGCAUAAUAAUCCUUUAACUGAUUUGCUCAAUUUCGAUUUAAUGGACCUUUUAAAUUAUCUACUAAUAUAAGUUAUCUUCUCGAAUUGAUCCGACCAUAUAAUACAACUUAAUAUCGGUUAAACGUUAGGUAAUCAAGGACUAAUAUUUGUUGACAUUUUACUUCUUUUGCGCUUGUUUUUAUAUUCAAAAUUUACCAUUUUCUUUUGCAAAUUCAUUUUAUUCUAUUUUAAUUAGUUUAUAGUUAACUACACUUAGACUCCCUUUGGAUAGGUGAUGAGAUUAAUCCGAUGAGAUUGAAAAUAGUGGUAGCGACAAUAUUAUCUACUAUUGAUGUACUAAAACAACUCUUCAUGACCAAAAAUAAAUUAAAAUUAAUAAAUUUUAUUUAUUAACAACAGAAUACCGCCAAACUCAAGAGGACGCCUCUAUAAAUGAAACUAUUCGUGGCAUUCAACGAGAGAAACGCCACUAAUAUAUACAAAUUAAAAUUUAAAAAAUUAAUUAUAUUUCUUAAUUGUAUAAUUUACGGUAUCUGAGACUUGGUCGCCACCAUGUGCACUAAUGUGUUAUCCGCUGAAAUGUUGAAAUUCGCUGGCUGACGUGAGUGAAUUAGCCGCGUUUUCUGGGUAACCUCCACUUAUCAUGCGCAUAAGCCACUACAGGAGUACCUAUGUGGCACUUUUCUCUGUAAACGCCGCAAGGUAUUGCCGCGGUGAGUGGUGAGAUGCAACAUGAUAUGAUCGUGGUUUUCUUCAAGUCAACUGGAUGAGGUCGCAUAUAAGCAAUCUUGCUCCUUCCUGUCUUCCGCUGUGAGUGAGCUUUGUUCAACAAAGUGAUCUGAGAGGAUAGGUGGGUUUUACUUGUUGUAAGGGUGGAGUGGCAACGUCUAGCAACUAUAAAUUUUGCAACCAUAUAAGCCAAACUGUAAAAGACAGCACAUAAUUCAUCAAAUAAAUAAUCUUAUUCAUAAUACAUAAAAAUAAAAUAAUUAAUUCAAAAUCAUGCACAAUUUUCUUUAAAAUAAUAUAAAUGUCAAAUGCUAAAUAAUAUGAUCAGAACAAGAAAGAGAUAAUACACUAAAAUAAUACAGUUGAAUGUUUGAGUUUAUAAGUUAAGAGUAUUUUUAUUAAUAUUAUAUUCCAAUUCGAGUUAAGAUUUUUUAUCAAACUAAAAGUGAAAAUUUAUAUCAAAGAAAGAAAUUGUAGUAAGUUGAGUGUCAAAUCCGUUUUUUUAUUGAAAAUGGUGGCAAAAACAUUAAUUUUUUAAUGAUGUUGACGCGACAACUUAAUUACAUAUACUUUAUACAAACAUUACAAUUCGUUUUUUUUUAUGUUACCUCACCAAAUGAUUUAAAAUUUAUAAAAUAUUCAAAUUAUAAAAAAGAGUUCAUAAAAAUUCAUAAAAUUAGCAUGGACUACAUGGAGAUUGCUAAGUGAGCUGUUAUGUUUAAAAGUUUAAUGUUUUAAUAAGUAUUUCUAUUUAAAAAAAAUAACAAUUCGAUUCUUUUUUAAAUGUUGGUGGUCAAAUUUGACCUCUUUAAAAUGGUUGAGACUAAAACCAAUAUGAGUAAAAAAUAUAAACAUUAAGGGUUAAAUUUGAUAUUAUGCAUGGACUUAUCGAUAAUUAGAGGCUUUUAAGUAUAGUUAAAUCCGAAUUUAUUGAUUCAAACAAAAUUUUGUAUCAAUAAAAAUAAUAAAAGUUUUCUUUUUUACUUUGUUCAAACUUUGGUGGAGAGAUUUUCGAGUAAAGGUGUUGGUGAUUUGAAUCAUUUCCUGGGAAUUGAAGUCAUUCUCAAGAUUUAUUCAUCUCAACUCAAGAAUAUAUCUGUUAUGAUAUAUUGAGCAAAGUAAACUUGCUGCUUCGUUGUAAUAUUUGACUUUGACACCAUUUCAUAAUUGUUUGGUUGAUAUAUUGAGCAAAGUAAACUUUUCUCAGCUUUUGCGUAAACCAACCUCUAGCAGAGAUGAAGAUAAAUACUGAAUAAAUAUAUUUGUAAUAAAAUAAUAAAGUACAAUGAUGAAGUAUGAGAAUGUCAAUCUCAUACUGUUGCGGAAAGGAUCGAUUCGAGAACUCCGAUAUGACUACAAGUAAAUUGACCGAAACGAAAAAUAAAGUGAACACAAGGAUUUACGUGGUUCGGCUUUAAUGCCUACGUCCACGGGCAGAGGCGAAAAGAAAUUUCACUAUAACAAGAUGAAGAUUACAAGUGUUUUACACUCAAGACACAACCCGAGAACCUCACAACUCUCAACCCCUAUAGAAAACCCGAAAGCUAAAAUCCUAGCUUUCAAAGAACAAGCUUUGCUCUCUCUUGGUUUGGGAUGAUGAAUAUGGCUAAUGAACCUCUCUAUUUAUAAGAGAGUUCAAGGACAUAAUUGUCCAAAACUUUGGCAAAGAUUUGUGGUUGAAAAUGGACACCAACAACCAUCCACUAAUCCACUACCACCAACAACCCACUACCAACAACAACAAUCCACUACCAAUUUUAAGCCAUUUCUUAACAAAUCUCCACCUUGGCUUGAAAUUUACCAAGCUGAACAUCAUAGUGAAUUCCUCGAACUGGAUCACCUCUUCCAAACGCCUCUCUGGCGCUUAAUCAAUCCCGAAUACCUAUCAAGUCCAAGCAAUGCUUGAACUUAUAUGCAGGGAUCACCUUAGUUAACAUAUCUGCAGGAUUCUUCUCGGUAGCAACCUUGCUGAUAACAAUGUCACCUUGCGUAACAUGUUCCCGAACAAAAUGAUAUCUGACAUCAAUGUGUUUGGUCCGUUCAUGAAACAUCUGAUUUUUAGUCAGAUGUAUGGCACUCUGGCUAUCGCAAAAUACAACAGUGAAAUCCUGUUGUAAACCCAAACUGCUUACUAGACCUUUCAUCCACAAUGCUUCUUUCACUGCUUCUGCUAACGCCAUAUAUUCCGCCUCAGUCGUAGAUAAGGCUACGGUAGACUGUAACACAGCUUUCCAACUAAUGGCUCCUCCAGAAUAAGUGAAAACAUAACCCGUCAGAGAUCUUCUUUUGUCCAGAUCUCCAGCAUAAUCAGAGUCCACAUAGCCCGUGACACUGCUAGUGCAGUCACUCUGAUCAUAUACCAAGCAUAAAUCUGCAGAACCUCUCAAGUACCUGAGAAUCCAUUUCACGGCCUGCCAGUGUUCCUUGCCAGGACAACUCAUGUAUCUGCUGACCACACUAACUGCAUGUGAAAUGUCUGGACGAGUGCAAACCAUUGCAUACAUCACGCUUCCAACUGCACUCGAGUAUGGAAUGUGAGACAUUUGCUGCUUUUCUUCAUCAGAUUGUGGUGACAACUCUGCAGAGAGUUUGAAAUGUGGUGCCAACGGAGUACUCACAGUUUUCGCUUUAUCCAUGCCGAAGCGUUGAAGAACCUUUUCAAUGUAGUUCUUCUGCGACACACGAAGCUUGCCCGCCUUGCGAUCUCUGUGAAUAUCCAUGCCCAAAAUUUUCUUGGCAGCACCCAGAUCCUUCAUCUCGAACUCACCACUCAACUGCGACUUUAACUUGUUGAUUUCCGACAUGUUUUUGGAAGCAAUUAACAUGUCAUCAACAUACAGCAACAAAUAAAUGUGCGAACCAUCUGAGAGCUUCCGAUGAUAGACACAAGCAUCAUAGUCACAUCUUGUGUAACCAUGCUGAAUCAUGAAGCUAUCAAACCGCUUGUACCACUGCCUUGGGGAUUGUUUCAAUCCAUAUAAAGACUUCUUUAAUAGACAGACAUGGUCUUCUUUACCAGGAACUGUAAAACCCUCUGGUUGACGCAUGUAGAUUGUUUCCUCGAGCUCACCAUGCAAGAACGCCGUUUUUACGUCAAGCUGCUCAAGUUCUAGAUCAGACUUGGCCACCAUGGCAAGUAAUACACGAAUGGAAGAAUGCUUUACGACUGGGGAGAAAACUUCAUUGUAGUCAAUCCCCUCUUUCUGAGUGAAGCCUUUAGCAACCAAUCGUGCCUUGAAUCUAGUUGCUUCAACCCCUAGGAUGCCUUCCUUUUUCUUGAAGACCCAUUUGCAACCAACUAUCUUCUGGUUACUUGGCGGCUUAACCAACUCCCAAGUAUGGUUCUUGUGAAGAGAUUCUAUCUCCUCACUCAUAGCAAUUGCCCACUGUGCCGACUCAUCACACGUGACAGCCUCAUUAUAACUGGAAGGUUCUAUACCAAUGGACUCCGCCACACUGAGCGCGAAAGACACCAGAUUAGCGUAACGCGGAUUUGGUUUGAUUUGUCUCUUCGUUCUUCCAGUGGCAAUGCUAUAUGGUUUUUCUUGAGGUGACUCAUCUUCAUCGGAAUCUUGCACCUCAACUUGAUCAUCCUGGACUGAAGUACCUUCCGUAGGAAUUGGAGCGUCCACCUGACACUCCACCUGCUUCUCAACACCGUGAUCUCCCAUUCUAUCUGACUCCUCCUUUUCCCGAGAAUUUGUGGUGGAUCGAAGCAUGGAUGACUCAUCAAAAGUCACAUCUCUGCUGAUGAUGAACUUGGACGAAACCGGAUCAGGACACCACAACCUGUAUCCUUUCACCCCUUGGCCGUAUCCAAGAAAUAUGCAUUUCUUCGCCCUCGGUUUGAGUUUUCCCUCAUUUACAUGAGCAUACGCAGGGCAGCCAAACACUCUUAAACCAGAGUAAUCAGCAGGAGAACCAGACCAUACUUCCUCAGGAGUCUUCAGCUCAAUAGCUGUUGACGGAGAUCUGUUAACCAAAUAACAAGCAGUAUUAACAGCUUCAGCCCAAAAUUCUUCACCGAGCCCAGCAUUUGAUCGCAUGCAACGAGCUCGCUCCAAGAGAGUUCUAUUCAUGCGUUCUGCAACUCCAUUUUGUUGUGGUGUUCGACGAACAGUGCGGUGUCUCACUAUUCCUUCAUUUUUGCAGAACUCAUUGAAUUCACCUGAGCAAAACUCCAAGCCAUUAUCCGUCCGGAAUCGCUUGAUCUUCUUUCCUGUUUGAUUUUCGAUCAAAGCUUUAAAUUGCUUGAAGUUGAUGAGAACCUCAUACUUGCUCUUCAGAAAAUACACCCAAACCUUUCUCGAGUAAUCAUCGAUAAAGGUAAGCAGAUAUCUGUAACCACCUUUAGAAAUUGUCGGAGAAGGCCCCCAAAGGUCAGAAUGGAAGUAAUCCACUGUGCCUUUUGUCUUGUGAAUCCCAGUGCUGAACUUUACCCGAGUCUGCUUACCGAAGACGCAGUGCUCACAGAAAUUCAACUUUCCUGUACACUGCCCAGACAAUAAUCCCCGUUUGCUUAGCACCGAUAAGCCUCUCUCGCUCAUAUGCCCGAGCCGCAUAUGCCAUAACUUCGUGGUGUCAGAAUCUAGAUCAUCUGAUGAUGACACUCCCGCAACACCUGUAACCGAGGAACCAUCGAGGAAGUAAAGGCCCCGCUCCAAAUUACCACGUAUCACAGUCAAAGCACCCGAGAAUACCUUGAGAACUCCACCUUCAGCAGAGUACCGAAAGCCUUUCUUGUCCAACGUACUCAAAGAGAUCAAAUUUUUCUUCAUUUCUGGAAUGUGCCGAACAUCAGUUAGAGUUCUAACAAUACCGUCAAACAUCUUUAUACGAACUGUGCCAAUCCCCAUGACUUGACAUGCGUGGUCAUUUCCCAUUAGUACUGAACCAGAAUGCUUCUCGUAUGUUGAGAAUGCAUCUUUCGAAGUACUUAUAUGAAAUGUAGCUCCCGUAUCAAGAAUCCAUCUCCCACCAGCGUAAGAGUCGGAUACUGCAAGAACGAUCUCGGCAUCACUUGAAGAAUCUGCAUCAGCUACAUUCGCACGAUCAUUUUGUUGCUCCUGUGAUUCUGAUUUCUCCUUCCUUUUCGGACAAUCUACCUUCAUGUGCCCGUACUUCUUACAGUAGUAGCACUGUAUUCUCUUCUUGGACUGCGAUCUAGGAUGGCUUUUACUUGAACUUCCACCCUUUGCCUUGGAUCUUCCUCGAGCAACCAAGCCUUCGCCUUCAUUGUUUUCGACCACCUUACCAGUGAUUUUCUUCCUCAACUCACUGGAACUUAAGGCAUUUUUCACCUCCUCUAGAGUCAGGUCAUCACGACCGUACAUCAUUGUAUCAACAAAAUUCUCAUACGAGGGAGGCAAAGAACACAAAACAAUUAUUGCUUGGUCCUCAUCAUCGAUUUUGUUAUCGAUAUUAUUCAAAUCCAUGAUAAUGGAAUUGAAUUUAUCCAGGUGCUGGGAAACAGGUGUACCUUCCUCCAUCUUCAGGGCAUAGAGUCUUUGCUUGAGGUAGAGCCGGUUCGUCAAUGACUUCGUCAUGUACUUGCUCUCUAACCGGAGCCACAAACCGGACGCGGUUUUCUCAUCCGCUACUUCUCGUAGCACUUCAUCUCCUAGACAUAGCAGAAUAGCACUAUGUGCUCUUUCUAGCAUGUCAUCCUUUUGCUCUUCCGAAAGCGUGCUUGGUAAUUUAUCUUUACCAGACAAUGCUUUUAGCAAUCCUUGUUGAACCAGCACUGCCCGCAUCUUGAUGCGCCAUAAACUGAAACUAUUUUUCCCGGUAAAUUUCUCGACAUCAUACUUAGUCGAUGAAACACUUGUAGCCAUAAUUUGGAACCUUUGAAUGAAUGAUAAUAUUUUCUUCCUGAUGUGAAAGAUCAGACAAAGCUGCAGUCACAGGGCAAUUCAGAAAAUAUUAUCACUCCUUCAACUACGCUCUGAUACCAAUUUGUUGCGGAAAGGAUCGAUUCGAGAACUCCGAUAUGACUACAAGUAAAUUGACCGAAACGAAAAAUAAAGUGAACACAAGGAUUUACGUGGUUCGGCUUUAAUGCCUACGUCCACGGGCAGAGGCGAAAAGAAAUUUCACUAUAACAAGAUGAAGAUUACAAGUGUUUUACACUCAAGACACAACCCGAGAACCUCACAACUCUCAACCCCUAUAGAAAACCCGAAAGCUAAAAUCCUAGCUUUCAAAGAACAAGCUUUGCUCUCUCUUGGUUUGGGAUGAUGAAUAUGGCUAAUGAACCUCUCUAUUUAUAAGAGAGUUCAAGGACAUAAUUGUCCAAAACUUUGGCAAAGAUUUGUGGUUGAAAAUGGACACCAACAACCAUCCACUAAUCCACUACCACCAACAACCCACUACCAACAACAACAAUCCACUACCAAUUUUAAGCCAUUUCUUAACACAUACACUUAUUCUAUCCGAGUGGAGCGGAAUCAUACGACUUUUUCACAAUCCAAGAGAAUUGAGUCUGUAAAUGACACCUUAGUAAUGAACUACAGUAAAGUUAAAUUCCAUAAUGACAUUGGUGGCAUUUAUAAGGAUAGGGUUAAAUAGUGCAGUCCCUUUUGCCAUCAUGAAUCGUCCUCUUCCUCCGACCACCGCAAGCCCUGGUUCUCCCCUUGAAAAUACGCUUAGAGAGCUGCCGUUAAACUUACCGGUAUUAAAUCCAAAUUCUAUGUACUGCGUGCUCGAUGCAUUUGAUCCGGCUAAGAGGGAAAUACCCUGAACAUUUCCAAUCACCUCUGAGUCAGGCUCAGGACCAGUCCUGAGGGGAUCAUUAACAGCAACUAGGGUGGCAAAUGUCACUGAUGAAUUAUUGCUUGUGAUGUUAGCUUGGGUUAGCACGACUGCUGUAACACCCGUAUGUUCGUGCAUAAAGAAGUGAAGAUUGGUGACCUUAGGUGGCUUGGGAUGAUAUGGUCGGGUAUCUGAGUAGUAUUGGCUCCGAACUGCUACUUGGGAGAGGCAGAUGAUCAGAAUCCAACUCAACAUCAAUGCUCCUUUCAUUGUCUCUGUUUUACUAUAAGUUCUGGGGCGAAAUGUAGAUGAAAACUAUAGAAUUGUUGCUUCAAUUUUAUUAGGAAGACAGAAAGAUUUAUAGUGAUAAAACCCGCAGACAUGAACAUAAUUUGUUGUCCCAAACAUUUUAUAUAAUACAUGAUUGAUUUCGCCGUGGCAAUAUUAUAAAGAACACAAAUCCUGAUCACGCAACAGAAACUUGGCCUAAUUAUUUUAGAUUGGAAGUUUCCUCCUCCUGCGUUUCUGUUUUCGUGUGAAUAUUGUCCAUUGACUUUAAUUUAUUUGAUAUUAUAUAUUCCAUGUGAUUGAUGUGUUGAUUUUAUAAAUUAUUUUAUCUUCUGCAAACAAAUGUUUGUUUGAUGUGAAAUCUCUUUUUUUUUUCUUUCUAAAUCUCCUUCAGAAAUUAACAGCGAAUCUAGAAAUCAGAAACAUGGUCUAAUUAGCUGCUUGCUCUAAUCAAUUUUCUUUGUUUUUUACGCAAAGCAGGUUGUGGAAUUCACUACCACCGUUCUGCCAAUUUUUCUCUUUUUUCUUGAGUAACUAAAACUUUAUUCUGGCUUGGGGACACUAAUCAAUCCGAGAGAGAACUGUGAUGCUUUCAAUUUUGCCUAAAUCUUCCACACUCUUGCAACACUUUAUUGGAAUUUGUUAAAUUUGGAACUGAAUUGUGUGCUAAUACAUGUCUCAUGGAAUUUGACAUUUUCUAUACUCGCUUAGACAAAUUGCUCAUUUGAAAAAACGAAAAAGAAAAAAAGAAGAAGUGAGAACAGAACUGACAGCUUAAAUUAUGAGUAAGAACUUGUGUAUUGUGACGGUUGUUUGAAUUGUAAUCGCACUUCGCGUCAAAAGCUCUAGUACUGUUUCAAGUCAAUAAAUUACUCUAAUCACGGUGCCAUAAGAGAGAUAUAUUGAAUUGUGUAAUCAUCUUGAGUUGUCAUUUCAUUUUAUGUUAAGAGAUUCGACAACAUCUUAAACAAAAAGAAAUAAAUAAAUGUCUGUGCGAGUCUAAUUGAAUAAGUCCAUGGAAUGAAAACAUUUUCCGGGAUAUUGUUACAUGACUCGAAUGAUUGAACAAAAGGUGUGCUUGAGAACAAGCUUUCUUCAAGUCAGCCGGAGGAGGUCUGUCAUCCGGUGUGAGUGAGCAAUAUUGUUCAACAAAGAGAUCUUAGAGGGUAAGGGUGGAGACACCAUGUCUAAAAGUUAUAAAUUUUUUAACCAUAUAAGUAAACGUGUAAGAAAAACACAUAAUACAUCAAAUAAAUAAUCUUAAUCGCGAUACAUAAAAUAAAAAAAAAAGAUUUAAGAUCAUACACACACAUUGUUUUAAAUAAUAUAAAUGUCGAUUCCCAGACAAUAUCUUCAAAACAGGAAAAAUAUAUUACACUAAAAUAAUAUAGUUGAAUGUUUGAGUGUAUGAAUUAAGAAAAAUUUUAUUAAUGUUUUAUUCCAUAUGAAAGAAAGAAAUUGUAGUAAGCUGAAAAAUUUAACACAUUUGGCCUAUAGUUGGAGACUAGAAAUUCAAAUUUAACUUCUCCUUAUUGUGAUUUAACUUUUGUUAAACUUAACUUAAGCUUCAAUUUAAUCCCAGAAAUUCAACAGAGUCUAGAUUGGAAGUUUCCUCCCCCUGCGUUUUGAUUUUCGUGUGGAUAUUGCCCAUUGACUUUAAUUUAUUUGAUAUUACAUAUAAUAUAUGAUUGAUGUAUUGAUAUUAUAAAUUAUUCUAUUUCUGCUAAGAAAAGUUUGUUUGGUAUGAUCAAGUCUCUUUCCAAUAUAAUCAACUCCGACAUAAGAAAUUCAUUAGAAAUCAGAAACAUGAUCUAAUUAACACCCAAUUGAGAAAUUUAUAUCAAUUUUCUUUGGUUUUUGCGCCAACCAGGUGGUGGCCCAUUUUUUAAAUUAUUAUUUAAUUAAUUAUAAUUAAUUAACUUAAGUAUAAUGCGAGAAAUAAAUUUAAAUAAUUAUCAUGGAUUUAUUAAAUAAGACAAUUAAAUAUAUUUUUCUUACAAAUUUAUUAAAUAACUUUAAUGGGAUUAUAAUUGGGUUGAAAUAUAAUUUAAUUAAGAAAAUAAUUUAAUUAAUUUAUAUAUUUAAGAAAUAUAAAAUAAAUAUUAGGUUAUAUAAAUUAUUAGUGUUGGAUAAAAAACCCAAAUUAGGUCUAGUUAAUGGAAGGGAUGGCAAGCCUUAGUAUUUUCUAGGCCAUGCCACCGCCCCCACCUAUUCUACUUCAAGUAGAAUUUUUAUUUUCUAUUAAAAUAUUAUCAUUCGAUUACCCUUUAUUCGAAUAGAUCUCUUGUACUGUUUCUUUAUAAUUAGGGACUACGAGCUAAACUAUUCAUACAAUUUUGAGAGUAUUGUUAUUUUGUCGAAAAAUAGUGAUAAUUUUUUUAGAAUAAAUUCUAUUUUUUGGGAAAAUCUGAUAGUUUCCAGUUUAUAGAGAGAAUUAACAUUCUCAUUGAAAGUUAAGAAAUGUUUUCAUUCUGUGCAUUUGGUUCUAUUUUGAGAGCUCAUACUCAAAGCAAUUCAGGGUUUGAGGAUAGCGAAGAAGGUCAUUCACUAGAAAGUCGGGAUUGACUUAGACUACCUCGUACAAAACAUAGGUAUAAAUUUGGUUAAAGGUUUAUUGUUAUAAAUAUCACCAGGCUUGAUUUUAAGUAAAAUUUUAAACUUCCGUUUUGCCUAAAAACUUUGUUUUCUAAACCCAUUUUUACAACAAUUGUGUGGUGUAUAGUUGGAAGAAUCGAAACAAUCCGUAAUUGUCAUAUUCAGUGUGUUGAAGAACAAACUAAUGUGACCAAUUGAGUAAAUGAUUGGAUUUGUCAAGGGAAUUAAUGAUAGAUUUUAAACGACUCACACAAUUGAGACCUUUGAUUCAAGUCAAUUCUAUCUUGUUCGCAUGGUUAAUGAGGAACUAAAUAGUGGAAGUUGAUUUUAGGUUAUUCGCUUGGUAAGGGUUACUUGUCAAAUCGUUCUCGCAUUUAAUUUACAUACAAAAAGGCAAGUCGCGGUUAGAAGUUGCUCCUCAAUCAUUAUAAUUGACUUAUCGGUUGGAGGAGAAAAUCUAUUGUCGUGCAUCAACUAAAACCAAGGCCAAAACUAUUCCUGAAGUUAGAGCGUUGUUUCAUCAGUUUACUCAAUUUUAAUCCCUCUCUUCUAUUUUUCAUAUAGUUCGACACAUGUCGUGGGCAUGAAAGUUGCCUACCACACGUUCUGGUUAAAAUGAACAUCAAUUUAUUCUGUUAUAUUAGCAUUAUGGAAAUCUCUGGGAUACCUGGUCUAUUCCGCUGUUAUACUCGUUAUUAUAUUCUCCGUUGAAUACAGCAGUCGGAAAGUUAAUUUCUCUCUAUGAAAAAUCGAAAAGCUUUGAGAUUUAUAGAAAAUAGGAUUUAUUCUUGUAAAUAUCUCUUUUUUAAAGAAAAUGAUGACAAAAAGAAUUAAUUUUUUAAUGAUGUUGGUAUGGCAAUCCACACGUAAUUUAUUGUUAAGAAAUGGCUUAAAAUUGGUAGUGGAUUGUUGUUGUUGGUAGUGGGUUGUUGGUGGUAGUGGAUUAGUGGAUGGUUGUUGGUGUCCAUUUUCAACCACAAAUCUUUGCCAAAGUUUUGGACAAUUAUGUCCUUGAACUCUCUUAUAAAUAGAGAGGUUCAUUAGCCAUAUUGAUCAUCCCAAACCAAGAGAGAGCAAAGCUUGUUCUUUGAAAGCUAGGAUUUUAGCUUUCGGGUUUUCUAUAGGGGUUGAGAGUUGUGAGGUUCUCGGGUUGUGUCUUGAGUGUAAAACACUUGUAAUCUUCAUCUUGUUAUAGUGAAAUUUCUUUUCGCCUCUGCCCGUGGACGUAGGCAUUAAAGCCGAACCACGUAAAUCCUUGUGUUCACUUUAUUUUUCGUUUCGGUCAAUUUACUUGUAGUCAUAUCGGAGUUCACGAAUCGAUCCUUUCCGCAACAAAUUGGUAUCAGAGCGUAGUUGAAGGAGUGAUAAUAUUUUCUGAAUUGCCCUGUGACUGCAGCUUUGUCUGAUCUUUCACAUCAGGAAGAAAAUAUUAUCAUUCAUUCAAAGGUUCCAAAUUAUGGCUACAAGUGUUUCAUCGACUAAGUAUGAUGUCGAGAAAUUUACCGGGAAAAAUAGUUUCAGUUUAUGGCGCAUCAAGAUGCGGGCAGUGCUGGUUCAACAAGGAUUGCUAAAAGCAUUGUCUGGUAAAGAUAAAUUACCAAGCACGCUUUCGGAAGAGCAAAAGGAUGACAUGCUAGAAAGAGCACAUAGUGCUAUUCUGCUAUGUCUAGGAGAUGAAGUGCUACGAGAAGUAGCGGAUGAGAAAACCGCGUCCGGUUUGUGGCUCCGGUUAGAGAGCAAGUACAUGACGAAGUCAUUGACGAACCGGCUCUACCUCAAGCAAAGACUCUAUGCCCUGAAGAUGGAGGAAGGUACACCUGUUUCCCAGCACCUGGAUAAAUUCAAUUCCAUUAUCAUGGAUUUGAAUAAUAUCGAUAACAAAAUCGAUGAUGAGGACCAAGCAAUAAUUGUUUUGUGUUCUUUGCCUCCCUCGUAUGAGAAUUUUGUUGAUACAAUGAUGUACGGUCGUGAUGACCUGACUCUAGAGGAGGUGAAAAAUGCCUUAAGUUCCAGUGAGUUGAGGAAGAAAAUCACUGGUAAGGUGGUCGAAAACAAUGAAGGCGAAGGCUUGGUUGCUCGAGGAAGAUCCAAGGCAAAGGGUGGAAGUUCAAGUAAAAGCCAUCCUAGAUCGCAGUCCAAGAAGAGAAUACAGUGCUACUACUGUAAGAAGUACGGGCACAUGAAGGUAGAUUGUCCGAAAAGGAAGGAGAAAUCAGAAUCACAGGAGCAACAAAAUGAUCGUGCGAAUGUAGCUGAUGCAGAUUCUUCAAGUGAUGCCGAGAUCGUUCUUGCAGUAUCCGACUCUUACGCUGGUGGGAGAUGGAUUCUUGAUACGGGAGCUACAUUUCAUAUAAGUACUUCGAAAGAUGCAUUCUCAACAUACGAGAAGCAUUCUGGUUCAGUACUAAUGGGAAAUGACCACGCAUGUCAAGUCAUGGGGAUUGGCACAGUUCGUAUAAAGAUGUUUGACGGUAUUGUUAGAACUCUAACUGAUGUUCGGCACAUUCCAGAAAUGAAGAAAAAUUUGAUCUCUUUGAGUACGUUGGACAAGAAAGGCUUUCGGUACUCUGCUGAAGGUGGAGUUCUCAAGGUAUUCUCGGGUGCUUUGACUGUGAUACGUGGUAAUUUGGAGCGGGGCCUUUACUUCCUCGAUGGUUCCUCGGUUACAGGUGUUGCGGGAGUGUCAUCAUCAGAUGAUCUAGAUUCUGACACCACGAAGUUAUGGCAUAUGCGGCUCGGGCAUAUGAGCGAGAGAGGCUUAUCGGUGCUAAGCAAACGAGGAUUAUUGUCUGGGCAGUGUACAGGAAAGUUGAAUUUCUGUGAGCACUGCGUCUUCGGUAAGCAGACUCGGGUAAAGUUCAGCACUGGGAUUCACAAGACAAAAGGCACAGUGGAUUACUUCCAUUCUGACCUUUGGGGGCCUUCUCCGACAAUUUCUAAAGGUGGUUACAGAUAUCUGCUUACCUUUAUCGAUGAUUACUCGAGAAAGGUUUGGGUGUAUUUUCUGAAGAGCAAGUAUGAGGUUCUCAUCAACUUCAAGCAAUUUAAAGCUUUGAUCGAAAAUCAAACAGGAAAGAAGAUCAAGCGAUUCCGGACGGAUAAUGGCUUGGAGUUUUGCUCAGGUGAAUUCAAUGAGUUCUGCAAAAAUGAAGGAAUAGUGAGACACCGCACUGUUCGUCGAACACCACAACAAAAUGGAGUUGCAGAACGCAUGAAUAGAACUCUCUUGGAGCGAGCUCGUUGCAUGCGAUCAAAUGCUGGGCUCGGUGAAGAAUUUUGGGCUGAAGCUGUUAAUACUGCUUGUUAUUUGGUUAACAGAUCUCCGUCAACAGCUAUUGAGCUGAAGACUCCUGAGGAAGUAUGGUCUGGUUCUCCUGCUGAUUACUCUGGUUUAAGAGUGUUUGGCUGCCCUGCGUAUGCUCAUGUAAAUGAGGGAAAACUCAAACCGAGGGCGAAGAAAUGCAUAUUUCUUGGAUACGGCCAAGGGGUGAAAGGAUACAGGUUGUGGUGUCCUGAUCCGGUUUCGUCCAAGUUCAUCAUCAGCAGAGAUGUGACUUUUGAUGAGUCAUCCAUGCUUCGAUCCACCACAAAUUCCCGGGAAAAGGAGGAGUCAGAUAGAAUGGGAGAUCACGGUGUUGAGAAGCAGGUGGAGUGUCAGGUGGACGCUCCAAUUCCUACGGAAGGUACUUCAGUCCAGGAUGAUCAAGUUGAGGUGCAAGAUUCCGAUGAAGAUGAGUCACCUCAAGAAAAACCAUAUAGCAUUGCCACUGGAAGAACGAAGAGACAAAUCAAACCAAAUCCGCGUUACGCUAAUCUGGUGUCUUUCGCGCUCAGUGUGGCGGAGUCCAUUGGUAUAGAACCUUCCAGUUAUAAUGAGGCUGUCACGUGUGAUGAGUCGGCACAGUGGGCAAUUGCUAUGAGUGAGGAGAUAGAAUCUCUUCACAAGAACCAUACUUGGGAGUUGGUUAAGCCGCCAAGUAACCAGAAGAUAGUUGGUUGCAAAUGGGUCUUCAAGAAAAAGGAAGGCAUCCUAGGGGUUGAAACAACUAGAUUCAAGGCACGAUUGGUUGCUAAAGGCUUCACUCAGAAAGAGGGGAUUGACUACAAUGAAGUUUUCUCCCCAGUCGUAAAGCAUUCUUCCAUUCGUGUAUUACUUGCCAUGGUGGCCAAGUCUGAUCUAGAACUUGAGCAGCUUGACGUAAAAACGGCGUUCUUGCAUGGUGAGCUCGAGGAAACAAUCUACAUGCGUCAACCAGAGGGUUUUACAGUUCCUGGUAAAGAAGACCAUGUCUGUCUAUUAAAGAAGUCUUUAUAUGGAUUGAAACAAUCCCCAAGGCAGUGGUACAAGCGGUUUGAUAGCUUCAUGAUUCAGCAUGGUUACACAAGAUGUGACUAUGAUGCUUGUGUCUAUCAUCGGAAGCUCUCAGAUGGUUCGCACAUUUAUUUGUUGCUGUAUGUUGAUGACAUGUUAAUUGCUUCCAAAAACAUGUCGGAAAUCAACAAGUUAAAGUCGCAGUUGAGUGGUGAGUUCGAGAUGAAGGAUCUGGGUGCUGCCAAGAAAAUUUUGGGCAUGGAUAUUCACAGAGAUCGCAAGGCGGGCAAGCUUCGUGUGUCGCAGAAGAACUACAUUGAAAAGGUUCUUCAACGCUUCGGCAUGGAUAAAGCGAAAACUGUGAGUACUCCGUUGGCACCACAUUUCAAACUCUCUGCAGAGUUGUCACCACAAUCUGAUGAAGAAAAGCAGCAAAUGUCUCACAUUCCAUACUCGAGUGCAGUUGGAAGCGUGAUGUAUGCAAUGGUUUGCACUCGUCCAGACAUUUCACAUGCAGUUAGUGUGGUCAGCAGAUACAUGAGUUGUCCUGGCAAGGAACACUGGCAGGCCGUGAAAUGGAUUCUCAGGUAUUUGAGAGGUUCUGCAGAUUUAUGCUUGGUAUAUGAUCAGAGUGACUGCACUAGCAGUGUCACGGGCUAUGUGGACUCUGAUUAUGCUGGAGAUCUGGACAAAAGAAGAUCUCUGACGGGUUAUGUUUUCACUUAUUCUGGAGGAGCCAUUAGUUGGAAAGCUGUGUUACAGUCUACCGUAGCCUUAUCUACGACUGAGGCGGAAUAUAUGGCGUUAGCAGAAGCAGUGAAAGAAGCAUUGUGGAUGAAAGGUCUAGUAAGCAGUUUGGGUUUACAACAGGAUUUCACUGUUGUAUUUUGCGAUAGCCAGAGUGCCAUACAUCUGACUAAAAAUCAGAUGUUUCAUGAAAGGACCAAACACAUUGAUGUCAGAUAUCAUUUUGUUCGGGAACAUGUUACGCAAGGUGACAUUGUUAUCAGCAAGGUUGCUACCGAGAAGAAUCCUGCAGAUAUGUUAACUAAGGUGAUCCCUGCAUAUAAGUUCAAGCAUUGCUUGGACUUGAUAGGUAUUCGGGAUUGAUUAGCGCCAGAGAGGCGUUUGGAAGAGGUGAUCCAGUUCGAGGAAUUCACUAUGAUGUUCAGCUUGGUAAAUUUCAAGCCAAGGUGGAGAUUUGUUAAGAAAUGGCUUAAAAUUGGUAGUGGAUUGUUGUUGUUGGUAGUGGGUUGUUGGUGGUAGUGGAUUAGUGGAUGGUUGUUGGUGUCCAUUUUCAACCACAAAUCUUUGCCAAAGUUUUGGACAAUUAUGUCCUUGAACUCUCUUAUAAAUAGAGAGGUUCAUUAGCCAUAUUGAUCAUCCCAAACCAAGAGAGAGCAAAGCUUGUUCUUUGAAAGCUAGGAUUUUAGCUUUCGGGUUUUCUAUAGGGGUUGAGAGUUGUGAGGUUCUCGGGUUGUGUCUUGAGUGUAAAACACUUGUAAUCUUCAUCUUGUUAUAGUGAAAUUUCUUUUCGCCUCUGCCCGUGGACGUAGGCAUUAAAGCCGAACCACGUAAAUCCUUGUGUUCACUUUAUUUUUCGUUUCGGUCAAUUUACUUGUAGUCAUAUCGGAGUUCACGAAUCGAUCCUUUCGGCAACAUUUAUAUUGUCAUGAUAUUUUUUGUUUUAUAUGCCAUGUCAACAAAUAAUUUAAAAAUUAUAAAUUAUAAAAAAAUUAAUACAAAAUAUAUGUGGAUUGCCCUGCGCGCUGUGAUGUUUAAAAAUAGUUAGUAUUUCCAUAAACAAAAAAAAAAUCGACUCUUCUUGAAAGGUUUGUGGUCAAAUUUGAUUCCUUUUAAAAGGUUGCGGCUCAAAUUUAGCUCAAAAAUGAAAUAAGAGUUAAAUUGAGUAAAACACGUCAACAUUGAGAACUAAAUUUGACAUUACGCCUUGAUUUAUCAAUCUAUUAAAGGCCUAAGUAUUGUGGAAUAUGAACUUAUCGAAUCAGACAAAAUUUGGUAUCAAUAAAAACAAUAAAGCUUUUCUCUCUAACUUUGUUCAAACUUUGGCGGAGACAUUCUCUAGUAAAGAUCUUGGUGAUCUGAAUCAUUUCUUGGAAGUUAAAGUCAUUCCAACAUAUCAAGAUUUAUUCAUCUCAACACAAGUAUAUAGAUGUUAUGAUAUAUUGAGCAAAAUCAACAAAUAAUUGUCAAGUGCCAAGGAAUCAAAUACACCAAUGUCUACUUUAGUUUGUUUAAGUUUUCAUGUUGGUCAAGUUUUGCAUAAAGCAGCCUCUAUCAGAGAUGAAGAUAAAUACUGAAUAGAUAUAUUUAUAUGCCUUUUUGUAGCUAAGAAUUUAAUCUUUAUUUGUAAUAUAACAGUAAAGUACAAUGAUCAAGUAUGAGAAUUUUAAGUUUUAAUCAAAUCAACAUAUAUAUAUCAUACACUUAUUCUAAUCAAGUGGAGCAUAAUCAUACGACUUUUUCACAUUAAUCCAAGAGAAAUGAGUCUGUAAAUAACACCUUAGUAAUGAAUUACAGUAACGUUAAAUUCAGCAAUUGUAUUGGUGGCAUUUACAAGGAUAGGAUUAAAUUGUGCAACCCCUGUUGCCAUCAUGAAUUGUCCUCUUCCUCCGACCACCGCAAGAUCAGGUUCUCCCCUUGAAAAUACGCUUAGAGAGCUACCGUUAAACUUACCAGUAUUAAAUCCAAAAUCUAGGUAUUCCGUGCUCGAUGCAUUCAUUCCAGCCACUGACGCAAUACCCUGAAUAUUUCCAAUCAACUCUGAGUCAGGCUCAGGACCAGUCCUGAGGGGAUCAUUAAUGGCAAAUAAGGAGGCAAAUGGCAGUGAUGAACUAUUGUCAUUGCUUGUGCUGUUAGCUUGGGCUACCACUACUAUUGUAACACCCGUAGUUCUGUGCAUAAAGAAGUUAAGAUUGGUGACCUUAACUGGCCUGGGAUGAUAUGGUAGGGUCUCCGAGUAGUAUUGGCUCUGCACUGCUACUUGGGAGAGGCAGAUGAUCAGAAUCCAACUCAACAUCCAUGUUCCUCUCAUUGUCUCUGCUUUACUAUAAUUUCUGGGGAAAGCUAUAGAAUUGUUGCUUCAUUUUUAUUAAGAAAACAGAAAGAUUUAUACUGAUAAAACCUGCAGAUAUGAAAAUAAUUUAUUGUCCAUAACAUUUUAUAUAAUACCUGCAUGAUUUCUCACUAGUAAUAUUAAAGACAAAACAAAUUUUGACCAGGCAACACAAACUUGGUCUAAUUGGCUGAUUGAUUUUUUAAAAAAGGAUAACUUCACGUAAACACCAUUCUGCCUAUAAAAUUAAAUGAUCCACUUGCUUUAAAUUAAUUUGUGGAUUGGAAGUCUCCUACCCUGCCUUUUUUAUUUUCGUUUGAAUGGUUUGUAUUGUCCAUACAUCUGAUUGAUGUGCUGAUGUUAUAAAUUAUUUUAUUUUAUAAUUUUGUGGAUUGGGUCCACUUAAAUAAAGGUUGAAGAUAACCAAAAAUAAUAUUAAUGUUCUUAGGUAUCAUUAAGUAAAAUAAUAUUGUGUUACUAGGAGGGCAACAACACUCCCUCUCGAGCCUUGGGUGUUGCCCAUCACACAUUGGAUGAGCUUAUUGGGCCUAUCUCAUAUAUUGUACAUAUAUCUGAAUAUUUAAUCAACCCAUAUAUUUUAGUUAACUUCCUAAAUAAUUUUUUAUUUACUUAAUUAAAAAAAUUUAAUUAAUCUAUUUAAUUAAAUUAUUUUCUCAACCCAAUUAAAUAUUUGAGGUAAAAUUUAUUAUUAUACCAAUAAAAAAUUAUCACCGUCAAUGAUUUAACGGAGUGAUGACCAAAAUAUUAAAUUUCAAUAAGGUGACUAAAAUAGAAAAUUUUAAACUUGAGUGACCAUAAUUGAAACACACUAAGAAUUAGGUGACUAUUUUUUAACUUUACCAUUGUUGUACUAUGAUAAGAACAAUCGGAUUUGGCAGGGCAUAUAGAGUUAAAAAUUGUCACAUAGCCUACAUAAUUUUUCUAUACAUUAAUGCUUAAAAUACUCAUAAACCCCCACGCUCGUAAAUUGGAGAUAAAAGCACUUAAAGUGUUUGAACCCACAUCCUACUUAUUGUUGCAACAACAAUAGUAACACUUGAGUUAAAGAUCAAUUAGCCAUGUUUCUUUUUCUUUUAAAGUUGCAUAACAAGUGGUUAAAAUCUAAACAAUGAAUCAAACCCCAAAUUUGUGGUCUAUUGAUUGACUGCCUAUUUUCUAUAAAAAUAGCCUAAAUUCGAGUCAUCUAUGCACCUAUAACAAAUGAUUAAAAUCUAAAUAAUGAACCAAACCGUAAGUUGUGAUCCAUUGAUCGAGUGUUUAUUUUCUAUAAAAAUAGCCUAGAUUCAAGUCAUCGAUGUGCCUAAAGAAAACGUCUAAACAGAGAUCCAAAGUUUUGUAUUUUUCAAAAAUAUUAGUUAAGCGCAUAUCCCUAUUAUACUCAAGGUUAAAACAUUUAAGGAGUCUAAUAAUUAAAAUUUUAAUAAGUUUUUUUUAUAAAAUAUUUAAAAAAAUUGUAUUAAUUUAUUUAUGAGGAUAGUUUAGUUCAUCAAUUUAAAUUAAUCAAUAUUUUAAAAUUAAUAUUAGAAUGAUAUUUUGGUCUAUCAAUUUUAAGAGUUAAUUUAAAGCUUACUCAAUAAACAGAUGAAAAGGUGAGUUAAAGAUGAAAUGGAUCAUACUAAGUGUUGGGUAUAGCGGUAAGAUACAUUAUAUUUUUAAGGGAAAAUACAAAAUUAAAUUUUGGAGAUGACAUUGUUAAGACGGACAACAACGAACCUUGAAUAUAUAUUCAAGUAAGUAUAUCUUACAUGCAUAAAUAUGUUUAUAUCAAAAUAUAAGUUUUAAAUUUACUAAUUAGGUUUAAUAAAUUAAUUUAAUAAUUGUAUUUUAAGUUUAAAUGUAAAAUUUAAAUUGUUUAAUAUAAAAUAAAAUAAAAUUUAGGUUUAAAGUAUUAAAAUUUUAUAUUGAUGUUCACUAAAUUAAUUAAUAAAUUUAAUAAAUUGGUUAAAAUAAUUGUAUCUAUCAAUUAAUAGUAUAAUUAUAACGAGUGAUUUGUCAUAAUUAGUGGUCUCAAGUAAAGAGUAUUCUCGGCGAGCUUGCUUUGUAGCUAAGAAUUUAAUCUUUAUUUGUAAUAUAACAAUAAAGUACAAUGAUGAAGUAUGACAAUUUUAAUUUAUUCUCGUACAUUUAUUCUAAUCAAGUGGAGCAGAACCAAGACAUUUUCACAAUCGAUCAGAAUUGAGUUUGUAAAUAGCACCUUAGUAAUGAACUACAGUAACGUUAAAUUCAAUAAUGACAUUGGUGGCAUUUAUAAGGAUAGGGUUAAAUAGUGCAACCCCUCUUGCCAUCAUGAAUCGUCCUCUUCCUCCGACCACCGCUAGCCCAGGUUCUCCUCUUGAAAAUACGCUUAGAGAGCUGCCGUUAAACUUACCGGUAUUGAAUCCAAAAUCUAUGUAUUGUGUGCUCGAUGCAUUCAUUCCAGCCAGGAGCGCAAUACCCUGAACAUUUCCAAUCACCUUCGAGUCAGGCUCAGGACCAGUCCUGAGGGGAUCAUUAACGGCAACCAGGGAGGCAAAUGGCACUGAUGAACUAUUGCUUGUGAUGUUAGCUUGGGCUACCACGACUGCUGUAACACCCGUAUGUUCAUGCAUAAAGAAAUGAAGAUUGGUUUCCUUAGCUGGCUUGCGAUCAUAGUGUCGGGUCUUCGAGUAGUAUUGGCUCUGCACGGCUACUUGGGAGAGGCAGAUGAUCAGAAUCCAAGUCAACACCAAUGUUCCUCUCAUUGUCUCUGCUUUACUAUAAUUUCUGGGGCGAAAUGUAGAUGCAAGCUAGUAGAAUUGUUGCUUGAUUCUUUAUUAAGAACACAGAAACAUUUAUACUGAAAAUACCCGGAGACAUGAAAAUCAUUUAUUGUCCAAAACAUUUGAUGCAAUACGUGCUUGAUUUCUCACUAGUAAUAUUAAAAACAAAACAAAUUUUGACCAGGCAACACAAACUUGCCCUAAUUGGCUGCUUGAUUUUUAAAUAGGAAUAUUUUUGUUUUUGGAUACAUAUAAAUACGAAUUGUCUUCACUUAACAAUUGGAAUGGCUUAAAGAGCAUUCUGCCUAUAAAAUUAAAUGAUCCACGUGCUUUAAAUUAGUUCUAGAUUGGAAUUUGGAAGUUUCCUCCCCCGCGUUUUUAUUUUCGUCGUCGGUUUUCGUCUUUUUCACAUGUUAUUGAUGUGUUGAUUUUAUAAAUUAUUUUAUCUUCCGCAAUUCCCUUUAGACCAAAUAACUUCAUUCUAAUACUGUCCUUGGUCAUAUUUUAAUCCAUGUUUAAUAAAGUAAAAAAAAAAUUAAUCCAACAAAUGUUUAUGCAUAAUUAAAUAAAACACAUGUUAAAGGAUGGUAUCUGAAUAUUUAAUCAAAACUCAUAUAUUUUAAUCAACCUAAAAAAUUUUUUUCUAUUUUUUAAAAUAUUAAUUAAUUAUUUAUUUAUUUAUUUAUUUUCUCAAUUGAAUUAAAUAUUUGAGGUCCAAAUUUGUUAUUAAAAUUUGGUAACGUGACUAAAAUAGACACCACCAUUAGUGAUUUAACGGAGGCGUGACUAAAAUAUUAAAUGUCGAUAACAUGACUAAGAUAGACGUUUUUAAACAUGGGUGGCCAAAAUUGAAAAAUGGUAAUAAUUAGACGAUCAUUUUUAGAGUUUACCCUUGUUGUAGUAUGAUAAGGACUUUUGAAUUUGGCGGGGCAUAUAGAGUUAAAAAUGGUCACAUUGUAUACGAAAUCUUUUUUAUAUAAUUUAUUCAUAAACCUCCCACACUCAUAAAAUAGAGGAUAAAAACACUUGUACGCAUGCUCAAACCCAAAUCCCGUUUAUACUUCAUGGUUAAAGUAUUUAAGGAAUAUAAUAAUUAAAAUUAAAAUUUUAAUAAAAUUUGUGUAUUUAAUAUUAAAAAUAAUUUCAAAUAUAUAUUUUGCGUGGAAAGUUUAGUUAAUCAGUAUUUAUAAAGUUAGUAUGAAAAAUAUAUUAUCAGUAGGUUGGGUAACUAAAUCCAGAAAAUCAUUUUAAUUUUAAUUAUAUUACAUAUAACCUUAAUUAUAUUACAGGAAUUAAAUUGUGAAAGUUCAAUCGCUAUUUAAUUUUAAUUUAAAAAACGUUUGAGGAUCCAGUUAGCAAUUAUGCAAAUGGCCUAAAAUAGUUAUGAAACCAUUGUUAUUAUAGGGAAGUUUAUGAUAAUAUCCACUUAAUUUCAUUAAUAAAGGUUAAUUAAUAAAGUAAGCAUGUUUAAUAGUUAAAAAUCUAAGUCAAUUAAACUUUAAUUAUAACCUUAAUUAUGUAUUAAUAGGAAGGUGAGUGGAGAGAUGAUACAUUCAUCAUCCUCACCAAAUUGUGUUGUCCAAGUAGGAAGAGAAAGUAAAGGAAAACUCUUUUGCUUCUUUUACAUUUUGGUCCAAAAUCCCUGAGGUAUUUAAGUCUUUCCUUUGAAACUUUUAUGUUUUCAUGACUAUCUAAGUUUGAUUAAGUUUACCCACGCCUUAGAUUUGUCAAUUGUUAAAUGCUUAUCAAAUAGUCAUUAAUGGGUAUUUGAUGAAAUUGAGUUUGAUUUUGAUGAUAAAUAGAAGUAUGAUUUUUUAGCAUGUUAGGACUAAGUUGAAAAUUAGAGAAACGUGCUGGAAUUGAUUAGAAAUUCAAUUAACCUAUCUAAUUGGUUUAUGACAUUUGGGAUCAAAUUGAACAAAGUGAAAAUUGUUAGGGAAUUAUGUUAUAGAUUAAAAGUACAAGGUCCCUAAUGAAAGGAUAUGAAAUUAGAUUUUGAUUCGAUAUUAAAUAUAAAAGAAUACAAGUAUUUUGGAUAUAGGAACUAAAAUGAUUAAAAUGCAAACUAUGUUUGAUUAUAUGUUUUCAUGUGAUUGGGUGAAAACUAUUAUCGUUUCUAUUCUUGAAUUAUUGUAUGUAGCUAAAGAUGAUGUCAGAUUGUCUCGAGAGAAAGGAAAGACGAGAGUUGUAGACAAGUAGCUAAUACAGUUUGUGCUUCCAUGAUUUAAAAUCAAUACAUUUACAUAUAUUUCUAUUAAUUGUAUCAAACUAUCUUGAUUGAGGUAAUGUCAUGAAAAUGGUAAGUAUUUCAUGGUUGGAAACUUGUGAGAAAUGUGGUGAUAUGCAUGUGAUAAUACGAAAUAAUAUGAAUUAAUGGAUUGGAUUAAGCAUUAUAGAAAUUGGUAUUAUAUGAAAUUAUGAAAUGUUUGAUCUGGUGUCUUAAGUGCAGUAUAUUCGUUUGGUAAACUUGUAUUUUUUUGAACAAAUUGAUUUAAUAAUAUCCAUUAAUUACUUUAACACCCUUUGUAUAUUGUCCUCAAUGGUUUUUGUACACUGUUGACACCAUUUUUUUGAUGAAAACGGGAUCGACUUGGGUUUUGAAAACAAAAACGGGAGUCGCCACCAAUCCUUUUUGAUAAGGUGUGAUCAGAUCACCUUGAAAAGUGGUUGUUUUUAAUAAACGAUUUGAUUUUAUUAAAACAACAAUUUUGUUCCACAAAAUUCAGAAAAACGAGUUCGGGAGUCGGUUACGUACGAGGAAGGAUUAGCACCCUCGUAACGCCCAAAAAUUGGUACCUAAUUGAAAACUUUGAAGAAUUUUAAAAAUACGAUCCUAAAAUUUUUGAAUAAUAUGAGUUGGAAUUUAAGAUUCUCUUGUUCCGAAAGAAUAUCACAUCCAGCACAUUAGGAUACGACAAGAUCACCUUAUGGUUUCCAAAACCUAUACUUUGAAACUUUAAAAGAGUAUUUGGCUAUUUGGCUAAAAGAGAAAUCGAAACACAGCUCAUUAGGGCACGUUUUCUCGAAUUUCCAAAUGCAAAAUAUUGCCUUACUUUGAAAUUUUAAAAAGAUAUUUGGCUAUUUGGUCGAACGAAAAAAUCGAAACCCAGCACAUUAGGGCACGUUUUCAAAUUUCCAAAUGCAAAAUAUUGCCUUUAUUAUGUUUUAGAAAAAUCCUCAUUUCGAUAAAACGACGUGUCAUAUCCAAUGCGUUAGGACACAACGUAUUGAAUUCCCGAUACGAGAAUAAAUGCCGAAAAGUUUACUUACUUAAAAGAUAUUUAACUAUCUCGGAUUUUAGAAAAAGGUGUCAUGCCCAGUAAGUUAGGACACGAUCUUUUCUUAAUUCCCGAGAUCGUUUAAAAACUUGAGUUUGAAAAGAUUCGUGUAUUUAGAUUUAUUACGAAAAUCGAAACCCAGUAAGUUAGGGUACAACCUUCUCGAAUCUAAACACGAGAUUUUGCUUAUUCAAAAAUCAUAAUUUAUGCAUCGAAUAAAAUUAAUCUAACAUGAAAUAGUAGAAAUGAAACUCGAUAUUAAUACAUGUAACAAGAUAAUGAAUACAAUAAUGUAAGCAUAAAUGAUACGAGCAACAACAACAAAAUAAUAAAUAAAUAAAUAAAAGAUGACAAAACAAUUAUACGUGAAACAAUAAACAACUAGGGCUAAAAAAUUUCAUAAGAAUAAUGAUGAAAACAUAAAUAAAAACAUAAAUAUAAGAUAAAACAAUAAUAACAAUAAAGAAAAUAGAUAAAAAUUAUAAAAUGUAAAAAAUAUAUAUGUACAUAUAAAGGAAAUAUAUAUGUAUGUAGAUAUAAAAUUAUGAAAAUACGAGAAAUAUAUAUAUCUUAAAAUUAUUGAAUAUAAAAGUUUAUGCAAGUAUGUAUAUACACGUUUAUGUAUAUAAAGUUUAUAAAAAAAAUAUAAGUAUAUAUAUAUAUUCGUAAAAAAAUGUAUAUAAAUAUAGAUAUAUAUGUAUAGAUUAUCAAAUGUAUAUAAACAUGCGUGUGUAUGUACAUAUUAAAUAAAAAAACGUGUACAUAUAUUAUGAAAAUGUAUAUAUAUAUAGAUAUAAAAAUAAAGCUAAAUAUAUAUAUUACUAAUUAAUGUAUUAAAUAUAAUAGUAACAAAUAAAUAAAAGGAAAAUAAAAUUAAUAAUAAUAAGGUUAAAUAAUAAAAAUGCUAAAAAAACACUGACUAAAUUAAAAUAAAACGAAAAUACAUGGUUGAUUUGAAAGUAAAAAAGACGAAAAGGAUCAAAUUGCGACACGCACAAAAAGGGAGGGACCAAAACAAUAAAUAGACUGAAUUCCCAAAACGCGGUGCUGCAGUGGACUAAAUUGAAACGAAAAUAAAAUUGCGCGUCUAAAUUAAAAUAAAAGAAAAGAAAGAAAAAAGGGGCAAAUUGCAACACGCUGCAAAAUCGGAGGGACUGUACGCGUAAAUAUCCCAAAAGUCAAAAACACGUGGAUCCUCUGGGUCGGGCCGGGUCGACGCGCGGAUCUCCUCACCAAAACGGUGCCCGUUUCAUUCCUUUAUAAAAGUCAGAUUUUUUUAUAUAUAUUUUUAUUUCUGCCACUUUUUUUCUCUCAACCCUUCCCUAAUCUCCCCAGAAUCCGGCCGUCGGUCCGGCCAUGGGCCACCGUGCCAAUCGCCUAUCACCGGCGCUGCCGUGUACGAUGGCAGGGAGACCAAAAGUCUCCCCUUUUUCGCUGAAUCGUCUCUCCUCGGCCUCCUGAGCGUCCCGGCGUCGAUAAAAAAGGGUAAAAAUGCCUCCUUUCUUCCUUUAUUUUGUACUUCGAAAAAAAAUAAAAAUAAAAAUAAAAACAAAACAAAAAUAAAAAGAAGAGUAACCUUUUAUUGCUUUUUUAAUCUUUGUUCUUCCUUUUUUUUGAAUAGAUUUAUCUUUUUUUUUCAAAAGAAGAACCCUUUUACAAUUUGUUUUUGGGCUAUUUAUAGCCGAUUCUGUUUUUGUUUCCUUUUUCUAUUUAUGCUUGCGUGUUCUUCUUUCUCUUGCAAGUGGAGCAGGUGCAAGUGGGGUGAUGGGACGUGCGGCGUGUCGGUGGCAGAGCUAGGGCGGCAGCAGUUGAGUCUGAAUACCCUAGGUGCGGCGCCUAGGGUUCUUUUGUUUCUGCUAGGGUUUUUUUUUCUUUUUUUUUGUUUUGGAUUUAGGCCAUUUGGGUUUUGGGCUUAGGUUAGGUUUAAUUGGGGUUUGGUCUGUUUAUUUUCUGUUUUGGUUGUAUUUGGGCUAGUUGGGCCUCAGGCAAAAAAUUGGGCUUGUACAACUGCCCCUCUUUACUCGUUGUCCUGUAACGAGAACAGAGCAAAGACCUAAAAAGACCAAUAUUUUGCCCGAUCUCGCCAAGUCUUGACUUCUCUUGGCGUUUCUCUUCUUCAAGUAGCUUAUUUUCAAUCCACUACGUCUUGUUGCUUCAAUCCACUCUACUGUAGCAAUAACUUUAGAGGGACGAGGUUUGUGGUUUUAGUCUGCUCCACUUGGGAAGAUAAGAUUCACCAUCUUUGAUCUGCUCCACUACUGCUUAGGGAGACAUAAUCUGCAAGGGAGACAGAAUCUGUAAUCUUUAACCUACUCUACUACUGCUUAGGGAGAUAGGACUAAUGGCUUAAAUCUACUUCUCCACUAUCUUGGGAAGAUAAGAUUCACCAUCUUUGAUCUGCUCCACUACUACUUAGGGAGACAGAAUCCUACUCCACUACUGCUUAGGGAGAUAGGACUGAUGGCUUAAAACUGCUUCUCCACUAUCUUGGGAAGAGAAGAUUCACCAUCUUCGAUCUGCUCCACUACUGCUUAGGGAGACAGAAUCUACAAUCUUCAACUUACUCCACUACUACUUAGGGAGAUAGGACAAAUGGCUUAAAUCUGCUUCUCCACUAUCUUAGGAAGAUAAGAUUCACCAUCUUCGAUCUACUCCACUACUGCUUAGGGAGACAGAAUCUUCAAUUUUUAACCUACUCCACUACUGCUUAGGGAGAUAAGACUAAUGGCUGAAAUCUGCUUCUCCACUAUCUUGGGAAGAUAAGAUUCACCAUCUUCGAUCUGCUUCACUACUGCUUAGGGGGACAGAAUCUGCAAUCUUCAACCUACUCCACUACUACUUAGGGAGAUAGGAUCUGCAACCUUUAAUCUGCUUUGCUGCAAACUAUGAUGUCUUCGAUCUACUUCAUUGUCAGUACAGGAAGGCAAGAUCUGCUAUCUUCAGUCUGAUGGUGUCUUCGAUCUACUUCGUCGUCAGUAUAGGAAGGCAAGGCUGGUGUCUUCGAUCUGCUUCGCCGUCAGUACAGGAAGGCAAGAUCUGCUAUCUUCAGUCUGCUCUGCUGUCAGUAUAGAGAGGCAAGGCUGAUGUCUUCGAUCUACUUCGCCGUCAAUACAGGAAGGCAAGAUCUGCUAUCUUCAGUCUGCUUCGCUGUCAGUACAGGAAGGCAAGGCUGGUGUCUUCGAUAUGCUUUGCUGUCAGUAUAGGAAGGCAAAAUUUACUAUUUUUAGUCUGCUCCACUGUCAGUACAGGAAGGCAAGACUGGUGUCUUCGAUCUGCUUCGCAGUCAGUACAGGAAGGCAAGAUCUGCUAUCUUCAGUCUGCUCCGCUGUCAGUACAGGAAGGCAAGGCUGGUGUCUUCGAUAUGCUUCGCUGUCAGUACAGGAAGGUAAAAUCUACUAUUUUAAGUCUGCUCCGCUGUCAGUACAGGAAGGCAAGGCGGGUUUCUUCGAUCUGCUUCACCGUCAGUACAGGAAGGCAAGAUCUGCUAUAUUUAGUCUGCUCCGCUGUCAGUACAAGAAGGCAAGGUUGGUGUCUCCGAUCUGCUUCGCUGCCAGUACAGGAAGGCAUGAUCUGCUAUCUUUAGUCUGCUUCACUGUUAGUACAGGAAGGCAAGACUGGUUUCUUCGAUCUGUUUCGCCGUUAGUACAAGAAGGCAUGAUCUGCUAUCUUUAGUCUGCUUCACUGUCAGUACAGGAAGGCAAGACUGGUUUCUUCGAUCUGCUUCACCGUCAGUACAGGGAGGCAUGAUCUGCUAUCCUUAUUCUGCUUCGCUGUCGGUACAGAAAAGCAAGACUGGCUUCUUCGAUCUACUUCACUGUCAGUACAGGAAGGCAUGAUCUACUAUCUUUAGUCUGCUUCGCUGUCAGUACAGGAAGGCAAGACUGGUUUCUUCGAUCUGCUUCGCCGUCAGUACAGGAAUGCAUGAUCUGCUAUCUUCAGUCUGCUCCGCUGUCAGUAUAAGAAUGCAAGACUGGUUUCUUCGAUCUGCUUCGCCAUCAGUACAGGGGGGCAAGAUCUGCAAUCUUCAUUGAUCUGUGCUCUGGGGAACACCACCUCUAUAUUCUAUAUUAUGAACCUAAUUGUGCCUAGUGAUUAGGAUGACAUGAUCAGAAUGAAUCAAACGCUCCUAACUAGACACGUAUGAAUGACGUUUGAAUGAAUGCAAUGAAAAUGAUCCCUUUUUAAUGCUUGAGUUAUCAUUACUCAAAGUUUAUUAAGGUUUUAUCACUGACGUGCUACAAUGUCUUCUUGCUCGGCUGGCGUAUCCAAAGAAACACUUAAUCUGAUUGCCCCCCAUUGUGAACGUCAGAGUUCAAUCCACUAGGACACAAAAUUUGUACCAUCAUUCUCCCACUGUGAUCCAAGGGUAGAAAAAUAUGGCUUUUCUCAAUCAUCUCCUAUUGCAAUUCAAGGAUACAGAAUGUGAAGCUCUUUGGUCUUUUACCCCAUUCCCAAGGUGUUAUACCAAAUGCUCAUGCACAAUUGCAAAAUUUUCUUCUCCGAGAAAACCUUUUCUUAUCACUCGGUGAUCAUUGCUUGUUUGUUCAUUGAAGCCUUGUCAUCAACAUAAAAUUUUGUCAUUUUGUUCAAUCAAUGUUUGGAUAACAAAAUCUGAAAGGAUAGUCUUAACUUAGACUCUUCCUUCUUAGAAAUUUCAACCUUUAAACUUGGUGUGUUCUAAACAAUAUCAUGUUUCAGGUUCCUAUAUUAUUUAGAAACUUCUAGGGUAAUAUGCAAAACUUCUCUUGUGAAAGUAUUAUUAGUCCAUUAAUAUUAUUCCAAUGCAACAUGCUUGCAAAAGAUCAUAACGAUAGAUAAAACAAAAUUGAUUUGGGAGCCUAGCUCAAAAUAAAUUAUCAAGGAUAGCAAGAAUAAAAGAGGAAUUGAUUGGAACACGUAUCUUGAAUAAGAAUAAAGUAUUCCAAGAACAAAAAAUUCAAUAUAAAGGUUAGGUGCCCCAGAUAUCGCAUCUUAAACUUCUCUAUACAAACUUUCUGAAGACCUUUCUGAGUUUGACAUGUGUUUAGGAGAUCUACAGGACUUUGUCGAUGCCCCAAGAUGUUGCCUACCCUUUCCUGUUGAUUCAGGUAUAACAAGAUCACCACAUGCCCCAAUUUGGUUAAAAUUUGAGCUGCUCUGAUCACCUCAUGCCCCAUUUAAUCCAAAACUUGAAUUGCCCUUUUCGAGUUUUCAACUCAAAUCCCCUUUGGUCUCAAGGCGCCCUUUGCGGGUUUUCACCUUGGCCUCUCCUUUUUUUUUCUUUUUCUUUUUUUCCCUCUUUUUUUCUUUUUUUAAUCUGAACUCAUUGGAUUAGGUAUGUCCUCGUUAUCCCUUCCGAUCAAGAUUGACGCUUUUCCAGAUAAGGCCUUCCCCAUAAGGUUUUUCCCAUCUUGGCAUGAAGUUCUUUUUGUAUGGAAAGGAUCUUCUUCGAUACCAAGUACCCCUCAUGGAAUUUUAUAGGGCGAACUUUUUUGUGAGCUCGCAUCAUUUGCUUUUGGCGCAUUUGACCACGAUGGACAACUUUGAACAUUCAUCUUCAAUCGGGAUUGGAUCCAAAAACUCAGAGAGAAAGAAUCUCAUCUUCAAUAGGCGAAACUGCGAUGGGCCCAAGAGAACGGCAUUGCCCCCGCAGAGUUUUUUUUAAUGCUCUGUUCACCUUUGGGCGACAUAGUGUUAAUUUUGAACAAACUGCCAACUUUUGAAAUCGUGCUCUUGUUCAAAUUUGGUGUAUUGUCAAAUAUGAUCCUUUUGGCAUUCCAUAUUGACAUGUGAUUUUUUUUGAGAAUUUGUUGACUGUCAACUUUCUGAUGUUGGCAUAUGAAGCGGCUUCUACCCGCGAAGAUAAAUCAAUGACCGCCAAAAUCUUCUGUCUAGAUCGUCCCAAUAGCCUUCAUGCCCCACAUAGGGAGGAGCCAUGGACUCCAUUGAUUUUUUGUAUGGUGGAAUCUGUUUUUCACCUUAUUUUAUCAUCCUUAACAAGUUUAGAGAUAAACUAUAAUCUAUGUCAUCUUCGAAGUCAUGAGAUCCCUCUAAACACAUGUCUCACUCAAAAGGAGAUUCUGAGUCUGUAGCAGCGUCACUCAUGUCGUUGAUAUCUGGGGACUUAUUGUAGGUACAAGAGAAUAUACAAAGAAUGUAUGAAUUUAAGAAUAAAUAUCUAUACAGUAUGAUUAUGAAUGAAUGAAAGAAUGAUUUGGAAGAAAGAAUGAAAGAAUAAUUAUUCAUAAAUGAUGAAAGAAUAUUAGCUCAAAAAUGAUCGCAAAGAUAUAUUUCAUUAAAAUAACGACGUUCAGACAUGAGCCUAUUUCACAAAGGAAUUCUUAUCGCCUCUAGGCUAAAAGCAACAAGUGUGUUUUGGACAUUACUCUAAAUAAACUCUAAAUACUACAAAGAUUUCUUCUGCAGUCUGAUUAUUUAGAACACUCCCAAGUUUAUAAUGACGGAUAUCUAACAAGGUCCCUUUUCAGUUGUCUUCAUGUAUGACAUUGAUAUGACCAUUUUUUUGACCCCUUCACAAAAAUCUAUCUUGUUGGACCUUAGCUAACCGCUCUUGUAUUUGCAGUCGUAGUUGGUCUUGCCUCCCCCUUUGGAGUCGUUCAAGUUUUCAAUCUUUGGUCCAUGUUUUUUUGUUCGGAUACCGUAAUGAUGCUAAGUCGAUAGACUUUUUUUUAGUUCCCAGGUUAACUGAAAUAAUUUUACUCAAUUACGGUCUUUUAAUGGUCCUUAAUGCGCAUGAUGCUAUGUAAUGCAAAUGCAUGAAAUGAAUGCAAAAAAGAGACAUUGAUUCUUGGUUCAAUUCUAUUAGAACAACUUUACUAGAAAACAAAUCUCUUUACAUAAAGCGGAUAUAUAUACGGCUUUGCCCUCAUAGGCGGAGACAUUCGAUCCUCUUCUUCAUUCGAGCGUUAAGAUAAAUCUCACGAACUCUUCAAAAGGGACGUCUCUUCUAUCUCUUUUUUGCUUAAUCCGGGCCGUGACUCGUUCCUCGCUCAUCCUCGUGAUGCUCAUUGGCUUCUCUUUAAGAAAGUUCAGCGGCUCUCGAAUAAUCUUUGUCUUCUUGAAUCCUCGAGCAACGGAGCAAUAGUCGUGUAGUCCUCUAUUAAACUAUCAUCAUUCUCUUAUCACGUUUUCUUGGACCAUAUUCGGAUAACUGUAUCGUCAUCCACUUUAUCAAGAAACCCAUUUUCUUAUGACAAGCUCUCUAUUUAGCAACCGAACGUGAAUCAACACCUCUUUUUAUGAUGAAAAUGCAAUGCAAUCAUAACAAAAAAGAAAACAGGUUAGUACAAAGCAAAAGCAAGCAAGAAUAAAGAGAACACCUAUUCGGGUGAAUACUAGGGGUUCGAAGUGGUUCUACCUAGGGUGGGCUCCUAAAGUUCGCCACAUGAGGUUUGGUUCUAAAGUAAAGGUACCCGAACCAACAGAUUCCUCAAUCGUCACCCAUUAUAGGCUCACAUAGACCGAGUUCGGUUCAGGGGAAUGCAUUUCCCUAUGGCUGCACAGAUAUGAAAAUCUCACGAAAACAUAGGUACAGAUGUAUCCCGAAAGCGACCCACUAUCCUGCACGGAGGCGAAAACCUCACGAAGGAGUAGCUUCUCACUCCCACUUAAAAGGGUGUGACCAACGGUCAUGCAAUGCAAUGUGCAAAGAUGUAAAAAUUUAAAAUACAAAACAUGAUGAAAACUAUAAAACAUGAUGAAAACUAUAACUCAAAAUAAAUGCAAUGAGAGGAUUGUAUAUUUAAAUCAAGUUUUUUAAUUUUUGACAAAAAGACAAAAAAUAAUCAUCUCGUGGCUUGACUCUCUUAUUUUAUGUCCCCAGUGGAGUCGCCAAGCUAUUGACACCAUUUUUUUGAUGAAAACGGGGUCGACUUGGGUUUUGAAAACAAAAACGAGAGUCGCCACCAAUCCUUUUUGAUAAGGUGUGAUCGGAUCACCUUGAAAAGUGAUUGUUUUUAAUAAACAAUUUGAUUUUAUUAAAACAAUGAUUUUGGUCCACAAAAUUCAGAAAAACGGGUUUGGGAGUCGGUUACGUACGAGGAAGGAUUAGCUCCCUCGUAACGCCCAAAAAUUGGUAAAAAUGGGUAAAAAAAGGGUAAAAAUGCCCCCUUUCUUGCUUUAUUUUGUACUUCGGAAAAAAAUAAAAUAAAAUAAAAACGAAACAAAAAUAAAAAGAAGAGUAUCCUUUUAUUACUUUUUUAAUCUUUGUUCUGCCUUCUUUUGUUUUUUUUUUAAUAGAUUUCUCUUUUUUUUUCCAAAAGAAGAACCCUUUUACAAUUUGUUUUUGGGCUAUUUAUAGCUGAUUCUAUUUUUGUUUCUUUUUUCUAUUUAUGCUUGCGUGUUCUUCUUUCUCUUCCAGGUGGAGCAGGUGCAAGUGGGGUGAUGAGACGUGCGGCGCGGCGGUGGCAGGGCUAGGGCGGCGGCAGUUGGGUUUGAAUACCCUAGGUGCGGCGCCUAGGGUUCUUUUGUUUCUGCUAGGGUUUUUUUUCUUUUUUUUUGUUUUGGAUUUGGGCCAUUUGGGUUUUGGGCUUAGGUUAGGUUUAAUUGGGGUUUGGUCUAUUUAUUUUCUGUUUUGGUUGUAUUUGGGCUAGUUGGGCCUCGGGCAAAAAAUUGGGCUUGUACAUACACAAUGCAAAAUGGAAGAAAAUAUUAGAUCACUGAUUUUCUAACGUUUAACUAAUACUAAGCAGCAUUAUGUGGUCGGGUUGUAAUGAGGAAAGACGACUUGUAUUAGUAGAUCAUAAACCUAAACAUGCCCUUAGUCUAAUCGGAAAUGAGAAAACCAAUUGAAAGGUUUAUAUGUCAUAUAUGAAGUCAAAUAAGGGCUAAUCAAUGACUAAUCAAUUUAAUUUUCACUUUGAACUUCAAUUAUUUAAUUUCAAUAAAUUAAAUAAUAAUUCAAAACAAUUAAUUCAAUUUUCUACAUGCAAUCUAUUUUGGGUUAUACUGAAUUAGCAGAGGAACCAAUUGAACAUAUAUAAUUAGGACUCAAAUAAUUUUUAAUUUAGUUUCAUCUAUUCACCUAUUAAUUACAACAUUAUUUAAUUAUAAAGUUAUUUCACUAAAGUAUCAUGAUUGAACCCUUCCUUAUUAUAUAGCAUCACGAAAGUAACUUAAUAAAUGCUUGUACAAUGACCUUAUUAUGAGUGUGUUACCCUCGUAGGUUAUCUAUUAUCUUUUUGGUUAAUUUCUUUCAAGUAAUAUGAUCCUAUUUUAUCUCAUGGUAAUUACUAUUUCAUCUUCCCUCAUGAAACAGUCAAUUAAAUCAUUUGUUCCAGAAAAAUGAUCUAAGACCAUGUUACAUUUUCAUCUAUCAUGUAAUAAUGUCAAAGAGAAGAUAUCAUUUACCUUUUGUCUGACUAUGAAUUCCACCAUAAUAAAUGAAGCUAUGUCAUGCAGAAGUCAAAUACACUACAUACCGGCUUUUGGUUCUUUAGUUGUUUUGAACUCAGACAUUCAAUACAUUAAAGCAUACAAAUCAAGCAUACAUAGUAACUUACUCAAGGUUAAGGUAAGUCACACUACGAACAUUACAAGUAAAUUAAUCCUCAAACAAAUCUACGAUUAAUUUGACUUGUAUCUUGUCUAAUGUUUUAUCAAUCCAGACAAUAACAUCUAUGUUCGUAUCUUUUCGGAGUCAUUUGCUUUGAUACGCAAGACAAUGUAUCUCUUUAAUAGGAUUUGAUAGACGACAGAAUAGUCCUUUAAUCAAUUUGCUAAAUUUCGAUACAGUAAAUGAUGGAUCUUUUAGAUCGCCUACUAAUAUAAGUUGUUUUCUCACAUUAUGACUUGAUGACGUAAUACAACUUCGUAUAAGUUAAACACUAUGUAAUUAGUGAGUCAAUAUUUACUAUAUUCAAAAUUUACCAUUUUCUUUUGGGAAAUCAUUUUAGUCUAUUUUAUGCAGUUUAUAAUUAACAUUUAAUAUCUCUCUCUCUCUUGGGCAGAACAAUAAAAUAUAUAAUACGAGCUUAAUAUAGUUUAUUAGACUAUACUUAGGCUCCUUUGGAUUGGUGGUGACAUUCGCUCGAAUGAGAUUAAAACUAGUGGUUCAUGUACUAAAAUGCCUCUUUAUAACUCAAAAUAAAUUAAAAUUAAUAAAUUUUAUUUUUAUAUAUUUAAAUUUUUAUUUAUUAACAACCAUAUGUUAAAAUUUAAAAACAUCGUGAUAUGUUGGAAUUCGCUGGUUGAUGUCAGACUCAUCAUCAACAUGAUAUGAUCGUCAAGUCCACUGGAUGAGGUCGCAUAUUGGCAACCUUGCUCCUUUCUGUCAUCCGGUGUGAGUGAGCUUUGGUCAACAAAGUGAUCUUAGAGUUAAAUAUAAAUGUCAAUUGCUAAACAACAUCUUCGAAACAAGAGUAUUUUCAUUUAUCUUUUUAUUCCAUUUCGAGUUAAGAUUUUUGAGAAAACUAAAAGUGAAAAUUUAUAUGAAAAGAAAGAAAUUGUAGUAGGCUGAAAAGUUAUAUGGUUGGAAAUUAGGAAGUUUAACUUUUCAUAAUUGUGAUUUAUCUUUUGUUAAAUUUAACCAAAGCCUCAUCUUAAUUAAUUUGAAAUAUCAGUUUAUCCCAAAUAUUUAACUGAGUCUGGAAUUAAGUUCGAAAGGUUGAUUUAAGGUAUAAUAUCAAAUUUAGUCUUCAACGUUUAAAUAUUGUCAAUUUGGCCCUUAUUCUAUUUUUUAGCUCUAUUUGACCGUUAACCUUUUAAAAAGCGUCAAAUCGUUUUUGUUUUAUAUGCUAUGUCAACUAAUAGUUUUAUUUUUUAAAAAACAAUAAUAAUAAAAUUUAUAAAAAUAUUCAUAAAAACUCAAAAAAAUAGCAUGAAGUACAUGUGAAUUACCAUGCGGGCUAUGAUAUUUAAGAAGUUCACGUUUUAAUUAAUAUUUUCAUUAAAAAUUAAUUAUUCAACUCAUUUAAAAAGGUUGGUGUUAAAUUGACUCCUUUUGAUUAAAAAGUUGAGGCUCAAUUUUAAGUAAAAAGAAGAAGAAAAACCAAAUUGAGUUUGAUAGCUAAAUUUGAUAUUAUACUUAAAUUUGUCCAAUCAGACAAAAUUUGGAAUCAAUGAAAAUAAUAAAGCUUUUCUCUCUAACUUUAUUCAAACUUUGGACGAGAGAAUUUCCAGUUUAGAUGUUGGUGAUCUAAAUCAUUUCUUGGGAAUUGAAGUCAUUCCAACAUCUCAAGUUUUAUUCAUCUGAAUAUAUUAGUUAUGAUAUAUUGAGCAAAGUAAACAUGUCGAAUACUCAAACGCGAAGGAAUCAAACACACCGGUUUCCACUUUAGUUUCUUUAAGUUUUCAUGAUGGCUUUGCUGUAGUCGAGGCCAAAGAGUCCAGAAAACUUGUUGCUUCGUUGUAAUUGUUUCCUUGUAAACAAACUUUUCAAAUUUUUGCAUAAACCAAUCUCUAUUAGAGAUGAAGAUAAAUUUUUGUAGCUAAGAAUUUAAUCUUUAUUUGUAAUAUAAUGAUAAAAUACAAUGAUCAAGUAUGAGAAUUUUAACUUUUAAUCAGAUGAAGAUAUAUAUCUCAUACAUUUAUUCUAAUCAAGCGUGACAGAAUGAUAUGACUUUUUCACAAUCUGUAGAUAACAUCUUAGUAAUGAAUUACAGUAACGUUGAAUUCAAUGAUGACAUUGGUGGCAUUUAUAAGGAUAGGGUUAAAUAGUGCAACCCCUGUUGCCAUCAUGAAUCGUCCUCUUCCUCCGACCACCGCAAGCCCAGGUUCUCCCCUUGAAAAUACGCUUAGAGAGCUGCCGUUAAACUUACCGGUAUUGAAUCCAAAAUCUAUGUAUUGCGUGCUUGAUGCAUUCGUUCCAGCCAGGAGCGCAAUACCCUGAACAUUUCCAAUCAGCUCCGAGUCAGGCUCAGGACCAGUCCUGAGGGGAUCAUUAACGGCAACUAGGGAGGCAAAUGGCACUGAUGAAUUAUUGUCGCUGCUUGUGAUGUUAACUUGGGCUACCUGGACUGCUGUAAUACCCGUAAAUUCGUGCAUAAAGAAGUGAAGAUUGGUGACCUUAACUGGCCUGGGACGAUAUGGUAGGGUCUCCGAGUAGUAUUGGCUCUGCACUGCUACUAGGGAGAGGCAGAUGAUCAGAACCCAACUCAACAUCAAUGUUCCUCUCAUUGUCUCUGCUGUACUUUAAUUUCUGGGGCGAAAUGUAGAUGAAAGCUAUAGAUUUGUUGCUUCAUCUCUAUUAACAAAACAGACACAUUUAUACUGAAAAUACCCGCAGACAUGAAAAUAAUUUAUUGUCCAAAACAUUUUAUGUAAUACCAACUUGAUUUCUGACUAGUAAUAUAAAAAACAAAGCAAAUUUUGACAAGGCAACACAAACUUGGUCUACGAAUACUUGGAUAAAUACGAAUAACUUUACGUAAUAAUUAGACUGGUCAGCGUUGUAAACACCAUUCUGUCUGUAAAAUUAAAUGAUCCAAUUGCUUUAAAUUAAUCUUAGAUUGGAUGUUUUCCUCCCCUGCGUUUUUCUUUUUCGUUUAUAUGUAUCUACCUAAGAAAAUGAAGUGAAUUGAGAAUAAGUCUUGAGUCCUGAUAACAGUAUACAUGAAUUUCAAUUUGUAUAUACUGCAAUCUCCCUAUAUAUGAAAAUCAAUAUUAUAGGGAUCUCCCUAUAUAUGAAGAUCAAUUCUAGAAUUUCCCAACCUUCAUAAACUCUUCUGCUAAUUGUAUACACUGCAAUUCCCUUCAGACCAAAUAACUUCAUUCUAAUAUUGUCCUUGAUCAAAUGGAGCAGCUACUCCUCCUAAUAUUAGCCUAAUUCUUUGGUCCUUCCACUUCUUUCCUAUCAAAUUUGGUGAAUUCUAAACUACCUACACAAUAUAAGUAUAAAUGACUAAUUGUAUCGGUUUACAAAAAGUGAGAUUUAAUUCUACAAAAUAAUUGAAUAAAUAAGAAUUUCUUCACAUAAAAAUUAGAAUGGUCAAGGUUUUAAACACCAUUCUGUCCAUAAACUAAAUGUUCCAUUUGUUGUAAAUUAAUUUUAGAUUGUAAGCUUCCUCCACUUGAGGUUUUAUUUUCUUCUGAAUGGGACAUUGUCCAUUGACUUUAAUUUAUUUGGUGUUAUAUAUGACAUCUGAUUGACGUCUUGGUUUUAUAAAUUAAUUUAUCUUCUUCUAACAAAUGUUUGUUUGAUGUGAACUUUCUUGUUACUCUUCUUGCGAUCACAACAAGCUCAAGUUCUGUCUGCAUUAUAGGAUUGUUUGGGAAUCAAGGACGAAGUUAUAAGUUUAUUUUUGAGGGAUCAAAAUUAAACUAUAAAAUUUUAAAGGGAUUAAAAUACAAUUUUAUCUUCGUAUAUGAUUGCUAGUUUAUAAUUUUAAAAAGAUGAAAUUGAAUUUUUUUCAACUUAAUUUAGGGGGCUAAAACAAAAUUUACCAUUAAAUUAACUUAUAAUUUAAAAAAAUUCAAGGAACUAAAUUGAUAAUUUAUCAUUUGAGGGGGUCAGGCCCUUGCCUAUCCCCGUUUGCUUUGUGGUUGUUGAGAACUGUUAGGUGGAUUGAGAGCUACGGUGGGUUUGGAUGGGCGAUUGGGUGCGGUGCAAUGCGUUUAGCUUAUUUUUUGUCUCACGCUACAGUAUCGCUACAGUAUCUAAUCUCACCGCCACUGCUGUUCUUACACUAACCGCAGGUAAACGCACCGCCCAUCCAAACCCACCCCUAGUAUAUAUGAAUUUCAAACGUUAUACUCAAUUUUAACCAAAAUUACUUAGAAUAAUUUUUAUUUAAUUCACAAGAUCCCACUAAUAAAAAAUAUUUAUUUUAUUAAAUUUAAUUUAUACUUUUUAUAAUUUACAUUUUUUAAAAAUAUUUUAAAUACCAUUUAAAAAAAAAGUGAGUUUUUUUGGUUUAAUUACCAUCAUAUGUGGAUUUAAUUCUGAAAAGGAAAAUAAUCCCCUACAUAAAAAAAUAGCCUAUGUAAAAUGUUCAAAUAACACCAUUUGUGAAUUUGGUUUUAUAAUUAUAUUGUAUGCAGUUGAUUUAGCCGUUGUUUAAUAGGGAUUGUGAUACAUUUUCAUAUGCUAGCAAAUAUCAAAAUUCUAAUUGAGGGACUUGUACAAGUUGAUAAAUUAAUUUUGAGAGCACUUAUUUGUUCGAGUGAGGAACAUUAUUUGUAAGAGUACACUUGAUUGUAAAAUCUUUUGUGUUGUGAUUUUAUAAACUAAGUUCUCAAGGGGAGAAGUUAAUGAUAAAAGAUAUAAUCUUCGAAAAUCCCCUAUUUGACUUUGUGUUAUCAUAGUGCUUGCCGAAGUGCCCACUACUACAAUUAUUUUUGCUCGUACUUUUCUUGUUACUUUGCAACUAUUUCAAGUCAACAAUUGGUAUCAUGGUCUCCUACUUAACAUUUCUAGUGGAGAUUCCUGGUGUCGAUAGUUGCAAGCUAUGGAAGGAUCAUCAAUCACUAGACCAUCGAUGUUGGAGAUUGGCUAUUUAUGCUUACUGAAAAGCACACAUGGAGUCUACAACAAAAGGACUAAAAAUGUAAUGGUGUAAUAUCCUUAACCCGGUCACCGAACUCGAGUUAUAGGAUGUUAGGACAGAUAACAAUGCUUGUCACAUAUAGAUUCAACUUCAAACAUUGAAUUAAACAAUAGAACAUACCAUAGUCAAAGUAUAACAUGAUUUACAAACAAAAUUGGAAUGGCUUAUGAAUAGGAAUUAUAGGCUAUGGUCGUUACAGAAAUUGUUUGGGGAUGUUGACUGUGACACUAUCUAGUUGGCUCAAUUUCAGUUCGAAGAUAUUCACAGACAAGGUAAUGGUAUAGAGGAUACUUUUGUGAAAGCUGGUAUAUCGAAAUCUUCUUCUUCUUUUUUAAGCUUGAUGGUGAAUUUUGUUUAAUGUACCAUAGCUUUAGUUUUCCGGAGGAUUUUGUCUUUGGCUACCAGUAGUAAUACUAGUGUAUUCAUGUUGUCUUUGAAAGAUGUUGUUAGUUCCAACGUCUUUCUCGGUUUUACAUUAUUUUUCUCGACUGAGAAAAAAAAUAACCAAUGGUAAUCCACAAGCAUUGUGGAAAUUUGCAUAAUGCCAAUUCAUUUUCCAUGCAAAGAAGAAAAUUUUAUAGUUUUGACUAUGCUUACUCGAGAAAAAGAUGAUGAGAUGAGCAAGAAGAUUGCUAGAAAUUUGAUCCACCAAUUAAUAAGCUAACUAAAGUAAAUAAUGACAAUUGAUUCACCAAUUGAUGUUUUAAUUCAUUAUAUUACUAUGCCCAUAUAACUAAGCUUUUACUGACAAAGUCUAGAAAGCAGAUAUUAUUGAGACUAAAAAUUGAAAUUCAUGAAGACAUAAAUAGUUACAACAUACAAAAUGUUACGUUCAAAAUAAAACCUUACAGAUGGUACGUAAUGCAAUAAAAUACAGAUUAAAUAUUGUAACAAAAAAUAAGGACAGAUGCAUGCCAGUGCAACCCUUUACCAUAGGAAAAAAACAUUUCGACAGGCUUCAAAACAAGAAAUUAUGAAGAUACAACAUAAAUGCUUGAACAUCAUUUACAUCAACUAGAUCCUUCUUUGUCCAUUGCUGCAAUUGCCAUUCUUUGACUUUCUUCUUCGCCUCUUUAUGUCAGUUUUCAACCAAAUUCACGAACCAUUUCGGCUUACCAAUUUGGAAAGCAACAUAUCCCACGGCCAUUCCGAACACUACUCCACAUCCAUAACUUCUCAACACCACUUUCCAACCAAAAGCAAUGUUUGAUUUUGAACCAUCUUUUUCGAGCACAUUUGGAGGUGGUAGCUCAAUGAUGUUGCAAUCUUUCGAGACCGGAAAUCCGCAUAGUCCCUUGUUUCCUUCAUAUGAAUCUUUUUAAUGUGUUGAAUUUGUUAAGAUCAUGUGUUUAAGAUUGCUGCCAUUUAAAUUUUUUCUGUUACUAAGUUUGAAUAAUUCUUCUUGACUUUAGGAGCUUAGUUUUUGAUUUGUUUGGUAUAUUGUUACCAAAUUUUUAGCAGAUUUUUUAGAACUUUUUUUUUAUAUUUUAAGCUUGAACUUUUGUAUUUAAAUAGUUGAGGUGCAAAUCAAUUAAUUAUUCCUGUCUUCAAUUAUUUUCUAUCUUAAAACUUCCUGUCUUUUCUUUCUGCUUCAAAUCUCUCGAUCAAUGUAACAGCCCGAUUUUGACUCUAAUUGGACAUAGUGGUUUCGGGACCACAAAUCUGAGUCUGAAAAAUAUUUUAAUAUUAUUUUGUGUGUUUAUGAUGUGUGAAUUUAAAUGUGUGAAAGUUUCGUGAAUUAAUUUUGUUGUUUAUGUGUUUAAUUGACAAAAGUAUCAAAUUGCAUAAAAUGUGAAGUUUGAUUAUUAAGGUGUAAAGUGCUUAUUUGAUGGUGGCUUUUAAAUAUGAGGUUCUUAAAGGGCAAUUAGCCCAUUUUAAAAGAUAGUGGACGGCAAUGAUAGUUAAUAUAUACUUUUUAUAUAUUAAAUAUAAAAGUUAUAAUAGUAAUAGUAUAAUAUUAUAUUAUUAUAUCAUUAAAACAUAAAAGAAAUAAGUUUUUUUUCUUUCUUCAUUGUUUGUAUCACCGAAACAAAAAGAAAGAAACUUUGUUCUUCAAGCUUUAGCAUUCGGCCAUCUUAGGGAUUUCAAUUCAAGGUUAGUUUGAUUUUAGUUUUUGAUAAUUUUUACGUUUUUGAGAUCGUUGCUUUGAAUACUUCAAAACCCAUGUCUUAAUUUUGUGAAUUGAUGAAUAUUUUGAAUUAUGCCAUUGAUGAAUAUUUGUGUUUUGGGAUGUUUGAUGAUGAAUAAUGGAAGAUAUGUCUUAGAUUAACAUGUUUUGUAUUGGUAUUUUUGAUGAAUUUGAGUAUUUAGGGCUAAAUUGUGAAAAUAAAUUUUUUUUGAGGGACUAAAAUGUGAAAUAAAUGCAAUGUGUGGACUUGUAUGAGAACCAUGAAUAUUCGGCCCUUGUGUGUUAUGGGCAAAUUUUAUGUAUUUUGUGUUUUGUGCAAAAAGGACUAAAUUGCAAAAAGUGCUAAAUGUUAGGGGCAAAAUGGUAAUUUUCCCAUUUAUGUAUUGUUGGACUCAAAUGAAUGUUUUGAUGAAUAAAAAGGUUAAAUUUGACUAUGUUUAGAUCAAGGAACGAAGAAAACGAAUUUGGAUCGGGGGAAGUCGAAGAUAAUCGAAUAGUCGAUCGUGUUUGCUGAUAUCCGAGGUAAGUCUAUUAGCAACUAAAAGUUAUUAAGUUAAUAUUUAUACAUGCAUACUAAUUUUUAUCUUAUGAUUGAGCUAUAAUUUAAAGUAUAAUAGUUGAAUAAACUUUGGACUAUAGAUAUUGUAUAUAACAUGUUCGAAUAUACAAGUAUGAUCUUGUAUAAAUUAUUGGAUUAAUCAAAGGUAUGUAUAAGAUAUAGGUAUAUAUAUAUAUGGUUUGAAUGAUUAUAUAAGUAUGUAUAUAUAUAUAUAAAGUCGAAUAAGCAUGCAAAUAUACAUGUAUGUGUUGUGUAUUGAAUUUAGUUAUGUCAUUAUAUAAGUAUGCGAGGAUUGAUUGUGCAUUUAUAUAUGUACAAGUUUUUGUUUUGAAAUUGAGUAUGAAAUUAUACAUUCAUAUGGUAGAUUCGAAUAUGUAUAAAUGCACAUGUAUAAAUUCUUGAAUCGAAAUUUGGUAUGGAAUUAUAUAUGUAUGUGAAAGUUUCGAUUUUGUAUGUAUAUUCACGUAAAAGUUUUUGAAUGGUAGUGAAGAUAUGAAAUUGUUAGUUUGAAUUAUUAUAAAGUGAUUGAAUGUAAUACGGACGUUACGUCUAGCAGGCUUAAUGCCGGUGAAGUAAUUCAGACUUUAAGUCUAGCAGGCUUAAUGCCGGUGAAGUAAUUCAGACUUUAAGUCUAGCAGGCUUAAUGCCGGUGAUACAUUUCAGACUUUAAGUCUAGCAGGCUUAAUGCCGGUGAUACAUUUCAGACUAUAUGCCUAGCAGGCUUAAUGCCGGUGAUACAUUUCAGACUAUAUGUCUAGCAGGCUAAGUGUCGGUGUACUGAAUCAGGCUUUAAGCCUAGCAGGCAAAAUGCCGGUGAAUCUGUUUAAAUUGUGUUAGAAUAUGCAAUGGAUAUAUCUAUGAUUUGUGAUUAUAUGAAAUCGAUGAAUACAUAUGUACAUUAGAUAUAUGUGAUUGCUGAAUUUAUAAAUGCAUAUGGUGAUAUGUGGUAGUUAAACAUAUAUAUGUUGAGCCUAUGUGUUUGAUAAUUAAUCAUGUAUGCAUUUGAGAUAUAUAUAUAUAUGUGUGUAUUUCGAAUGUAUGUGUUACCUAGGUAUUCAGGUAUAAAUUCAUAAUGAGUAUAUUUAUAUACAAACAAAUAUAAGGUGUGAUUGAUGAAUAUAUAUUUGUGUUAGAUUUGAAUUGAUUUAGAACUUACCAUGAGUGUAUAUAUACAAUCGGUUUGAUAUGUAUAUAAUAUGUAUAUAUAUAUGCUCGAUGGUAUACAUUCAAUUGUAAUGUUGUUUUGUAUAAUAUAUAUAUUAAACUGAAUUCAUCCGACAGGUAUACAUAUCUGACUUUAAAUGAAAUGGUCUGAGUAGAAUAAUGUAUGAAUGUUAGUUGGUUGUGUUAGUUGAAAUUUCAGUAGAAUAGAUUAAAAAGGUUAUAAUAAUUAUGUGUUUAUAAUUAUACAUUUAGUUAUGCUGGAGACUUACUAAGCUAUAAAAGCUUACUUCGUUUGCUUUCGUUCUUUCGUUUUUAUAGAUUUGGAGAUGCGUUACGAGCUCGGGGAUCAUCAGCACAGUCCAUCACACUAUCGAUUUCUUUUGGUAUUUUGUUAAAUAUUUGAACUCGAUCUUAUGGCAUGUAUAGGCUUGAUAAUGUUUUGGUUAGUUUUGAAUCCUAUUGUGUAAAUAGCAAUGUGAAAAGAGUUUAGUUUCCAUGCUUGAAUUUGAUUAUAUAUGUUCAUGAAUUGGACUUGUUUUUGGAAUUAGAUAUUAAAGUUAUGUUUAUGUGAGCUUGGUUUCGUAAUGCCUUGUAACCCUGAUUCAGCGACGGAGAUGGGUUAGGGGUGUUACAAUCAACCAUCAAAGUUCGAGUUCUAAACACCAACAAAUUGGUACCGGAGCUGUUUUCUUGAGGGAUCUGUGAGGUUAUUUGCGUGUUAAAAUGGAAGGAGGGUCUAGUUUUUCAGUUGCUGCACCACCAGUCUUCGAUGGAGACAAUUACCAGAUGUGGGCAGUUCGCAUGGAGACUUACUUGGAGGCUUUGGAUCUUUGGGAACCUGUAGAAGAGGAUUACAAGGUCCCACCUCUUCCAGCAAAUCCUACUGUAGCACAGAUUAAAACACAAAAGGAAAAGAAGACAAGGAAAUCAAAGGCAAAAGCUUACUUAUUUGCAGCUGUGUCUCAAAUGAUUUUCACAUGAGUAAUGUCUCUGAAAUCAGUAAAGGAAAUCUGGGAUUACCUCAAGGCUGAGUAUGAAGGAGAUGAGAGGAUUCGUGGAAUGAAAGUCCUGAAUCUAAUCAGGGAUUUCGAGUUGCAGAAGAUGAAGGAGUCUGAGUCAGUGAAAGAAUAGUCUGACAGACUUCUCAGCAUUGCCAACAAGGUGAGAUUGCUUGGUUUUGAGUUGAACGACUCUAAAAUCGUAGAAAAGCUACUGGUCACUGUUCCAGAGAAGUUUGAAGCCACCAUUACUACUCUGGAGAACACUAAGGACCUGUCAAAAAUCUCUCUUACAGAGCUCUUGAAUGCUUUACAAGCACAAGACCAAAGAAGAUCCAUGAGGCAAGAGGGAGUGAUAAAAGGUGCCUUACCUGUCAAGCAUCAAGACAACAACAGAUAUAAAAAGAAGAAAAAUUUUAAGAACCAGUCGACGAAUGGAGAAAAUUCAUCAGGCAAUUAUCAGAAGAGCAAAAUAGGAGGUGUCAAGAAAUCCUACCCACCUUGUCACCAUUGUGAGAAGAAAGGUCAUCCACCAUUCAAAUGUUGGAAAAGACCUGACGCCAAAUGCUCCAAAUGCAAUCAACUUGGACAUGAAGCAGUGAUUUGUAAGGUCAAAGGCCAGGUGCAAGAAGUAGAUGCACAGGUAGCUGAUCAAGAAGAAUAAGAUCAAUUGUUCAUGGUUACUUGUUUCUCAGGCAAAGAAUCAAGUGAGAGCUGGUUGAUUGAUAGUGGGUACACAAAUCACAUGACGUAUGACAAGGAGCUCUUCGAGGAAUUAAGAAACACUGAAGUCAAAAGAGUGAGGAUUGGAAAUGGUGAGUACUUGGAAGUCAAGGGAAAAGGCACAGUAGCUAUUACAAGCUAUGAAGGUACAAAAUUCGUUUCAGAUGUUUUGUUUGUACCUAAAAUUGAUCAAAAUCUCUUAAUUGUUGGUCAGUUGCUGGAUAAAAGCUAUAAAGUGCUAUUUGAGAAUAAGCAGUGCUUGAUCAGAGAUGUUAAUGGCAGAGACUUGUUCAAUGUCAAAAUGAAGGGAAAAUUUUUUGCUCUUAAUCCAAUGGAAAAGGAGCAAAUGGCUUUUAAAUCCAGAGUUAGUGCUACUGAGACUUGGCACAAGAGACUUGGGUACUUUCACCAUCGGGGAUUGCUUCAAAUGUAGUCGAAGAAGCUAGUGGAAGGACUUACAGAUAUUGAUGAUGAUCUACCUCAUUGUUGAGCUUGCAAAUUUGGGAAAUAACAUAGACAACCCUUUCCUAAACAAGCCUGGAGAGCCUCGAAGAAGUUACAGCUUGUUCAUACUGAUCUUUGUGGUCCUCAGAGAACGCCUUCGUUAAAUGGUAACCUCUAUUACUUAGCCUUUAUCGAUGAUCUAACAAGAAUAUGUUGGAUUUUUUUGUUGAAGCAAAAAUCAGAAGUUGCUAGUGUGUUCUAGAAAUUUAAAGGUAGAGUUGAGAAUGAAAGUGGAUGCAUGAUUCAGAUUUUAAGAUCUGAUAAUGGCAAGGAGUACACUUCAGAAGCCUUUAAUAGGUUUUGUGAAAAGGCUGGAAUUAAGCAUCAGUUGACGGUGCCAUACACUCCACAACAAAAUGGGGUCAGUGAAAGGAGGAACAGAUUCAUAAUGGAGAUGACUCGAUGUAUGCUUCAUGAGAAGAAUCUUUCCAAAAGCUUUUGGGGAGAAGCUGCAAACACUGCUGUGUUCUUGCAAAAUCGGAUUUCAACAAAAGCUGUGAAGGAUCAGACGCCAUUUGAAGCUUGGUAUGGUUACAAACCUUCUUUAAAGUUUCUUAGAGUGUUUGGCUGCUUGUGUUUCACUUACAUUCCACAGGUCAAGCAUGAUAAGCUUGACAAAAAGGCAAAAGCUGGCAUUUUUGUUGGGUAUAGCACUGUAUCUAAAGCUUACAGAGUCUUUCAACCACACACUGGACGUGUUAUUGUAAGCAGAGAUGUUUAUUUUGUUGAAAAUGAGCAAUGGAAUUGGGAAGACUCGAUCAAGACGAACCAAACUUCUAGUGCACCAAAUUGUUUUACCAUUGGCAGCACGUUAGAAGAGCUUGAAGAUGAAGGGUAAGAUGUUUUGGCUGAUGAUGCACCUGUUAGAGGUACAAGGCUGCUCUCCGACAUUUACCAAAGAUGUAACAUGGCUAUUUGUGAGCCUGCAGGGUAUCAUGAUGCAAAAAAAUAGUCAACAUUGGAUGGCUGCAGUGAAGGACGAGCUUGCGAUGAUCGAGAAAAACAAAAUAGUUGAGGUGCAAAUCAAUUAAUUAUUCCUGUCUUCAAUUAUUUUCUAUCUUAAAACUUCUUGUCUUUUCUUUCUGCUUCAAAUCUCUCGAUCAACCAUUAAAGUUCGAGUUCUAAACACCAACAGAAUUGUUUGCCUUGAGGAAUCUGACCAUGAAGUUGAUUUUCAGAAACACUUAAGGACGAAAGAAAUGCCAGAUCUACCAAUCUAUUUGGAAUUGUCCUAGACAACCUGUUUGAAGAUAGGUCCAGCUAUUCAAGAUUUGUCAAAUUCCCUAUUCAAGUGGGGAUACCACCAUUAAGGUUAUUGUGAGAAAGGUUGAGCCCUUUCAGUAAGUUAAGCUUCCUAGUAACCUUUGGAAUCUCUCCUUCAAACUGAUUGUUUGAUAGAUCAAUGAUCAUCCACAUGGUGAAAAUUUUCACCAAUUCCAUAUAUUGUCCUUCCAUAAUAAUUCCAAUGGAAUAGGCAUAGAAGCCACUAGUAUAAUCUUGCACACCCAUGUAUGGCCUUGCAAUACCUUUUUUCUCUAGAUUUAUGAUAGCCUUGAAGCUGUUGAUGUAUGUCACUGGUAGGGGUCCAGAAAAAUAAUUACUUGAGAGGUCAAAAAUUUGGAUUUUAGAGAAAAAAGGGCUAGACUUGGAGCUAUUGACACGCAAGGAACCAUGCAUAUGAUUUGACUUCAAUACAAGAACUUGCAAAAAUGAAAGACUUCCCAACCAAUGAAGAAAUGUAUCAUUGAUCUUGUUGUUACCAAGAUCCAGCACUUCCAUACCUCUACAAUUAAGGAUGGAUGGUGUCAAAGGCUCUUUUAACAGAUUUCCAUUUAAGUUUAAAUUACUCAAUUGGCAUCCCUUCGCAAAUGUUGGAGGAAUCGUCCCAUAAAACUUGUUCUUCUUCAGAUUCAAGAAUUCAAGGCUGUUGCUCAAAUUUCCAAAACAUUGCGGAAUUGUUACACUCAAGUUAUUGUGGGAGAAAUCAAGAAUUCGAAGAGCACUGGCAUUGCAUAUUAAAGUAGAGACCUCUCCAUUGAAAUUAUUAUUUGAGACAAAAAAGACAUUGAUCGUCGAAGCUGGAAUUAAAAGAUUUCCAACUAUCAAAUUGAAGCUUAAGUCAAGAGUUCCAAUAUUCUUCCAUGGAAAUUGCUCAACUUUUGUCAAAGAGUUGUGAGAUACAUUUAAGUAUCUCAAAGAGUCAUUCCUCACCUCUUGCAUCCACCGUGGAAUCUUGCAUUCAAUUCUAUUGUAAGAAAGGUCUAGACCUCUUAAACUUUUAAGCUCUUUUAGAAAUUGGGGGAAUUCACUAAGAUUGCAAGAUGACAAAGAUAAGUCUGUAAGAUUAGGCAAUAUUAUAUGAUUAACACUAGAUGUACUAUUAGAUGUUAAGGAUAGGCUGUUAUAUGAAAGGUCAAGAAGUUCGAGAUUUGGAAGGUUUGAGAACAUGCUAAACUCUCUGACACCAGUAAGAUUAUUUGAGGAUAAGCUGAGGGAGGUAAGAUUGAGAAGUUGGAAUAUUGAAGAUGGAAGAGGACCUUGGAGUUUAUUAUUUUUUAGAUAUAAAUAUUCUAGUGAUUUGGAUUGGAAUUCUUUGAUAUGCCCACUGAAUUGAUUUUGAGAGAGAUAUAUUGUCUUUAAGGAGGGAGCAAAAUACUACCAUGAUGGAAGUGUUUCAUUGAGUAAAUUGUUUGUUAAGUCUAAAGAUAUUAGAUUAGGAAAAGUGGUUACCUCGUCUGGAAUGGAACCUUCUAAUGAAUUUCCAGCUAUUUUCAAUUAUUCCAGCUGCGUUAGGUUUAGAAUUGACAAUAGAAUUUGUCCACUCAAUUUGUUCCAUCCCAAAUCUAAAUGAGUGAGUUGCAAAAGGUUUCCCAAAGAUCUUGGAAUUGGUCCUGAUAAGUUGGAAUGGGAGAGAUCCAAAAACUUCAAGGAUACAAGAUUCCCUAUCGAGCAGGCAAUCCUCCAAAAAAAUAUGCAUCUGAAAUAAUCAAGUCCUCCAAAGAUGAUCAAAUUGUGAUUGAGACUGUUAAGAAAUGGCUUAAAAUUGGUAGUGGAUUGUUGUUGUUGGUAGUGGGUUGUUGGUGGUAGUGGAUUAGUGGAUGGUUGUUGGUGUCCAUUUUCAACCACAAAUCUUUGCCAAAGUUUUGGACAAUUAUGUCCUUGAACUCUCUUAUAAAUAGAGAGGUUCAUUAGCCAUAUUCAUCAUCCCAAACCAAGAGAGAGCAAAGCUUGUUCUUUGAAAGCUAGGAUUUUAGCUUUCGGGUUUUCUAUAGGGGUUGAGAGUUGUGAGGUUCUCGGGUUGUGUCUUGAGUGUAAAACACUUGUAAUCUUCAUCUUGUUAUAGUGAAAUUUCUUUUCGCCUCUGCCCGUGGACGUAGGCAUUAAAGCCGAACCACGUAAAUCCUUGUGUUCACUUUAUUUUUCGUUUCGGUCAAUUUACUUGUAGUCAUAUCGGAGUUCUCGAAUCGAUCCUUUCCGCAACAAAUUGGUAUCAGAGCGUAGUUGAAGGAGUGAUAAUAUUUUCUGAAUUGCCCUGUGACUGCAGCUUUGUCUGAUCUUUCACAUCAGGAAGAAAAUAUUAUCAUUCAUUCAAAGGUUCCAAAUUAUGGCUACAAGUGUUUCAUCGACUAAGUAUGAUGUCGAGAAAUUUACCGGGAAAAAUAGUUUCAGUUUAUGGCGCAUCAAGAUGCGGGCAGUGCUGGUUCAACAAGGAUUGCUAAAAGCAUUGUCUGGUAAAGAUAAAUUACCAAGCACGCUUUCGGAAGAGCAAAAGGAUGACAUGCUAGAAAGAGCACAUAGUGCUAUUCUGCUAUGUCUAGGAGAUGAAGUGCUACGAGAAGUAGCGGAUGAGAAAACCGCGUCCGGUUUGUGGCUCCGGUUAGAGAGCAAGUACAUGACGAAGUCAUUGACGAACCGGCUCUACCUCAAGCAAAGACUCUAUGCCCUGAAGAUGGAGGAAGGUACACCUGUUUCCCAGCACCUGGAUAAAUUCAAUUCCAUUAUCAUGGAUUUGAAUAAUAUCGAUAACAAAAUCGAUGAUGAGGACCAAGCAAUAAUUGUUUUGUGUUCUUUGCCUCCCUCGUAUGAGAAUUUUGUUGAUACAAUGAUGUACGGUCGUGAUGACCUGACUCUAGAGGAGGUGAAAAAUGCCUUAAGUUCCAGUGAGUUGAGGAAGAAAAUCACUGGUAAGGUGGUCGAAAACAAUGAAGGCGAAGGCUUGGUUGCUCGAGGAAGAUCCAAGGCAAAGGGUGGAAGUUCAAGUAAAAGCCAUCCUAGAUCGCAGUCCAAGAAGAGAAUACAGUGCUACUACUGUAAGAAGUACGGGCACAUGAAGGUAGAUUGUCCGAAAAGGAAGGAGAAAUCAGAAUCACAGGAGCAACAAAAUGAUCGUGCGAAUGUAGCUGAUGCAGAUUCUUCAAGUGAUGCCGAGAUCGUUCUUGCAGUAUCCGACUCUUACGCUGGUGGGAGAUGGAUUCUUGAUACGGGAGCUACAUUUCAUAUAAGUACUUCGAAAGAUGCAUUCUCAACAUACGAGAAGCAUUCUGGUUCAGUACUAAUGGGAAAUGACCACGCAUGUCAAGUCAUGGGGAUUGGCACAGUUCGUAUAAAGAUGUUUGACGGUAUUGUUAGAACUCUAACUGAUGUUCGGCACAUUCCAGAAAUGAAGAAAAAUUUGAUCUCUUUGAGUACGUUGGACAAGAAAGGCUUUCGGUACUCUGCUGAAGGUGGAGUUCUCAAGGUAUUCUCGGGUGCUUUGACUGUGAUACGUGGUAAUUUGGAGCGGGGCCUUUACUUCCUCGAUGGUUCCUCGGUUACAGGUGUUGCGGGAGUGUCAUCAUCAGAUGAUCUAGAUUCUGACACCACGAAGUUAUGGCAUAUGCGGCUCGGGCAUAUGAGCGAGAGAGGCUUAUCGGUGCUAAGCAAACGAGGAUUAUUGUCUGGGCAGUGUACAGGAAAGUUGAAUUUCUGUGAGCACUGCGUCUUCGGUAAGCAGACUCGGGUAAAGUUCAGCACUGGGAUUCACAAGACAAAAGGCACAGUGGAUUACUUCCAUUCUGACCUUUGGGGGCCUUCUCCGACAAUUUCUAAAGGUGGUUACAGAUAUCUGCUUACCUUUAUCGAUGAUUACUCGAGAAAGGUUUGGGUGUAUUUUCUGAAGAGCAAGUAUGAGGUUCUCAUCAACUUCAAGCAAUUUAAAGCUUUGAUCGAAAAUCAAACAGGAAAGAAGAUCAAGCGAUUCCGGACGGAUAAUGGCUUGGAGUUUUGCUCAGGUGAAUUCAAUGAGUUCUGCAAAAAUGAAGGAAUAGUGAGACACCGCACUGUUCGUCGAACACCACAACAAAAUGGAGUUGCAGAACGCAUGAAUAGAACUCUCUUGGAGCGAGCUCGUUGCAUGCGAUCAAAUGCUGGGCUCGGUGAAGAAUUUUGGGCUGAAGCUGUUAAUACUGCUUGUUAUUUGGUUAACAGAUCUCCGUCAACAGCUAUUGAGCUGAAGACUCCUGAGGAAGUAUGGUCUGGUUCUCCUGCUGAUUACUCUGGUUUAAGAGUGUUUGGCUGCCCUGCGUAUGCUCAUGUAAAUGAGGGAAAACUCAAACCGAGGGCGAAGAAAUGCAUAUUUCUUGGAUACGGCCAAGGGGUGAAAGGAUACAGGUUGUGGUGUCCUGAUCCGGUUUCGUCCAAGUUCAUCAUCAGCAGAGAUGUGACUUUUGAUGAGUCAUCCAUGCUUCGAUCCACCACAAAUUCCCGGGAAAAGGAGGAGUCAGAUAGAAUGGGAGAUCACGGUGUUGAGAAGCAGGUGGAGUGUCAGGUGGACGCUCCAAUUCCUACGGAAGGUACUUCAGUCCAGGAUGAUCAAGUUGAGGUGCAAGAUUCCGAUGAAGAUGAGUCACCUCAAGAAAAACCAUAUAGCAUUGCCACUGGAAGAACGAAGAGACAAAUCAAACCAAAUCCGCGUUACGCUAAUCUGGUGUCUUUCGCGCUCAGUGUGGCGGAGUCCAUUGGUAUAGAACCUUCCAGUUAUAAUGAGGCUGUCACGUGUGAUGAGUCGGCACAGUGGGCAAUUGCUAUGAGUGAGGAGAUAGAAUCUCUUCACAAGAACCAUACUUGGGAGUUGGUUAAGCCGCCAAGUAACCAGAAGAUAGUUGGUUGCAAAUGGGUCUUCAAGAAAAAGGAAGGCAUCCUAGGGGUUGAAGCAACUAGAUUCAAGGCACGAUUGGUUGCUAAAGGCUUCACUCAGAAAGAGGGGAUUGACUACAAUGAAGUUUUCUCCCCAGUCGUAAAGCAUUCUUCCAUUCGUGUAUUACUUGCCAUGGUGGCCAAGUCUGAUCUAGAACUUGAGCAGCUUGACGUAAAAACGGCGUUCUUGCAUGGUGAGCUCGAGGAAACAAUCUACAUGCGUCAACCAGAGGGUUUUACAGUUCCUGGUAAAGAAGACCAUGUCUGUCUAUUAAAGAAGUCUUUAUAUGGAUUGAAACAAUCCCCAAGGCAGUGGUACAAGCGGUUUGAUAGCUUCAUGAUUCAGCAUGGUUACACAAGAUGUGACUAUGAUGCUUGUGUCUAUCAUCGGAAGCUCUCAGAUGGUUCGCACAUUUAUUUGUUGCUGUAUGUUGAUGACAUGUUAAUUGCUUCCAAAAACAUGUCGGAAAUCAACAAGUUAAAGUCGCAGUUGAGUGGUGAGUUCGAGAUGAAGGAUCUGGGUGCUGCCAAGAAAAUUUUGGGCAUGGAUAUUCACAGAGAUCGCAAGGCGGGCAAGCUUCGUGUGUCGCAGAAGAACUACAUUGAAAAGGUUCUUCAACGCUUUGGCAUGGAUAAAGCGAAAACUGUGAGUACUCCGUUGGCACCACAUUUCAAACUCUCUGCAGAGUUGUCACCACAAUCUGAUGAAGAAAAGCAGCAAAUGUCUCACAUUCCAUACUCGAGUGCAGUUGGAAGCGUGAUGUAUGCAAUGGUUUGCACUCGUCCAGACAUUUCACAUGCAGUUAGUGUGGUCAGCAGAUACAUGAGUUGUCCUGGCAAGGAACACUGGCAGGCCGUGAAAUGGAUUCUCAGGUACUUGAGAGGUUCUGCAGAUUUAUGCUUGGUAUAUGAUCAGAGUGACUGCACUAGCAGUGUCACGGGCUAUGUGGACUCUGAUUAUGCUGGAGAUCUGGACAAAAGAAGAUCUCUGACGGGUUAUGUUUUCACUUAUUCUGGAGGAGCCAUUAGUUGGAAAGCUGUGUUACAGUCUACCGUAGCCUUAUCUACGACUGAGGCGGAAUAUAUGGCGUUAGCAGAAGCAGUGAAAGAAGCAUUGUGGAUGAAAGGUCUAGUAAGCAGUUUGGGUUUACAACAGGAUUUCACUGUUGUAUUUUGCGAUAGCCAGAGUGCCAUACAUCUGACUAAAAAUCAGAUGUUUCAUGAACGGACCAAACACAUUGAUGUCAGAUAUCAUUUUGUUCGGGAACAUGUUACGCAAGGUGACAUUGUUAUCAGCAAGGUUGCUACCGAGAAGAAUCCUGCAGAUAUGUUAACUAAGGUGAUCCCUGCAUAUAAGUUCAAGCAUUGCUUGGACUUGAUAGGUAUUCGGGAUUGAUUAGCGCCAGAGAGGCGUUUGGAAGAGGUGAUCCAGUUCGAGGAAUUCACUAUGAUGUUCAGCUUGGUAAAUUUCAAGCCAAGGUGGAGAUUUGUUAAGAAAUGGCUUAAAAUUGGUAGUGGAUUGUUGUUGUUGGUAGUGGGUUGUUGGUGGUAGUGGAUUAGUGGAUGGUUGUUGGUGUCCAUUUUCAACCACAAAUCUUUGCCAAAGUUUUGGACAAUUAUGUCCUUGAACUCUCUUAUAAAUAGAGAGGUUCAUUAGCCAUAUUCAUCAUCCCAAACCAAGAGAGAGCAAAGCUUGUUCUUUGAAAGCUAGGAUUUUAGCUUUCGGGUUUUCUAUAGGGGUUGAGAGUUGUGAGGUUCUCGGGUUGUGUCUUGAGUGUAAAACACUUGUAAUCUUCAUCUUGUUAUAGUGAAAUUUCUUUUCGCCUCUGCCCGUGGACGUAGGCAUUAAAGCCGAACCACGUAAAUCCUUGUGUUCACUUUAUUUUUCGUUUCGGUCAAUUUACUUGUAGUCAUAUCGGAGUUCUCGAAUCGAUCCUUUCCGCAACAGAGACAAACAAUCCUUGAAAGAAAGAACUUCCUGAUAGACCUAAGUACUUUAAGGCCUAGAUUAUCAAUUGAAUUAAUCCAUUCUGUAGAGAAGGACAUCCUCGACAGAUCUAAAUGUUCAAGAUUGCUGCCCCGGUCGAACUUCAAAAGAUCAAGAUUGAGGUUUCGGUUGCCUCGCAAGUUGAGCAAAUUGAGGUUUGGGAAAUCAAAAAUGUUUUUUGGGAAUUUUCCUUGCAAAUCACAACUAUCAAGACUGAGAGACCUUAGAGAAGAUGAUAGAUUCAUGAAGACAUGAGGAUUAAUAGAAAACAUGUCGAUUCCAUCCAAGAAAAGAUGUCUUAGCUCGGUUAGGUUGUGAACAAGUCCCUCCAGAGCAUAUUUGUCAAUUGUUAAUUGUUCAUCAAUCCAAGAGAGAUCAAGCGAGACCAAUUUUGACAGGUGGGAGACCUGCGAUGGGACUACUCCUACAAACCCUGUAUGAGAAAGGUUGAGGUAGUGUAGGCCUGUAAAUCGACCAAACUCAGAUGGAAUUUUGGAAUGAUUAAAAUUAUUGAAGGCAAGAUUGAGUUUUUGAAGGUGAGGAAGAAGGAAGAGACUGGUAUUGGAAGGGAAGUUGCCAAAAAGCCAACUGCAGCUCAAGUCAAGGGUGUUGGAAUUUUCGAUUAACAGCAAGGAACAAAACAAAGUUUUUUGUGUUUGAAAAAUGAAAAACAGAAGCAAAAACAAAAGCUUGAUGAUGAAGAGCAAAACUUAACUUCAUUACUUAAAAUUGAGUAAAAACAAAUACAUAAGUAGUUCAAAAAUUACAUUGAAAGAAAACAAAGCUUGCUUGUGCAAGUAUCUAAGCUAUUACAUCAGCUUAAUGACAACCUAAGUCACUACCAAAUCAGCUAAGCACACAAUUAAACCUUAGCUGAUCAAAUAAAAAUGAUUACAACAUAAGCUAGCAAAAAGUCAACUGUGCAAAAACUCUACAGUCGAAUUACACCAUGGAUAUUAGCAUGCUUCAGCUGUGUUCCUGGUUACUUGCAUGCUGCAGCUCUGUUGCAUGGUUUCUUGCAUGUUGCUGCUGUGUUGCCACCUUUGAACAAAGGGCAAUAACAUGAGCAUUAAGGUGAUCACAACUGACCCCAUCCCAUGAGCAGCAAUCUGUACCCUCCUUCCAUGAAUUUGUCUUGGGAUAAGAUUUAAGGCCAGCAAUCUCAUCGCAAUACAAAGCAGGAAGCAUUGUCUGAGUGAUGGAAAAAGAAUUCUUUAACUGGAUAGGGAAGCAGCUUCAGGGUGAGAGCAGGAGUGAGAUCCUGAAGAAGAAGCAUAAAGAUGGGGAAAGAAGAGAAAUAGGCAGAGAAAGAGUAUAAGGAGGCCAUGUUAUGUUUUUAGAGUAAGAUGAUGGAGAAUGAUAUUUAUAGGCAACAACAACAGCAGUUGAAAAGUGAAACAAAUUAUAAUAUCCAAUACUAAACAAAAGAUUUGUUUAAAUAAUUUUAGAUGUAUAUUUUCAUAUUUUAAAUAAUUUAUUUAUCAUUUAAAUAGUAAUCUGUGAUUUUAUAAUAGAAUAUGCGUUAAAGGAUUCUGGAAAGUUAAGGAUCUGCACGCACACAGACAUGUUGUGAAGAUUAGGUGAAAUACUAGCUGUCCGGUUGUCUUUUUAUGUGUUUUUGACCUUCAUUUAAAUAUAAAAAAUGUCUUUGUUUUUCUGUUGGUAAUGAACAGGAGCCAAAUGUUGAAGGGGCUGGAACUUGUCUUGUAUUGCUUGCCUGCAGAUUUUGGUAUGUUUGAAAUGUAUGGAAAUGUGCCAAGUGGAACUAUUUUGGGGCUUAUCACUACCUCUGUCACACAACAGAACACAAAAUAAAAUAAUCAAAUCAGAUCUUUGAAUAUUGAAAUACCAAAAGUUAAAAGAGUACAUGCACUAAAAUACAGUAGAAUAAAAUAGAAAUAUUUUUUUUUAGAUUGUAAAUAAGUAUAUAUUAUUGUUGUAAAAUAUAGUCGAAAAUAUUUUUUUGAUAAAAUUGGAAUAAACACAUUGUGGAUGAAAAUUUUUAAUACAAUACAAAUUGAUCAUUAACAAAUUAAAUGACGAUUUACAUGAGAAAAAUUUAAAAUAAAAAAAAUAUCGGUGUUGUUUGCCCAAAUGUGUGCCACAACCCAGUGGGUGUUAGUUACGAGUAGGAUUUCAUCGUAGUUAGGGUUCUAGCUCUUUCUUUUCUUCACCUCCACCUCCAAUUGAUCUCCAUCUUCAUUUCGUUCCUUCGUGCUAGUAUGGAUUAAAUUCUUGCAAUACAGGGGAGAGAAACCUAGUUUUCCCGUAAGCUUAUUAUCAAAAAAGUUGAACAAUUUCAAGUUCCAGCAAAUGGAAAGGGGCUUAGCGAUCUUACUCACACUAGACUUAGCACCUAGGUGGUUUGGCUAAUAGUGGGCUAAGAAAUCUUGAAUGGCGAUAUGAGUUGGGGUUUCCGAGGAAUACAAAUAACCUCUGGAUUUUUUUUUCCAAAUUUGACGAGCAUCUAGAAUAACUAGUGAAUUACAAUUCUAUUGUACGACAAUUGGUGCAUUGGUCUUUGCGGACUUAAUGUGUUUUGCUUGUUGGUUCUAUUAUCACAAAGCGAACCCAAAAUUGGCUUGGUUCCAAGAUGUAGAAUUUAUGUUAGAAUCACCAUUUAGCAAGGUUACCGGGGCUUAUUUCCCUUUCUUGGGCAGGGCAUCAAGUACAUGUCUCUUUACCAAUAAAAUAAUUUUUAAAUGCUUUAGUAGACUCUAAAGAGAUCCCACUUCCCCAUGAAUUUAUAUUGAAUCAUGAUCUUUUGGCUCAACUUUAUCCUAGUUUUGAUGAGGGAACAACCCCAUUUUUUUCCUUGAAUUGGUCAAAAUAUGCAAAAUUAUUUCUUACUUUUCGUGGAUGAUUAAAUCCAAUGAUUGGGGGUCCAUGGUUGACUGGUAUUGCACACCAUCAUUUAGCUAUUACAAUUCUUUUCCUAAUAGUACGUCACAUGUAUAAGACCAAUUGGGGCAAUGGGCAUAGCCUAAAAGAUAUUUUAGAGGCUCAUAAAAGUCCAUUCAUAGGCCAAGGACAUAAAGAACUAUAUGAAAUCGUAACAACACCAUGGCAUGCUCAAUGAUCUCUUAACUUAGUUAUGUUAGGCUCUUUAACCAUUGUUGUAGCUCACCUUACGUAUUCCAUGCCCCCUUAUCCAUAUCUAACUAUUGACUACGGUACACAACUAUCAUUGUUCACACAUCACAUGUGGAUUGGUGGAUUUCUGAUAAUGGGUGUUGUAUGGUAAAAAUUAGUUGUAUUCAUUCUUCACAUAGUUGAUCUUUUGUUGUGGAAGUAUUGUAUUUCUGGUAAUCCAAUAAGUAUUCAGUUUUUGGUACAAUUGAUUUGCAUUUUAUUAUUGUAUUUUGUGGAAGGAUCCUUUUUCUAUUUUGUUUUUUGCAUUUCUGUUAAGUUUACAUUUUUCAGCAAUUAAUUUAUGUAGUUUUAGCCAAACUAUGUAGCGUUUCACUUUUGGUAAAAUUCCAUCCUUGGUCCCUUUAAACUCCUUUUUGCUUUAAUUUGAUUGCUUUCUAGCUUUGCAAAUUACAUAACACUCUUCAAAUGUCUAAUUAAAUUCUCACUUUUACGAGUGCUAUGUUAAUCAAUUUUAAGUUCCAUAUAACACUUACAUGGCUACAAAAUGUGUGUGUGUGUGUGUAAGUGUCCUCAACCACAAACAAUCCAAAUUUGCUGAGAAACCACCCACUGUACAUAGGUUUGCCAAUGAGAUGGCAAGCAGACUGCUAGCUAGAAAUUCAUGCAUCUUUGAAUCAUCAAUUCAAUUAAUAAGCUUAACUAGAGGAAAUAAGGACUUUACACCACCAAUUAAAGCAACCUAUAUGUACCCUUUUACAGUCUGCAUUGUUCCAUGUUUCCAUUCAUUACAUCAUUCCUUCAACUCUGCUAUAUAUUAUUACCGUCUCCAUAUAACCAAACCUUUUACUGCUAACUUGUAAAGAAAUUAUGAAAAUACAACAGAUAUGAUUGAGACAUUUUGUUCUCCUUUCUCCUUUACUGAGCAGUAGCAAAGAUUAUGGAGACUAAAUUGAAAAUCAUGAAAGAAGACAUAAACAACACCACCAUACAAAAUGUUCCACUCAAACAAACCAUUACAGAUAGUACGAAAUCCAAUGAAAGACAGAGGAAUUGGUACAAUAAUAAAGACAGACACAUACCAAUGCAACCCUUCACCAUAGGCAAAACGGUCUACAGAACAAGAAAUUAUGAAAAUACAACACUAAUUCUUAAACAUCAUUUGCAGUAAUUAGAUCCUUCUUCGUCUAUUGCUUCGAUUGCCUUUCUUUGACUUUCUUCUUCGCCUCUUCUCUUGUUGGUUUUCAACCAAAUUCACCAACCAUUUCGGCUUACCAGUUUGGAAAACAACAUAUCCCACGGACAUUCCGAACACCACUCCGCAUCCAUAGCCUAUCAACACCACUUUCCAACCAAAAGCGAUGUUUGAUUUUGAGCCAUCAUUUUCAAGCACAUUUGGAGGUGCUGGCUCAAUGAUGUUGCAACCUUUCGAGACCGGAAAUCCACAUAGUCCCUUAUUUCCAUCAUAUGAAUCAUUUCCAAAUGUGUUGAACUGUUUGCCUUGAGGAAUCUGACCAUGGAGUUGAUUUUCAGAAACAUUGAAGGACGAAAGAAAUGGCAGAUCUGCCAAUCUAUUUGGAAUCGUCCCAGACAACCUGUUUGAAGAUAGGUCCAGCCAUUCAAGACUUGUCAAAUUCCCUAUUGAGGUGGGGAUACCUCCAUUAAGGUUAUUAUGAGAAAGGUUGAGCCCUUUCAGUAAGUUAAGCUUCCCAAAAACCUCUGGAAUACCCCCUUCAAACUGAUUGUCUGAUAGAUCAAUGAUCAUCCACAUGGUGAAAAUUUUCACCAAUUCCAUAUAUUGCCCUUUCAUAACAAUUCCAAUGGAAUAGGUAUAGAAGCCACUACCUCUCUGAACAUACACCCCCAUGUACGACAUUGUACUCCCAAUCUUCUCUAGAUUUAUCAUAGCCUUGAAGCUGUUGAUGUAUCUCACUGGUAGGGCUCCAGAAAAAUGAUUACUUGAGAGGUCAAAAAUUUGGAUUUUAGAGAAAAAAGGGUUAGACUUGGAGCUAUUGACACGCAAGGAACCAUGCAUAUGAUUUGACUUCAAUACAAGAACUUGCAAAAAUGGAAGACUGCCCAACCAAUGAGGAAAUGUAUCAUUGAUCUUGUUGUUACCAAGAUCUAGCACUUCCAGACCUCUACAAUUAAGGAUGGAUGGUAUCAAUGGCCCUUCUAACAGAUUUCCAUUUAAGUUGAAAUUAGUCAAUCGGCAUCCCAGUGCAAAUUUUGGAGGAAUCGUCCCAUAGAACUUGUUCUUCUUCAGAUUCAAGAAUUCAAGGCUGUUGCUCAAAUUUCCAAAACAUCGCGGAAUUGUUCCACUCAAGUUAUUGUGGGACAAAUCAAGAACUCGAAGAGAAGUGGCAUUGCAGAUUAAAGAAGAGACCUCUCCAUUGAAACUAUUAUUUGAGAUCAAAAAGAAAUUGAUGGUCGAAGCUGGAAUCGGAAGAUUUCCGCUGAUCAAAUUGGAGCUUAAGUCAAGAACUUCAAUAUUCUUCCAUAGAAAGUGCUCAACUUCUGUCAAAGAGUUGUGAGAUACGUUUAAGUAAGUCAAAGAGCCAUUCCCCACCUCUUGCAUCCACUGUGGAAUCUUGCCUUCAAUUUUGUUGCAAGAGAGGUCUAAGCUUUCCAAACUUUUAAGCCCUUUUAAAAAUUGGGGGAAUUCACUAAGAUUGCAAGAUGACAAAAGUAAGUCUGUAACAUUAGGCAAUAUAUGAUUAACACUAGAUGUAGUAUUAGAUGUUAAGGAUAGGCUGUUAUAUGAAAGGUCGAGAUGUUUUAGAUUUGGAAGGUUUGAGAACAUGCGAAACUCUAUGACACCACUAAGAUUAUUUGAGGAUAAAAGGAGCCAGGUAAGAUUGAGAAGUUGGAAUAUUGAAGAUGGAAGGGGACCUUGGAGUUUAUUAUUUUCUAGAUCUAAAUAUUCUAGUGAUUUGGUUUGGAAUUCUUUGAUAUGCCCACUGAAUUGAUUUUGAGAGAGAAUUAUACCCUUUAAGGAGGGAGCAGUAUACAACCAUGACGGAAGUGUUCCAUUGAGUAAAUUGUCAUAUAAGACUAAAUAUAUUAGAUUCGGAACAGCGGUUACCUCAUCUGGAAUAGAACCUUCUAAAGAAUUUUCAGAUAUUUCCAAGUAUUCCAACUGCGUUAGGUUUAGAAUUGACAAUGGAAUUUGUCCACUCAAUUUAUUUGAUCCCAAGUCUAAAUGAGUGAGUUGCAAGAGGUUUCCAAGUGAUCUUGGAACCGGUCCUGAUAAGUUGGAAUAGGAGAGAUCUAAAAACUUCAAGGACACAAGAUUCCCCAUCGAGUCAGGCAAUCCUCCAAAAAAAUUUGCGCCUCUAAGAAUCAAGUACUCCAAAGAUGAUAAAUUUGUGAUUGAGACAGACAAUCCUUGAAAGAAAGAAAUUCCUGAUAGAUCUAAGUACUUUAAGGCCCGUAGAUUAUCAACCGAAUCAAUGAAUUCUGUAGAGAAGGACAUCCUCGACAGAUCCAAAUGUUCGAGAUUGCUGCUCCGGUUCAACUUCAAAGGAUCAAGAUUGAGGUUUUGGUUGCCUCCCAAGUUGAGGAGAUUGAGGUUUGGCAAAUCAAAAAUGUUUUUUGGGAAUUUUCCUUGCAAAUCACAACCAGCAAGACUGAGAGACCUUAGAGAAGAGGAUAGAUUCAUGAAGACAUGAGCAUUAACAUAAGACAUGUCCAUUCCACCCAAAAAUAGAUGUCUGACAUCGGUUAGGUUGUGAACAAGUCCCUCCAGAGCAUGUUUGUCAAUUGUUUGUUCACCAAACACAGAGGAGGAGAGAUCAAGUGAAACCAAUUUUGACAGGUGGGAGACUUGGGAUGGGACUUCUCCUGCAAACCCUGUAUAAGAAAGGUUGAGGUAGAAUAGGCUAGUAAACCGACCGAACUCGGAUGGAAUUUUGGAAAGAUUAAAAUCAUUGUAGGCAAGGUUGAGUUUUUGAAGGUGAGGAAGAAGGAAGAGAGUGGUAUUGGAAGGGAAGUUGCCAUAUAGCCAACUGCAGCUCAAGUCAAGGGCAAUAACAUGAGCAUUUAGGUGGUCACAAGUGACCCCAUCCCAUGAGCAGCAAUCUGUACCCUCCUUCCAUGAAUUUGUCUUGGGAUAAGAUUUAAGGCCAGCAUAAUCAUUGCAAUAAGAAGAAACAUCCUCUGUUACGGAAAAAGAGUCCUUAAACUGGAUUAGGGAAGAGCAGGAGUGAGAUCCUGAAGAAGAAAAAGAAGCAUAAAGAUGGGGAAAGAAGAGGAAUAGGCAGAGAAAGAGAUAGGGGGCCAUGUUAUGUUUGUAGAGAAAGAAGAAGGAUAGGAAUGGUAUUUGUAGGCAACAAAUAGUACCACAACAUUGGUGUUACAGUAUUUUUUUUUUCUUUUACAUUGAAAAGCUAUGGAUAUUAGAUUUUCAAAAAUUUUGUAUUUUUCACCAUCAUCAACAACCACUUAGUCUUCUUUUUACCAUAUAUUUUUCAUUCUAUUUUUUUAACAAAAUCUUGUAUUUCAUUUCAGCUUUCAAAACAACUAAAAAAUUUAAAAUUGAUGAAAUUACAAAGUAGAUUGACUUAGUCUUCUUUCCUAUAACAUUUAAAAGAAUAUCUUGUCAACCAAAGUUAAUUAAUGUGAAAAUUCUUUUUCACACAAAAGAACAAAAUUGUGCUCUAUUCACUAAGUUAGAGGAAAAAGACUGCUAGAUUUUUUAAUUAUUUUUUCUUUGAAAAAUUUGAAAGUUUUUUACUGCCUUUAAGCCAAUAAAAAAAACAUGUAUUAAUUUUGUUUUUAAAAAUAGUGUGUUUGAUUGUGAAAUGAUUCAUCAUCCUCCACCACAAACUAUCCAUAUUUGCAGUGUGAAAGCAGCUACUUUCAUAAAGAAAUUACUUAGGAGAUGGGAUCCACCAAUUUUACCUAAACUCGCAUCAACAUUGUUUAGCAAUUUCAAAAUAGACUAAUUAGUCUGGUUCAAAUACCAAGACUACAAUAUCUAUUCACUUCACUUGGUCUUGCUUCCUAUCGCUGUCAGCCAAACUUGAUCGACUAGCAGUAAGGAAAUUUCAGUCAUUUGCAGCAUAAUGUACAAGAAUUCCACUCCCGCAAAAUAAUUUACAAUAUGGACUAACACACUAAAAAUGAUUUUUAAAAAAUGAUUUUUAGAAAGUAAUUUUUGAAAAAUGGUUAGAAGAUAAUUUUUGUUUCUGAAAUAGUUAAUUUUUUUUGGUGUUUAGAUAAAUUUUGUUAUGUUUUCAUUGUUUACUUGAGUUUAUUUCAUAAAGCUUAUGUAUAUAUUUUAAUUAAUCAUGUUUUAGUUUUAAUUAAUCUUAAUUUACUUAAUUAAGCUUAAUUGUUAACUUCGUACAUUAGAAUAUAAAUUUAUGUUUAAUUAAGUUGAAAGUGAUAAAUAUUUAUUUUGAAUAUUAUUUGGAUAAGUUGAAAAAUGAUUUAAUUUGAUAAAAUUGAAGUCAGGGUCAUAGAACUAUGCUUUUUACUGACAAAAUCUUAGAUGCAGUGAUUAUUGAGACUAAAAAAUGAAAGUCAUGAAAGAAGACAUAAAUAGUUGAACCAUACAAAAUGUUACAUUUUGUAAUGCAAUGAAAUAUAGAUGAAUUGUUACAAAUAUAAAGACAGAUGCAUUGCAAUGCAACCUUUCUCCAUAGGAAAAAAAAUUUGACAGACUUCAAAACAAGAAAUUAUGAAGAUACAACAUACACACUUGAACAUCAUUUCCACUAACUAGAUCCUUCUUCGUCCAUUGCUGCGACUGCCAUCCUUUGACUUUCUUCUUCGCUACUUCUCAUGUUGGAUUCAACCAAAUUCACCAACCAUUUUGGCUUACUAAUUUGGAAAACAACAUAUCCCACGACCAUUCCAAACACUACUCCGCAUCCAUAACCUAUCAACACCAAUUUCCAACCAAAAGAGAUGUUUGAUUUUGAACCAUCUUUUCCAAGCACAUUUGGAGGUGGUGGCUCAAUGAUGUUGCAACCUUUUGAGACCGGAAAUCCACAUAAUCCCUUGUUUCCUUCAUAUGAAUCAUUUCCAUAUGUGUUGAACUGUUUGCCUUGAGGAAUCUGACCAUGGAGUUGAUUUUCAGAAACAUUGAAGGACGAAAGAAAUGCCAGAUCUGCAAAUCUAUUUCGAAUUGUCCCUGACAACCUGUUUGAAUAUAGGUCCAACCAUUCAAGACUCGUCAAAUUCCCUAUUGAAGUGGGGAUACCACCGUUAUAAACACUGUCAUAUGGCAUGAAUAACAUACUCAUAUAUUUACUGUCACAUGGCAUGAAAAACACACCCUCAUAUUCACUUUCACAUUAGUCAUCAUAAGCUUAUAACAUAUGUCAUAGCAAUCUCAUAUAUAUUCAUAAUUUCACAAUUUCACAAGCGUACAUAUAUCACAUUUAAUCAUAUGCGCGAGAAAACUUACUCUCACUUACUCUUGGAAUUUAGAGUAGGAAUUUAGGCUACCACUAAAUUCUCAUCAAUUAAACAAUGAAUCAUCUACGAGCAACAAUUUCAAACCACAAUGAAUCGAGAGCUCAAACUAGCUCUUCCUCUAACUCGUAGAAGGCUUUAAUGAAUCCGAGGCUUCACACAUGACAAUCACACAAUACUCACAGUCAAAUGACAGCCAAGGACCCACUUAAACUAACCAAAAUAAAAGCCUAAGCUACCUUCUAAUGUAACCAAACCCUUUAGCAUGACGAACUUAAAAUGCAAAUAUAUCAAUCUACACUUAAACAUUUUCACAUGAAACAAGUUUCAGUCAUCCCCCAUAUUCAUUUAUAGCUAAACUCCAAUCUUUAAACCACACAAAACUACAAGUUUCAAGGUAUAACAUUUUUCCACAAAUUUUGACCAUAAUAAUGAAAAUUCAUUAAAACACGGGAAAUCUAUAAUGAAACUUAGAAGUAAUUUUAAAAAACUUCUAAUUAAGUUAAAACAAGUUGAAAAACACUUUUAAAUCACUUUUUCAUCCACAAUCUCGAAUUCCACCAUUAAUGACCCAAUUUUUAGGUUUAAAUUAAAACAUGCAAUUUCAUAACUAAAAUCUCAAUUUUAAAGUCUAGAUAACAUUAAAAACUAAUGAGAAAGUAAAUGGUUACCUUUGAUGAAAGAUUAAACGAGUUUUGAAGUAAAUUUGAAAAACCCACAAUUGAAGAAGAAGAUGAAAUCUAUGGCGUUUUUGAGUGUUUUUCUUGGAAUUAUAAGAAAUCAAAGUACUAUUGUUUGGGAAUAAAAAUUAAUUGAAAGAUCAAGGGAAUAGCAAAGGACGGCAAUAGCAAACUUUGGAGAGUAACUAUUGUGAAAUAGAACAGGGAAUGGGGUUUAUUAGGUUCAAUUUAAAACAUUGGUAAAACUUCAAUCUAAGUGCUCACUAUUUUAACUUUGUUACAAAUUAGUUCUUUUUCUAAAUUUUAGGUAUUUAAAACUCAUUUUCAGAAAUCGGCUCAAUUCCCUAAUAGCCAUUGUCGAAAACAUUAUUGAAUACUAACCUUACGAAAUUUUGAUUACAUAUAGGCUAAAAUUCCUAAAAAAAAAUUGAAACUCUUAGAUCCUAUUUUGGGGUGUUCACGUAUGGUCAUGAUUCAUGUUGAAUUAAUACAUCAUUCACCGUAAUAAGGCUUAUCGUUGUAAUAAUUAGUUAAAUCACCUAAUAUCUAAAAAAUUAUUAUUAUUUUCAUAAAAUCAUUGAUCAAAUUAUUGUUUUCAAAUUUCAUACAUAAAAUUAACAAAUAAAGAUAGCUCUAAAUAGCAAAACCCAAUAUGUGUAACAAGUAUUUUUAUUAAUCCAUUUGGAAUGUUAAGGUUUGCUGGAGCAAAUAAAUUGAUUAAUGCUUUGAACUUUCCAAACACUUUUUAUAGUUUUGUUAUAUGCAUUUUGUAUAAUUAGUAUAUUUGAAUAUAUUAGAUACAUCGUCUAAAACAAUGCCAAUUGUAAUUUUUUUAUAUUUUGUUGAUCAUAAGCGUAUUAUAUAAAUAAUUUAAAAAAAAAAAGAUGGAGUGAUACAUUUAUGUAGUGCUUAUGAAUAUAAUGUUGGAUUAAAAUCCUUAAUUAUGAGUACAUAUGUAUAUGCUUGAUAUUACAAUUAUCUUAAUAAUUUUGUUUCUGUUCUUGUUGAUUGAUGAUUAUAGAAAUCAUUAUUCUUCUGAAGGCAUACUUUGUUGUCAAUGACAGUACCUGCACCCUAAAAAAGUCACCAGCUUUAACGACUACAAAAGUUGUCCUGCCUGAUAUUUAUUAAAAAAUCACCAGGAAGCACAUUGUCAGGACAUCCUUGCUGGAAAAAAACUUGGUAGGAUGGUUUUUCUGUGCAAACUUAGUAAUUAAUUUAUGUUGUUUUUACCAAACUUUGUAGCGUUUCACUUUUGGUAAAAUUUCAUCCUUGGUCCCUUUAAACUCCUUUUUGCUUUAAUUUGAUUGCUUUCUAGCGUUGCAAAUUACAUAACACUCUUCAAAUGUCUUAUUAAAUUCUCACUUUUACGAGUGCUAUGUUAAUCAAUUUUAAGUUCCAUAUAACACUUACAUGGCUACAAAAUGUGUGUGUGUGUAAGUGUCCUCAACCACAAACAAUCCAAAUUUGCUGAGAAACCACCCAUUAUAUAUAGGUUUGCCAAUGAGAUGGCAAGCAGACUGCUAGCUAGAAAUUCAUGCAUCUUUGAAUCACCAAUUCAAUUAAUAAGCUUAACUAGAGGAAAUAAGGACUUUACACCACCAAUUAAAGCAACCUAUAUGUACCCUUUUACAGUCUGCAUUGUUCCAUGUUUCCAUUCAUUACAUCAUUCCUUCAACUCUGCUAUAUAUUAUUACCGUCUCCAGAAAACCAAACCUUUUACUGCUAACUUGUAAAAAAAUUAUGAAAAUACAACAGAGAUCAUUGAGACAUUGUUGAAGUUGGCUUGCAUGCAGACCAAGAAGCACACCAAGCUGUCCGAGAUAUGCAAGUUGCAGCUGAAGCUUAUGCUGCUGUUUUGUUACUUUCAAAUAGAUAUUUUAUUAUUUACUUAGAUAUGAACUAAGUUGCUGAUAUGCUUGAUGUAAUUAGGAGCUGAUAGAUUGAUAAAUCAGCUUUACCAAGUGUACAAGCAAUGUUUAUCAAGUUACUAAGCCACUUAGUGGAGUUAGGUAUGUGUUUAGGUAACAUUUUCUUAUUUUUGACCAGCUGAUUGCUUGCUAUAUGUAAUGGCAUUGUGCCUUCAUUCAAAUGUAAAGAAAUCUUUCAGAAAAUUCUUCUUCAUUUGGUCUUUACCUAAGCAUUUUUUUUCACGAAGCUCUUGCUGUUUUUGUUUUGUUUGUUGAGCAAGAUAACAAUGCUUUAUGCUUAAGUUUCUGUCAAAAUUUCUCAUUCUGUUUUCUUAGUUCCUACAGACAUUUUGUUCUCCUUUCUCCUUUACUGAGCAGUAGCAAAGAUUAUCGAGACUAAAUUGAAAUCCAUGAAAGAAGACAUAAACAACACCACCAUACAAAAUGUCACACUCAAACAAACCAUUACAGAUACGAAAUGCAAUGAAAGACAGAGGAAUUGGUACAAUAAUAAAGACAGCCAGAUACCAAUGCAACCCUUCACCAUAGGCAAAACGGUCUACAAACAAGAAAUUAUGAAAAAUACAACACUAAUUCUUGAACAUCAUUUGCAGUAAUUAAAUCCUUCUUCGUCUACUGCUGUGAUUGCCUUUCUUUGACUUUCUUCUUCGCCUCUUCUCAUGUUGGUUUUCAACCAAAUUCACCAACCAUUUUGGCUUACCAGUUUGGAAAACAACAUAUCCCACGGACAUUCCGAACACUACUCCGCAUCCAUAACCUAUCAACACCACUUUCCAACCAAAAGCAAUGUUUGAUUUUGAGCCAUCUUUUUCAAGCACAUUUGGAGGUGCUGGAUCAAUGAUGUUGCAACCUUUCGAGACCGGAAACCCACACAGUCCCUUAUUUCCUUCAUAUGAAUCAUUUCCAAAUGUGUUGAAUUGUUUGCCUUGAGGAAUCUGACCAUGGAGUUGAUUUUCAGAAACAUUGAAGGACGAAAGAAAUGGCAGAUCUGCCAAUCUAUUUGGAAUCGUCCCAGACAACCUGUUUGAAGAUAGGUCCAACCAUUCAAGACUUGUCAAAUUCCCUAUUGAGGUGGGGAUAUCACCAAUAAGGUUAUUAUGAGAAAGGUUGAGCCCUUUCAGUAAGUUAAGCUUCCCAAUAACCUUUGGAAUACCCCUUUCAAACUGAUUGUUUGAUAGAUCAAUGAUCAUCCACAUGGUGAAAAUUUUCACCAAUUCCCUAUCUUGUCCUUUCAUAACAAUUCCAAUGGAAUAGGUAUAGAAGCCAACUCCAUAAUCAUGCACCCCCAUGUAUGACACUGUACUACCAAUCUUCUCUAGAUUUAUGAUAGCCUUGAAGCUGUUGAUGUAUCUCACUGGUAGGGGUCCAGAAAAAUAAUUACUUGAGAGAUCAAAAAUUUGGAUUUUAGAGAAAAAAGGGAUAGACUUGGAGCUAUUGACACAUAAGGAACCAUGCAGUUGAUUUGACUUCAAUACAAGAACUUGUAGCUGUGGAAGACUUCCCAACCAGUGAGGAAAUGUAUCAUUGAUCUUGUUGUUACCAAGAUCUAGCACUUCCAGACCUCUACAAUUAAGGAUGGAUGGUGUCAAAGGCCCUUCUAACAGAUUUCCAUUUAAGUUGAAAUUACUCAAUCGGCAUCCCUUUGCAAAUGCUGGAGGAAUCGUCCCAUAAUACUUGUUCUUCUUCAGAUUCAAGAAUAGAAGGCUGUUGCUCAAAUUUCCAAAACAUUGUGGAAUUGUUCCACUCAAGUUAUUGUGGGACAAAUCAAGAAUUUCAAGAAAAGCGGCAUUGCAUAUUAAAGAAGAGACCUCUCCAUUGAAACUAUUAUUUGAGAUCAAAAAGACUCUUAUGGUCGAAGCUGGAAUCGGAAGAUUUCCACUGAUCAAAUUGGAGCUUAAGUCAAGAACAUCAAUAUUCUUCCAUGGAAAGUGCUCAACUUCUGUCAAAGUGUUGUGAGAUACAUUUAAGUGAGUCAAAGAGCCAUUCCCCACCUCUCGCAUCCACUGUGGAAUCUUGCCUUCAAUUUUGUUGCAAGAGAGGUGUUGAAGUAAUGGUCAGCAUGCAGCAACCAAGACUGUCAAAGGCACUACAUGCAGAAGCUGCUGGUUCACCUAGUCAGCAAGCUGUUUAUGUUUCAUUUUGUAAUUUUAAGUUAGAGUAAUGUAACUUAGUUGCUUUAUAACUAUGUUAGGUUUAUGUUUGAUGUAAUUUUGAUGUUGACUGAGCUGAUAAAUCAGCUUUGUUUGUUUAUUCAAGCUAAUUAGCACAAGUUACUAUGUGUAUUAGUGGUAGUAGGUGAAGUUUAGGUCAACCUACUGUUUUGUCAAGAUUGUAAACUUGUUUUAUGUAUUGGCUUUGUGCCAUAUUUAGUUUGAUGAAUGAAUUCAAGAAGUUAUCAUCCAUAUGCUCUCCAUUUUUAGUUUUGCUUAAAAAUCCAUUUGAGUUUUCUGCUUUGUUUCUCCUACAAGUCACGAGACUUGCCAUACAAGCAUUCUGCUGAAGCUUGCUGCUGCUGCCUCUUGCACCAACAAUUGGUAUCUAGAGCCACAUUCUUAGAGGACCUGUUGUAGUUCAGUAUCAAAACGAUGGCAUCAUCAGGUUUUUCACCAGCUUCACCACCUGUCUUCAAUGGAGAGGGCUUCAACAUUUGGGCAGUUAAGAUGAGGACUUACCUGCAGGCAUUCGACCUAUGGGAAGUUGUUAACUCAGAUGCUGAGCCAGCACCUCUUCGAGCUAAUCCAACAGUUGCUCAAAUAAGGCAACACACUGAUGAAAGGACAAAAAGGCACAAGGCCAUGUCAUGCAUACAGAAUUGUGUGACAGAUGUGAUCUUUAUGAGGAUCAUGGCCUGUGAGACACCAAAGGAGGCUUGGGACAAGCUGAAAGAAGAAUUUCAGGGGACUGAGAAAACAAGGCAACAACAGCUGCUCAAUUUGAGAAGAGAUUUCGAAAAUCUCAAAAUGAAAGAGGAAGAAACAGUUAAGCAGUACUCAGACCGGAUUAUGGCUGUUGUAAACAGCAUAAGGCUCCUAGGAGAGCAAUUCAGUGAAGCUAGAAUGGUUGAGAAAGUCAUGUCCACUCUACCAGAGAGGUAUGAAGCUAAAAUUUCAUCCCUCGAAGACUCAAGGGACUUGACAACUAUCUCCUUAACUGAGCUAAUCAAUGCCUUGUAUGCAUAAGAGCAAAGAAGAGCUAGCAGACAAGAGGAGCACCAGGAAGGGGCUUUUCAAGCCAAAGAAGCCUCGAGCAUCAAAACUCAUAAAGGCAAAAAGUUCUGGAAAAACAAGCCUAAGCCUGAUGCUGCUAGGAGCAGUGACCAACUCUGCAGACAUUGUAAAAGAGCUGGUCAUCCAGAAGAUAGAUGCUGGUUUAGACCAGAUGCAGUAUGCCAAAACUGCAAGAAAAAAGGCCAUGUUGAAAAAGUUUGCAAGAAUAGAAGCAAACCAAGACAGAAUCAAUUUCAGCAACAAAAGGUGGAAGCUCGAGUAGCUGAAGAAAGUAGUGAUCAAGAAGAACAUGUUUUUGCUGUGUCAUGUGCAGCAAAUCAGAAGAAGGGUUCAAAGGGCUGGCUUCUAGACAGUGGGUGCACAAACCACAUGUCACCAGAUGCAACUAUCUUCAAAACCCUGGACAGAACCUGCAAAACCAAAGUAAAAAUUGGAAAUGGUCAGUUAAUCAAUGCUGAAGGAAGAGGAGAUGUGCUGAUUCAUACUUCUACAGGUGGCAAAAUCAUUUCAAAUGUACUUUUGGUACCUGAAAUCGAUAGGAACCUUCUCAGUAUAACUCAACUACUUGAGAAAGGUUACUCAGUUGUUUUCAAGGAGAAAGAAUGUCAAAUUUUUGAUCCAAGUGGAUCAAAUCUUAUAACAGUCACCAUGACUGAUAAAUGUUUUGAAGUAGACUGGCCAAAUGACUCACAUUCAGCCUGCAUAGCCUCCACUAAUGACUCGAGACUCUGGCAUCAGAGGCUUGGACAUGCAAACUACAAAUCCAUAGCCCGCAUGGUCAAUGAAGGUCUGGCAGAAAAUUUCAUUGAUUCAGUGAAGAAUGAUGAGCUUUGUGAGAUAUGUCAGCAAGGAAAAUUGGCAAGAUUGCCAUUUCCAACAAGCACAACAUGGAGAGCAUCAGAGAAGCUCCAGCUUGUGCAUACAGAUGUGUGUGGACCAAUGAAGACUGAGUCUCUCAAAGGAAGCAGGUACUUUAUUUUAUUUAUUGAUGACUUAACAAGAUACUGCUGGAUUUAUUUUCUAAAACAGAAAUCAGAAGUACCAUCUAUGUUCCUGAAGUAUAAGGCUGCUGUUGAAACUGAGUCUGGUUGCAAACUUAGAGCAAUGAGGUCAGAUAAUGGAACUGAGUACACCUCAGCUCAGUUCCAAGUCUACUGUGAAGAAGCAGGUAUCAAACACCAGUUGACUAAUGUGUAUACACCCCAACAGAAUGGGGUCAGUGAAAGGAAAAACAGAAGCUUGAUGAACAUGGCAAGAUGUCUUCUGUUUGAGAAGAAUUUGCCCAAAAGUCUGUGGGCUGAAGCUGUUAACACAGCAGUUUAUCUCUAAAAUAGGCUCCCAACCAAGGCUCUGGCUGAGAAGACUCCAUUUGAAGCCUGGUUUGGGUUUAAGCCAUCACUGGCUCAUCUCAGAACCUUUGGUUGUCUGUGCUAUACUCAAGUUCCAGCUGAGAAGAGAAGCAAGCUAGACAAAAGAGCUCAAGCAGGGAUCCUGAUCGGCUACAGCUUGGUUAAGAAGGGCUACAGAAUUCUAGAACCUGCUACAAACAAGAUAUUGGUUAGCAGGGAUGUUGUUUUCAAUGAAAAAGGACACUGGAAUUGGGAGAAGGCUGAACCAGAGGCAGUGGCUGAAGAUCUGGCAGUGGACCAAGUUGAAAAUGGUGAAAACACACCUGAAAUGGAUGUAGAUGAUGUUCCAAUCAGAGGCACUCGAUCACUGGCUGAUGUUUAUGAAAGAGCACAAGUGGCUACUGUUGAACCAAAUUGCUUUGAAGAAGCAGAAAACCAGGAGGACUGGAAGCAAGCAAUGAUUGAAGAAAUCAGAAUGAUUGAAAAGAAUCAGACCUGGAGUCUGGUUGAUAAACCAACAAACAGGAAGAUUAUUGGUGUCAAAUGGGUUUAUCGAGUAAAGAACAAUGCUGAUGGUAGCCUAAACAAGUUAAAGGCUAGAUUGGUUGUGAAAGGCUUCAGUCAAAGGUAUGGAUCAGACUACCUGGAAACCUUUGCACCAGUGGCCAGGUUAGACACUAUUAGACUGCUAGUUGCCUUAGCAGCACAAAAACAGUGGCUGAUACACCAACUUGAUGUAAAAUCAGCAUUUCUGAAUGGAUUCCUUGAAGAGGAGAUUUAUGUGGAGCAACCUCAAGGUUUCAAGGUGUCUGGCAAAGAAGAUAUGGUGUACAAGCUCAACAAAGCCUUGUAUGGCUUGAAACAGGCUCCAAGGGCCUGGUAUAGCAGAAUAGAUGGCUAUCUGACCAGUCAAGGAUUUGAAAGAAGUCUUAGCGAGCCAACUCUGUAUGUUAAAUCAACUAGUGCUGAAACUCAGCUCAUUGUCUCAAUAUAUGUCGAUGACCUACUGGUGACAGGAGGAGAUCAUGAGAUGCUAAGCAGUUUUAAAGUCAAAAUGCAACAGCACUUUGAAAUGUCAGACUUGGGAUUGAUGUCUUACUUCUUAGGCAUGGAAGUAACUCAAGCUAAGAAUGGGAUUUGGCUAAGUCAAAAGACCUUUGCUAUGAAGGUUCUCAACAAAUUCUCAAUGGAGAAUUGCAAAGCAACCAGCACACCAGUUGCUGUUGGAGAAAAACUCUCGAGCCAAGACAAGCAUGAAAAGGUUUGUGAAACAACCUAUCGAAGUCUAGUUAGAUGUUUGUUGUAUUUGACUGCUACUAGACCUGACAUAAUGUAUGCUGUGAGUCUACUCUCGAGGUUUAUGCAUUCUUCAAAUGAAAGUCAUUUUAGAGCUGCAAAAAGGGUUCUAAGAUACAUCAAAGGAACUUUGUCCUAUGGAAUGCAGUUUACCAAGGCUGAGAACUUGAGGCUAGUUGGAUAUUGUGACAGUGAUUGGGCUGGUUCUUUGGAUGACAUGAAGAGCACUACAGGUUAUGCAUUCAACAUAGGCUCUGCUAUGAUAUGCUGGAGCUCAAAGAAGCAAGGAGUAGUGGCUCAGUCGACUGCAGAAGCAGAAUAUGUGGCUGCUGCUGCAGCAGUCAAUCAAGCCAUAUGGCUUAGAAAAAUUUUGAAAGAUAUCAAUCAUGAGCAAAAGGAAGCAACUGAGAUAAUGUCUGACAACCAAUCAGCAGUUGCUAUUGCAAAGAAUCCUGUUUUUCAUGGAAGGACCAAGCACUUCAACAUCAAACUUCAUGCAGUUCGGGAAAUGGAACAAGCUCAUGUUGUUAAGCUGAUACAUUGCAGUUCUGAAGAGCAAAUUACUGAUAUUUUAACAAAAGCACUAAGUGUUUCCAAGUUUCAACACCUGAGAGCUAAUAUGGGAGUUUGCAACAUGCUAACCAAGGAGGAGUGUUGAAGUAAUGGUCAGCAUGCAGCAACCAAGACUGUCAAAGGCACUACAUGCAGAAGCUGCUGGUUCACCUAGUCAGCAAGCUGUUUAUGUUUCAUUUUGUAAUUUUAAGUUAGAGUAAUGUAACUUAGUUGCUUUAUAACUAUGUUAGGUUUAUGUUUGAUGUAAUUUUGAUGUUGACUGAGCUGAUAAAUCAGCUUUGUUUGUUUAUUCAAGCUAAUUAGCACAAGUUACUAUGUGUAUUAGUGGUAGUAGGUGAAGUUUAGGUCAACCUACUGUUUUGUCAAGAUUGUAAACUUGUUUUAUGUAUUGGCUUUGUGCCAUAUUUAGUUUGAUGAAUGAAUUCAAGAAGUUAUCAUCCAUAUGCUCUCCAUUUUUAGUUUUGCUUAAAAAUCCAUUUGAGUUUUCUGCUUUGUUUCUCCUACAAGUCACGAGACUUGCCAUACAAGCAUUCUGCUGAAGCUUGCUGCUGCUGCCUCUUGCACCAACAAGAGGUCUAAGCUUUCCAAACUUUUAAGCCCUUUUAAAAAUUGGGGGAAUUCACUAAGAUUGCAAGAUGACAAAAAUAAGCUUGUAAGAUUAACAGUAGAAGUUGUAUUAGAUGUUAAGGAUAGGCUGUUAUAUGAAAGGUCAAGAUAUUCGAGAUUUGGAAGGUUUGAGAACAUGCGAAACUCUAUGACACCACUAAGAUAAUUUGAGGAUAAGCUAAGUUGGGUAAGAUUGAGAAGUUGGAAUAUUGAAGAUGGAAGAGGACCUUGGAGUUUAUUAUUCUCUAACCAUAUCCAUUCUAGUGAUUUGGAUUGGAAUUCUUUGAUAUGCCCACUGAAUUGAUUUUGAGAGAGAUAUAUUGUCUUUAAGGAGGGAGCAAUAUACAACCAUGACGGAAGUGUUCCAUUGAGUAAAUUGUCAGAUAAGUCUAAAUAUAUUAGAUUAUGAAAAGCGGUUACCUCAUCUGGAAUGGAACCUUCUAAAGAAUUGUUAGAUAUUGUCAAGUAUUCCAGCUGCGUUAGGUUUAGAAUUGACAAUGGAAUUUGUCCACUCAAUUUGUUCCAUCCCAAGUCUAAAACAGUGAGUUGCAAGAGGUUCCCCAAUGAUCUUGGAAUCUGUCCACUCAAUUGGUUCAGCCACAAGUCUAAAUGAGUGAGUUGCAAGAGGUUCCCUAAUGAUCUUGGAAUUUGUCCACUCAAUUGGUUCUUCGACAAGUCUAAAUGAGUGAGUUGCAAGAGGUUCCCCAAUUUUCUUGGAAUUUGUCCACUCAAUUGGUUCUCCGACAAGUCUAAAUGAGUGAGUUUCAAGAGAUUCCCCAGUGAUCUUGGAACCAGUCCUGAUAAGUUGGAAUGGGAGAGAACUAAAAACUUCAAGGACACAAGAUUCCCCAUCGAGUCAGGCAAUCCUCCACAAAUAUUUGCGUCUGAAAUUAUCAAUUGUUCAAGAUUGCUGCUCCGAUUGAACUUCAAAGGAUCAAGAUUGAGGUUUUGGUUGCCUCCCAAGUUGAGGAGAUUGAGGUUUGGCAAAUCAAAAAUGUUUUUUGGGAAUUUUCCUUGCAAAUCACAACCAACAAGACUGAGAGACCUUAGAGAAGAGGAUAGAUUCAUGAAGACAUGAGCAUUAACUGAAGACAUGUCCAUUUCAUCCAAAAACAGACGUCUGACCUCGGUUAGGUUGUGAACAAGACCCUCCAGAGCAUAUUUGUCAAUUGUUAAUAGUUCAUCAAACCCAGAAAGAUCAAGUGAAACCAAUUUUGACAGGUGGGAGACUUGGGAUGGGACUUCUGAAAACCAUGUAUUGGAAAGGUUGAGGUAGAAUAGGCUUGUAAACCGACCGAACUCGGAUGGAAUUUUGGAAGAAUUAAAAUCAUUGUAGGCAAGGUUGAGUUUUUGAAGGUGAGGAAGAAGGAAGAGAGUGGUAUUGGAAGGGAAGGUGCCAUAUAGCCAACUGCAGCUCAAGUCAAGGGCAAUAACAUGAGCAUUUAGGUGGUCACAAGUGACCCCAUCCCAUGAGCAGCAAUCUGUACCCUCCUUCCAUGAAUUUGUCUUGGGAUAAGAUUUAAGGCCAGCAAAAUAAUCGCAAUGAUCAAAAGAAGCAUCCUCUCUUAUGGAAAAGGAGUCCUUAAACUGGAUUAGUGAAGAGCAGGAGUGAGAUCCUGAAGAAGAAAAAGAAGCAUAAAGAUGGAGAAAGAAGAGGAAUAGGGAGAGAAAGAGAUAGGAGGCCAUGUUAUGUUGGUAGAGGAAGAUGAAGGAUAGGAAUGGUAUUUAUAGGCAACAAAUAAUACCACAACAUUGGUGUUACAGUCUUUUUUCUUUUACAUUGAAAAGCUAUGGAUAUUAGAUUUUCAAAAUUUUUGUAUUUUUCACAAUCAUCAACAACCACUUUGUCUUCAUUUUACCAUAUAUUUUUCAUUCUUAAAAUUGGAUUAUUUUCUUUUAGCAAAAUCUUGUAUUUCAUUUGAACUCCCUAAACAACUAAAAAAUUAAGAUUGAUAAAAUUACAAAGUAGAUUGACUUAGUCUUCUUCCUUGUAACACGUAAAGAAUUUCCACGCAAAAGAACAAAAUUGUGCUCUAUUCUUUACGUUUGAGGAAGAAGACUGCUGGAAUUUUAAUCCACUGAUUCCAUAAAAACGUGUAUACUUAUAUAUAUAUAUAUUUAUAACCUCAUAAUUUAAAUCUAAAAUCUCAUUUGUUAUAAAUUCUGAUAAAUUUAUUUGGGAAUUGCUAUUUUUCAUUCGUUAAUUAUUUCUCUUUUAAUCGAGUAAAAAAUUAAAACUAAAGACAUAAUGAUUUAUUUGGUAUUUUUUAACUUCGCAAACGAAAAAUUAUUUUAGCUUUCUAUUUUUUUUUAUCUCUUUUAGUCUUGAAAUUUAUAUGGUUCAUUAAAUCACCCAAAAAAAUGAUGAAAAAAAUAACAAAACUAGCACCUACGUGGCUGAUGUUGACCCUUAAUAGUUAAUGGCAACACCUAUGUAGUUGUUAACAGAUACCACACCAACACUGUUUGUUGACGUGACAAUGCCACAUGAUCAAUAAUCGCAGACAUGGUAGCGCCACGCCAUCGCCCAUUGAUGACAUAUUAACCUUUGAGUUAAACUCAAAUAAUUUGGUCCCAAAUAGUUUUCAACACAAAAGAAUAGAGGAAGAAGACUGCUACAGGUUUAACUAUCAAUUGUCUAUUGACUAUACUUUUAACUCCACUAAAAAAGACCAAGACUAAGACUAUCAAUUGUCUAUUGACUACACUUUAACUCGACAAAAAAAGACCAAGACUAAGACUAUCAAUUGUCUAUUGGCUUCACACUUGCUGUUGCUUCCUCCUAUUUCUCUCACCCAAACUUAAUUUACAAGCAAUGUGGAAAUUUUGGACAUUUGCCCACAACGUACAAUACUUCCACACCAUUUGCAGUAUUGACUACGUUUACUUGAGGGAAAACAAAGACAUGAACGCUGGAAAUUUUAACUAGUUUGUACCGUCAAUGAAGCUACGUACCUAAAAGCCAUUUAGGAUAUCAAUUCCUGUAAUUGGAGUAAUCUCAUCGUUGCUGCAAUCUUUUGACAGUUUAAUCGAAUCUUAAAUAUGUUACUCUGCAAUGCUAUUGUAAAUAUUUUUCUUAAAUUUGUCGAUAGAUUUAUAGGUUUGGCACAAAAUUAAGAAUACACAAAGGCAGGUUGAAUUAUUCCAUGUUUGAACAUCUGCAACAUAAAUGCAUAUGGCAAAAGGGCUCAAACCAUACCUUAUGUUCAUGAAUUCUCAUCAUCACGUGUUUAUAAAUGCAACUCAAACUUCAAUAAUUGAAUCUUUUGUAAUUCUACAUGUAUUUUUUUAUUAUGGCGAGCAGUAUAAUGUUUACUAAAAAUUGAAAUUCAAGAAAGAAGACAUAUAUAGUUGCACCAUACAAGAUGUUACACUCGAACUAAACGCUUACAAAUAGUACGAAAUGCAAUUGAAUACAGAGGAAUUGGUACAAUCAUAAAAACAGACACAUACCAAUGCAACUUUUCACCAUAGGAAAAACUUUCUGACAGACUACUAAACAAGAAAUUAUGAAGACACAGUAGAAAUGCUUUAACUUCAUUUGCACCAACUAGAUCAUUCUUCAUCCACUCAUGCGAUUGCUAUAUUUUGGCUUUCUUCUUCGCCUCUUCUCAUGUUGGUCUUCAACCAAAUUCACGAACCUUUUCACCUUAUCGGUUUGGAAAACAACACAUCCCAUGGCCAUUCCAAACACUACCCCGGAUCCAUAACCUAUCAACACCACUUUCCAACCAAAAGCAAUGUUUGCUUUUGAGCCAUCCUUUUCCAGCACAUUUGGAGGUGGUGUCUCAUUGAUGCUGCAACCUUUGGAGACUGGAAAUCCACAUAGUCUCUGUUUCCUUCGUAUGAAUUGUUUCCAAAUGUAUUGAACUGUUUGCCUUGAGGAAUCUGACCAUGGAGUUGAUUUUCGGAAACGUUUAAUAAGGAAAGAAAUGCCGGAUCUGCCAAUAUCUCUGGAAUUAACUCAGUUCAAAAGACUAUAUAACUCGUAAAGUUUGGUCGAAGACUAGCAGGGGUCAAGAAAAAUAAUUACUUGAAUUGUCAAAAUUUUGGAUUUUAGAGAAACAAGCACUAGACUUGGAGCUAUGGUCAUGCAAGGAACCAUGCAUUUCAUUUGACUUUAGUACAAGAACUUGUAGCCGUGGAAGACUUCCCUACCAAUGAGGAAAUGUAUCAUUGAUCUUGUUGUUCCUAAGAUCUAGCACUUCCAAAGACCUAAAAUUGAGGAUGGAUGGUGACAAAUGCCAUUCAAAUUGAUUUCCAUUUAAGUUGAGAUUACUCAAUUGGCAUCCCUUUGCAAAUGUUGGAGGAAUCAAUCCAUAAAACUUGUUCUUCUUUAGAUUCAAAAAUUCCAGGUUGUUGCUCAAAUUUCCAAAACAUUGUAGAAUAGUUCCACUCAAUUUAUUGUGGGACAAGUCAAGAAUUUGGAGAGCACUCACAUUGCCUAUCAAAGAAGAGACCUCUCCACUUAAACUAUUGUUUGAAGUAAAAAACACGUUGAUUGUCGAAGAUGGGAUUGGAAGAUUUCCAUGGAUCAAAUUGGAGCUUAAGUCAAGAAUAUUAAUAUUCUUCCAUGGAAGUUGCUCAACUUCUGUCAAUGAAUUGUGAGAUAAAUUUAAGUAACUCAAAGAGUCACACGUCACUUCUUGCAGCCAUUGUGGAAUCUUCCCUUCAAUUCUAUUGUUAGAAAGCUCCAAAGUUUUCAACUUUUUUAACCCUUUCAAAAAUCGGGGGAAUUGGCUGACAUUAUUUGAGCUUAAGGAUAGGCUGUUUAGUGAAAGGUCAAGAUAUUCGAGAUUUGGGAGAUUUGAGAACAUGCCAAACUCUAUGACACCACUGAAAUUAUUUGAGUAUAAAAGGAGCCAGGUAAGGUUGAGAAAUUGGAAUAUUGAAGAUGGAAGAGGACCUUGGAGAUUAUUAUUCCCUAACACUAUCAUUCUAGUGAUUUGGAUUGGAAUUCUUUGAUGUGUCCACUGAAUUGAUUCUGAGAGAGAGAUAUUUCCAUUAAGGAGAAAGCAUUAUACAACCAUGACAGAAGUUUUCCAUUGGGUAAAUUGUUAGAUAAGUCUAAAGAUAUUAGAUUAGGGAAAGCAGCUACCUCAUCUGGAAUGGGACCUUCUAAAGAAUUUUCAGCUAUUCUCAAGUGUUCAAGCUGUGUUAGGUUUACAAUUGACAAUGGAACUUGUUCACUCAAUUGGUUCCAUGACAAGUCUAAAUAUAUGAGCCACAAGAGGUUCCCCAGAGAUCUCGAAAUUGAUCCCUGUAAAUUGGAAUUAGAGAGAGACAAAUAUUUCAAGACGUGCAGGUUGUCAAUCAAAUCAAUCAAUUUUGAAAAGGAGGACAUCCAUGACAGAUCCAAAUGUUCAAGAUUACUGCUCUGAUUGAACUUCAGAAGAUCAAGAAUCAGGUUUCGGUUGUAUCCUAAGUUGAGCAAAUUGAGGUUUGGCGAAUGAAGAACGUUUCUUGAGAAUUUUCCUUGCAAAUCACAACCACCAAGACUGAGAGACUUUAUAGAAGAGGAUAGAUUGAUGAAAACAUUAGGAUUAAUAGAAGGCAUGAUAAUUCUAUCAAGAAAAAGAUGUCUCACCUCAGUUAGGUUGUGAACAAGUCCCUUCAAAGAAUUUUAUCAAGUGUUAAUUGGUCAGAAAAAACAUUAUGAGAGAGAUCAAGUGAAACCAAUUUUGACGAGUGGGAGAUUUGGGAUGGGACUUUUCCUGCAAAUAACGUUUCUGAGAUGUUAAGAUACACCAGGCUUGUAAACCGGCCGAACUCGGAUGGAAUUUUGGAAAGAUUAAAAUCAUUGUAGGCAAGGUUGAAUUUUUGAAGGUGAGGAAGAAGGAAGAGAGUGGUAUUGGAAGGGAAGUUGCCAUAUAGACAACUGCAGCUCAAGUCAAGGGCAAUAUAUAACUUGAGCAUUUAGGUGGUCACAAGUGACCCCAUCCCAUGAGCAGCAAUCUGUACCCUCAUUCCAUGAAUUUGUCCUGGGAUAAGAUUUAUGGCCAUCAAUCUCAUUGCUAUAAGAAGAAGCAUACUCUGUUAUGGAAAAAGAGUCCUUAAACUGGAUUAGUGAAGAGCAGGAGUGAGAUCCUGAAGAAGAAAAAGAAGCAUAAAGAUGGGGAAAGGUUAAGGUAGAAUAGGCUUGUAAACCGACCGAACUCGGAUGAAAUUUUGGAAAGAUUAAAAUCAUUGAAGGCAAGGUUGAGUUUUUGAAGGUGAGGAAGAAGGAAGAGAGUGGUAUUGGAAGGGAAGUUGCCAUAUAGCCAACUGCAGCUCAAGUCAAGGGCAAUAACUUGAGCAUUAAGGUGAUGACAAGUGACCCCACACCAUGAGCAGCAAUCUGUACCCUCCUUCCAUGAAUUUGUCUUGGGAUAAGAUUUAAGGCCGGCAAAAUCAUCGCAACACAAAGCAGCAUGGCCUGUCUGAGUGAUCGAAAAUGAAUUCUUGAACUGGAUUAGAGAAGCAGCUUCGUGGUGAGAGCAGGAGUGAGAUCCUGAAGAAGAAGAAGCAUAAAGAUGGGGAAAGAAGAGGAAUAGGCAGAGAGAGAGAUAGGGGCCAUGUUAUGUUUGUAGAGGAAGAUGAAGGAUAGGAAUGGUAUUUAUAGGCAACAAAUAGAAUCCAAUAUUAAACAAAAGAUUUGAUGAUUAAUACCACAACACCACUGUUACAGUGUUGUUUCUUUUAUGGUAUAAAGAUUGUUAUUGGAAGAGUUUGAAAUGCUGACAUUGAAAACCUAUAUUUUUCAAUACUCAUCAACAACCACUUCCUUUUUACCAUAUCUUUUUCAUUCCCAAAAUUGGAUACAUUGUUUUACCAAAAUUUUGUAUUUCAUUUGAACUCCCUAAACAACUGAGAAAAUUAACAUUGAUGAGAUUACAAAGUAGAUUGACUUAGUCUUCUUCCUUAUAAUAGGUAAAAAAAAAAUGUGAGUGUCUAUUCACUUAUAAUAUUUCCAUGCUAGAGGUAGUUUUUGGAAAAUCUUUAAUUAAAUCUUAAUUUCAUUUUGUUAAAAUUUUAAACUGGGUUAUCGAAUUGGCUUCUGAUUGUAGGUUGAUCAAUGAUGGGCCGAUUUCUUCUUCUUCUUUUUUAAUUUUUUUAGGGUUAAUUUAUAAUAUACUGCUUAAUGUUGUUGAUUUAUUUUUCUGGUCAUCGUUUCAUCCGUUUGUUGAAGAUAACUGAAUUUUUAUUGGUUGUAAUUGGACUUGGGUUUUAGCCAAUGACUAUAAUCAAAGGGUUAAUUUAAGGUUCCAAUGAAUUGUUUGAAAAUUUUAUUAUUUUUCUUUUCAAUUAGUUGUUUUACAAGGAUUUAACUUAUAUUAGUCAAAUGAACUGGCUUUAAAAAAUGAACAAGAACGAAGAAAUUGGAUGGUUAACUGGACACUGGAAAGGGGGAAUGCUAAAAGUUGUAAAUGUUUUGAAUAUAGAGUUGUAUUCUUUUCAUGGCUUCAGAAAAAUGUAUGCAAUGUUUGGCCAGCGAUAAUGGACAAGUUUUUUUAAACCUCCAUGCCUUAGUCAUGCUUUCAUAAACAUGGGCAGCUAACACCGAGAAGUCUCAUUGAAUGUAGUAAGCGAUUUAAAAGUGAAGCUCAUAUGCGACCGGGGAUGGUUGAUUUGAGGUUUAAUUCUAGCUAGUAGAUUCUGUUGUUUGUUAAGCGUCUUUUUGGAGACAAAUGUCUGAGAUUGCUGGAAAAUGCUUCUUACCAUCAUAUUAAUGUGUAUUUGGGUUGCGUUUUCUUAGAGUUUUGGAUUCUUUGCAUCAUAUCAUAAAAUUGAGUUAGAUAUAACAUCUCAUUGUUAUCUGUUAAUUGUUUCACUUGGGACCAGGAGCAUGCUGGCAACUCAAUACAGCUGUAAAUGCAUAUUUCAGUGAGGGUGAUAGGUAUAUAUUUAUGAAUUAUCCUAAUAUUUUUUAUGAUAAGUAAUUCUAGGUUUAUAGCUUUAUUUGUUUGUUUGUUUUCUCGUGUUUCCUACAAAAAAAGGCCAACAUCAACCAUAGUUCCUGUAGAUGAUGCCAUGGAUAUAGAUGAUCCAAAUGAAGUAGUACCAAAUGGGCCAGUCCUUCCAUUUCUACCAUCAUCUAGAACAAACGAACAAUCGUCUCUUUUUCUGAAAUUUCCGGCGCGACGCCUGUGCGGGGGGCCUUGGCCGGAAUCUGGACUUAGUCCAGAGAGUUUUUUUUUCUUUCUUCUGUUUUUUUUUUUCAAUGUUCAAAUGAUUUUUUUUCUCAAAACACUAAUUUUUAUGCCCAGUGAAACGGCGCCGUUUUGGCUAAGCUCCAAAACACCCAAAACGACGUCGUUUCACUCGCCACCAACUUGAAUUUUAUAACUACUCCUAUGCCAACCAGCAAACCAUAACAGCGUACAUAAAAAAGAGGAUGCUGACUUACAAUUCCUUUCAUUUCACCAUAACCAAUCAAAUCCCUUGCAAUGCUGUUUGGAUCACAGCAGCUCAUCUUUCAAUCCUAGAUGGCUCCGCUAAUUUUUUGAAAGCAUACAUAAACUGUUAAAGAAAUAAAUGGAUAAAACAACUACAGGAUAGAAGGCUGAAAAAUUACAAAGUGCAAUGACCUUAUUGUUAAAAUUUCAACGCCCAUUCCUUGGAAAGAUAUCUUCACCAUUGCCCACUCAAGAGAACUCAAAUAGCAGCAAGAUCUAGUAUAAAAUGUAACUCUCAACAACACACACAAAUGUUUGUUCUAUCAAGGAGCAAUACACAGACAUAUUCACCUACCCUUGGUUCUAGCUUUGCAUAUUACAUAACACUCUUCAAAUGUCUUAUUAAAUUCUCACUUUUACGAGUGCUAUGAUAAUCAAAUAAAAUUCAAUUCAAUUUUAAGUUCCAUAUAACACUUACAUGGCUACAAAAUGUGUGUGUGUUUAAGUGUCGACAACCACAAACAAUCCAAAUUUGCAGAGAAACCACCCAUUAUAUAUAGGUUUGCCAAUGAGAUGGCAAGCAGAUUGCUAGCUAGAAAUUCAUGCAUCUUUGAAUCACCAGUUCAAUUAAUAAGCUUAAGUAGAGGAAAUAGGGACUUUACAUCCACCAAUUAAAGCAACCUAUAUGUACCCUUUUACAGUCUGCAUUGUUCCAUGUUUCAAUUCAUUACAUCAUUCCUUCAACUCUGCUAUAUAUUAUUACCGUCUCCAGAUAACCAAACCUUUUACUGCUAACUUGUAAAAAAAUUAUGAAAAUACAACAGAGAUCAUUGAGACAUUGUUGAAGUUGGCUUGCAUGCAGAGCAAGAAGCAGACCAAGCUGUCCGAGCCAUGCAAGUUGCAGCUGAAGCUUAUGCUGCUGUUUUGUUACUUUCAAAUAGAUAUUUUAUUACUUAGUUAGAUAUGAACUAAGUUGUUGAUAUGCUUGAUGUGAUUAGGUGCUGAUAGAUUGAUAAAUCAGCUUUACCAAGUGUACAAGCAAUGUUUAUCAAGUUACUAAGCCACUUAGUGGAGUUAGGCACGUGUUUAGGUAACAUUUUCUUAUUUUUGACCAGCUGAUUGCUCGGUAUAUGUAAUGGAAUUGUGCCUUCAUUUGGUCUUUACUUAAGCAUUUUUAUUCAAAAAGCUCUUGCUGUUUUUGUUUUGUUUGUUGUGCAAGAUAUCAAUGCUUUAUGCUUAAGUUUCUGUCAAAAUUUCUCAUUCUGUUUUCUUAGUUCCUACAGACAUUUUGUUCUCCUUUCUCCUUUACUGAGCAGUAGCAAAGAUUAUUGAGACUAAAUUGAAAUCCAUGAAAGAAGACAUAAACAACACCACCAUACAAAAUGUCACACUCAAACAAACCAUUACAGAUAGUACGAAAUGCAAUGAAAGACAGAGGAAUUGGUACAAUAAUAAAGACAGCCAGAUACCAAUGCAACCCUUCACCAUAGGCACAACGGUCUACAAACAAGAAAUUAUGAAAAAUACAACACUAAUUCUUGAACAUCAUUUGCAGUAAUUAGAUCCUUCUUCGUCUACUGCUGCGAUUGCCUUUCUUUGACUUUCUUCUUCGCCUCUUCUCAUGUUGGUUUUCAACCAAAUUCACCAACCAUUUUGGCUUUCCAGUUUGGAAAACAACAUAUCCCACGGACAUUCCGAACACUACUCCGCAUCCACAACCUAUCAUCACCACUUUCCAACCAAAAGCAAUGUUUGAUUUUGAGCCAUCUUUUUCAAGCACAUUUGGAGGUGGUGGGUCAAUGAUGUUGCAACCUUUCGAGACCGGAAACCCACACAGUCCCUUAUUUCCUUCAUAUGAAUCAUUUCCAAAUGUGUUGAAUUGUUUGCCUUGGGGAAUCUUACCAUGGAGUUGAUUUUCAGAAACAUUUAAGGACGAAAGAAACGGCAGAUCUGCCAAUCUAUUUGGAAUCGCCCCAGACAACCUGUUUGAAGAUAGGUCCAACCAUUCAAGACUUGUCAAAUUCCCUAUUGAUGUGGGGAUACCACCAUUAAGGUUAUUAUGAGAAAGGUUGAGCCCUUUCAGUAAGUUAAGCUUCCCAAUAACCUUUGGAAUACCCCCUUCAAACUGAUUGUUUGAUAGAUCAAUGAUCAUCCACAUGGUGAAAAUUUUCACCAAUUCCCUAUCUUGUCCUUUCAUAACAAUUCCAAUGGAAUAGGUAUAGAAGUCACCUCCAUCAUCAUUCACCCCCAUGUACGACACUGUACUACCAAUCUUCUCUAGAUUUAUGAUAGCCUUGAAGCUGUUGAUGUAUCUCACUGGUAGGGGUCCAGAAAAAUAAUUACUUGAGAGAUCAAAAAUUUGGAUUUUAGAGAAAAAAGGGAUAGACUUGGAGCUAUUGACACAUAAGGAACCAUGCAAUUGAUUUGACUUCAAUACAAGAACUUGUAGCCGUGGAAGACUUCCCAACCAAUGAGGAAAUGUAUCAUUGAUCUUGUUGUUACCAAGAUCUAGCACUUCCAGACCAUUACAAUUAAGGAUGGAUGGUGUCAAAGGCCCUUCUAACAGAUUUCCAUUUAAGUUGAAAUUACUCAAUUGGCAUCCCAUUGCAAAUGUUGGAGGAAUCGUCCCAUAGAACUUGUUCUUCUUCAGAUUCAAGAAUAGAAGGCUGUUGCUCAAAUUUCCAAAACAUUGUGGAAUUGUUCCACUCAAGUUAUUGUGGGACAAAUCAAGAAUUUCAAGAAAAGCGGCAUUGCAUAUUAAAGAAGAGACCUCUCCAUUGAAACUAUUAUUAGAGAUCAAAAAGACAUUGAUGGUCGAAGCUGGAAUCGGAAGAUUUCCACUGAUCAAAUUGGAGCUUAAGUCAAGAACGUCAAUAUUCUUCCAUGGAAAGUGCUCAACUUCUGUCAAAGAGUUGUGAGAUACGUUUAAGUAAGUCAAAGAGUCAUUCCCCACCUCUUGCAUCCACUGUGGAAUCUUGCCUUCAAUUUUGUUGUAAGAGAGGUCUAAGCUUUCCAAACUUUUAAGCCCUUUUAAAAAUUGGGGGAAUUCACUAAGAUUGCAAGAUGACAAAAACAACCUUGUAAGAUUAACAGUAGAAGUAGUAUUAGAUGUUAAGGAUAGGCUGUUAUAUGAAAGGUCAAGAGAUUCGAGAUUUGGAAGGUUUGAGAACAUGCGAAACUCUAUGACACCACUAAGAUAAUUUGAGGAUAAGCUAAGUUGGGUAAGAUUGAGAAGUUGGAAUAUUGAAGAUGGAAGAGGACCUUGGAGUUUAUUAUUCUCUAACGCUAUCCAUUCUAGUGAUUUGGAUUGGAAUUCUUUGAUAUGCCCACUGAAUUGAUUUUGAGAGAGUUUUAUAUCCUUUAAGGAGGGAGCAGUAUACAACCAUGAUGGAAGUUGUCCACUGAGUAAAUUGUUAGUUAAGUCUAAAGAUAUUAGAUUAGGAAAAGCGGUUACCUCAUCUGGAAUAGAACCUUUUAAUGUAUUUCCAGCUAUUCUCAAGUAUUCCAGCUGCGUUAGGUUUAGAAUUGACAAUGGAAUUUGUCCAUUCAAUUGGUUCUGCCACAAGCCUAAAUAAGUGAGUUGCAAGAGGUUCCCCAAUGAUCUUGGAAUUUGUCCACUCAAUUGGUUUUGCCACAAGCCUAAAUAAGUGAGUUGCAAGAGGUUCCCCAAUGAUCUUGGAAUUUGUCCACUCAACUGGUUCCCCGAUAAGUCUAAAUGAGUGAGUUGCAAGAGAUUCCCCAGUGAUUUUGGAACCGGUCCUGAUAAGUUGGAAUAGGAGAGAUCUAAAAACUUCAAGGACACAAGAUUACCCACCGAGUCUGGCAAUCCUCCAAAAAAAUUUGCGCCUGAAAUUAUCAAUUGCUCCAAAGAUGAUAAAUUUGUGAUUGAGACAGACAAUCCUUGAAAGAAAAAAUUUCCUGAUAGACCUAAGGACUUUAAGGCCUGUAGAUUAUCAACUGAAUCAAUGAAUUCUGUAGAGAAGGACGUCCAUGACAGAUCCAAAUGUUCAAGAUUGCUGCUCCGAUUCAACUUCAAAGGAUCAAGAUUGAGGUUUUGGUUGUUUCCCAAGUUGAGGAGAUUGAGGUUUGGCAAAUCAAAAAUGUUGUUUGGGAAUUUUCCUUGCAAAUCACAACCAGCAAGACUGAGAGACCUUAGAGAAGAGGAUAGAUUCAUGAAGACAUGAGCAUUAACAGAAGCCAUCUCCAUUCCAUCCAAAAACAGAUGUCUGACCUCGGUUAGGUUUUGAACAAGUCCCUCCAGAGCAUGUUUGUCUCCUACAAACCCUGUACUGGAAAGGUCGAGGUAGAGUAGGCUUGUAAACCGACCUAACUCGGAUGGAAUUUCGGAAAGAUUAAACUCAUUGUAGGCAAGGUUGAGUUUUUGAAGGUGAGGAAGAAGGAAGAGAGUGGAAUUGGAAGGGAAGUUGCCAUAUAGCCAACUGCAGCUCAAGUCAAGGGCAAUAACAUGAGCAUUUAGGUGGUCACAAGUGACCCCAUCCCAUGAGCAGCAAUCUGUACCCUCCUUCCAUGAAUUUGUCUUGGGAUAAGAUUUAUGGCCAGCAAUCUCAUUGCAAUAAGAAGAAGCGUCCUCUGUUAUGGAAAAAGAGUCCUUAAACUGGAUUAGUGAAGAGCAGGAGUGAGAUCCAGAAGAAGAAAAAGAAGCAUAAAGAUGGGGAAAGAAGAGGAAUAGGCAGAGGAAGAGAUAGGGGGCCAUGUUAUGUCUGUAGAGGAAGAUGAAGGAUAGGAAUGGUAUUUAUAGGCAACAAAUAAUACCGCAGUGUUACAGUCUUUUUUUCUUUUACAUUGAGAAGCUAUGGAGAUUAGAUUUUCAAAAUUUUUGUAUUUUUAACAAUCAUCAACAGUCACUUAGUCUUCUUUUUACCAUAUAUUUUUCAUUCUUAAAAUUGGAUGCUAUCUUUUCGCAAAAUCUUGUGGAAAUUCUUUAGCCUUCUUCUCUAUAACACUUAAAGAAUGUGUGUAUGUAUUCAUUUGCCUGUCAACUAAAGCUAAUUAAUGUGGAAAUUCUUUUCCACCCAAAAGAACAAAAUUGUGCUCUAUUCAUUAAGUUUGAGGAAGAAGAUUGCUGGAAAUUUAAUCUACCGAUUCCAUAAAAAACGUGUAUACUUAUAUAACCUCAUAAUUCAAAUCUAAAAUCUCAUUUGUUAUAAAUUCUGAUAAAUUUCUUUGGAAUUGCUAUUUUUCAUUUGUUAAUUAUUUCUCUUUUAAUCGAGUAAAAAAUUAAAACUAAAAAGACAUAAUGAUUUAUUUGGCAUUUUUAAACUUUACAAAUAAAAAAUCAUUUUAGCUUUUCAUUUUUUUAUCUCUAUUAAAUCACCCAAAAAAAAUAAUGAAAAAGACUAACAAAACUAGCACCUACGUGGCUGAUGUUGACCCUUAGUAGUUAAUGACAACAUCUACGUAGUUGUUAACAGAUACCACACUAACACUGUUUGUUGACGUGACAAUGCCACAUGAUCAAUAAUCACCGACAUGGUAGCGCCACGCUAUCGCCCAUUGGUGACAUAUUGAUGUUUGAGUUAAACUCAAAUUACUAUUUCCUUUGUUAUAAAUUAAGAGUAUAACUAAUUUUGAUAAGAAUGAUUACUUUUCAUUAACUCAGUCUAAAGGACUAUAACACGUAAAGUUUGGCCUAUUGCAGAAUUCACAUGCAAUGCGGGGCAUUUACAUUAUGCAGAAUUCGGCACAUAUAUGGGAAUUUUUGUAUUUCCACAAUCAUCAUGUUGUUCGUGAUCAACAACUACUUCCUUUUUACCAUAUAUUUUUCAUUCAUAAAAUUGAUUACUUUUUUUUUUACGAAAGAAGUAAAAUUAUUAACAUUCAUGAUAUUACAAAGCCUUCUUCCUUAUAACACGUCAAGUUUGGCCCCAAAUAAUUUUCCAGACAAAAGAAUUAAGAGGAAGGAGACUGCUACAGAUUGACUAUACUUUUAACUCCACAAACAAAGACUAAGACUAUCAAUUGUCUAUUGACUACACUUUAACUCGACAAAAACAGAUUGACUAUACUUUUAACUCCACAAACAAAGACUAAGACUAUCAAUUGUCUAUUGACUUCACUUUAACUCGACAAAAACAGACUAAUAAGACUUUGGUUGGCUGUAAUGGGCUAUUGACUAUACUUUAACUCCGCAAAAAAAGACUAAGGCUAUCAAUUGUCUAUUGACUUCACACUUGCUGUUGCUUCCUCCUAUCUCUAUCACUUGCUUCCUCCUAUCUCUAUCACCCAAACUUAAUUUACAAGCAAUGUGGAAAUUUUGGACAUUUGGGCCACAAUGUACAAUACUUCCACACCAUUUGCAGUAUUGACUACGUUUACUUGAGGGCAAACAAAGACAUGAAUGCUGGAAAUUUUAACUAGUUUGUACCGUCAAUGAAGCUACGUACCUAAAAGCAAUGUAUUAUCACCGUCUCCAGAAAUUUUGCUAAUUCAAUUUCCCAAGAAAUAUGAUUAAUUUUGGUUAAAUUGGAGUGAACAUUACUAUUUCUGUUUUAGCAAUUAAAGCAACCUAUAUGUACCCUUUUACAGUCUGCAUUGUUCCAUGUUUCCAUUCAUUACAUCAUUCCUUCAACUCUGCUAUAUAUUAUCACCGUCUCCAGAGAACCAAACCUUUUACUGCUAACUUGUAAAAAAAUUAUGAAAAUACAACAGAGAUUAUUGAGACAUUGUUGAAGUUGGCUUGCAUGCAGUAGACAUUGUUAAUCUUAUUAUUAUUAUUAUUAUUAUUAACUCAUGAACCCAUGGUUACACUUCCAACAGAGGUGAGAGAGGUUAAGAGUAGCCAUGAGCCAUCUAGUCAUGCUCCUGUUGUUGAGGAUGCCUCUGAAACUGCACAAGCUCUCAGCCCGAAUUCAAAUCUAAAAUCUCAUUUGUUAUAAAUUCUGAUAAAUUUAUUUGGGAAUUGCUAUUUUUCAUUCGUUAAUUAUUUCUCUUUUAAUCGAGUAAAAAAUUAAAACUAAAAAGACAUGAUAAUUUACUUGGCAUUUUUUAACUUUACAAACAAAUAGUCAUUUUAGCUUUCCAUUUUUUUUUUCUCUUUUAGCCUUGAAACUUAUAUGGUUCCUUAAAUCACUCCAAAAAAAAUGAUGAAAAAGACUAACAAAUUCUAGCACCUACGUGGCUGAUGUUGACCCUAGUAGUUAAUGGCAACACCUACGUAGUGGUUAACAGAUACCACACCAACACUGUUUGUUGACGUGACAAUGCCAAAUGGUCAAUAAUCGCUGACAUGGUAGCGCCACGCCAUCGCCCAUUGAUGACAUGUUAACCUUUGAGUUAAACUCAAAUUACUCUUUCCUUUGUUAUAAAUUAAGAGUAUAAAUAAUUCUGAUAAGAAUAGUUACUUUUCAUUAACUCAGUUUAAAGGACUAUAACACGUAAAGUUUGGUCUAUUGCAGAAUUCACAUGCCAUGCGGGACGUUUACAUUAUGCAGAAUUCAACACAUAUAUGGGAAUUUUUGUAUUUCCACAAUCAUCAAAUAAUUUUCAUAAAUUGAUUACUUUCUUUUUACCAUAUAAUUUUCAUUCAUAAAUUGAUUACUUUUUUUUUACAAAAGAAGUAAAAUAAUUAAUAUUCGUGAGAUUACAAAGUCUUCUUCCUUAUACACGUCAAGUUUGGUCUCAAAUAAUUUUCCACACAAAAGAAUACUUUUAACAAUCAAUUGUCUAUUGACUAUACUUUGAACUCCACAAAAAAGACUAAGACCUUCAAUUGUCUAUUGACUACACUUUAACUCGACAAAAAAAGACUAAGACUAUCAAUUGUCUAUUGACUAUCAAUUGGUUCCAUGACAAGUCUAAAUAUAUGAGCCACAAGAGGUUCCCCAAUGAUCUCGAAAUUGAUCCCCGUAAAUUGGAAUUAGAGAGAGACAAAUAUUUCAAGACAUGCAGGUUGUCAAUCAAAUCAAUCAAUUUCGUAAAGGAGGACAUCCAUGACAGAUCCAAAUGUUCAAAAUUACUGCUCUGAUUGAACUUCAGAAGAUCAAGACUAAGGAUUCGGUUGUAUCCUAAGUUGAGCAAAUUGAGGUUUGGCGAAUGAAGAAUGUUUCUUGAGAACUUUCCUUGCAAAUCACAACCACCAAGACUGAGAGACUUUAUAGAAGAGGAUAGAUUCAUGAAAACAUUAGGAUUAAUAGAAGGCAUGAUAAUUCUAACAAGAAAAAGAUGUGUCACCUCAGUUAGGUUGUGAACAAGUCCCUCCAAAGAAUUUUAUCAAGAGUUAAUUGGUGAGAAAAAACAUUAUGAGAGAGAUCAAGUGAAACCAAAUUUGACGAGUGGGAGAUUUGGGAUGGGACUUUUCCUGUAAAUAACGUUUUUUAGAUGUUAAGAUACACCAGCCUUGUAAACCGACCGAACUAGGAUGGAAUUUUGGAAAGAUUAAAAUCAUUGUAGGCAAGGUUGAGUUUUUGAAGGUGAGGAAGGAGGAAGAGAGUGGUAUUGGAAGGGAAGUUGCCAUAUAGCCAACUGCAGCUCAAGUCAAGGGCAAUAACAUGAGCAUUAAGGUGAUGACAAGUGACCCCAUACCAUGAGCAGCAAUCUGUACCCUCCUUCCAUGAAUUUGUCUUGGGAUAAGAUUUAAGGCCGUCAAAAUCAUCGCAAUACAAAGCAGCAUGGUCUGUCUGAGUGAUCGAAAAUGAAUUCUUGAACUGGAUUAGAGAAGCAGCUUCGUGGUGAGAGCAGGAGUGAGAUCCUGAAGAAGAAGAAGCAUAAAGAUGGGGAAAGAAGAGGAAUAGGCAGAGAGAGAGAUAGGGGCCAUGUUAUGUUUGUAGAGGAAGAUGAAGGAUAGGAAUGGUAUUUAUAGGCAACAAAUAGAAUCCAAUAUUAAACAAAAGCUUUGAUGAUUAAUACCACAACACCACUGUUACAGUGUUGUUUCUUUUAUGGUAUAAAGAUUGUUAUUGGAAGAGUUUGAAAUGCUGACAUUGAAAACCUAUAUUUUUCAAUACUCAUCAACAACCACUUCCUUUUUACCAUAUCUUUUUCAUUCCCAAAAUUGGAUACAUUGUUUUACCAAAAUUUUGUAUUUCAUUUGAACUCCCUAAACAACUGAGAAAAUUAACAUUGAUGAGAUUACAAAAUAGAUUGACUUAGUCUUCUUCCUUAUAAUACGUAAAAAAAAAUGUGAGUGUCUAUUCACUUAUAAUAUUUCCAUGCUAGAGGUAGUUUUUGGAAAAUCUUUAAUUAAACCUUAAUUUCAUUUUGUUAAAAUUUUUAACUGGAUUAUCGAAUUGGCUUCUGAUUGUAGGUUGAUCAAUGAUGGGCUGAUUUCUUCUUCUUCUUUUUUAAUUUUUUUAGGGUUUAUAAUAUACUGCUUAAUGUUGUUGAUUUAUUUUUCUGAUCAUCGUUUCAUUCGUUUGUUGAAGAUAACUGAAUUUUUAUUGGUUGUAAUUGGACUUGGGUUUUAGCCAAUGACUAUAAUCAAAGGGUUAAUUUAAGGUUCGAAUGAAUUAUUUGAAAAUUUUAUUAUUUUUCUUUUCAAUUAGUUGUUUUACAAGGAUUUAACUUAUAUUAGUCAAAUGAACUGGGUUUAAAAAAUGAACAAGAACGAAGAAAUUGGAUGGUUGACUGGACACUGGAAAGGGGAAAAGCUAAAAGUUGUAAAUGUUUUGAAUAUAGAGUUGUAUUCUUUUCAUGGCUUCAGAAAAAUGUAUGCAAUGUUUGGCCAGCGAUAAUGGACAAGUUUUUUUAAACCUCCAUGCCUAAGUCAUGCUUUCAUAAACAUGGGCAGCUAACACCGAGAAGUCAGUAAGCGAUUUAAAAGUGAAGCUCAUAUGCGUCAUUGCUACUCGCUUUGCAGCUAAACUCCUGAGUGACCGGGGAUGGUUGAUUUGAGGUUUAAUUCUAGCUAGUAGAUUCUUAGGUUUGUUAAGGGUCUUUUUGGAGACAAAUGUCUGAGAUUGCUGGAAAAUGCUUCUUACCAUCAUAUUAAUGUCUAUUCGGGUUGCGUUUUCUUAGAGUUUUGGAUUCUUUGCAUCUUAUCAUAAAAUUGAGUUAGAUAUAACAUGUCAUUGUUAUCUGUUAAUUGUUUCACUUGGGACCAGGAGCAUGGUGGCAACUCAAUACAGCUGUAAAUGCAUAUUUCAGCGAGGGUGAUAGGUAUAUAUUUAUGAAUUAUGCUAAUAUUUUGUUAUGAUAAGUAAUUCUAGGUUUAUAGCUUUAUUGGUUUGUUUGUUUUCUCAUGUUUCCUACAAAAAUAAGGCCAACAUCAACCAUAGUUUCUGUAGAUUAUGCCAUGGAUAUAAAUGAUCCAAAUGAAGUUGUACCAAAUGGGCCAGUCCCUUCCAUUUCUACCAUCAUCUAGAACAAACGAACAAUCGUCUCUUCAUCAUCGAAACUUCCAUAGCAGUUUCUUCGAUGGUGAUUCUGGUUCAACUUAUGAACCAAUUGAUACAUAUCCAACAGAGGUGAGAGGGGUUAAGUAUAGCCAUGAGCCAUCUAGUCAUGCUCCUGUUGUUGAGGAUGCCUCUGAAACUGCACAAGCUCUCGGCCCGAAUUCCCAUGAGACUGUUACAAUUGGUGAAGUAGGUGACGAUUCAAUUGCGCAGCCAAGGUGGCAGAAUGAUAACUGUAACAACCAGCAUGUUACACCCAGCGCUCCUGCCUUUGAUAAUUUGCUAGACUAUGGCGAUGACAUUGAAGAACAAAUGAUUCAAGCUGCCAUUGAGGCCUCUAAGCGGGAUGCUGAGGCAAGUUUUAAAAAAAGGACGCUUCCAAUUUGAUAGUGUUGUGGUGCCCUUCAUUCUUGUAGUUGCUGUAAAUGCUUGUUUUACAGAUUGCCUUUUUCAUGUUUAAAGUGUUAAAGUGUUGCAAAUUGAAGUGUUUUAAGUAAUGCAAAUUGAAUUGUUUAGUUGCUGGAAAUUGAGAUGUUUUAUGGCCGUAAUUGAGUGUAUAAAUGUUGUAAAUUGAAGUGUUUUAUUGCUGGAAAUUGGAUGCAUGGUAUAAUGACAUGAUAGAAUGUCAUUACAAUGUUGUAACUUUUUGAUGUUGUAAAAUCAUAUGGAUUAUGACAUCUAAACUAAUGAAAUCGUGUAACUUUUUAUUAAUAUAUGAAUAUUAUGUUGGGAUGUGAAAUAUAAUUCUCAAGUUAUUUAUUACUUCUAAUAUCUAAUAUUUCAUUGUAGAAUAAUUAAAAUUAUUUGUUUCACUAAUGAUAUUUUAGCACAUUCAAUAUCUAUUGCAGUUUAAAAAUAAUAAUUUAGAUUAUAUAUUAUUUUUAUAGUAUUAUAUAUUAUGAUUUUAGUAAAUUCAUAUAAUAGUAAUUAUAUUAAGAAUUUUAUUAAAUUAUAUUUAAUAAUAAUUAUGUUAAAAUAUGGUUAAAUUAUUUAUUAUCUUUAUUAAAUUAUUUUUAAUAAUAAUCUUUUUAAAAUUUAAUAACAAUAACAAAAAUCAUCUACUUAAAAAAGAUUCUGCUAAGGGUAUUCUAGUCAUUUUAGUUUUUUCCUUAUGCAAUUACAACAUCAUUCCAUUCAACCAAACACAAGAAUACCAUUACAGUUCUAUUCCGUUCCAUUCAACCAAACAAUUGAAUUACUGAUUACAGCUCUAUUCCAUUACAGUGAACCAAAUAUAUCCUUAGUAUGAAUGGCUGUCGAGGCAUGUAGAAAUUUGCACACAAAAGAACAAAAUUGUGCACUACUUAAAACUUCAAAGCAUGUGUGGCCUUAAUUUAAUUUUUCAUCUUUUUUAGCCCUUAAACCUACAUUGUUUAUCAGAUGAAAAAAUUAAUAUCUAUUAACUUUGCUAAUGUGCAAGCAUAUGCAACUUCUUUUAAAUCUAAAAAAUAUAAAAAUAAUUAAAUAUGUAUAAAUCUAAAGAUAUCUUAAACUUAAAACUAAAAUUUUUUAAACUAAUGCAAAUUUUUAUUAUUUAAAAAAUCUUAAAAUUUUCAAAUUAAAUUCCAUUUGUUUUCCACCGUUGAAGAACACCUUUAAUCACAACUUCAUGCUGUAUUGCCUAGAAAUUGUUUUGCAAAUUUAUUUUGUUUUAUUUAUUUCUAAACCCAUAUUUCUUUUCUAUAACUCCAAUUAUUAGAUUGUUUAGGGUUUUGAGUAACUUUCGAUUUUGGAAUUUUAGAUUUUUUAAAUUUAAAUAUGAAGUGCUCUUCUUCUUCUCCAAACCCACAAAUUUUUCUGCCAAAUUUCUACUCAAGGUUUUACUUUCAGCUAUAAAUAAAGCGUAUAUUAUAUUUAUAAUGAUCUAAGAAUAGUAGAGUCGAUGCCGAUCUACAUGAAAAAGGAUGAAAAAAAAAGGCAAAGAAUGAUAAUAUGAAGAGAGCAUAAAUCAAUAAAGCAAAUGAAAAACGAGCAGGAUUAAAGUAAAUGGGUAUUUAAUAUUUUUUUGUGAAAGUUCAAAGACUGAUUAUUUAUAAAAUUGGAUGUGGAAAAAUUAGUUGGAAUUUUUUUUCUUACACCAAUUGAUUUUUUAUAUAAAAUUUUUAUUUAUUUUUAAGUGUUGAAACCACUUUUUGAAAACAAAAAAAAAGUGUUACUUUUAUUUUGAAAACGGAAACGAAAAAAUGGGAGUCGCCACCGAUAUUUUUUUUGAGGUGUGAUCGGAUCACCUUAAAACAAUUUUGGUCUACGAAUAAAAAAAUGGGUCCGGGAGUCAAUUACGUAGGAGGAAGGAUUAGCACCCUCAUAACGCCCAAAAUUGAUACCGAAUUGCAUAAUUAAUGUCUUAAAGUCGAAUGUCGAAAAUUCAAAAAGAUUAAAAAUGAUCCCCUUUAAUUAAUGACAUAUUUUUAAACAAUAUUUGUAUAAAUUUGAUCAUAUGUAGAAAGGUCUUCUCAUCCUGAGUCAACAAAAUGUCGUAUCCCAUAAGUUAGGAUGCGACAUUUAGAUUUCCGAGCAUAAUCUAGCCUUUAAAACCCUUUAUUGAAACUUUAUGUAUUUGAAAACUAAAAAUGUUUGACCAUCUUGGUUCAAUGAGGAAAUCGAAAACCCGUAAGUUAGGACAAAUUUCCUCAAAGUUCCAAAGACGAUAUAUACGUUUGCCUUUAUUUAAAAAAAAAAGAUACUCGGUUACUUAAAUUCAACGAGGAAAAUUGGAGCCUAAUAAGUUAGGGCACAAUCUUCUCGAAAAUAUUGGAUACCGGGUAUUACGUUAUUUUGAAAACUUUGAAUAAAAUGAUUUCAAUACUUUGACUAAACGCAACAUUUUAAAUGAAUAAAAUGCGAUGGAACAAUAACGUAUAACGCGAAGUGAUAAUUCGUAAACUAAAAUAUACGCUAAUGAUCGACAAAGAAUCAAUGAAUACGAGUAAGCAAUACAAUACAUCAUAUAAGAGCAACAAUCUCAUAUCCCACAUUAUGCAAAUACUAACAUCCAUUUUAGCAAGCUAAAUGAAUUAAAAGUUAAUUAAAGAACAGCAAGCAAAUUAAUGUAAAUCUAAUAUAACAAGCUUUAAAAUAAAAUAAAAAUAAAAAUCAUGAAAAAGAGGAAAAUUCAAACACUAAAUUGUAUGUAUAAAAUAUUUGGCACAAAUAAUAUAUAGGAAAACUUGCAAUAAAAAAAUGAAGAAAAUAAAGAAUAAAUAAGAUGCAAAAUAAUACAUGUUCAUCUAAAUAAGUAGUACAUAUAAAAUAAAAUUUUAAUAUAAAUGUUGAAAUAAACAAAGCGUGUAAUUGAACAUCAUUUCCACUAACUAGAUCCUUCUUCGUCAACUGCUGCGAUUGCCUUUCUUUGACUUUCUUUUUCGCCUCUUCUCAUGUUGGUUUUCAACCAAAUUCACCAACCAUUUCGGUUUUCCAGUUUGGAAAACAACAUAUCCCACCAACAUUCCGAACACUACUCCGCAUCCAUAACCUAUCAACACCACUUUCCAACCAAAAGUAAUGUUUGAUUUUGAGCCAUCUUUUUCAAGCACAUCUGGAGGUGUUGGCGCAAUGAUGUUGCAACCUUUCGAGACCGGAAACCCACAUAUGAAUCAUUUCCAAAUGUGUUGAAUUGUUUGCCUUGAGGAAUCUGACCAUGGAGUUGAUUUUCAGAAACAUUUAAGGACAAAAGAAAUGGCAGAUCUACCAAUCUAUUUGGAAUGGUUCCAGACAACCUGUUUGAAGAUAGUGUUGGCACAUAAUUAAAUUAACCUUGCACAAAUAAAUUAUGAAAAGUUAGAAGAGUGAAGAGACUUGAAUAUGAAAAGUGAAAAAACUUGAAUAUGAAUAGUGAAGAGACUUGAAGAUGAAAAGUUAAGAGGCUUGAAUAUGAAAAGAUACACACAUGCAUGAAUAGUCACAACUCCUAGCAUAUAGUGAUAUAGAUGAAUAGUCACUUACAACUCCUAUAUAAAGAGUUGUAUGUGAUGAAGAAUUAUUAACUUUGUGUGCUUGAAAUAAAAGAUUAUUUGAAAGAAUUUUUUCAUACAAAAUUUAUUUCUCUUCUCCAUUAUAUUCUUUAUCAUUUUCUUUGUUUUAUUUCUCCAAAUAUUAAUCAUUCAACUACAAAUUGGUAUCAAAGCCUUGUUCAAUCGAAAUGAACAAUUCUAUUCCUCUUUCUUCCGUUCCCCAAUUAACCAAAGAAAAUUAUGGCAAAUGGAGUAUCCAAAUGAAGGCUCUUCUUGGAUCUCUAGAAGUUUGGGAGAUUGUUGAAAAAGGUUAUAAUGAAGUUGAGGGUGAAGAGGAGGAAGGAUUAACACAAGUUCAAAAAGAGAGUCUAAGAAAAUCAAGGAAGAAAAAUCAGCAAGCCUUAUUUUGGAUAUAUCAAGGAGUUCAAUCAUAUGAAGCGGCUUGGGAAAAAAUAGCUUGUGCCACCACGGCAAAACAAGCAUGGGAAUUUUUACAAAAUUCAUUCAAAGGAGAUGAAAAGGUGAAAAGAGUUCGGUUGCAAACUCUUUGAGGAGAGUUUGAAAGAUUGCAAAAAAUAGAGUCAGAAUCAGUUUCUGAUUACUGUUCACGGGUUUUGUCCAUAGUCAAUCAAUUAAAAAGAAAUGGUGAAACUAUGGAUGAUAUUCGUGGUGUUGAGAAAAUCCUCCGUUCUUUAGAUUCCAAAUUUGACUACAUUGUGGUUGCCAUAGAAGAAUCAAAGGACUUGAGUACCAUGACUAUUGAUGAACUCACAGGUUCGUUGCAAGCCCAUGAAGAAAGAUUAAACAAGAAGAAAAAGGAAGUAGAUCUAGAUCAAGCACUUCAGUCAAAGUUGUCUCUAAAUGAGAAUAAGGGAGAUUUUAAAAAUCAAAGAGGGAGAGAUCGUGGUCGUGGAAGAGGAAGAAAUUUUAGAGGAAGAGGCUCAAAUGCUCGUGAAAGAGGUGAAGAUGUAAGCAUGGAGAAUGGAUGGAAAGAAGCCAACCAAAGUCAAAAUUUUAGAGGAUCACAAAGAGGACGUGGACGUAGAAAUCAAAGAGGAAGAGGUCGUGGCUAUUUUGAAUGUUAUAAUUGUCGCAAACCUGGUCAUUUGGCAAGUGAAUGCUGGUACAAAGAAGAAGAGAAAAAUGAAGCUAAUAUAGUACAAAAUAAUCAAGAGCAAAAGCAAGAAACUUUGUUGCUCGUAUCUCAUGGUGGAGAGAUUGAUGAUGUCUGGUACAUAGACAGUGGUGCUAGCAAGCAUAUGACAGGUAACAAAAAUUUAUUUUCGAAGUUCUUUGAAUCUGAUUGUGGAGAAGUAAAAGUAGGAGAUGGCAAAGCUUACAAAGUUAGCGGUGUUGGUGAGUUGGAGUUCAAAACAAAGCAAGGAAGGGUAGAGAAAAUGUCUGAAGUUUAUUUUGUUCCUGGUCUUAAAAAUAAUCUGCUUAGCGUUGGGCAUCUCUUGAAGAAGGGGUAUGAUAUUCAUUUCCGAGACAUGGCUUGCUAUUUAUCAAAGAAAAAUCAGGUUGUUGCUAGAGUUGGAGUGGCAUCAAAUAAUCUUUUCUCUCUUACCCUUCAAAAUCAGAAUAUGUCUUGUUUUAUUGGUGCUCAUAAAGGAAUUUCAAAGUUAUGGCAUGAUAGAUAUGGACAUUUAAACUAUGGAAAUUUGGAGAUGCUUUCAAGGAAGAUGAUGGUUAGAGGUUUACCAAAAAUCGAUCGGCUUGAUGAUGUUUGUGAAGCAUGUCAACUUGGAAAGCAACAUAAAAUUGCUUUUCCUUCUCAAUCCUCGUGGAAAGCAAGAAGACCAUUGCAACUUAUUCACUCAAAUCUUUGUGGUCCAAUGACAGUUUCAUCUUUAGGAGGUAAUCGUUACUUUAUCUCUUUCAUUGAUGAUUACUCAAGAAAGUUAUGGGUGUAUUGUGUCAAAGAAAAAUCAGAGGCUUUUCAGAGAUUCAAAGAUUUCAAGGCAGAAGUGGAGAACUUUACUGGGUUGAAAAUUAACACCUUGCGUACAGAUCGUGGAGGUGAAUAUUUUUCAAAAGAAUUUGAGAAAUAUUGCCGAGAUAGUGGCAUCCGGCAUGAAAUGACAGUCCGCCAUACACCUCAGCAAAAUGGUGUGUGUGAAAGAAAGAACAGAACAAUUAUGGAAAUGGCUAGAUGUCUUCUUAAUAAGAAGAGGUUAUCAAGAAGAUUUUGGGCUGAAGUUGUUUCCUGUGCAGUUUAUCUUAUAAACAGAUCACCGACAAGAAGCUUGGAGAAUUACACACCACAUGAGGCGUGGUAUGGUAUAAAGCCUAGUGUUAGUCAUCUUAGAGUAUUUGGGAGUGUUGCCUACUCUCUAUUCCAGAUGCAAUGAGAAGCAAGUUGGAUGACAAGUCAGAGAAAUGCAUUUUUAUUGGCUAUAGUGAAAGAAGUAAGGCAUACAAGUUGUAUAAUCCGGUGACAAAGAAGAUUGUGAUAAGCCGAGAUGUUCGGUUUGAUGAAAAUUCCAUGUUUGAAGAUAUGGAAGUUGAAAAGGAAAAUUUGCCAAUUUUUCCUUUUGAACUUGAAGAAGAAGAAGAGGCAGUAAUUGAGAAUGCUGAAGAUGAUGCUCAAGUAGAAAAUCCUCCUGCUUCCCCAUGUUCUUCAUCAAAUUCUUCUUCAUCCAGCCCGAUCCGAAAAACGAGAAGCAUCCAAGAGUUAUAUGAUGUAACGGAUGAAGUUGUGCAAAAUGAUGCUGUAUUCUUUGCCUUCUUUGCAGGAGAAGAUCCAAUUUCUUUUGAUGAUGCAUAUCAAGAAGAAAUAUGGAGGAAAGCCAUGAAAUAAGAGAUUUUCUCAAUUGAAAACAAUGAUACAUGGGAACUCACAGAUUUACCGCCGCACAAGAAUUCAAUUGGAGUCAAAUGGGUGUACAAGACAAAGAUGAAUCCGAAUGGCUCUAUCAACAAGUACAAGGCAAGACUGGUUGCAAAAGGAUACAAGCAAAAGGAAGGAGAAGAUUUUACAGAGGUAUUUGCUCCAGUUUCAAGACUUGAGACAGUUCGGUUACUUAUUUCUCUUGCUGCCCAAAAUAAUUGGAAAAUAUUCCAAAUGGACGUAAAAUCUGCGUUUUUGAAUGGUGUUCUCAAAGAAGAAGUCUAUGUUGAUCAACCACCAGGGUUUGUCAAAAAAGGAGAAGAAGAAAAAGUUUACAAGUUGAAGAAAGCUUUGUACGGGUUGAAGCAAUCACCCAGAGCAUGGUACAGCCGCAUCGAUUCUUAUUUUCAGAAGUGUGGAUUCCAGAAAUCUCCAUAUGAGCAUACUCUCUACAUCAAAGGCAAUUAUCAAGGAAGAUUCAUGGUUGUAAGUCUCUACGUUGAUGAUCUUAUUUUCACAGGAAAUGAUGUGAAGAUGUUGAAAGAAUUUCAGCACUCAAUGAUGGCAGAAUUUAAGAUGACAGAUUUGGGAGAACUUCAUCAUUUUCUUGGCAUUGAAGUUCAUCAAUCCGAGAAAGGAAUUUUUAUUUCACAAGAGAGCUACGCAAAGGAAGUUCUAAAAAAAUUCAUGAUGGAAAAUGCGAAUCCAGUCUCUACUCCAUGCAUUACAGGUCUGAAGUUAUCUAAAGAGGGUGAAGGAAAGCUUGUCAAUUCCACCAUAUUCAGAAGUUUGGUUGGGAAGUUGAUGUAUCUGACUUCGACAAGGCCUGAUAUCGUGUAUGUUGUUAGCUUGGUAAGUAGAUUCAUGGAGAAACCUUACUCCAAUCACUGGGAGGCUGCCAAGAGAAUAUUGAGAUAUGUGAAGGGAACCAUUGAUUAUGGAAUUUUCUAUAAAUCUAAUACAUUAGUUGAUCUCAUUGGUUAUACGGAUAGUGAUUUAGCAGGAAGCAUUGAUGAUAGCAGAAGCACUUCUGGUUAUGUUUUUCACCUUGGUAGUGGUGCAGUUUCAUGGAGUUCAAAGAAACAAUCAAUUGUGGCGCUUUCGACUAUAGAAGCUGAAUAUAUCGCUGCAUCUUAUGCAGGAUGUCAAUUGAUUUGGUUACGUGGAAUUUUGGAAAGUCUUAAGCAGAAGCAAAGCAAGUCAACAAUUUUGUUUUGUGACAAUAGUUCUACUAUUUCGGUCACAAAAGAUCCAAUUCUUCAUAGAAGGACAAAACACAUUCGCAUUCGAUAUCACUUCUUGAGAGAACUAGUGAAUAAUGGUGAUGUUCAAGUUGAAUAUUGCAAGACGGAAGAUCAGAUGGCUGAUAUCUUCACAAAGCCUCUAAGUGGACAAGUCUUCAAGAAAAAUGUUGAAAGGUUGGGAGUUCAAAGCAAGUUUAAUUUAAGGGAGGCAUUGUUGGCACAUAAUUAAAUUAACCUUGCACAAAUAAAUUAUGAAAAGUUAGAAGAGUGAAGAGACUUGAAUAUGAAAAGUGAAAAAACUUGAAUAUGAAUAGUGAAGAGACUUGAAGAUGAAAAGUUAAGAGGCUUGAAUAUGAAAAGAUACACACAUGCAUGAAUAGUCACAACUCCUAGCAUAUAGUGAUAUAGAUGAAUAGUCACUUACAACUCUUAUAUAAAGAGUUAUAUGUGAUGAAGAAUUAUUAACUUUGUGUGCUUGAAAUAAAAGAUUAUUUGAAAGAAUUUUUUCAUACAAAAUUUAUUUCUCUUCUCCAUUAUAUUCUUUAUCAUUUUCUUUGUUUUAUUUCUCCAAAUAUUAAUCAUUCAACUACAGAUAGGUCCAACCAUUCAAGACUUGUCAAAUCCCCUACUGAGGUAGGGAUACCACUAUUAAGGUUAUUAUGAGAAAGGUUGAGCCCUUUCAGUAAGUUAAGCUUCCCAAUAACCUUUGGAAUCUCCCCUUCAAACUGAUUGCUUGAUAGAUCAAUGAUCACCCACAUAGUGAAAAUUUUCACCAAUUCCACGUCUUGUCCUUUCAUAACAAUUCCAAUGGAAUAGGCAUAGAAGUCAUCUCCAUCAUUCACCCCCAUGUACGACACUGUACUACUAACCUUCUCUAGAUUUAUGAUAGCCUUGAAGCUGUUGAUGUAUCUCACUAGUAGGGGUCCAGAAAAAUAAUUACUUGAGAGGUCAAAAAUUUGGAUUUUAGAGAAAAAAGGGCUAGACUUGGAGUUAUUGACACACAGGGAACCAUGCAUUUGAUUUGACUUUAGUACAAGAACUUGUAGCUGUGGAAGACUUCCCAACCAAUGAGGAAAUGUAUCAUUGAUCUUGUUGUUACCAAGAUCUAGUACUUCCAGACCUCUACAAUUAAGGAUGGAUGGUGUCAAAGGCCCUCCUAACAGAUUUCCAUUUAAAUUGAAAUUACUCAAUUGGCAUCCCAUUGCAAAUGUUGGAGGAAUCGUCCCAUAGAACUUGUUCUUCUUCAGAUUCAAGAAUUGAAGGCUGUUGCUCAAAUUUCCAAAACACUGCGGAAUUGUUCCACUCAAGUAAUUGUGGGACAAAUCAAGAAUUUGAAGAUAAGUGGCAUUGCAUAUUAAUGAAGAGACCUCUCCAUUGAAACAAUUAUUUGAGAUCAAAAAGACAGUGAUGGUCGAAGCUGGAAUCGGAAGAUUUCCACUGAUCAAAUUGGAGCUUAAGUCAAGAACAUCAAUAUUCUUCCAUGGAAAGUGCUCAGCUUCUGUCAAAGAGUUGUGAAAUACAUUUAAGUAAGUCAAAGAGCCAUUCCCCACCUCUUGCAUCCACUAUGGAAUCUUGCCUUUAAUUUUGUUGCAAGAGAGGUCUAAGCUUUCCAAACUUUUAAGCCCUUUUAAAAAUUGGGGGAAUUCACUAAGAUUGCAAGAUGACAAAAAUAACCAUUCAAGAUUUCCACUGAUCAAAUUGGAGCUUAAGUCAAGAACAUCAAUAUUAUGACGAUAUAUAAGUUUCCCUUUAUUUUUUAAAAAAAAACCUCGUCUCGAGAUAUCGAAAGGUCAUAUCCAAUGAGUUAGGACACAACGUUUUGAAUUCCCGAGAUAAGCUUUAAUUUGAAAUUUUUAUAUUUUAAUUAAAAAAUGAUACUCAGUUACUUAAAUUCAACGAGGAAAAUUGGAGCCCAGUAAGUUAGGGCACAUUCUUCUCGAAAAUCUUGGAUACCGGGUAUUACGUUAUUUUGAAAACCUUUGAAUAAAACGAUUUCUAUACUUUGAUUAAAUGCAACCUUUUAAACGAAUAAAAUGCGAUGGAACAAUAACAUACAACCCGAAGUGAUAAUUCGUAAACUAAAAUAUAUGCUAAUGAUUGACAAGGAAUCAAUGAAUACGAGUAAGCAAUACAAUACAUCAUAUAAGAGCAACAAUCUCAUAUCCCACAUUAUGCAAAUACUAACGUCCAUAUUAGCAAGCUAAAUGAAUUAAAAGUUAAUUAAAGAACAGCAAGCAAAUUAAUGUAAAUCUAAUAUAACAAGCUUUAAAAUAAAAUAAAAAUAAAAAUCAUGAAAGAGAGGAAAGUGCUAAGGGAUAAGAUUGAAGGCCCGUAAUAUGAUCGCAAGACAAAGAAGCACGCUCUGUUAUGGAAAAAGAGUUCUUGAACUGGAUUAAUGAAGAGCAGGAGUGAGAUCCUGAAGAAGAAAAAGAAGCAUAAAGAUGGGGAAAAAAGAGGAAUAGGGAGAGAAAGAGAUAGGAGGCCAUGUUAUGUUUGUAGAGGAAGAAGGAUAGGAAUGGUAUUUAUAGGCAACAAAUAAUACCACAACAUUGGUGUUACAGUCUUUUUUUUCUUUUACAUUGAAAUGCUACAGAUAUUAGAUUUUCAAAAUAUUUGUAUUUUUCACAAUCAUCAACACUUAGUCGUCAUUUUACCAUAUAUUUUUCAUUCUUUUUUUUUUUAACAAAAUCUUGUAUAUCAUUUGGACUCGCUAAACAACUAAAAAAAUAAAGAUUGAUGAGAUUACAAAGUAGAUUGACUUAGUCUUCUUCCCUAUAACAUGUAAAGAAUGUAUGUGUCUAUUCAAUUGCCUGUCAACCAAAGCUUAUUAAUGUGGAAAUUCUUUUCCACACAAAAGAACAAAAUUGUGCUCUAUUCAGCUACGUUUGAGGAAGGAGACGGCUGGAAAUUUAAUCCACCGAUUCCAUAAAAACGUGUAUAUUUAUUUAUAAAUAUAUAUAUAACCUCAUGAUUCAAAUCUAAAAUCUCAUUUGUUAUAAAUUCUUAUAAAUUUAUUUGGGAAUAGUUAUUUUUCAUUCGUUAAUUAUUUCUCUUUUAGCCGUGAAACUUAUAUGGUUCGUUAAAUCGCCCCAAAAAAUGAUAAAAAAGAUUAACAAAACUAGCCCCUACGUGGCUGAUGUUGACCCUUAGUAGUUAAUGGCAACUCCUAUGUAAUUGUUAACAGAUACCACAGCAACAAUGUUUGUUGACGUGACAAUGCCACAUGACCAAUAAUCGUUGUCAUGGUAGUGCCACGCCGUCACCCAUUGAUGACAUAUUAACCUUCGAGUUAAACUCAAAUUGCUCUUUCCUUUGUUAUAAAUUAAGAGUAUAACUAAUUUUGAUAAGAAUAGUUACUUUUCAUUAACUCAGUUUAAAGGACUAUAACACGUAAAGUUUGGUCUAUUGCAGAAUUCACAUGCAAUGCGGGAUAUUUACAUUUUGAAGAAUUCAACACAUAUAUGGGAAUUUUUGUAUUUCCACAAUCAUAAUUUUGUUAGUGAUCAACAACUACUUCCUCCUUACCAUAUAUUUUUCAUUCAUAAAAUUGAUUACUUUUUUUAUCAAAGAAGUAAAAUAAUUAACAUUCUUAAGAUUACAAAGUCUUCUUCCUUAUAACACGUAAAGUUUAGUUCCAAAUAAUUUUCCACAAAAAAAAGACCAUCAAUUGUCGAUUGACUAUACUUUAACUCCAAAAAAAAGACUAAGACUAUCAAUUGUCUAUUGACUACACUUUAACUCGACAAAAAAGGACUAAGACUAAGACUUUCAAUUGUCUAUUGACUUCACACUUGCGGUUGCUUCCUCCUAUCUCUCUCACCCAAACUUAAUUUAGAAGCAAUGGGGAAAUUUUGGACAUUUGGGCCACAAUGAACAAUACUUCCACACCAUUUGCAGUAUUGACUACGUUUACUUGAGGGAAAACAAAGACAUGAAUGCUGGAAAUUUUAACUAGUUUGUACCGUCAAUGAAGCUACGUACCUAAAAGCCUUUUAGGAUAUCAAUUCCUGUAAUUGGAUUAAUCUCAUCGUUGCUGCAAUCUUUUGACAGUGUAAUCGAAUCUUAAAUAUGUUACUCUGCAAUGCUGUUGUAAAAAUUACUCUUAAAAUUGUCGAUAGAUAUAUAGGUUUGGCACAAAAUUAAGAAUACACAAAGGCAGGUUGAAUUAUUCCAUGUUUGAACAUAAAUUCAUAUGGCAAAAGGGCCCAAACCAUACCUUAUGUUCAUGAAUUCUCAUCAUCACAUGUUUAUAAAUGCAUCUCAAAACUUGAAUAAUUGAAUCUUUUGUAAUUCUACAUGUAUUUUUUUUUAUGGUGAGCAGUAUAAUGUUUACUAAAAAUUGAAAUUCAAGAAAGAAGACAUACAUAGUUGCACCAUACAAGUUGUUACACUCGAACUAAACCCUUACAAAUAGUACGAGAUGCAAUGAAAUACAGAGGAAUUGGUACAAUCAUAAAGACAGACACAUACCAAUGCAACUUUUCACCAUAGGAAAAACUUUCUGACAGACUACUAAACAAGAAAUUAUGAAGACACAGCAGAAAUGCUUUGACUUCUUUUGCACCAACUAGAUCCUUCUUCAUCCAUUGAUGCGAUUGCUAUAUUUUGGCUUUCUUCUUCGCCUCUUCUCAUGUUGGUUUUCAACCAAAUUCACAAACCUUUUCACCUUACCGGUUUGGAAAACAACAUAUCCCAUGGCCAUUCCAAACACUACCCCGCAUCCACAACCUAUCAACACCACUAUCCAACCAAAAGCAAUGUUUGCUUUUGAGCCAUCCUUUUCCAGCACAUUUGGAGGUGGUGUCUCAUUGAUGCUGCAACCUUUGGAGACUGGGAAUCCACAUAGUCUCUGUUUCCUUCAUAUGAAUUGUUUCGAAAUGUAUUGACAAUCUGACCAUGGAGUUGAUUUUCAGAAACGUUUAAGAAGAAAAGAAAUGCCGGAUCUGCCAAUAUCUCUGGAAUUAACUCAGUUCAAAUGACCAUAUAACUCGUAAAGUUUGGUCGAAGACUGGCAGCGUCUAUUGACUUCAACUCUUGCUAUUACCUCAAGAAGAAAGACUGCUACAAUUCUAUCUUCUUUAAACCAGCUAUUUAAAAGCAAUAAGGACAUUAAAUCCACCAAUUUAUCUUUGAAGUCAUUCGUCAUGCAGCUCUGCUAUGUACGAUUAUUGGCAAAAAUCUUGAAAGGAGACAACCUCAAAUUUGAAGACAAGAAAUGAGCAAGAACAUGCACCAACGAAGAAUCGAUUAUUGUUUUGUAUUUGGUAAAUACAAUUUGAGUUAAAUAAUCAAGAAUGAUAGUGAAUAAAUAAGGAAAAACAAUGUAGAUUCAGAACCACAAUAAAUCAUAUUAAGCUCAUGAGUUUAUAAUAUAUAUCUCUGCAGCUUGAUUGCCUUGUUAGCUAUAAACAUAACCUGUUAAUUCCAUCAUUAAUACCAUUAGAUAUAUUUUGAUGGGGGAGAUUUUUUAGUAGGAAAACAGUUGAAGUCAUUCAAGAAGACAUAAACAGCUGCAACUACGUAAGAGUUUAACUUUGAGAAUAGAUCCUUACACGUUAUUGAAAUGCCAUACUAAAGAUAAAGACAUAUAGCUAAACGUUAGACACACCAUAAAAAUAUAUAUAGGUAAAGUGAUAGGGUGUGAGUAAGGAGGCCAUGCUAUGUUUUCAAAUAAGAUUAUCAUGGUAUGAAUUAUGAGAACCCUAUUUAUAGGAAGAACAAAACCGAUAUGAAACUAAGAAUAUAGUCCAUUGAUAAUGAAGAAUCUAAGAAAUUUAAUGGAAAUUGUGGAUAAGCAUCGUGUUUUUAUCUCUGAUGGAGAAAAGCUAAGAGUGUGAGGAAGACCAACUGUCAAUGUCACCCAAACCGAAUCUACAAGUCACCACAAUGUACAGUAAUUCAAAGCAGGAAAAGUUCAUAGUUUCAGAGUAAAUAACACUUCAAUGAUUGUAUUAUAGAAAACAUGUGUAUCCUAUAUAUGUUGAACAAUAUUAUCUAACAAACAUAUUUUCCAAAAGACUAGAAAAUUUGUGAUUAAAUGCUAAAGUUACAUAUUUUAUGUAAUUAAAUUGGUUAAUUUAUGAGAGUGCACCACUAAUUUUUCCAUGUUUUUGUUGAAUUUUGUGCAGGGGUGCAAUUUGGGGCUAAAUAGAAGAAAAAGGAAACAAUUGGGCUAGAUUGAAGAGAGAAGCAAAGAAGGAGGGCCAAAACAGAAUUUUUCCAGAUUAAUUAGCUGAAAUUUUUGUUGACUUAGUGGGAGAUUAUUUUGGGAUUUUUUUUUAUAUCAUGGAAUAUUUUUCCUUAAUUUUCUAUACUAGUUGGCUUUUAAUUUAGCAAGGCCACUAGUAUAAAUAGAGGCUACAUUGUUCAUUUUAAUCAUCAAGUCUUGAAUCAAUUCAUAAAUCAAGCUUUCAUCUUUCAAUACAUUCUCUCUUUUCUACUCACAAAUUUAUUUGUUGUUUUUAGUUUCAUUUACUUUCAAUCCAUUAAUUUCCAGCUUGUUACCACUUAAACCAUUUUCAAUUUCUUUUUCAAACUUUCUUUCCAUCUCCAGUAGCUAAUUCACUUUAUUACACCCCCAAAAUUCCAGCCCCCCAAACUAAAUCACGCCACCCAUUCCUUUCACCCAUUUUACCUUAUUUAAUUUAUCCAAUACCAACAUGCCCCAAACCUUAGCCAACUAAAUUCAUUUCCAGCUUUAGGUCGGAAUUAGCCUCGUCAAAACCCGUGAGUUACGAACCCGAGCAAAUUAACUCCUAAAUUUUAGUACUUAUUAUUUCUCCGGAUUAAGAGUAUGAUUUUGUCAACUCACAAAGUCAGAUCAACAUUAAGUUAAAAAAGACGUCGUUUGAUUUAGUGUGGUUAGACGUACAGUUGGAAUUCCAAAAAGAUCGAUUCUAAUCGGUUUUCUGUGAACACAUUGGCGUGCCAAUUGGAGAUUGCUGUUUGGUUCCGUCAAGGGAAGUAGUAACCCGAUUUAAAUGUCCCACGCGGUUGAGGGCAUUGGUUCGAGCUAGGGUUUUCUAGAACGCAAAGCUGCCGGAGUUCUAAAUCACGAACAUUUCGUGGUUGUUCGAUCAGUAAGGGUUAGUUAUUGGACGUUCCAUAACUAAUUUACACAAGGAAGAGUUAGUGUCUGAGGCGUCCUUGGUAGCUAUAACUAGCUUAUUGGAAAAGAGGAGUUCAUCUAAUUUUGAGAAUCGGUUCAAAGACGAGGAAAAUUCGUGCCUAAAGCUGAGCUUAUUCUAAUUAAAUUUUCUUCAUAUUUAUUUAACUAUUUUAAUUAUUCUGUUUUCAACUUUAUCUUUUCACGCAUUUUAUUUAUUUAUUUCAGGUCUUCAAAUUUUAUCCCCCCGAACUUCUUGGGCACGACAACUGCCCCAACAUAAAUCUGGUCAAAAUAGAAACAAUUUGCAGUAAACCCAGUCUCUGAGGGAUCGACCCUACUCCCUAUACUGUUUAAAUCGCAAAUUAGGCGUAGGUUUAUAUUGGUGGAUUCGACACCCAUCAAUUUGUAUGUCAUUUUCUAUUACUUGCAAGAAAACUACAGGGGAAAUUGCAUUUCUAAUUCAUCCAUAGGCUUUAAAUUCAAACAAGAAAAAGGAAAAAGAAUAUAUAUAUAUCAACAGGAAACUUCAAGGAGAGAAAUUUUGUUACAUCAAUUUUCCAGUCAUAUUUAAUCUUUACCCAAAGUUGAUUCUAGAUUAAAUUUGGAAAAAAUUAAAAAAGAGGACAUGUAUUUUUUUUUAUUUUUGAAAAGUAAAGGAUUAUAUCUCAGCCAAAUAAAAAAGUCACAAUGCAAAGCCAAGAGCCAAAGCCAAGCCAAGCACACACUCAACUAGCAGACAUAACUCAUACAGGACCUAGAUGUAUUAUUGAACUCUUAUAUAAAAGACAACUGAAGAUGCAAAGCUUAAUUGUUAAGCUUUUCUGAUGCUUGAUAAGCAUAGUUUUAGUUCAGUUCCGAAAUCUAAACUGCUUUGCUAUGGGAUUAUUUUUAUAAGUACAUUGAGAUCAAUGCAUGCUAUUGCGAUUUAUUAUCUUUGAUGCCAAGGAAAUGACAGAAUUCAAAGACCAAAAGGUUCGAUUACAUACUAGAUCAUGGAUGUAAGCCAAUCUACAACCUCUCUCCUCGACCUCCAUGUGAAACCAGCAUGAUUUGAAUUCUCAGCCGCAUAUACCCUCACAAACUCCUCAGCAACAACAUAAAACAUAUACCUAACACUCCUUUGAGAACCGAUAACUGCACAGACAGAUUCACUAAUGGAAGCCUUCAAGAAAUAUUGAACCACACAAUUACCACACUUCUGUGAAAUAAACUUGUUGGUGCAAAGAGACAACAAUAGACUGUUUUCAAUCUUGCUUGUAUAGCAAGCCUCGAGCCUUGCUGAAGAAACAAACUCAAAAGCAAGAACAGAAACACAUGCGAAUGAAAAACAAAAGAAAUUGAGAGAGAGAGUAUUUUGAAUGAAAAGAGCUGAUAUUUCAUUAACAAAUCCAGAAGGCAUAAUGCCAUUACAUAUAAUAGAUAACAACAACAAAAUGAACAAGUCUUUACCUAAUGACAUACCUAACACCACUAAAUUUACAUUGGAAAUUGUUAAUCAGCUUGCUUAAGUUUCUUUGCUGAUUUUUUCAGUCAAUCAAUCAACAAAAAACAUCAUAAGGUUUACCAACUUAGUUCAACAUGAACUAGAUUACAAAAUAAUAAUUAAAAAUACAAUCAAAACAUAACAAGUAGUUAGGCAACUUUAAGCUCCAGUUUCUGCACUUCAUAGCUCGACUGCUUGCUGCCACUUCUCCUUGCAUGGCCACCUUUGCAUGUCUUGCAUGGGAACUAAAUUCAACACUCCUCCUUAGUUUCCAUGCUAGUGACACCUAAUUGCCUUCUUAAUUUAACAAAUUUAGACACAUUGAGUGCCUUUGUAAAGAUAUCAGCAAUUUGCUCUUCUGAAUUGCAAUGAACCAGCUCGAUUUCAUGAGCUUGCUCCAUCUCCCUUAUGACAUGUAGCUUGAUGUUGAAGUACUUUGCUCUACCAUGAAAGAUAGGAUUCUUUGCAAUUGCAACAGCAGAUUUGUUGUCACAGUAAAUCUCUGUUGCCUUUCCUUGAUUUUGAUUUAAAUCAGCUAGGAUUUUUCUAAGCCAUAUGGCUUGAUUUACAGCAGAUGCAGCAGCAACAUAUUCAGCUUCUGCUGUUGACUGUGCUACCAGACUUUGCUUUUUAGAACUCCAGCAAAACAUGCCUGAGCCAAGACUAAAGGCAUAUCCAGAUGUGCUUCUCAUGUCAUCACAAGAUCCAGCCCAGUCACUAUCAACAUAGCCUAUUAGCUUCAUGUUUAUAGCCCUUUUGAACAAUACACCAUGAUCAAUGGUGCCUUUGAUGUAUCUAAGCACUCUUUUAGCUGCUUGAAAGUGCUGAUCAUUGCAGCAAUUCAUGUAUCUGGAUAGCACACUAACAGCAAACAUGAUAUCGGGUCUUGUUGCAGUCAAAUACAACAGACUACCAAUGAGACUUUUGUACAUAGUCUCGCAAAUUGGUUCACCACUCCCUUGCCUCGAAAGCUUCACUCCAACAGCCAUUGGUGUGCUUGUUGGCUUGCAGUUCUUCAUAGAGAACUUAUCCAGGAUCUUCAUAGUAAAAGAACUCUGACUAAGAAAGAUUCCCUUUGCUGUUUGCUUCACUUCCAUUCCAAGGAAGUAGUUCAUUCUGCCUAAAUCAGACAUUUCAAACAUUUCCAUCAUUUUUCUUUUGAAAUCUUCCAGCAUUCUUCUAUCUCCUCCAGUCACCAAUAAAUCAUCAACAUAGAGUGACAGGAUAAGCUGAGUUUCAGCUUGGUUCUUCUUCACAUACAGUGUUGGUUCACUGAGACUUCUCUCGAAUUCCAAACUGAGCAAGUAAGAAUCAAUUCGAGCAUACCAGGCUCAAGGAGCCUGUUUUAGGCCAUACAAAGCCUUUUUCAGUCUGUACACCUUGUGUUCUUUGCCAGUGACCACAAAUCCUUGAGGCUGUUCGAUGUAGAUCUCUUCUUCCAGGAAACCAUUGAGAAAUGCAGACUUAACAUCAAGCUGAUGAAUGGUCCACUGAUGUUGAGCAGCCAAGGCAACUAUCAUUCUAACUGUGUCAAGCCUGGCUACUGGUGCAAAUGUCUCCAGAUAGUCCAGACCAUACCUUUGGCUAAAACCUUUGACAACAAGCCUGGCUUUUAGCUUGUUCAGACUGUCAUCUGCAUUCUGUUUUGCUCGAUAGACCCAUUUUACUCCAAUGGUCUUCUUUCCAGUAGGUUUAUCAACUAGCUCCCAUGUCUGGUUCUUCUCAAUCAUGUUGAUUUCAUCGACCAUAGCUAGUUUCCAGCCUUCAUCUGCCUCAGCCUCUUCAAAACUGCUAGGUUCUGCUAUUGCAACCUGUGCCCUUUCAUAAAUAUCAUCUAGGGGCCUUGUGCCUCUCACAAGCACAUCAUCAACAUCCAUUUCAGGUCCUAGCUGCUCAAGUUCAGCUUGAUUAGGCACCAGGUCUUCUGAAGCAGCUUCUGGUUCAUUCUUUUCCCAAUUCCAACAAGCCUUCUCAUCGAAGAUGACAUCUCUGCUCACUUGAACUAUGUUUGUCAAAGGAUCCAGCACCCUGUAGCCCUUCUUAACUGAGCUAUAGCCUACUAGAACACCUGGUUGAGCCCUUUCAGAGAGCUUGUCUCUCUUAACUGCUGGUAUUUGUGCAUAACACAGGCAACCAAACACCUUCAGAUGUACCAAGGAAGGCUUGAAACCGGACCAAGCCUCGAAAGGUGUUUUGGAUGCAAGAGCUUUGGUAGGAAGCCUAUUUUGAAGGUAGACAGCAGUGUUUACUGCCUCAGCCCACAUGGUCUUGGGCAGUUUCUUCUCAAACAGCAGGCACCUGGCCAUAUCCAUCAAGCUUCUGUUCUUUCUUUCUGAUACCCCAUUCUGCUGAGGUGUGUAGACAUUUGUAAGCUGGUGUUUGAUACCAGCAUCAUUGCAAAUGGCUUGAAACUGAGCUGAAGUGUACUCAGUGCCAUUGUCUGACCUUAUCGAUUUCAGCUUGCAACCUGUUUCUGUCUCUACAGCAAUUUUAAACUUCACAAACACUUGAGCUACCUCAAACUUGUGUUUUAAGAAGAAAAUCCAGCAAAACCUUGUAAAAUCAUCAAUGAAGAGGAUGAAAUACCUAUUUUUCUUGAGUGAUUCAGUCCUCAUCGGGCCACAUACAUCAGAGUGCACCAGCUGUAGUUUUUUAGUAGCUCUCUAAGCUGAAUUUGUAGGAAAUGGCAGUCUUGCCUGUUUCCCCAUCUGGCAAACUUCACACACAUCAUCAUGCUCCACUGAGCUAGUAAAGUUCUCUGCCAAGCCUUCUUUGGCCAUUCGAGCCAAUGAUCUGAAGUUGGCAUGCCCAAGCCUUUGAUGCCAAAGCUUGGAAUCAUCAACAGAGGCUGUAUAUGCAGACUUUGAGUCAUUUGGCCAGUGUACCUCAAAGCAUUUGUUAGUCAUUGUGACUGUCAUAAGGCUUGAUCCACUUGGAUCAGCAAUGUGGCACUGUUUGUUCUUGAACACAACAGAAUAGCCUUUCUUGAGCAAUUGAGCUAUGCUGAGAAGGUUUCUGUCGAUUUCUGGCACUAACAGCACAUUUGGAAUGAUCUUGUUGCCUGUGGGGGUACAUAUCAGCACCUCUCCUCUUCCUUCAGCCCUUAUGAACUGACCAUUUCCAACCUUGACCUUGGUUUUACAACUUCUAUCCAAGGUUUUAAAUAAGGAGGCAUCUGGUGACAUGUGGUUAGUGCAACCACUGUCCAAUAACCAGCCUUUUGAGCAUUUCUUCUCAGCAGCUAAGAAAGAAACAGCAAAGACCUGCUCUUCUUGAUCACUACUGUCCUCAGCUACUCGAGCUUCAACCUUUGGUUGUUGAAAUUGACUCUGCCUUGACUUGGUUUUAUUUUUGCAAACCCUUUCAACAUGGCCUUUCUUCUUGCAGUGUUGGCAUACUGCAUCUGGCCUGAACCAGCAUCUGUCUUCUGGAUGACCUGGCCUCUUGCAAUGUCUGCAGGGCUGGUCAUUGCUCCUUGCAGUAUCAGGCUUAGGCCUGCUUUUCCAAGGCUUUUUACCUCUUGGAGCAUUGAUGCUCGAGGCUUCUCUGGCCUUGGCAUUGAAUGCACCUUCCUGGUGGUCUUCAGCUCUGCUAGCUCUCCUUUGUUCCUGAGCAUAGAAAGUGUUGAUUAGCUCAGUCAAAGAGAUGGUAGCAAGGUCUCUUGAGUCCUCAAGAGAGGAUAUCUUGGCCUCAUAUCUCUCAGGCAAAGUGGAGAGAACUUUCUCUACUAUCCUUGCCUCAUCAAAGUGCUCACCAAGGAGCCUUAUACUGUUAACCACUGCCAUGAUUCUAUCUGCAUACUGCUUCACUGUUUCUUCUUCCUUCAUCUUCAGGUUCUCAAAAUCCCUUCUCAAAUUCAAUAGCUGUUGUUGCCUUGUUCUCUCAGUGCCUUGAAACUCCUCCUUAAGCUUAUCCCAUGCCUGUUUUGGAGUCUCACAGGCCAUAAUUCUGGUGAAGAUGACAUUUGACACACAAUUCUGAAUGCAGGACAUGGCUUUGUGCCUUUUGGUCCUCUCAUCAGCAUGUUGCCUAAUCUGAGCUACUGUGGGAUUGGCCCUCAGUGGUGCUGGCUCAGCAUCUGUGUUGACAACUUCCCACAGAUCAAAGGCCUGUAGGUAAGUCUUCAUCUUGACCAGCCAUAUGUGAAAGCCUUCUCCAUUGAAGACUAGUGGGGCUGCUGGUGAAAAACUUGAGGAAGACAUUCAGCUUUCUUAGUUUGAUAAAACAGGUCCACUAAGAAUGAAGCUCUAGAUACCAAUUGUUGGUGCAAAUAGACAACAACAGACUGUUUUCAAUCUUGCUUGUAUAGCAAGCCUCGAGCCUUGCUGAAGAAACAAACUCAGAAGCAAGAACAGAAACACAUGCGAAUGAAAAACAAAAGAAAUUGAGAGAGAGAGUAUUUUGAAUGAAAAGAGCUGAUAUUUCAUUAACAAAUCCAGAAGGCAUAAUGCCAUUACAUAUAAUAGAUAACAACAACAAAAUGAACAAGUCUUUACCUAAUGACAUACCUAACACCACUAAAUUUACAUUGGAAAUUGUUAAUCAGCUUGCUUAAGUUUCUUUGCUGAUUUUUUCAGUCAAUCAAUCAACAAAAAACAUCAUAAGGUUUACCAACUUAGUUCAACAUGAACUAGAUUACAAAAUAAUAAUUAAAAAUACAAUCAAAACAUAACAAGUAGUUAGGCAACUUUAAGCUCCAGUUUCUGCACUUCAUAGCUCGACUGCUUGCUGCCACUUCUCCUUGCAUGGCCACCUUUGCAUGUCUUGCAUGGGAACUAAAUUCAACAAAACUCCUUCUGCCACUCGAAACAAUGACCAUUCCAAACAUUUUGAUAGACAAUACACAAUUUGCUUCACUACUUACUCACAUAGCCAAAAAAUAUCCAAUGAAACUGGCAAAGGGUUCUUCCAAAAUGGUACAUUAGCUGCCAAAAAGACAACCACCAUAUAUUCCUUCAUUCAGUAAACAGCUUCAAUAUGGAAAUAAGUUAUUAUCUUAAAAAUGCUUUUUCUACCACAGAAGAAUAAGAACUAGGCAUCUCAGAAAAUUUGCUAAAUUAAUGACUUUGCUCCCUUCAAAAUAAACAAAUGAUUAACUGCAUUAUCCCAAAGAGGUCACCAUCAACCUCCAGUUGAACUUUCAAGGAAUAAUAAUAAAAAAUAGAAGGAAAUAAGGGGGAAAAAACCCAACCAGAACUCAGUAAUAGCUGAGCCUUGAAGAUCUGUAGGUAGUAAGAGAAAAACCCCAUGACGACUAAAGUCCAGGCUUGAAAGAACCAAAAGGGAGCAACAUAUGACUAUGAUUCACUGGACCAAGAGAAUCACCAAUGAAUAAAGGAAAAAGGGUACUUUCCUUUAUACCUAAACAUACAAUAUUUAGCCUCAAAAUGGGAAAAUUUCAGGUUUUCACAAAGGGUUUAAGAAAGAGGGUGAAAGUUAAAGAACUUGUCUUUGUUUUGAUGUGUGGUACACGAGAUAGUGAAGGAAAAUAGAGGUGAGGAAAUAAGAUGGAGUAAGUGCCUAAGUGGUGAAAAAGGAGAGCCUAAAAGAGACAUUUUUGAAGGGUAGUUUAGAAGCUGCAGAGGCUUUGGCAUACAGCAGCUGAUAAUGAGAGAAGACAAACCAGAAAUGUAAGUACGACGACGAUAAAAAUUAAAAAAUUUUAAGAAUUAAUGAAAUAAAAUUUUGUAGCUUAGCGAAUUGGGACGAAGUCCACCAGUGUGAUGCCCAUAGAUCCAUACCUGGGAUUUUUCUAUUUGGGCUAACUUUCUAACUUCUCCCACCAGUCUUAAAACUUUGCAGAUUUUUUCAAUUUGAUCUGGAUUGUAUGAUAACAUAUCACUUUGAGAUUGGAAAAAAAAUUAUUUUUUUUAAAUUAGAGAAAAAAUAAAGAAACUAAAUUUCAAGCAUGCAAAGUACAAAAGAAAGAACUGUAUUAAUAAAAGAUGAGUUACUUCACUCAGAUUGGAGUACCCUUUAAACAAGUUUAUUCUUGUAGAGAAAGAAACUGGAUUUUGAUUUCAUUUGCUGUGGCAAAAUUUUUAAUUUCAACAACAGUAUAACAUAUUGAAAGCCUGCCUACAUCUCGGCAGAAAAAUUUACAAAUUCUUUCAUCAGACAAUUUAAAUGAUGCAAUGCAAAGAUUCAUCAAUGUAUGAUCUUUUUAUCAUAAAUGGCUGUUUUACUGGAAAACUUGAUAUGUACUGUCUUUCACAUUCUUUUGUGCUGAAUGGUCUCUGAAAACUGCAAUCAUCAACUAUAGAUAACCCAUUCCUCAGCGCCGCCAGAGCCGACCUUGUUGUUUCUGUUCUUGAACUUGCCUGUGUCAUCAAAGGCAGUGAGCAUUUAUCAAUGUUAUAAAAAUGGCAUAUCGAAGUCAGAUUUUACUUGACAAUACACAAAUGUAAGAAGAUAAUUCACCUUUGAUACUCUUUAGAACGCUCGAGAAACUCUUUCGCGAUGUCUUUUCUUUAAUAUGAUUGCAAUACUUGUCUGAUAUCAGCCGGACCAUUGUGUUAGUACAAAACUCCGGUAAGGAAAAAAACUCGAACACACGAUCGGAACUCGAAAAGAAAAAGAAGAAAUAGGACAGGCUCCAAGGCGUGUAUCAAGCCACUAUCUUUAAGGUUAUAUUCGCCCCCACUUAUCUUCAGUGUGCAAACGAGUUCCAAGCAAAUUAACCUCGAGGAUACAAUGAAGCCAAUGACUAUUUGCGUUUUGCACUGACGAGAAUAGUCCACUAUACACUAAGUAAUGUAUAACAAAAACUCAAUUUCUACAAAGGAUUUCUGCAGCAAUACUUUAUAGAAUAAUCUAAUAAUAUUAGAAAAUGAAGGAAGAGAAGAAAUAAUAUUAGAAUUUGUUGAUAUGAUUUCCAAAUGAAAUCCCAUUCCUAUUUAUAGGAAUUUUCAUGUCUCUUCAUAGAGACAUCUUUCAAUAGGUGUCUUUAUGAAUAAAUAAAUAAUAAUAAUUAUUCAUUUAAUUUUGUAACUAUUCAAAUAAUAUUUUUUGAAUAGUUAUAAUUCUUUUUUAAAAAAUCAAAUGAUAUAACUUUUGACCAAUGACCAAAAGUUUUAUCUUUUGAUUAAUUACACCCAUUCAUUUAUAGUUAUUGGGAUACUAUAAAUAUUUGAAAAUAUUCCAACAAUCUCCCCCCAUUUUCAAAAUAUUUAGAUUUUGAUAUUCUUGGAAAUCAAUUUGCAUAAAUAAAGGUGUCUUACGAUUGAACCUUCACUUAGUGAAAACAUGUUAAAGUUAAUCGAAAUUGUAUGGUAGACUAAGCUUUGAACCAACUAUUCCAUUUGAUUAAUUGAACACAUCUCACACAAUGAUUUCAACAUCAGUCAAUGCAUAGUAUCUAGGGACACUAUUAUAGCCAUGUGUCUAUGUCCUCUUUUCAUGAGUGCUGUCAGAGCCAAGCCCUUAAGCUCCUAGAAGCGGCCACACUUCCACUCACAUAGGUAGAUCCCAUCAAAAGUGUUCCCGUAAUUAUAACACUCUAACAUAUUUAUGUUAUGGGUCCAUUAAGAGUAAAUUACUCAUCCUUCCCUUAUCAUUACGGGUACCUAGCACUUUAAUCUUAGGAUGGAUUUAUUUAUAGUGCUAACAGUCACAUACUAAUGAUGUACUUUGUCUCAUUGAACUCAAGACUUGACGUUAUACCAAGCAUUGAGUCGAGUUUCCAUCAUGGGUGACUCUAAUUAAUAGGCUUGAGUCCCAUCCCUUUUGAGGUCCUUUUUACUGCAUCUCUAGCAAGACUUUUUGUCAAAGGAUCUGCCAAAUUUUCACUUGACCUCACAUAAUUAAUAGUGAUCACUCCAUCAGAGAUUAAUUGUCGGACAUAACUAUGUCUUAAUCCAAUGUGUCUAGACUUUCCAUUAUAUACUUGGCUAUAUGCCUUUGCUAGAGUAGCCUCACUAUCACAACGGAUAGAAAUAGGUGAAAUUGGCUUAAGCCAUAAACGUACAUCAUAAAGCAAAUUUCUUAACCAUUCUGCUUCUUUAGAUGCAGCGGCUAAUGCAAUAAAUUCUGCUGCCAUGGUGGAAUCAGUAAUACAUGUUUGUUUCUUGGAACCCUAAGAAAUGACUCCUCCACCAAGAAUGAAGAUCCACCCACUAGUAGAUGCAUGAUCUUCCAAACUUGUAAUCCAACUAGCAUCCGAAUACCCUUCUAAAACUGGAGGAUAUCCAUUAUAACACAAUCCAUAGUUAAUAGUUUUCUUUAAGUACCUAAGUACUCUAUUUAAAGCUUGCCAAUGCAAACUACUUGGAUUAUUUGUGUAUCUACUCAAUUUUCCAAUAGCAUAUGCAAUAUCUGGUCUUGUACAAGUCAUUAUGUACAUAAGAAAACCAAUUGACUUGCAUAUUUCAAUUGAUCAAUUUUCCUACCAGCAUUAGAUACUAAUUUUAAUUGAGGAUCCAUGGGUGUAGAUACUGGUAUACAGUUGAAAAUAUCAAACUUUUUAAGCACAUUUUCAAUGUAAUGUGAUUGUGAUAAAGCUAUAGUGCUUUCAUCUCGGGUUAUUUUAAUCCCAAGAAUAACAUCUUCUACACCCAUAUCCUUCAUAGCAAAGUUGUUUGACAAGAAUUUCUUUGUGUUUUCUAUUUGUUCCAAAUCCGUGCCAAAAAUGAGCAUGUCAUCUACAUAUAAGCAAAUUAUAACACCCUUUCCAUUAUCAAAUUUACUAUAUAUGCACUUAUCGGAUUCAUUUAUUUAUAGCCAUUAGCUAAAACAACCUUGUCAAACUUUUGGUGCCAUUGUUUUGGUGCUUGUUUAAGCCCAUAUAAAGAUUUAACAAGCUUACAUACCUUAUGCUCUUGUCCUGGAACAACAAAUCCUUCCGGUUGCUCCAUGUACACUUCCUCUUCCAAUUCACCAUUUAAAAAUGCAGUUUUAACAUCCAUUUGGUGAACAACCAAAUUAUAUAUAGAGGUAAGUGAUAUUAAUAGUCUAAUUGUAGCAAUUCUUGCUACUGGAGCAUAGGUAUCAAAGUAAUCAAUACCUUGUCUUUGUGUAAAACCUUUUGCUACCAACCUUGCUUUAAAUUUAUCAAUGGUUCCAUCGACCUUCAUUUUCUUUUUGAAGAUCCAUUUACAACCUAUUGGUUUGGAACCUGGUGGAAGAUCAACUAAGAUCCAAGUUUGAUUUCCCAUUAUUGAAUCCAUUUCAUCAUUUAUUGCUUCUUUCCAAAAAGUAGAGUCUUGAGAUUUCACUGCUUCUUCAAAUGUAACAGGAUCAGAUUCGGUAUUAUAACAAUAAGGUAUCUUAUUGCAUAUACUUUCACCUUUUCCUUCUAUAAGAAACAUAAUGAAAUCUGGUCAAAAAUCUUUGACCUUUUUAAUCCUCUUACUUCUUCUUAAUUCUUGACAAGAUUCAUCAUUAUUAUCAAUUUGUUUCAAUGGAAUCUCAUUCUCAUUUGAAGAAUGAAUCAAUUGUUGUGGUUGUAAUUGUCUUGAUAUAGAAUUAAAUCUAUUUUCAUCAAAAAUAGCAUCUCUUGAUUCAAUAACCGUAUUAAUUGAAAUUGAAUCAUUUGGUUCAAUUACUAUGAACCUAUAUGCCUUGCUAUUAUGUGCAUAACCUAUAAAUAUGCAUUCAAUUCCUCUUUCACCUAACUUUUUACGUUUAGGUGUUGGAACUUUUACAAUAGCUCUACAACCCCAAACCUUUAAAUAAUUAAGGUUUGGUUUCCUUUUCUUCCAUUGUUCAUAGAGGGUUAUUUUAGUUUCCUUAUUAGGAACUCUAUUCAAUAUAUGACAAGCUGUUAGAACAGCUUCUCCCCAAAAACCCUGUCCAAGACCUGAAUAUGAUAACAUUGAAUUUACCAUUUCAAUCAAGACUCUAUUUUUCCUUUCAGCUACACCAUUUUGUUGUGGUGUGUAAGGGGCUGAAACUUGAUGGACAAUUCCAGUGAGUUCAAAAUAACUUGGAUUAUAGUAUUCUCCACCUCUAUCCGAUCUUAAGCACUUGAUAAAUGAUUCACACUGAAGUUCAACUUCAGAUUUAUAAACUUUAAAUUUAUCAAGCGCUUCAUCUUUUGAAUGCAAUAAAUAUACAUAACAAUAUCUAGAACAAUCAUCAAUAAAAGUAACAAAAUAUUUCUUUCCACCUAAUGUAGGAGUAUUAUGCAAGUCACAUAAAUCACUAUGUAUCAAAUCAAGCAAUUUUGUUUUCCUUUUAACCUUAGGGAAAGGAUUUCUUGUAAUUUUAGUCAACAUACAGGUAUUGCAUUUUUCAAUAUUAUUAUUAAAAACAGGAAUUAAAUCUAAUUUAUACAUGUCAUUCAAUUUUCUAUAAUUCAAAUGACCUAAUCUAUAAUGCCACAAACAAAAUGAUUCAACCAUAUAAGCAGAAAUAGUAUUUUUAUUCUUAUUAAUAAUAUUAAGUUUGAACAUGCUUUCAUACAUAUACCCUUUUUCCCACAAAAAUUCCUCCCUUAGACAAAAUAAACUUAUCUGCCUCAAAAACAAGUUUGAAACCAAACUUAUUCAACAGACUUCCAGACACUAAAUUUUUCCUAACUUCUGGUACAUAAUAUACAUCAUUUAAGGUUAAAACCUUUCCAGAAGUGAAUUGUAGUUCAACAGACCCUUUGCCUUUAAUUUGCGGUGGAAGAAUUUCCCAUGUACAAGACAUUGUCAUUUUCACAUUGUGUGACUUUGUGAACAUGCUUUUGUCUUUGCACACAUGUUUGGUUGCUCCGGUAUCAAUCCACCAUGUAUUAUCAUCUUGUACCAUAUUAAUUUCAGAUAUCAUUGCAACGAACUUUUCGUUAUUAUCAGCCUUAGAAGAUGAUUUCUUCUUUAAAAAUCGAUAUUCAUUCUUGAAAUGUCCCGGCUUUCCACAAUGAUAGCAUGAGCCCUUUUGUUUCUUUUUGAACUUAGGUGCUCUAUCAGCCUGAUUGAACUUUCUUUUGAAUGGUUUAGUAGUCUGUACUUCCUCCGUAACAUGUACUUUGGCAUUUUCAGAAUUUAGGUUCUGAUCUUGUUGUCGAUACUCUUCUUCAAUACGAAGAUGAUUUGCCAAAGCCUCAAGAGAUAUUUCCUCUUUCUUAUGUUUUAGACUUCUUUUAAAGUCUUUCCAAGAUGGAGGAAGUUUGUCUAUUAUAGAGGAUACCACAAUUAUUUCAUCCAUUUUCAUAUCAUAUUGCUUAAAUUGAUUCAACAUCUUUUCAAUAUCACGAAAUUGUUCCAUAACAGAACGACCAUCAACCAUUUGAUAAUUAUUGAAACGACUGACAAGAAAUUUCUUACUUGUAACAUCUUCGGUCAUGUAUCUUGCCUCCAAUUUGUCCCAUAAAUCUUUAGCGGUGACGUCGUUUUGGUAGGUGUCGAACAAACCAUCAGAUAAACCAUUCAAUAUGUGGCCCAUGCACAUGUAAUCAGCAUUGUCCCAUUUUUGUCUUUCUCGGGUUGCAGCAAUAGAUUCGUUUUCAUUCUCUUCAGGUCUUGGAGUAUCCAAAACAUAAGCAAUCUUCAAAGUUGAUAACAAAAAGUGCAUCUUUUUCUGCCAUCGUCGAAAAUUGCCACCAUCAAAACGAUCAAGUUUAACAAAGUUGGAAGCCAACUCCCUUAGUGUUCCACUUUCAUGUGUUGUGGUAGUCAUCAUGAAAUAUAACCUUAAAAUUGUUAGUACAAAACUCCGGUAAGGAAAAAAACUCGAACACACGAUCGGAACUCGAAAAGAAAAAGAAGAAAUAGGACAGGCUCCAAGGCAUGUAUCAAGCCACUAUCUUUAAGGUUAUAUUCGCCCCCACUUAUCUUCAGUGUGCAAACGAGUUCCAAGCAAAUUAACCUCGAGGAUACAAUGAAGCCAAUGACUAUUUGCGUUUUGUACUGACGAGAAUAGUCCACUAUGCACUGAGUAAUGUAUAACAAAAACUCAAUUUCUACAAAGGAUUUCUGCAGCAAUACUUUAUAGAAUAAUCUAAUAAUAUUAGAAAAUGAAGGAAGAGAAGAAAUAGUAUUAGAAUUUGUUGAUAUGAUUUCCAAAUGAAAUCCCAUUCCUAUUUAUAGGAAUUUUCAUGUCUCUUCAUAGAGACAUCUUUCAAUAGGUGUCUUUAUGAAUAAAUAAAUAAUAAUAAUUAUUCAUUUAAUUUUGUAACUAUUCAAAUAAUAUUUUUUGAAUAGUUAUAAUUCUUUUUUAAAAAAUCAAAUGAUAUAACUUUUGACCAAUGACCAAAAGUUUUAUCUUUUGAUUAAUUACACCCAUUCAUUUAUAGUUAUUGGGAUACUAUAAAUAUUUGAAAAUAUUCCAACACAUUGCGGGCUACAUCUGUGAACAAAUCAAAACAAAUGGUACUAUAAUCAACAAAUGAAUAUAGGAAACAUAAAAUUUGAACAAAGGCGAUGUGCAGAGGAAAAAGCAACAACAUAAGACUUACAUUCAAGAAAUGGAAUAAGGUCUAAAAGUGCGGUAUCAUCAGUCUCGACCUUAUAUGGCUUAAUAUGGACACAAUUUUCUGGUUGAAGGCUAGAAUCAAAUGCAUGAGCACUCACAUAUAAAAUCUUGGUUGGAUCCCUGUUUAGCUUUGAAAGAUCCUGCCAACAGGAACUAUUUGUUAACAAUAAGGCUUCUUUUUAAGUAGCAGCUUGUAAAGGCACUGUCUCAUAUAUUAAUUCACAUAGUAUUGUAGAAACUAAGGAGGAGAAAACCAAAAGCAAAAUGUUUUGAAGGGAAGAGAUUGACUAUGACAUGGUAAAAGUAUCAUGGAGGCCCCUAUGUUAGGAGUUAGAUUGCCUUUUGCCCCCUUUACUCAAAAACUGGAUAAAUUAGUCCCUAUAUGUUAGAUUAAAGAGUAAGCUAGACUUUCUGUUAAAAAUUUCAUCCAUUGCUACUGUUAAAAACUGGUGCAGUUGAUAAAAUAACCAAACAGUUACACAUAAUGUGUCACGUGUACCUCAUGCUAAUGUAUAUGGACCAAUUUUUAACAGUAGAAAUGGAUGGAACUUGUAACAGAAGGGCUGGUUUGCUUUUUAAUCUAAUUUACAGGGAUUAAUUUGCCCAUUUUUUUAGUAAAGGGGUGAAAUGCAAUAUGACUCCUAGUAUAAGGGCCUCCAUGGUACUUUUACCACUAUGACAUACUCUAUAAUGCUUGCCAUCCUGAUAUUUAGUAGCACCCCUUGAUAGCCUAUAUCGUAUACAAUGGUUAGUGUCCAACCUUUCACAAGCAGGAUCAACAUACCGCAUAGCCAAAAACAAAAUAAUUAUGAACUUGCAGGCAACAUCAGUUAUAGUAUAUCUGAAAAAGAUAAGGAAAAAAAACUGUUACUUUCAUAUCUAAUUUCUUUAUAGUAUUAGGACAAACUAAACAAUGGAUAUAUCACAUUAUUAAGACUUAGCUAAGGAGCCGCUGAUAUACAUUCAAAUGAUCAAUCAUAAAGGAUGAACUAGGAGGCCUAAUGAUAAAUCAAAAUUACACCUAAACCAGUUAUAUGUCUAAAGGCAAUUGCACAUUAUAUCAAUCAAACAACUAAAAUAAAUAGAGAAAAUCCUUUAAAAUAUUCAAUUUCUAAACAAAAUCAAACUCACAUCAAUAGCAGAUCUUGACAAAGAAACCCAAAAUCACAAAUGAUCCUAUCUUUUUAAAAGGGGAAAAAGAAAACUUACUAUAAGAGAGAUAACCAGCAUAGCCAGUAGUUCCAGUAACACCUGCAAUGAGUCCGUACUUGACAAAGCUCUAAAUUUUCCCUCCCGAAACCUGUGGGGCAACUUUCGGCGCCAGAGGAGGAGGUGUCGACUGAUCGGAGAGAAUGGAUUGUGAAGAACAAUCCAAACUUAAUUUACAAGCAAUGUGGAAAUUUUGGACGUUGCAGUAUUGACUACGUUUACUUGAGGGAAAACAAAGACAUGAAUGCUGGAAAUUUUAACUAGUUUGUACGGUCAAUGAAGCUACCUCGAAUGUUAAAUAUGUUACUCUGCAAUGCCAUUGUAAAUAUGACUGUUAAAUUUGUUGAUAGCGGAAUUGUUCCACUCAAGUUAUUGUGGGACAAAUCAAGAAUUUGAAGAAAAGUGACAUUGCAUGUUAAACAAGAGACCUCUCCAUUGAAACUAUUAUUUGAGAUCAGAAAGACAUUGAUUGUCGAAGCUGGAAUCGGAAGAUUUCCACGGAUCAAAUAGGAGCUUAAGUCAAGAACUACAAUAUUCUUCCAUGGAAAGUGCAAAACUUCUGUCAAAGAGUUGCUGUAAUUGGAUUAAUCUCAUCGUUGCUGCAAUCUUUUGACAAAUCGAAUCUUAAAUAUGUUACUCUGCAACGCUAUUGUAAAUGUUACUCUUAAAUAUUACUCUGUAACUAGAUUGAUGGCUCAAUCUUGUUUUUAACAUUGUUAUGGGUAUUACUACUUUCAUGCUUUGAUACGCGAUACCCUCUUUCUAGGUGACAUUUUUGCUCCUUCCGGGCCACCAUGGGCUCUCUGCAUCACUCACCAACCUCAUUAGAUUCCCCGGGUGCCAUUUGGCCAUCUCAAGUCUCAAAAUAGCAUCAAAAUGCACUCUAAUAAUUUAUUAAUAUAAAGAACUAAAACAAAAUAAAAACACAACAAAGAUAUCUAAAUUGCACGAAAAUAAGCUUUUAAGUGUGAUGGAGAGUCUAAUUUGACAUAUCAAUUAAUGUUUGACUAUCUCCAUCUCACUUUUUAUUAAUUAAGGAAUAUGAAUUAGAAUUAAUAUAAACUUACUAUUUUAACAUUUCAUAAGCAAAAGCUAAAAUAAUAUUGGUCACAUCCCAUAUCUUCAUAUAUAGCUUAUCAGACAAAAGUUAAAACAGCCUUCAGUUCAUCUACAUUCUACAUUCCACGUCGAAUCUGCAAGCAUCAAAUAUUAACCUUUGAACUCCAAAAUAACAACACCAAUUUCCAGCAAUUGCAGAAGAAUGUCCAAUAAUUCCACACAAAUUAACAACAAUUUGCCAGCAUCCACUACAUUCGUAUGAAUUCCACACAAAUUAAGACUGGAAACUCUAACUUGUUCAUACCCUCAAUGAAGCUACCUAAAAGUUAUGAAUUCCACUGCAAAUUUUGUAUUGCUUGGAAUGAAUUGACUGUAAUUUCCUAUUACUUGCCACAAAAUUUUCUUUUACUGCUAACUUGUAAAAAAAUUAUGAAAAUACAACAGAGAUCAUUGAGACAUUUUGUUCUCCUUUCUCCUUUACUGAGCAGUAGCAAAGAUUAUCGAGACUAAAUUGAAAGUCAUGAAAGAAGACAUAAACAACACCACCAUACAAAAUGUUACACUCAAACAAACCAUUACAGAUAGUACGAAAUGCAAUGAAAGACACAGGAAUUGGUACAACAAUAAAGACAGACACAUACCAAUGCAACCCUUCACCAUAGGCAAAACGGUCUACAGAAUAAGAAAUUAUGAAAAUACAACACUAAUUCUUGAACAUCAUUUCCAGUAAUUAGAUCCUUCUUCGUCUAUUGCUUCGAUUGCCUUUCUUUGACUUUCUUCUUCGCCUCAUCUCUUGUUGGUUUUCAACCAAAUUCACCAACCAUUUCGGCUUACCAAUUUGGAAAACAACAUAUCCCACGGACAUUCCGAACACCACUCUGCAUCCAUAACCUAUCAACACCACUUUCCAACCAAAAGCAAUGUUUGAUUUUGAGCCAUCUUUUUCAAGCGCAUUUGGAGGUGCUGGCUCAAUGAUGUUGCAACCUUUCGAGACCGGAAACCCACACAGUCCAUUAUUCCCUUCAUAUGAAUCAUUUCCAAAUGUGUUGAAUUGUUUUCCUUGAGGAAUCUGACCAUGGAGUUGAUUUUCAGCGACAUUGAAGGACGAAAGAAAUGGCAGAUCUGCCAAUCUAUUUGGAAUCGUCCCAGACAACCUGUUUGAAGAUAGGUCCAACCAUUCAAUACUUGUCAAAUUCCCUAUUGAUGUGGGAUACCACCAUUAAGGUUAUUAUGAGAAAGGUUGAGCCCUUUCAGUAAGUUAAGCUUCCCAAAAACCUUUGGAAUACCCCCUUCAAACUGAUUGUUUGAUAGAUCAAUGAUCAUCCACAUGGUGAAAAUUUUCACCAAUUCCAUAUAUUGUCCUUUCAUAACAGUUCCGAUGGAAUAGGUAUAGAAGCCAUUACCUCUCGGAACAUACAUCCCCAUGUACGACAUUGUACUCCCAAUCUUCUCUAGAUUUAUGAUACCCUUGAAGCUGUUGAUGUAUCUCACUGGUAGGGGUCCAGAAAAAUAAUUACUUGAGAGAAAAAAAAUUUGGAUUUUAGAGAAAAAAGGGCUAGACUUGGAGCUAUUGUCACAUAAGGAACCAUGCAUAUGAUUUGACUUCAAUACAAGAACUUGUAGCUGUGGAAGACUUCCCAACCAAUGAGGAAAUGUAUCAUUGAUCUUGUUCUUCUUCAGAUUCAAGAAUUGAAGGCUGUAGCUCAAAUUUUCAAAACAUUGCGGAAUUGUUCCGCUCAAGUUAUUGUGGGACAAAUCACGAAUUUGAAGAAAAGUGACAUUGCAUAUUAAAGAAGAGACCUCUCCAUUGAAACUAUUAUUUGAGAUCAGAAAGACAUUGAUCGUCGAAGCUGGAAUGGGAAGAUUUCCACGGAUCAAAUUGGAGCUUAAGUCAAGAACUGCAAUAUUCUUCCAUGGAAAGUGCUCAACUUCUGUCAAAGAGUUGUGAGAUACAUUUAAGUCAAAGAGCCAUUGCCCACCUCUUGCAUCCACUGUGGAAUCUUGCCUUCAAUUUUGUUGCAAGAGAGGUCCAAGCUUUCCAAACUUUUAAGCCCUUAUAAAAACUGGGGGAAUUCACUAAGAUUGAAAGAUGACAAACGUAAGUCUAUAAGAUUAGACAAUAUAUGGUUAACACAAGAAGUAGUAUUAAAUGUUAAGGAUAGGCUGUUAUAUGAAAGGUCGAGAAGUUUUAGAGUUGGAAGGUUUGAGAACAUGCGAAACUCUAUGACACCACUAAGAUUAUUUGAGGAUAAAAGGAGGUGGGUAAGAUUGAGAAGUUGGAAUAUUGAAGAUGGAAGAGGACCUUGGAGUUUAUUAUUGUUUAACCUUAUCAAUUCUAGUGUUUUGGAUUGGAAUUCUUUGAUAUGCCCACUGAAUUGUUUUUAGAGAGAUCUAUUGUUUAACCACGUUAUUUUUCAGUGACGGAUCGAGAAAUAAAACUUAGGGGGAGCAGGGGCGAAGUUAGAAAAUUAGUUUGGGGUAAUCGAAAUUAAAUUAUAUAUUUUUAUGAUAGUAAAAAUAGAAUUUCGUCAUUUUAAUAGCCUAUAUCUUUAUAAUUUUUAGAGGAUUAAAUUAAUUUUUUAUCAUUUGAGGGGGGCAAAGUGCAAUUUUACCGUUAUUAAUUUAAAAUUUUAUAAAUUAUAAAUGGCCUAAAUUUUAAAAAAAAAAUCAUUUUAGGGGGUUGAGACCCUGUCAGCCCUCUCCCUAGACCCACCCCUAGUCUUUUUGAUACAAUUUGGCAGUUUAAGUACUUAAUUAGUGCAAAAAAAAAAAAACUAGGGGCUCAAUAGCUUUUUUUUGAAAAAGUUUGAGAGCCUUUUUGAUCCAUUUUGGCAGUUCAAAUGCCCAAUUCAGUGCAAGAAAAGAAGUAGGGGCUUAAUUAUUUUUUUUUAAAAAAAGUUUGAGAGCCUUUUUACACCAUUGAACCUUUUUUAUACUAAUUGGUAGACGCGAAGUUAUAAAUAUUUAAUUGUUAAUGUAAUUUUUAGAAUUUCUAAAGAAUAAUAAUAUUUAAAAUCUUAUAAUUUUUUUUAUUUCAUGUGCAUAAAAAACUUAAAUAAAUAAGUGUUUAGAUUUAGAUUAAUCACGCUGUCCAUUUAUUCAUAUUCAUUCUAGAGGUAUAACUUUUAGUUAUUUUAUAUGUUUUUAUAAUUAAAAAUAAUGGUAUAAAAGUCGAUUAAGUUUUAGCUCAAUUGACAUAGACAUUGUUGUUGAGGAGGACCUAUUGGUAGUUCUAGGCAUUGUGUCAAAAUGAACUAUAUUUGAUAAGAACCUAUAAUGAAAUUAAUGUUAAAAAAAUAAUAGUAUAAAAAGCUAAUAUUUUUAUAAAAGUUUCAUUUUUUUUUCAGUUUUUGGAUUUUUCUCAUAUAAAAUUUUAGAAUUGUUUCUUGAAUUUUUAUAGCUUUUCUUAUUAUGAUGUUAUAUAAUUUUAGAUUUUUAUACAUCUUUAAUAUUUUUUUAGUUUUUUAUUGUUUCUCAAAUAAUGCUUGGUUGAUGUAGCUUGCCAAGUGGUAUCGUGUUAUUGGCUGUCAAUUUCAAUAAUAAAAAAAUUUGGAGUUGAUUAGUUAUGAACUAACUCGAUUAAUCAAUUCUAAAUUUAAGUACUAAUUAAGUCCAAAAAAAGUUCAAAUUUCAAUUCAUGCAAGUUGGAUGGCAAUGAAACGGGAUUGGGGUGCGAAUAUUGUCAAAUUCACUAUUGUUUCAUAGUUGAUGUGUUUUGUCCCAUCACUCACCCCCGCUCCACUAUGGAUGUUUAAUUUUGAAAACCACUCACCCCAUGGAUGUUGGAUGCAUCCAUCCCUGCUUCACGUCGUGCCAUUUCAAUUUAAUUUUUAUUAGUUUUUUUAAAAAUAUUUUCAAUUUUUUUUUAAUUUUAAAAUAUUUUCAAUCUUUUUAAAACUUAUAAAUAUUUAAACAUAAUUAUUCAAGAAAAACAUUUAAACAUAAAACAUAUGAGUUUUUUAUAACAUAUUUUUACCCUUUAAUAGUUAUAAAUAUACAAGGGUCGAAUAGUAAUUUCAAAUAGUGAAAUAGAGUGGAUUGGGACAAACAAUUACCAUAACUGCUACACUUAAUCAUCGUAAAAAAAAAAAAAAAAAAUCUAUUUCAUCCCCGCCCAUAUUCCCUUUUAAAAGGAUCUACUCUAAAUGAAACAAACCAAUUCAAAAUCCAUUUAACAUCCUAAAUUCUAAAACUAAUUUUGAUAUGAAGUCUCAAUUAAAUUCAAGUAAUAAGGUUUUUUGAUAUGGUUUACACUACUAACUUCUAUAUGAAAACAACAACCAUUUCCCAUGAUGUUUGCGGCUUACCAACAAAUCCUUGCAGAUUUUCAACGUAGAAGAAAAUCAUGAAAAUAAAAAAAAAAAAAAAAAAAAAACUCUGGUUGGGAUUUGUUUCAUAUGGAAAACAGAAAACAAAACUUAAGUUAGUCAAAAUUACCAACUCACUGCUGACAACAUUUUUGUUGUAACCAAACAUUUGGAAGAAAAUAAACACAAGAGCACGCCGUUGACCUGUAUUUCUUUUAUUCUUCAAUUCUAUUUCAUCUUUAAGCUGUAACCAAUGAUAAUCAAAUCUUGACUUGCAUAAAAACCAAAGAAAACAAAAUGAAUGCAGCAGAAUUUUCUACCACAAAUGAGUAGUAAUUUACAGAUAAUAAAAUUAUCGAAAAACUAUUGAGAGUCGAAUUUCAUAUUAAUUGUGGUAUCCAUGAACUAGAAUGUAUUAAAAAAAGAAGGAUAUUGACCUUGAGACUACUUGCAAUUUUCAAAAACACUCUCAAUUCCUCUCCCCCUCUUCGGGCACCGGCCCAAGAUCCUGCCAUUGGCUACCACGCCGGCCGCUAGUCGCCAGCGCCGGCGCCGUGCAUGGAGGAGGAGAGUCCAAAAAUAUCCUUUUUUUUUUCUCACAUGCAGAUCCUCGGCCUCCAAACACUCCGACGACGGCUACAAAGGUAAAAAGGCCUCUCAUUUUUUAUUUUUAUAAUGCUUCAAAAUAAAAAAAUAAAAAAAAGGGAAAAAAUCACCUUUAAAAAAAACUGAUUCCUGUUUUUUAUUUCUCUUUGUUUUUUUUUUUCCAAAAGAGAACUCCCUUAAUUUUUCAUCUUUUUUAGCCCUUAAACCUACGUUGUUUAUCAAUAACCUUAAACUUACAUUGUUUACCGGAUGAAAAAUUUAAUAUUUAUUAACUUUGCUAAGGUGCACAUAUGCAAUUUAUUUAAAUCUAAAAACUAUAAAAUAUCUUAAAAUUAAAACUAAAAGUUUUUAAACUACUUGAUUGCUCCUUUCUCCUUUACUGAGCAGUAGCAAAGAUAAUCGAGACUAAAUUGAAAUCCAUGAAAGAAGACAUAAAACACCUCCAUACAAAGUGUCACACUCAAACAAACCAUUACAGAUAGUACGAAAUGCAAUGAAAGACAGAGGAAUUGCUACAAUAACAAAGACAGACACAUACCAAUGCAACCCUUCACCAUAGGCAAAACAAGAAAUUAUGAAAAUACAACACUAGUUCUUGAACAUCAUUUGCAGUAAUUAGAUCCUUCUUCGUCCACUGCUGCGAUUGCCUUUCUUUGACUUUCUUCUUCGCCUCUUCUCAUGUUGGUUUUCAACCAAAUUCACCAACCAUUUCGGCUUUCCAGUUUGGAAAACAACAUAUCCCACCAGCAUUCCGAACACUACUCCGCAUCCAUAACCUAUCAACACCACUUUCCAUUCAAAAGCAAUGUUUGAUUUUGAGCCAUCUUUUUCAAGCACAUUUGGAGGUGCUGGCUCAAUGAUGUUGCAACCUUUCGAGACCGGAAAUCCACAUAGUCCCUUAUUUCCUUCAUAUGAAUCAUUUCCAAAUGUGUUGAAUUGUUUUCCUUGAGGAAUCUGACCAUGGAGUUGAUUUUCAGAAACAUUUAAGGACGAAAGAAAUGACAGAUCUGCCAAUCUAUUUGGAAUCGUCCCAGACAACCUGUUUGAAGAUAGGUCCAACCAUUCAAGACUUGUCAAACUCCCUAUUGAGGAGGGGAUAUCACCAUUAAGGUUAUUAUGAGAAAGGUUGAGCCCUUUCAGUAAGUUAAGCUUCCCAAUAACCUUUGGAAUACCCCCUUCAGACUGAUUGUUUGAUAGAUCAAUGAUCAUCCACAUGGUGAAAAUUUUCACCAAUUCCCUAUCUUGUCCUUUCAUGACAAUUCCAAUGGAAUAGGUAUAGAAGCCACUACCUCGAGAAUCAUUCACCCCCAUGUACGACACCGUACUACCAAUCUUUUCUAGAUUUAUGAUAGCCUUGAAGCUGUUGAUGUAUCUCACUGGUAGGGGUCCAGAAAAAUAAUUACUUGAGAGGUCAAAAAUUUGGAUUUUAGAGAAAAAAGGGCUAGACUUGGAGCUAUUGACACGCAAGGAACCAUGCAUAUGAUUUGACUUCAAAACAAGAACUUGCAAAAAUGGAAGACUUCCCAACCAAUGAGGAAAUGUAUCAUUGAUCUUGUUGUUACCAAGAUCUAGCACUUCCAGACCAUUACAAUUAAGGAUGGAUGGUGUCAAAGGCCCUUCUAACAGAUUUCCAUUUAAGUUGAAAUUAGUCAGUUGGCAUCCCUUUGCAAAUGUUAGAGGAAUCGUCCCAUAGAACUCGUUCUUCUUCAGAUUGAAGACUUGAAGGAUGUUGCUCAGAUUUCCAAAACAUUGCGGAAUUGUUCCACUCAAGUAAUUGUGGGACAAAUCAAGAAUUUGAAGAUAAGUGGCAUUGCAUAUUAAAGAAGAGACCUCUCCAUUGAAACUGUUAUUUGAGAUCAAAAAGACAUUGAUGGUCGAAGCUGGAAUCGGAAGAUUUCCACGGAUCAAAUUGGAGCUUAAGUCAAGAAAUUCAAUAUUCUUCCAUGGAAAGUGCUCAACUUCUGUCAAAGAGUUGUGAGAUACGUUUAAGUAAGUCAAAGAGUCAUUCCCCACCUCUUGCAUCCACUGUGGAAUCUUGCCUUCAAUUUUGUUGCAAGAGAGGUCUAACCUUUCCAAACUUUUAAGCCCUUUUAAAAACUGGGGGAAUUCACUAAGAUUGCAAGAUGACAAAAAUAAGCUUCUAAGAUUAACAGUAGAUGUAGUAUUAGAUGUUAAGUAUAGGCUGUUAAAUGAAAGGUCGAGAUAUUUUAGAUUUGGAAGGUUUGAGAACAUACGUAACUCUAUGACACCACUUAGAUUAUUUGAGGAUAAAACGAGCAAGGUAAGAUUGAGAAGUUGGAAUAUUGAAGAUGGAAAAGGACCUUGGAGUUUAUUAUUGUUUAGAUAUAAAUGUUCUAGUGAUUUGGAUUGGAAUUCUUGGAUAUGCCCACUGAAUUGAUUUUGAGAGAGAAUUAUAACCUUUAAGGAGGGAGCAGUAUACAACCAUGACGGAAGUGUUCCAUUGAGUAAAUUGUCAGAUAAGCCUAAAUAUAUUAGAUUAGGAAAAGUGGUUACCUCAUCUGGAAUGGAUCCUUCUAAAGAAUUUUCAGAUAUUCCCAAGUAUUCCAGCUGGGUUAGGUUUAGAAUUGACAAUGGAAUUUGUCCACUCAAUUGGUUCUGCGACAAGUCUAAAUGAGUGAGUUGCAAGAGGUUCCCCAAUGAUAUUGGAAUUUGUCCACUCAAUUGGUUCUGCCACAAGUUUAAAUCAGUGAGUUGCAAGAGGUUCCCCAAUGAUCUUGGAAUUUGUCCACUCAAUUGGUUCUGCCACAAGUCUAAAUCAGUGAGUUGCAAGAGGUUGCCCAAUGAUCUUGGAAUUUGUCCACUCAAUUGGUUCUGCCACAAGCCUAAAUUAGUGAGUUGCAAGAGGUUCCCCAAUGAUCUUGGAAUUUUUUCACUCAAUUGGUUCUGCCACAAGCCUAAAUGAGUGACUUGCAAGAGGUUCCCCAAUGAUCUUGGAAUUUUUCCACUCAAUUGGUUCUGCCACAAACCUAAAUCAGUGAGUUGCAAGAGAUUCCCCAAUGAUCUUGGAAUAUUUCCACUCAAUUGGUUCUGCCACAAGCCUAAAUGAGUGAGUUGCAAGAGGUUCCCCAAUGAUCUGCCACAAGCCUAAAUGAGUGAGUUGCAAGAGUUUCCCCAAUGAUCUUGGAAUUUGUCCACUCAAUUGGUUCUCACACAAGUCUAAAUAAGUGAGUUGCAAGAGGUUCUCCAAUGAUCUUGGAAUUUGUCCACUCAAUAGGUUCUGUGACAAGUCUAAAUAAGCGAGUUGCAAGAGGUUCCCCAGUGAUCUUGGACCCGGUCCUGAUAAGUUGGAAUGGGAGAGAUCUAAAACCUUCAAGGACACAAGAUUCCCCAUCCAGUCAGGCAAUCCUCCAAAAAAAUUUGCGCCUCCAAGAAUCAACUACUCCAAAGAUGAUAAAUUUGUGAAUGAGACAGACAAUCCUUGAAAGAAGGAAUUUCCUGAGAGAUCUAAGUACUUUAAGGCCUGUAGAUUAUCAACUGAAUCAAUGAAUUCUGUAGAGAAGGACACGAACGACAGAUCCAAAUGUUCAAGAUUGCUGCUCCGAUUGAACUUCAAAGGAUCAAGAUUGAGGUUUUGGUUGCCUCCCAAGUUGAGGAGAUUGAGGUUUGGCAAAUCAAAAAUGUUUUUUGGGAAUUUUCCUUGCAAAUCACAAAAAGCAAGACUGAGAGACCUUAGAGAAGAGGAUAGAUUCAUGAAGACAUGAGCAUUAACAGAAGACAUGUCCAUUCCAUCCAAAAACAGAUGUCUGACCUCGGUUAGGUUGUGAACAAGUCCCUCCAGAGCAUGUUUGUCAAUUGUUUGUGCAUCACCCCAACAGGAGAGAUCAAGUGAAACCAAUUUUGACAGGUGGGAGACUUGGGAUGGGACUUCUCCUGCAAACCCUGUAUUGGAAAGGUUGAGGUAGAAUAGGCUUGUAAACCGACCUAAGUCGGAUGGAAUUUUGGAAAGAUUAAAAUCAUUGAAGGCAAGGUUGAGUUUUUGAAGGUGAGGAAGAAGGAAGAGAGUGGUAUUGGAAGGGAAGUUGCCAGAUAGCCAACUGCAGCUCAAGUCAAGGGCAAUAACAUGAGCAUUUAGGUGGUCACAAGUGACCCCAUCCCAUGAGCAGCAAUCUGUACCCUCCUUCCAUGAAUUUGUCUUGGGAUAAGAUUUAGGGCCGCAAGACGAAUAAGCAGCCUCUGUUAUGGAAAAAGAGUUCUUGAACUGGAUUAGUAAAGAGCAGGAGUGAGAUCCUGAAGAAGAAAAAGAAGCAUAAAGAUGGGGAAAGAAGAGGAAUAG